AUUAUAAAAUUGUACAUGGGAACCCGACGGUAAUUCAUAUCAAGAAAAUAGAUAGGGGAUGGUAAAUAUAGCUCACCAUGAAACCCCACCAUUAGUGCUCUGCGCAGAAGUUCGAAUCCAGGCGAAUUUGAGAAAGGAUAUGGAGGUUCAUCAUCUCUGGUGACGCUUAAUAAAUAUAAAGUCAGCUCUUUAUGACCAUACCUAACAGCGCUGUGAAGAGGCGCAAAAUUGUCGCGUUGGCAGAUAUUGGGCAAGCUUGGGUUUUUGUUCACUAACAACUUGACUGCUUUUAUAUUGCCAGCCCUUGCAGCGUUGAAAAGGGCAGUGGCGCCAUCAGAAUCCCGCAGAGCCAGUGCCUCACUUGGCAUAAACUCAACCAACUUCUCCACGAAACCCAUUCUGGCCUCUCCUAACUCAACUGCUAUGUGAAGCAUUCGGGAAUCAUCUGUUCCGAUCGGGGCAGAGAAUGAUCGUGGAUCAUCCUUCAAUAAUUUUGGAGCACUUUCCCAGUCACCAUUGAGCACAGCUUUGUACAGUUCCAAGUAAUAGAAUUCUGCAGUCACAAAACCAAAAGAUGUAUAGGUCAGCCUAGAUUUCCCUGAUAUCUAUAUUACUUCAACGUUCACAAAAUCCUAAUACUAAAAUUAUUUUUUAAAAAAUAAAUCAUUUAAGUUAUGUUUGGUUCUUAGAAAAUUUGACAAAUAAUACAAAGAAAAAUUUAAAUAAUUUAAAAUUUAAUAAAUUUAUAACUAAUUUUAAUUACAUUUGAUUUUCUUAAAUAUUUUUUUUUCGAUAAAACCAAAUACGGGAAAAUCAUUUUCCUUGAUAUCUUUUCUUUGCUAAUUAUUUUCUUAGACUUCUUUGUUUACCUCUAAUCAACAUCUUUCUAUCUUUCAAUAAUAGUUUGAACCUCCAAUAAACUACAUGAAUUAAAAUUUAAUUUAGUUUCAUUUUUUUUUAACAGCAGGUUGUAAAACACUUCUACUUGUAUACUAAUUAUGCCCAAAAGUUGCAGGAGGACCUCAAACGGAAAUGGACAUGAACAUGGUUUUUAGCAUCUUACCGGAGCUGCUAAUCCUUUGCAAAGAUGAAGGGGAAGAGACUGGAGCAUAUUCAUCAGCAAUGUCGAUUACCAUUGUUUGGGCUGUCAUCGAUUACCGAGAUGGAAAUGAAGAGAAGUCAUUGCAGUAAACUCCUCACCAUGCUCAGCAAUGUCGAUGUCACUGUUUUUAGGACUGUUUGCGCUGUUGUCAUUUCUAAGACGUAGUGAAGAAGAAGAAGCCUUUACAACAAAUUCCUUAUCGUGCAUAUAGUCAUUGCCAACUAUAUGGAAGAUUAUAUUUAACUGCAGCCCUUUUUCCCAGAGUCUUCAAAAGAUACAGGAAAUGGGCCAGGAACCAUUGAAGCAUAAGAGGUGCAAUGAUAGAGUCUUCCAAGUCAACUUUAUUUAGUUGAGUAGAUAGCGUUGAAAAGUUUUGAUAAUUUUUAUUGCGAAAAAACGAUGUUUUAUAUACUUUUAUUUCUAUCAUACUUUAUUAUUGUUUAUAAGAUAACGAAAUAUUCAAAUAUGAUAAACAAUAGUAAACAUAUAUCAAAUAUAAAAAAUUUCUCACAAGAGAUGCAAUUAAUAUUUUUUUUCUUCAAUAAUGUGUAUAAUAUAUACCAUGUGAUGUAUUAUUUCUAUUUUAAGUUUUGUUUGGAUGUAUUUUUUAUUUUUUUAUAUAUAAAAAAUGAAUUAUAUUUUAAAAUUUAUAUGUGAUAUAAAAAGGUUAUUAUUUUUUAGUAUUUGAUAUAAUACAUUUAUAUAUUUACUAAAUUAUGACAAUAAAUGAAAAUAAAGUGGAGCGGACGAUGUAGGUUAAGGAUUAAUGUCUUUCACAUUAUAACAUCUUUCACAUUUAAUCCUUUCUGAUGUGAAUGCAGUACAGCAAAAGAGAAAGUACCAUUAACUUGAAUGCGAGAAGGGUGAUUGAUCUAUCAAUCUGUACGUGUCCUUCUUGAAAGGGACCAGAUUCUAUGGGGUAGCUUAAGGAUUAAUGUGGGUGCCUGUAGCAUGAAAGUGGAAGGAAUUAAUCCUGUGCACCACACAUUGCUAUGAUCGUUUGCAAUAACCAAUUAUAUAAAAUCUAUUGAAAUAUUUUAUAUAAUUAACUUUUUGGAAUUUUUUUAUCAAGUUGUAAAAUAAAGAAAAUUUAGGAAAAAAUAUUUUUGUAAAAUGAUAAAAUUUUACAAAAAUGACAUUUUUUUUGUAAAAUGUAGAAAAGGAUACAAGGCUAUGAAUUCAUAAUUGUAUGAUAACCUUUUAGUAUUUCAAUCUUUGAAUUUUUUUGGAGAUUAUUUCCAUAAAUUCCACAUUCCAAAAACAAUGAUAAUCUUUACACAAUAUUAUUGUCAUUUAAAGUGGGAAAAAAUAUAAAAAUAAAAUAAAAUUUUCAAAAAAUUUAGAGAUUGCAAAAAAUACGAGGAUAUGAAGAAUGUGAGGAUCGUCAUAUUUUUCAUACCCUCCUCACAUUCUUCAUACCCUUACCCAUUUGAAUAUUUUAAUCUUUUAAUUUUUUUUUCAAAUAGUAUUUACUUCAAUUUCAAGUGUAAUUAGUGUUUUUACACAAUACCAUUGUCAAAUGAAGUAAAAAAAAAAAAAAAUCAAAAUUAAAAUUUUCAAAAAAUUUAAAGGGUACAAAAAUGCGAAGAGGGUACGAAGAAUGUGAAGAGCCUCACUUUUCUCGUACCCUCAUCACAUUCUCCAUACCUAUUAUAAUUUAUAAAUUUUAAAAAAAAUAUUUUUCAAUUUUUUUAACAUUAUUUGCAUCAAUUUCAAGUGUAAUUAAUAUUUUUACCCAAUAUUAUUGUAAAGUGAUGUGAAGAAAAAUUUAAAAUUAAAUAAUUAAAUAAUUUUAGAGGGUACAAAAAAAUAUGAAAAUAGUAUGAUGAAUGUGACGAGGGUACGAGAAAUGUGAGGAUACAAGAAAUUUAAAAUAAAAAAUAAAAAUCUCAUACCCUCCUCACAUUCUUCGUACCCCUACAAAUUUUUAAUAUUUUAAUCUUUUAAAUUUUUUGAACAUUAUUUGCUUCAAUUUCAAGUGUAAUUAGUCUUUUUACAAUAUAUUAUUGUCAAGUAAAUUAAAUUUAGAGGGUACAACAAAUAUGAGGAGUGUGCGAGAAAUGUGAAGAGGGUAUGAGAAAUAUAAGGGUACAAGAAAUAAAUAAUAAUAAUAAUUCUCGUACCCUCUUCACAUUCUUGUACUCUCCUCACAUUCUUUGUAUUUUCACCAAUUUUUGAAUAUUUUAAAUUUUUUUCGAAUAUUAUUUGCUUAAGUUUCAACAAAAUUUUCGUACCCCACCAAUUUUGUAAUAUUUUAAUAUAUAUAUAUAUAUAUAUAUAUAUAUAUAUAUAUAUAUAUAUUAACAUUAUUUGUUUCAAUUUCAAGUGUAUUUAGUCUUUUUACACAAUAUUAUUGUCAAGUGAAGUGAAAAAAAAACAUAAAGUUAAAAUUUUCAAAAAAAUUAAAGGAUACAAAAAAUGUGAGAAGGGUAUAAAGAAUAUGAAGAGGGUGCAUGAAAUGUGAGGGUAUAAGAAAUAAAAAAACAAAAUACUCAUCCCCUCUUCACAUUUCUUGUACCUUCCUCACAUUCUUUGUACCUUCACCAACUUUUGAAUAUUUUAAUCUUUUAAUUUUAACUCAUCUACCCUUACAAAUCGUGUCUUUAAGGAAUAUGAGCUUAGAGCAGGAACCAUUGGGAUCCAUAGGAGUACUGGCUCCCUUAGAAUCAAAUUUUGAAAUUGAUUCAACAUCCCACUAUAGAGAGUCAGCUGCACUUUAGUACCCUAUGUACAUUACAAUAAGACACCAAGUACUUGGGUUUAUGAUCUACUAUCUAUUGCAUGCAAACUCCCCAUGAACUUGUGUCCGUAAUUGAUUACUACCAAAAAGUACUAUUUUGUAGAUCUAAUUAUAAUGGUUUUAAGCACCUUUAAGUAGUAAUCAUAUUCAUUUAACCCAAUUAAUUCAUUAAGGUCCUUAGUAAUUGGUUUUAACCAUUUUGUGGCAAGUUUACAUGUUUUUAUUAGCUUGUGAACCAAUUCAAGCAUGCCAAUUGAUGGAGGAGCUAUUUGGGUGAGUUAAGCAAGGAUUUUGGACAAUUACAGGCUUGAAUUUCAAGUGGAAACACGAGCACAAGCAAUGGAGAAGAGGAAAACAGAGUGAAGAAAACAGCUGCAGUCUUCUUUCGCACUUUUGAAGCACUUCCCGAAGUCCAUUUUUUGCAUGCUAUAUACCAUUUGAAAUCUUAGAAAGUCAAGAAUCCAACGCUUCAAACCGUGUAUGAUUUGGAGUUGAAAUGAGGAAGAUAUGGCCUUUGGAAGGCAACUGUAUCAUGUCAAAUGACCAAUUUCGCAAGGUGAAUUUCACAUUGCGAAAAUUUCACAAGGAGAUUUUCUUCAUGGUGCGAAAUUUUGCCACUUCGCACCAUGAAGAAACACCUUGCGAAAUUUCGCAAGGUGGAUUUAGGCACAUUGCAAAAUUCCUUUGAAUCCCCUGUUUUGAGACGUUGUUGAUGUUAUUCCACUGCCGGUUCUCCAAGAUAUUUUGCUUGAUUUUUAGCUUUGUAAAUACCUAUUUUACCCUUGUAAUCAACCAAUGAAUAGGUUGCUUUUGUAAUAGCUCUUGUAAUUUAGCUUGUUAUUGUCUUUAAAUAGAGGUGAAGAGCCUCAGAUCAUCAAAUCUUGUAACCUGUAACUUUAUAAGUUAUAAGAGCACUUUUGUUCAUACGCUUCUUUUCUCUUUUCUUUCUCAUUUUCUUAGUAGCCAAACAUCCUUGGGGGAUGAAAUCCCCAAGGAUGAGAGGCUUAAACCUUUUAGUUUCUUGAAGUAAUGGAUGCCAUGUGAAGCUCCCGUGUCAGGAUGGAGAUUUCCAAGCCAUGAAUGUAAGUAGCUGAGCGUCAUAAAUGUUUUCAUUCAAAGUAAAGCUUUUAAUCCCUCUGACUUGCUUUGAAUGGCCAAUACUUGAUAAUCUUUUGGUCUCAAUGGAUUCUUAUUGUUAGAUCCACUGACGUUCAUUAGUUAUCUCCUACGAGCCAUUGUAUUGCAAGUCGAGGAGAUGCCCUAUAUCAUUAAAAGGGCAUUUAUGAGGUUCAACUACCCUUUUUGUAAGUUUUCAAGGACUAAAACUCAGUUGUUAAACUCAUACCGGUUCGGGAAGUAAGCAUCACCUUAGUUGCUUUCCCAACUCGAGGUGAAAAGUCCCAAAAUCUCCAUUUUUUCACAGUGAGUUAAGCAUGGCUAUCCAAAGCUUUGAGAAACUUCUUUUUCCAUCUUUUAACCUAUUUUCAUGUUAGUUUAGUUUACACACCUUCAUCUUUUUAUGUUUUCAUCUUAACCUAAUUUUUAUUAAGAAAAGUUCACUCCAUCCUCCGAACUUCACCAGUUAAAGUAAAAACUCUUCCCAGUGUUCGAUCCUAGAGCCACUAUGCUAUAGUAGCUUUGCUACUUUAGUGUAAGGACCUUAGGUAUAAAUUUUGUUGAUACCCUUACAUGCCAAGCUACCAAGAGUCGGGUUAUCAGUAAUCUAAUAAGGUGGUGUUGUCACCUAUCAAGAUUACCCCUCAAAUCCUUUAGUUAUAGAUCAUACUUAUUACGUGAUUAAAUGACAUACUUUACCUCUAAUGAGCAUAUGUCAAAUUCCACUAAAGGAAUUAUUCCAUGAUCACAUGUCCUUUGGAUCACCCAAGGGGACAUAUCGUCUCAAUCCCAUGAGAUAUCAUGGUGCCUCUAUUGAGAAUACCUAUUGUCAUUAGCCUCCAUCAACAGUGACCCAAUUCAUAGGGAUACAUGGCCACUUUAGGGUUUCACUCAUAGCUUAAAGUCUUCUAUUAACUUUGGCAUAGACUCAAUAUCCUCUAAGGUUGAGAGUCUAUACAGUAUACUAGUUUGGUGAAUCAUAACAAUUGAUAGCCUUGUGUCAUGAUUCACCGUAGGUUUUGUCUAGUGUGCAUCACAUACACUGGUACUCUUCAUAGGAAACCCAUUCCAACGGCUAAGACCAAUCAUCUCUCUAAUUAGGAGGUAGUGCACUAUAGUCUCUACUGGAUUGCCUAAAUCCAUGAACCAAUUGUGGACAGCUUAUCUACUUACAAGGAAUCCAUGACUUGUACUUUUGUGCAACUCCUAAUGCACCUGAAUCAUGUACAAUGUAAGAAACAUGGGUUGAAUGCUCAAAUCAAUGUUAAUACACUAGAGGGAUAACAAGGAGACAGUUAAGUCUAACUUUGUUACAUCAUGUCUUGCUUAGUUAAGUCUAACUUUGUUACAUCAUGUCUUGCUUAGUUAAGUUUAACUUUAUUACAUCAUGUCUUGCUUUUAGGGUCUUAAUCCUAACAAGCUCCUACUACCCCAAAAGUAGACUAGGGUACUGUAGAAAAAAUAUACUCUACAGUCACGUCACCUUUCUAUACUAUCCCACAACAAGGUAUCACUUGUUUUCUAUAUAUUAUCUCUUAUAGUGGCACUUUAGUUAUUUGGACUAUGCCACAAUCCCAUAUAACAAUAUCUUAGACGAUAUAGCCAAUGGAAAUACUCAUAAGCUAAAAGGCUUCCUUUGUUGCUAUAGAAAUAACAAAAACCACUUAGAGUGUACACAUUCCCUAAGGUAGACUUGCGAGAGUCCUCAUUAGACUGAAAGUCCAAUUUCUCGAUACAAGGACUCACAAACAUAUCAUUCUUCAUUCUCUAAGGAUACUAGAGUAUAUGUUUGAAAUUCGCUCAAAGCUCUAAUCAAGAAAUGAACUAAUAUUCACUCAUUAUUCCUACAACAAAGCAAAUAUCUGGUUUAGCACAUAGCAUUGUAUGCUUAAGGCUAUCCAUUGUAGAGGCAUUGGAUACCUCCUUAAUGUGAUCUUUCUCCACAAAUGUCUGAUUACUACUCAAAAAGUGCUAUUUGAUAGCUUGUAAUUAACUCUUUUAAACACUUUUGAGUAGUAGUUAUUGCCUUUUAACCCAAUUAACAUGUUAAGGACCCUUGCAAUCAAUUCUAAUCAAAUUGUGUUAAGUUUUGGUCUUUUGAUAGCUUUUUGAUCACCAAAGCAAUCCAAGAUUGAGGAGAGUUAUUUGGAAUCCACGACAAAGCAAUGGAAAGCUCAAAUUCAUGAAGAACAAGAUUUGGAGCUCCAUAGCUCUUUGCCAAAGUCGUUCAAAGUAUGCAAGGAAAGAACAAAGGAGAGAGGAAAAACAGAGUGAAGAAAACAGAGGACAAUAGCUGCAGUCUUCUUUCGCACUUUUAGAGCACUUCCCGAAGUCCAUUUUCUACAUUCUAUAUACCAUUUAAAAUCUUAGGAAGUCAAGAAUCCAAUGCUUUAAACGGUGAGCAAUUCGGAGUUGAAACGAAGGAGUUACAGCCAUUGCAAGUAGAUCACUCCAAGUUGAAGGAAGAAUUUUGCACAACGCUGCGAAAUCACCCUUUUGUUGCGAAAUGAUUUCGCAGCCUUUUUGUUUAGUGUUGUGGAUUCCCUCCUGAAGUUGCCCGAUAUAUGCCGCAAGUUGGAAGCUGAGCACCUCAAGAUGAAAGCCAACUUCGCAGCCCUGCGAGAAUAACCUUUUGCUGCGAAGUGAUUUCGCAGCCCUUUUUGUGCAUCUGUGAAAUCUCGCAGACCUCGUUUUCACCUACGAAAUGGUCCUUAGUGCUUCCCAAUAUUUGUGCACCGACUCUUUUAGAUCUUUUCUUCAGAUAUUUUUGUAUAAAUUUCCAUUCUCUCCUAGUAAGCCACCAAUUAUGGGAUUCCUUAGUUAUUAAGUUGGGAAAAGGGGUGAAUAACUUGAGAUAUUUUGUUUUGUAAUUUUCUUUAUAUAUAGCUCUCGGGAGCUUGUUCUCAGGGCAUCAUAUCGAUCAAUAUAUAGAUAUAUCAUAUAUAGAAUCAACGAACAGAGCACUUGCUCUGUUUUUCAUAUAUAUUCUUGUUUUCUCGUUAGUUUUCUUUCUAGCCAACCAAACUCUGAGGAUUUUUCCUCAGAGGAUGAGAGGCUAAGCUUUUUGUCUCUUGGAGUAAGGAAAACCGGCUAAGUUUCCACAUGCAUAAAUUGGAAGUUUUGUUGUUUUAGUUUUUAAUGAAGAGAAAGUGUGACCCGUUAAUGGUUUUUAUAUUUUUAGUUAACUUAAAACGCCUUUAAAUCACCUGGGCCAACACUUGGGAAGGCAAGUGAUCUCUGUCCAUGGAGAUGCACUAGUUUACCCCUUGCGAGCCUUUGGGAGGUGACUUGAAGGUAGGAUUUUCUAGAAUAGGCAACACUUGGUAAGCUUUUGGACUCCAAGGAGACAUCUAUUAGUUAUCUCUUGCGAGCUUUUGACGGGUAAUCCAAGGUUAAAGAUCACCUUGAAUGGCAAGUGCUAGGUGAGAGGUAUGAGCCAUUGCAAGGUGCAUCAGUGAGAGGGAUUUAGUGUUUGAACCCAUUAAUGGGAAGCAUCUGUACAACACCGGUUAGAGAAUUAACUAUAUGUUAAUUCUCUAAUGCGAGGAAAAGAAACAAGUGACCGAAACUCUCUUUUUUGUAUGAGGAACCUGAGCCUAGUGAUCUGAACUCCAAAAAACAUUUUUCUUUGUAAGUAAAAUCAGUUACUAUUUUUGGUUAGUUUAAAACCAAACCUUUUUCAUUCAAACAUCUUUAUGUUUUCUUUUAAAGCUAACCUUGAAAUGAAAAGGCACCAAUUCAACUUUGAAUUAAUAUCAUUUGUGAAGUGAAAACCCAUCCCAGUGAACGAUCCUAGNNNNNNNNNNNNNNNNNNNNNNNNNNNNNNNNNNNNNNNNNNNNNNNNNNNNNNNNNNNNNNNNNNNNNNNNNNNNNNNNNNNNNNNNNNNNNNNNNNNNUAAUGGGAAGCAUCUGUACAACACCGGUUAGAGAAUUAACUAUAUGUUAAUUCUCUAAUGCGAGGAAAAGAAACAAGUGACCGAAACUCUCUUUUUUGUAUGAGGAACCUGAGCCUAGUGAUCUGAACUCCAAAAAACAUUUUUCUUUGUAAGUAAAAUCAGUUACUAUUUUUGGUUAGUUUAAAACCAAACCUUUUUCAUUCAAACAUCUUUAUGUUUUCUUUUAAAGCUAACCUUGAAAUGAAAAGGCACCAAUUCAACUUUGAAUUAAUAUCAUUUGUGAAGUGAAAACCCAUCCCAGUGAACGAUCCUAGAGCCACUAUGCUAUAGUAGCUUUGUCUUUGCUACCCUAGUAAAUGGUGUAAUAGGUUAUAAAUUUUGUUGAUUACUCCCUCAAUCAAGGAGCACCAGCUGGACACGAAUCAGCUGAGACACCAAUUGGGCAUGAAUCAAUGUCCAAGGACAUUGAUCCUAAGAAAGAUAACUCCAAAUCCAAAGAGUAACAAACCUUUCUUGGAGUUUUACAUCAUAUACUUGAACAAAUGCUGAUUAAUGUAGAUGACAUGGCAUAAUUUUUCCUAUUCCUGCAAUGCUAAAAGAUCUUAACCUUAAGAAUAUAUUGCGCAUUCCUCUAAAUUUUUUUCUAGAACUAAGUAAACAACUAGAUCUUGACAGAUGACAAUAUCUUUACAUCAUAUCCAAUGAGUAGAUUAUCAUCCACCUACAAGAUCUUAGAGCAUUACUACACUCCCAUAUGCUUUCAUGUACACACAAGGCCUAUUGCUAUGAAAAUGUUUGGUUGCUAUAUCUCAUAAAUCAAACACACUGCAAUAGAUAAGAGUAAUCUACUAGAUUUGAGUAUGAUCACUAUUGAAAAGGUUUUCCAUAGUUGAAACAAAGUUUCAAACUAUAACCUUUAACUAUAGUCUUAGCCAUAUAAAACUCAAGCUUUCCAUCUACUCCUGUGUUUCUCUUAUAGACCAACUUACACCUAUGAGUUUUAUCUCUUUAGGUGUCCUACAGGAACCCAAACUAUGUUAGAAUACAAAGAUUCUAACUACCUUUUCCUAGCUCAUUACCUUAAGUGAGUAUAAACAUUGUUGAAUGCUUCAUCAUAAUCUAUGAUAUAUAAACUUCCAUUACGAUGAGGCAUUGGUGUACUAGAAAUCAUAGGAAUGGUAUGCCUUUAACCCUCUAGAUCCACAAUAUCCUAUGCAAUAUGGGACUAUUUUCUAAUUUCUCCUCCAAUCUAUAUCAUUUUUUGCCUUAUUCCUUAUCAUACAGUUUUAAAUUUUUUUUUGACAUUUGUGCUAACAAAUAUCUUUUAAUGAUCCUAACUAUAAAGGUAGUAACCCAAAAAUGCUCUUAUAUAUCCUAUAAAUUGACAUACCUCUUAAGAAAAAGGGUAACCACCUUUUUAAAAAAUAGUAGGUAAAAUAUACUUGAUACAUACCUUCAAUCUUUUGUUUGUUUUACAUUUUGGUCUCUUAUAUUUGAAAUCCAUCAUUUUACCUAUUCAAACUUAUUAGAAAUCAACACUUCCAUAUCAUUUGCAAACCCUUUAUAAAUUAUAAAAAUGAUCUUUUUUUUUUCUAUAUUCUUGUUUGAACAUUGGUUUGAAUUUAGGUAAAACCAAUUUUGAAUUCAUAGCCUUGGGUAGUAUUUCCCAAACAUCUUUAUUUUAUUAUUUAUUAUCUAAUCCUUCAUGUCUUGUGGAAGCACGUUACAAGUUAUCUAUGCUAUCCAAGUACACCCCCUAUCACCUACCUUCUAAAUUAUGUGAAUAUGCUUAUCACUGUGAACCGUGCCUAUGUUUGGUAGUGCAUGGGUGUCUUGAUAUAUUGUUUCAUUGUUCAAUUAUUUAUGAUAAAGCGCAUGCUGGGUGAUAUUCUAUUUGAACUAACUUUAAUGUCUUUUGAUAGUGCUUAAAAAGCAGUCCAGGUAUGCACCCUAAAUCUUCUUUAUGAUUUGUGAUUGGUUCUUUUGUUUAGCAUGAUAUUUGUUUAAAUCACCUUAGUCUACCUAGGCACCCUCAAUCAACCAAUUAAUUGUCCCAAUUCUCUCAACUUAGCUAGUAAAGACCUCUUUAAGGCUUAGAGGGGUGCUACCUCUUAGAGGUAACUUCCCAAUAGGUAACCUGAUCCCCGAACCUAGACUCGGGUUUUUCAAAGACACAUUUUUCCAAAAACUAUAGUCACUUCUUUAGGGUUUUCUUUCUUAUUUUAUUUUUCCUUUUAAAAUAAAAUAAAAUAAGUGGUGACUCCAACUUUUCCAAAUUUUUCUUUUUUACCAAUAAAAGCGAAUAUCAUCGAUUGAGUGGGAGCGCAUGUGAAAAAUGCAAGACCACACUAUGGCUUUUGUAGUACUCCGGGUAUUGUUCUUAAGGACUAGCUUAUGGAAAUAGUCAAUACUAGAAUAAAUGAAUUGCUUUCGUUUAAAUCCUAAAGUGAAAAACACUAUGAGAAUAAUGUGAAACUAAGUAAAAGAAAAAUAAAUUAAUAACAAAAAUGGAUGUUGAUAUUAAAUUUGAUUGAUUCAAGUUUGGGGCUUUCCACAAUCCAACCUAGGGUAUAGAAAUUAGAGAAAACAAGGGUCUUUUAAGUAAUAUGAUCUUAGGGUUUUGGGAUCCUUGGCUCCUCAUGAUCAAGUUGAGUUCUAUAACAUAAAAUUGCAUCCGAAACCUAAUUUUUCCUUUUUAAAAUAAAAUUCCUAAAACCAUCAAAUGAAUGAGAUUGAUUACUAGUUUAAAAUUUGGACUUUUAACCCUUCCUACUCCUUAUAGUUUUGUUUUGGGGCAAAUAAUGAUAGAGAAAACGAGGAUAACUAAUGAUCAAGAAUUACCAAAAAUCACUAGUAUCGGGUAAUAACCUACCAUAUCAUUCCCUAAACUAACUCACAAGGAUAGGAUAAAAAAAUGAUAAAUUGUCACCCAACCAAUAAUUAAUCUCAUUGAUAUAAUAAUUUACCCAUUGUCCCUAUAGGUUUCCUAACCCUUAGGUUUUCAUGCUUUAAGCCCCAAGUUAGCUCUUAACCUCUCAUGGGGUUAUUGUCACAUUCACAAUCCAUAAUAGGGUAAAAAUCCAUAAUUUGAAUCAAAAGAACCUAAAAUAAUAUAUUUAAUAAAGAAGAAAAAGAAAACAAACCAAAGUUCUCAUCUUCUUCCACCUUCAAUGUCAAACUCUCUAGAAAAAAAAAAAAAAAAUCCAAGGUCCCUAAAACCUAGAACUAAGAGAGUUUAGAUAAUAUCAUCAAUUACCUAACAUGUGCCACACUCUCAUUGGCCACUUAUUACAAAAAUAAUUACCUAAAAAUGAUUAAAAAUUAAUAAAAUGGUGAUUUCUAGCAGUGUGUGGGGUCCAUUUAGGGGUGAUGGAGUGUCUUAGAUGCAAUUUCCAAGGUAGAGGAGGUGAAACAUCAAAGUGGCAGUGGGUGAAUUUGAAAUUGGUGUCAUUUUGAUGUGGAUUUUGAAUUCAUAAGUUGAAUUUCGAAAUCAUUUCGAAAUGACCCUUUAGAUUUGUGUAGUCGUCUUCAAAUAACCAUAACUUCUUCAUUUCAGCUUCAAUUUGCACACUGUUUGAAGUGUUGGACUCCUGACCUCCCAAGCUUCAAAAAAAUAUAUUGUAUGCAUAAAAUGGGCUCCAGAAAAUGCUCCAAAUUUAUCCUCAAAGUCAGAGUAUAUAUUACCAUCAGAUUUUUGAGUUCUAGAUUUCCAUGUAGCUGAAUCUUGCUUCAUGCCUCAAUUCCUAUGUUUUCUUGCCUUCUUUCUUACUCCAUUAUGAUCAUUUCUCAUAUUCCAAACUCAUGAUAUCCUCGUCUUGCCUUUCCUCAUGGUCCAUGAGUCAUGACUCACCUAUUUCUUCAUUUAACCCUUUCUUGAUCUUUCAAAAUCUAAAGUGAUUCAACUUGCACCAUUUUCUUCCCUUGAACCUGAGAUAAGUCUCCAAAGUACAAAUAAAACUCCUGGCUAGGUCCUUAGCAUUAAUUUAGGUCAAGUUGGGUGAUUUGAAUGUUCUUUGGUGCACAAAUCAUAUCAAAUAUGUGUCAUUAGAGCACAUAUUUUGGCUCCAAUCAUCCCCCUCAACUAAACUUUGCUAGUCCCUAGCAAAUGAAAAGAGUAAAGAAAAAAAUUAAAAAUAUGUAAUGAGAUUCAUGAAACCAUAUUGACUCAACAUAACAUAUUUCACACACAAGAUACCCAAGUAGUCAAAUUUCUUAGAAUUGAGCAAAAUGAAACAAGAUAUGCAAUUUUUUAGUUUUCUCACCUUAUCUUCGUAUACAUAAAUGUGCAUCCACGUUUAGCAUUCCCCUUAGUGUCUCUUGAUUUUCCCCUGAUUAGUUUUUUCCACCUAAACCUCAUGUGCUUAAUUUUGGUUUCCUCUCACAGUAUUUUUCUUUAGACUUUUCUUAAACUCAAACUUCAUCAUUCUUUAAGUUAAAGAGGGGGGGAAAUUUAUUUUGAUUUUUCUUUCUUAGUUUAGGAAAUCUCCUUCUAUAUGGCUUAAUAGGGAUCCACCGGCAACUCCUAAGUUUUCACCCAUGGUACCAGGUAUUGGGAACCUUUAUAGGCUACUUACUCCUCAGGUAUUACCCUAGCUCUAGAUAGAACAAGGUCGAAUUUCCUAAACAUUUAUUUAUUUUUAUUUUUCAAAACUGAGUUUAACUUAUGUUACAAGCAAGAUACUGAUGACUCUUAACCAGUCGGUUUCGGGCACCAGGGCUUGAAGACACAAGGCCAUUACCCCCUCAAAUAAUUUCUCAAGCUUAAAUCAAUCAUUUUCAAUUUUCUUUUCAUCAAUUUGUUUUUUUUUUUUUCAUUUCCUCCUUUUAUUAGUUAAGAACAACUCCUUUUAAUCUAAAGAAAUUAUCUUAAUCAAGAUACCAUAAAGGAAUAUGUGCUUUGUGUGUGCUUUGAGUCUUAAAUAGAAAAUAACCAUAAAAAUAAAAUAAAAUAAAAUUUUGAAGGUAUUCCAAGGAUUCAACCUAAUUAUUUUUGUACUUAAAGGUAUAUAAAGAUAAGGUAAGUGAACUAAUAUUCUUGCUCUAACUGUAUUUUUUCUCAAAUUCUAAAGAAAUAAUACUACUUAAAGCAUUCUCAUGCAAAAUAAACCAUGAGUUACCAAGGCAAAUCAAGAAUCUCAUUAACUAACCAAAGAUAACAUGCAAACUUUUGAAAAAAAAAUUAGGGCUAAUAGACCUUCCCCCCUCAACCUAAAUUACACAUUGUCCCCAAUGUGUAGGAUAUUGGGUCAAAAGAAAGGAAAAAUGGAGAUGUUAUCUCAAGAUCAUCGAGUGAGAAGUUUGUUAUGAGGACUUCAUAUAAACUAGUCUUGCACAAAAGCAACAAGAUUAGUGGCAAAAGUAUGCAUAGAGAAAAAUAUAAAUGGUGAUCUAAAAGAGAGUAUAAGAGUAUCAGUAUGCUCCAAAAAUACCAUAGUGUAUACAAUUAUAUCGAAUAAGGUAUAUAUAGAAAUGAACAUCAAGCACCAAUGAUAGGAUCAACAACUCCAUCUAUCCCCUCCAACACAUGGGUGGCUACCUAGUCAAUAUCCUCCAAUAUAGGUGUAGUAGCUAAUUAGUGAUCUCCACGAUAGGUGUAACGGCCUCGCCAACAACCUGUACCAUAGGGGGGUCAUCCUUAAUAAUGAUGUCCACACUAGUGUCAGUAGUAUGAAUGAAGAUCUCACCAUCGACCUAUCCUGCAGAAUCUGGAAUAUCAAUAGUUGAGGUAAAAAUCUUAGUUGCGGCAUCACUUGAUGUUUGUAAAAUAGGCAUGGUCUCAUGGGCUACUGUCGGUGCUCUAGUGUUAGAGCCAGAAUCAAUCACCUCUGUAGUGUUGCCAUCAACCUCUAAGUUGGUAUCAAUUGGUGUAAUAAAAUCUCCCCUCUGUCUAGAUGGAAUAAUCAAAGAAGUGACCUAUUGUACACAAAAAGUGAGGUCAUCCAUCUAAGUCUCCAUCUUACUUAAGCGAGCAUCAAUGCGAGAGUCCAUGGACACAAAUAACUUUUGAAGUGUGUCUAGACGAGCCAUGAUUGAUAAGGUACUCAGGGUAGCAUCAACAACCUGAGGCAGUGAAGGUUUAAGAAGAUCAAAGGUUGGUAAUGCUAGUGUAGAAAUAGGAAUAUAUAGCAGGCUCUAAGACACAUGAAAGAGGUGGUGGAAGAGGAAUAGGAAGCACUGGUAAGCUCGUGUCAAAAGUAGGAGUAGGUGGAAGCGGGCUCUCUAUAGUAGAUGGAAGUGGAACAACAUGCAAAGCUCUCUUUCUCUUAGCGCCAUAGGUAAUCAACUAUGACCCUGAAUGAAUUGUUUGACCCACUGAUUGAUAACAUAAGUGUGAGAAGUCAUGCGAUGAUCAGACUUAGGUAACUGGCAUCCAUGACGGAGCAAGUAGUAUGAGAGCAACUGAGGCAAAGGAAUAAGAUAACUUUGAGCUAAAGAUAAUUGUUUCUCCUUAACCUUUUGAAAAAAAUAAAAGAUGGUAUCCAUGAUGAGUUGAGGUGGACUCCACCACUUGCCUGUGUACAUGUGAUAUAACCCCUAUAAGACUAAACCAGAACACUUUAUAGAGUGUCCAAAUGGAAAAUGUUGGUCUUAAUGACCUGAUCCACAAACCAUAAGAUCUAUGGCAUCUCAAGGUGAGUGAUGGCUGAACGAUAACAAGUAUCCCGAGGUGCUAAUAUAUGUGCAAUCCUCGAAAAAGCUGGUUGUGAUUGAGGUGAAAAUUGGGCUUCAAGAGGAGCAGAUGAUGGUAAACCAAAGGUUGCAACAAUGGUCUCAGUGGAAAUAAUAUCAAUUCAUCUAUUGAUAGAAAUAUGGAGCUCUCGGUAUCUCCCUCUCCAAUCCUCGAGAGUAGAGAAGAACUCUCUUACACUAGCGACAUAAAAAUAUGGCGGAGGAUCCAUCAAUAAGAGAAAAUAAUAUCGGUCAAGGAGAUGCAUGGACUAUGUAGUGGGCUAGUAAGUACUAAAUGCCUUUAUUUCAUAAGAGAACUCUUGAUCAAACUUCAGUUAAGAUAGGUCCACCCUAGGGGCAUCAUCACAAACUAUUAGAGAUGGAGGACGUGUUGGGCUCAGAGUAGGAGGAGCUGCCCAUGGAUGUGGAGGAGUGGUAGUAAGCUUGGUGGUCUUAAGAGUGGUUGAGUGAUCAAAAUGAGCCUUUGUCUUGGCUUUGACAUGCUUGGCUUGACGAGUGACAUGCCUCUCAGUAGGCUCAAUAAUCAUUCCACCACUUCGACUUUGGACAAGAGGUCGGGCAUGUUUUUGCCUUGGAGAAUGCUUAGUCUCAUUGUCACUUUGAAUAACAACUUUCCUUUUAUAUUAAGCCAUCUGAAAUAAAUGUCAAAAAAUAAACUAAACUUAAAAAAGGGAAAUAAAUAAAUAGAAAUAAAUACAAAAACUCAUAAGGGUUAAGAAAACAAUCUAAAAAAAAAAAUUGGAUGCUCAUGAAAUUUAUGGAUUCAUAUGAAACGGUGGUAGACCAUUCCUAAAAUGCGGGAGAACAUUCAAGGUGUCCAACAAUGAUGAAAACAUGAGUCUUUGAAGCCUUAGAUAUAAUCCAAACAAUACCUAAGUUCAAAUAUCAUGUGACAAGGAAAUCAAAGUGAUUGGUUAGCUUAGGAGAAUGUGUAGAACAAAUAGAAAAAUCUACUAGAGAGUUUAAAAUGUUCUAGAGCAUAUAAAACAUAAAUUAGGCAACAAUUAUGCAAAACUCAUGGAAAAAUAAGAACUUUGCUCUCAAAGUAUUCUAAGAUGUUCAACAAGCCCUAAGAAUCAUGUAGAAAAAAUUUCAAAAUUUUUCUCCAAGUAUAAACCAAAAAUUCUAACACCUUGAAUUUCCAAGCAAAACAAAUGAACGUUGUGUAAUCAAAAUCAAUCUUGUUGAGUUACGUUCAAAUUUUCGGGGGUCGAGCUCCCCGCUAAGCUUGUGGGGGUCGGGGGGCAGCACCCUCUAGAAUUGUUUUUUCAUUAUAUUUAUUAUUUUUUUUUAUCUACCCAACAGAAACAAUAGAAACCCUAAACAAUGUUAUUGAGAGUUUGGUCACACUGCAUUUUAUAUGGAGCAACACCACACAAUGAAACCAUAAAGAUCAAGGAAAAUCCAUGAAAAAUAAACAAGAAAUGAGUAUGAGUGUAAUGCGUACCUGGAAUGUGACAAACCCAUAAUGAACCCUUAAAUCACCUUCAAUGGAAGCUAGGACAAUGAACAAGGGAAGAAUAAACAAGGGGAAGAGGAGAUAAAGUGGUCUAGAAGUGGAAAUGGCCUUUUGUAAAGGAGUUUGGUUGAUUUCGGAGUGAACUCGAAAUAGAAAUUAAGUAUUUUGAAUUGGAACUUUGGUUAAGAAAAGUCAUUUUGAAAUUUAACUAUUGAAUUCAAAAAUAACCUUAUUUUGAAUUCGUUAAUUAAUGGUAAAAAAAUGCCCAUUUUAAAAUGUAACCAUUGGAUUCGAACACUAUCCUAUUUCCAAAUGGCUCACUAUAUACAAAAACAUUUCAAACACCUCAUUUCGAAAUGAAAAAAAAAAAAUCAUUUCUAAAUUGGGCAAAUUUCGAAUUCACCUUCUGAACUUAAAAAAUCUCAAUUCUAAAGCAAAAGUUUCAAUUUUGAAAAGCCCACCAUUUCAAAUUUGCUAAAUGUAGCCUCAAUACAGUGUAAAAAACCUGUUUCAAAAUUCCACUAAUGAUUUCGAAAAUAGCUUCAUUUCAAAAUGGCUCACUGUUGAUUCCAACUUCUAUUUCGAAAUAGCAAUCUUUUUUAUUUCAAAUUUGACGUCAUUUCGAAAUAACCCACUAUGGGUGUUGAAGUCCAUCUUAAAGCAUCAAAAUUGCUCAUUUCGAAAUUCAAAAUUCAUUGUAUUUCAAACUUGUUUUUUGUGAGUUCAAAACACCUAUUUCAACAUUUACUAGUGAUUUCAAAAUCAAUCUCAAUUCAAAUUCACUUUCUAUAUAUUUAAAAUUGCAAUUCCAAGACAAAAAAUUUGAAUUCGAAAGGAUCAUAAUAUUGAAAUCACCCAUUACUGGUCUUCAAAAGUGUCAUCUCCAUUUGAGAUUUCAAAUUCAAAAAUAAAGGAAUUUUGAAUUCAUCCACUAUACCUUUAGCCCUUUAUCAUAAAAAUUUAGGAUUUCUUUCCCAAGGGCUACUCAGUUUUGUAUUUCAUCCUUUGUUUUCAAAGUUCACCAAUGAUCCUCACAAGUAAAUUUUUGGGAGGCCUAUGGUCUUAAAUAUAGAUCAACGUACUUGUAGGAGCUUUGCCACCUUGAACACUUAUGAGGCUUACCUUUUCACUACAUUGAAGUUCACAUUUACCUAUAUCACUUGGAUGUUUGCAAGCUAAGUUGCUACAACUCAUAAACUCAUUAGUAAGUUAAAGACAACUUAAAAAAAUACUAACCAUAUUUCUAAUGACUAAUUGAAAAUGAAAAACUAAACAAAGGAAAAUAAAUAAAAUAAAACAAAAUAAAAGAGAAAUUAAAUAAAUAAAAGUUUUACCUAAAUUUAAUUUUUACCUACUAGAUUUUCAGAAAAUACUUCAACCCUUUUGAACAUUCCCAUAAAGAAAAUGGAGAUUCUCCUCUAAUGUCUCAAAUCUUUCAAUGAAAUGCUUUAAGCGCUGACCACUAACUUUGAAUUCAUUACCAUUCCUCAGAUUUCGAAUGGUCACGAUGCCAUAAGGGAAGACUUCCUUUACCACAUAAGGGCCAUUCCACCUUGACCUAAGCUUUCUUGGAAAAAUGUGACGCUUAGAGUCGUACAACAACACCUUUUCAUCUUGCUUUAACUUCAUUCAUAAAAUAAGUUUGUCAUGGUAGAAUUUGUGUGUUUCCCUUGCAUUACGUAAGCAUUCAUAAUUCUAAUUUUGAUAUGCCUCAAGUUCAUUCAAAUCAUAUUUCCUUUUAGCUCCAGUUUGAUCCAAAUCAAAGUUCAUUUUUUUAUAGCCCAAUAUGCACGAAGUUUGAGCUCUAUAGGCAAAUGACAUGAUUUACCAUAAACAGUCUGAUACGGUGACAUGCCAAAGAUAGUCUUAUAGGUUGUCCUAUAUGCCCGAAGUGCAUCACUCAACUUGGUAGACCAAUCUUUUCUUGUAGUAUUGACUACUUUGGUAAGGAUUCUCUUAAUCUUUCGAUUUGCUAGCUCAGCUUGCCCAUUUGUUUGAGGGUGAUAUGGGUGGACACUUUAUGCCUCACUCCGUAUUUCUGAAAAAGAGUGGAAAAAGGGCUUGUUACAAAAGUGUGAACCUCCAUCACUAAUGAUUGCUCUCAGAAUGUCAAACCUAGAGAAAAUAUUCUCCUUUAAAAAUUUGAGCACCACUUUGUGAUCAUUGCUCUUGCAUGCCACUGCUUUUACCCAUUUAGAAACAUAAUCCACUCCCACCAAAAUAUAGAGAUUACCAAAAGAAUGAGGGAAUGGUCCCAUAAAGUCAAGGCCCCAACAAUCAAAGACCUCAACAACACAAAUAUAAUUUUUUGGCAUUUGAUACUUUGUGUUGAUUUUCUCCAGUUGUUGACAUUGUGGACAACUUCUGCAGUGAGUGUUACAAUCCUUGAACAUAGUUUUCCUAUAGAAUCCACUCUGUAGAAUUUUUUCCUAAGUCUUCCGUAGACCAAAAUGACCUUCACAAGCUCUCUCAUGGCACAUUCGCAACAUGUUUUGUUGUCCAUCCUCUGGAACACAUCUUUGAAUAAUUUGAUUUGGACAAAACUUAUACAAAUAUGGAUCAUCCCAAGCAUAGUGUUUUGCUCACCAACAAUCAAAGACCUCAACAACACAAAUAUAAUUUUUUGGCAUUUGAUACUUUGUGUUGAUUUUCUCCAGUUGUUGACAUUGUGGACAACUUCUGCAGUGAGUGUUACAAUCCUUGAACAUAUUUGGCCUAUAGAAUCCACUCUGUAGAAUUUUUUCCUAAGUAUUUUGUAGAGCAAAAUGACCUCCUGAUUCGCUUGUAACUCCAAAUGGGUCAUUUAAUCAAAAACAUUUAUAAAACCUAUGACCUCAUACUAAUGUAGUAAAGCUACUAUAGUAUAGUGGCUCUAGGGUCGAACUCUGGGAUGGGUUUUCAUUCUACCAGUGAUGUAUUCAAAAUUAGAAAUUGUAUUUAAUGAUUUCCUUUAUCAAAAACUUAAAGUUUAAAAGAAAAUAAAAUUUGAUUUGAAAGUGUUUAAAACUAAACUAACAUAAACUAAUUAAAAAUGGAAGAAAGAAAGUCUCCCGGAGCUAAGGGUUGCUAGGAUCAAGUUCAGAAUAGAAAGUGGAAAAUUCCGGAUUUUUCUCCUCGCAUUGGGGAUUUAACCUAUAGUUAUUUCCCGAACCGGUAUAGGUUUGACAAUGAAGAUUUAAUCCAUAAAAGAUCAAUAGAAAUGGUAGUCAAGGUCCAUUAAUGGCUUAAGACACUAUGGGUCUUCACCUUGAAUCACUUUCCAAUGACUCGUACAUGAUAACUAAUGGACUAAUAUGGAUCUAGCAAUAAGCAUCCAUAAAGACCUGAAGCUUACCAUGUAUUGAUCAUUCAAAGUGAUUCUAAGGGGUUUAAAGUAAAACUUUGGAUUUAGAAGCCGUUUAUGAAUUCCAACUACCUGAAUUUAAUGCAUGGAAGCUUUCCACCUUUUCAUCUGGACUUUUCACCUAGCUUCCUUUACUCCAAGAAACCGAAAGUUUAGCCUCUCAUCCUCCGGGCAAACAUCCUUAGAGGUUGUUUGGCUUCCAAGAAAAGGAAAAUAAUAAAGAGCAAAGAGAACGAGAGAGCUCUGUAAAAUUCUCAGUGUAAAAACGUAAUACGUAUUCCAUAUAUUCCAAGAGAUGAUUUCCACCCCUUAUAAAGUCUUUACAAAAGCUAAAGCUUAUGAUUGGUUAAUUACAAGGAUAAUAAAGGAAAUUACAUCACAAAAUACAAAGGAAAAUAUCUAAAGUGGAGUCGGCAAAGGGCAGAGCAAAAUUCGCAACACGCAUAGGUUAUGCGAACCAUAUGCGAAUGUUAUGCGAAUUUCGCAUAACCUCUUGUGGAAUGCGAAAUUUUCGCAUAUGCUAGAGCAGUUGGCUUCCGAAGGCCAUAUCUUCCUCAUUUCAGCUCCAAAUCGUACAUGGUUUGAAGUGUUGGAUUCUUGACUUCCAGAGCUUUGAAAUGGUAUAUAGCAUGUAAAAAAUGGACUUCGGGAAUUGCUCCAAAAGUGUGAAAGAAGACUGCAGCUGCUACAUCUUGAUUUUUUUUCACUUUGCUUCUCUUUGCUUCUCUCCUUUGCUUGACUUGUCUUAAUGAUCCAAAAAGCUGUCAAAACAUUAAAACUAGCCACAAAUAUGAUUAGAAGACAUUGCUAGGUCCUUAACAUGCCAAUUGGACUAAAGAUGGAGAACUACUACACAAAAGUGCUUAAAACAUAAUGCAUUAAAGGUGUAAAAUAGCACUUUUUGGGUAGUAAUCACCUCCACAAGCUCUCUCAUGGCACAUUCGCAACAUGUUUUGUUGUCCAUCCUAUGGAACACAUCUCCGAAUAAUUUGAUUUGGACAAAACUUAUACAAAUAUGGAUCAUCCCAAGCAUAGUGUUUUGCUCAAGAAAGAAAAUACUUUUCAUCUCCAUGUUCCAUUCUGAGGGAAGCUCUCUAGUUGCCAAGUAGUUGACUAUAUUUGCAAACCAAGGAAACUUCUCCACUGCACAAAGUGCAUCAUCAAGAAACUCAUCAUUAAUCUAUGCUUCGUCAAAAAGUGACUCUACUUUAACUCAAGAGAGAUGAUCAGCAACCACAUUCUUUACCCCUUGCUUAUCCUUGAUUUGCAUGUUAAAUUCUUGAAGAAGAAGGAUCCAUAUGACAAGUCUUGUUUUGACAUCCUUUUUGUUGAGUACAUAUUUCAAGGCCGAAUAAUUAGUAAAAAUUACUAUUGAAGUUCCCAAAAGGUAGUUCCUGAAUUUAUCAAGUGCGAACACCACUGCAAGGAGCUCCUUUUUAGUAGUUGUGUAGUUCUUCUGAGCAUCAUUGAGGGUCUUACUAGCAUAGUACACCCUAUAUGGUUUUCCAUCCUCCCUUUGACCUAGUACGACUCUCACUGCAUAGUGACUGGCAUCACACAUCAACUCAAAUGGAAGAGACCAAUUGGGAGGUCUCACAAUUGCGGUAGUAGUGAGAAGUGACUUUAGUCUCUCAAAAGUUUCUUGACAUGCUUUAGUCCAUAUAAAUUCUGCAUCCUUAAGUAACAAAGCAUAAAGAGGUUGAGAGAUUUUUUAGAAGUCCUAUAUGAACCUUCUAUAAAAAUCUGCAUGCCCCAAAAAUAGUAUAAUUCACAUGUUUAUUUUAUUUUAAAAAUUAAUUGGAUAAUUAGUUUUGGUAUAAUUUUUGUUAAUUUUAUUUUAAAGAUUCUUUGUAUGAUUAAUUUGUAUAAUUUUUGUUAGUUUAAUUUUAAAAAUUCAUUAGAUGGUUAAUUUGUAUAAUUCAUAUGUUAGUUUUAUUUUAAAAAUUAAUUAGAUGAUUAGUUCAAGCAUAAUUUUUGUUAAUUUUAUUUAAAAAAUUCUUUGUAUGAUUAAUUUCUAUAAUUUUUCUUAGUUUUAUUUUAAUGAGAUUGAUUACCAGUUUAAGAUUUGGCUUUUUAAUCCUUCCUACUCCUUAUAGCUUUGUUUUGGGGCAAAUAAAGAUAAGGAAGACGAGGAUAACUAAUGAUCAAGAAUUACCAAGAAUCACUAGUAUCGGGUAAUAACCUACUGUAUCAUUCCCUAAACUAACUCACAAUGAUAGGAUUAAAAAAAAUGAUAAAUUGUCACCCAACCAAUAAUUAAUCUCAUUGUUAUAAUAAUUUACCCAUUGUCCCUAUAGGUUUCCUAGCCCUUAGGUUUUCAUGCUUUAAGCCCCAAGUUGGCUCUUAACCUCUCAUGGGGGUGAUGUCACAUUCACAAUCCAUAAUAUGGUAAAAAUCCAUAAUUUGAAUCAAAAUAACCUAAAACAACAUAUUUAAUAAAGAAGAGAAAGAAAACAAACCAAAGUUCUUAUCUUCUUCCACCUUCAAUGUCAAACUCCCUAGAAAAAAAAUCCAAGAUUCCUAAGACCUAGAACUAAGAGAGUUUAUAUAAGAUCAUCAAUUACCUAACAUGUGGCACACUCUCAUUGGCCACUUAUUACAAAAAUAAUUACCUAAAAGUGAUUAAAAAAAUUAAAUGGGGAUUUCUAGUCGUGUAGGGUCCACUUAGGGAGGAUGGAAUGCCCUAUAUGCAAUUCCCAAGGUAGAGGAGGCAAAACAUCAAAGUGGCAAUGGGUGCAUUCGAAAUUGGAGUCAUUUUGAUGUGGAUUUCGAAUUCAUAAGUUGAAUUUUGAAAUUAUUUCGAAAUGACCCUUAAGCUUUGUGUAGUUGUUUUCAAAUGGCCAUAACUUCUUCAUUUCAGCUCCAAUUUGCACAUUGUUUGAAGCAUUGGAAUCAUAACCUCCCAAGCUUUGAAAUAAUAUAUCGUUUAAAUAUAAAAUGAACUCUGAGAAAUGCUCCAAAUUUGUCCGCAAAGUUGGAGUAUAUAUUACCAUUAGAUUUUUGAGUUUUAAAUUUCCAUGUAGCUGAAUCUUGCUUCAUGCCUAAUUUCUUAUGUUUUCUUUCCUUCUUUCUUACUCGAUAAUGGUCAUUUCUCAUAUUCCAAACUCAUGAUAUCCUUAUCUUGCCUUUCCUCAUGGUCCAUGAGUCCUGACUCACUUAUUUCCUCAUUGAACCCUUUAUUAAUCUUUCAAAAUCUAAAGUGAUUUAACUUGCACCCUUUUCUUCCCUUGAAUCUGAGAUAAGUCUCCAAAGUACAAAUUAAACUCAUGACUAGGGCCUUAGCAUCGACUUAGGUCAGGUUGGGUGAUUUGAAUGUCCUUUGGUGCAUAUAUCAUAUUGAAUAUGUGCCAUUAUAGCACAUAUUUUGGCUCCAAUCAAGCUUACCUGCCAAAUUCUGCAUGCCAAACAUUGAGUGAUAGAAUGGAGUGGGUUGUCCGAAGAUUCAUUUGAGGCUCUAUAGUAUAUUUGUGAGAGCACACAGAUUAGAUGAUAUGUAGUUGGUUGCUCUCUUCCCUAUGUCAUUUAGUUGAGUAGCAUAGAGGUGGCUGGCCUCAAUUAAGCAUUCGAGACUCUACACUUGGGAGGAUGUGGCCUAUGAGUUUUUGACACUGUUUGCCUUUAGUGCCGAUAUUGAUUUUUUUUUUUUUUUUACCAAACAAAGCGUCGAGAAUGUUACUUAACCAUCCCUAUAGUAAAAGCAAAAUUUGUUGCUUUUAGUGCUGAUAAUGAUGUUUCUAGGCGAGAGUUAGAGGCUACUAAGUAGAGGCCAAAUGAAUCUGUUUCUUCAUUUAUUAGUCAUUAGAGGGCUAAGGUGGUUGGUAUGAUAGAUUGACUAAAGGAGUAAGAUAGGAUUAACGUGCUUCUUUGGAAACUUCAGCCGAGGUUUGCCAAACAUCUUGUAGGUAUUCCAUUUGAAGACUUAUGAAGUUUGGUUCAAGUCGCUUUUAGUGUUGAGGAGAGUAUUGCUAGAGGGUUAUAGAAAAACAUUAUUCCUUCCUUAGAUAAUAAAGGAAAGAAGCCUGUAGAGGUUAGCACUAUCAGUUAUCAUCAUCAAGGUCAGUUUAUCAAUCAUACCAAAGGUCUCCUACAAUCAGAGCCCACUUUCCUCAUCCUUUGUGCCAAUAUUAGUCCACCUAUAUUCAACAACCUUUCAUUACUCGGACCAGUAUGCAACCACGACUUCCAUAUCCUAGAGGCAUUGGUUCUCAAUCAUUACUCAUGUUCCCACUCAUAUUUUUUACACACGUGAUCUUUAUCGAAGAGGGACAUAUUUGUAGACCCUCCAUUCUAUCUCCUUAAUAGAUGCCCUAUUAAGUGUUCUUUCAAUACUCCACAAUGGUUCCCUAGUGGCUCUUUGCUGCCCAUAUAGCCUACCUAUUUUAGCCACCUUGGAGGCUUUGGUUAAGGAAUUUAUUUGACCCCUUAUUUUGACCCUUGGCAGAAUCGAGUUAGAUUUAGGUUUUUCUUUUUUCUUUUUAGGAUAGUUCCUUUAAGUACAUUUCUAGGAUAGAAUACUUAGGCAUCAUUUUUCGAUCACCUUGGCCCAUUUAGACACUUUUGGCCAAUUUAGGCACAUCCGACCCAUUUAGGAUCACCCUAACCCAUUUAGAUACAUCUGGCCUAUUGAGAUCACCUUGACCGAUUCAGACACUUAGGUACAUCUAACUCAUUUAGGUCACCUUGGCCCAUUUAGACACACAUAGGCCCAUUUAGGCGCAUCCGACUCAUAUAGGAUCACCCUAGCCUAUUUAGACACAGCCAACCUAUUUAGGAUGACCUUGUCUCAUUUAGACACAUUUGUCCUAUUUAGGAUUACCUAGACCCAUUUAGGCACAUUCAACCCAUUUUGGUCAUCCUAGCCCAUUUAGACCACUUAGGCCCAUUUAGGCACAUUAGGCACAUUGGACCCAUUUAGGAUUACCCUGGCCUACUUAGGCACGCCUUAACCCAUUUAGGUCACUUGGCCCAUCUAGGCACAUUUGGCCCAUUUAGGAUGACCUAUGCCAAUUUAGGCACAUUCAACCCAUUUAGGUUGCCUUGGCCCAUUUAGAAACACCCAAGCCUAUUUAGGUCACUUAGGCCCAUUUAGGCACACCUUGGCCUAUUUAGGUCACUUAGGUCCAUUUAGGCGCAUUCGACCCAUUUUGGAUCAACCUGACCCAUUUAGGUAUAUUUGGCCCAUUUAGGAUCAUCGUGGCUCAUUUAAACACACCCUGGCCCAUUUAGGUCAUUUAGGUCCACUUAAGAACACAUUAACCCAUUUAGGUCACUUAGGCCCAUUUGACCCAUUUAGGAUCACCCCCAGCCCAUUUAGACAUACCCAAGCCCAUUGAGGUGACUUAGGUCAAUUUAGGCACAUUUGGUCCAUUUAGACACUUUGGGCCCAUUUAGGAUCAUCUAGGCCCAUUUAGGCACAUCCAACCCAUUUAAGAUCACCCUAGCCCAUUUAGACACAUUCGACCCAUUUAGGAUCGUCUUGGCCUAUUGUAGCACAUUUGGCCCAUUUAUGAUCACCAUGGCACAUUGGGCCCAUUUAGGGUCACUUAAGCCCAUCUAGGCACACCCUAAGCCCAUUUAGGUCACCCGUUGUUUCACUUCUUAUUGCAUGGUUUGCGUGAUUGCAUUGUUGAACUUCCUUGCAUGGCUUGCAUGACACUUUGUUUUUUUUUUUUGUUAUUAUUAAUUACUUCUUUAUUUUUAUUUAUUAUCUUUCUAUUUAUUUAUUUAUUAUUUACUUAUUUAUCUAUUAUUAUUUCAGCAUUUUCUAAAUUAUUUUUAAAUACUAUUCAUUUGUUCAAUCUAAUUUUAUUUUUGUGUUUUUGUAGGGAAAUUUACCAAAGAGAGAGCCAACGGAGAUGGAAAGUAAGAAUCACCAAAAUGAAAAAGGAAGAUAAUGGCGAAAGAGAGUAAUACUUACCAAAAAGAGAGGGGAUUGUGAGUUGCAUUAUAAAAGUAUGGAGAACACAAUUUGGGAAGUUUAUCAAAGAGAGAGCCAAUGGAGGUGUAAAACAAGAAUUACCAAAGUGAAAAAGGAAGACAAAGCGACAGAUAGUAAAACUUACCAAGAGAAGAGGGGAUUGAGGGUUGCAUUAUGAAAAUAUGGAGAACAUGUUUUGGUACUGAGAAAUUCAACACAUGGAGAAGGUUUUGGAGUAAGGAGAGGAAGGAUUUCGUCAAGGUGGAAUUUUAAGAAAAAAGGAUAUUCAAUGUGGUAGGAAGGAAUGUUUAGCAUAUUAAGGAAGAAUGUGGGGAUAGGUAGGGGGGAAGAAGAAUAAUUGCAAUUUGUUUUUUUUUUUUUGGUAGAGAGAACACUUUGGCAAAUUUUUGGGAGGUUCAACGUGCAUGUACAAUAAGAUCUCUUGAAAGAGCACGUAUAGAAGAGGGCACAAAUUUUUUUAGGAGACAAUUAGUUGCAUCUUAAAAGGGAAUUGAAGGUAAAUAUUGAUGAUGAUAUUGAUUUUAUUAGUUUCGAAAAUAUUGAUAUUAGUUUCAUGAAUAUGGAUGUUUUAGUUUAGAUAGAUAUUGAUGUUUUAGUUUUGAAAAUAUUGAUGUUUGCUAAGAUGUUUUGAUUUGGAUAAAUUUUGACAUUUUAGUUUUGAUAAAUAUUGAAGUCUUGGAUGUAUUUGCAUGUUGGUUAUAUUAAAAAAAAAAAAAAUUCCAAAAGUUUAGUUUUCAUGAAAUUGAUUGUUAGUUAUUUCUAUAAAAAAUAAAAAUAAAAAUAAAAAUAAACAUAAAUCUUGGAAUGUAAUUUUGAUUAAAUUAAUUGUUAGUUGUUUUUUUUUUAAAAAAAAUAUAUAUAUAAAUUCUUGGAAUGUUCAUUUGAAUAUUUUUUUGUUAAUUUUGUUUUAAAAAUUUAUUGGAUGAUUAGUUUGGGUAUAAUUUGUAUGUUAAUUUUAUUUUAAAAUUUCAUUGGAUGAGUAAUUUGUAUAAUUUACAUGUUAGUUUUAUUUUAAAAAUUCAUUGGAUGAUUAAUUUGUAUAAUUCACAUGUUAGUUUUAUUUUAAAAAUUAAUUGGAUGAUUAGUUCAAGUAUAAUUUUUGUUUGUUUUAUUUAAAAAAUUAAUUUGAUAAUUAGUUGAAGUACAAUUUUUGUUAGUUUUAUUUUAAAAAUUCAUUGGAUGAUUAAUUUGAAUAAUUUUUAAAUUAAUUUUAUUUUUCUAAAUUCAUUGGAUGAUUAGUUCGGGUAUAAUUAGCUUGUUUAUUAUAUUUUAAAAUUUUAUUAGAUGAUUAAUUUGUAUAAUUCACAUGUUUGUUUUAUUUUAAAAAUUAAUUGGAUGAUUAGUUUUGGUAUAAUUCUUGUUAAUUUUAUUUUAAAGAUUCUUUGUAUGAUUAAUUUGUAUAAUUUUUGUUAGUUUAAUUUUAAAUAUUCAUUAGAUGAUUAAUUUGUAUAAUUCGCAUGUUAGUUUUAUUUUAAAAAUUAAUUAGAUGAUUAGUUCAAGUGUAAUUUUUGUUAAUUUUAUUUUAAAAAUUCUUUGUAUGAUUAAUUUGUAUAAUUUUUCUUAGUUUUAUUUUAAAAAUCAAUUGGAUGAUUAAUUUGGGUAUAAUUUUUGUUAAUAUUUUUAGAAAUUAAUUGGAUGAUUAAUUUGUAUAAUUUACAUGUUAAUUUAAUUUUAAAAAUUCAGUGGAUAUUUAAUUCAUAUAAUUUGCAUGUUAGUUUUAUUUUAAAAAUCCAUUAGAUGAUUAAUUUGUAUAAUUCACAUGUUAUUUUUAUGGGAUGAUUAGUUUGGUUAUAAUUCACAUGCUGGUAUUAAUUUAAAAAUUCAUUGGAUGAUUAUUUUGAGCAUAAUUUUUGUAAAUUUUAUUGGAUGAUUGGUUUGUAUAAUUUUAAUGUUAGUAGAGUUUAAAAUUUUAUUGAAUGAUUGCUAGGUUAAAUUCCCAUGUUGAAUGUGUUUUAAAAACUCGUUAAAAAAAUUAAAUAAAAAUUCUUUGAAUGUUUAUUAGGUUAAAUUCUCAUGUGGGCAUUAUUAUUAUUAUUAUUAUUUCAAAGAUAAAAAAACAAAAAAAUCAUUUAAUGCCAUAUUUGGUUGAAUUUUCAUGUCAAUAGUUUUUUUUUAUUAAAAAAAAAAUUGUUGAAGUUUGUUAGUUUAAACGUUUAUGUUAAUAUAUUUUUAAAAUUCAUAGGAUGUUGUUGGCAUAAUUCUUAGUUGCCCUUAUCUUGAUACUUAUUGUGUUUGUUCCUUGAAGAAUUCUUAUAUUUGAUUUAAAAAAAAAAUCGAAUUGAAAAUUACUUUUUGAAAAAAAAAAAAGGAGAAAAGAAAAAAAUUGAAUUUUUUCCAUAUUGAACGAGGCUUCUUGAUUUCAAAUGGAAGACAAUAAAAAAGAAAUAAAAAUCCUUAUUGUGUAUAUAUUGUUUGAGGUUUACUAAUUCACUUGAUCCUUUUUUUCUUCUUUGAAAAAGAAAAAACCAUCUUCAAAAGUAUUUAAACCGUCAAAAGGAUUUGGAAACAAAUACUCAUUCUAGGUUUAAGGACCAUAUUUUAUUUUCAAAUCAUGCAUUCUACUAUUUUAUUUUCAUCUAAGCUGCAUUCUACUUUUUUUUUUUUCUUCCAAAAUGUUGUUUUUUAUUCCACAUAGAUUUGAAUGUAUUAGAUAAUUUUGAAGAUGGCCACCUAACACAUGCGACCCAUCUCUAAAACCUUUCUAAAAUAAGAAAGUCAUCCAAGAAAAUAAAAAUAAUAUAAGAAAAAGGCAAAGUUGUUGCCUUUUUUUUUUUUUUUUUUUUUUUUUUGGGCCUGUAUUUAUUUAUUAAUUUAUUUUUGUCAAUCUCCUACAAGAUCAUAUCCCACUUACCCCCUUACGCAGCAAGAAGAGCGCGUGGGACACCCACUUCGACCCCACAACUUUAUGAUGAAUCUGAACCCUGUGGACAAUAAUACCACGUGCAUACGAGCCUGUAACACUCAUUUAUGGGUUUAAAUUCAUUCAAAUGAGUCAGUAGUAAAAGCUAUGAAAUAGAUCGAACCCCACCUUCUUUUUCGUUUUUAAAUUUUCUGGGGUCCCUCAGUUACUUUACAGAAGGUGGCAGAGAAAGAGAGAGAGAGAGGAGUUAUUAGAGUUACAGACGAACAAUCACUUUCAAUGCUGUUGUCUUCUUGUUGUAAGGGUAAAAUAAGAGGCAAACAAAUUAAUGAAUUCAUUAUCUUACCUUUCUAUUCAAAUGCCUUCCAAGAAAUGUUUUGAGAGCUUUGAGUUUAGUCUAUAAUAAUGGUAGUAUAUUUCAAUGAAUAUGCGUUCUAGAAAAAUAUAUACCUUUAGCAUAUACCAAGAUAUCCUAGGGUUUCAAGUCGUGUUACAACGGGGAAGUAAUAACCAAUCAAAACACAUGACUUUGUUUUCUAAAAAAUCACUCUUCUUGGAAAACAUGCAAGGAACUUAAGCAUCAUAAGUUAAGCAAUCCUAGAUGGAUGUUCGAGUAUCCAGCUCUUUUCUUUAAUCCUAGAUGGAGAGAGACAACAUCUGCUCUCUCUCCAGCAUGCAAGUGUGCGUCCUAGGCAGCUCUUUUGUGCUUUAAAUGAAUUGAAUACUUGAUCUUAUUCUGCCAUUGUUUUGGCUCAAACCUAGGAAGUAUAUUUACCCUGACUUCUUUUCAUGUCUUCAACUUACUUAAAGGCUCACAAGUCCCAUUGGAAGCAAGCAGUUAAGGAUUUUUGAACUAAAAUGAUCAAACAUAGUCUUGCUUUACUAGUAGGUUAUACUCUUUUCAACAGUUUAAAUUGCUUUUGUUGAUAGAUUAUAUGGAUGUUUUAACACUCCAAGAAAUUGGAAUGAAGCAAAAUAUGAAGAAAGAAGAAAUGACUGUCAAUGGAUAUAUUUAUUCUCUUUUAUUUCUAUUGAUACUAAAAUUUUUAGGGAUAAAGGAAUUGUUACUGUUGUCCAAAUAUUUAAAAUUCAUCUGGAUCUGCAAGAAACCUGCAAGGGAAUAUUUUCUUAGAAAUAAUGGUUUAAAUAAGGAAAAGAAAAUAUAUAGAUGAAUUGACUGAAGGUUGCAGACAAGGGACCAACGACCAGGUAAUGGAAGACUGGAGAAAGGGAUUCAUCGGUUUGAUUUUUCUCCCAGCUGGCCCAGUUGUUUAUUUCAAAGUGCAGUUUAGAACAACUUUCAACAUUUGAAUAAGGAAAAGAAAAUAUAUAGAUGAAUUGACUGAUUCAAAGGGCAUAUUACAGUCAGUCUGUGCGUAACAGGGCGGGUGACUUCAAAUGGAUACACUGAGGUCUAUCUGUGCGUGUUAGGCAUUCAUGAACCUGUUUUCUUCGGUCAAAGAGCUGCCAAUACAAGGAAAAAAAAAAUGGCGAAAAUUAAGUAAAGUAUGACUUCUGGAAGAUUUAUCGCCUUCGUAAAUGAAGUGAGAGUUUUGACCGAAUUGAAGUAAAAAAAUUAAAUGCAAAACUUCCACUAAAGCUUGGCAUCAUUUUUCAAGGUUCUUUGUCAAUCCCUCAUUCUCCAGAACCAUGGGAUUGGUAGAGAAACUCAUUCUUCUCAACCAUGGCUCUUAACCAAUGGUUAAUUACCUUGCAACAAUGCAUGAUAUUAUUGAUGAAUUGGACCUUCUUAGAGAAGCCAUUCCAAAUUAAUAACUCAUCACUUACACAUGCAAACGUGUCGCCCCGAAUUCAAUGAAUUGUUGUUAUAUGCACACGAGAUACUAUGAUCACAUUUGAUGAGUUUCAUGACAAAUUAGUCGAAUAUGAAGCCUUCCUCAUGUAGCUUAAAACCAAAUAUGUCAUCAAAGAAGAUAGCAAUAAUCACCCCCACACAAUGAUAUCUAUUAUAAUACAUUAGCUGUAUCGAACACAAAUUUCCUUCAAUAUGUGUCUCAAUAUUAAAGUCCACGUAGAAUCAGGUGUGCACCAUAUUGGGGUUGGAUAGUUAUAAGACUGAAAGGAGCAUGAGCAUAGGAUGGCGAAAGUUCAAAUGAGAAGCGUUGUAAGAUCAUUGCCAAAGCUGUUUUUGCCUCCAUCAUUGCAAAAUUUUGUCCAAUGCACACCCGAGGACCCCAACCGAAUGGUAAAAAUGAAACUUGGUUUUUUGUUGCCUUUGAAACUCCUUCAGCAAACCUCUCUGGAUUAAACUCCUUUGCAUCGUCUCCCCAAAUUUCAUGAUCAUGGUGAACUAGGAUGGUGGGCAAAGAGACCUGCACUCCGGCUGGAAAAUACAUGUCUCCCACUUGAGUGUCCUUAGAAACCAUUCUGGUAAGCACUGUUACUGGUGGAUAUAACCUAAGAACCUCAUGAAAAAUCAUGGUAACCUGUGGUAGAGAAACUUUAGAAGUUGUAGCAUGAAAAUUGUUACUGAAAUACAUCUUAAAUCCUUAUGAAGGACACUGACGGAUAAAGGAAUUGUUUAAAAUAGUAAUGCAGAAGAGAUAUUGGUCUAAAUCAUGCAUGGCAUGAUGUCAAGUAUACAAAGGAUAUAAUAAUUUUAGAACCUCAUGAAAAAUCAUCAUAAUCUAGAGAAAUUUCAAGUCAUGGCAUGAGAAUCCAUUCCUGAACUAUAAGUAAAUGAAAGAAAAUGUUCAGUACAAGAUAAAAAAAAUAAAAAAAAAGUUAUGCGUUUUCAUUUUUACUCCAUUUAUUUUUCUCUUUUUUUUUUUCCUUUUGUGUGUGUGUGUGUGAGGGUGGGGGUGGUGGGUGGAAUAGAGUGGACUGAGUACUCACAAUUUUUAGGUGGUUUAAGCCAUCAUUUUCAGGUUUGUUAUUCCCAAAAACCUGUAAAACCUCUUCUCUUGCACGAGCUUGCCAGUCUGUAUGUUGGCUUAGCAGGACCAUUGUCCAUAAAAGCAAAACUGAGGUUGUCUCUUGGCCAGCAAGAUAGAAUAGCUUACAUUCAUCAAUGACAUCUUUGGCACUCAUUCCAAUCUUCGUGUUAUUUUGAUGUUCUUGAAUUUCUCUAAAAUUGGAUUCCAUUAAUAUACCUAAUAAGUCACUAUUAGCAGUUUCGCCAGCCUCCAUUGCCUUCUCCCUUUUGUUGAUGAUGCCCCCCAACAAUGCAUGUACUUCUUUGCUUAUUUGCUUCAUCCUCUUGUUCGUCUUUGUGGGAAAAAACCUGCAACUUAGUAAUUCCAGUAAAUAAAAGAUCACAUGAAGAACACUGACAUUAAUUUUUUGAAGCUUGUAUAACACUUCAUAGGCAGAAACUAUCAGACAAUAACUAAUGGUUUCAUCUACACAUGUAUUGCGGUGGCAUCUUAUCAUCUUGGCACAAUAUCUGGCCAACACAAGGCAUGGGGAUGCUAGACCUCAAUUUAUGAAACACACUACUUUCUAAGUGCUACACAGAAAGAACAGAAAGAACAGUCCUAGUAAAUGAAGUAUAAAGGCAUGAAAACAUAAAAUUGUCCAGGUAAAUGAAGACAUGCAAUGAAGAAGAAAACUAUUGCAGGCUACACAAAUCACAACCACAUAAAUCAACCACCCACCCAUUUUCAAACUUCCAGCUCUCAUGCACUGGCACAGUUCGGUCCUCUUAAAGAUUAAAGUAGGCAUCUAAAAUUUUAUUGGUUUCAAGGAAGAGAACCUUUUUAUUCUAAAUAUUUAAUAGUAGAUUCCUUUCUUAGCUUACCAGUAUAUAUAUAAAUUACUCAGGACCUUAAGAAGUUGAUAUUAUAAUUUAAACAAUGUUAUAUCAUGUGUAUUAGGAGAGAACCAAUCUCACCCACAAAUAAAGAGCACUCAAUUGUCAAUUCUUAAGUUUAUGACUAAUAUAUGUAUACUUAUAUAGUUUAUGUAUCUUUUGGAAAGUCAUGUGUAUAUUUAAAAGAUUAUAGUGUACACCAAUAAUAAUAUACCUGCACCAUUCAUCUAUGCACCUCCUAGAGCUCCCAUGAGUUCUUUUUUUCUCCUUCAUCCUACGUUUCACCAUGGCUGAAGCAAGCUCAACCAGGCUAUCCCACCUUCCCUUACCUAUCAAUACCACCAUGAACCUUAACAAUCUCAUUGCCAUCAACACAAUUAGCUAGCCAACUUCUACUCAAGCUCAUCCUCACUAACUAUUACUCAUGGAAAACAUAGUUUGGUGCACUGCUCUUUGGAUAUGACCUACUUGGCUACAUUGACGAAAUAAAGCAAGGACAAACAAAUCUCAAUCCUAACUAUACUUUUUGGACAAGUAGGACAAACUUCUUCUUCUAGGGAUCAUCGGCUCUCUCAGCCACAAAGUCGUACCUGUGGUUCAUUCAUGCAAAACUUCCACUAAAGCUUGGCAUCAUUUUUCAAAGCUAUGUCAAUCCCUCAUUCUCCAGAACCAUGGGAUUGGUAGAGCAACUCAUUCUUCUCAACCAUGGCUCUUAACCAAUGAUUAAUUACCUUGCAACAAUCCAUGAUAUUAUUGAUGAAUUGGACCUUCUUAGAGAAGCCAUUCCAAACCAAUAACUCAUCACUUACGCAUGCAAACGUGUCACCCCCGAAUUCAAUGAAUUGUUGUUGUUAUAUGCACACGAGAUACUAUGAUCACAUUUGAUGAGCUGCAUGACAAAUUAGUGGAAUAUGAAGCCUUCCUCAUGUAGGAAGAGCUUCGCUCCACUAGCAAUCUUGGUACCAUUAAAGUCAACAAUACACAAUUUUCAUCUUCCCAUUGUGACAAAAACGCUAGCCAAAAAUAUUUCCCUAGUAGGAAAGGAUACCAAGGCCAGCGUCCUCCUCAUUUUGGGAAUCAACACCCCAGCAAGAAAGCCACUAUGAUUUGCCAAUUCUCUGAGAAGAAAGGUCAUACUGCUUGCUAGUGUUACAUUUCUAAGAAAUUGUUCCUUUCAUCCACACCUACUACUAGUCCAAUUAUCCCCACAAACAACUCCUUAACCAAUUGGUUCGUAGAUAUCAGUGCCUCACAUCUUGUUACAUUUUAUCUUAACAACUUGUCUCUCUGCCAACCAAUGAAUCUUGUCAUUAAUAUUUUUCACAUUUCCUAUACUUGGAGGGUUGUUCCAAGAUUAAAUAAAGUAUUUUCCCAUGCUAGUCUAAAUAUAGUCUUUUCCUUUUCUUGGAGGGUUGUUCCAAGAUUAAAUAUGCUCAGUUUCAGAAUUGAGAGGACUUUUUCAUAUUGCUAAGAAAAAAACUUGUGAGUUUGAUUUUUCUAUCAAAGGUUUAUCUCUAAGGUGGAUUCCUCUGAGUGGUGAGCUUAAUUGUGAGUUCUUAUCUGUAAGGUGAUGAAUUUCUUAUCCUUAAAAGUGGUGAACUUGUGUUAUUAGCUCAUCAUUUUAUUUCCUUAAAACGGUAUCAUUUUGUGUUGGAAAAUGUAGUUACAAGCUUCCUUCAAGUUUCUCAUGUAUCAACCCACAAUCAACUUGUAGAUAUACUCAACAAACCAUUGCCCAAGUCCCACUUUACAUUCUUUCAGUCCAAGAUUGGCGUUUUUUAUGGAAGCACCAUCUUGCAAGGGCAUAUUAGGAGAGAACCAAUCUCACCCACAAAUUAAGAGCACUCAAUGGUGAAUUCUUAAGUUUAGGAGUAAUAGAUGUAUAGCCUUGUAUAGCUGUUGUAUCUUUUGGAAAGUCAUGUGUAUAAGAUUGUAGUGUACACCAAUACUAAUAUACUUUCACCAUUCAUCUAUUUACCUCUUUAAUGUGGAAUGACAACUGCACCAAAAGAUACUUUGGUGCCUAUACAUCCAUUAGUUUUUCAAUUAAACUGUUGAACAAAUGCCAUGAAUUGAGGUACUUUUGAGAGAUAAGAAAGCUCUUACCUUCAUCAAUUAAGCAAUGAAUGAAGGUACUUUUGAGAAGAUUUUCAGUGCAACCAUAACCAAGGAAGUAUGAGAGAUAUUACAUUUUAAGUACACAUAACAAAGUUAACAAUACACAAAAGGUUAAUCUUCAAACUCUUAAAAGAGAAUUUGAAAGUUUGAGUGUGAAAAAAAAAAUUGAAUUAAUCUCUAAUUAUUUUUCUAGAGUAUUAGAUGUUGUGAGUUUACAAUAAAAAUAUGUCAAAAGUUUGAAUGAUAGUUAUGUGGUAAAAAAAUAUGUUUAAUCUUUAGAUUCCAAAUAAGUUUAACUAAAUUGUUGUUGUCAUUGAAGAAUCUAAACAUUUAGAUUCUAUGACCAUUGAUAAACUCAUGAGACCACUAUAAGCUCAUAAAAAGAGAUUAAAAAGAAAUAACUAAGAAAAAUUGCAGCUUUUUUAAGCAAAUUAAACUUACACUAAAGGAGAAUGAUGAAAACAUUAGUUAAAGAAGUCAAAACAAUCAUGGAUAUGUCGAAGACGUGGUCAUAGACAUGGCUAAGACAAUAGAAGAAGAGAUAAGUUUAAUUUAUCAAACAAUGAAAUAACAAGUCAAAAUUCACAUUCCUUAGGAGGACAUGAAAGAUGACACAACUUAAGGCACAGUAAAAGAAGAGGAUAUGAUAAAUUUCAAAUUGAAUGUUAUAAUUAUAAAAAAAUAUGGUCAUGAUGCUUAUGAAUAUAGAAAUGCUACAAACAAUAUGAAAAGACACCUCCAAGGUACUAAAAAUAAAGAUCAAGAAGAACCAACCUUAUUAUUGGCAUAUAAAGGAGAAAGCUAGGAGAAAAUUACAUGGUAUCUUAACCUCUAAGUAAAAUCAUAUGUGUGGAUUCAAAAAUGUGUUUGUAGAGCUUAAUGAAUUUGAAAGUGGCAAUUUUGCCUUUGGGGCUACAUGUAAAAUUCCAAUAAAAAGAAGAGGUAAAAUCUUGAUUCAUAUGAAAAUGGAAGGCAUAUUUCAAAUGUCUACUAUGGUGUAACAUGGAAAACAAUAUAUUAAGUUUAGGUCAACUCUUAUAAAAGGGCUAUGAUAUUUAUCUCAAAAAUAAAAGUGUCUUAAUAAGAUACUAACAUGCCAAUAUAAUUGGUAAUGUGCCCAUGAUAUAAUGUUUUUGAAUAACAUUCAAAAUAAUAUUGUAAAAUGCCUAAAAUCUCAUGUCAAUAAUUCCUCUUGAAUUUGACACUUAUGAUUUGAACAUCUUAAUUUUAGAGGAUUGAAAUUGUUAAGCAUGAAAAACAAUGAAAUAAUUGUUCUUUAAUAAUUUGUGUCAAUUGUGUGAAAGAUGUUUACUCAGAAAAUAUGUCUAAAAAAGUUUUCCAAAGGAAGAAACAACAAGAGAAGAAGCUUUCAGUGCUCAUUAAUGUGGAUAAUCCAGUUUUAAUUUUUAUGGGUGAUUCUAGUAAAAAAUAAAAAAUAAAAAAAUUUGGUUGUAUCUUUAGCUCAAAAAUUUGUUGAAGAAACUUAAUUUACCACAAGAGAAACCAAUAAACAUCUAUAUGAAUAUAAAAUUGGUGAUUGCCUUAGAAAAGAUAUCUAGUUCUCCAUGAUUGAAGCAAGUAUAUUAAUACAAAAUAUCAUUUAUUAGAAAGUAUAUUAUGAAACAUGAAGUACACAUAAAAUUUGCAAAAUCUCAUAAUCAAAAUUUGAAAAUGCUUAUAGAGCCUCUCAAGUUUAAAGAUUUUAGAUAGCUAAGGAUGCUACUUUUACAAAUCAAGUUGAAAAGGGCAUGUAAGUUUAACUAUAUUUAGAAAGUUUCUAAAAAUUAGAAUUUGAGUCUUUCUAAAUAUUAAUUAAAAUAUUUUAUAUUAAAAGGUUGAUUUAGUUUCACCCUUAGAAUCUAAGCCUUUCAAAGUGCCAAUAGUUGUUAGUUGUAGAUAAGGCUUUCCUUUUUACAGCUCUGGGUUCUAAUCUAUAUAACCUCCUAAUGGUACAAAGUGCACCUUUUUCAUAGAGGCAAGUAGUAACCUAUUGUUAGCCCCUUGAAAUGGACUAUGAGGCACUAAGGCCUCAUGGGGCAAUAGCUUCACAUCAUGAGUAACCUAUGAUGGCAAUAAGGUGGCACAGGGGUACAAUUCCUUGUGCAAGGAGAUGGCUUGGUGAGCCAUGGGCGUAAUGCCAUGAUAGGUACAACACUAAAAGAGACUUAGAUGAGCAUAUUGUUGUGGUGACUUAGAUGAAAUACAUGAGGGUGCAAUGCCUUGUGCAUGGGGAGUCAUAGGUGCAAUGCCAUGACAUGUUGCCAGACCAAGAAGAGGGUUUGGGCAAAGCAUAGAGUCACAACAUCAACAAGGUGAAUGUCGGAGCAUGUUGCCUCAACAUGGAUGCAAUCUAGAUGUGUAGGCCAAAAGAGAACUUAACAUGCACAUGAGCCAUUUAUAUAGAUUCCUACAACAACAACAUUCAAAGUUGGACUCGAAGUAGGAUUGCAAGUCAAGCAUGAGUAGGAGUCUUGAUGUGAAUUGUAAUUGUAGUAUGAUUAGGACUAGGACUUAGAGUCUACGUAAGAGUGUUUAUUUCCAUAACCUAUUAAGAAAAGUCCUUAUAUAACUAGGAGUAAAACUCCUAGUCUAACAGAGAGCAGGUGGUGCCACUCUAUAAAUAGGGAGGGUUGGAUAGACUUUAGAGAGAGAUCAAGAGGAAGCCUGAACUACCAAAAGUAUUGUGGAAGUGUAGCUAAAGUCUUGUAUUCUUAUUCAAUAAGUUAAUAAAAUAUAAUUUAGGGUUGAUGCCCUAUAAAUCUUGUGUAUUGCCUUGCGUGUUGUCAUCUAGUGGGGAAAGGUGUAGGUUAGCUUAGAGAGCUUCUAAGUAUUUGCAUAGAUGUGAAAGUUUAUGUGGGAAUUUUGCACCUAUGACAAUUGGUAUCAGAGACUAACAAGCAAAUGGUUGGGGGAAGUACUAUAGAGACCUUAAGAGAAAGGAGCUCAAGACUAGAAGAAUUGUUAGGGGAAUAACAAGGUGAUAAGUUGGUUGGCUUGAGAAUCCUUGAAACAAUUGAAGCACACUAGUUCAACAUAGGAGUAUAUCGAGGAAUUUAGUUCCUUAAUGCUCGACAUAAAAAAUAUGUCCAAUGAGGACAAAUUGUUCAACUUCAUGUUUGGAUUGUAGGGAUGGGCCUAAAUUGAGUCACAAAGAUAAUGGGUGUGAGAUCUUUCUAUUAUAAUCAUUGCAACAGAUUGUUUGGUAGUCUAUAAGUUGAAUGGUGUGAACUCUACAAAUCAGAAACCUAAACUAGAUGGAGCAAAGAAACCUAAUAAAGAGGGGAAAUCUUCUAAGAAGUCAUAUGAGAAGAAUUUGAAAAAGCCUGCAGCAUCGUAAUCGAAUGAAAAAACUACUAAGUAUGGGUAGCAAACAACCAAACCCAUGGGUUGAUUCAUUUGCAUGGCCCUCACUGUGCUAAGAAGUGUCCAAAAUGGGAAAAACUAUCAGCCCUUAUGGCUACUAAAAGUAGUGGUGAUUCUGACAUGGAUACACCUUUAAGAGUUAAUCCUUCAUAGCUCUUGAACAUAAUCCACGCAAAUGCACUAAUUCAAAAAGGGUUGAUUCAUGUCCAAGUGCUAGUAAAUGGCAUGUAGGUAAAACCAAUGAUGGACAGAAGGGCAACCCAUAAUUUUGUGGCUAGUAAGAAGCCAAGAAGCUCAGUUUGGAACUAGAACAAUACACUAUUAAGAUCAAGGCAAUAAAUAGCAAAGCCCAACAAAUUAAUGACAUUACCAAAAAAGUCUCACUCUAAGUCGGAAAUUGAGAAGGCAACUAUAGCUUGCUAUGUGUACCCUUAAACGAUUUUGAUUUGAUCUUAGGGAUCGACUUUUUCCUUAAGGCUAAGCCGGCAUUGCUCCCAUACCUUGGUAGGUUAAUGAUCAUGGAUGAGAGUCAACCUUGGUUAUUUUUUCUAUAAAGGAAAAAGUCAUAGAGAAAGGUCAAACCAAGAUGGUUUCUACGCUUCAAAUAAAGAAAGGGUUGAAGUGUGGGAAUGUCACGUAUAUUAUAACCUUGGUUGAGAACAAAGCAGAUCAUUCAAUGGAGGUGCCACAUAGUGUAGCCCAUAAUAAAAAAGAAUUUAAAGAUGUGAUGCCUACAAAAAAACCCAAGGAGUUGCCUCCUAAGCACCAUAUAGACCAUAAAAUUGAGUUGCCACCUAGGACCAAACUUCCUACUGAUCAGGUCUCAUAUUGGAUGUCACCUUCGAAUUACUUGGGUUAAGGAAGUAAUUGAAGAAACUGUUGGAUGCAGGCAUGAUCCAAUCUUCAUGGGUUCCCUAUGGUACUCCUAUUCCAAAAGAAGGAAGAUGGGACCCUAUAGAUGUGUGUUAAUUAUUGGGCCUUGAACAAAGUAACGAUCAAGAACAAGUAUCCAAUCUCCUUAGUGGUAGAAUUAUUUAAUAAAUUGGCCAAGGCAAAGUUUUUCUCCAAAUUGGACUAGUGGUUAGGAUACUAGCAAGUAAGGAUUUUAGAGGGGAACGAAAAAAAGACUACAUGUGUAACCCGCUAUGGGUCAUAUCAGUUCCUCAUGAUGCCAUUCAAACUAACUAAUGCCUCAAUAACAUUCUACAACCUAAUGAAUGAUAUGCCAUACGAGUUCCUAGAUGCCUUUGUUAUGGUUUGCUUCAAUGCAUUAUUGUUUAUAGCAAGACCUUAGAAGAGCACGUGAAUCACUUGAGACUAGUGUUUCAAAGACUAAGAGAACAUGAAAUCUACGUGAAGAGAGAGAAGUGUGAGUUUGCACAAAGGCAUAUUACCUUUCUAGGAUGUAAGAUAGAGGAAGGGUUGAUCGAGAUGGAUGAAGUGAAGGUCCAGGCCAUUAAAGAUUGGCAUGCUCUAAGCAAGGUGACACUGGCAAACUACUAUUGAAGGUACAUAAGGGGUUACUUCAAGAUAGUGGCUCCCUUUACUAACCUUCUAAAGAAGGAUAUUUGCUAGGAUUGGGGGUUUGAAUGCUAGAAAGCUUUUGACAAGUUGAAAGUGGUGAUUUUAGUUAAAUUGGUGCUACAUUUACUAGAUUUGGAUAUCCUAUUUGAGGCCCAAACAAAUGCAUCAACUAAGGCCUUGAACUUGGUGCAAGAAAGGCACCCAAUAGCCUUUGAGAGUCAAAAACCUAAUGAGUUAGAACAAAGAUACUCCACUCACGAGAAAGAGAUGACAACGAUUAUCCAUUGCUUAUAGUAGUGGAAGCAUUAUCUAUUGGGGAGUAUAUUUACUAUAGAUGGUCACAGACAACAUAGUUAAUACCUUUUUCAAGAUGCAGAAGGAGUUGAGCCCUAAGCAAGCUAGGUGGCAAGAAUUCCUUGGCGACUUCAAGUUUGAAUGGUUGUAUUGACGAAAAAGACAUAAUGUAGUUGUAAAUGCCUUGAACCAAAAGGAAUUAACAGAGUAUGUAAUCACUCAAUCACAUAUGAUUUCAUAUUUUAAUGAGAAGAUCAAGCAAGCUGCUAAGCUUGAUUCUACUUAUGAGAAUAUGAAACAACAAUUCAAAGAGGGGGCUACUAAAAAUUUUUGGCUAGAAGAUGACCUCUUGGUGGCUAAAAGAGGUAGGCUAUAUGUACCAAGAAGUUGCUUACAUAAGGAGUUGCUAAGAGUGGCCUAUGAUGUCAAGUAGACAGGUCACCCUAGCAAAGAGAUGACAUCAAUAGUAUUGUCCAACUACUAUUACUAGCUAAAAAUAGGAUAGGACAUCCAGACUUAUGUUCUAUAUUGUUUGAUAUGCUAGUUGGAUAAGACAGGCAAGAAGAAAACAAUAAGGUUACUACAACCUCUCCCUAUCUUAAAGAGACCUUAGAAUAACAUAUCUGUGGACUUCAUCGGUGGCUUUCCAAAAGUGAGGGAAUUCAAGUCUAUCUUCAUGAUAGUAGAUAGACUCUCUACGUAUGUUGUUUUCAUACUUACACCACAUGCAUGUCCCGUAGAGGAGGUGACUAGGCUAUUCUUCAACCAUGUGGUCAAGUACGUACUUCAAGUUGCCUAAAGACAUAGUCAGUGAUUGUGAUGCUCGAUUCAUUGGUCAAUGUUGGACUGAGUUGUUUAAACUCCUAGGAUUGAAGUUGAAGUUCUAAAAAACAAAUGAUUCGUAGAUAGACGGGCAAACAAAGUGUAUCAAACUUAAGGAAUACCUCAGACACUAUGUUUUUAUAACACAAAAGAACUGGAUUGAUCUAGUGGAGAUAGCUCAUUUAUCCUAUAACUUGCAUAAGAGUUCAAUAAUAGGGUUGAGUCCCUUUGAAUUGGCUAUAGGGCAACCACUAAUUAUGCCUUGGAGAUGUUUAAGCAAAAGUUUGGUGGUAAUUGUCUUAUAGCUUAUAAAUUUGCAAGGUCUUGGCAGCAGAUGCUCGAUGAAGCUUGUAAAAGCUUAGAGAAGGCAUUUACAAAAAUGAAAAAGUAUGCGGACAAGGGCCGAAGACCCUCAUAAUUUAGAUUGGGGAUAGGGCCCUUCUAAACCCUCAUAUAUGGAAUAAAAUUAGCAGUAAGACUAUGUAGAGGGUGUUGAUUCCCAAAUAUGAUGGACCUUUCAAGGUGAUGUAGAGGGGGAUAAGUAGCUUACAAAUUGAAGUUGCUGGAUAGGUUAAAGAUAUACCUCACGAUCCAUGUGAGCUUCUUAAAGCCUUACCAUGAAAACCUAGACUCAAGAAGGAUACCAACAAGGCGAGUGAUUAGAAAGAAAUUUGAUCGCGAGUGAUAUCAACAAGGUAGAGAAGAUAUUAGAUCAUUGAACUGUGGGAAUGAGUAAGAAAAAUUGAAGAAUUGAUUUUCUAGCUUAGUGGAAGGAUAGUCUUGAAUUAGAGGCUAGUUCGGAAUGAGAUGUAAUGCUCUGGAAAUUUAAGGAGGUAGUCUAAGCCUACCCAUAGUCCAAGUCAAUGAGAGCAUCAACUACAUCAAGUAGAAGUGGUUUGUUAGCCCCUUGACAUGGACCAUGCGAUACUAAGGCCUCAUGGGGUGACACCUUGGCCUCUUGAGUGACCAAUGACAACAACAAGGUGGUAUAAGGGUGCAAUGCCUUAUGGAGGGAGAUGACUUGGUGAACCAUGGGCACAAUGCCAUGGUAAGUGUAGUACUAAGAGAGACUUGAAUGGGCAUAUCAAUGGGGGGCAACGAAGCCAACUUAGAUGCAAUACAUAAGGGGUGUAAUGCCUUGUGCAUAGGGAGUCAUGGGUGCAAUGCCAUGAACUAAGAAAAGGGCUUGGGCAAGGCACAGAGCUGUAACAGCAACAAGGUGGAUGUAGGAGCAUGUUGCCUUGACACAAAUGCAAUCUGAACAUACAAACCAAAAGAGGGCUUAUCAUGCACACGAGUCAUAUAUAUAGAUGCACACGGUAGUAGCAUGAAGAGUUGGACUUGAAGUGGGAUUACAUAUCAAGCAUGAGUAGGAGUCUUGAUGCCUAAUGUAAUUAUAGUCUAAGUAGGACUAGUACUCAAAUUCCAUGUAGGAGUGGUUACUGCCACAACCUAUUAGGACAAUUCCUAGUAGAACUAAGAGUAGCACUACUAGUCUAAUAAGGAGUGGGUGGCACCACUUUAUAAAUAGGAAGGGUUGGAGAAACUCUUGAGAGGGAUCUAGAGAAGGAAAUCAUAAGGGAGGUCAAAACUCACCGAAGCUAUUAUGGAAGUCUGGCUAAAGUCUUUUAUUCUUAUUUAAUAAGUUAAUAAAAUACAAGUUGGGAUUGGUGCCUUGUAAACCUCAUGUGUUGCUUUGCAUGUUGUUGCCAUCUCAUGGGGGAAGGUGUAGAUUGGCUUAGAGAGCUUUUAAAUGCCACAUAGACAUGAAAAUUUAUGUGGGAAUUUUGUGCCUAUGACACAUAACCUUUAAAAGUCUAUUCAAGGGGGACCCUUCAUCUCCCUUCAUAUAUUUAAUUAUUUGCCUGUUUUUUCAACCCUAUUAAUGCAACAUAGGUGAAUUUGCCCGAUGGUUUAUAAGAAAAUUCAUGUCAGUUAUGUUCAACAUGUUAAAUUCUACUAGGCUUAUGUAUCGGUAUGUAGAUUAUAGCUUCUUCCCCUAAGCCCAAAUUUUUCUUUGGUUUCAUGGUGUUAACAUUUCAUGAAAGUAAAUGCUCCAUUGAAGAAUAAAUUUACCUAAAAUUGAAUAUGGUGUGCUAGGACAUAGAGAUUUAUUAAAUGUUAGGAAAAUGUAAGGGUGACUUGAAACCUAAAUUUGAGCAAAUAAAAAGUCUAUUUAACAGUGCUUUUAGAAAACACUUACAUUAUAGAAAAAAAAACAUUUUUGAAGAAAAACCAAAUGUUUGACCAAAUUUAGAAAAUACUUUUAAAAAGUUCAAAAUUAAAUUAUUUGUAAUGCUUCUUGGAGAAACACUUCACAUAUUAUUCUUCCAAAAAUACUUCUAGAGAAAACCCUUCCACUAAAAGCACUUAAAAUAGAAACUCAAGCAAAUCUACUCUAAAUCUGCCGAAGCACUGCUAAAAUAAUGAAAAAACAAGCAGACUCCUGUAUAUUCAUAAAACUGAGCAGCAUAUUUCUUGAAAUAUUAUAUGAUUUUAUGCAUACCUCCAUCCUGGGAUAUAAACUGACAUUGCAACCUUGAUUGCAAGAUAUGUCUGUUCUUUCUGGAGUUGGAAUAUCCUUCUUCCUUCUUCGUAGCUACUGCCAAAUGCUGUCCGAGAAAUCACAUCCCCUGUCAAAUUUUCAAGAUAGGGCCAAACAUCCAACUCACAUGAUCCCUUCACCGAAAGCUUCUUCCAUUUGUUCAACAUGUCGCUACAACUCAAAUGAAAUGCCGGUAACAUAUUCUAUAACAAGUUCAACCACAAAAUAAAUUAAUAAAGACGAAGAACAUCUCUUCGUUGGUAAAAUUAUGGAAACGGCCCAUUGGAGAAAGAGGGAAAAAGACUCUAUAUGAGUAUGUGAAAAAGAAAGGGAAAAAGAAAGGAAACAGUAGGACACUUGGUAUGUGAAAAACUAGUCACCAGUACUUCAUUAAAAUGACUGAAAUAUUUGGGAAUUCUGAUGUUUAUACAGGUUUUUAUAGGAUUAAAAAUAAUUUUUCAAUUACUUCCAUAUUUAAAAAUAAAAAAUAAAAAAAAUUAGAAAGUUUUCUGGAUGGAAAGCUAGGUUAAUGAUCUUUCUGGAAACUAAGGUAAAAUAUUGUCGUUUGAAAACUGGGCAUUGAAAAUUACCUUCAACUUUUCUGGAUGGAAAACUGGGUUGAUCAUCUUUCUACGUUUGGCCCAUUGUUCACCUUCCAAAACCACUAGACCAGAAACCAGCAACUUGACCAACGGGUGUGAGGGUGUCUUUUGAAAGAUAUUGGACUUCAACAAAACAUCCCUCAUUAGCUCAGGCUCCAUAAUGUUUACCCUUGGACUUGGACCCACCCAUGUAAAGAAAUUUUUUCCUGCAUGUUUAUGCCAUUAUUGGAUAGUGUUAGUCCGGAUUGCUUUUAGUUUGGAUAAUUGUUUUAAAGACCGACUGGUUUGAGCAGUCAGACCGUCGACUGAAAGCAAAUUUGAUCCGGAUCAGCAAUUGAGCCGGUAGGGCUAUUGAACCGCCAUCGAACCGGACGACCCAGCCGUUGAACCAUUGACCUGGUGAACUGGGUCGCCGGUUUGGGCCUGGACCUAUCUCUAAGUGAAACUCUUUCGGCCAAAAUGGGCCAUGGUUUUAGGUUGAAAUUGGGCGAGUGGGCUACCGCUUGGGCCACUCACAGACAUCCACACUCAGGGCAAGCCGACUAUAUAAAGAGAUGUUUAUUCCUCAUGCCAUUCAGAUAUGGGACUAACUUGGGAAAAUUAGGAUAUCAUGACUAUACUAUUUAUGCCUUAUGUAAACAUUUCCACAACACUAGCUUAAAAAAAAAAAAAAAAAAAAAAAAUCUUCCCAAAAUUUUUAUAAUAAUAAAAAUGCAAACAAUUUAAAGUAAACUAAUAUAAUUUUUUAAAAACUAUAAAAUAAUAAGGUGUAUAACUUUUAAUAUCUUUAUAUAUAUAUAUAUAUAUAUAUAUAAAUUAAAUAACUUCACAUCUAAAUAUUUUAUAUAUUUUAUUUAAGAAAAUCUUAAAAUAUUAAUACAUCUACAUAUUAAUUUAAUAAUAUUAAAUAAAAAAUAAAUAUUAUUAUUUUUUAAUUUCUUUAUAUAUUUAAAAUAUUUUAAAUUUUAAUAAUAUAUAAAUUACAUAUUUAUGAUAUCAUUGAUUUGACAAUCAGUUUAAUCAGUGAAUCGUAAGUUGUUAACUUUUUUGGUUUAAUAAUCAAUCCAAUUCUAAAACCGUCGAUUUGGACUACAUAUACCAAGUCUUCUCGAGCUUGUAAUAAAAGAUAAAGAAGAUGAAAUUGUAACAUCUCAAAAUUUGAGCUUGUGGCAUAUGGAAAUCAAUCUAUACAUAAUUACUAUGUAUAUAUUAUCAAAUAUAUGAAUGUAGAAGCUAUUUUAAUUAUCAACCAUAGAAUUGGCAUGGAAUAUUAUAACAUCCCAAAGGUGCGUUGACUUGAAACAUCCCAAAUUAAUUCUAACACUUAAAAAAAAAAAAAAGCAAAAGGUGAAAAAGGAAAAGAAAAAUAGUUAGGAAGAGAAGAACAAAAACUAAACAAAUGAAUCCGGAAUACUAAAAACAUAGAGUAAAUGAUAGGAUCAAGAUACAAAACAAAUGGGAUAAAGAUAGGAUCAAGACACAAAAUAAAAACUCAUAUUUAGCUUUCGAUAUGAUUCAUUUGAUAAGGAUAAUAAAAGAAAAAUAAAUAUAUAAUAUUAAUUGUUUUAUUUAUACAUCAUCACACCGUCUCUAUAUGAAUACCAUCUUCCUAAGAAGAAUAACAUGACUAACAACAAUCCACGACAAUAGUUUUGGAACGAUUGCCAUUUGUUUGUUAAUAUUCUAUUGUCUUGCUAGUAGGGCAUGGACAGCUUUAAUAAAGUAAUUUUUUAGGAGAGUGCAUGUCAUUGGAUUCUUAUAAGGAUGCAUGCCUGUAUCUAGGCUUCAAAUUUAACGUUUUAUCGGUUAAUAAUGCAUUGGGCUCCUCCCAUCCGAUGUUUGAUAGGAUGGAUAAGAAGAAGAAAGUGAAGUAAGAUCAAAAUAUCUGAUCACAUUUAUUUAAAAACUGAAUAGGACAAAUGGGUGAAAUGAUUAGUAGUGAGUCGCCCGGGAUAACACGGUCUGGGACAUUCAUAAUUGCAUUCUUUAUAGCUUCAUUAUUGUUGGUAGACAGUUGAGUGCAUUGUCUUUGACCAUUCCAUGCUAAGCAAGAAUGAUAAAAUUAAAUAGCAGAGAAAAAGAGAAGAAAAAUAAAAGAAUGGUACUUAUACGAAGGUGCUAUGCAGUCUAACAGUACCUGAAGAGAAAGAGUUGGCAAUCAAACAAGGAACAAUGCCUAAGUAUAGAGGAAGUGCUCUGUGCAGAACCUCUACACACGCACAGGGUACUCUACACAAAGAGAUGGCAAAGGAGAACCCUACACAGAGGCCUGCGCAAGUGAUGUGCAUAAUCAGAGAAGAGAAAACGUGCAUAUAUAUAUAGAUGGCCUGCACGAAAUCUGCGCAAAGAGCAUAUAUAUAUAUAUAGAGAGAGAGAGACACACACACACACACGCACAGGGUACUCUACACACAGAGAUGGCAAAGGAUCCUCCUCUGCGCGCACUCCUAGGGCAAUGAAUCCCAAGCACAAGGAGUUCCUGGAGUAGAGAAAGCACGAACGGAGUUAUGAGGUAGCAUUUCUUGAGGGCUCAAAAUUCUGAUAAUGAGUGAUACCUAGUAUCGAAAUUUUGAUACUCAUGUUGAUACCAUGUAACAAAGAGACUUCUCAUGCAUAUAUUCUAGGAGGUAACACUCAACUAUUUUUUUUUUUUUAAAGAAAAUACUAACCUUUUCAUGGUAUCAGAGCCUCCAAACCUACCAGCCAAGAAAAAUGUCUUCACACAUACUUCCAUCCUCCACCCUACAAAUAGAACCUGAAUCAAACUUUCAAUCCUUUCACCAAUGUUCUAGCUUGAUCUCCAUCAAACUGAACACCACCAAAUUUCUAUUGUAAUGCAACCAAAUCGCUCCCUUAGUUUGUAGCCUUAGUGUUCUACAUUAUUUGUCAAAUAGAGAAAAAUUUGCUGAAGAAGUUAAGAAUGACAAGGAGGAAAAAUCUCCAAACUCGAACUAUCAAAGGUGGAUCAACAAUGAUGGACUUUUAACUUCAUCGCUUCUUGGAACCAUAAAAGAAAAUGUCUUAAACUUGAUUGGUGGUGAGCCAGUUUAUCAAGUGUGGAAUUCCCUUGAGGAGUAGUCAUUGCCAAUUACAGUAAAGAAUGAAAGGAAUUUGAAAAAUAUGUUAAUAAUCAUUACAAAGGGUUUUCGAUCUCUUGAAGAAUACUUGACCAUAACAUUCAUUGCUAGUAUUUCAUGCUUAUGAGUUACUCAUUUCAGCCUUUCUUGGACUCUUCAUGGUUCACAAGUCCCAAGUCUUUUAGUUAUGCAUGUUUAACCCCUUCUACUUGUUUGGUUGAUAUUGACUUUUGUACUUAUCAUUUUUUUCAUCUCUUGAACCUGAAUUAGACUCAAAAUGGAAAUUAGAUUCAUAACUAGGGUCUUAGCAUUAAUUUGAGUUAAGUUAGAUAAUUUGAGCUUUUUAUAUUGUAUAAAUCAUAUCAUAUAUAUAUGUCAUUGGAGCAUAUAUUUGGUUCUAAUUAACUGCAUAGGGAAUCCUAGAUCUCUUUGUUCCCCAUCAUAGGACUAGGUUAGGAGCAUGAAAUCUACAUAGGGCAUUUAGAUCCUAUGAACGAAAGCAAAAAUAUAAUUUCUAACAUUGAAGGAUCUAGAAAAGUGUCAUAAAAAACUUUACCUUUGAUUUGGAUUUUCCCAAAUCAAAUCCAAAGUCAUUGGAAGCCUCGUAAACCUAUUAUCUUUUGUCCUAUAACUCUACCUCGAUCCUCAACACUCAAACAAUAAAGUGUUUGGGAAGGUGAAGGCUAAAGCUCUCUCUUCUCUUUAUAUGGUGGAAGAAUACUAACUAGAAACCCUAACCCCUAAGAGGAUAUUUAUAAGGUUCCUUACUAGGCUUAAGUGACUUAAGCCCAGUAAGGGCUUGGGUCACUUAAUACAACCUAAAAGGGUCUAAAUUGAUUUAUUAACCCAACAAAGUUGUCUAAUUAAUUAAUUAGUCCAAUCCAAAGAUACUGUUUACAAACCCCUAUGCAACCUUGUGUAAUUAUCAAAAUGUCAUUAUGCACAUAAGUAAACCUAAAGCUUAUGCAACCCUCAUAAAUCAUGUCAUCAAGGUAUAUGAGCUCUAGUAAGGACCAUUAGGACCUAUCGGAGUACUACUCUCUCAAAAUCCAAUUAUGAAGUUCAUUCAACAUCUCACUACAGAGAAUCAAUUACACUUUGAUACUCUAUGUAAAUAACAACAAGAUGAUGCUUAGGUUCAUGAGUUACUACCCAUUACAUGCAAACUCUCCAUGAACUAGUGUCCAUAAUUUAACAAGGUAGUAUUAUCACAUAUUAAGAUUACCUCUCUAAUCGUUGAGUUAUAAAUCCAUCUAUUAUUUGAUCAAUUGACAUACUCUAACUCCAAGGAGUAUAUGUCGAAUUUCACUAAGUGAAAAGCUAAUGGUCAUAGUCUUCUCAAUGACAUGUCCUUUGGAUCACCUAAGGGAACAUUGUUGGAAUUGACCAUCAAGAUGGGUUUCACAUGAUGAGUGUACUAGUAUGGAUAGUUACAUAUCGUAUAGGAUCAAUGGUGAAUCAUAACAUAAGACUAUUGAUUGUCAUGAUUCACCAAGUUACUAUACUGUAUCAACUCUCAACCUUAAAAUGAUAUCGAGCUUAUGCCAAAGUCAACAAGAGGAGGCUUUGACCUAUGGGUGAGAUCCUAAGGUGGUCACAUAUCCCUAUGGAUUGGAACACUAUUGAUGAAGGUUGGUAGCACUAGGCUUUCUCAAUAAAGGGACCAUGAUAUUUCAUGGGACUGAGACAAUGUAUUGCCUUGGGUAAUCUAAAGGACAUGUGAAAGAAGACUAUGGUCAUAACAUUUUCUUCAAUAAAAAUUUGAUGUAUGCUCCUUAGAGCUAGAGUAUGUUAAUAGAUCACAUAAUAAGUAGAAUCUAUAACUUAAGAAUUAGAGUGUUAUUCUUGAUAGGUAAUAACACUAUCUUGUUAGAUUAUCGACACCAAUUCAUGGGGAGUCUGGAUGUAGUGGAUAGUAGGUCAUAAACUUCAGUUUCAUCUUAUUAUUAUUAUUUACAUAGGGUACUAGAAAGAAAUUGAUUUUCUUUAGUGGAAUAUUGAAUCAACUUUAGAAUUGGAUUCUAAGGGAACCAGUACUCUUAUAGAUCACAAUGGUCCUUGCUUUGAGCUCAUAUACUAUGAUACAGUUUAUAAGAGUUGGAUUGGAUCUAGGUCCACUCUUGUGCAUAAGAGAAUUUUGGUAAUUACAUAAGGUUGCAUAUGCAGUAGUGAACAAGUUCUCUAGAUUUGGUUAAUUGAUUAACUAGAUGACCCUAUGUGGUUAAUUAAUUAAUCAAGACCCAGUUUAAGUUAGAUUAAGUGACCCAGGCCCUAUUCGGAUCAAGACACUUAAAUCCAGUAGGAGAACCCUAUAAAUACUAUUGAAAUUGAGCCCUAAAAGCAAGACAUGAUGUAACAAAGUCAAACUUGACUCUCCCCUUGUUAUCCUUUUAUGUAUUGACAUUGAUUUGAGCAUUCAACUCAUAUCUCUUACAUUAUCAUGACUUAGGUGCAUUGGGAGUUGCAAAGAGGAGACAAGUCAUGGGCUCCUUGUAAGUAGAUAAAAUGUCCAUAUUCAGUUUAUGGACUUGGGCAAUACAAUAAAGAUUGUAAUGCACUACCUCCUAAUUGGAAGGAUGGUUUGUCUUGAUCAUAGAGAUAGAUUUCCCAUGGUGGGUGGACUAGUGUAUGUGAUACACAUUAGACAAGACCUACAUUAAAUCACAACAUAAGACUAUUAGUUGUUAUGAUUCACUAAGAUAUUGUACUAUAGGAACUCUCAAUCUUGAGAGGAUAUUAAGCUUGUAGUAAUAUUAACAAAAGACUUUGACUUAUGGGUAAGACCCUAAAGUGGUCAUAUAUCCCUAAGGAUUAGGUUACUGUUGAUGGAGGUUGGUGGCAAUAAUAUUCUCAAUAGAGGGACCAUGAUAUCUCAUGGGUUUGAGACAAUAUGUCUCCUUAGAUUAUCCAAAGGACACGUGAUAAUGAAAUUUAUGGUCGUAAUAAUUCCUUUAGUUGAAUUUCACAUACACUUCUUAGAGUUAGGGUAUGAUAGUUAAUCUUUUAAUAAGUGGGAUUUGUAACUCAAUGAUUGGAGAUGUAAUCGUGAUAGGUGAUAACACUACCUUGUUAGAUUACGAACACUAGUUCAUGAUGAGCUUUCAUAUAGAAAAUUGUAGGUCACGGACCUAAGCUCCAUCUCAUUGUUAUUUAAAUAGGGUACUGGAGUGUAGUUGAUUUUCUAUAGUAGGAUAUUGAAUCAACUUUAUAAUUGGAUUCUAAGGGAGCUAGUACACUUACGAGUCUUAUUAGUCCUCGCUUUGAGCUCAUAUACCAUGUUAGCAUGGUUUAUGAGGGUUGGAUUGAUUCUAUGUUCACUCUUGUGCAUAAGGGCAUUUUGGUAAUUGCAUAAGAUUGAAUAGGGGUUAGUGGACAAGGUCUCUAGAUUGAGCUAAUUGAUUGAUUAGAUGGACUUAUGUUGUUAAUUAAUCAAUUAUGACCCGUUUUAGCCUAGAUUAAGUAACUUAGGACUAUAUGGGCUCAAGUCACUUAAGCCCAAUAAGGAAACCCUAUAAAUGCCUCUUCAAGGGCCAGUUAGGGUUUCCAUGACUUUAGACAAUUAUCUUCCAUCUCCAAAGAGAGAGAGAGAAAGAGAGGGAGAGAGUCUAGAUUCCCACCCUUGCAAAGCUCACACUUUGGAGUGUUAAGAUCAUGGUUUGAGUAGUCCAAAUCUAGGAACAUCCAAACUAUUUGGGCACAUUUUUCACCAAGAGAAAUUGAUCUAGGGCAUCCAGAUCUAGAUCUAUGUAUGAGUCUCUCAAUCUCUAACUAUUUAUUUUGUAAUGAUUUUUGAAGCCAUUAUUUUUAUGCACUAGAUUUAGAGAACCUAGGGUUAAAUGCAUGCACCCCACGAGAUCUAAGGCAUAGGAACAAAGUAAUCCAAGGUUCCUAAGAAAUACCCCCUUAGAGGUUAGGGUUUCUAAGGUUUUCAAUUGUCUUCAAGAUCUAGAAAGUGUAAGAGAGAGAGCUUAGGAAUCCUCCAUUCCAAAGUCCACUCUUUAGAGGUCUAAAAUCGUGGUUCGAGUAAUCGAGCAUAAGAUCUUGGAUGUAAGAGACCUCCAAACUCUUCAGGUUUCUUUUUUACCCAUGAAAUUGAUUUGGGAACAUCCAGAUCUAGAUAUGAAUGUUUCUUUUCUAGUUUUAUUAAUCUAAAUUGUUUUAAAAAUCAUGUUUCAACUCAAAUUAGUUUCUAUAGAAGCUUAGGGUAGAUUUACAUGUACCUAUACAAUCUAAGAUAUGGGAAUGGAGUGAUCCAAGGUUCUCAAUAGACACACUAUCUCACUCUCAUGAGAUAUCAUGGUGCUUCUAUUAAUAAUAUUUUUUGCUAGCUGCUCCAUAUGGAUAUAUGACCACAUUAGGGUCUCACCCAUAAAUCAAAGUUUCUUGUUGAUUUUAGCAUAAAUUCAAUAUAUUCUCAAGAUUGAGAGUCUAUAUAUCAAGUAGCUUUGUGAAUCAUGACAACUAAUAGCCUUAUGUCAUGAUUCACUAUAGGUCUUGUCCAAUAUGUAACCAUACACACUAAUGUACUCACCAUGGGAAACCUAUCUCGAUGGUCAUGAUAAGCCAUCCCUCCAAUUAGGAGGUAGUGCAUUAUAGUCUCUAUUGAAUUGCCCAAAUCUAUGAACCAACUAUAAACAACUAAUCAUCUUGCAAGGAACCCAUGACUUAUGUCCUUUAUGCAAUUCCUAAUACAUUGAAGUCAUAUACAAUGCAAGUGAAAUGACAUGUUUGUUCAGGUAACCAAUCAAUACAAAAUGGGAUAGUAAGUUGAAUAAAAAACAUAAAUAAAUAAAUUUAUUAAUGAAUCUAAAACUGUUAUAUCAUGUCAUGCUUUCCAAGGCUCUAUCCCAAUACGUUGGAUUAGGUGACCUGAAUCUAGUUUAAGCUUAAGUCACUUAAACCCAUAAGAAACCCUAUAUAAAUCCUCUCAAAGGUUUAGGGUUCACAAUUUUAACGUUUUGGCCAUCAUUUUCGAGAGAGAGUAAGAGUAAGCCCUAGCCACUCUUAAGACAAGAAGAGAAGCUCACCCUUCUGUUGUGUUAGGAUCUUUGAAGGGAGAAAUCGGAUAAAAGAUCUUUGGGUAGAUGAACUCCACAACAUCCCCAACAUCUUCUUUGACAUCUUCCUGGGAUUAGAUUCGAUUUUGGAAUAUCCAAAUUACAGGUAUGAAACUUUAACCUCUACGUCUAGAUCAUAAUAUGGUUUUAGUUACCACAUAUUUCUACUAUGUUAGAUGUAGAGAGCCUAGGACUAGAUUGCAUGGACCCUACAUGAUGCAGAGCCUAGGAAUAGAGUAACUAGUGGUUCCUAACAAUUUACAAUUAUAAAAUGAUGAAAACUAAUGUCUUUUCACCAACUAAACCUUAUAAAGCAUUGAAAUCAUUAGUUUCAUUGCAAUUUCAAGUUAAAUAUUAAAAUGCACUAAGUAUGAGUCUCACACACAAAAUGAUCCCUAAUGCUCAUUAAUAUAUGUAUAUAUAUAUUUUAUUUUUAAAAAGUCAAAAGGAUAAUGAAGAUGAUAACAAACCAAUAAUCAAAGCAAACAUUUGAUAAUGAAUAAAUAUGUUAUGUUUAGUGUCAAAAUAAAAUAAACGCUAAAUUUUCUAAUAAAAGAAUUUGAUAAUAGGUUGUGACUACAAGCUAGAUAUCAAUUUCAUAUUGAUACAAAAACAGAGCUUAAACCAAUUUGAAAAACAAGCAUAAAAUCAACAUGUAUCAAAUCGAAAUCAACAUGUAUUUCAAUAAAUUAUAAAAAAAAUCAAUACAACACUAACAAUGGUAAUGUUAUUCUUUGGGAUAAAUUAAUAUAAAAAUAAUAAAGGCUCUAAGGUAUCAAAAUAUCAUUAAUGAAUACAAAAUCUAAUUCAACCAAUUUUAGGCAUUCUCAUAUGAAUUUAGAAGUAUAAAAUGAUGAAAACUAAUGCAUUUUCACAAGCUAAACCUCAUAAAAGCAUUGAAACCAUUAGUUUCAUUGUAAUUUCAAACUAAAGAUCAAAAUGCACCAAAUAUGGGUCUCUCACACAAAAUGAUUCCUAAUGCUCAUUAAUCUAACAUAUAUAUAUAUAUAUAUAUAUAUAUAUUCAUAUAAGAUGAAAACAAAUAGAAUUCAACAAUUUUUAAAGGGCUAAUUUUUUUUAAAAAAUGAUAAUAUAUUGAAUGAAAGCAUGGAGUGUAGUUGGGGAGGCUUCAAGACUUGUUCAUAGCUUUGAUCUUUCUCUUUGAUCUCCAGUUUGACAAAGUUUCACCUCCUUUUAUUUCCAUAGAAUCGUCUCAUUUGAAAAUGUAGCUUUCUCUUUGUAUUUAUUGCUAAAAGGAUGAUGAUAAACCAAUAAUCAAAGUUAACUUUUAAUAAUGAAGUAAUAUACUAGGUUCAAUGUCAAAAUCAAAUCAACACCAAAUUCUCUAAUAAAGGAAUUUGAUAAUAAGUUGUGACUGCAAACCACAUAUAAAUUUCAUUUUGAUACAAAAACUGAGGUUGGACUAAUUCGAUAAACAAACAAAAAAUAGGUGGUUCAAGAAUUGAUUUGAAAUUAAUACUUGAUUAAAUACAACUACCCAAAUUGAUACUACUCUACAACAUAGAACCAAUGUUGAUCCCAAUAUGAUAACAAGAUCUAUGCACCAUGAAAAAUCAACAAAAAAAAAUUACCAUAGACUUGCAUUGAAUCCAAAUCAACACUAAUUUCAAUGAAGUAUUAAAAAAUCAAUACAAUACAAACAAUGGAAACAUCAUUCUUUGGGAUGCAUGAAUACAAAAACAAUUAAGACUUUGAUAUAUCAAAAUGUUAUUAAUGCUUUAGUAAAAAAAUCUAAUUCAACAAGUUUUAUCAAUUUCCAUUUGAAUUUACAAGUAUAAAAUGAUGGAAACUAAUGCAUUUUCAAUAGCUAAACCUCAUAAAAGCAUUAUGUAGACUUUCCUUUUUGUCCUCAUAACACAUGCUUUUAAUUGUACUUAGUACCCCUCAUUUUUUAGCAAUUUAAAUUUUUUUUUUUGGUUAUAAAUUAUAUGAAUGUUUUAACACUUGGAGAAAUUGGAACGAAGCAAAAUAUGUAGAAAAAAGAAAUAAUUAUCUAUAGCUAUCUUUAUUUUAUUUUUUAUACGUUUCUAUUGACAUGGAAUAAAUCAUCAAUAAUUGUUGUGAUUAAUAGCGUUGAGAAAAGUCAAUGGCCAUAAUAAUAUUCUAUUGCCAUUUUUUUUUUUGUAAAAUAUUAGAUCAAAUCACAUCUUCUUGUAAAAUUAUCAUUAAGAUUUACAUGAUUUCUUACAACGUAGCUUAAAACCAAAUAUUUCAUCAAAGAAGUUAUCAAUAACCAACCCCACACAAUGAUAUCUAUUAUAAUACAAACUUCUUCAAUAUGUUUGUUUGUGAGUGUAAAGAAAGAAAGGUAACAGAAAUUGAGAAAGUAAAAUAAAAGAAAAUUUUUCUCUUUUUUUGUUUUAUUUUUUUUUUCUCUAUUUAUUCUGCUAUUUACAGAGUAAUAUAUAAAGUAAACCUAACUAACAAAUUCUCUAACUAUUCAUCUAACAAUAAUAGAAGAAAACCAAUGAGCAUAUGACAUGUGUACAUCUUGUAACUAUAUGAAACUAUCUCUUAACAUUCUCCCUCAAACUUAAGGUAGAAAGAUUUUCUACUUUGAGUUUGUUUCUUAGAUUUACAAACUAAGUGCUUAAGACAGCUUUCAUCAAGACAUCUACUACUUGAUCAAUGGAAGGCACUUGUUAGAUUAAAACCUUUCUUUGCAGAACCUUUUCCCUAACAAAAUAUAAAUCCAAUUCAAUGUGUUUUGUCCUAGCAUGUAAUAUUAGAUUAACAACCAACAUAAUAGUGCUAAGAUUAUCACACCAAAUAACUGUUGUUGUAGGCAAAGUGAUUUUAAUUUAUGAGAGAAGAGAUAGUAACCAAGUGAUUUCUGCAACCAAACCAGUUAGGCUUCUAUACUCUGCUUUUGUACUUGAUCUAAAAAUAGUAUGUUAUUUCUUUUACUGCUAAGUGACUAAAUUUGAACGAAAAUAUACAAAAAAUCCUAAAGUUGAUCUUGAGUCAUAAAGAUCAGAGGCCUAAUCGACAUCACAAAAUGCUACAAGAUCAAGAGUAGGAGACUUUCUUAAAUAUAAUCCAUGAUGAAGAGUUCCUUCAAGUAUCUAAGAAUUAUUUUGACUACUUUCUAAUGAGAUUCUAAUGGAGCUUGCAUAUAUUGACAAACUUUAUUAACACUAUAGGCAAUUUCAGGCCUAGUAAUUAUUAUCUACUACAAAGCUCCUACAAUUGAUCUGUACAACUUCACAUCCUAAAUUGAUUCACUUCCAUAGCCUGAAAGUUUUUGUCAAUUGGUCAUGGGAGUAGAAAUAGGAUUGGCACUUUGCAUUUUGGAUUUGUAUAAUAGAUCAAUUAUGUAUUUUCCUUGAGAGAUGAAUGCUUUCAACAAUAUGCUUCACUUCAAUCCCUAAAAAUAGUUGAUUUCUCCAAGAUCUUUUAAGGCAAACUCUCUGUUUAAAUUGGUAAUGAGAUGCAUCACAGCUUGUUCACUACUACUAGUGAUAAGAAUGUCAUCUACAUACACAAGAAUAUAGGUAGAAUGAAUUUUUGUCACACAAAUGAAUAGAGAUUGAUCUGACUUUGUAGAGAUAAAUCCAAAGGAAUAUAGGGCUACACUUAACUUUUCAACCAAACACUUGGUGCCUGUUUUAAGUCAUAUAAAGUUUUAUGUAAUUUGAAAACAAGAUGAGAUUGGUUGUGCUGAAUAAAUCUAGGAGGUUGUUCCAUAAAAACUUCCUCAUGCAACACUCCAUUCAAAAGGAAUUAUUAAUGUCUAAUUGAUGAAUUAACCAAGCUCUAGACAAAGCUAUAGUAAGCAUAACCCGAAUAGUUGCAGGUUUAACAAUUGGAUUAAAAGUUUCAUUGAAAUCAAAACCAACAACUUGAUGAAACUCUUUUGCAUAUAUGUUUAACAAUCAGAUCUAGUUCUCUUGCUCUAUUUAAAUCCCUGGCAUUUAGCGCCUCCUUGUCAUCUCUCUUUGUCGCAAAUUUCUCUUCUCAGGAUAAGCCCAAUCAUGAUCACCCAAUUUGUUCUCAUUGUGGGCUCAUGGGGCAUAUUGUGGACCAUUGCUACAAGUUACAUUGGUGCCCAACUGGGUACAAGCCUAAACCCAAGGCCCAAAUGAGCUCUCUUCGGUCCACCAACAAUCCAUUAUCUUUCCCUGAGCCAUCAAAGGACAUCCACUUCUCUUCUUCAGCUACAACUACCAUACCACCCUCUCCACUUUCUGGUUCUCUCUCAACAGAUCAAGUUCAAUAGCUCAUAAAGUAGACUUUGUUCACUUUGGAAGGAUCCUUUGUCAUGCUCAAAUCUUAUUAUGCGCAUGCAUUGUUUAACUAAGAUCAUUAUAAUUGUUUCCCAAAGUGAGUCAAUGCCAAAUAUUGAAUAAUUGGUUAAGCAUAACUCUUACACACAUUCUAAAAUUUAUGCUCUUAAAUGUAUGUGACUCACUUGCGACAUUUGGAAAUACCCCUAAAAUGGAUACAAAAGCAACGAUGAAUGAAAAAAAUCACAAUGUACAAUGGCUCUAUUUUCAAAAGAAAAAAAAAUCAAUAUUGAUCAUAGUGUACAAUGGCUCUACUUUCAAAAGAAAAAGAAAAUAAAAAGGAAUAUGAUAUCAAAUUAAGGGAAAGUCAAGUUGUGUUGUAUAUAGAUCAACAAGACCUUGUUAAAUGGAAAUCCAACAAUCUUAAAUCAAAUUAAUUAGAUGUGUACUUUAAUUAGAACAAAUGCAUGACUAGAUCUCUUCUAAGUGAUCAAAUUUUAAAUGUAGAACUGGACAAUAAGUUGUAUUCCCUUGAACAUCAAUACUUAUGUUUCUAUGUUGGUCCUCUUAUCCACUAAUGGUUAUGCAUUGGGUUUCAAAACUAAAAUUACAAUUAACUUUGACCUUUGGACUUGAAACCUCAUUCUUGAUGGAUUGAUGUAUAAUAUCUAAAGUAAUUUUGUAAUUGAUUGAAGAAACUCCUACAAGACAUUUAAAGAAAUCUAGUACACCAUUUCUUAUUUAUCACUUUUUUGAGUUGUUUCAAGCACUCUAAGUUUCUGGUUCUUUGUCAUUUGAGGUCAAUUCUCUUAGUUUUUCGCAUUUUUUUCAUAUAGUAUUGUUUUACCCUCAUUUUUAGUAUUCCUAGUUGUUUAGGGGUUUUUUUUUUGUUUUUUUGUUUUUGGAUUUUUAUCUAUUUUUCUUUCUUUUAAUGUCCUUUUAUAUUUCAUCACCUUGUUAUGGCAAGUCAUCCUCAUCCUCAUGAGCUGACCCCUCCAAGGUCACCUGAGGCCGUUUAGAGCAUUGCUCUCCAAGGUCCUUUUGGCCUAAGAGCUCUUUCUAUUGAGUGCUUCCAUUGUCAGGAGGCAUGAGACCGAUACUACACCUCUUUCCAUAAUUGACUAGUUGAGGUUGAGCAUUCAGUCAAUCUCAAAGUCUUCUAGGAGACUUCUUUUCUUACUGUUGUUAGAGAUUGAGGAUAAAAGACGUUACUCUCUCUUUAGGGGACUUUCUACCCCCAUCUUAUUUUCAUUUUCUAUCUGUUGUAAUUGGAGUUACCUUUCAGGUGAUUUUGUAUGAUCAACCAUUUCUUGUCUCUUCCUGUUCCAUCCAACAUGUCCUUAGCAUGCUGCAACUUGAGUCUUGCUUUGGUCAGAAGCUAUUCUCCAAGCCAACAUGGUUGCUAGCUACUUCUACCAUUCUACUCAUCGUACCCAGAUCUGUCAGUCGUUUACUCAAUUCAUUCAUGCCAUACUCUCUGGCUACCAAUUCGAUAUCAACCAAGUGGUUUUGGAUAGCAUUACUCCUUCCCGUGAUCCAUCUUUUUGAGGAGGCACCCCUCCCUUUAACCUUCUCAUCUCGUAGAUUUUGGAGGAUGUAGGUUUUGGGAUAAACCUUGCAUUAGGGGUCCAAGCUAACCAUGCCCUCUUGGAUGGAUGCUCCUAGGCUAAGCAUUAUAACCACAUUUAGGGACUGAUGGCACCUCCAACCCACCAUGGUCCUGAAAAUGCGGCUCAACAAGCAGCUUAGGAGGCAACAACAUAUGAGAAUGAGCUCCAAGCUAUGAAGCAAGGUGUAGUACCUGAGGUAAAUUAUCUCAAGCCUUCUUUAAGAACUUGUUCUAGUUGAGGUCAUGCAAGUUCUUCAUGAGCUACUCAUGAGCAAUGUUAGAAAUGCCACAAAAUGUCAGUGAUAUUUCACCAAUAUUUCGGGUAUCGAUGGGGCUCGAUAGAUAAAUAGGAUGGAAAUUUUGGUUAUUAAAAAUUUCAAUUAUUUCCCUCAUUUUUCAUUGAUAUAUUGGCUAUAUGCUGAUAUAAUACCGAUAUAUCAGUUAUAUUGGUGAUUUUUUAGUGCCUUGCUUACUUUUAGGCCAAAAGGUUUCCCCAUUUUUACCAAAAGGUUUCUCGUUUUUGCCAAAAUGUUUCUUUUAUUUAUUUUUAUUUUAGGCCACAUUCUCACACACACGACCAUACAAUAGUCGUUCCAGAUGAGAAAGUCACCAUCUAUUAAAUAGGCAAUUUUGUUCUCUUAAGUUGUUGAUGUGGGACAACUUUUAUUGACAAGUUUAAAAAUCUAAUCAAACAGGUAAACAAAAUUUACAUUGGUGAGACUCAAACCCGAGUACACAAGUUUGUCGUGAAAGGACACUAGCAUUGAACCAUAUGUGAAUUUGUAGUUUUAAUUGUAUAUAGAAUUAUAUAUAUAAUGUACAUAUCUUUUAUACGUUAUAAUAUUUUUAAUAUAUAUUAUAAUAUUAUUUAAUAAAUUAAACUAUUAUAAAUAAGUUAUUUUUAAUUAUCUUAUUAUAUAUUUUGUAUACCAAUUAAAUACAAGGUAAAUAUCAAUUUUAUAAAUAAAAUAUUAACAUUUUUAAUAUAAAAUACUUAUCUAAAUAUCAUUGUUUUUUUUUUUAUCCCUCAAUAUAUUCAAUUUAGACAUAUUAUCAUUCUAAUAUUAAUGUGCUUUUAAAUUAGUAUAUUAUUGCCUACUAUUACAAAUUUAUUACAUAUUACUAUAUAUAUAUAGUAAUAUGUGUUUUUUUUUCAUGUUUUAUCAUUUUUUUUUUGAAGUUUCCAAGUAUUUUCAUGAAUUUCUGUUUCAUCAAUUUUUUUUUUUUGGGUCAAAAUAUUCCACCGUUAUUCCCUGAUAUAUCUAUAAAAUCCAAUGAUCAAUAAAUCCGUGAUUACUGAUAUUUUCAUUCUUGCUCAUGAGACAUCUUCUUCUACCCACCCACCUGAGAGACAUUCGAUUCCAUGGCCUAUCUCCAGCAACCAAUGGACUCCCAGGAUCUUUAGCUUCAUCAGAUCCAGGGACAACUCCACUAUAUCAUUUCCUAGAUCCACUCUAAAGGCGCAUUGAGCUCUAUGUCUCCACCUCCUUCGGAUACUUAUAUAUGUGUGUGUGUGUGUGUGUGUUCUUUUUCUAUUGUUAAUCUGGAUUUGUGUUUUUUUUGCAUAUCUUAUGUAUCCAAAAUCAUUUUUUUUCUAUAUAUAUUCUUCUUUCUCUUUAACUCUUGUGUGCUUUCCAAUGUUUAUAAUUCAUAUGUUUUGCCAUUUUUAUGACAAAAAAUAAAAAUAAAAAUCAUUGACCAUAUUUAAUUCACUUAAAUAGGGGAAGCAUAGGCAUCGAUAUAAUAGAAAAAAGAUAAAGGAACUCCUUGAAAAAUAGGAGUUAAUAAGUUUUGAAUUAUUUAUUCAAUUCAUUCUUUUACUCAUUUAAUUCUUAAGGGAAAUUGUAAUAGUGGAGAAAAUUAAACCUGAGACAUUGGAGGAAAUUAGAUCAACUAUUGAAAGCAUAACUUGGAAGUUUAAGAGAGUUACCUAAUAUAGAUAUAUCCUAUAAGAUAUUUCUAUUUGAAUUGUCUUUCAUUUUAGAACUAUUAUGAGUCACAAAAGCUUCUUCUCAUGACUUUUAUUGUCUAUUUUUUGGUUGGAGAUAGACCUCUAGGCAUCAUAGUUGAUCUAUUGUGUCUUAUCCAGCUUCUAUUAUGUUAUGUUGAUUUGUAUACAUUUAGAUUCCUUUCGAGCUUUACUUUGUACCUUGUUAUCACUAUAGGGAUAUGUUUCUCUUACAUGCUUUCACAAUGUAUCGAGCAAAAUCUCCAACUAUCAUGUUCUAUUGCUUUGAUCAUAUCUUAUCUCACACAUUUUUCCACCUUUGUUGAAGUUUUUUUUUUGUGUGUAGGUUAUAGGAUUGGAAAAUAAGUACUACUAGAUGAUUCAAAACAUUCCCUUAGUUUAUUUUUAAUUAAGCAUUAAUGUUUGUUAUGUAAACUCCGUUAUAAGAGUUCGGGUGGGUUUAUGUAAUGAUGUUUUGUCACAAGAUUGCCAUAAAGGGAAAUUGUUAGGACAUUAAGCCUUGAUUAUAUGUCGUCAAUUUGGUUCCUUUUUAUAUUUGGCCAUAGAAGUCUUUUUAGAUAGUGACUUGCUCUCUAUUGAAGAUUAAGAGUUGUAAUUUGUCUAACCGAGAAUUCAUAAGUACAUCUAAAAAAGUUUGGCUUGUAGUAAGUUAGGCUUCUUUGAGGUAUAAAUAUGAUUGCUAAUUGUUUUGAACUUAAAAUUAAUUUUUAUAAAGUUUUUUAAAAAUAGAGGAUGCUCAAGUGGGGAGCAGUGCUUAAGUGUUGUGACCGCUCAAGUGCCCCACAUUGCUUGAGCUCCCAAAACGCUCAAGCCACCUUUGUAAGCUCGAGAAAUCGUGAAUCUCUAGUCGAGAUUUUUUCACGCAAAAUUGAUUUGGAAGUCUUCUAAAACCAAACCUUUUGGAGAUUUAUUCCUACAAAUACCUCUUUAUAACCCUUUAAGGGUUAUAGAUUGUUUUAGAGAUUAGUGAGAGAUCUUACAUUCUUUAGAGAGAGUCUCUUAGAGAAAAAGCCUAAUGAGCCACACCAUUCCCGAUCUCUCAUUCAAGGAUUCAAUAUUUGAAUCUUGGUUUGAAAACUUACAUCCCUUUAGCAAGGUUGAAAUGCAUUCAUUAGAGUAAUAGGAGGUUGCUACGUUGCAGACAUGGAUCAAGUUUUAAGUAUUGAAGAGUAAGUCUUUAGGGUAAAGUGGCCAAGUAAAUCUAUGUAACUUGAUAUCAUAUAAUGGAUUUAGAUUAGCGAUCAUAGACUUCAUGGUUUUUUAUCUCCACAGUUAGUGUGGGGGUUUUCCAUGUAAAAAAUCUCUUGUACCUCAUUGUUUAUUACUUGAUAUCUUGUUUGAAUUGCCUAUAAUAGAAAUGAUUGAUAUACCUCAAUAUAUCGUAGGAUAAAAAUUGGGUAUAACAUAUAAACUUUAUUUAAAUUUUUUAAUACAUCCAUUUAGCCCUCCUCCCCUAGGUAUUUCCCCACUAGACUUAGGGGCUUUUUCAAACCAUAAGUUAGUUCACCCUGAGCUAUUGGUUUAUGUUGUUGACCAUCAUUAGUUGAUUCAUUUUUUUUAUUGCACUUGUUAGUCGAUUAAUAUAUAUAUAUAUAUUGUUUUCUCAUACCUAACUUUGGUUUCUUGUGAUUCUUCCACCUAAAACCUACCAAUUAUUUUACAUCAUAAACCAGAGUUUCACCACUUGUUUUGUAUUCUAACCUUAACAAUUCAUCUUCUUUAAAAGUAACAUCUCUACUGAUUUUUGCCUUCCUCAAAUUUAGAUGCUACAACUUAUACCCCUUCACUUUAGUAGGAUGUACAAGAAUUAAACAUUUCUUUCUUUGCUCUUGGUUGCAACUUUUUAUCAUUUACAUGUGCAUAUGUUGUUGACCCAAACACUAUAAGGUGUUGGUAACUUCCUGGUUUACCUGUCCAUAUUUUUUGAGGCGUUUUGAACUUUAUGGAACUCGAAGGGAAUUUGUUAAGCAAGUGACAUGUUGUAUGGAUAGCUUUCGCCUAUAACUUUUUAGGUUAUUUUAUAUUUAUCAACAUGCAUCUUACUCUUUCAAGAAUAGUAUGAUUCAUCCUUUUAGCCAAGCCAUUUUGCUGAGAUGUACUCUUCACUGUUCUUGUUGGGAUUAAGCCCCUAAAGGAAAGACAUGAUGUAACAAAGUUAGAUUUAACUAUCCUCUUGCCAUCCAUUUGGUGUAUUGACAUUAAUUUGAGCAUUUAACUCAUAUCUCUUACAUUAUUAUAUGACUUGGGUGCAUUAGGAGUUGCACACAAGAUACAAGUCAUGAGUUCCUCAUAAGUACAUAAGUUGUCCACAAUUGGUUAAUGGAUUUGGUCAAUCCAAUAAAUAUUGUAGUGCACCACCUCCUAAUUGAAGGGAUGACUUAUCUUGGCCAUUGGGAUGAGUUUCCCAUGAUGAGUGCAUUAGUUUAUGUGAUACAUAUUGGACUAGAUCUAUGGUGAAUCAUGAUGUAAGGCUAUCAAAUGUCAUGAUUCACCAAGCUAUUAUGAUGCAUGGACUCUCAACCUAGAGAGGAUAUUGAGCCUAUGCUGAAAUCAACAGAAGGCUUUGACAUAUGGGAGAGACCCUAAAGUGGUCAUAUAUCCUUAUGGAUUAGGUCACUAUUAAUGGAGGCUAGUAACAAUAGGUAUUCUUAAUAGAGGCAUCAUGAUAUCUCAUGGGCUUGAGAUAGUGUGUCCCCUUGAGUGAUCCAAAGGACAUGUGAUCAUGAAAUUUUUGGCCACAACAAUUCCUUUAGUGAAAUUUGACUUAUGCUCCUUGGAGUUAAAGUUAGAGCAUGUCAGUUAAUCAUAUAAUAAGUGGGAUCUAUAACUCAAGGAUUGGAGAGGUAAUCAUGAUCGGUGAUAGCACUACCUUGUUAGAUUACGAACACCAGUUCAUGGGGAGUUUAUAUGCAAUGGAUAGUAGGAUGUCGUGGACCUGAACUUUGUCUCAUUGUUAUGUACAUGAUUCGUGCCCAAUUGGUGUCUCAGCUGAUUCGUGUCCAGCUGGUGCUCCUUGAUUGAGGGAGUAAUCAACAAAAUUUAUAACCUAUUACACCAUAUACUAGGGUAGCAAAGACAAAGCUACUAUAGUAUAGCGGCUCUAGGAUCGUUCACUGGGAAGGAUUAGCAAGCUAUCAAUGAUACCAAUUCCAAGUGAAUUGGUCUUGUUUCAUUUCAAGGUUAGCUUAAGAAAUAAAACACAAACUUUGAUUGGUAAAGAUUUAAACUAACUAACAUAACAAGUACUCGGAAUAACUUAGGAAGAAAAGCAUUCCUUGGAGAGUUAGGUUCACUGGGGUGGUUCCUCAUGCAAAAGACAUAGCUCCGGUCAGAUGGUUCCUUUCCUCGUGUUAGAGAUUCAACAUAUAGUCACUUCUCUAACCGGUGUUGUACAGCUACCUCCUUUAAUUAGAUUUCACUUUAAUUCUCUCACUGAUGCAACUUGCAAUGGUUUAAGCCUCUCACUAAGCCUUAACCAUUCAAGGUGAUCUUUAACCUUGGAUUACCCGUCAAAAGCUCGCAAGAGAUAACUAAUGGAUGUCUCCUUGGAGUCCAAAAGCUUACCAAGUGUUGGCUAUUCUAGAAAAUCCUACCCUAAAGUCACCUCCCAGAGGCUCGCAAGGGGUAAACUGGUGCAUUUCCAUGGUUGGAAAUCACUUUCCUUACCAAGUGUUGGCCCAAGUGACUCUAAGGUGUUUUAAGUUAACUAAAAACAUAGAAAUCACUAAAGGAUUUCACUUCCUCUUCAUUACUAGCUAAAACCACAAAGCUUUGCAUUCUUGCACUUGGAACCUUCCCCGGCAACCUUAGCUCCAAGGAAUUAGAGGUUUAGUUACUCAUUCUCUGGGGAAAAUUCCUCAGAGAGUUCAUAACUUAGUAAGAAAAUAAAAAUACAAAGUGAGAAGGUAAGGCAAUACAAAGAACUGAACUUUACUUGCUUACCCAAAACUUUACAAAAGGAUCUCCUCUCUAAGAACAGGCUCCCGAGAGGUAUAUAUAUGAACAUAAUAUAAAACUAAUUAUUACAUAGAUAUUUUCUCUUUUUACUAACUUAAAAGCUAAGGAAUCUUGUAAUUGGUGGCUUACAAGGAGUAUUUUGGGAUUUAGACAACAAAAAUCUGAUGUAAAAUAUUUCCCAAUGUCGGUAGCAAAUAUCGGGAUGCUCCAGGAACCAUUUCUCAAGAGAAAAUGGUGUCUGCGAGAUUUCGUAGGCACUCAAGAAGGGAUGCGAAAUCAUUUCGCAAGAACAUGCUAUCUUCGCAGGGCUGCGAAGUUGGCUUCCACCUUGAGGUUCUCAGCUCCCAGCUUGUGGCAUAUAUCGGGCAACUUCAGAAGGAAAUACACCCUACUGUACAAAAAGGCCGCGGAAUCACUUCGCAGCAAAAGGGUGAUUUCGCAACACUUUGGAAAAUGCUUCCUUCAGCUGGGAGUGAUUGGUUUGCAAAGGCUGCAACUUCUUCGUUUCAACUCCGAAUUGCGCACCAUUUGAAGAAUUGGAUUGUUGACUUCCUGAGAUUUGAAAUGGUAUAUAGCAUGCAUCAAUUUGACCUCAGAAAGUGCUCCAAAAGUGGCUGCUACGACUGUCAUCAAGAAUAUGCUUCUUGGCAGAUUCUCUUUACUUUUUCUCCUUGCAUUCCGGAUUUACUCUUGGCAAAUGACUUCCAAGCUUUGCCCAAGAUUCCUCAACACUCUCCUCAAUCUUGAAUUGCUUUGGUGAUCAAAUUACUAACAAAAACACCAAAACUUACACAAAGUGAUUAAAAUUGCUUUCAAGGGUCCUUAAUAUGCUAAUUGAGUUAAAAGGCCAAAACUACUACUCAAAAGCGUUUAAAAGGAUUAAUUAUAAGUUAUCAAAUAGCACUUUUUGAGCAGUAAUCACUCCCCCCAACCGACAUAUUGCUAGUCCCUUAGCAAUAUAGGAGAGAAAAAUGAAAAUAAAAAGCAAACUUAACCUAUAAUGUACAACAUCAUGCUGAACAAAAACAAUUCUCAAGUGGCAUGAUGAUUUAAUUCUCUCAUGAAACAUUAAAGAAAUACAAACCCAAAUUUCAACAAGAGUUAUAACAAACUAUGCUAAACACUUUCAAUCAAGGGAAUGCAUUAUGCAAACUGAAGUUUUAAAAUCAUUUCCACUUUCAAAGAACCAAACUUUAUUCUUCCUCAAAAAUCUAUGUGUAUAGGUUCCUUAGGUUCCGAGAAUAAUAUGCUAAACUAAUCUCUCCCCCCAACCUAUCUCUUUUCAACACUUAGAAAACUGACCAAAAUCAAUAAAGAAAGAACACAUUUUUUUUUUUUUUUUUUAAGGAGGCUUUAUGGGAUACUCUUUCUGAAUUGUCCAUGUAAUGGGGGUCCAUCGAUGACUCCCAACCAAUUAAGGUUUAGGGCAUCAAGCUUUAAGGAUCUUUCAACCACUAACUCCAUGGAUUUUUCCCCGGACUUUUGAGAAUGAAUUUCUAAUACCCAAGCACCUAGCAUAUGCUAACUCUACCUAUUCACCCUUAUAACGAGCAUUGAGGUCGGUGACUCCCAACCAAUUAAGGCUUAGGGCACCAGGCUUUAAAGAUUUUCACCAUAUACCCCUCAGACCUUGCUCGGGUUUUAAGGCAAGCAAACAACUUUCUUUAUUUCAAAGGCUCAUUGGCCUUUUGCAGGGUGUUUCAAUUUUAUCAAAUGAGGUCAAAUAUACCAAGUCCCAAAAUUAUCCUAAGUCAAGAGGGAAAUAGCUUUUCAUGUUAUAAUCGGAAUCUAAUGUGUACAGUGUGUGAAUAGCUUAAAGUGGAAGAACUAAAUUCAAUUUCAAUAGAAGCUUCAACAAUUGAACCACUUUAGUGAGCAUAAUCCAUACUCUAAGUCAAGUGAAAAACAACAGUUCAAUUUCUCCUGUUUCAAUUUGAAAAUUUUUCCUCAAAAUUCAUGGAGAAUAGAGUAAAAAGAGUAAAAAGCAAAAACUACAACUAAUUUACCAAAAUAAUUGCAUUACCAAAAAGGCUUAGCAUACUUCCUUUAAUUUAGCAUAACUUCCUUCAUCAUUCCCCCCCAACCGAACCGAGCAUUGUCCUCAAUGUGAUAUGAGUGACUGUAAUUAAAGGGAGGAAGUGGUACCUCCUGAGUGAUAUCAAAUUCGAAUACUAAUUGGAGAAACCACAUGUUUAAAAAAGAAUAGAAUAUGUGAGAAAAGGAAAUAAGAAUAAGUUAAUGCUAACUGUUAACAAAAAAAUAUUAAACUUGUAUUACUUUGAAUCCAUUUGAGUACACUGAAAAAGAAAAGCAAUACAAGCAAUCCCAAAUAUAGUACCAAAAUAAUGGGAUUUCUUUCAAACUAAAAAUGAAAUACAUAAAACAAAGAUAGUAGAUAUAUAUAUAAUGAUCUAAUGAGUGGGUGGUGCUGGGGCUAGGCAGAUGGGUCUGCCUCUUCAGUUGGUGCUUCAGCUGGGGCUUGAGGCUCUGAGGGAUGAGAGUGUGGAUCUGCUGGAGUAGAAGUGGAGGGCUCAACAGCUGGUGGCAGGUCGAAAUGAAGCUGAAACUGCCUUAAGAUGACAGUGUGUUGAGCCUGAGUGGCCAACAUCUGCUCUUGGCAUGCUCUAAUGGCUGCCAUCUCUUGAGCUAGACUGCUCUGAGAUGUUGUGAGGGUCUCCAAUGCACGGCACAACUCUCGAUAUUCAGAAAUGGGUAUGGCCAUCCUCGGCUCAGCUGAAAUGGAUGGCUGAGAUGAAGCUGGAGCAGCUGGUGGAGCUCUGGGAAUGGCAGGAGCAGCAACUGUGAUACCCUCAGGUAUGUGUCGUGGGGAUGCUCUCCUUGUAGUUGGCUGAGGACGCUCAGGCUGGUCAACUCUAUAAGCUGUCAUGUUGUUCCAUUUGUCGAGAGUAAAAAGCUCACGACAAAUGCGCUUUCGCUCCAACUGAGGCUCAGAAGGAUAUCCCAAGUGCUCCAGAAUUUGGCAUAGCAGCCUUGGAAAGAGGAGGGGAAUGCAAUCAGCUCUCUGAAGCUUCUUUUUGUGUACAUUAUCUUCGAAAUAGAGAAGGACUGCCAGAAUCAGAUGAUGAGGCCCAAAGAAAAAUCCUUCAGACAUCUUGUAUAGGGCUUCUAAGAGGACUCCUCUUCUUUGAGUCCAAUGCUGCAAUGGGUAGAGGUUAUGACGCAAAAAUGCAUCAAUCAAAAACAUGAUUGGAGGAAGCUCCCCCCUCAACAGAUGUGAUCGAUUGGCAGCUCCUCUGGAUAGGGUGCGCACCAUCUCCAGCUCAGUAGGAUUGGUCCAAGCUCUAAAAUUAUCGAAUUGGGUUGGCUCAUAGGGAAUUUGCAAGGCUUCAGCUAUAUGGCGUGCUCCCAAUAUGCCAUGCCUCCCAUCAAUAGUGAAAUGAAUUAAAGUUGGAUCCCUGACCUGGUUAGUUGUCAUGGAUUGAUAGAAAUCCAUGGCUACCCUUGGGUAGAAAAAGUCUCUUGGAGUCAGUAGGUGCUCCAUAUGGUAUCUCCUCAGCAGGUUGAAUGUCUGUGCAAGCUCCGGCUGCAAUCGGAAUGCGGCUAUGUCAAAGCAUAGCUCAGAGUGGAAUGGCCGAGCUCUACAGUCCAAAUUUCCCUCAAUUGGGGGCUGAGUUAGCAUUGGCCUCUUGAUUAUUUCUUCCGGAGCUAUUUCGGAUUGAAUUUGGGGCUCUGGAAGUGGCGGCUAAGGCUCCUGAGAUUUCGCUUGCGGCGCCAGAAAUGGCACCGGCGACGGAACUGGCGAGGAUACCGGAGAUGGAACUGGAGUUGGAACCGGUGAUGGCUCUGGAGAUUGCUCCGUCUAGUCGAUGGGUUCUGAGCUUUCAACCCUGGGUCUCUUUUGCAGUGGCCGACCCCCUGACCUGGUAAGGUAACGUCUCGCCAGAGGCUUUGGCGGCGCUGGCUUCACCGGAGGAGGAGUUGCUUUCAGCUGCGAAGGCUCAGAAACGGGAUCCGGGACUGGCUCCUUUCGCAAGCUUCUCUUGCGGCUUGAAGGGGAGGAAGACUUGGCCCCUCUGGUUUGCGCCAUUUCGGGUUACCGAAAUUUGGCCAGAGCGGAUGGUCGGAGAAGAUGAUCGGAGGCUUGCGCGGUGAGGCUUGAGGAAGGAGAUGGACGGUCUGCGAGAAUGGACGGUAUAAUUUUGAAACCCUUUUCGCAGCUCAAAUGACCGGUAUAAAUAGGAAUAACGGAAGACUAAGGGUCAGUUUGAGUUUCGCAGUAAAAUGCCAUUUUCGCAGCUACUUCGCAAUGCGUUUCGCAGCUGCGAAAUUAAUGUUACUGUGCUGCGAAGUGGCACACGUGUGUCAAAAUCUCCUUCGCAAUUGCGAAAUACCCUGCGGAAUGGGACUUUUGUUGCGAAAUCUGGGCUUUACCACUUCGCAAGUCGUUUCGCAGCUGCGAAAUGGGGGCUCCUGUGCUGCGAAGUGGCACUCGUGUGCCAAACUUGCCUUCGCAGCUGCGAAAAUUCUCGCAGAGAAUCCCAAAGUGUUGCAGAAUGAUUUGGCAACAAAAUGCUCAUUUCGCAAAAGUUUUCUUUAGGCUGCGAAAUCUCGCAGAGCUCUGUUUUUGCUCUGUUUCACUCUGUUUUUGCUCCGAUUUCGAUCCGAUUUUUUCUCUUUCAAUUUCCUUGAAAUUUCUUCCACCUGAGAUCAUUUAAAAAGAUUAAAACACACCUAAAAACAUGAUUUAAGAUCAAAAACUAAGAUCAAAUGUAUGGAAAAAAACUUGAAAAUUUACAAAAUUUACAAAAAUUUUGGACUGUGGUAAACCAUGUCUAGCAAACCCUUCUUUGCUUAGGCUUUUUGAGGCUCAAGGAGGUUGAUAUCCUCCUUUUCUAGUUUGAAUGGCUCCAUUAAUGGCUUGAGACGAUAUCCAUUGACUUUGAAGGUGUCCUUGCCAUUUGAAUUCAAUAAUUCCACAUCUCCAUUGGAACAUACUCGGUGAAUUAUGAACGGGCCUAUCCACCUUGACUUGAGCUUCCCAGGAAAGAUAUGGAGUCUUGUGUCAUACAGUAAAACUCUUUACCCUUCCUGAAAUUCCUUAUUGGAGUUUAGUUGAUCAUGCCACUUCUUCAUCCUCUGUUUUGCAACUUUGGAAUUGAUAUAGACAUUAUUUCUUAAUUCCUCCAUCUCAUUAAGGUCUAGAUAUAUUUUUUCUCCGGCUCUGAUCAAGUCCAUGUUCAGCUUCUUUAUUGCCCACCAAGCUUUGUAUUCAACUUCCACAGGGAGAUGGCACGCUUUGCCAUAGACAAGACGAUAGGGAGACAUGCCAAGAAUAGUCUUAUAAGCUGUUCUAUAUGACCACAAUGAAUCAUGAAGCUUAAUAGACCAAUCUUUUCUGCUGGAAUUCACCACUUUCAUCAAUAUGUUCUUUAUUUACCUCUUAGCUAGCUCAACUUGCCCGGAAGUCUGAGGAUGAUAAGGUGUAGCCACCUUAUGCUUCACUCCAUACUUGGAUAACAGAGCUUCAAAAGGUUUGUUGCAAAAAUGAGCACCUCCAUCACUGAUUAUGGCUUUGGGUACCCCAAAUCUCGAAAAAAUGUUCUCUUUAAGGAAUUUGAGAACCACCCUGUGAUCAUUUUGUUUACAAGGGAUUGCCUCAACCCAUUUAGAAACAUAAUCCACCCCCACCAAGAUGUAAGAAUUACCAAAAGACAUUGGGAAAGGUCCCAUGAAGUCAAUACCCCAUACAUCAAAUAGCUCAACUAUUAGAAUGGGGUUCAUAAGCAUUUGAUUUAUUUUUGUUAACUUUCCAAGCCGUUGGCAUCUGUCACAACUUCUACACAUGAUGUAGGCAUCUUUGAAAAGAGAUGGCCAAAUAAACCCUGAUUGCAAUACUUUCAUGGCUGUUUUCUGAGAGGCAAAGUGGCCUCCACAUGCAUUCUCAUGACAAUGAUAUAGAAUCCCUUGCUGCUCAUCUUCAGGGACACACUUCCUUAUGAUCUGAUCUGCACAAUACUUAAAAAGAAAGGGCUCUUCCCAAUAAUAAGCAUGAAUUUUGGCAAAGAAGUGCUUCCUGUCCUGUGCAUUCCACUCACUUGGAAUUUCUCCAGUUACUAAAUAAUUAGCAAUAUGAGCAUACCAAGGAGUUUUCACUAGGAACAUGAGUGAUUUUUCAGGAAAAUCAUCAUUAAUAGGCAAGGGAUGGGAAUUAUGUGCUAUAACUAACCUUGAAAGGUGGUCAGCUACCACAUUCUCCACUCCUUUCUUAUCUUUGAUUUGAAGAUCGAAUUCUUGUAACAAAAGAAUCCAUCUAAUCAACCUUGCUUUUGCAUCUUGCUUUGUCAAUAAAUACUUCAAGGCUGAAUGGUCAGUGAAGACAAUGAUGAAAGACCCCACUAAAUAAGCACGAAAUUUGUCCAAAGCAAAUACCACAGCUAACAAUUCUUUCUCUGUAGUUGUGUAGUUCCUUUGAGCUUCAUUCAGUGUUUUGCUUGCAUAGUAAAUCACAUAGGGCUUCCCAUCUUCCCUUUGGCCAAGCACAACUCCUAUAGCAAAGUCACUGGCAUCACACAUCAGUUCAAAAGGUAAUUGCCAGUUAGGGGCUCUCACUAUUGGAGUUGUUGUUAAAAAUUUCUUCAGUUGAUCAAAGCUGUUUUGACAUCUUUCAUCCCAUAUAAACUUAGCAUCCUUAGCUAACAGCUCACAAAGAGGUUUUGAAAGACUUGAAAAACCUUUUAUAAACCGCCUAUAGAACCCUACAUGGCCAAGGAACUGUCUUACUCCUUUCACAGUUGUUGGGGAUGGUAAUUUGACAAUAAGCUCCACCUUUGCUUUAUCAACUUCAAUGCCUUUUUCAGAGAUGAUAUGGCCAAGGACAAUUCCUUGACGUACCAUAAAAUGGCAUUUCUCCCAAUUGAGCACCAGGUCUUUUUCAAUGCAUCUGUGAAGAACUGCUUCCAAAUUGACUAAGCAUUCCUCAAAUGUACCUCCAUAUACGGUGAUGUCAUCCAUGAAAACCUCCAUAAUUAGUUCCACCAUAUCACUGAAAAUACUCAGCAUACAUCUUUGAAAUGUAGCAAGUGCAUUGCAUAAACCAAAAGGCAUUCUCCUGUAAGCAUAUGUUCCAAAUGGACAUGUAAAAGUGGUUUUUUCCUGAUCUGCCAAAUAAAUUUCAAUCUGAAAAUACCCUGAAUACCCAUCCAAGAAACAAUAGAACGGAUGUCCAGAGACUCUCUCCAGCACUUGGUCAAUAAAUGGCAAUGGAAAAUGAUCCUUCCUGGUUACAGCAUUCAGCUUUCUAUAAUCAAUACACACUCUCCAACCUGAAGUGAGGCAUGUAAGUAACUUCUUCUCCUUUUUCAUUCUGAACCACUGUGAUUCCUAACUUCUUUGGUACCACUUGAGUAGGACUCACCCAAGGGCUAUCAGAUAUAGGGUAGAUGAUUCCUGCUUGAAGUAGCUUCAGCACCUCAGCUCGCACCACCUCUUGUAAAUGAGGAUUCAAUCUUCUUUGAAGUUGACGAAUUGGCUUUGUCUCCUUCUCCAUAUAUAUAUGAUGAGUACAAACUAAAGGACUAAUGCCUUUCAAGUCGGAUAUUUGCCAUCCUAUUGCCUUCUUACACCUCUUGAGAACUUCCAUUAAACAAUUCUCUUGAUGACUGGUCAGAGAUGAAGAUAUCACAACAGGACAUUGAUUAUUUUCUUCAAGAUAUGUAUAUUUCAGCUCCACAGGUAGAGACUUCAGAUUGAGUUUUGGAAUUUCUUUUUCAGCAACUGCCUCCUCUUCUUCAUUGAACAAAGGUAGAAUCUCUUCUAUCUUUCUCCAACUUUGUAGAGUAGCAAGCAUAGUAGGAGAUUCAGACAAACCUUCCUCAAAAUCCACAAGACUUUCAUUCAACUUGUCUUGCAUAUUUUGAUUACAGUGCUCCUCCACCAAAGUGUCAAUAAUGCACAGCUCUUCUGGACCCUCUUCUUCUUCCGGAGUGAUUUGCUUUUUAGACAUAUAGAAAAUAUUGAGAUCAAGUGUCAUGUUGCCAAAAGUGAGUUGCAUCAGUCCAUUCCUGCAGUUGAUGAUUGCAUUUGAGGUAGCAAGAAAUGGCCUUCCAAGGAUGAUAGGAACUAAAUUAGCUUCCUUUAUAGUAGGAUCUGUAUCAAGAACAAUAAAAUCUACUGGAUAGUAGAAAUUAUCCACUUGAACCAAUACAUCCUCAAUUACCCCCCUUGGAAUUUUCACUGAUCUAUCUACUAGAGAUAAAGUGAUUGCUGUUGGCUUCAACUCUCCAAGUCCCAAUUGCUUGUAGACGGAAUAUGGAAGCAAAUUCACACUUGCUCCCAAGUCUAACAAGGCUUUCUCCACUACCUUUCCUCCAAUCAUGACUGAAAUGGUAGGACUUCCUGGGUCUUUGUACUUCAAAAGAGACUUACAUUGUAAGAUUGCACUUACUUGCUCAGUCAAGAAGGCUUUCUUAUUUACAGUCAACCCUCUUUUGAUAGUACAUAAGUCCUUAAGGAAUUUUGCAUACGUUGGAACUUGUUUAAUCAUAUCCAGCAGUGGAAUAUUGACUUUCACUUGUCUCAAUACUUCAAGGAUUUCAGCUGCAUUUCUAAUCCCCUUUUUCCCAUGUAAUGCUUGAGGAAAAGGUGGAGAGGUUGAUUUCUUCAGCAUUUCUUCCUUCAUAAGUUCCUUCUCUGGAAUUGCAUUCAUUGUUGAAUCAGAGUCCUUCUUUUCUUCACUGAUCUCACUCUCUUUAUCUUCCAUUUCCUUCCCUUUCUUUAUCUCUUCUUCAUUAUCAACAUGUGGCUUGGGUGUUGGUUGCUCAAUUUUUUUACCACUCCUUAGAGUGAUCAAGGCGUUCACAUCUUUCACCUGUGAUGAUUCUCCCUCUUGGCUUUCCACUUCAUGGACACCUUUGGGAUUUUGGUGAGGUUGAGAAGGAAAUCUUCCCUUUUCUUGUAGUGUAUUCAAAUUUGUAAGCCUUGAAAUUGAAUAUUGGAUGUUAUCAAACUUUUGGUUCAUAUCAUUUUGCAUUCCAUCCAUCCUUUUAUUCAACAUACUCUCCACUCUAUCAAUUCUUUGAUAGAUUUGAGCAUUGGUGGCUUCUUGCUUUCCAACAAAAUCUCCCACUACCUUGCUGAGAUUAGCCAUUACUUGUUCAAGACUUGAAGAUUGUUGAGAUGGUGGAUCCGGCUGUUGGUAUUGAGUUGCUCUGGCCUUCCAUGAGAAAUUUGGAUGAUUCCUCCAACUUGAGUUGUAGGUAUUUCCAUAAGGCGCAUUGUUAUUGGGCUUGAAUUGCCCAAUAACUUUUGCUUGAUCUCUAAACAUUUCCCUUUCAGCUGAAAUUGCAGGGCAUUCCUCCACCAAAUGUUCAUAUGAUUGACAAUUAGGACACAGCUUCACUUGCACUGGUGCUUCAGCAACAGCUUGCACUUCAUGUAUUCUUUUCAGCUCCAGCUCCUCCAAUCUUCUUGUCAUAGCUGCCAACUUUGCUUUCAUAUCAUCAUCUUCUUUCAAGGUAUACAUCCCAGCCUUUGUAUUGAAAGCAUUCGGUUGAGACUUCAUCUUCCCCACUUCUCCUUUAGUUGGUUCAUCCCAUCCCCUUGAAACAUCAGCUAUAUAGCUCAAGAAAUCCAUAGCUUCCUCUGGAUUUUUUCUCAUGAAAUCUCCUCCACACAUUGUCUCGAGGAGUUGCUUCAUUGAGGAGGACAUACCAUCAUAGAAAUAGCUCACCAGUAACCAAGUAUCAAAGCCAUGGUGAGGGCAAGCAUUUAUAGCUUCCAUAUAUCUUUCCCAACACUCAUAGAAUUUCUCAUUCUCUUUAGCUGAGAAGUUUGAAAUUUGACUUUUCAAGCCAUUUGUUCUAUGAGUGGGAAAAAAUUUCUUGAGGAAUUCAGCUUGUAAGUCAGUCCAAGAACGGAUACUCCUUGGCCUUAAAGAAUUAAGCAAAAUUUUGGCCUUAUCCUUUAAAGUAAAAGGAAAUAACUUAAGCCUCAUCAAAUCAAUUGAAGCUCCUCCCUCUUGGAAUGUAUUACAAACAUCUUCAAAUUCCUUGAUAUGUGCAUACGGAUUCUCACUUUCCAUCCCAUGGAAAGUUGGUAGAAGUGGAACAAGAUACGGUCUGAUCACUAGCUGCUCUGUAGGGGGCACUAUACAUGAUGGUGCACUCAUACGAGGUGGAUGCAUACGGUCCCUCAUUGAUCUGAAUUCAUUGAGAUUGUCUUGACGACCUUGGUGACUAUGCUGAUCUUCAGGUGUAGCUUCCAUGAUAUUCAAGCUUACUUCGAAUUCUCUUCUCUGAGGUGUAUCACACUUAACAAGCCUUCCUCCACUGUCUCGUAUCCACUUUGGCAUACACAACUAGUAUCUAUCUGCAACUUAAUGAAAAUAAAGAACAACAACAGAAACAGGGCUACAACAACAAAAUUAAUCUAGGCUAAAUUUUAAAAUAUAAACUUAGAUUAUGAAUAAAUAAAUAAAGAAUGAGAAUUAGUAAAGUGAAAGAAACGUUACCAACUUGUGAUGAAAAUCACAAGUGCUCAAAAAUGGUAUCACUAUAAAUUUGACACCUUCCCUGGCAACGACGCCAUUUGAUUCGUGCCCAAUUGGUGUUUCAGAUAAUUCGUGUCCAGCUGGUGCUCCUUGAUUGAGGGAGUAAUCAACAAAAUUUAUAACCUAUUACACCAUAUACUAGGGUAGCAAAGACAAAGCUACUAUAGUAUAGCGGCUCUAGGAUCGUUCACUGGAAAGGAUUAGCAAGCUAUCAAUGAUACCAAUUCCAAGUGAAUUGGUCUUGUUUCAUUUCAAGGUUAGCUUAAGAAAUAAAACACAAACUUUGAUUGGUAAAGAUUUAAACUAACUAACAUAACAAGUACUCGGAAUAACUUAGGAAGAAAAGCAUUCCUUGGAGAGUUAGGUUCACUGGGGUGGUUCCUCAUGCAAAAGACAUAGCUCCGGUCAGAUGGUUCCUUUCCUCGUGUUAGAGAUUCAACAUAUAGUCACUUCUCUAACCGGUGUUGUACAGCUACCUCCUUUAAUUAGAUUUCACUUUAAUUCUCUCACUGAUGCAACUUGCAAUGGUUUAAGCCUCUCACUAAGCCUUAACCAUUCAAGGUGAUCUUUAACCUUGGAUUACCCGUCAAAAGCUCGCAAGAGAUAACUAAUGGAUGUCUCCUUGGAGUCCAAAAGCUUACCAAGUGUUGGCUAUUCUAGAAAAUCCUACCCUAAAGUCACCUCCCAGAGGCUCGCAAGGGGUAAACUAGUGCAUUUCCAUGGUUGGAAAUCACUUGCCUUACCAAGUGUUGGCCCAGGUGACUCUAAGGUGUUUUAAGUUAACUAAAAACAUAGAAAUCACUAAAGGAUUUCACUUCCUCUUCAUUACUAGCUAAAACCACAAAGCUUUGCAUUCUUGCACUUGGAACCUUCCCCGGCAACCUUAGCUCCAAGGAAUUAGAGGUUUAGUUACUCAUUCUCUGGGAAAAAUUCCUCAGAGAGUUCAUAACUUAGUAAGAAAAUAAAAAUACAAAGUGAGAAGGUAAGGCAAUACAAAGAACUGAACUUUACUUGUUUACCCAAAACUUUACAAAAGGAUCUCCUCUCUGAGAACAGGCUCCCAAGAGGUAUAUAUAUGAACAUAAUAUAAAACUAAUUAUUACAUAGAUAUUUUCUCUUUUUACUAACUUAAAAGCUAAGGAAUCUUGUAAUUGGUGGCUUACAAGGAGUAUUUUGGGAUUUAGACAACAAAAAUCUGAUGUAAAAUAUCUCCCAAUGUCGGUAGCAAAUAUCGGGAUGCUCCAGGAACCAUUUCGCAAGAGAAAAUGGUGUCUACGAGAUUUCGCAGGCACUCAAGAAGGGCUGCGAAAUCAUUUCGCAACAACAUGCUAUCUUCGCAGGGCUGCGAAGUUGGCUUCCACCUUGAGGUUCUUAGCUCCCAGCUUGCGGCAUAUAUCAGGCAACUUCAGAAGGAAAUACACCCUACUGUACAAAAAGGCUGCGGAAUCACUUCGCAGCAAAAGGGUGAUUUCGCAACACUUUGGAAAAUGCUUCCUUCAACUGGGAGUGAUUGGUUUGCAAAGGAUGCAACUUCUUCGUUUCAACUCCGAAUUGCACACCGUUUGAAGCAUUGGAUUGUUGACUUCCUGAGAUUUAAAAUGGUAUAUAGAAUACAUCAAUUGGACCUCAGAAAGUGCUCCAAAAGUGGCUGCUACGACUGUCAUCAAGAAUAUAUUUCUUGGUAGAUUCUCUUUACUUUUUCUCCUUGCAUUCCGGAUUUACUCUUGGCAAAUGACUUCCAAGCUUUGCCCAAGAUUCCUCAACACUCUCCUCAAUCUUGAAUUGCUUUGGUGAUUAAAUUACUAACAAAAACACCAAAACUUACACAAAGUGAUUAAAAUUGCUUUCAAGGGUCCUUAAUAUGCCAAUUGAGUUAAAAGGCCAAAACUACUACUCAAAAGCGUUUAAAAGGAUUAAUUAUAAGCUAUCAAAUAGCACUUUUUGAGUAGUAAUCAGUACAUAUGGUAUUGGAGUGUAGUUGAUUCUCUUUAAUGGAAUGUUAAAUCAAUUUCAAAUUUGGAUUUUGAUGGAGCAAAUACUCCUAUGGGUCCUAGUGGUUCUCGCUUUGAGCUUAUAUACUAGGUAACACAUUUUAUGAGGGUUGGAUUGACUCUAGGUUGAUUCUUGUGCAUAAGAGAAUUUUGGUAACUACGCAAGGUUGCAUAAGGGAUAAUGAACAAGGUAUUUGGUUUGGGCUAAUUGAUCAAUUAGAUGACCCUAUAUAGUUAAUUAAUCAAUUAAGAGCCAUUUUGGGCUAGACUAAGUGACUCAUGCCUUGAUGGGCUUAAGUCACUUAAGCACAAUCGACAACCUUAUAAAUACCCCUUUAUGGGUUAGCAUUUCCUAAUGACUUUUAAUGAGAGUUGUUUUCCACCUCUAGAGAAAGAGAGAGAGAAAGUCAUAGCCUCAUCCCUUUUGUUGCGCACACUUUAGAGUGCCAGGAUUGUGGUUCAAGUCAUCGGGUGGAGGAUCUUGGGUAUAUGAGACCUUCUUAGAUGAGAGGCUACAUCACAUGGACAUGCGUAGAGCACAUGCACAAGAUGUGCAUAGGCCAUGUGCAUGGGAAUUGCAUGACACAUGCACAUGGGCAGUAGCAUGAGGAGAGAGACUCUCUAGUUUUUCCAAGUAUGUUCUUCAUCGGAUGGAUUUUGAUCUGGGAACAUCUAAAUCACAUGUAUGAGUUUCAAAUCUCUAGAUCUAUAGUUAUUAAUGGUUUUCAUUGCUAAUUUAUUCCACUACGAUAGAUUUACAAAUGCCUAGGGAUAGAUGCAUGCACCCUAUGAGAUCCAAGGUAUAGGAACGAAGUAUUAAUCUAGUGGUUCCCAAGUAAUGAUAAUAGUAAGAUAUCAAGAUUGAACCUAGCACUAAUUAAACAUCUGGUAUUUAGACCUAACUCAUAUUAAUCUAAAUAGGAUCCAAAGAUUGGUAAAGUCUAGACUCUUUGAUUCCAAAAGAUCUUCUAGUUUACGAAUCCUAUAUAGAUGGUAAAAUGAUCAAGAGUACUAGAGGUAAGGAAUAUUUGGAGUUAGUGCAUACUAACAUGUAUGGAACUUUUAGAGUCUAUGCAUGGGGAGGGUAUGGGUAUUUCAUCACUUUUAGUAAUGAUUACUUUAGGUUUGGAUAUGUACAUAGGAAAUCCGAUGCCUUGGAUACAUUCAUUGAAUUUAAGGCGAGAUAGAAUAACCUAUUGGGUAUACAUACCAAGUCAUUUCAAUUAUAUCAAGUUGAUAUGUUUGGUAAGUUUGAUUCUUUCUGUUAGAGCAUAUGAUUAUUUUCUAGUUAUGUUCAUCAAGGUCUCUACUGAAAAACGAAUAAGUGGAAAGAAGAUAUCAAACUUGGAUGGACAUAGUAAGAUUGUGGAUAGGUUUCUCAUAUUUUCUCAAAUUCUUUUGGGGAUAUGUCUUAUAGAUUGUGUAAUUACUUUUUUUUUUUUUUUUUUUGCUUUCUUAAGAGGUGUAUUAGUUUAUAGGAUAUCUAAGAGGAUUUUUGGGUUAUAUUGUAGUCAAAAUCAUCAAAAGAUAUUUGUUAACAUAAAUGUCCCAUUUUUCAUGAAAAUUAUAUGAUAAGGAAGAAGGCAUAGAGUGAUAUCGAUUGGAGGAUAUAUUAGAAGAUAGUCCCACAUUGCAUAGGAUACUAUGGAUCCAGAGAGUUAAAGACAUACCAUUCCUAUGAUUUCUAGUACACCAGUACCUCAUCAUAGUGGGAAGUUUAUAUCCCACAGAUAAUGAUGAAGCGGUGAGCAAUGUUUAUGCUCACUUAAGGCAAGGAUGUGUGAUCAUGAAAUCUAUGAACCCAUAGUAAUUCAUUUAGUGAAAUUUGAGAUAUGGUCUUAGUGAGUUAGAGUAUGUUAUUUAAUCACAAAAUAAGAUGAUCUAUAAGUCAAAGAUUGUAAAGGUAGUCUUGAAAGGAUGAUAACUUUCACCUUGUUAGACUACGAACAACCAAUUCAUGGGAAGACUAUAUACAAUAGAUAGCAAGUCACAAACUUGAGCACUUGGUGUUUCGCUGUAAUAUACAUAGGGUUCUAGAGUACAAUUAACUCUCUAUAGUAGGAUAUUGAGUUAACUUUAGAAUUGGAUUCUAAGGGAUCUAGUAUUGUCCUAUGGUUCCAUUGGUCUCUACUAAAGCUCAUCUUCCUUGAUAGCAUGGUUUAUGAGAGUUGGAUAGGUUUUUAGUUCACUCGUGUGCAUAAAGGCAUUUUGGUAAUUGCAUAAGGUUACACAAGGGUAACUGUGCAGUAUCUUCGAACUUGGUUAAUUGAUUAAUUGGAGCCUUAUUUUGUUAAUUAAUCAAUUAGCAACCUUUUUGGGCUAAAUUAAGUGACCCACACCCCUAGUGGGCUCAAGUCACUUAAGCAUAGUAGGAGUAUAAAUACCUUUCUCAAGGGUUUGGGUUUCUAAUUCAAUCUUGUCAUUCUCUCCCCAUAGUCUAGAGAGAAAACCCUAGUCUUCAACCUUGAGAUUUCCAUCAUUUCAGUGCCUAGACUCAAGGAGGAGUCAUCGAGUGGAUGAUUAUGGGUUUAUAAGAUCUUUCUUAAAUUUGGAGCUUUCUACAUUAACAAGAAUUGAUUUGGGAACAUCCGAAUAAUACGUAUAACACUUUUCUCUAGAUCUAUGAUAUGUUUUUUAAAUACCAAAGUUUUCAACUAUGCUUAGAUCUAGAAAGCAUAAGAUAGGAUUACAUGCACCCUAAUAAUCCAAGGCCUAGGAAUAUAGCGAUCUAAGGUUUCCUACCAAAUAUAACCCAAUAAGUAAGAAUGAUUUAUAGGAACUAAAAUUUCUUUCAAAAAGAAAAGAAGUUUAUUGGAGUAAGAUAAGUAUACAAGAGAAGGAAAAAUGCAAAAGGAGUAGACAAAUACAAAGCAACAUUGGUGCAAAGGAUUACAAGCAAGAAUAAUGCACCAACAAGACGAGGGCAUUUGCUCUCAUUGCUCUUUUAGUAACUAUAAGAUUAAAAAUCUCUUUGAUAGCUUAAAUUAGUUGAAAAUUUUCAAAUGGAUGUGAAAUCCAAUUUUUUGAAUUGACAUCUGGAAGAAGUGUAUGUAGAAUAAACCAUAGUUGGUAUACAUAUAUAGGCAUGAGAAUAAAGUUCCAAAAUUGAAAAUAGCCUUGUAUGGAAUAAAACAAACACUAAGAGCAUGGAAUAAUAGAAUUGACCAAUAUUUUCACGAUAAUAAUUUUGUUUGAUACCUUAAUGAACAUGCUCUUUACAUAAAAGUGAAAGAAAAAAGUGAUAUAUUACUUAUUUGUUUGGAUGUGAAUUAUUUGAUCUUUAUUGGAACUAAUCCAAUCAUGUUUAGUGAGUUCAAAGAAGUAAUAGGACAAAAGUUUGAGAUGAUUGGAUUAGUCUCAUAUCAUACUCUCUUGCCAUAGACUUGAAGACAAUUGAAAAGAGUACUUUUUAUUUCUCAAGAAGACCAUGCAAAAUAAAUUUUUAGAAAGUUUAACUUGAAUAUGUGUAAUAUGGUAAACACAAUAAUAUAAUGCAAAGCUAAAUUAUCAAAGACAUGUAGAAGGAGAAAAAGUGGAUUCAACAUAACAUAAAAUCUUAGUUGGAACCAUACACUAUUUGACUCAUACAAGUUCAAACAUUCUCUUUGGAGUUGGAUUUGUCCAUCAUUAUAUGGAAGCACUAAUGAUUAUUUACACUAAGACCUCCUAGUGAAUUUUUCACUACAUCAACGACACAUUUGAUUAUGACUAAUAUUAUUCACCUUUAACAAUUUUAGACUUGUUGGAUAUAAUGAUAGUGAUUAAGGUGGAGACUUGGAUGAUACAAAGAGAACCAAUAGCUUUGUAUUCAUCAUGGGAGAGAUACCAUGUUCACUUGGACUUCAAAGAAGCAACCUAUUAUGAAACUUUCAAUCUAUGAAGUGGAAUUUGUGAAAAUGUUUACAAAAUCUCAUAAUCAAAUUGUGAAAACGUUUACAAAGUCUCUCAAGUUUAAUGAUUUUAGAAUGCUAAAGAUGCUACUUUUACAAAUCAAGUUGAAGGCAUGAGUGAAAAUGUUGACAAAGUUUAAAAUUUUUAGAAAACUAAGGAUGCAUUUUUACAAACCAAGUUGAAGGGAGGAUGCUAGUUAACCUAGAUUUAGGAAGUUUCUAAAAAUUAGAAUUUGAGUUGGAUUCUAAAAUGCUUGAUUUAGUUUGUAUAUUUGUUAGUACAAGAUUUUAUAUUUUACCAUUAUGAGUAUCUUUUUUUGUUUUUUUAGGAGUUAAUAUCUAUAAAUAAGAUGUUAAUAUCUAAAUAUAUAAUUAAAAUUGUUGUGUUUGCAAUUUUAAUGAAAUCUAGCAUUGGAUACUUAACUACAUCCCACAAAACGACAAAAAAAUGGUGGCGAUUUCAUGGAGGCUAACCAUUCACUAGCCUUUAGCCAAGUUGUGUUUCAACAGUAAAGUAAUUACCUCAGUCAAAACACAAAAUUUAGUUUUCUAAACAAUUAUUGUUCUUGGAAAACAUGCAAGGAAUUUAAGCAACUUAAGGUACUUAAGCAAUCCUAGUUGGACGUCCAGUAUUCAGAUCUUUUCAUUAAUUGGUUUUUCUCUUUUUGUACCAACACCUGCUCUCUCUCUCCAGCAUGCAAGCAUAAGUGGUAGGCACCUCUUUUGUGCUUUAAAUUAAUUGAAUACUUUAUCUUAUUCCGCCAUUCUUUUGGGUCUAACCCAAAAAUACAUUUACCAUGCCUUCUUUUCAUGUCCUCAACUUACUCAUAAGUCCCAUUGGAUAUGAUGUACUGAGUUUCAGAUUUUUCAAGUAAAAUUAUCAACAUCGUCUAGCAUAUAUACUAAUAGGUUAUACUCUUUUCAACAGUUUAAAUUGUUUUUGUUAAUAGAUUAUAUGGAUGUUUUAACACUCAGAGAAAUUGAAAUGCAGCCAAAUAUGCAGAAAAAAAAAAUGGUUGUGACUAAUAGUUAUAUUUAUUCUCUUUUAUUUCUGUUGAUACUCAAAUUUUUAGGGAUAGAGCAUCAACAAUCCUUGUGAUGAGUUACUAAUGUUGAGAAAAGUCAAUGACUACACAAUGUAGCUUAAAACCACAUAUGUCAUCAAAGAAGACAUCAAUAAUCACCCCCACACAAUGAUAUGUUGUAUAAUUCAUUACUUGUAUCAAACACAAAUUUCCUUCAAUGUGUGUCUAUGAAUAAAAGAGAGUUCUUGGUUUAUAUUCGACAUACACGCUAUAUAGGCCAUGCUAAAAGCAAUUGAUAACAAGAAUCUCAACACUGAAGUCCACGUAGAAUCAAGUGUGCACCAUAUUGGGGUUGCAUAGUUAGGAUACUGAAGGGAGCAUGAGCAUAGGAUGGCGAAAGUUCAAAUGAGAAGUGUUGUAAGAUCAUUGCCAAAGCUAUUUUUGCCUCCAUCAUUGCAAAAUUUUGUCCAAUGCAUACCCGAGGACCCCAACCAAAUGGGAAAAAUGAAACUUGGUUUUUUGUUGCCUUCAAAACUGCUUCUGCAAACCUCUUUGGAUUAAACUCCUUUGCAUCAUCCCCCCAAAUUUCAUGAUCAUGGUGAACUAGGAUGGUGGGCAACACGACCUGCACUCCAACUGGAAAACACAUGUCUCCCACUUGAGUGUCCUUAUAAACAGCUCUAUGAAGCAUUGCUACUAGUGGGUAUAACCUAAGAACCUCAUGAAAAAUCAUGGUAACCUGUGGUAGAGAAACUUUAGAAGUUGUUGCAUGAGAAUUCCUACUAAAAUACAUUCUAAAUCAGUAUGAAGGACACUGAAGAAUAAAGCAAUUUCUUAAAAUAGUGAUGCAGAAGAGAAAAUGUUCUAAAUCAUGCAUAACAAAAUAUCAAGUAUGCAAAGGACAUUGCAUAUCCCAUGCAUAUAACAACUUAAGAACCUCAUGAAAAAUCAUCAUAAUCUAGCAGAGGAAUUUGAAAUCAUGGCAUGAGAACCCGUUCCUGAGGUACUAAGUGAAAGCAAAUGUUUAGUACAAGAUAUAAAAACUUAAGAGAAACGUGUUUUCAAUUUUACUCCAAUUAUGGGGAAAAAAACAGAGUACUAUAUGAUUUUAGUGAGAAUCACUAAACUAAAGAUUGGAUUGAGUACUCACAAUUUUUAGGUGAUUUAAUCCAUCAGCUUCCGGUUUUUUAUUCCCAAAAACUGUAAAACCUCUUCUCUUGCACAAGCUUGCCAGUUUGGAUGCUCGCUUAGCAGGACCAUUGUCCAUACAAGCAAAACUGAGGUUGUCUCUUGGCCAUCAAGAGAGAAUAGCUUACACUCUUCAAUGACAUCUUUGACACUCAUUCCAAUCUUCUUGUUAUUUUGAUGUUCUUGAAUUUCUCUAAAAUUGGAUUCCAUUAGUAUACCUAAUAAGUCACUACUAGCAGUUUCGCCAGCCUUCAUUGCCUUCUCCCUAUUGCUAACGAUACCCCUCAACAAUGCAUAUACUUCUUUGCUUAUUUGCUUCAUCCUCCUGUUCCGUCUUUGUGGGUAAAAACCUGCGCGCAUGUUAGUAAUUCUAGUAAAUAAAACAUCACAUGAAACACACAUACAUUAAUUCUUAUUUUCAUCCAUGCCUUCUACUUCUCCAUUAAUUUUUUGAAACUUGUAUAAGGCUUCAAAGGUAGAAACUAUGAAGACAAUAACUAAUGGUUUCAUCUACACAUGUGUUGUAGUGGUAUCUCAUCAUCUUGACACAAUAUCCUACAAACAUAAGAUUGAGGAUACUAAACAUCAAUUAGAGAAACAUACUACUUUCUAAGUGUUAUACAAAAGAAGUAAUUGACUAAAAGGGGAUGAAGUGAUCUCAGAGUUGUAAAUCUAAUAUCUCUUAUGCUUGACCUUGAAAAGUAAUCCAUUUUUAACAUAAAUUCUCUUCGAACAUAAAUUCCCUUCAACCUUGUUAGCCAAACACACACUUGAGCAUUGUGAAACUUUCAACCUAUGAAGCGAAAUUUGUGUUGGCAUCAUUUGUAGGUCAUGAAAUUUGUUCAAGAAACUUAAAUUACCACACAAGAGACUGAUAAAGAUCUAUAUGGAUAUAAAAUCAACAAUUACCUUAUGAGAAAAAUCUAGUUCUCCAUGAUGGUGUUGAAUUUUGAAUUUUGCCUUAGUAUCUGCUGGAAUUUGAAUUUUGAAGUUAAAUUUUGUAGCUGGAGUCUUACAAAAAAUAUGCAACAUCCAAAUAUUUUAUUGUUUUUAUUUGGUCAAGAUUUGGUUUCUAUUUUAUUGGAAGUAAUUGUUCAUCAUCUAGUAGCUUGAUUUUCUAUUAUUCUAAUGUCAUUUCAGUUACAAGCUCAUGUAUAAAUUCAACACUCUUCAUCAAUAAAAUGUGUGUUCCAGCAAUCCAAAAAUAUAUAUUCUGCAUAAGUGUUUCAAUCUAAGAUCAACAGAUGGAAGACAGUAUAUUGAUACAAAAUAUCAUUUAUUAUAGAGUACAUUAUGAAAUAUGAAGUGCAAUUAAAAUUUACAAAAUCUCAUGAUCAAAUUGUGAAAACAUUAACCAAGUCUCUCAAGUUUAAAGAUUUUAGAAAGCUAAGGAUGCUAUUUUUACAAAUCAAGUUGAUGGGAGGAUGUUAGUUAAACUAGAUUUAUAAAGUUUCUAAAAAUUAGAUUUUGAGUUAGGUUUUAAAAGUUAAUUAAAAUAUUUUAUACAAAAUUCUUGAUUUAGUUUGUAUAUUUUGUUACUGCAAGAUUUUAUAUUUUACUAUCGUGAGUAUCUAUUUUUUUUAGGUGUUAGUUUCUAUAAAUAAGAUGUUAUGUAAUAGUUGAUCAAGUGUACAGGUGGAUGAUAAUAAAUUUUUUCUUAAUCAUCUCAAUUAUUUAUAUAUGUAAUUGCUUAUGUGUUUUUUCAACCACAUUGCUGCAACAUAGGUGAAUCUGCUGGUUGGUCUAUAAAAAUUCAUAUCAAUUGUUCAACCUGUUACAUUCUGUUAGGCUUAUGUAACGAUGUAGAUUAUAGUCUCUUUCCCUAAAAUUUCAUGGUGUUAACAUUUCAGGAAAGCAAAAUUUCCUAAAAUGGAAUAUGGUGUGCAAGGACAAAGAGACUUAUUAGGCAUCUAAACUCCAGGGAAAUCUGUCGAAACACUGCUGCAAAAAGAAAACAAAGCCCCAAAUAACUCUUUGAUCUUUUGUACCAAGCAGACUCGUGUAUGAAUAGUUUCAGAAAAAUAAGCUGCAUAUUUCUUGAAAUAUUUUUAUGCAUACCUCCAUCCCGGGAUAUAAACUGACAUUGUAACUGUUAAAAGGUAGUCUUUUUUCUUAUUUUUCCUUGUGUGUUGAAUACAAUACUAUAUAGAUUCAGAACAAAGGAACCUAUUCUAGCCUAUACAUAUCUUGCGGCAAAAAAUAAGGCCAUCCCUUGAAGUAUGGGAUUUACAUAAACAGAUUUCUAUACUUAUCUCAUUAGACAGCUCACGACAACACUCCCCCUCAAGUUGGUGCAUAGAUAUCUUUUAUGCCCAACUUGUCAAGUGAGUUGUAGAAAUUCCUUACAAACACUGCUUUUGUGAGUACAUCAGCCAACUGGUCUUCUGAUUUGACAAAUGGAAGCUGAAUAAUCUUUUCUUCAAGGUUUUGUUUGAUGAAGUUCCGAUCCACCUCAACGUGCUUAGUGCGAUCAUGUUGAACCGGAUUGUGGGAGAUAGCAAUGGUCGUUGUGUUAUCACAUAACAAGUUCAUUUCGGAACUAGGAGCAACAUCGAUCUCAGCUAGCAGCUUUUUCAGCCAAAUGAGCUCACAUAUUCCCUUGACCAUUCCCCGAAAUUCAGCUUCAGCACUAGAUAGGACAACUACUUUCUGUUUCUUGCUCCUCCAUGUAACUAGGUUGCCUCCCACAAAAGUAAAGUACCCAGCAGUGGAUUUCCUGUAUGUGAUGUUCCCUGCCCAGUCCGCAUCUGUGUAGCCAGCAACCUUCAAAUGACCAUUCUUUGAGAACAUAAGCCCUUUCCCCGGAGAGGACUUCAAAAAAUGAAGGAUUCGCAUUACAACAUCCAUAUGGUCUUCACUCGGCCGGUGCAUGAAUUGACUCACUACACUCACAGCAUAAGCAAUGUCUGGCCGAGAAUGAGAUAAAUAGAUGAGUUUACCCACUAACUGUUGAUACCUCUGUUUGUCCGCUGGUACCUGGUCUACAUAUUCUCCAAGUUUAUGAUUUUGGACAAUUGGAAUAUCAACAGGCUUACACUCUAGUAAUCCCACCUCUGCUAGCAAGUCUAGUAUAUAUUUCCUUUGGGAAAGAAAUAUGCCUUGUCUUGACCUUGCCACUUCAAUGCCCAAAAAAUAUUUAAGCCCCCCUAAGUUCUUCAUCUCAAACUCAGUUGACAAUUGAUCUUGAAGCCUGGAUAUUUCUUCUACAUCAUCCCCUGUAAUUAUCAUGUCGUCUACAUAGACUAUGAGGGCUGUUAUUUUUCCCAAUCGAUGUUUUGGGAAGAGAGUGUGGUCAGAGUUGCUUUGUUGAAAUCCAUAUUUCCUCAUUACCGAACUCAACCUGCCAAACCAUGCUCGAGGUGAUUGCUUUAGUCCAUACAAUGCUCGUUGUAACCUACAUGCAAUCUUUGCCUCUGAUGUAGCAGUAUAGCCUGGUGGAAUAUCCAUGUAAAUCUCCUCUUCAAGAUCACCAUGGAGAAAGGCAUUUUUUACGUCAAGUUGGUACAAUGGCCAAUCUAAGUUUGCUGCAAGAGACAACAGAACUCUAACAGUUUUUAGUUUUGCUACAGGUGAGAAAGUUUCCUGAUAAUCUAUACCAUGUUUCUGUGUAUAACCCUUUGCUACCAACCUCGCCUUGUAUUGAUCAAUCGACCCAUCUGCUUUAUAUUUAAUAGAGAAAAUCCACUUGCACCCCACUGUCUUCCUCUCUUCCGGCAACACACUCAAAACCCAUGUAUUAUUUUUCUACAACACCUCCAAUUCUUCUUUUAUAGCUUGAGCCCAUUUCAGAUCCGAGAAAGCUUCUUCAACCCUACUUGGAAUCUGACAUGAGGAGAGUGUAUGUGCAAAAGCUCUGAGAGGUUCAGAUAAUCUUUGUGUAGACACAUAAUUGGCUAUUGGAUACUUGGAUCGUCGUUCUUCUAUGUCUAGGGAGUAUCGAUUUGGAGGCUUGCCUCGAUUGUGUCUGAAAGGUAGAACAUAACCCGCAGAUGUAUCUAUAGCAUUAGUUUGUAAAGGUGUGGUAGGAGAGCUUACCUCAGGAAUAUUCUUAGUAGGAGGGUCGUUGGGUACUAACGAGUGAGGGAAUACAUCAGAUUCUGCAUCUUCCGAUGAUUCAGGUGCUGGUUCAGCUUCAGUUCUCAGAGGUUCAGGUACAGGAUCAUGUUCAACCAUGUCGUUGUCAUCAUUCGGAUGUGUUGGAUUGUCACCAACGUCUAACACUUCAACAUCAGACCAAUUCCGUUCUUCACCAUAGAUCUCCCCCUGAAGAGGGGAAUUGGAUAUCGGUGACAAAAAAAAAUUCAGAUUCAAGGAAGGUGACAUCCAUGGUAAUGUAGGUUCUUUUAGCAAUGGGAUCGUAGCAUCUGUAUCCCUUUUUGUGUACUCCAUACCCCAAGAAUAAACACCGGACAGCACAUGGGUCCAACUUAGUUCGUUGAUUUUUAUGGAGGUGAACAAAAGCAACACAACCAAAAAUUCGGGGAGGAAUCAUCAAAACAGUCGGUAAGGAGACAUGAUAAGAAAGCACCUUUAGUGGAGUCUGAAAUUGUAAGACUUUGGUGGGCAUACGGUUCAGUAGAUACACGGCUGUGGUAACAGCAUCACUCCAGUAUCUAUUCGGCACAUGUGCAUUGAUCAAUAGAGCACGGGCAGUUUCUAAGAUAUGCCUAUUUUUCCUUUCAGCAAUACCAUUCUGUUGUGGGGUUUGUGAACAUGAGGUUUCAUGGAGAAUACCAUGGUUGUUGAAGUAUGUCUGGAAUUAUUGAUUAACAUAUUCCCCUCCAUUGUCAGAACGAAUGAUCUUAAUUCUUGCAGAGAAUUGUGUCUGAACCAUGGCAUGAAAUGAUUGAAAAAUAGAAAAUACUUCAUCUUUGUGUUUUAGGAGGUAAAGCCAUGUCAUUCGUGUGCAAUCAUCAACAAAUAUUACAAACCAACGAUGACCAGAAGACGUAGUUACUAGUGAAGGUCCCCAAACAUCGGAACGUAUUAAAUCAAAAGGAACCAUACUUUUAUUCAUGCUCAUGGGAUAAGAAGCCCUAUGACUUUUGGCUAAGAUGCAAGUAUCACAUUUAAAACCUAAAUGUGUUACAUUUGAAAAUAACCCAGGUAAUAAGUGCUUCAAAUACCCAAAUGAUGGAUGCCCAAGUCGAUGAUGCCAUAACCAAAUCUGUCUCUCCUUGUUACCAACCUUGUGGUGCAUGUGAUUUGCUCUUCCCGAACUGAAGGCAUCCACGUAGUAUAACCCCCCCUCCUCUUAGUACCACACCCAAUUAUCUCAUUGGUGAGAAUAUCUUGAAGAAGGCAAAAAGUAGAAUACAUCAAUACCACACAAUUAAGAUAUGAAGUAACUUGGCUUACAGACAUCAAUCUAUUUGAAAGAGAGGGUACAAGUAAUGUAUUAGAUAAUGAAAGGGAAAGAGAAAAAGUCACUGUUCCAGCCCCUGUAACUAGAUAGGUGACCCCAUUAGCAUUUGCAACACAGCUCCUUCUCGGCUGAGUUGUAUUAGAGAAAUCCUUUGAAUCAAAUGUCAUAUGGUCUGUAGCCCCAGAGUCGAGAAUCCAGUCCUCAUCAUCCUUGUGAGUAGAGAUAUGAAAUGCCUUACUCGAAGUACCUGAAUCAUGUGAAGAUUCAGCUUGAGGAAUGAGGGAUAACGAAGCAUCACAAGUAACCACUGCAGCUCUCCUAGUGUGGUUAUCAUUAGCAAUGAUUUCCCAUUUUUUUCGUGCUUGAAGGUCAUUCCACCAAUCUGGAUAUCCAUGCAGUUUGAAGCAGGUGUCACGGGUGUGUUUGGAGUUGCCUCAAUGGGUACACUUCAUGUCGUCAGAUGGUGGUUUAGUUUUGGAUGAGGAGUUGGAUUUCCCGCUGCUUAGGGAAAGAGCUCCAGGUUUCGGUGGCAUCUGGUGAUGGCUGCCCUUGAUCCCUUUGGAAGCCAUAACUGCUCCUGGAGGAGUAUCUGCACCUGAGAUCAUCAAGGUCUGCCUGACCUCUUCCCUACGGACAAAUGCAUAGGCCUGUUCCACCGUAGGGAAUGGUUUAAUUUGUAGAACAUCACUCCGAGUUUUAUCCAAUCUGUCAUCUAGUCCAUCAAGGAAGGUAUAAACUCGAUCUUCUUGUAGAAUGGAAUUGUAUUUCUGUAUGUCAAUUGCACACUCCAUCGGGUUAGGACGAUGAAAAUUGAUUUCUCGCCACAGCCCUUGAAGGUUGUUGUAGUAUUUUUCAAUGGAUCCACCCGCCUGCUUCAUACGAGUAACCCGACGUCGGAGAUCAUAGAUGUCCCAUCAAAAUAGGUUAUAGAAGCAGAAUCCCAAACCUAUUUUGCAGUUGGGAAUCGGAUAAAAUUGGCAAUCAAGGAAGGGUCCAUCGAAUUGAUCAACCAUCCCUUGACAAUGGCGUUUUCGGUGCGCCAUCUCCUGAAUGAAGGAUCGGUUUCUGGAGGCUGAGGAGAAUCUCCAUUGAUAUAUCCCAGCUUGUCCUUGCCAGAGAUAUACAUCUCGACAACCUGGGACCAUAAGGCAUAGUUGGAUCCUUCCAACUUGAUACCGAUCGGAGUAGUUGACGAAUCAGCAAGCAGAGGUUGAGGGGAGGUCUGGGCUCUAGUCAGGACCUCGGUCACUCUUGUAGUUAGAUCGCUAAGGAUGGAAUCAGUCUGGGGAAUGAGAGGUUGUGUUAUGUCUCUAGAUUCCGCAAUGGAGUCUGUCGGUUCUGGUUUGACAAGAUUUGUUGUAUAUUAACGGAUAACCGGCUGGAAGGAAUCAGAGGGAAGCAGCGCUGGAAACUGACCAGGAAGAUGAAGAUGAUACCAGGUGGGUCUUCCGGAGUUUUUUCCUGGUCAUAGUGGCUGAGCAGAGGUCCUAGGGACGUGCUCUGAUACCAUGUUAAAAGGUAGUCUUUUUUCUUAUUUUUCCUUGUGUGUUGAAUACAAUACUAUAUAGAUUUAGAGCAAAGGAACCUAUUCUAGCCUAUACAUAUCUUGCGGCAAAAAAUAAGGCCAUCCCUUGAAGUAUGAGAUUUACAUAAAUAGAUUUCUAUACUUAUCUCAUUAGACAGCUCACACUAACAGUAACCUGGCUUGCAAAAUGUGUUUGUUCUUUCUGGAGCUAGAAUAUCCUUCUUCCUUCUUCAUAGCUACUACCAAAUGCUGUCCGAGAAAUCACAUCCCCUGUCAAAUUUUCAAGAUAGGGCCAAACAUCCAACUCACAUGAUCCCCCCACCGAAAGCAUUUUCCAUUUGGUCACCAUGUCGCUACAACUCAAAUGAAAUGCCGGCAACAUAUUCUAUAACAAAUUCAACCAAAAAAUAAAUUAAUAUCCAGUUUCAAAUUCAAUAUACAGCCAUUUAUCACUGACCUGUGAAAUAACAAUUUAACUAGUUCAUAAAGUAUGUACUACUUAAAGUCACCAUAUGUUAGGAAGAGUCAUAUGGGUGGAGGAUGAGGAAUAUUCAGUUUUACCAUGGAGGCACUGACUAAAGAAAUCAUAGAAAAAAAAUGAGCAUAUUCAUGAAAAGUUAGAUGUACUGGUAAUAUUAAUGAAAAGUUAGAUGUAUUGGUAAUAAGCAAGUAAGAUAAGAAAGUUGUUAAGAUCUUACUGUCAUAUGUAUCAAGUAUUUUGAUCCUUAUGGUUUACUUUGGCAAAUAAAACUUCUGAAAAUUUCUAUUGGAGACUGGAAAAAGACUUUAUAUGAGUAAGAAAAAAAAAACAAGGUAAAGGUAGGACACAUUGGGUAUGUGAAAAUACUUUAUUAAACUGAUCGAAAUAUUUGGGAAUUUCGAUAUUUAUACAGGUUUUUAGAAAAAAUUUUAUAAAAAAUUGGUAGUUAUUAUUUUUCGAAUACUAAUAUAAAUUUAUCUUUCAAAGACACAAUUUUAGUGUAGUUUUCAAGUGUUAAAAUUAUUUUUUUUAAAAGACAACUUUAUAAAAUUCAUUUCUUUUAACUUUUAAAUGAUAACUUUCUAAUUAGUAUCUAGCAAACUGAUGUAGAAUUGAAAAUAAUUUUUCAACUAACAUAUUUUAGAAGAUUAUAUAUAUAUCAACCUAAGAUACAUGAGAUGAGAAAUGGGUAUUCAUAACCUCCAAAUCUUAUAUAUAUUAUCGCUUAAAUUUUUGUUCCACUGCAUUCACAUGUUCAAUCUCUUUUCCAACAGUGGGAGGGCUAUGCAGAGAUUAUGGAACUGUAAUAUGUCACAAUUGAAACAGUUUCAAUUAUGGAACUGUUUGUUCACUUUCACAGUUUGUGAAAAGAUUAAAAAAAAAAACAUGGAAAUUAAGGUAAAAUAUUCUGGUUUGGAAACUGGGCAUUGAAAAUUACCUUCAACUUUUCUAGAUGGAAAGCUGGGUUGAUGAUCUUUCUACGUUUAGCCCAUCGUUCGCCUUCCAAGGUCACCAGACCAGAAACCAGCAACUUGCCAAGUGGGUGUGGGGGUGGCUUUUGAAAGACAUUGGACUUUAGCAAAACAUCCCUUAUUAGCUCAGGCUCCAUAAUGUUUACCAUUGGAUUUGGACCGAACCAUGCAAAGGAAUUUUUACCUGCACGUUUAUGCCAUUAUUGGAUAGUGUUAGCCUCAAAUUGCUUUUAAUUUGGACUUCACACAAAUUCAACUUUGGGUAUCAAAAUUUAGUUGAACCCAACUUGGACCAUCGAAAACAAUGAAAACUUCAGCCAUAGUUUCUAUGAUGAGUUAUUAUAAAUGGACUAAAUCAUUUUUUCAGAAUUGUCUCAAUGUCAAUUGAUAUUAAGGAAUGAACUCUAUUCAUUGUAGCCUUGAGAUUAAAUAAUGAAAUCAAGAGGGCUAUCAAUAUGCUUGGCAGGCUGGGUGACAGUUUUGGAUAGAUGCAACAAUUUUAAUUAUAUAUUUAGCUUUGGAUUCUUUCCAGAGAAUAUUCUGCAAUCUAGCAUGGGAUACUUAAAGACUACAUCCCACAAAAAGACAAAAAAAAUGGUGGCAAUUUCAAGGAGGCUAAUCAUUCGCCUGCCUUUAGCCAAGGAUUAGUUCCAAACAAAACCUUCCGAAAAGAAAGGGGGAGAGCCCUUCUGGAUGGACUUGGCAUCGACACAAUAGAAUUGGCAUCGAAAGAAAAAUAAAGAUUUAACCAAUUGAGCACAAAUAACUGACAUAAAAAUUAACACUUGAAAAAAAAAGUUGAAAAUUUGGCAUAAAUUAAAAGUUAUUCACAGCUCCCAGAAAUUAAACAAUUGAAAAGUAAAAACAGUACUUUUCAAAGUGGUUAAGAAAUACAGUUAGCAAAGAUUACGAACUACCACUGAAAUCUAAACCUUUGGUGUAAUUUAAAAAAGAGGAAAAAAACAGAAAGGAAAAGAAAAAUAGUUAGGAAGAGAAGAGCAGAAAACAAACAAAAGCUUUAGGGGAGUAUAAAAAAGUUGGCCAUAAUUUGAAGAGAUCAGCAAACUUUAAUACUAUGAUGAAAAGUAAUAAGUCAUAUCGGUACCGUAUUUCUUAAUGAAAUGAAAAUGGAAGGGCAGGACACGUGGAGUAGUAUCAUCGGAGAGGCUGAUUGGUCUUGAAUAUGCUUCUUUUAACAUCAUGGACAUCUCUUUGAAGUCCCCAUGUAAAAGCCUAUAAGAAUUCCCAGCCAGGCCUUGCUCUCUAAGGCAUCUUUCUAACCUCUUUGGCCUCAACCACACCCAAUUCAGUAGCCUCCAUAAACAGCUUAUGAGCACAGUAAGGAACCCAAAAGAAAUUGCAACUGAGCUAUGCUUCAUUUCCAGUUUGAGGGACUUCUAUCAGGAGAGGUAUGUUAAAUCACUUCAGAGUGAGAAAAUGACUUUAUGCUGCCGCUGUGUAUAAAUUGGCCCCUAUUCUAUUCCCUCGUGCCGGCAAACAUAGAAGAUUUCGUAAAUGCCUAAUGGGGAGAAGAAUGACUAGUAUUUUAAAAUCUAUAAAUUAUCUAUUUUAAUUGUCUCCAUCAAUAUGGCUUUUAAACUUCUCAAUGAAUUAUUAAUUUAUUCUAUUUGAUGCAUUUCAAAGUUUGUGCAAUCGUCACUGCUUAUUAAAAACUGUAUAUGCCAUGAAUGUAGAAGGCAAAAUUUGAGCAUACGGAAUAUGGAAUUCUAUUUGAUGGACCAGCUUUCACUUGUGAGUCGAUGGAGCAUGUGGAUGCUCACUUUCAGAGCCUCAAGGGACAGCUCGCAUCCCUCACAUCUUGGCAGAUGUCUCAGGGUGCUUCCAGCUCUACAACUCCAUCUGAUCUGGACUUUUUGAUACUUCAUGUUUUUUUGAUACUUUAUGUUUUUUUUUUUUUGUUUUUUGUUUUUUUUUUUGUUUUGUUUUGUUUUGUUUUGUUUUUUUGUUUUUGUUUUUUUUUUUUUUUUGUGGAUAAGUUUAUUUUGUACACCUAACCCAUGUUGGCUCAGUUUAUCACAUAUUUUGUUUGUCUAGAUGUACUUUUAUUUUCUUAUCUCUUGUAUCCAGAACCUUUUUUACCAUAUAUGUCCAUGUGUUUGCUUUUCUUUUCUCCUUUUCGUAUGCUUACUGCUUCAUCAUGCUCUUUGUCAUUUUUUGCAACAAAAAAGGGGAGAUGGAUUGUUGAUUUGAUUGAGUGUUUUGAUAUUCAUAUUUUUUUUACAUCUGUUUCGUGGCUUGCACCCUUACUCGUAUACCUAAUUUGAUAAAAUUGAUCAGUUAUCUUUCUUCCCACACACUACUUUACCUGGGUAUGUUGUUUAGUGUGUGGAAAUUCUAGGUACUAGGGUAUUGCUCAUUUUUUGGAUGUGGCUUCUAGUCCUUUGCACGUUAGAUGAUGAAUUGGUUUAGAUAAGAGGUAUUGAGAGAUUUGUAAACUCCAUUUGAGAGUAUUGAGGGGUUUAUGCAAUUUGUAGUUUAUCACAAAAUUGCAUAGGGGAGAGAUUGUUCGUACAUUAGGUGAUGUAGUUUAAAAUUGUCAAUUUUGUUCUAUUCAUUUUGGUUUAGGAUCUUUCUAGAUUGUGUCUCACUCCCCAUUGAAGACUCAAGGUUAUUAAUUGAUCAACUAGGAUUACAUAGGUAGGUGUAAAAAGAUUUGGGAAAGACAAGUUAGUGUUUGGUAUGACAUGGCAUGGAUUGAGUAGUUUAACAUUGAUGAGCAAAAUGAUUUUCUAACCGGGUUUAAAAAAUGCCUAAAGCGCUCAAUCACUCUAAGAGCAUUUGAGUCCUAGCAACAAAAUUCUCUAGAAUUUUGGAGAUCUGUCUUUCUAUUUUUAAAGGAUUUAUUUUGAGGAACUUUUUAGAAUUAGUCCACUAGGUUCCUAGGCUUAUAUAUACAUUGCCUAAAAAGGUUUUUGGUUUGAUGCUUUUGAGUUGAAAAACCUAGAUUGUCUUCCUAUUUCCAAAAUUCUAAAAGAAACAUUCAUAUUUACUUAUGCAUAGUUGAGAUGGAGAUUUGUAUCCUCCUCAAGUGCUGAAGUGAGAUCCUCUAUGAGCACAUGAGAUGUUGCAUUGUGGAAGCAAAACACAAUGUAAGUGUUAGGUAGUAAGUCUUAGUAGUAGCUUUCUAAUGCGACUCAUGGUAGCUUAGUUUUAAAGGCGUAUCAACAAAAUUUAUACCUUGAAUACUAUUACUAAAGUAGCCAAGCUACUAUAGCAUAGUGGUUCUAGGAUUGUUCACUGGGAAGGGUUUUCGCAAACACAAGUGAUAUUCAAAUUAGGAAAAUAGGUGAUUUUCUUAUGGAUGUUAGCUUUAAAAGAAGAUGUAAAUGUUUUAGAAAGAUUUAAACUAAUCUAAGCUAACAUUAAAGACUAAAAUGAAAGGGUGUAAAAACAAGUUUCUCAAAGAUAGGAUAGCUAUGCUCUGACUCUUAUGCAAAUUGGAAAUCUCAAGAUAGGCUCCUUGAGUUGGGGUUGCAACUAUGGUGAUGCUUGCUUCCCGAACCGGUAUGGAUUUAACAAAUCAAGUUUUAAUCCUUUAAAAUGGAAAAAUAGAUGGUAGUGAAUUUCAUCAAUGGUUAUUCACCUUAGACUUCCUUUGAAUGGCUUGUAAGAGAUAACUAAUGGUCUAAAGCCAAAAGCUUCCCAAAUAUUGGCAACUCAAAGUCAUUCCAAGUGAUAAACUCACCUUUCAAUGGCCAUUGAAAUUGGUUAUAACGGAUUAAUGCAAAACUUGGAAUUGAAAACCUCACCUUCCAAUAGCUCGUAGGAGAUAACUAAUGGAUAGAAAUCCAAAAGCUUAUCAAGUAUUGGCCGUUGGAAGUUGUCCAAAGGAAAUAAAAACCAAACUUUGCAUUAAUGAACCUUUAAUGAAAAACGGCUACUUUACCUUCCGGGUGCGAGAAAUUUCCAUGGGAUUGCAUCCAAGUCAUCACAUAACAUCCAUACUCUGAGAAACUAAAAGUUUUAGCCAAUCAUCCUCUGAAGAAAAGCUCUCAGAGGCUGUUUGGCUUCCAAGAAAAUAAAAUAGUAAAGAGAAAAGAUAAACGAGAGAGCUCUCCCCUGUUUUCUAAGUGUAAAACGUAAUAUGUAUCAUAUCCUUCCAAGAGGUGAUUUCCACCCCUUAUAUAGUCUUUACAAAAGCAAAAGCUUGUGAUUGGUUAGUUACAAGGAUAAGAAAGGAAAUUACAUCAAAAAAUACAUAAGAAAAUAUCUAAAUUGGAGUCGGCAAAAACAGAGCAAAAUUCGCACCACGCAUGGGCUGUGCGAAUUUUGAAGGUGUUGUGCGAAUUUCGCACAACACAAGGUGUCGUGCGAAUUUCGCACAACACAAGGUGUCGUGCGAAAUUUUCGCACAACCUAGAGCGGUUGGCUUCCGAAGGCCAUAUCUUCCUCAUUUCAGCUCCAAAUCAUACACGGUUUGAAGCAUUGGAUUCUUGACUUCCUGAGCUUUCAAAUGGUAUAUAGAAUGUAGAAAAUGGACUUCGGGAAGUGCUCCAAAAGUGCGAAAGAAUACUGCAGCUGCUGUCCUCUGAUUUUUUCACUUUGCUUUCCUCUUCUCCAUUGUUCUUUCCUUGCAUACUUUGAACGACUUUGGCAAAGGGCUAUGGAGCUCCAAAGCUUGGUUCUUCAUGAAUUUGAGCUUCCAAAAGCUUUGCCAUAACUUGUCCAAUUAGCUCCUCCAUCAUUUGGCAUGCUUGAAUUGAUUCAUAAGCUGAUAAAAACAUGUAAACUUGCCACAAAAUGGUUAAAACCAAUUACUAAGGACCUUAAUGAAUUAAUUGGGUUAAAUGAAUAUGAUUACUACUCAAAGGUGCUUAAAACCAUUAUAAUUAGGUCUACAAAAUAGCACUUUUUGGUAGUAAUCACUUUCAUCAGGUAAAAUUGAGUACAUACCCCAUUAUAUAUGAUGGAGAGCUCCUCAAAUGCAUAUCCUAGAAUCAAAAUCAAUUGAUACUAAAUUAACACCUAACCCAUAUUUCAAACAAAAUCUUGCUAUUUCACAUUUUCAGCACCAAUCCAUGAAAAUGGUGUUUUUGGGGAGCAAUUUCAAUUGAUUUAGAAGAUCAUAUGAGAUCUUACUCUUCCCAUCUUGAGACUUGAGACUUAAGAGUAAUCUGUUUUCAGAUAGAUUCAAUAUCACUAUUUGAUUAAUUUCUAUGUACAGUAUGUUUUUCUAUAUUUUAAACUCAUAAAAAUUCCAUCCUUUUAAUUCUAUUAGAAUAACGUAAAUCAUAUGGAAGUUAGAUUCUAAAUCUCCAAUCUUCACAUCAUCAAGUAUCAACUAUAAGAACUCAAACUCAACACUUUAGUGGCUCUAAAGAGUCUAUUUUAGUGCAUUUGAGGUAUUUAAAAAUGACCUAAUGCUUGUUUAUUGUGCAUCUCUCAAGUGUGCCACCAAACUAAAUUGCACACUCCCUCUAGCAAUUUAAAUUGACCACUUUCCCCAUGAUUCAAAUGUUGCAUGGCCCCUCAACAAUUGAACCCAACAAGAGCACUCAAGUUGUGCAUGUCUGUAACAUCUUAAUUGCACUUUUCCCUACCACUAUAGUAGUGUAUCCCUAGGGCCACUCAACAUGCAUUGUCACGCCCCAAAGCCCACUCCAAGGACAUGAUGAUCUUUUCACACCUAGCUCAAGCCCAAGGGCUCAAAGUGGAAACGACACAAACAUUUGUAUUGUAACUGGAAAUUUAUUAAUUACUAAAUUCCUGGAUCAAACAUUUUAAUUAUGCUUGCAAAUAGGAGAUAUAACAUAUACUUAUUUUCAUAAAAACUUUUGAGCUCAAAAUGCUAAUACCUUCAAACUUUUCAACAAAAAUUUCUCAUAUCCAUUUCAAAACAAUUUCUCAUCAAACCACUCCGAAUACAUUCAAAAUAUCUUUACUCUGGUUAUCGUAUGACAAAUGGUGCCCAAUUAGGUGGGACCUUGCAAUUGAGUAACUAGUUUCAAAUUUGUUCGAUUUAAGGUUAACAAAACCAAAUGUCAACAAUUAUAACCCAUUGACUAGGGUCAUAAGGUCAACUAUUAUAAUCCAUUAACUAAGAUCAUAUAAUAUCAACUAUUAUAACCCAUUGACUAAGGCUAAAAAUGUCAACUAUUAUAACCCGUUGACUAAGGCCAUAUAAUUCAGAGUCAAAUAUUUUAUUUCAUUAAUUCAAACUUACAAAACAAAACAUCAUAUCUCCUCAAUUUUUCAUUUUUCAUAAACAAAGAAUAUACUCAAAUAUACUUUCAAUACAAAACAUAUAUUUGAUUUAUGUUUAAAGAUAAAAAUAAUAUUUUUACACAUUUCAAAAUACAAUAUAAAAAGAAAAUUAUUUUCUUUUACAAAAAUCUGCAUUAAUUUCAUUUACCUUGAAGAAGCACUCAAAAUCUUAAAUUAUUUAGCUUUGAAGAAUUUCCUCACCUAACAUAAUAUCAUACACAAUAUUGAUUAUUGAUUGUUUAUCUAAAUAUAUAAAUUUGACAAUCUUAAAAAUAUUUUAUUUAGUAUUAGGGAUCCUAAUUAAUUUCUCAUGUUAAUAUUAUUACCAUCCAAUAUUAUUUUCAACUUCCUAAACAAUAAUUUAUUUCUUUUUUCUAACUUAUCUAAAUUAAAUCUUUUAAGAAUAUUUAUUUGCAUUAAACAUUAUUACUAUUAUUUAAAUCUCCUACGAAAACUUAACAAAUUCCCCAUACAAAUCUUUUUUUUUCCCAGCAACUUCACACCAACUCCAUUCAUUAUUAUUAUUUCUUUUAUUAUUAUUAUUAUUAUUAUUAUUAUUAUUAUUAUUAUUAUUAUUAAUUUCAAUACCCAACAACAGCUUAACCUAUUUCUCUUCCAAGCCAUCAACGUCCUUUUCUUCCUCAUUGUUUACCAAAAUACUAUUUACUUCCUUUCCUAGGUCAAUGUGCUGACCAUUUCUUAGUUUUUUUUUUCAACAUACAUCUUUCAUCAUUUUUUUUCUCCUCUCUAAAGUCAAAACUUUUAAUCUCCAUACUCACAAAUUUUAUGUUAUUUUCACAUCCGAAACUAUAUAUAUAUAUAUAUAUUUAUCUAGAUCUAUUCGUUUGAGCAAUCAAAAUUUGUCGAUCUCCAUUAAUAAAUCAAACUAUGUUCAUAUUUUUUUAAAUAUUUUUGACCUAAAUUAAUUAAACGAACUCUAAUCAAAGAAUAUCUAUAGUGUUCAAAACUAAUUAACGAAUAUAAAAUAUUAAUUUAAGUAUUAAAAAUCUUACUUGAAAAAUUGAUCUUCAAAUCCUAAACCUUCAAAUCUUAAACCAUAUGCUCUCUAAUAUUUCUGGUCUCUAUGUAAAAGGGUUUUCUGAAUAGAGAGGAUGGGAAAAGUCUAAUUUAUACCUAGGAGUUUUAAAUAAGAAAAUACCUUUUUGCCCUUAUUAAAUUACUUAAUUAAUUAUUAAUUUCUAAAUUAUGAUUUUACCCCUAAAUUGGGUUUAGGGCAUUAUAUGCACACUAUUCCCACUUUUGCAAAGGUUGCGCACCUGAGAAAACUCCUUUCAAUGAUUUGUUCACUCACCAAAGUAAUGCAAGCAUCUAAGCCUUAAGUCAUCAUCUAUACUAUCAAUUCUCCCAUACUGAUUGCAUUGAAAGCUAAGUGCAACCACCAACUCCAAGUUGACAAGUCAAGUACAAGAAAGAUGGCUAGUUGACUACAUUGACACAUGAUCUGAUCCUCAACAUGGGCAAGAGGUAGUUCUAGGAGAAUAGUUUGAGCAAUAAGAAUGGAUUACCUAAAGGGAAACCCAUCUAUAAAUAGAGGAUUGUUUGGGCGCGUGCACACAUACACACACACACACACACAUAUAUAAAUAUGUAUGUAUGUAUGGGGAGAAGAAAAAAAAAAGGAAUGUUGAAGAGUUUGAAUCUUUAAUGGAGGUGAUAUUAACCUUCUUAGGAUUUAGUUAGGAAUUUAAUUUGGUAAUUAAAAUGACAAUUAAUUAUUUGGAUAGGAUUUGUUAGGUAGUUUCCUAUUUCUUUCUAUAUAUUUUCCUUAUUUUUAUAGGUUUCCUAUAGUUAUAUAAAUAGAGAACAUUUUCUCUUCUUUUCCCUAUGAAUGAAUAUAUGACUAGGUAAAAUUAAGCUACACGUUUCUUAAUGGUAUCAAAGCCAAAUUCUAAUUACUAGGAAUAAUGGUUAAAAUAGCAAUGAUAGAUGCUUCCAAUUAUGAUAACAACUUGAAGGAGGCAGAAAGAAAACCUAUCCCUCAUUAGAAUUUUGUGACCAAUGGUCAUGGUCACUCUUCUUAGCUAAUUACCUCUCACAAAUUAACUUAAUGGAGAAAAUUAUCUUUAAUGGCCUCAAUUUGUCAAACCUUUCAUUCAUGGGCAUGGACAAAUUGAAUAUUUUAUUAGAGCAACAUCAAUACCACAAGGAAUAAUUCUCAUCAAGACAUAGGAAGUAGAUAAUGUCAUGAUUAUGUCAAGGUUGAUCAACUCAAUGGAACUCAAGAUUAGGAAGACAAACACGUUCAUGACCAUAACUAGAGAGAUUUAGGAGGCUACCAAGGAAACCUAUUACGACUUGGUAAUUUGCUCAGGUCCACGAGAUAGCCAUACAAAUAAAAAAUACUAAGCAAGGUAAUAUGAAUGUAAUUCAGUACUAUAAUACACUCAAAACUCUUUGGUAAGAACUUAAUUCGUUCUAUGAUUAUGAAUAACAUUGUGCAUAAGAUAGUGAAAUGUUCUAAAAGAUGAUUGAGAAGGAUUGAGUAUUUGCAUUCCUAAUGGGGUUUAAAUAAUAAAUUAGAUGAGGUUUACCUCUUUACUUAACAUUACCCUAGUUAUUACAAAACCAGUAAGCUUCACAUUUCAGCCAAUGAUCCAAAAUUCAAAAGGAUUCAUGGAAGGCCCUAGUGUGACCUUCAUCUCCUUUAAAUGCUUCCAGAAUUCCAAAUAUUCAUUGACAAGUGAUUAACCAUCAUCUUUUCCAAAUGCAUCUUUAGAUGUCAUAUACCCAAAGGUGUUCAAAUUCGUAAGAUAUUAACCAAGUCUAGAUAUUAAAAAGGUAUAUCAUCCUCUACCAUUAGAAAGAAGAACAUACAUUAUCCUCUAUUAGUGAAAGCACAUAUGUCAUCAUCUCAACAAAUCAAGCAUGCGUGCAAAUUUGUCUUCUUGGUCUUCUAAUUAUGGUCAAGCAAGUAUUAAUGAAGUACUUAGUUUGAAGCAUCUGUUUAUCAUCUAUAGUGGUUGUAGUUGCUAAUCCAAUAAUUGCACUCCUUUGAAAGUGGUACAAAUUAUUCUUCCUUAUUCCUUGCAUCACCACAAGUUUACUUGGCAUAACUUUCAAAAUCCCAUAUUUUAUAGUAACAAUAUUGAACCCUAUGGGAUCUAAUACUCCAAUUGAGAUGAGACACUUAUUCAUACUAGGAACAUACCAAACAUCACUCAAAAUUUUAGUUGAUUCAUCAUGAGUCUUCAACUGGAUGGUAUCUAUUAUUGUUAUCUCACAAGCAUUAUCAUUCCCCAUGUAAACAACUCCAUCUUAUAGUUCUUUAAAGCAAGAAAACCACUCCUUGUAAGAAUGCAUGUGAAGGUGGACCUAAUAUCCAAAAUCCAUUCAUCUAAGUUAUAAAACAAGGAUAAGCAAACCAAAGCAAAGUUUGACCCAUCUUCUCCAAACUUAGCCACACAAGCAUCGAAUACUAUUUCUUCUUUAUUCUUAUUUUGUAGCUUAGGACAAUCAUUAUUCUGACACUACCAAAAAUUAAGUAUGGUUGAACCAUUUAUAUUUACUUUUCUGACAUAUUUAAGUUGACGCAAAUUGAAUUGUCUGUCGCUUAUAUGUAACUAUUUACCAACAGUAAUUGCAACAACAAAUACCUGUCGGCAAAAAUAUUAUUGCAAUGGAUUUAAACCAUUGCAAAUGUUCAACUAAUAUACUUUGUUACAAAAGCAAUUUACCUAUAAAAUAGAAAAAAAAUAGUUUUAUUAUAGUGGAUAAUAAUACCACACAUAAUUUGUUCCAAAAAUAAUUGUAGUCAUAUGAAUAUAAAAUAUUUUCACCAUAGUUGUAUGAUAAAUACGAUAUAGCUAGUGACAAAACAAUUUUAUGAUUAUUUUUUUAGGUUCAUACAAUAUUUACAUUUUUUUUAAUCAUAAUGGUUUUAACAUUUUAAUAUUUUUUAACUACUUUUAAUUGUCCAUUUUAGAAAGAAAUACAUUAAAUAUAUAUAUAUAUAUAUAUAUAUAUAUAUAUAUAUAUAUAUAUAUAUAUAUAUAUGUAUGUAUGUAUGUAUGUAUGAUAUAAUUUAUGAUAUCGAAUAAUAAUAUUUAAAAUUUAAAAAUACAUUUUAUAGAGAUUUAUCUAAUUUGAAUGUAUUCAAUAACAUAAAAAAAAUGAUAGUACAUGUAUAAGUAUUUUUAUUUUAAAAUGUUGAUAAUUUUAUUUAUAAAUUUAUAUUUAUUUUAUAUUUAAUUAUUAUACAAAAUACACAAGAAUCAAAAUUAAUUAAUUUAUAAUAAAUUUAUUUUAAUUAAUUUAUAUAUAUAUAUAUAUAUAUAUUAGUUCAUGCAUGUAUAAUUUAUAUAUAAUAUGUAUUUAUAUAUAGAUAAUAUUUAUUAUAUAACUGCUUAAGUAUAUAAUAUUUCCAUUUAUGAAUCUUAUAUACAUUCUUUAUAUUACACAUAACAAAGUUGACUUGGAGGCACAAUUGCUUCCUUUCAAACUUGAGGUCAAGGGUUCAAUCUCAAGAAACAAUAUCCAAGCCAAUAUCCAAAACUAGCAAGGAGAGGAGUGUACAAGAUGCUCCAUGUGAAUGUAAUGAAAUCGAAAUUUCAUGAAAACCUAAAAUCUUUUAUUACUUAUAUUUCUCAACCAACUUAAUUUGUUGGUAAUAGUGAUGGUCUAAAUCCAUUGGAUAGUUUGUCGCUAAAUAUUUUUUAUUGGCAAUGGAAAAUUCCCAUCAAUAGACUUUUGCCAACACACCUUUCCUCUCCUACCAUGCGAUGGGAUUAUCAAUUGGUAAAUGUUUAUUUUGACUGUGCAUAUUAGUCGAGAAAAGUCAAAUUUCUUGUAGUGCAAUGACCCUUGUCAUGAAAAAAGACACAUUCAUCUUUUGCAAGUAUACAUUUAAAUUAAGAAUUGUCUUCUUUUCUAGGUUUUCAACUUUGAGAUUAGUCAUUAACUGUUAAAGCUUCCAAUGAUAUAUCUCUAUGAUCGCUAUGGUCCUUCUUCCUUUAUUUAGAGCUUAGCAAAGUGGAACACACAACAUUGAAAGUAAUCUUAUCCUUACCAUAAAGUAAGGUGAUGGUAAGAUCUUCAUACACAUCAAGAAACAAAUUCAAUAACAAUAAGGCCUUAUUCUCAUCUUCAAUGAUCUCAUCUAAAUUCAACAAAUUUGCUUCGAUUCUAUCAAAUGCGUGCAUAUGAUCAUUCAUAGACAUAUCUAGUUGAUACUAGAAGCAAAAAAGUUUUUUCUUCAAAUAUAGUUGAUUUUCUAGACCUUUUUUUUCAUAUACUUGUCCUCCAAUGUCUUCCAUAAAUGUUUUUGUGGAUAUCUCUUUCAUAAUGGAAUAAUUUUAAGCUUUAACAAGAUAUAAGUGGAUGGAACUAUAAAAUUGGCAAUUGAUCCCUUACCCAUUCUUUAGCAUUCAUGUUUUCAAGUUUUUCUUCCAAACCAAUAUCCAAAUCCUAUUGACAUAUCUAAUUAAUGCCUCUUAUUGCCACAUUCCAAAAGUACUAGUCCUAUCAAAGUUUGCAUUAUUAACCAUAGUUUUAACUAACGAAGUUUUUACCUUUUCUUUUAACUAGUGCAAUAACAAAUAACCUUGAAACCAACCUUGGAUAGAACUACUGCUCUUAUACCAUUUUGUUGUGCUUUAACCUAAUCCCACAAGACUUCCAAAAGUACCAAAUAAAAUACAAACUAAACUAGUCUAUAAUAUAAAGAGAAAUAUCAAGAGAAAUAAAAAUAAAGGAGGGUACACAAUAUUUAUGAGGUUUAGUAAGGAUGUCUUACCUAUAUCAUCAGACAAUGAUAAUCAAUCCACUAAUCUUCAAAUCAAAAUUACAAAAUCAAGUUGGGAAAGAUUGUCUCACAAAAUGGCUGCAAUUACAAAGAUUGACUGAAGCUACUCUAAUAACUUUGCUAAAGUCAUUCUCACACUACUAUGAUGAAAAGACGUAAGACUCAUUUAUAGAACCUAAAUAAGUCCCCGAGCCUUGACAAAACUAAUUCAUAAUUCCUAUGGACAAGGACUCCUAACAUAUAACAAAUUAUGAAAUCAUAAUCCUUAUAGGACAAGGAUCCCUAAAAUAUAUUAAACUCUUAAUUGAGCUAAAAGCCAAUACCUAAUAUAGAAGCCACACCAUAUUUUCCAUAACUCUACUAUGUAGAUGGUUGUUAAGAAAAAUUAUCACUUCCAAAAGUUAAAUAACCAUUUAUUUUUCCUUCCCUUUCCAUUCAUCCAGACAAUAACAAUAAAAAAUGUAGUGUAACUUUUGUUACUUUGCUACUUGUUCUCUCAAGUUACUUGCCUACUUGCGAAUGACCUCCACAAUCAAAUUAAGUAAAUGGAGAAAUAAUGUGGAGUUCCAAGAUAUAGGUAGAAAAGAGUGGAAAACCCCUAGUUCUACAAAAUAGUUUGCAAUUUUGUCUCUAGAUCUCUCAUUUUCGUGGUAAUGGCCAUUGAAGAUGUCAUCACUGAGAAGAUCACAAAGUGAAGAAGGCAUGACUGAGAGUUGGUAGAGUAGAGAGUUAAGGUAGAAAAUAGCAAAGAUAGGAUUUUGACGUUUUUAGAAUUUGUAGAUAAAAAAUAAAUACAAUCCAAAAAUCACUUUCAGAACAUGAUUUUACCUAACCAUGCCAAACAUAUAUUUUUUUUAUGUGGUUUGUAUUUGAUGUUCUCGAAAACAUUGAAUACAUUUUGGAUUGACUAUUAAACACAACCUUAGUAAUUAAAUCAGCAUAUUGAUAAAUUAUCAAGAGGCUCUUAUCAAUUUGGUCAACUCUUAGAAAAGUGUUGUUGAAAACACUAAAUACAAUCUAUAUAUUUAAAAAAAAAAUUGAAACAUGAAUUUACUUGACCAUACCAAACACAUUAUUUUUUAUUUGGAUUGUGUUCAAUAUUUUCAAAAACACUAAAUACAUGCAAUUUGAUUAACUAAUGAACAUGAACUUAGUAAUUAAAUUAGAAAUUUCAAAUGAAUUAAUGUCUUUUAUUUUGCAAGCAAAUCAUGAUUUUUUGUUUUCUACUAAAAUUUUGAAUACAUCACUAAAAGUAACAUCACCACUUUCUGGUUAGAAAGUUUUAAGAAGAUAUUUUUUAUCAACACAUAUUGUUGUUUGCUUUGAUGUCAAGAUACCAAAUCCUUUUUUCCUAAAAUUUUUCCUUUUUAUGCAAAUAAUAAAGUGUGGUUUUUUUCUUGAUUCAUUUUUUAACAUAGUUUUCCAUUCUACAUUGUUAAUAUACCAACACUUUUCAUUUUUUCUUGAAUUUUGGAUGUUCCUUCAUUAUUUGAUGAACUAUUUCCUUAGCCACAACCAUGAUGACCAUGACCAUGACAAUGAUUAUUUGGCUUCCUUCAUACCAAAUUUUUUCCCUCUUGUUGAUAUAUUAAACUUUGUUAACAAUUUUCUUUUAUUUAUAUAUUGAGUCUAAUACAUCAUACUUCCAAGGGUCAUAUUGAUGUCACUCAACUUCAAGCUACUUUUGAGUUAACUAUAUUACUAGGUAUAUGUGCAACAUUAGGUUGAAUUAGGGCACAAGGAAUGGCUACCACAUGUAUGCUAGGUGAAAUAUUAGAGUGUUUUUUUUCUCUUUUCUUUUUUUGUCAAGGUUAAGGAUUUGAGUAACUAAAGCCUCUAUAAAGUCUUUGAGGUAUCCACUAAGAAGCACAAGGAGUGUCGCAUGGGGGCUUGGAAGAAGAAUGUAAGUUACUUGUAUCUUGUUUUUAUAUUUAGUAGAUUGUUUGUGGUUGAUAAACUAUUCAUGUAACGACCUGCUCCCAACCAUGUAGAUAUUGUCCACUUUGGACCCAAAGGGGCCUUCAUGGCUUUAAAACGCCUCUACAAAAUUAAGAGAAGUCCAUACUUAUAUAGCGCCAAGAACUUCCCCCUCUAUCUGAUGUGGGAUGUUAAAAACACCCCUUUCCCCAUGUAGACACAAUGUCCUCGUUGUGUCCCACGGGAUUGCGGGGACAAACAAACCCCUGAACUAAGGUUGAAGAUUGACUUUGAUACCACUUGUAACAACCCAUUCUUAACCGGGUAGAUAUUGUCCGCUUUGGACCCAAAGGGGCCUUCAUGGCUUUAAAACGCAUCUACAAAGUUAAAAGAAGUCCAUACUUAUAUAGCGCUAAGAACUUGCCCCCUAUCCAAUGUGGGAUGUCACAAACACCUCCAUCCCCCACCCCAUUAUAUAAAUAUAUUAUUAUUAUUACUUUCAAAAGACCCUGCAACACCAUUACUCCAAGCCACCAACUACACCCAUUAUUAUUAUUAUAAUAAUAACAUUUUUUUUCUCUUGUUUCUUCCUUCUUGGACAUCCACACACAUCUUUUUUUUUUUUUUAUGACAUCCCACAUUGGAUAGGGCCAAAGUUCUUGGUGUUAUAUAAUUAUGGACUCCUCGUAACCCUGUAGAUGUGUUUUAAAGCCAUGAGGGCCUCUUUGGAUCCAAAAUGAACAAUAUCUACAUGGUUGGGAGUGGGUCAUUACAAAUGGUAUCAAAGCCAAUCCCCAACCUCGGUGUGGGGUUUGUUUGGCCCCGUAAGGGUAUUUGUUUGUUUGACCCCACAAUCCUGUGGGACACAACGAGGACAUUGUGUUUGCAUGGGGGUUGUUUGUGACAUCCCACAUCAAAUAGGGGGGAACGUUCUUGGCGCUAUAUAAGUAUGGACUCUUCAUAACCUUAUAGACGUGUUUUGAAACUGUGGGGGCCCCUUUGGGUCCAAAGUGGACAAUAUCUACAUGGUUGAGAGCGGGUCAUUACAAAUGGUAUCAAAAUCGAUCCUUGAUCUCGGUGUGGGGUUUGUUUGGCCCCAUAAGGGUGUUUGUCUGUUUGACCCCAUAAUCCCGUGGGACACAAUGAGGUCGUUGUGUGUGCAUAGGGGGAGGGGUGUUUAUGACAUCCCACAUCGGAUAAGGGGGAAAGUUCUUGGCUCUAUAUAAGUAUGGACUUCUCGUAACCUUGUAGAUGCAUUUUAAAGCUGUGAGGGCCCCUUUGGGUCCAAAGUGGACAAUAUCUACAUGGUUGGGAGUGGCUCGUUACAAUUCAUGGAUUUUUACACCCAAAAGGUUUUAAGCAGUUUUUUCAUGUUACAUUUUGUGUCAUACGUUUGAUUGAUUAUUCCUAUUCAAAGAAUUGAUGAAAACUUAAUUAUAAUUGAUAUAGCUAGGUGUUUAGGAAUGUUUCUAUUUAAAGUGCUUUUAAUUGAUUGUUUUUUUAGAAACAUUUUUUAAAGAAUCACCUCUCAAGAGCUUCUCAAAAAAGCAUUACAAGUGAUUUUUAACUUUUUAAAGAAUGUUUUCUAUGUUUUUCCAAGUGUAUAGUUUUUCUCUAAAUUUUUUAUUUUUAUUUUUUAAUACCAGAAGCAUUUUCUAAAAGUACUACUAAAUGGACUCUUAAAUUUUGAGGAUAUUUCACUUAGACAACCUAUUCAUCCCCCUCACUAUGUAGUUUUGUGUCUCAAGAUAAAAGUUCUCUCCUUUAUUUUAACAUAAUCUUUGUUUGAAGAAUUGUAUUUUUACUUGACUUUUGUUUUUAAUAUGUCUUCCAAGGCUUUUAAUGAUCCCAUAAAUUGGUCAAUGGCUAUAGAAUCCAAAUAUUUAGGCUUUUCAAUAACAAGAAAAUAAAAGAUGAAAACUUUUUUUUUUUUAGUUACACAAAUAUCAUCAAACUUUCACCAUUUAUUUUUACUUAAUUUACAUAUGUCAAUAUUUUUGAAAAAUAAUAAAAGAUUCUCUUAUAUUUAAACUUUAAAAUUCACUUUUAAAAGUAUGAAAUUGAACUUUAAAAAAAAAAAAAAACUUAUCAAAACUUUUAUAUUUAUUUGUAAUAUUUUUCAUGUUUCCUUUGACCUGGUUGCACUUAAAAUCAUUUCAAAGUUGUCUACAUCUAUUUCUUAAUAAAUGAGGUUAAAAGCCUUCUUGUCUUUCUUUCUUAUAUCUUCGAAAAGUUUAUUUAAUUUUGGGAUAGAUUGGUUUUAUCCAAUAGCUCCUUGUAGUUUUUCUCUACAAUCUCUUAUAUAUAUCUUGCAACCAAAUAAAACCUUUGUCUUGAUAUUCAAAUCGUCAAAAUUGUUAAAACUGUCUUUAUUGAGUUAAGCAACUUAAUUGAAUUACACGUCUUUUGAAAAAUAAAAUAAAAUAAGAAUCUUAUUAUAUGCAUAAAUUUCAUGAAAGUCUUGCAACAUAUAGGGGGUAGGCCUUGAAGUUAUAGUGAUAAUUUAUUCUACUAAAAAUUUUGAUCUCUACAUUGAUAUCAUUUUUUUAGGAGUAAUAGGGAUAAAUACACAAAUAAUAGUACUAUUAAAAGAGAUAAGUAGAGGAGAAAAUUAAAAGAAAUUUUUUGUGUUUUUAAUACUUUAAUUGAAGUAUUAUAUACACAACUCCAAUUACAAUAUGUUUUAAUUCACUUUUAAAAACUAAAUCAAAUGUAAUUUUUGAAAACUUCUUGAAACUCAAAUUUAGAUUUCAAUGUGUGAUUGAAUGAUAGGGAUGGUAAAAAAUAGGUAAAUAAAACAUAUGUAAUAUUAUUGUAUAUUAUUAAUUGCUUCCAUACCAUUAGCAUAUCAAUGGCAUCUUGCUAAGAAGAAGAACCACCGACAACAGUCCAUUAUAAUAGUUUCAGAAUGAAUGACAUUUAUUUGUUUGUAUUAUAUUGUUUUGCUAUUUAGGCCAUAUUCACAUGAACUGACUUUUUGUUUGGAGUAGUGUUUUAGUAGAGUAUUCAUAGUACACCUAGAUAUAGCCUAUGGGUUGCAUUAAUUAAUGGUUUUGGACCAACUUAACAAAAUUCUAUGCUAUCAUAAAUGCCAAAUUUUGGCACCCCUUGCCAAAUUUUCGCAUACCCUGCCAAAUUGAUGAUUUUGCCUUGCGAAAUGCUUUGUUUUCCUCCAUCUUGCUAAUGAUAGUUUUGGCAACCCCUUGCCAAGUUUGACAAGGGGUUUUGAAGUGCUCCAAAGCUCGGAUUCUUCAUGUGCUCCAAACUCUCCCUCAAUCUUGGCCUAUUUCAGUGAUCAAAAAGCUACUAAAAACACUAAAACUUACCAAAAAUUGGUUAGUAACAUUUGCUAGGUCCUUAACAUGCCAAUUGGGAUAAAAGGUCUAACUACUACUCAAAAGUGCUUAAUACAAUUAAGUUUACGCUUAUAAAAAUGCACUUUUUGAGUAGUAAUCAAUAAAGUAGUUGAUUGCCCAUGAUUGCGCAAUGCCAUCAUAAAGGAACCGAAUGCCCAACACACGUACAUGUGAGGUACCAUAUUUUUUAAGAAAGACAAGUCGGUUUGCAAUUGAUGUUAAUAUCUUUCCAAGGCAGAAACAUCAUUUUGUAGGCAUAAUUGAAUUAGUUAAACUUAAACCCCAAUUUGCAUUCUUUCAAGUAAAAUUAUUUUUAACCUAUAAUGCUCAACACUUUUAUGAGAAUCAUAAAAGUAUCAGAAUCAUAGAGAAUUAUUGAAAGUGAUUUUGUAGUGUUGUUGAUAAUAUGUCACAUGACUAUAAAAAUGCUUUUAAUAUUAGUAAAUUAUCAAAAAGGACAUCAAAUUUAAUUUCAAGGAAAUAUUAUAAUAAACUAAUACUUUUUCAUGAUAAAAGAAUUUAUAAACAUUUAUAGUAAAAGAAUAUAUAAACAUCUAUUUUACUAACAAAAACUAAAAAAUAAUAGUUCUUGCGAUUACAAGAAAAUUUUAGAAAAUAUUUGCAACAUGAUUUGGAUUAAUAGACAAACAUCAAUCCUAAUAUAAUAAUUUUUAAAAUAAAAAAAUCAUUUGAUUAUUUAUUCACUUAAAAAUAAUAAUUUUUUAUUACUACAAAAUUUUGAAAAAUACUUACAAAAAAUCUAGAUUAAUAAUGAAAAAUUGAAUAAAAACAUAUUAGUUUAGUUUCUAAAAAAAAAAUAGUAAUUAAAAGCAAAUGAGAAGACAAAUUUUCUCAUAGUAAAAAAAAUGAGAAAAUUAUAUAUAUAUUUUUUCAUAUUAGUGUUAUAAUAAAACAUCAACAAGAUAUAAAAUGACCAGCAAUUCGAUCACAUUCUUCUUACAUCUCUCUUACAUGAUAGAACCGUCUUUCUCAACUCAUGAAUCCACUCUACUCUCUUUUUUACUAAAGCAAAUGUAACCCUUGAUCAUCAUCAUAAGGUUUAAAUUUCAUAUCUAUCCUAGCAUUAAUCAUUAUUAAGUUGUAAAAACCAUCAAAGUAAUAACAAUGUUGACUUAUUUUUCAAGAGAAAAACUAUGCAUUUCUCAUAUUGUUCCACAUCUAUUCUUCAAAAAGGCAAAUGUUCAAUUGUUCUCCUCAAAGAUAUCUAUGGUUAAAUAUUUCCUUCUUACCUCUUGGUAAACUACUCCAUCGAAAUCUAGAAGAUGGUAACACUCGCCCUUCAAGGGCCUAAUUAUAUUAUCCAUUCAUUUAAGGAUAACCAACAUUAAGGUAGAUAAUAUUUACCUACAAAAAAAAAAUUAUAUAAGAUUAUGAAAAUCUAAUCACAAAAGUAACUUUCAUAUUUUUAGUCACUAAUCUCUAGAAGGAUGAGGAAAACCUAAUUCUAGCAUUAUUUUUAAUGCCUAUGAAAAGAUGCAUGCAUCAUGAGCAAAACCUUCCCAUCUAGCCAAUGCAAAUGUGAAAUACAUAUUGAAAUAAUAUAUGACCAUAAUAUUUUAGGUAGUUAUGCUUUUUGUACCAAUAUAUGAUAUUUGCCUAUCUCUAAAAACCAUAAUGGGCAUAUGAGUUCCAUUAAUUACCCCUAUACAAUUCUUAAAAUAUGGUCAAUAACAUCAACAUUUCUUAUUUUAUCAAGGGUCUCCCUAAACUAUGAAUCACUUGGUUUUAAAAUAUCCAUAGCUAUAAGACAAACAACAUCUAAUAUAAUCUCAAACCAUCUAGAAAUAAAUUCAUUGGAGUGCUAAAAUCUUUCUUAGGUCGUCAUGUUGUCAGGUCUAUGAACUAUUGUAGUGAGAAACAUUGCUAAAGCCUCUAUUAAGGGCAUAUCUAAACCUUCUCUUAGACCAUGCCUUUUAAUAAGUAUUUCACGACCAAAAGUAUUUCCUUGGGGUUCUCCUACAAAAGUAUCCAAUUUAUUAUAUUUCACGACCAAAAUAUAAAUUAACUAAAUAAACUUAGUAAAAAAAUAAAAAUGUAUCUUCAAUUUAUUAUCCCACCAUUCAUUUUUAGCAUUAGUGGUUUGCCUCAUAAGAUCCCACCCAAGGCCAAUCUUUUUCUGAAUCAAGGCAUUCCAAAGUUGUCAAUAUUUUUUAAGAGAACUUAAUAUAUUCUUAGGUUGCUUAUAUUGGUAGGUUCUUCUAGGUAGAUUGUUGAAUACCUUUGUCACUUUUUUCCAUCCAAUUUACUAAAGUGACUAUUUGGUCUAUUUUUAGCCAAAAUCUUAGCAACACAAACUGUGAGAUAUGCAUUAACAACAAUAUCAUUCAAUAUACUUUGCUUUAUUGAUCAUUUUCUUUACCACUUGUUUGUUGUAGUGGUUGAACUAUACUGUUAGACAUCUAAUAACAAAGUAAAGAACAAAGAAGUAUUAAAAGAAAAUGUUGUCAAUGUACUUUUAUAUUUUAUAGUUUAGACAUCUAAUGAGAACCAUAAAAAAGUGAACCUUAAAGAAAUUGGUCAACUAGAGGAAUAUGAAUCUUGGAAUACUGAAUAGGAAAGACUCACAUUCAUGGAAUAAAUUAAUAUAUAAUAUUGUAAUUUUAUUAAUUCUUUUCAUUAGGUUGCUAAAAGUUGAAAAAGAAUUCCUCAUGAAACGGAUUAAAUAAUUUCCUCAUGAAAGAAUCCAAUCAUGGCCUCAUUAUGAAGUACUGAAUUAACUCAAUGAACUUGAAUAUCAUCUAAUAAAUUCUUUCAUGGGUUUGUUUUUAUAACUUUAAUGUUACCAAUAUAGAAAGAAAUGAAACAUGUUUUAAAUAAUGUAAGAAACUAUGGUAGAAAAGUGGAAAUAAUUAAGGAUAAGAGGCUUUAUAUGAACUUUAAUAUUGUUAGUAACAGAGAGGCAAAUGAGAUAUCUCAAUAUUAAAUUAUGCAUAAUUAGUAUAAUUUUUUAAAAAUAAAUGGAAGAGAAUUUAGGAGGAAAAUAAGUAAUUAGAGUAUGAGAUAACAUGAAUGCUUAAAAUUGUCAAUCAUUAAAUUUAAGAUAAUUGUUAAUAUUUCACUACAUUUUCCAACUCCAUGAAUUAAAGCAAUGGGAGGAAAUGAGUUGGAUUUCUUAAUAGUAUUAAGUGUUGGAUUGACACAAAAUUAGGGUGCUAGUGGACACUUGAAAUGAGGACCAAGUAACAAUUGCAGAUAGCAUUUUACUCAUCCAACAUAGUUAAAAUUUUCAAAACCCAAUUCUUAUUUAGUACUUUUAUUGAAUAUAUGGGUAUAGUUUAACUUCAAAUCUAAUAUGAGUGUACUUUGAAUUUCCUAAAGCUUACAUGUUUCUUCACAUAUUAACAAAGAGAAAAGAUUAACAUUUUUUACAAUUACAAUUUAUUAGGACUCAAGGUUUAUUUCCUAAACUUUUAAAGUGGGGAAAAAAAAGUGUAAGGGAGAAAAAAGGAAAAGGAAAAGAAAGGAAAAACAAAAAGAAGAAAAAACUAUUAAAAGGCAUUAGAAGCCUAAGAUGGGCAUAUCCAUGAUUGAGGUGUAAAUGGGGGUGACAAUUCAUGUUGGUGGAUAGUGUUUGUGUUGUGUCAAAGCCUAGGUGUUCUACUACAUAGCUUAACCCAUCCCCAACACUACUAAUAAUCAGAUUAAGUUAGGUCUUCUAUAUGUCAAUAUGAUUAAUAUCUCAAGAAAAAGAUGUUUUUGUCUCAAUUGACCAAUCUAUUUAGAAACAAAUUUAAAAUGAGUCAAAUAUGGGUCAAACGUCUUUCAAAUAUAAUUAAGUUAAUAGUGGGAUUAUUAAAUAGGUUAAUUCGAGUCAAAUUCGUGUUAUGCAGGUUGACCAAAAAAGUGCUUAUUUAUUAAAUGAGUUAUAUAAGUCGACACAAAAUUUACCUAAACUCAUUUAUACUUGACCCAAACCCAUGAAAAGCGUGUUAGGUUUGUGUAAUGUCGGGAAUCGUAUCAAACUUUGUCAUCCCUAGGUUCAAACAACUCCAAGACCCUAUUUUUAAGGAGAAUAUAUGGACUUGAGAUUGCUACAUUAUUUAGACUAAUCCACACCUACUUAUUAAGGGAAAAAAAAUAAAAGAGGAGAAAUGUAGAGUAUAGGAUGAUGGGACAAGGCACAAAAUGACAAGACGUAGGAUGGUAGGACAUAGGAUGAUAAAAAUCCACUUCAAUUAAUAUUUCCAUAAAUCAAGAGUAAUCAAAUAUUAAAAUAUUUUAUUCUCCUAAUUUAGGAUAUAAUAUCUAUUCUAAAUAAAUCAAGAGCAAUCAAAUAUUAAUAAUAUUUGAUUCUCUUAAUUUAAGAAAUAAUAUUUAUAUUCCUUAAUUUUAGGAUAUUUAUUAUUUAUUUCUUCUAUAAUUCACAAUGCAUUCUUGUAUAAAUUUAUGAAAAGAAAUAAUAAAAAUUCAUUGCUUCUAUUUUCAAAUUAUAAAUUCUUCUUGGUAUUAGAGUUAGAGGAGGAGGCUCAAACUUGGGUUUUCUCCAAAGGUGGUUGAAUACCCUAAAAGACUUGACCUAUCCACACAAACAAUGUCUUACUCUUCAUUCAUUCAUUCAAAAAUAAAAUAAAAUAAAAUCCUUAGUGCUCUAGCUUUCCAUCAACAUUUUUUCUAAUUUGAUUUCAAUCAAGCUAAACACAACAAAUUUUCUACUAUGGGGAAAUCAAACUAUCCUCUUAGCUUGUGGCUUCGGUGUUUGAACCUUUCAUCAAUGUUUUACCCUUUCAUUGGUGUUAUUUUUAGUUUGAUUUUAAUCAAGUUAAACACCAUAAAUUUUCUAGUAUGGCAAAAUCAAAUCAUUCUCUUAGUUCAUGGUGUGUUCUCUAACAUCUCUUAGGUGGAGAAAGACUUGCUAAAGAAUUAAAUAUGAUGAGGAAAGCAAAAGUUUUAUCCUACAAUACUAGUAAUCAAUUAAUAAUAACAUAUUUGUCACUUCAUGAGUUCUCAAAACCAUGAUAAAAGACAUUUUCAUUAUGAUCCUUGGGACUAACAAGAUAUAUAAGGUAUAAACUUCUCUUAAGGAGUAAUUGCUUCCUAUUAUAGUUGAAAAAAAAAAUGAUCUCUUCAAGAAUAUUUAAGAGAUUUCAAAAAUAUAUAUGAUAAUCUCAUGACAAUCAAAAGCUAAUUUCAGACUAAGACAAAGUUUGUUGAUUCACUCAUGGUUUAGGAUAAUGGAAUGAUUUUUUUUAACCUACUAUGCUUUUCUAACCAAUUCAUAGCAACUCUUUAGGGACAUAAGCAAUCACUUACCACCAAAGGGAUGGAAAGAAAAUUUUUAUAGAGUAUGCACAAUUUUUUAUUUGGACAACAUAGUUAUGGUCAUAAUGGUUGAAAAUGCAUAAAUUUUAAUUUGAGGGGAAGAAGCUUUACACUUUCUAUGUGUUACAAUUCUUUUAAAAAAAUAUACUUUUAUGAUUUUAUCAAGUCCUUGUCAAAGGAUAUCUUCAUCAUGUUUUGAGAUAAGCUGGGUGUGCAUAUUCUUUCCCACUCCAAUUUAAGCUUGCAUAUUAAGAGAAAGAAUAAAAUAAGAUAAAAAGCACAUAGGAUAGCAACACGUAGGAUGAUAAAAAUCCGCUUCAAUUAAUAUUUCCACAAAUCAAGAGUAAUGAAAUAUUAAAAUAUUUGAUUCUCCUAAUUUAGGAUAUAAUAUUUAUUUUAAAUAAAAAACAAACAAUCAAAUAUUAAUAAUAUUUUAUUCUCUUAAUUUAGGAAAUAAUAUUUAUUUUCCUUAAUUUUAGGAUACUUGUUAUUUCUUUCUUUGUAUAAUUCACAAUGCAUUCUUGUAUAAAUUUUCUAAAAGAAACAAUAAAAUUCAUCAUUUUCAUUGCCAAAUUAUCAAAUCCUUUACUAAUGACCUUACGAUUAAAAUCUUGUUUGUUUGGUAAGUGUUGAACAAAAUGCCUUAGUAGCUACAAACGUGAUGGAAGAUGUGUGAAAGUUGUUGUGAACUGAGGAAGCUUAAGAAUCUAUUAAGAAGGUUGCUGAGGUGUGAAGAGAUGCUGAAAUUGAGGCUGUAACCAUAAAACAACUUAGUCAAUGAAGCUAAUAGAGUUUCAUAGAGCUGUUAUGCUGUUAUUGUUAUUUUAUAGGAAGUAGCUCUUAGUUCCAGCUAUUUUUUCUACUUUUCUAUUGUUUUCUAUUGCAAACUUGUGUAUAAAUGUUGCAUUGAUCAUUCAAUGAGAGUAGACAUUUUUGUUGUCUCAAAUGCAACUUUUGGUUGUUGCUUCCAACACUCUAGAUUCUAAAACCUAUGGAUUAGUAUCAGAGCCUUCUAUUUUGAAGGACCUGUGAGGAUUGAGUGAAGCCAAAAUACCUUCACACAUAUUGAACUCCAAAGCCAACAUAAACACACAACCUUUAACAGCUUGUAACUAUCAUUCUACAACAAAUAGAUGGAGCCACAAGCUUUUUGUCAGUACCAGUUUUCAAUGGUGAUAAUUAUCAGGCGUGGGCUAUUAGAAUGACAGUCCACCUUGAAGCUUUGGAUCUUUGGGAGGCAGUAGAAGAAGAUUAUGAAGUACCACCACUUGUAGACAAUCCAAGUAUCAAUCAAAUGAAGAUUCACAAGGAAAGAAAAGCAAGGAAAGCCAAAGCCAAGGUUUGCCUCUUCUCUGCAGUUUCACCUUCCAUUCUCACCAGAAUCAUGCAAAUGGAGUCUACUACAGCAAUCUGGAAGUGAUUUCGCAGCAUUUUUGUACAGUAAGGUGUUUCUCCUUCUGACGAUGCACGAUUUAUGCCGCGAGAAGGAAGCUAGAAACCUCAAGGUAGAAGCCAACUUCGCAGCCCUGUGAAGAUAGCUUGGUGUUGCGAAAUAAUUUCGCAGCCCUCUUGAGUGUCUGCGAAAUCUCGCAGACACCAUUUUUCUCCUGCGAAAUGGUUCCUAAAGCUUCCCGAUAUUUGCUACCGACAUUGGGAGAUAUUUUCCAUUAGAUUUUUGUUGUCUAAAUCCCAAAAUACUCCUUGUAAACCACCAAUUACAUGAUUCCUUAGUUUUUAAGUUAGUAAAAAGACUAAAUAUCCAUGUAAUAAUUAGUUUUAUAUUAUGUUCAUAUAUAUACCUCUCGAGAGCCUGUUCUCAGAGAGGAGUUCCUUCUGUAAAAGUUGGGGUAAGCAAGUAAAGUCUCUUUUCUUUCUACUGCCUUACCUUCUCACUUUGUAUUUUUUACUUAUUACUAAGUUAUGAACUCUCUGAGGAGUUUUCCCUAGAGAAUGAGUAACUAAACCUCUAAUUCCUUGGAGCUAAGGUUGCCGGGGGAGGUUCCAAGUGCAAGAAUGCAAAGCUUUGUGGUUUUAGCUAGUAAUGAAGAGGAAGUGAAAUCCUUCAAUGAUUUCUAUGUUUUUAGUUAACUUAAAACACCUUGGAGUCACCUGGGCCAACACUUGGUAAGGCAAGUGAUUUCCAACUAUGGAAAUGCACUAGUUUACCCCUUGCGAGCCUUUGGGAGGUGACUUCAAGGUAGGAUUUUCUAGAAUAGCCAACACUUGGUAAGCUUUUGGACUCCUAGGAGACAUCCAUUAGUUAUCUCUUGCGAGCUUUUGACGGGUAAUCCAAGGUUAAAGAUCACCUUGAAUGGUUAAGGCUUAGUGAGAGGCUUAAACCAUUGCAAGUUGCAUCAGUGAGAGAAUUAAAGUGAAAUCUAAUUGAAGGAGUCUCUGUACAUCACCAGUUAGAGAAUUGACUAUAUGUUGAAUCUCUAAUGCGAGGAAAUGAACCAUCUGACCAAAGCCGUGUCUUUUGCAUGAGGAACCACCCCAGUGAACCUAAAUCUCCAAGGAAUGCUUUUCUUCCUAAAUUAUUCCAAACUUCUGUUAUGUUAGUUAGUUUAAGUCUAAACCUUUACCAAUCAAAGUUUGUGUUUUACUUCUUAAGCUAACCUUGAAAUGAAAGAAGGCCAAUUCACUUGGAAUUGGUAUCAUUGAUUGCUUGUUAAUCAUUCCCAGUGAACGAUCCUAGAGCCACUAUACUAUAGUAGCUUUGUCUUUGCUACCCUAGUAUAUGGUGUAAUAGGUUAUAAAUUUUGUUGAUUACUCCCUCAAUCAAGGAGCACCAGCUGGACGCAAAUCAGCUGAGACACCAAUUGGGCAUGAAUCAAAUGGCGCCGUUGCCGGGGAAUGAGUGUCAAGUUUAUAUUGAUACCAUUUUUGAGCACUUGUGAUUUUCAUCACAAGUUGGUAAAGUUUCUUUCACUUUACUAAUUUUCAUUCUUUCUUUGUUUAUUUAUAAUCUAAGUUUAUCUUUUAAAAUUUAGCCUAGUUUAGUUUUAUUGUUGUAGCCCUGUUUCUUUUGUUUUCUUUUGUUUUCAUUUUUAGUUGCAGAUAAAUACUAGUUGUGUAUGCCAAAGUGGAUACAAGACAGUGGAGGAAGGCUUGUUAAGUGUGAUACACCUCAGAGGGGAGAAUUUGAAGUAAUCUUGAAUAUCAUGGAAUCUACACCUGAAGAUCAGCAUAGUCACCAAGGUCGUCAAGACAAUCUCAAUGAAUUCAGAUCAAUGAGGGACCGUAUGCAUCCACCUCGUAUGAGUGCACCAUCAUGUAUAGUGCCCCCUACAGAGCAGCUAGUGAUCAGACCGUAUCUUGUUCCACUUCUACCAACUUUCCAUGGGAUGGAAAGUGAGAAUCCGUAUGCACACAUCAAGGAAUUUGAAGAUGUUUGUAAUACAUUCCAAGAGGGAGGAGCUUCAAUUGAUUUGAUGAGGCUUAAGUUAUUUCCUUUUACUUUAAAGGAUAAGGCCAAAAUUUGGCUUAAUUCUUUAAGGCUAAGGAGUAUCCGCUCUUGGACUGAUUUACAAGCUGAAUUCCUCAAGAAAUUUUUUCCCACUCAUAGAACAAAUGGCUUGAAAAGGCAAAUUUCAAACUUCCCAGCUAAAGAGAAUGAGAAAUUCUAUGAGUGUUGGGAAAGAUACAUGGAAGCUAUAAAUGCUUGUCCUCACCAUGGCUUUGAUACUUGGCUAUUGGUGAGCUAUUUUUAUGAUGGUAUGUCAUCCUCAAUGAAGCAACUCCUCGAGACAAUGUGUGGAGGAGAUUUCAUGAGCAAAAAUCCAGAGGAAGCUAUGGAUUUCUUGAGCUAUUGAUUCGCGUGUAACUCCAAAUGGGUCAUUUAAUCAAAAACAUUUAUAAAACCUAUGACCUCAUACUAAUGUAGCAAAGCUACUAUAGUAUAGUGGCUCUAGGGUCGAACUCUGGGAUGGGUUUUCAUUCUACCAGUGAUAUACUCAAAAUUAGAAAUUGUAUUUAAUGAUUUCCUUAAUAAAAAACUUAAAGUUUAAAAGAAAAUAAAAUUUGUUUUGAAAGUGUUUGAAACUAAACUAACAUAAACUAAUUAAAAAUGGAAGAAAGAAAGUCUCCCGGAGCUAAGGGUUGCUAGGAUCAAGUUCAGAAUAGAAAGUGGAAAAUUCCGGAUUUUUCUCCUCGCAUUGGGGAUUUAACCUAUAGUUAUUUCCCGAACCGGUAUAGGUUUGAAAAUGAAGAUUUAAUCCAUAAAAGGUCAAUAGAAAUGGUAGUCAAGGUCCAUUAAUGGCUUAAGACACUAUGGGUCUUCACCUUGAAUCACUUUCCAAUGACUCGUACAUGAUAACUAAUGGACUAAUAUGGAUCUAGCAAUAAGCAUCCAUAAAGACCUGAAGCUUACCAUGUAUUGGUCAUUCAAAGUGAUUCUAAGGGAUUUAAAGCAAAACUUUGGAUUUAGAAGCCAUUUAUGAAUUCCAACUACCUGAAUUUAAUGCAUGGAAGCUUUCCACCUUUUCAUCUGGAAUUUUCACCUAGCUUCCUUUACUCCAAGAAACCGAAAGUUUAGCCUCUCAUCCUCCGGGCAAACAUCCUUAGAGGUUGUUUGGCUUCCAAGAAAAAGAAAAUAGUAAAGAACAAAGAGAACGAGAGAGCUCUGUAAAAUUCACAGUGUAAAAACGUAAUACGUAUUCUAUAUAUUCCAAGAGGUGAUUUCCACCCCUUAUAAAGUCUUUACAAAAGCCAAAGCUUAUGAUUGGUUAGUUACAAGGAUAAUAAAGGAAAUUACAUCACAAAAUACAAAGGAAAAUAUCUAAAGUGGAGUCGGCAAAGGGCAGAGCAAAAUUCGCAACACGCAUGGGUUAUGCGAACCAUAUGCGAAUGUUAUGCGAAUUUCGCAUAACCUCUUGUGGAAUGCGAAAUUUUCGCAUAACCUGGAGCAGUUGGCUUCCGAAGGCCAUAUCUUCCUCAUUUCAGAUCCAAAUCGUACACGGUUUGAAGCGUUGGAUUCUUGACUUCCAGAGCUUUGAAAUGGUAUAUAGCAUAUAUAAAAUGGACUUCGGGAAGUGCUCCAAAAGUGUGAAAGAAGACUGCAGCUGCUACAUCUUGAUUUUUUUCACUUUGCUUCUCUUUGCUUCUCUCCUUUGCUUGACUUGUCUUAAUGAUCCAAAAAGCUGUCAAAACAUUAAAACUAGCCACAAAUAUGAUUAGAAGACAUUGCUAGGUCCUUAACAUGCCAAUUGGACUAAAGAUGGAGAACUACUACACAAAAGUGCUUAAAACAUAAUGCAUUAAAGGUGUAAAAUAGCACUUUUUGGGUAGUAAUCAGCUAUGUAGCUGAUGUUUCAAGGGGAUGGGAUGAACCAACUAAAGGAGAAGUGGGAAAGAUGAAGUCUCAGUUGAAUGCUUACAAUGCAAAGGCUGGGAUGUAUACCUUAAAAGAAGAUGAUGACAUGAAAGCAAAGUUGGCAGCUAUGACAAGAAGAUUGGAGGAGCUGGAGCUGAAAAGAAUACAUGAAGUGCAAGCUGUUGCUGAAGCACCAGUGCAAGUGAAGCUGUGUCCCAAUUGUCAGUCUUAUGAACACUUGGUGGAGGAAUGCCCUGCAAUUCCAACUGAAAGGGAAAUGUUUAGAGAUCAAGCAAAUGUUGUUGGACAAUUUAGGCCCAAUAACAAUGCGCCAUAUGGAAAUACCUACAACUCAAGUUGGAGGAAUCAUCCAAAUUUCUCAUGGAAGGCCAGAGCAACUCAAUACCAACAGCCGGAUCCACCAUCUCAACAAUCUUCAAGUAUUGAACAAGCAAUGGCUAAUCUCAGUAAGGUAAUGGGAGAUUUUAUUGAAAAGCAAGAAGCCACUAAUGCUCGAGUCGAUCAAAGAAUUGAUAGAGUGGAGAGUAUGUUGAAUAAAAGGAUGGAUGGAAUGCAAAAUGAUAUGAACCAAAAGUUUGAUAACAUCCAAUAUUCAAUUUCAAGGCUUACAAAUUUGAAUACACUGCAAGAAAAGGGAAGAUUUCCUUCUCAACCUCACCAAAAUCCUAAAGGUGUCCAUGAAGUGGAAAGCCAAGAGGGAGAAUCAUCACAGGUGAAAGAUGUGAAAGCCUUGAUCACUCUAAGGAGUGGUAAAAAAAUUGAGCAGCCAACACCCAAGCCACAUGUUGAGAAAGAAAAAGAGAUAAAGAAAAGGAAGGAAAUGGAAGAUAAAGAGAGUGAUAUCAGUGAAGAAAAGAAGGACUCUGAUGCAACAAUGAAUGCAAUUCCAGAGAAGGAGCUUCUGAAGGAAGAAAUGCUGAAGAAAUCAACUUCUCCACCUUUUCCUCAAGCAUUACAUGGGAAAAAGGGGAUUAGAAAUGCAGCUGAAAUCCUUGAAGUCUUGAAGCAAGUGAAAGUUAAUAUUCCACUGCUGUAUAUGAUUAAACAAGUUCCAACGUAUGCAAAAUUCCUUAAGGACUUAUGUACUAUCAAAAGAGGGUUGACUGUAAACAAGAAAGCCUUCUUGACUGAGCAAGUAAGUGCAAUCUUACAAUGUAAGUCUCCUUUGAAGUACAAAGACCCUAGAAGUCCUACCAUUUCAGUCAUGAUUGGAGGAAAGGUAGUGGAGAAAGCCUUGUUAGAUUUGGGAGCAAGUGCGAAUUUGCUUCCAUAUUCUGUCUACAAGCAAUUGGGACUUGGAGAGUUGAAGCCAACAACAAUCACUCUAUCUCUGGCAGAUAGAUCAGUGAAAAUUCCAAGAGGGGUAAUUGAGGAUGUAUUGGUUCAAGUGGAUAAUUUCUACUAUCCAGUAGAUUUUAUUGUUCUUAAUACAGAUCCUACUGUAAAGGAAGCUAAUUUAGUUCCUAUCAUCCUUGGAAGGCCAUUUCUUGCAACUUCAAAUGCAAUCAUCAACUGCAGGAAUGGGCUUAUGCAGCUCACUUUUGGUAACAUGACACUGGAUCUCAAUAUUUUCUACAUGUCUAAAAAGCAAAUCACUGCGGAGGAAGAAGAAGGUCCAGAAGAGCUAUGUAUAAUUGAUACUUUGGUAGAGGAGCACUGCAAUCAACAUAUGCAAGAAAAGUUGAAUGAAAGUCUUGAGGAUAUUGAGGAAGGUUUUUCUGAAUCUCCUAUUGGGCUUACUACUCUACAAAGUUGGAGAAAGAUAGAAGGAAUUCUACCUUUGUUCAAUAAGGAAGAGGAGGCAGCUGCUGAAAAAGAAAUUCCAAAACUCAAUCUGAAGCCUUUACCUGUGGAGCUGAAAUAUACAUAUCUUGAAGAAAAUAAUCAAUGUCCUGUUGUGAUAUCUUCAUCUCUGACCAGUCAUCAAGAGAAUUGUUUAAUGGAAGUUCUCAAGAGGUGUAAGAAGGCAAUAUGAUGGCAAAUAUCUGAUUUGAAAGGCAUUAGUCCUUUAGUUUGUACUCAUCAUAUAUAUAUGGAGGAGGAAGCAAAGCUAAUUCGUCAAUUUCAAAGAAGGUUGAAUCCUCAUCUACAAGAGGUGGUGCGAGCUGAGGUGCUGAAGCUACUUCAAGCAGGAAUCAUUUACCCUAUAUCUGAUAGCCCUUGGGUGAGUCCUACUCAAGUAGUACCAAAGAAGUCAGGGAUCACAGUGGUUCAGAAUGAAAAAGGGGAAGAAAUUACUACACGCCUCACUUCAGGUUGGAGGGUGUGUAUUGAUUAUAGAAAGCUGAAUGCUGUAACCAGGAAAGAUCAUUUUCCAUUGCCAUUUAUUGAUCAAGUGCUGGAGAGAGUCUCUGGACAUCCAUUCUAUUGUUUCUUGGAUGGGUAUUCAGGGUAUUUUCAUAUUGAAAUUGAUUUGGCAGAUCAAGAAAAGACCACUUUUACAUGUCCAUUUGAAACAUAUGCUUAUAGAAGAAUGCCUUUUGGUUUAUGCAAUGCACUUGCUACAUUUCAAAGAUGUAUGUUGAGUAUUUUCAGUGAUAUGGUGGAGCGAAUUAUGGAGGUUUUCAUGGAUGACAUCACCGUAUAUGGAGGUACAUUUGAGGAAUGCUUGGUUAAUUUGGAAACAGUUCUUCAUAGAUGCAUUGAAAAAGACCUGGUGCUGAACUGGGAGAAAUGCCAUUUUAUGGUACGACAAGGAAUUGUCCUUGGCCAUAUCAUCUCUGAAAAAGGCAUUGAAGUUGAUAAAGCAAAGGUGGAGCUUAUUGUCAAAUUACCAUCUCCAACAACUAUAAAAGGAGUAAGGCAGUUCCUUGGCCAUGCAGGGUUCUAUAGGAGGUUUAUAAAAGGUUUUUCAAGUCUUUCAAAACCUCUUUGUGAGCUGUUAGCUAAGGAUGCUAAGUUUAUAUGGGAUGAAAGGUGUCAGAAUAGCUUUGAUCAACUGAAGAAAUUUUUAACAACAACUCCAAUAGUGAGAGCCCCUAACUGGCAAUUACCUUUUGAAUUGAUGUGUGAUGCCAAUGACUUUGCUAUAGGAGCUGUGCUUGGCCAAAGAGAAGAUGGGAAGCCCUAUGUGAUUUACUAUGCAAGUAAAACACUAAAUGAAGCUCAGAGGAACUACACAACUACAGAAAAAGAAUUGUUAGCUAUGGUAUUUGCUUUGGACAAAUUUCGUGCUUAUUUAGUGGGGUCUUUCAUCAUAGUCUUCACUGACCAUUCAGCCUUAAAGUAUUUAUUGACAAAGCAAGAUGCAAAAGCAAGGUUGAUUAGAUGGAUUCUUUUGUUACAAGAAUUCGAUCUUCAAAUCAAAGAUAAGAAAGGAGUGGAGAAUAUGGUAGCUGACCACUUGUCAAGGUUAGUUAUAGCACAUAACUCCCAUCCCUUGCCUAUCAAUGAUGAUUUUCCUGAAGAAUCACUCAUGUUCCUAGUGAAAACUCCUUGGUAUGCUCAUAUUGCUAAUUAUUUAGUAACUGGUGAAAUUCCAAGUGAGUGGAAUGCACAGGACAGGAAGCACUUCUUUGCCAAAAUUCAUUCUUAUUAUUGGGAAGAGCCCUUUCUCUUUAAGUAUUGUGCAGAUCAGAUUAUUAGAAAGUGUGUCCCUGAAGAUGAGCAGCAAGGGAUUCUAUCUCAUUGUCAUGAGAAUGCAUGUGGAGGCCACUUUGCCUCUCAGAAAACAGCCAUGAAGGUAUUGCAAUCAGGGUUUACUUGGCCAUCUCUUUUCAAAGAUGCCCACAUCAUGUGUAGGAAUUGUGAUAGAUGCCAAAGGCUUGGAAAGCUAACAAAAAGAAAUCAAAUGCCUAUGAACCCCAUUAUGAUAGUUGAGUUAUUUGAUGUAUGGGGCAUUGACUUCAUGGGACCUUUCCCAAUGUCUUUUGGUAAUUCUUACAUUUUGGUGGGGGUGGAUUAUGUUUCUAAAUGGGUUGAGGCAAUCCCCUGUAAACAAAAUGAUCACAGGGUGGUUCUCAAGUUUCUUAAAGAGAACAUUUUCUCAAGAUUUGGGGUGCCCAAGGCCAUAAUCAGUGAUGGAGGUGCUCAUUUUUGCAACAAACCUUUUGAAGCUCUGUUAUCCAAGUAUGGAGUGAAGCAUAAGGUGGCUACACCUUAUCAUCCUCAGACUUCCGGGCAAGUUGAGCUAGCUAACAGGGAAAUAAAGAACAUCUUGAUGAAAGUGGUGAAUUCCAAUAGAAAGGAUUGGUCUAUUAGGCUUCAUGAUUCAUUGUGGGUAUAUAGAACAGCUUAUAAGACUAUUCUUGGGAUGUCUCCCUAUCGUCUUGUCUAUAGUAAAGCAUGCCAUCUCCCUGUGGAAGUUGAAUACAAAGCUUGGUGGGCAAUAAAGAAGCUGAACAUGGACUUGAUCAAGGUAGGAGAAAAGAGAUUUCUAGACCUUAAUGAGAUGGAGGAAUUAAGAAAUAAUGCUUAUAUCAAUUCCAAAGUUGCAAAACAGAGGAUGAAGAAGUGGCAUGAUCAACUCAUCUCCAACAAGGAAUUUCAGGAAGGGCAAAGAGUUUUGAUGUAUGACACAAGACUCCAUAUCUUUCCUGGGAAACUCAAGUCAAGGUGGAUAGGCCCGUUCAUUAUUCACCGAGUAUAUUCCAAUGGAGUGGUGGAAUUAUUGAAUUCCAAUGGCAAGGAUAGCUUUAAAGUCAAUGGAUAUCGUCUCAGGCCAUUCUUGGAGCCAUUCAAACCAGAAAAGGAGGAGAUCAACCUCCUUGAACCUCAAAAAGCUUAAGUGAAAAAGGGUUUGCUGGACGUGGUUUUACCACAGUCCAAAAUUUUUGUAAAUUUUGUAAAUUUUCAAGUUGUUUCCAUACUUUUGAUCUUAGUUUUUGAUCUUAAAUCAUGUUUUUAGGUGUGUUUUAAUUGUUUUGAAUGAUCCCAGGUGGAAGAAAUUUCAAGGAAAUUGAAAGAAAAAAAAAAUCAGGUCGAAAUCGGAGCCAAAAUAGAGUAAAAACAGGGGAAAAACAAAGCUCUGCGAAAUGAGCAUUUUGUUGCCAAACCAUUCCGCAACACUGUAGAAGUCUCUGCAAGGGUAUUUCGCAGUUGCGAAAGCAAAUUUGGCACACGAGUGCCACUUCGCAGUACAGUAGCAUCCAUUUGGCAGCUGCGAAACGCAUUGCGAAGGGAAAAAGCGUGAUUUCGCACCAAAAGUCCCAUUCCGCAGGGUAUUUCGCAAUUGCGAAAGUGGUUUUGGCACACGAGUGCCACUUCGCAGCAUAGGAACUCUCAUUUCGUAGCUGCGAAACUCACUGCGAAGUUGCUGCAAAAAUGGCAUUUUGCUGUGAAAUUGACGUUUUGUUGCGAAACUUAAACUGACCCUUAGGCUUCCAUUUUUCCUAUUUAUACCGAUCAUUUGAGCUGCGAAAAGGGUUUCAAAAAUCAGAGCGCCAUUUUCGCAGACCUUUCAUCUUCUUCCUUGAGCCACGCCGUCCGAGCCUCCGGUCAUCUCCUCCGAUUAGCAACGCCGGCCAAAGUUUGGUAUCCCGAAAUGGCACGAACACGAGAGGCUAAGUCUUCAUCUUCUUCGAACCACAAGAAGAGUCUGCGAAAGGAGCCAAGUCUAGGUUCUGCUCCAGAGCCUUCGCCGUCAAGGCCAAAUCCUCCUCCGGUGAAGCCCGCGCCACCAAAGCCACCUGCAAGACGAUACCUUACCAGGUCAGGAGGUCGGCCAUUGCAGAAGAAACCCAGGGUGGAGAGCUCAGAACCCAUCGAUUUGACUGAGCAAUCUCCAGAGCCUUCACCAAUUCCAUCACCGGUUCAAACUCCAGUGCCGUCUCCAGUUCCCUCGCCUAGUCCCCUGCCAGUUCCAUCGCCGGUACCAUCUCCGGCACCGCAAGAAAAAUCUCAGGAGCCUCAAGCGCCACUUCCCGAGCCCCAAAUUCAAGCUGAAACAGCUCUGGAAGAAGUAAUCUGGAGGCCAAUGCUACCUCAGCCCCCAAUUGAGGGAAACUUGGAUUGUAGAACACGGGCAUUUCACUCCGAGCUUUGCUUUGACUUACCGGCAUUCAGAGUGAGGCUGGAGCUUGCCCAAUCAUUCCAGCUGCUGAGAAGGUACCAUAUGGAGCAACUGCUAGCUCCAAGAGACUUUUUCUAUCCCCGGAUAGCCACGGAUUUCUACCAAUCCAUGACAACCAAAGAGGUAAGGAAUCCGACUUUGAUUCAUUUCACAAUCGAUGGGAGACAUGGCAUAUUGGGAGCACGACAUAUUGCUGAAGCCCUGCAAAUUCCCUUUGAGCCAACCCAAUUCGAUAAUUUUACAGCUUGGGCAAAUCCUACUGAGCUAAAGAUGGUGCGCACCCUUUCCAGAGGAGCUGCAAAUCGAUCACAUCUGUUGAGGGGGGAGCUUCCUCCAGUUAUGUUUUUGAUUGAUGCCUUUUUGCGUCAUAAUAUAUACCCAUUGCAGCAUUGGACCCAAAGAAGGGGAGUCCUCCUGGAAGCUCUUUAUAAGAUGUCAGAAGGAUUUUUCUUUGGGCCUCAUCAUCUGAUCAUGGCAGCCCUUCUCUAUUUUGAAGAGAAGGCUCAUAAAAGGAAGCUUCAGAGAGCAUAUUGCAUUCCCCUCCUCUUCCCAAGGCUGCUAUGCCCAAUUUUGGAGCAUCUGGGAUACCCCUCUGAGCCUCAGCUGGAGAGAAAGCGAAUUUGCCGUGAGCCAUUCACUCUUGAUAAAUGGAAUAAUAUGACGGCCUACAAAGUUGAUCAGCCUGGGCAGCCUCAACCAGCUGCAAGGAGAGCCUCCCCAAGACAUAUACCUGAAGGUAUAACAGUUGCUACUCCUGCCAUUCCUAGAGCUCCACCAGUUGCACCUGCUUCAUUUCAGCCAUCCACAUCAGCUGAGCCGAGGAUGGCCAUUCCUAUAUCUGAAUAUCGAGAGUUGUGCCGUGCAUUGGAGACACUUACAGCUUCUUAGAGCAAUCUUGCUCAAGAGAUGGCAGCCAUCAGAGCAUGCCAAGAGCAGAUGUUAGCCACUCAAGCUCAACAAGCUGCCAUCUUAAGGCAGCUCCAAGACCAUUUCGAUCUGCCACAAGCUGUAGAGUCCUCCACUUCUACUCCAACAGAGCCACACCCUCAUCCUUCAGAGUCUCAUCCUCCUGAGCCCCAAGCCCCAGCUGAUGCACCUACUGAAGAGGUAGAUCCUUCUGCCUAAUCCCAGCACCACCCCACUCAUCAGACUAUAUUAGAUAUCUAAUAUUUUCAUGUAUUUCAUUUUUUUUAGUUGAAAAGAAAUCCCAGUAUUUUGGUACUAUAUUUGGGAUUCCUUGUGUUACUUGUCUUUUGCAUUGUAAUCAAAUGAAUUUAAAGUAAUACAAGUUGAAUAUUUCUUGUUAAAAGUUAGCAUUAAGUUAUUCUUAUUUCCUUUUCUCACAUAUUCUAUUCUUUUUGAAACAUGUGGUUUUCCCCAAUCAAUAUUCGAAUUUGAUUUCAGCAAGGAGGUACCACUUCCUCCCUUUUAUUACAUUCACUCAAAUCACAUUGAGGACAAUGCUCAGUUCGGUUGGGGGGUAUGAGGAAGGAAGUAUUCUAAAUCUUUUUGGUAUUGCAAUUAUAUUGGUUAAUUAGUUGUAGUUUUUACUUUUUACUCUUGUUACUCUAUUCUCCAUGAAUUUUGAGGAAAAAUUUUCAAAUUAAACCAAGAGAAAUUGAACUGUUGUUUUUCACUUGACUUAGAGUAUGGAUUAUGCUUACUAAAGUGGUUCAAUUGUUGAAGCUUCUAUUGAAAUUGAAGUUAGUUCUUCCACUUUAAGCUAUCCACACACUGUGCACAUUAGAUUCCGAUUAUAAGAUGAAAAGCUAUUUCCCUCUUGACUUAGGAUAAUUUUGGGACUUGGUAUAUUUGACCUCAUUUGAUAAAAUUGAAACACCCUGCAAAAGGCCAAUGAGCCUUUGAAAUAAAGAAAGUUGUUUGCUUGCCUUGAAACCCGAGCAAGGUCUGAGGGGUAUAUGGUGAAAAUCUUUAAAGCCUGGUGCCCUAAGCCUUAAUUGGUUGGGAGUCACCGACCUCAAUGCUCGUUAUAAGGGUGAAUAGGUAGAGCUAGCAUAUGGUAGAUGCUUGGGUAUUAGAAUCUCAUUCUUAAAAGUCCGGGGAAAAAUCCGAGGAGUUAGUGGUUGAAAGAUCCUUAAAGCUUGGUGCCCUAAACCUUAAUUGGUUGGGAGUCAUCGAUGGACCCCCAUUACAUGGACAAGUCAGAAAGAGUACCCCAUAAAGCUACCUUAAAAAAAAAAAUGAUGAAAAUGUGUUCUUUUCUUAUUGAUUUUGGUCAGAUUGCUAAAGUAUUGAAAAGAGAUAGGUUGGGGGGAGAGACUAGUUUAGCAUAUUAUUCUCGGAACCUAAGGAACCAAUACACAUAGAUUUUUGUGGAAGAUUAAAGUUUGAUUCUUAGAAAGUGGAAAUGAUUUUAAAACUUCAGUUUGCAUAAUGCACUCCCUUGAUUGACAGUGUUUAGCAUAGGUGUUAUGACUCUUGUUGAGAUUUGGGUUUGUAUUUCUUUACUACUUCAUGUGAGAAUUAGAUCAUCAUGCCACUUGAGAAUUAUUUUCCUUUAGCAUGAUGUUGUAAAUUUUAGAUUAGUUUGCUUUUUAUUUUCAUUUUUCUCUCCUAUAUUGCUAAGGGACUAGCAAUAUGUCGGUUGGGGGGAGUGAUUACUACUCAAAAAGUGCUAUUUGAUAGCCUAUAAUUAAUCCUUUUAAACACUUUUGAGUAGUAGUUUAGGCCUUUUAACUCAAUUGGCAUGUUAAGGAUCCUUUAAAGCAAUUUUAAUCACUUUGUGCAAGUUUUGGUGUUUUUGUUAGUAUUUUGAUCACCAAAGCAAGUCAAGACUGAGGAGAGCUAUGAGGAAUCUUGGGCAAAGCUUAGAAGUCAUUUUCCAAGAGUGAAUCCGGAUUGCAAGGAGAAAAAAGCAAAGAGAAUCUGCCAUAAAGCAUAUUCUUGAUGACAGUCGUAGCAGCCACUUUUGGAGCACUUUCUGAAGUCCAAAUGAUGUAUUCCAUAUACCAUUUCAAAGCUCAGGAAGUCAAAAAUCCAAUGCUUCAAACGGUGCUCAAUUCGGAGUUGAAAUGAAGAAGUUGCAGCCGUUACAAGCCAAUCACUCCGAGCUGAAGGAAGCAUUUUGCAAAGUGUUGCGAAAUCACCCUUUUGUUGCGAAGUGAUUUCGCAGCAUUUUUGUACAGUAAGGUGUUUCUCCUUCUGACGAUGCACGAUUUAUGCCGCGAGAAGGAAGCUAGGAACCUCAAGGUAGAAGACAACUUCGCAGCCCUGUGAAGAUAGCUUGGUGUUGCGAAAUAAUUUUGCAGCCCUCUUGAGUGUAUGCGAAAUCUCGUAGACACCAUUUUUCUCAUGCGAAAUGGUUCCUAAAACCUCCCGAUAUUUGCUACCGACAUUGGGAGAUAUUUUCCAUUAGAUUUUUGUUGUCUAAAUCCCAAAAUACUCCUUGUAAACCACCAAUUACAUGAUUCCUUAGUUUUUAAGUUAGUAAAAAGACUAAAUAUCUAUGUAAUAAUUAGUUUUAUAUUAUGUUCAUAUAUAUACCUCUCGAGAGCCUGUUCUCAGAGAGGAGUUCCUUCUUUAAAAGUUUGAGUAAGCAAGUAAAGUCUCUUUUCUUUCUACUGCCUUACCUUCUCACUUUGUAUUUUUUACUUAUUACUAAGUUAUGAACUCUCUGAGGAGUUUUCCCUAGAGAAUGAGUAACUAAACCUCUAAUUCCUUGGAGCUAAGGUUGCUGGGGGAGGUUCCAAGUGCAAGAAUGCAAAGCUUUGUGGUUUUAGCUAGUAAUGAAGAGCAAGUGAAAUCCUUCAAUGAUUUCUAUGUUUUUAGUUAACUUAAAACACCUUGGAGUCACCUGGGCCAACACUUGGUAAGGCAAGUGAUUUCCAACCAUGGAAAUGCACUAGUUUACCCCUUGCGAGCCUCUGGGAGGUGACUUUAAGGUAGGAUUUUCUAGAAUAGACAACACUUGGUAAGCUUUUGGACUCCUAGGAGACAUCCAUUAGUUAUCUCUUGCGAGCUUUUGACGGGUAAUCCAAGGUUAAAGAUCACCUUGAAUGGUUAAGGCUUAGUGAGAGGCUUAAACCAUUGCAAGUUGCAUCAGUGAGAGAAUUAAAGUGAAAUCUAAUUGAAGGAGUCUCUGUACAUCACCAGUUAGAGAAUUGACUAUAUGUUGAAUCUUUAAUGCGAGGAAAUGAACCAUCUGACCAAAGCCGUGUCUUUUGCAUGAGGAACCACCCCAGUGAACCUAAAUCUCCAAGGAAUGCUUUUCUUCCUAAAUUAUUCCAAACUUCUGUUAUGUUAGUUAGUUUAAGUCUAAACCUUUACCAAUCAAAGUUUGUGUUUUACUUCUUAAGCUAACCUUGAAAUGAAACAAGGCCAAUUCACUUGGAAUUGGUAUCAUUGAUUGCUUGUUAAUCAUUCCCAGUGAACGAUCCUAGAGCCACUAUACUAUAGUAGCUUUGUCUUUGCUACCCUAGUAUAUGGUGUUAUAGGUUAUAAAUUUUGUUGAUUACUCCCUCAAUCAAGGAGCACCAGCUGGACGCAAAUCAGCUGAGACACCAAUUGGGCAUGAAUCACACCCUAUGCCCAUUUAGGCAUCCUCGGUCCAUUUAGACACCUUAGGCCCAUUUAGGCACCCUAGGCUCAUUUAGACACCCUUGGCCCAUUUAGGCACCCUAGGCUCAUUUAGGCACCCUUGGCACAUUUAGGCACCCUAGGCCCACUUAGUAACCCUAAGCCCACUUAGACACCCUUGGCCCAUUUAGGCACCCUAGGUCCACUUAAGCACUCUAGGCCCAUUUAGGCACCCUACGCCCACUAAGACACCCUAAGCCCACUUAGACACCCUUGGCCCAAUUAGGCACCCUAGGUCCACUUAGGCACUCUAGGCCCAUUUAGGCACCCUAGGUCCACUUAGGCACGCUAGGCCCACUUAGGCACCCUAAAUCCACUUAGACACCUUACGCCCAUUUAAGCACCCAAAGCCCACUUAGGCACCCUUAGCCCAUUUAGGAACCCUAGGCUCAUUUAGGCACCCUAGGUCCACUUAGGCACCCUACGACCAUUUAGGCACCCUAGGUCCACUUAGGCACUCUAGACCCAUUUAAGCACCCUAGGUCCACUUAGGCACCCUAGGCCCAUUUAGGCACCCUAGGUCCAUUUAGGUACCCUUGGCCCAUUUAGGCACCCUAGGCCCACUUAGCCACCCUAGGCCCAUUUAGGCACCUAAGGACCAAUUUGGCACCCUAGGCUCAUUUAAGAACCCUAGGCCCAUUUAAGAACCCUAUGUCCACUUAGACACCUUCUGCCCAUGUAGGCACCCUUGGUCCACUUAGGCACUCUAGACCCAUUUAGGCACCCUAGGUCCGCUUAGGCACCCUAGGCCCAUUUAGGCACCCUAGGUCCAUUUAGGCAUCCUUGGCCCAUUUAGGUACCCUAGGCCCACUUAGGCACCCUAGGCCCAUUUAGGCAACCUUGGGCAAUUUAGGCACCCUAGGUCCAUUUAGGCACCUAAGGAUCAUUUAGGCACUCAGAGGCCCAUUUAGGCACCCUAGGUCCAUUUAGGCACCUUAGGGUCAUUUAGGCAUCCAUAGGCCCAUUUAGGCAUCCAUAGGCCCAUUUAGGCACCUUAGGCUCAUUUAGGCACCCUUGGCCCAUUUAGGCACCCUAGGCCCACUUAGACACCCUGAGCCCACUUAGACACCCUCUGCCCAUUUAGGAACCCUAGGUCCACUUAGGCACUCUAGACCCAUUUAGGCACCCUAGGUCCACUUAGGCACGCUAGGCCCACUUAGGCACCCUAAAUCCACUUAGACACCUUACGCCCAUUUAAGCACCCAAAGCCAACUUAGGCACCCUUAGCCCAUUUAGGAAACCUAGGCUCAUUUAGGCACCCUAGGCCCACUUAGGCACCCUAGACCCAUUUAGGCACCCUAGGUCCACUUAGGCACUCUAGACCCAUUUAGGCACCCUAGGUCCACUUAGGCACCCUAGGCCCAUUUAGGCACCCUAGGUCCAUUUAGGUACCCUUGGCCCAUUUAGGCACCCUAGGCCCACUUAGGCACCCUAGGCCCAUUUAGGCACCUAAGGUCCAAUUUGGCACCCUAGGCUCAUUUAAGAACCCUAGGCCCAUUUAAGAACCCUAUGUCCACUUAGACACCUUCUGCCCAUGUAGGCACCCUUGGUCCACUUAGGCACUCUAGACCCAUUUAGGCACCCUAGGUCCGCUUAGGCACCCUAGGCCCAUUUAGGCACCCUAGGUCCAUUUAGGCAUCCUUGGCCCAUUUAGGUACCCUAGGCCCACAUAGGCACCCUAGGCCCAUUUAGGCAACCUUGGGCCAUUUAGGCACCCUAGGUCCAUUUAGGCACCUAAGGUUCAUUUAGGCACUCAGAGGCCCAUUUAGGCACCCUAGGUCCACUUAGACACCAUAGACCCAUUUCGGCACCCUAGGCUCAUUUAGGCACCCUUGGCUCAUUUAGGCACCUUAGGCUCAUUUAGGCACCCUUGGCCCAUUUAGGCACCCUAGGCCCACUUAGACACCCUGAGCCCACUUCGACACCCUCUGCCCAUUUAGGAACCCUAGGUCCACUUAGGCACUCUAGACCCAUUUAGGCACCCUAGGUCCACUUAGGCACCCUAGGCCCAUUUAGGCACCCUAGGUCCAUUUAGGCACCCUUAGCCCAUUUAGGUACCCUAGGCCCAUUUAGGCACCCUAGGUCCAUUUAGGCACCUUAGGGUCAUUUAGGCAUCCAUAGGCCCAUUAAGGCAUCCAUAGGCCCAUUUAGGCACCCUAAGUCCACUUAGACACCUUAAGCCCAUUUAGGCACCCUAGGCUCAUUUAGGCACCGUUGGCCCAUUUAGGCACCCUAGGCCUACUUAGACACCGUAAUCCCACUUCGACACGCUGCGUUCAUCUAGGCACCCUAGGUCCACUUAGGCACCUUAGGCCCACAUAGUCACCCUUGGCCCAUUUAGGCACCUUAGGUCCACUUAGGCACCCUAGGCCCAUUUAGGCACCCUACGUCCACUUAGGCACCCUUAGCCCAUUUAGGCACCCUAAGUCCACUUAGGCACCUUAGGCCCAUGUAGGCACCCUAGGCCCAUUUAGGCACCCUAGGUAACCUUAAGCACCCUACGUCCACUUAGGCACCCCAGGUCUAUUUACGCACCCCUUGCCCAUUUAGGCACCCUAGGCCCACUUAGGCACCCUAGGCUCAUUCAGGCACCCUAGGUCCACUUAGGAACCCUAGGCCCAUUUAGGCAUCCUUGGUCCACUUAGGCACCCUAGGCCAAUUUAGGCACCCUAGGUCCAGUUAGGCACUCUUGACACAUUUAGGCACCCUAGGCCCAUUUAGGAACCCUAUGUCCACUUAGACACCUUAUGCCCAUUUCGGCACCCUAGGUCAACUAAGGUAAUCUAGACCCAUUUAGGCACCCUAGGUCUACUUAGGCACCCUAUGCUCAUUUCAGCACCCUAGGCCCAUUUAGGAACCCUAUGUCCACUUAGACACCAUAUGCCCAUUUAGGCAUCCUAGGUCCACUUAGGCACUCUAGACCCAUUUAGGCACCCUAGGUCCACUUAGGCACCCUACGCCCAUUUAGGCACCCUAGGUCCAUUUAGGCACCCUUGGCCCAUUUAGGUACGCUAGGCCCACUAAGGCACCCUAGGCCCAUUUAGGCACCCUAUGUCCAUUUAGGCACCCUAGGCUCAUUUAGGCACCCUAGGUCCCCUUAGGCAACCUAGGCCCAUUUAGGCAUCCUUGGUCCACUUAGGCACCCUAGGCCAAUUUAGGCACCCUAGGUCCAGUUAGGCACUCUUGACACAUUUAGGCACCGUAGGCCCAUUUAGGAACCCUAUGUCCACUUAGACACCUUAUGCCCAUUUAGGCACCCUAGGCUCAUUUAGGCACCGUUGGCCCAUUUCGGCACCCUAGGCCUACUUAGACACCGUAAGCCCACUUCGACACGCUGCGUUCAUCUAGGCACCCUAGGUCCACUUAGGCACCUUAGGCCCACUUAGGCACCCUUGGCCCAUUUAGGCACCUUAGGUCCACUUAGGCACCCUAGGCCCAUUUAGGCACCCUACGUCCACUUAGGCACCCUUAGCCCAUUUAGGAACCCUAGGUCCACUUAGGCACCUUAGGCCCAUGUAGGCACCCUAGGCCCAUUUAGGCACCCUAGGCAACCUUAAGCACCCUACGUCCACUUAGGCACCCCAGGUCUAUUUACGCACCCCUUGCCCAUUUAGGCACCCUAGGCCCACUUAGGCACCCUAGGCCCAUUUAGGCACCCUAUGUCCAUUUAGGCACCCUAGGCUCAUUCAGGCACCCUAGGUCCACUUAGGCACCCUAGGCCCAUUUAGGCAUCCUUGGUCCACUUAGGCACCCUAGGCCAAUUUAGGCACCCUAGGUCCAGUUAGGCACUCUUGACACAUUUAGGCACCCUAGGCCCAUUUAGGAACCCUAUGUCCACUUAGACACCUUAUGCCCAUUUCGGCACCCUAGGUCAACUAAGGUAAUCUAGACCCAUUUAGGCACCCUAGGUCUACUUAGGCACCCUAUGCUCAUUUCGGCACCCUAGGCCCAUUUAGGAACCCUAUGUCCACUUAGACACUAUAUGCCCAUUUAGGCAUCCUAGGUCCACUUAGGCACUCUAGACCCAUUUAGGCACCCUAGGUCCACUUAGGGACCCUACGCCCAUUUAGGCACCCUAGGUCCAUUUAGGCACCCUUGGCCCAUUUAGGUACGCUAGGCCCAUUUAGGCACCUUAGGUCCAUUUAGGCACAUCAGGCUCAUUUAGGCACCCAUAGGUCCAUUUAGGCACCCUAGGCUCAUUUAGGCACCCUAGGCUCAUUUAGGCACCCUUGGCCCAUUUAGGCACCCUAGGCUCAUUUAAGCACCCUUGGCCCAUUUAGGCACCGUAGGCCCACUUAGUAACCCUAAGCCCACUUAGACACCCUUGACCCAUUUAGGCACCCUAGGUCCACCUAAGCACUCUAGGCUCAUUUAGGCACCCUAGGUCCACUUAGACAGGCUAGGCCCAUUUAAGCCCCCUAAGCCCACUUAGGCACCCUUGGCCCAUUUGGGAACCCUAGGCUCAUUUAGGUACUCUAGGUCCACUUAGGCACCCUAAGCCCAUUUAGGCACCUUAGGUCCAAUUAGGCACUCUAGACCCAUUUAGGCACCCUAGGUCCACUUAGGCACCCUAGGCCCAUUUAGGCACCCUGGUCCAUUUAGGCACCCUUGGCGCCUUUAGGCACCCUUGGCGCCUUUAGGCACCCUAGAACCACUUAGACACCCUUGGACCAUUUAGGCACCCUAGGUCCAUUUAGGCACCGUUGGCUCAUUUACGCACCCUAGACCUAUUUAGGCACCCUAGGUCCACUUAGACACCUUAGGCUCAUUUAGGCACCCUAGGUCCACUUAGGCACUCUAGACCCAUUUAGGCACCCUAGGUCCACUAAGGCACCCUAGGUCCAUUUACGCACCCUUGGCUCAUUUAGGUACCUUAGGCCCAUUUAGGCACCCUAGGUCCCUUUAGGCAACUUAGGGUCAUUUAGGCAUCCAUAGGCCCAUUGAGGCACCCUAGGUCCACUUAGACACCUUAGGCCUAUUUAGGCACUCUAGGCCCACUUAGACACCCUAAGCCCACUUAGACACGCUGCUCCCAUUUAGGCACCUUAGGCCUACUUAGGCACCCUUGGCCCAUUUACGCACCCCUAGGUCCACUUAGGCACCCUAGGCCCAUUUAGGCACCCUCGGUCCCCUUAGACACCUUAGGCCCAUUUAGGCAUCCUAGGCUCUUUUAGGCACCCUUGGCCCAUUUAGGCACCCUAGGCCCAUUUACGACCCUAGGUCAACUUAGGCACCCUAGGUCCACUUAGGCACCCUAGGUCCACUUAGGCACCCUAGGCCGAUUUAGCCACCCUAGGUCCAGUUAGGCACUGUACACCCAUUUAGGCACCUUAGGCCCAUUUAGGCACCCUAAGUCCAAUUAGGCACCUUAGGCUCAUUUAGGCACCCUAGGCCCAUUUAGGAACCCUAUGUCCACUUAGACACCUUAUGCCCAUUUAGGCACCCUAGGUCCACUUAGGCACUCUAGACCCAUUUAGGAACCCUAGGUCCACUUAGGCACGCUAGGCCCAUUUAGGCACCCUAGGUCCAUUUAGGCACCCUUUGCCCAUUUAGGUACCCUAGGCCCACUUAGGUACCCUAGGACCAUGUAGGCACCCUAUGUCCAUUUAGGCACAUAUGGCUCAUUUAGGCACCCAUAGGCCCAUUUAGGCACCCUAGGUCCACUUAGACCCCUUAGGCCCAUUUAGGCACCCUAGACUAAUUUAGGCACCCUUGGCCCAUUUAUGCACCCUAGGCUCAUUUAGGCACCCUUGGCCCAUUUAGGUACCCUAGGCCCACUUAGUAACCCUAAGCCCACUUAGACACACUUGGCCCAUUUAGGCACCCUAGGUCCACUUAGGCACUCUAGGCCCAUUUAGGCACCCUAGGUCAUUUUACGCACCCUAGGCUCAUUUAAGUACCCGAGGCCCAUUUAGGCACCCUAGGUCCAUUUAGGCACCUUAGGGUCAUUUAGGCAUCCAUAGGCCCAUUUAGGCACCCUAGGUCCACUUAGACACCUUAGGCCUAUUUAGGCACCCUAGUCUCAUUUAGGAACUCUUGGCCCAUUUAGGCACCCUAGGCCCACUUAGACACCCUAAGCCCACUUAGACACCCUGCGCCCAUUUAGGCACCCUAGGUCCACUUAGGCACCUUAGUGUCACGGACUUAGUCGUUCACUAAGCUCGUGCGGCACUUAGGCAAGUCAAGACGCUUGAUCUUGCUAAGUCAGCCUUGAUCCUCAAUGCUUAGCUUGCUCGGCUAAGACACUCACGACUCGAAAUCUUAAGAAGCUUGGUAGGCAACUCCUUAAUGAAUGGAAGCUCUUAUUAACUCAAGAAAGCCUUUACAAGUGCUUAGAUGCUCACUUGCUUGGUUAGGAAGUGAUUUGGGUGGUGCCUUGGCCAAAUGAGGCCUUCACCUAUUUAUAGGCACCAAUGGAACUCUCUGGAACCUUGGAGGGUUCCUUAGAAAUGAAGAAUAUUCUAGAACAUCCUACCCUAUUCUAUGUACAACCCUAUGUACAAGAGAUUCUUAGAAGUCUCUAGAAAGCCCUGGACUCCUCCCAUGCCUUCCUCCAUAGUGUAGAGAUGUGCGGACAUCUCUAGGCAUUUCUAGAACCUUCCACACUCUUCCCACCAAUGGCUUAUUGUAAAUGGUUCCAGGAGUCUCCAGAAGCUUCCCUCUUUCUAUAUAAGCCCAUAGGGAGGGUCAUUUGAAACAUCCUGUGACACUCUCCCCCACUGAUGCCGUCGACGUCCUCGUCGUUGCCUCAUUCUGAAACCUCUCGAUGUGUUUCCAGAAUUUUCUCAAGGCAUCCGCAUGUUCCCAGCUUACCGGUCUCUUAGGUAGUCCUUUCCAUCGGACUAGAUACUCUAUCACAGGAGGGACCCCUUGUCUCCUAGUGACCCGUUCAGCCAGGAUAUUCUUCACCUCCUUCUCCUGUGAGGCUUCAGAUAGAUGCAGACCCAUGCGCUUUCGAUGCUUAGAGUGUUGCUUCUUCUUACCGAUUGAGUUCACCUUUCCCUUGGUGACCUCUUCCAUGUGUGUGCGGGCUACCUCAGCUCGCUCCUCUUUUUCCUCCUUUACUUGCACCCCUGCUAGUAAGGAGGUCUUAGGCGUACUAGGCUUCGGGUUAAAUUGGAGGGCACCUAGUAGCUGCAUUGAGCCCAUAUGUGCUUCGUCCUCCUGCUCCCUCUCCUCGAUCAUGGCACUGAACGCCUUCCUCUUUGGACAAUCCCGUGCCCAAUGUGGACCGUCACACAGGAAGCAUUUGAUUUUAGGUGUAAACUCCUUCCUUUCCGCCUUAUCCCUUCCUUCUCGGACGUUAGACGUCUUUCCUGAUCCCUUUUUAGGAGCAUUGUGGUCCCUUGGAACCUCGUCUCCCCUACCCUUGGCGUGGCUAUCCUCCAAAGACUUAACCUUGGAGGAGUCUCCUCUCUUAUAAUCCGUUAAAGACUCUGCUACUGCCAUAGCAGUGGCUAAGUCUUAAACGCCUCGGCGCCUUAAUUCUUGCUCGGCCCACCCUUGCAGGUUAUCCAUGAAGUUGAAUAACAACUCCUCCUCAAUUAUGUUAGGAAUCUCAAGCAUGAGCGAAGAGAAUUCCUUGACAUAUUCACGUAUCGAGCUUGUGUGCUUGAGACGCCUCAUGUUUUUCCUAGCCAGGUAAGCCACGUCCUCGGGGUAGAACUGCCUCUUGAUCUGCCUCCUGAAGUCCUCCCACGUCCCUAUGGUGCAAAUGCCUUUCUCCAUAUCGGCAAACCUUCGACGCCACCAUAGAGUAGCUGUGUCAGUAAGGUAGAGGGUCGUAGUUCUCACCUUAGCCACCUCAUUCGUUAAUGCGAUAGCUUCGAAGUAUCGCUCCAUAUGCCAUAAGAAGUUAUCCAACUUCUUGGCAUCCCGCUUGCCACUAAACCUAUGUGGCUUCGGCACCUCCACCCUAGAUGCCUCCUAUGUGGUCAUGACCCGUGCCGACACAGCAGCCUUGUAGAUGUCCAACUCCUGCCUAACCUCCUGGUCUCGGGACUCCAUUCGAGUGGCCAAGGCCUCUAUCCUUGACUCCAUGCUAGCAAGCAUGCUCAAGACCUUUCCUUGGAAGGACACAAACUCCUCGUGCGACACUGGUUGAACCUGUGAGACUAGCACCCUCUCACGAAGGUCUUGGAUCUGCUCCCCUAGAUCCUCUAAGCCCUUCUCCAUGCCUUGCUCGAUCAAGUCCAACCCCUCCCGAGUGUCCGCCAUGGCUAGCUCUACCUUGGCUAACCUUGCCUCCAUAUUGGCAACGGCAUCACGAGACUUAUCCUUCUUAUCCCUGCCCCGUGCAGUAGGCUCGGUCUCCCUUCCACGGGUUUGCUCACUAGUCUCCUCCACGUUAGAGCCCGACAUGCUUCCUUUGCUAUGCCCACCUUGUAACCGUGCUCUGAUACCACUUGUCACGGACUUAGUCGUUCACUAAGCUCGUGCGGCACUUAGGCAAGUCAAGACGCUUGAUCUUGCUAAGUCAGCCUUGAUCCCCAAUGCUUAGCUUGCUCGGCUAAGACACUCGCGACUCGAAAGCUUAAGAAGCUUGGUAGGCAACUCCUUAAAGAAUGGAAGCUCUUAUUAACUCAAGAAAGCCUUUACAAGUGCUUAGAUGCUCACUUGCUUGGUUAGGAAGUGAUUUGGGUGGUGCCUUGGCCAAAUGAGGCCUUCACCUAUUUAUAGGCACCAAUGGAACUCUCUGGAACCUUGGAGGGUUCCUUACAAAUCAAGAAUAUUCUAGAACAUCCUACCCUAUUCUAUGUACAACCCUAUGUACAAGAGAUUCUUAGAAGUCUCUAGAAAGCCCUGGACUCCUCCCAUGCCUUCCUCCAUAGUGUAGAGAUGUGCGGACAUCUCUAGGCACUUCUAGAACCUUCCACACUCUUCCCACCAAUGGCUUAGAGUAGAUGGUUCCAGGAGUCUCCAGAAGCUUCCCUCUUUCUAUAUAAGCCCAUAGAGAGGGUCAUUUGAAACAUCCUAUGACAUUAGGCCCAUUUAGGCACCCUUAGCCCAUUUACGCACCCUAGGUCCACUUAGGCAGCCUAGGCCCAUUUAGGCACCCUAGGUCCCCUUAGACACCUUAGGCCCAUUUAGGCACCCUAGCCUCAUUUAGACACCCUUGGCCCAUUGAGGCACCCUAGGCCCAUUGAGGCACCCUAGGCCCAUUUACGACACUAGGUCAACUUAGGCACCCUAGGUCCACUUAGGCACCCUAGGUCCACUUAGGCACCCUAGGCCCAUUUAGGCACCCUAGGACCAAUUAGGCACUGUAAACCCAUUUAGGCACCUUAGGCCCAUUUAGGCACCCUAAGUCCAAUUGGGCAGCUUAGGCUCAUUUAGGCACCCUAGGCCCAUUUAGGAACCCUAUGUCCACUUAGACACCUUAUGCCCAUUUAGGCACCCUAGGUCCACUUAUGCACUCUAGACCCAUUUAGGCACCCUAGGUCCACUUAGGCACCUUAGGCCCAUUUAGGCACCCUAGGUCCAUUUAGGCACCCUUUGCCCAUUUAGGUACCCUAGGCCCACUUAGGUACCCUAGGACCAUUUAGGCACCCUAGGUCCAUUUAGGCACAUAAGGCUCAUUUAGGCACCCAUAGGCCCAUUUACGCACCCUAGGUCCACUUAGACCCCUUAGGCCCAUUUAGGCACCCUAGGCUCAUUUAGGCACCCUUCGCCCAUUUAGGCACCCUAGGCCCACUUAGUAACCCUAAGCCCACUUAGAACCCUUGGCCCAUUUAGGCACCCUAGGUCCACUUAGGCACUCUAGGCCCAUUUAGGCACCCUAGGUCUCUUAGACACGCUAGGCCCAUUUAAGCACCCUAAGCCCACUUAGGCACCCUUGGCCCAUUUUGGAACCCUAGGCUCAUUUAGGCACCCUAGGUCCACUUAGGCACCCUUGGCCCAUUUAGGCCCCCUAAGCCUAAAUGGCACCCUAGGUCAACUUAGGCACCCUACGUCCACUUAGGCACCCCAGGUCCAUUUAGGCACCCUUGGCCCAUUUAGGCACCCUAGGCCCACUUAGGCACCCUAGGCCCAUUUUGGCACCCUAUGUCCAUUCAGGCACCAUAGGGUCGUUUAGGUACCCUAGGUCCACUUAGGCACCCUAGGCCCAUUUAGGCACCCUAGGUCCAUUUAGGCACAUAAGGCUCAUUUAGGCACCCAUAGGCCUAUUUCGGCACCCUACCUCCACUUAGACACCUUAGGCCCAUUUUGGCACCCUAGGCUCAUUUAGGAACCCUUGGCCCAUUUAGGCACCCUAGGCCCACUUAGUAACCCUAAGCCCACUUAGACACCCUUGGCCCAUUUAGGCACCCUAGGUCCACUUUAGCACUCUAGUCCAAUUUAGGCACCCUAGGUCCACUUAGACACGCUAGGCACAUUUAAGCAGCCAAAGCCCACUUAGGCACCCUUGGGCCAUUUUGGAACCCUAGGCUCAUUUAGGCACCCUAGGUACCCUUAGGCACCCUAAGCCCAUUUAGGCAUCCUUGGCCCAUUUAGGCACCUUAGGCCCACUUAGGCACCUAGGUCCACUUAGACACCUUAGGCCCAUUCAGGCACCCUAGGUCCACUUAGGCACUCUAGACCCAUUUAGGCACCCUAGGUCCACCUAGGCACCCUAAGCCCAUUUAGGCACCCUAGGUCCAUUUACGCACCCUUGGCCCAUUUAGGUACCCUAGGCCCAUUUAGGCACCCUAGGUCCAUUUACGCACCUUAGAGUCAUUUAGGCAUCCAUAGGCCCAUUUAGGCACCCUAGGUCCACUUAGACUCCUUAGGCCCAUUUAGUCACCCUAAGCUCAUUUAGGCACCCUUGGCCAAUUUAGGCACCUAGGCCCACUUAGACACCCUAAACCCACUUAGACACGCAGCGCCCAUUUAGGCACCCUACGUCCACUUAGGCACCUUAGGCCCACUUAGGCACCCUUGGCCCAUUUACGCACCUAGGUCCACUUAGGCACCCUAGGCCCAUUUAGGGGACCCUAAGUCGACUUAGACACCUUACGGCCAUUUAGGCACCCUAGGCUCAUUUAGGGACCCUUCGCCCAUUUAGGCACCCUAGGUCCAUUUACGACCCUAGGUCAACUUAGGCACCCUAGGUCCAUUUAGGUACCCUAGGUCCACUUAGACAGCCUAGGCCCAUUUAGGCACCCUAGGCUCAUUUAGGCACCCUUGGCCCAUUUAGGCACCCUACGCCCAUUUAGGCACCCUAGGUCAACUUAGGCAACCUAGGUCCACUUAUGCACCCCAGGUCCAUUUAGGCACCCUUGGCCCAUUGAGGCACCCUAGGCCCACUUAGGCACCCUAGGCCCAUUUACGCACCCUAGGUCCAUUUACGCACCCUAGUCCCAUUUAGGCACCAUAGGUCCACUUAGACACCCUAGGCCCAUUUAGGCACCCUAAGCCCACUUAGGCACCCUUGGUCCAUUUAGGCACCCUAGGCUCAUUUAGGUACCCUAGGUCCACUUAGGCACCCUAGGCCCAUUUAGGCACCCUUGGUCCACUUAGGCACCCUAGGCCCAUUUAGGUACCCUAGGUCUAGUAAGGAACUCUAGACCCAUUUAGGCACCUUAGGCUCAUUUAGGCACCCUAGGUCCAAUUAGGCACCUUAGGCUUAUUUAGGCACCCUAGGCCCAUUUAGAAACCCUAUGUCCACUUAGACACCUUAUGCCCAUUUAGGCACCCUAGGUCCACGUAGGCACUCUAGACCCAUUAGGCACCCUAGGUUCACUUGGGCACCCUAGGCCCAUUUAGGCACCCUAGGUCCACUUUGGCACCAUAGGCCCAUUUAGCCACCCUAGGUCCACUUACACACCUUAGGCCCAUUUAGGCACCCUAGGCUCAUUUAGGCACCCUUGGCCCAUUUAGGCACUCUAGGCCCACUUAGACACCCUAAGCCCACUUAGACACACUGUGCCCAUUUAGGCACUCUAGGUCCACUUAGGCACCCUAGGCCCAUUUAGGCACCGUAGGUCUAUUUAGGCACAUAAGGCUCAUUUAGGCACCCAUAGGCCCAUUUAGAAAAUUUCGCACAGCCUGAUGCAGUUGUCUUCCGAAGGCCAUAUCUUUCUCAUUUCAGCUCCAAAUCAUACAUGGUUUGAACCGUUGGAUUCUUGACUUUCUGAGCUUUGAAAUGGUAUAUAGAAUGUAAAAAAUGGACUUCGGGAAGUGCUCCAAAAGUGCAAUGAAAGACUGCAGCUGUGUCCCCUGUUUUCCUCUUCUCCAUUGUUUCUUCCUUGUAUACUUUGAACCACUAAGGCAAAGGAUUAUGAGGCUCCAUAGCUUGAUUUCUUCAUAAAUUUAAGCUUUCAAAAGCUUUGCUCUGAACUAUAAAUAGCUCUCCCUCAUUCUUAAAUUGCUUUGGUGAGCAUAAAGCUAUCAAAAAGCACCAAAACUUAACACAUUUGUUAGAAACGAUUGCAAAGGUCCCUAAUAUGUUAAUUGAGUUAAAAGAUAAUAAUUACUACUCAAGGGUGUUUAAAAGAGCUAAUUACAAGCUACAAAAUAGCAUGUUUUGAGUAGUAAUCACUCCCCCCAACCGACAUAUUGCUAGUCCCUUAGCAAUUAAGGAGAGAAAAACUAAGCAAACGUAAUAAUAUACAUAAAAGAAGUCAUGCAAUUCAUUCCAAAAAAUAAUUGAGUGGCAUGACUGAUAUCCAAACACAUCUCUCCUGGUGAACUAAAGAUAUGAAGAUUCAAAAUGCAAUAGGAGUUGUCAAAGCUUAAACUUAAACAAAAAGUACAAAGAGUGGAGAUUAUGCAAUUAAGUAUCAAAAGAAUCUCUACUCUCAAGGUUUCAAAUCAAACUCUUCCAUAAUAAGCUAAGUGUUAAUGAAAUUAGCUUCCGGAUAUAGUAUAUACAACUAUCCUCACCCUCCAAACUAAGCUUUUCUCGAAUAUUGGCAAAAUUAAUCAACUCUUAAUAGGUUAAGAACGCACCUUCUUAUUCACAAUUCUUUUUUUUUUUACUCACUAAACUUAACCAAUUCACCUAUGUAGCAAGCAGAGGAUCGAUGACUCCCAACCAAUUAAGGUUUAGGGCAUUGGGUUUUAAAGGCUUUCGCCACCCCUUCGGAUCAUACUUAGGUUUCAAGGAAAGAAUAGAGGCUUAUUCUCUUUUUCUUUUUCUAAGACUCAUUGGUCUUUUUCUAAGACUCAUUGGUCUUUAUGAGGUGUCCCAACACUAUUAAAAAGAGGUUAAGUAAUAAACCAAGUCAAAAUUUUCCUAAGCUUAGAAAGUGAGAAAGUUUUACAUCUUAUAUCCGGGAUCUAAUGUGCACAGUGUGUGUAAAGCUCGAAAUGGAAGAAGAAAGUUCAAAAUCAAAGAGGCUUCAAUAGAUUAUCAACUUUGAAAGCAUAAAACAAACUCUAAGACUUAAAUAAUUAAGUUAAAACUCGACUUAUCCUAUUUUAUUUUUGAAAAAUUAUCUUUAACAACCAGAGAGAAUGAUUCAAAAAACUUUUUAAAAAAUUUAAAAUUUAAGCAAAAAUUAACUAAAAUACCAAAAUAACUUAAUAUUGACAACAAAACUUCCUUUCUCAAUUCUCCCCCCCAACCAAGUUGAACAUUGUCCCCAAUGUUUCAAAAGCGAUUAAAAAUAAAGGGAGGAAGUGGUACCUCCUGAGUGAGAUAAAGUCUGAGUGUAAAGGAGGUAUGGAGUACCUUAAACCACAUGUUCCAAGGACAAAAGAGUAAUGAGAAAAGGGAAUAUAAUCAAAAAGGAUAUAUAUAUAUAUAUAUAUUACUUGAAAAAGAAAUAUACAAUGUAUGAUUUCAAGUACUAUUUCCAAUCCCAAUUUAUAACACAUGCAAAAGAUGGGAUUUACAAGUCUAAAAUAAAAAGUAAAACAUAAAAAAAUCAGAUAUGAGUGGGGUCAUGUGAUGGCUCUGCUCUGAUCUCCUCCUCUGGUAUAGGCUGCUCAGCUGGCAAGCUCUCCUCAUCUGGCACUAGAGGCUCGGAUGGUGCAGACCUAUCAUGCCCAAGAGGGAUCUGCAUACUCAGAUGCUGCUGAAUCUGAUGAAGGAUCGUGGUAUGCUGGGCCUGAGUAGCGAUGAUCUGAUCCUGGUGUGCACGAAUAGUGGCCAUCUGGUGGAUAAUAGAAUCCUGAGCAGUGCUCAGUGUCCGCAAUGAACGCUCUAAGCCUCUGAAUUCUGUAAGAGAAAUGGUGACAGUGGGCUCAGAUGAAGGAGGAGGUGCUGGGGUAGCUGGCACGACUGGUGGAGCACCCUGAGUGAUAGGGGAGGUAGAAUGUAUAGCCUCGGGCAUGUGCACUGAGGGCUGUGCUGCAGGGGCAGGAGGUGGUGUCUCUGUGAGAAUCUCAUCCUGCUGGGCCUGAGGUAUCUGCUCAUCUCGGGGUAGCUCUGGAGGUGCAUGUACAGCUGGGGCUCCCUGAGGUGCAAAGUAGGCUACCAAGUGAUGCCAUUUGUCGAGAGAGAAGUCCUCUCGGCAAUGGCGGCGCCUCUCAAGACGGGGCUCUUCAGGAUAGCCCAAGUGCUCUAAAAUCUGGCAGAGGAGCCUCGGAAAUAGUAAUGGGAUGCCAUCUGCCCUCUGAAGCUUCUUCUGAUGGACUUUCUCUUCAAAAUGAAGAAGAGAAGUCAUAAUCAAAUGAUGAGGGCCGAAGAAAUAGCCCUCAGAAAUCCUGAAUAACGCCUCAAGUAUAGCUCCUCUCCUCUGAACCUUAUGCUGAAGGGGGAAUAGGUUGGCACGCAGGAGCACAUCAAUGAGGAGCAUCCCAGAUGGAAGCUCUCUCCUGGUCAAUACCGAGGCUGUAGAAGUCCCCCUGGACAAAAUGCGGACCAUGUCACUCUGAGAGAAUGAGGACCACUCCCUGAAAUCUGCCUGAAACACGGGCUCAUAAGGUAUACGGAGGGCCUCAGCAAUGUGGCGAGCUCCAAUGGCACCCUGGCGUCCGUCUAUGGUAAAUUGGAUGAGAGUAGGAUUGCGGAGGCCUCGAGUAGUCAUAGAUUGAUAAAAAUCUAAAACUACUCUGGGAUAGUAGAAUUGCCUAGGAGUGAGAAGAUCCUCCAUGUGAUACCUCUACAGCAGUCGGAAUGAAUCUCUGAGCUCUGGCUGCUGUCUGAGGGCCUCUAUAUCAAAGUAGGUCUCAGAGUGGAAGGAUCGAUUUCUGCAAUCCAAGUUGCCCUCUAUCGGUGGUCCGGCUAUCAUGGGACGCCUGAUAAUGGUCUCGGGAGUAUUUUCUACAGGAAUCUGAGGUUCCUCUGUAGCUGGCUCUGGCUGAGGUGCGUGGGAUGGCUCUCCAGGACCCGAGAACCUGGUCCUCUUCGCUGGUGGCCGAGAAACAGGGCUCGUGGCCUGAUCGACUGGUGCCACAGGGUCCGCGGGUGGCCUCCGGGUGGGGUAUCGGCUCUGAGAAGGAGCUUCCCCCUCAGAUGGGGGAAUGGCCGGGGCCUGAACAGGUGGUGAAGGUGCGGCUCCCAUGGCGGCUCGCUGUGGUCGAGGUGUCGGUGAGGACGGGGAGGCGGAAUGGCCUCCUCUGGUCUUCGCCAUGGCCGAAAUGAAGGGAGGUGGGUGUUCGGGAUUCCAGAGGUUUUUCAGCUGGUGCUUAGGAGAGUCCUUUGAGCUUCUGGACUUCAGGGGUUUAUAUAGGAAUGAGGUUUAAGGGGUUUCUGAUCUUUUAAAAUUUUUCAAGGCAACCGAAAAGUCGUUUUUGGAUGUUAGGCACAAUUUCGGGGGUAAAAUUUUAAUUUAAAAGUCGGUUUUAAAUUUGUAGAAGUUAAAAUUUUACCGUGCGAAAUUUUCGCACCUUGGCCUGCAAAUUUCGCACCUUGGAAUUGGGUGUGCGAAAAUGGCACCCCUUUGGCCGAUGAUUUCGCACGUUAAAAGGAGGUGUGCGAAAUUUUCGCACCUUGAAUAGUGGUGUGCGAAAUUUUCGCACACUAUUUCGCACAGUGCGAAAAUCAGCUUGAGGUGUGCGAAAUUGGCACACGUGUGCCAGGAGAGGAUUUCGCACAGUGCGAAAAUUUUCGCACCUUCCACAGUGGUGUGCGAAAUUGGAUUUUAGGAAAUUCGCACCUUGAAAAGGGAUUUCGCACCUUGAAAUUGAUUUCGCACCUUGAGGUAGGGGUGUGCGAAAAUUGCUUCCUUUGGCCCAAGGAUUUCGCACCUUGGUAUUGAGGUGUGCGAAAUUUUCGCACCUUGAAAUCAGGUGUGCGAAAAUUUGGCACCUUGAAAUUGGGUGCUCUGUUUCCUUGGUUUUUCUCCCCUUGGCUGCUUUUGACGAGCUCUCCCCAUCUUUCAUGAUUUUUUUCUGAAAUUUAUUAUCAAAAUUAACUUGAAUUAAGACAAUAUAAACUAAGAUUAGGAGAAAAUUAAAAUAUAAAGAAAUAAAAAUACUAAUAUAACUAUAAAACUAUAACAAAAAAUUCAUGGACUUCUUUAGCCCAUGAUACCCUGCUUUCCCUCAGAUUUGUGGUAGUUCAAGGAGAUUGAUCUCCUCCUUGUCUGUACUGUAAGGCUCUAAGAAUGGCUUGAGACGAUGGCCAUUGACUUUGAAGGUUUGAUUGCCUGUGGGAUUGAAUAUUUCCACCACUCCGUUGGGAUGCACUUCAUGAAUUAUGAAAGGACCCGUCCAUCUGGAUUUCAAUUUUUUUCGGUAAAAGAUAAAGCUUAGAGUCAUAAAGUAAGACUCUUUGUCCCAAAACAGCCCCCAUAGCAAGAUCUUAAAAAAAAAAACUAAGUUAAAUCAAACCAAAAUAAAAUUAAAGCAAGAAAUCAAAAUUAAAACAAGUUUAAAAAUAAAACAAAAAGAUAUGGACUAGCUAGUCUUUAGAAAGACUAAGUCCAUAAAAAAAAUUGGAUCCGGAUUUAGCUUGCCCGGAUCCCAUAUGAAGUUUGCAUCCCUCCCUUGAGACUUGCUUUGUAUGAUGGUGCCAUACAAAGCUUGGGGGAAAGGUGGAGGGAUGUGAUUCUUCAUCAUUUCUUCCUUUAAAAGAAUUUGAGGUUCCUCAUCCAUGCUUGGAAUGAUGCUUUCUUUCAUCUGAACUCCCUUUCCCUUUUGUUCUUUCUUCUUUUCUUCUUUUCUAUCAGCCUUGUCUUCUUUGGCUUUCCUCUGAUCAUGCUCCGGCUGAUGCACUUCCUUACCACUUCUCAAAGUGAUAAUAGCUUGCACGUCCCUCACCUUUGAAGAAUCCUCAUCUUUGGAUUCCACUUCAUGUAUCCCCUUAGGAUUUUGGUGAGGCUGAGAGGGAAACUUCCCUUUCUCAUUGACAGUGUUCAAAUUUGUGAGCCUUGAGAUGGAAUAUUGGAUGUUGUCAAUUUUCUGAGACAACUCAUUAUGCAUCCCAUCUAUCUUCUUGUUCAAUGUACUCUCUACGUUGUCAAUCUUCUGAUUUAGUUGAGAGUUGAUGGAUUUUUGCUCGCUCACAAAGUCACCCAUAACCUUGCUAAGGCUUACGAGUGCUUGCUCAACUGAGGAUUGACCUUGACUCUGUUGGCUUGAUUGGGCUGGUGACUGAUAUGGGUUUGGCCUUGGCUUCCAUGCAAAGUUUGGGUGGUUCCUCCAGCUAGAGUUGUACGUGUUGCCAUAGGGAGCAUUUGAAUUUGGCUUCCAUUGGCCAAUCAGGUUAGCUUGUUCCCCGAACAUUUCUCUUGCUGCCAGAAUGGUGGGACAUUCUUCCACCAUAUGUUCAAAUGACUGACAUAUGGAGCAAGGAUUGGCUUGUUGUUGAGGUUCUGAAAUAGCUUGGACUUCGUGAACUUUUCUCAACUCCAUUUCCUCUAUUUUUCUAGCCAUGGCAGCUACCUUGGCUUUCAUCUCCAUGUCUUCACUCAGACUGUACAUCCCCCCUCUUGACAUUUGCUGAACUGGCCUCUUCCCCAUUUCUCUACUAUUGGGCUCAUCCCAUCCACGGGAAACCUCUGAGACAUAACUUAGGAAGUCCAUAGCCUCCUCAGGGUUCUUGCUCAUGAAAUCACCCCCACACAUUGUCUCCAAUAUCUGCUUCAUUGAAGAUGACAUGCCAUCAUAAAAAUAGCUCACCAAAAGCCAUGUAUCAAAGCCGUGGUGAGGACAUGCAUUGAUGGCCUCCAUAUACCUCUCCCAGCAUUCAUAAAAUUUUUCAUUUUCACGUGCUGAGAAGUUGGAGAUUUGUCUCUUCAAUCCAUUUGUUCUGUGAGUAGGGAAAAACUUCUUCAAAAAAUCAGCUUGAAGUUCUGUCCAUGUUCUUAUGCUUCUCGGCCUCAAGGAAUUAAGCCAUAUCUUGGCUUUGUCCUUUAAUGUGAAUGGAAAGAGCUUCAACCUCAUAAGCUCAAUAGUUGUUCCCCCUUCUUGAAAAGUAUUGCACACAUCUUCGAAUUCCUUUAUGUGCGCAUAUGGAUUUUCACUUUCCAUCCCAUGGAAAGUAGGAAGCAGAGGCACGAUGUGUGGCAUGAUAAUCAAUUGCUCUGUAGGAGGAAUGAUGCAAGAUGGUGCACUCAUCCUCGGAGGGUGCAUCCUGUCCCUCAUGGACCUAUACAAGUUCGGAUCAUUCCCCUGCCCGUGUUGUGAAUGUUGAUCCUCUGGUUGAUUCUCCAUGAUCUCCAAAAUAAUAUCUAAUUCAGUAGCUCGUGGAGUCUCUAUCCGCACUAACCUUCCCUCUUGGUCUCUAAUCCAAUAGGGCAUGCACGGAUUCAGCUGGAACAAAACAAAUAAACAAAACAAAGAAAAAGAAAAAAAAAACAGAGCAUGCGGAAGGAAAAACAGAGUAUGAAAAAUAAACUAAAAAUGAAAGUUAAAAGCUAAAAGAAACUUAUCUAAACUAAGUUAAAAAUGUUCUAAAACUAAAAUAAAAAGUUAGUAAAUGAAAAAGGAGAUAGAAUUCACCUUACUCAUGAGAAGUCUCACAAGUUACCUCCGGCUGAUAUAUUCACAGUGAAGUAGCACCUUCCCCGGCAACGGCGCCAUUUGAUACGCUUGACUCUUGGUAGCUUGGCAUGUAAGGGUAUCAACAAAAUUUAUACCUAAGGUCCUUACACUAAAGUAGCAAAGCUACUAUAGUAUAGUGGCUCUAGGAUCGAACACUGGGAAGGGUUUUUACUUUAACUAGUGAAGUUCAGAGGAUGGAGUGAACUUUUCUUAAUAAAAAUUAGGUUAAGAUGAAAACAUAAAAAGAUGAAGGUGUUGUAAACUAAACUAACAUGAAAAUAGGAUAAAAGAUGGAAAAAGAAGUUUCUCAAAGCUUUGGAUAGCCAUGCUUAACUCACCAUGUAAAAAUGGAGAUUUUGGGACUUUUCACCUCGCGUUGGGGAAGCAACUAAGGUGAUGCUUACUUCCCGAACCGGUAUGAGUUUAACAACUGAGUUUUAGUCCUUGAAAACUUACAAAAAGGGUAGCUGAACCUCAUAAAUGCCCUUUUAAUGAUAUAGGUCAUCUACUCGACUUGCAAUACAAUGGCUCGUAGGAGAUAACUAACGAACGUCAGUGGAUCUAACAAUAAGAAUCCACUGAGACCAAAAGCUUAUCAAGUAUUGGCCAUUCAAAGCAAGUCAGAGGGAUUAAAAGCUUUACUUUGAAUGAAAACAUUUAUGGUGCUCAGCUACUUACAUUCAUGGCUUGGAAAUCUCCAUCCUGACACGGGAGCUUCACAUGGCAUCCAUUACUUCAAGAAACUAAAAGGUUUUAGCCUCUCAUCCUUGGGGAUUUCAUCCUCCAAGGAUGUUUGGCUACUAAGAAAAUGAGAAAAUAGAAGAGAGAAAAAGAAAAAACAAAAGAGAUCUCUGUAUUUCACUAAGUAACUAAUUUACAUUGGUCUCCUGGAGAAAGCUCCCCGAAAAGAUAUUGUUUUCAGUGAUUACAAGAGAAUUUAUAUAGGAAGGUAGUUUUACCCUUCCUUGGAUACUUCCUAGCUAAGGAAUUACAUGGUUGGUUGAAUACAAGGAGAAAAUGGAAAUUUAAACACAAAAAUAUCAGAAGAAGAAGAGUCGGCAAACAUAUCCAAUUUUCGCACGCUGAAGUUCCAAUUUCGCACGUUGAUUUGAGGUGUGCGAAAUUUUCGCACAGUGGACUGAGGAUUUCGCACCUUGAUUUCCAUCGUGCGAAAAUUUCGCAUAGCCUGAUGCAGUUGUCUUCCGAAGGCCAUAUCUUUCUCAUUUCAGCUCUAAAUCAUACAUGGUUUAAACCGUUGGAUUCUUGACUUUCUGAGCUUUGAAAUGGUAUAUAGAAUGUAAAAAAUGAACUUCGGGAAGUGCUCCAAAAGUGCAAUGAAAGACUGCAGCUGUGUCCCCUGUUUUCCUCUUCUCCAUUGUUUCUUCCUUGUAUACUUUGAACCACUAAGGCAAAGGAUUAUGAGGCUCCAUAGCUUGAUUUCUUCAUAAAUUUAAGCUUUCAAAAGCUUUGCUCUGAACUAUAAAUAGCUCUCCCUCAUUCUUAAAUUGCUUUGGUGAGCAUAAAGCUAUCAAAAAGCACCAAAACUUAACACAUUUGUUAGAAAUGAUUGCAAAGGUCCCUAAUAUGUUAAUUGAGUUAAAAGAUAAUAAUUACUACUCAAGGGUGUUUAAAAGAGCUAAUUACAAGCUACAAAAUAGCAUGUUUUGAGUAGUAAUCAGCACCCUAGGUCCACUUACACACCCUAGGUCCACUUAGGCACCCUAGGCCCAUUUAGGCACCCUAGGUCCAUUUAGGCACAUAAGGCUCAUUUAGGCACCCAUAGGCCUAUUUCGGCACCCUACCUCCACUUAGACACCUUAGGCCCAUUUUGGCACCCUAGGCUCAUUUAGGAACCCUUGGCCCAUUUAGGCACCCUAGGCCCACUUAGUAACCCUAAGCCCACUUAGACACCCUUGGCCCAUUUAGGCACCCUAGGUCCACUUUAGCACUCUAGUCCCAUUUAGGCACCCUAGGUCCACUUAGACACGCUAGGCACAUUUAAGCAGCCAAAGCCCACUUAGGCACCCUUGGGCCAUUUUGGAACCCUAGGCUCAUUUAGGCACCCUAGGUACACUUAGGCACCCUAAGCCCAUUUAGGCAUCCUUGGCCCAUUUAGGCACCUUAGGCCCACUUAGGCACCUAGGUCCACUUAGACACCUUAGGCCCAUUCAGGCACCCUAGGUCCACUUAGGCACUCUAGACCCAUUUAGGCACCCUAGGUCCACCUAGGCACCCUAGGCCCAUUUAGGCACCCUAGGUCCAUUUACGCACCCUUGGCCCAUUUAGGUACCCUAGGCCCAUUUAGGCACCCUAGGUCCAUUUAGGCACCUUAGAGUCAUUUAGGCAUCCAUAGGCCCAUUUAGGCACCCUAGGUCCACUUAGACUCCUUAGGCCCAUUUAGGCACCCUAAGCUCAUUUAGGCACCCUUGGCCAAUUUAGGCACCUAGGCCCACUUAGACACCCUAAACCCACUUAGACACGCAGCGCCCAUUUAGGCACCCUAGGUCCACUUAGGCACCUUAGGCCCACUUAGGCACCCUUGGCCCAUUUACGCACCUAGGUCCACUUAGGCACCCUAGGCCAAUUUAGGGACCCUAAGUCGACUUAGACACCUUACGGCCAUUUAGGCACCCUAGGCUCAUUUAGGGACCCUUCGCCCAUUUAGGCACCCUAGGUCCAUUUACGACCCUAGGUCAACUUAGGCACCCUAGGUCCAUUUAGGUACCCUAGGUCCACUUAGACAGCCUAGGCCCAUUUAGGCACCCUAGGCUCAUUUAGGCACCCUUGGCCCAUUUAGGCACCCUACGCCCAUUUAGGCACCCUAGGUCAACUUAGGCAACCUAGGUCCACUUAGGCACCCCAGGUCCAUUUAGGCACCCUUGGCCCAUUGAGGCACCCUAGGCCCACUUAGGCACCCUAGUCCCAUUUACGCACCCUAGGUCCAUUUACGCACCCUAGUCCCAUUUAGGCACCAUAGGUCCACUUAGACACCCUAGGCCCAUUUAGGCACCCUAAGCCCACUUAGGCACCCUUGGUCCAUUUAGGCACCCUAGGCUCAUUUAGGUACCCUAGGUCCACUUAGGCACCCUAGGCCCAUUUAGGCACCCUUGGUCCACUUAGGCACCCUAGGCCCAUUUAGGUACCCUAGGUCUAGUUAGGAACUCUAGACCCAUUUAGGCACCUUAGGCCCAUUUAGCCACCCUAGGUCCAAUUAGGCACCUUAGGCUUAUUUAGGCACCCUAGGCCCAUUUAGAAACCCUAUGUCCACUUAGACACCUUAUGCCCAUUUAGGCACCCUAGGUCCACGUAGGCACUCUAGACCCAUUAGGCACCCUAGGUUCACUUGGGCACCCUAGGCCCAUUUAGGCACCCUAGGUCCACUUUGGCACCAUAGGCCCAUUUAGCCACCCUAGGUCCACUUACACACCUUAGGCCCAUUUAGGCACCCUAGGCUCAUUUAGGCACCCUUGGCCCAUUUAGGCACUCUAGGCCCACUUAGACACCCUAAGCCCACUUAGACACACUGUGCCCAUUUAGGCACCCUAGGUCCACUUAGGCACCCUAGGCCCAUUUAGGCACCCUAGGUCUAUUUAGGCACAUAAGGCUCAUUUAGGCACCCAUAGGCCCAUUUAGGCACCCUAGGUCCACUUACACACCCUAGGCCCAUUUAGGCACCCUAGGCUCAUUUAGGCACCCUUCGCCUAUUUAGGCACCCUAGGCUCAUUUAGUCACCCUUGGCCCAUUUACGCACCCUAGGGCCACUUAGUAACCCUAAGCCCACUUAGACACCCUUGGCCCAUUUAGGCACCCUAGGUCCACUUAGGCACUCUACGCCCAUUUAGGCACCCUAGGUCCACUUAGACACGCUAGGCCCAUUGAAGCACCCUAAGCCCACUUAGGCACCCUUGGCCCAUUUAGGAACCCUAGGCUCAUUUAGGCACCCUAGGUCCACUUAGGCACCCUAAGCCCAUUUAGGCACUCUAGGUCCAAUUAGGUACUCUAGACCCAUUUAGGCACCCUAGGUCCACUUAGGCCCCCUUGGCCCAUUUAGUCACCCUAGGUCCAUUUAGGGACGCUUGGCCCAUUUAGGCACCUUAGGCCCACUUAGGCACCCUUGGCCCAUUUAGGCACCCUAGGUCCAUUUAGGCACCCCAGGCUCAUUUAGGCAUCCUAGGCCCAUUUAGGCACCCUAGGUCCAGUUAGACACCUUAGGCCCGUUUUGGCACCCUAGGUGCAGUUAGGCAUUCUAGACCCAUUAAGGCACCCUAGGUCCACUUAGGCAGCCUAGGCCCAUUUAGGCACCCUAGGUCCAUUUAGGCACCCUUGGCCCAUUUAGGUACCCUAGGCCCAUUUAGGCACCCUAGGUCCAUUUAGGCACCUUAGGGCAUUUAGGCAUCCAUAGGCCCACUUAGGCACCCUAGGUCCACUUAGACACCUUAGGCCCAUUUAGGCACCCUAGUGUCACAAGCUGAUCCAAAUGAGCCUCCCCAUGGCCUUAUAUAGGGCCAGGAAGCUUCUGGAGACUCCUAGAGUGGGAAGAGUGUGGAAGGUUCUAGAGAAGUCUGGAGGAAUCCACACAAUUCUACACUAUGGUGGAAGGCACAAGAGGAGUCCUGGGCUUUCUAGAGGAAUCUAGAAGACUCUUGUAUAUACUUGUAUAUAGGCUUGUAUCUAGAAUGAUGUAGGACAUUCUAGAAUAGUCUUGAGUUGUAAGGAACCCUCCAAGGUUCCAGAGAGUUCCAUUGGUGCCUAUAAAUAGGUGAGGGCCUCAUUUGGCCAAGGCACCAAGCAAGUGAGCAUCCAAGCACUUGUAAAGGCUUUCUUGAGUUAAUAGAGCUUCCAUUCUUUCAAGAGUUGCCUACCAAGCUUCUUAAGCUUUUUGAGUCGCAGGUGUCUUAGACGAGCAAGCUAAGCAUUGGGGAUCAAGGCUGACUUAGCAAGAUGAAGCGUCUUGGCUUGUCUAAGUGCCGCACGAGCUUAGUGAAUGACUAAGUCUGUGAUACUAGGCUCAUUUAGGCACCCUUGGCCCAUUUAGGCACCCUAGGCCCACUUAGACACCCUAAGCCCACUUAGACACGCUACGCCCAUUUAGGCACCCUAGGUCCACUUAGGCACCUUAGGCCCACUUAGGCACCCUAGACCCAUUUAGGCACCCUAGGUCCAAUUAGGCACCCUAAGCUCAUUUUGGCACCCUAGGCCCAUUUAGGAACCCUAUGUCCACUUAGACACCUUAGGCCCAUUUAGGCACCGUCGGUCCACUUAGGCACUCUAGACCCAUUUAGGCACCCUAGGUCUACUUAGGCACCCUAGGCCCAUUUAGGUACCCUAGGUCCAUUUAGGCACCCCUUGCCCAUUUAGGUACCCUAGGCCAACUUAGGUACCCUAGGACCAUUUAGGCACCCUAGGUCCAUUUAGGCACAGAAGGCUCAUUUAAGCACCCAUAGGCCCAUUUAGGCACCCUAGGUCCACUUAGACCCCUUAAGCCCAUUUAAGCACCCUAGGCUCAUUUAGGCACCCUUGGCCCAUUUAGGCACCCUUGGCUCAUUUAGGCACCCUUGGCCCAUUUAGGCACCCUAGUGUCACAGGAUGCUUAAAAUGACCCUCCCCAUGGGCUUAUAUAGGAGGAGGGAAGCUUUUGGAGACUCCUGGAGCCAUCUACACUAAGCCAUUGGUGGGAAGAGUGUGGAAGGUUCUAGAAAUGCCUAGAGAAGUCCACACAACUCUACACUAUGGUAGAAGGCACGAGAAGGGUCCAAAGCUUUCUAGAGAAAUCUAGAAGUCUCUUGAAUAUUCUAGAAUAGUGUAGGACAUUCUAGAAGUCUCUUGAAUAUUCUUGAAUAGUGUAGGACAUUCUAGAAUAUUCAUGAAUUGUAAGGAACCCUCUAAGGUUCUAGAGAGUUCCAUUGGUGCCUAUAAAUAGGUGAGGGCCUCAUUUGGCCAAGGCACCAAGCAAGUGAGCAUCCAAGCACUUGUAAAGGCUUUCUUGAGAUAAUAAAGCUUCCAUUCUUUAAGGAGUUGCCUACUAAGCUCUUAAGCUUUCGAGUCGCGAGUGUCUUAGUCAAGCAAGCUAAGCAUUGGGGAUCAAGGCUGACUUAGCAAGAUCAAGCGUCUUGACUUGCCUAAGUGCCGCACGAGCUUAUUGAACGACUAAGUCCGUGACAAGUGGUAUCAGAGCAUGGUUACAAGGUGGGCAUAGCAAAGGAAGCAUGUCGGGCUCUAACGUGGAGGAGACUAGUGAGCAAACCCGUGGAAGGGAGACCGAGCCUACUGCACGGGGCAGGGGUAGGAAGGAUAAAUCUCGUGAUGCCAUUGCCAACAUGGAGGCAAGGUUAGCCAAGGUGGAGCUAGCCAUGGCGGACACUCGGGAGGGGUUGGACUUGAUCGAGCAAGGCAUGGAGAAGGGCUUAGAGGAUCUAAGGGAACAGAUCCAAGACCUUCGUGAGAGGGUGCUAGUCUCAAAAGUUCAGCCAGUGUCGCACGAGGAGUUUGUGUCCUUCCAAGGAAAGGUCUUGAGCAUGCUUGCUAGCAUGGAGUCAAGGAUAGAGGCCUUGACCACUCGAAUGGAGUCCCGAGACCAGGAAGUUAGGCAGGAGUUGGCCAUUUACAAGGCUGCUGUGUCGGCACGGGUCAUGGCCACACAAGGGGCAUCUAGGGUGGAGGUGCCGAAGCCACAAGGGUUUAGUGGCAAGAGGGAUGCCAAGGAGUUAGAUAACUUCUUAUGGCAUAUGGAGCGAUACUUCGAAGCUAUCGCAUUGACGGAUGAGGCGGCUAAGGUGAGAAUUGCGACCCUCUACCUUACUGACACAGCUACUCUAUGGUGGCGUCGAAGGUUUGCCGAUAUGGAGAAAGGCAUUUGCACCAUAAAGACGUGGGAGGACUUCAAGAAGGAGAUCAAGAGGCAGUUCUACCCCGAGGACGUGGCUUACCUGGCUAGGAAAAACAUGAGGCGUCUCAAGCACACAGGCUCGAUACGUGAAUAUGUCAAGGAAUUCUCUUCGCUCAUGCUUGAGAUUCCUAACAUGACUCAGGAAGAGUUGCUAUUCAACUUCAUGGAUAACCUGCAAGGGUGGGCCGAGCAGGAAUUAAGGCGCCGGGGCGUUCAAGACUUAGCCACUGCUAUGGCAAUAGCAGAAUCUUUAGCGGAUUAUAAGAGGGGAGACUCCUCCAAGAUUGAGUCUUUAGAGGAUAGCCACGCCAUGGGUGGGGGAGACGAGGAUCUAAUGGACCACAAUGCUCCUAAAAAGGGAUCAAGCAAGACGCCUAACGUCCAAGAAGGAAGGGGUAAGGCGGCAAGCAAGGAGUUCACGCCUAAAAUCAAAUGCUUCCUAUGUGACGGACCACAUUGGGCACGGGAUUGUCCAAAGAGGAAGGCGCUUAGUGCCAUGAUCGAGGAGAGGGAGCAGGAGGAUGAAGCACAUAUGGGCUCAAUGCAGCUACUAGGUGCCCUCCAAUUCAACCCGAAGCCUAGUACGCCUGAGACCUCCUUACUAGCAGGCGUGCAAGUAAAGGAGGAAAAAGGGGAGCGAGCUGAGGUAGCCCACACACGCAUGGAAGAAGUCACCAAGGGAAAGGUGAACUCAAUGGGUAAAAGGAAGCAGCACUCUAAGCAUCGAAAGCGCAUGGGUCUGCAUCCAUCUAAGGCCUCACGGGAGAAGGAGGUGAAGAAUAUCCUAGCUGAACGGGUCACUAGGAGACAAGGGGUCCCUCCUGUGAUAGAGUAUCUAGUCCGAUGGAAAGGACUACCUAAGAGGCCGCUAAGCUGGGAACAUGCGGAUGCCUUGAGAAAAUUCUGGAAACACAUCGAGAGGUUUCAGAAUGAGGCAACGACGAGGACGUCGACGGCAUCGGUGGGGGAGAGUGUCACAGGAUGCUUAAAAUGACCCUCCCCAUGGGCUUAUAUAGGAGGAGGGAAGCUUUUGGAGACUCCUGGAGCCAUCUACACUAAGCCAUUGGUAGGAAGAGUGUGGAAGGUUCUAGAAAUGCCUAGAGAAGUCCACACAACUCUACACUAUGGUAGAAGGCAUGAGAAGGGUCCAAAGCUUUCUAGAGAAAUCUAGAAGUCUCUUGAAUAUUCUAGAAUAGUGUAGGACAUUCUAGAAGUCUCUUGAAUAUUCUAGAAUAGUGUAGGACAUUCUAGAAUAUUCAUGAAUUGUAAGGAACCCUCCAAGGUUCUAGAGAGUUCCAUUGGUGCCUAUAAAUAGGUGAGGGCCUCAUUUGGCCAAGGCACCAAGCAAGUGAGCAUCCAAGCACUUGUAAAGGCUUUCUUGAGAUAAUAAAGCUUCCAUUCUUUAAGGAGUUGCCUACUAAGCUCUUAAGCUUUCGAGUCGCGAGUGUCUUAGCCGAGCAAGCUAAGCAUUGGGGAUCAAGGCUGACUUAGCAAGAUCAAGCGUCUUGACUUGCCUAAGUGCCGCACGAGCUUAGUGAACGACUAAGUCCGUGACACUAGGCCCACUUAGUAACCCUAAGCACACUUAGACACCCUUGGCCCAUUUAGGCACCCUAGGUCCACUUGGGCACUCUAGGCCCAUUUAGGCACCCUAGGUCCACUUAGACACGCGAGGCCCAUUUAAGCACCCUAAGUCCACUUAGGCACCCUUGGCCCAUUUAGGAACCCUAGGCUCAUUUAGGCACCCUAGGUCCACUUAGGGACCCUAAGCCCAUUUAGGCACUCUAGGUCAUAUUAGGCACUCUUGACCCAUUUAGGCACCCUAGGCCCAUUUAUGCACCCUAGGUCCAUUUAGGCACCGUUGGCCCAUUUAGGCACCCUAGGCCCACUUAGGCAACCUUGGCCCAUUUAGGCACCCUAGGUCCAUUUAAACACCCUAGGCUCAUUUAGGCACCCUAGGCCCAUUUAGGCACCCUAGGUCCAAUUAGACACCUUAGGCCCAUUUUGGCACCCUAGGUUCACUUAGGCAUUCUAGACCCAUUUAGGCACCCUAGGUCUACUUAGGCACCCUAGGCCCAUUUAGGCACCCUAGGUCCAUUUAAGCAUCCUUAGCCCAUUUAGGUACCCUAGGCCCAUUUAGGCCCCCUAGGUCCAUUUAGGCCCCCUAGGUCCAUUUAGGCCCCCUAGGUCCAUUUAGGCAUCUUAGGGUCAUUUAGGCAUCCAUAGGCCCAUUUAGGCACCCUAGGUCCACUUAGCCACCUUAGGCCCAUUUAGGCACCCUACGCUCAUUUAGGCACCCUUGGCACAUUUAAGCACCGUAGGCCCACUUAGACACCCUAAGCCCACUUAGACACACUGCACCCAUUUAGGCACCCUAGGUCCACUAAGGCACCUUAGGCCCAUUUAGGCACCCUAGGUCCACUUAGACACCUUAGGCCCAUUUAGGCACCCUAGGCUCAUUUAGGCACCCUUGGCCCAUUUAGGUACCCUAGGCCCAUUUAGGCACACUUGGUCCACUUAGGCACCCUAGGUUCACUUAGGCACCCCAGGUCCAUUUAGGCACCCUUGGCCCAUUUAGGCACCCUACGCCCACUUAGGCACCCUAGGCCCAUAUAGGCACCCUAGGUCCAUUUAGGCACCCUAGGCCCAUUUAGACCCCUUAGGCCCAUUUAGGCACCCUAACCCCACUUAGGCACGCUUGGCCCAUUAGGCACCCUAGCCUCAUUUAGGCACCCUAGGUCCACUUAGGCACCCUAGGCCCAUUCAGGCACCCUUGGUCCACUUAGGCACCCUAGGCCCAUUUAGGCACCCUAAGUCCAAUUAGGCUCUCUAGACCCAUUUAGGCACCUUAGGCAUCCUUGACCCAGUUAUGCACCCUAGGUCCACUUAGACACCUUAGGCCCACCUAGGCACCCUAGGCCCAUUUAGGCACCCUAGGUCCAAUUAGGCACCCUACGCUCAUUUUGGCACCCUAGGCCUAUUUAGGAACCCUAUGUCCACUUAGACAACUUAGGCCCAUUUAGGCACCUUAGGUCCACUUAGGCACUCUAGACCCAUUUAGGCACCUUAGGUUUACUUAGGCACCCUAGACCCAUUUAGGUACCCUAGGUCCAUUUAGGCACCCUUUGCCCAUUUAGGUACCGUAGGCCCACUUAGGUACCCUAGGACUAUUUAGGCAUCCUAGGUCCAUUUAGGCACAUAAGGCUCAUUUAAGCACCCAUAGGCCCAUUUAGGCACCCUAGGUCCACUUAGACACCUUAGGGCUAUUUAGGCACCUUAGGCUCAUUUAGGCACCCUUGGCUCAUUUAGGCACCCUAGGCUCAUUUAGGCACCCUUGGUCCAUUUAGGCACAUAAGGCUCAUUUAAGCACCCAUAGGCCCAUUUAGGCACCCUAGGUCCACUUAGACACCUUAGGGCUAUUUAGGCACCUUAGGCUCAUUUAGGCACCCUUGGCUCAUUUAGGCACCCUAGGCUCAUUUAGGCACCCUUGGUCCAUUUAGGCACAUAAGGCUCAUUUAAGCACCCAUAGGCCCAUUUAGGCACCCUAGGUCCACUUAGACACCUUAGGGCUAUUUAGGCACCUUAGGCUCAUUUAGGCACCCUUGGCUCAUUUAGGCACCCUAGGCUCAUUUAGGCACCCUUGGCCCAUUUAGGCACCCUUGGCCCAUUUCGGCACCCUAGGCCCAUUUAGUAACCCUAAGCCCACUUAGACACCCUUGGCCCAUUUAGGCACCCUAGGUCCACUUAGGCAUUCUAGGCCCAUUUAGGCACCCUAGGUCCACUUAGACACGCUAGGCCCAUUUAAGCACCGUAAGCCCACUUAGGCACCUUUGUCCCAUUUAGGAACCCUAGGCUCAUUUAGGCACCCUAGGUCUACUUAGGCACCCUAAGCCCAUUUAAGCACUCUAGGUCAUAUUAGGCACUCUAGACCCAUUUAGGCACCCUAGGUCCACUUAGGCACCCUAGGCCCAUUUAUGCACCCUAGGUCCAUUUAGGCACCCUUGGCUCAUUUAGGCACCCUAGGCCCACUUAGGCACCCUUGGCCCAUUUAGGCACCCUAGGUCCAUUUAGCCACCCUAGGCUCAUUUAGGCACCCUAGGCCCAUUUAGGCACCCUAGGUCCAAUUAGACACCUUAUGCCCAUUUUGGCACCCUAGGUCCACUUAGGCAUUCUAGACCCAUUUAGGCACCCUAGGUCCACUUAGUCACCUUAGGCCCAUUUAGGCACCCUAGGUCCAUUUUGGCAUCCUUAGCCCAUUUAGGUACCCUAGGCCCAUUUAGGCCCCCUACGUCCAUUUAGGCACCUUAGGGUCAUUUAGGCAUCCAUAGGCCCAUUUAGGCUCUUUAGGUCGACUUAGCCACCUUAGGCCCAUUUAGGCACCCUACGCUCAUUUAGGCACCCUUGGCCCAUUUAGGCACCCUAGGCCCACUUAGACACCCUAAGCCCACACGCUGUGCCUAUUUAGGCACCCUAGGUCCACUUAGGCACCCUAGGCCCAUUUAGGCACCCCGGGUCCAUUAAGGCACCCUUGGCCUAUUUAGGUACCCUAUGCCCAUUUAGGCACCCUAGGUCCAUUUGGGCACCUUAGGGUCAUUUGGGCAUCCAUAGGCCCAUUUAGGCACCCUAGGUGCACUUAGACACCCUUGGCCCAUUUAGGCACCCUAGGCCCACUUAGACACCCCACGCCCACUUAGACACGCUACGCCCAUUUAGGCACCCUAGGUCCACUUAGGCACCAUAGGCCCACUUAGGCACCCCAGGUCCAUUUAGGCACCCUUGGCCCGUUUAGGCACCCUACGCCCACUUAGGCACCCUAGGCCCAUUAAAGCACCCAAGUCCAUUUAAGCACCCUAGGUCCAUUUAAGCACCCUNNNNNNNNNNNNNNNNNNNNNNNNNNNNNNNNNNNNNNNNNNNNNNNNNNNNNNNNNNNNNNNNNNNNNNNNNNNNNNNNNNNNNNNNNNNNNNNNNNNNUAGUCCAUUUGGCAUCCUUAGCCUUUAGGUACCUUAGGUCCAUUUAGGCCCCUUACGGCCAGUUAGGCACCAAGAGUCAUUUAGGCAUCCAUAGUCCCAUUAGGCUCUUUAGGUCGAUUUAGACACUUAGGCCCAUUUAGGCAACCNUACGGUCAUUUAGGCACCCUUGGCCCAUAUAGGCACCGUAGGCCCACUUAGACACCCUAAGCCACACGCUGUGCCUAAUUAGGCACCUUAGGUCCAAAUAGGCACCCUAGGCCCAUUUAGGCACCCCGGGUCCAUUAAGGCACCCUUGGCCUAUUUAGGUACCCUAUGCCCAUUUAGGCACCCUAGGUCCAUUUGGGCACCUUAGGGUCAUUUGGGCAUCCAUAGGCCCAUUUAGGCACCCUAGGUGCACUUAGACACCCUUGGCCCAUUUAGGCACCCUAGGCCCACUUAGACACCCCACGCCCACUUAGACACGCUACGCCCAUUUAGGCACCCUAGGUCCACUUAGGCACCAUAGGCCCACUUAGGCACCCCAGGUCCAUUUAGGCACCCUUGGCCCGUUUAGGCACCCUACGCCCACUUAGGCACCCUAGGCCCAUUUAGGCACCCAAGGUCCAUUUAGGCACCCUAGGCCCAUUUAGGCACCCUAGGUCCACUUAGACACCUUAGGCCCAUUUAGGUACCCUAAGCCCACUUAGGCACCCUAGGCCCAUUUAGGCACCCUAAGUCCAAUUAGGCUCUCUAGACCCAUUUAGGCACCUUAGGCAUCCUUGGCCCAGUUAUGCACCCUAGGUCCACUUAGACACCUUAGGCCCACUUAGGCACCCUAGGCCCAUUUAGGCACCCUAGGUCCAAUUAGGCACCCUACGCUCAUUUUGGCACCCUAGGCCUAUUUAGGAACCCUAUGUCCACUUAGACAACUUAGGCCCAUUUAGGCACCUUAGGUCCACUUAGGCACUCUAGACCCAUUUAGGCACCUUAGGUCUACUUAGGCACCCUAGACCCAUUUAGGUACCCUAGGUCCAUUUAGGCACCCUUUGCCCAUUUAGGUACCGUAGGCCCACUUAGGUACCCUAGGACUAUUUAGGCAUCCUAGGUCCAUUUAGGCACAUAAGGCUCAUUUAAGCACCCAUAGGCCCAUUUAGGCACCCUAGGUCCACUUAGACACCUUAGGGCUAUUUAGGCACCUUAGGCUCGUUUAGGCACCCUUGGCUCAUUUAGGCACCCUAGGCUCAUUUAGGCACCCUUGGCCCAUUUAGGCACCCUUGGCCCAUUUCGGCACCCUAGGUCCAUUUAGUAACCCUAAGCCCACUUAGACACCCUUGGCCCAUUUAGGCACCCUAGGUCCACUUAGGCAUUCUAGGCCCAUUUAGGCACCCUAGGUCCACUUAGACACGCUAGGCCCAUUUAAGCACCGUAAGCCCACUUAGGCACCCUUGUCCCGUUUAGGAACCCUAGGCUCAUUUAGGCACCCUAGGUCUACUUAGGCACCCUAAGCCCAUUUAAGCACUCUAGGUCAUAUUAGGCACUCUAGACCCAUUUAGGCACCCUAAGUCCACUUAGGCACCCUAGGCCCAUUUAUGCACCCUAGGUCCAUUUAGGCACCCUUGGCUCAUUUAGGCACCCUAGGCCCACUUAGGCACCCUUGGCCCAUUUAGGCACCCUAGGUCCAUUUAGCCACCCUAGGCUCAUUUAGGCACCCCAGGCCCAUUUAGGCACCCUAGGUCCAAUUAGACACCUUAUGCCCAUUUUGGCACCCUAGGUCCACUUAGGCAUUCUAGACCCAUUUAGGCACCCUAGGUCCACUUAGUCACCUUAGGCCCAUUUAGGCACCCUAGGUCCAUUUUGGCAUCCUUAGCCCAUUUAGGUACCCUAGGCCCAUUUAGGCCCCCUACGUCCAUUUAGGCACCUUAGGGUCAUUUAGGCAUCCAUAGGCCCAUUUAGGCUCUUUAGGUCGACUUAGCCACCUUAGGCCCAUUUAGGCACCCUACGCUCAUUUAGGCACCCUUGGCCCAUUUAGGCACCCUAGGCCCACUUAGACACCAUAAGCCCACACGCUGCGCCUAUUUAGGCACCCUAGGUCCACUUAGGCACCCUAGGCCCAUUUAGGCACCCCGGGUCCAUUAAGGCACCCUUGGCCUAUUUAGGUACCCUAUGCCCAUUUAGGCACCCUAGGUCCAUUUGGGCACCUUAGGGUCAUUUGGGCAUCCAUAGGCCCAUUUAGGCACCCUAGGUGCACUUAGACACCCUUGGCCCAUUUAGGCACCCUAGGCCCACUUAGACACCCCACGCCCACUUAGACACGCUACGCCCAUUUAGGCACCCUAGGUCCACUUAGGCACCAUAGGCCCACUUAGGCACCCUAGGUCCACUUAGGCACCCCAGGUCCAUUUAGGCACCCUUGGCCCGUUUAGGCACCCUACGCCCACUUAGGCACCCUAGGCCCAUUUAGGCACCCAAGGUCCAUUUAGGCACCCUAGGCCCAUUUAGGCACCCUAGGUCCACUUAGACACCUUAGGCCCAUUUAGGUACCCUAAGCCCACUUAGGCACCCUUGGCCCAUUUAGGCACUCUAGGCUCAUUUGGGCACCCUAGGUCCACUUAGGCACCCUAGGCCCAUUUAGGCACCCUUGGUACACUUAGGCACCCUAGGCCCAUUUAGUCACCCUAAGUCCAGUUAGGCACUCUAGACCCAUUUAGGCACCUUAGGCCCACUUAGGCAUUGUUGGCCCAUUUAGGCACCCUAGGUCCACUUAGACACCUUUGGCCCACUUAAGCACCCUAGGCCCUUUUAGGCGCCCUAGGUCCCUUUAGGAACCCUUGGCUCAUUUAGGCACCCUAGGCCCACUUAGGCACCCUAGGCCCAUUUAGGCACUCUAGGUCCAUUUAGGCACCUUAGGCUCAUUUAGGCACCUUAGGCCCAUUUAGGAACCCUAUGUCUACUUAGACACCUUUUGCCCAUUUAGGCACCCUAGGUCCACUUAGGCACUCUAGACCCAUUUAGGCACCCUAGGUCCACUUAGGCACCCUAGGCCCAUUUAGGCACCUUAGGUCCAUUUAGGCUCUCUAGGCCCAUUUCGGCACCAUAGGUCCACUAAGACACGCUAGGCACAUUUAAGCACCUAAGCACCCUAGGCACAUUUACGAACCUAAGGCUCAUUUAGGCACUCAUGGGCCCAUUUAGGCCCCCUAGGUCCACUUAGACACCUUAGGCUCAUUUAGGCACCCGAGGCUCAUUUAGGCACCCUUGGCCCAUUUAGGCACCUAGGCUCAUUUAGGCACCUUUGGCCCAUUUAGGCACCCUAGGCCCACUUAGACACCCUGAGCCCACUUAGACAUCCUUGGCCCAUUUAGGCACCCUAGGUCCAAUUAGGCUCUCUAGGCCCAUUUCGGCACCCUAGGUCCACUAAGACACGCUAGGAACAUUUAAGCACCCUAAGCCCACUUAGGCACCCUUGGCCCAUUUACGAACCCUAGGCUCAUUUAGGCACCAUAGGUCCACUUAGGUACCCUAGGCCCAUUUAGGCAUUCUAGGUCCAAUUAGGCACUUUAGACCCAUUUGGGCACCCUAGGUCCACUUAGGCACCCUAGGCCCAUUUAGGCACCCUAGGUCCACUCAGGCACCCUAGGCCGAUUUAGGCACCCUUGGUCCACUUAAGCACCCUAGGCCCAUUUUGGCACCCUAGGUCCAGUUAGCCACUCUAGACCCAUUUAGGCACCUUAGGUCCACUUAAGCAUCCUUGGCCCAUUUUGGCACCCUAGGUCCACUUAGGCACUCUAGUCCCAUUUAGGCACCCUAGGUCCACUUAGGCACCCUAGGCCCAUUUAGGCACCCUAGGUCCAUUUAGGCACCCUAGGUCCAUUUAGGCACCCUAGGUCCAUGUAGGCACCCUAGGCUCAUUUAGGCACCCUAGGCCAAUUUAGACACCCUAGGUCCACUUAGACAGCUUAGGCCCAUUUAGGCACCCUAGGUCCACUUAGGCACCCUUGGCCCAUUAAGGCACCCUAGGUCCAUUUAGGCACCCUUGGCCCAUUUAGGUACCCUAGGCCCAUUUAGGCACCUUAGGUCCAUUUAGGCAGCUUAGUGUCACAAGAUGCUUCAAAUGACCCUCCCCAUGGCUUAUAUAGGAGGUGAGAAGCUUCUAGAGACCCUUGGAGACAUCCACACUUAGCCACUAGUGGGAAGAGUGUGGAAGGUUCUAGAAAUGCCUAGAGAAGUCCACACAACUCUACACUAUGGUAGAAGGCAUGAGAAGGGUCCAAAGCUUUCUAGAGAAAUCUAGAAGUCUCUUGAAUAUUCUAGAAUAGUGUAGGACAUUCUAGAAGUCUCUUGAAUAUUCUAGAAUAGUGUAGGACAUUCUAGAAUAUUCAUGAAUUAUAAGGAACCCUCCAAGGUUCUAGAGAGUUCCAUUGAUGCCUAUAAAUAGGUGAGGGCCUCAUUUGGCCAAGGCACCAAGCAAGUGAGCAUCCAAGCACUUGUAAAGGCUUUCUUGAGAUAAUAAAGCUUCCAUUCUUUAAGGAGUUGCCUACUAAGCUCUUAAGCUUUCGAGUCGCGAGUGUCUUAACCGAGCAAGCUAAGCAUUGGGGAUCAAGGCUGACUUAGCNNNNNNNNNNNNNNNNNNNNNNNNNNNNNNNNNNNNNNNNNNNNNNNNNNNNNNNNNNNNNNNNNNNNNNNNNNNNNNNNNNNNNNNNNNNNNNNNNNNNGCACCUUAGGUCCAUUUUUGCAGCUUAGUGUCACAAGAUGCUUCAAAUGACCCUCCCCAUGGCUUAUAUAGGAGGUGAGAAGCUUCUAGAGACCCUUGGAGACAUCCACACUUAGCCACUAGUGGGAAGAGUGUGGAAGGUUCUAGAAAUGCCUAGAGAAGUCCACACAACUCUACACUAUGGUAGAAGGCAUGAGAAGGGUCCAAAGCUUUCUAGAGAAAUCUAGAAGUCUCUUGAAUAUUCUAGAAUAGUGUAGGACAUUCUAGAAGUCUCUUGAAUAUUCUAGAAUAGUGUAGGACAUUCUAGAAUAUUCAUGAAUUAUAAGGAACCCUCCAAGGUUCUAGAGAGUUCCAUUGAUGCCUAUAAAUAGGUGAGGGCCUCAUUUGGCCAAGGCACCAAGCAAGUGAGCAUCCAAGCACUUGUAAAGGCUUUCUUGAGAUAAUAAAGCUUCCAUUCUUUAAGGAGUUGCCUACUAAGCUCUUAAGCUUUCGAGUCGCGAGUGUCUUAACCGAGCAAGCUAAGCAUUGGGGAUCAAGGCUGACUUAGCAAGAUCAAGCGUCUUGACUUGCCUAAGUGCCGCACGAGCUUAGUGAACGACUAAGUCCGUGACAAGUGGCAUCAGAGCGUGGCUACGAAGCGGGCAUAAGGGAAGCAUGUCGGGCUCUAACGUGGAGGAGACUAGCGAACAAACCCGUGGGAGGGAGGCCGAGCCUACUGCAUGGGGCAGGGGCAGAGGUAAGAAGGAUACAUCUCGUGAUGUUGUUGCCAACAUGGAGGCAAGGUUAGGCAAGGUGGAGCUAGCCAUGGCAGACACCCGGGAAGGGGUGGACUUGAUCGAGCAAGGCAUGGAGAAGGGCUUAGAGGAUCUAAGGGAGCAGAUCCAAGACCUUCGCGAGGGGGUGCUGGUCUCGCAAGUUCAACCGGUGUCACACGAGGAGUUCAUGUCUUUCCAAGACAAAGUCAUGAGCAUGUUCGCUAGUGUGGAGUCAAGGAUGGAGGCCUUGACUACACGAGUGGAGGCCCGAGACCAAGAGAUUCGACAAGAGUUGGCCAUCUAUAAGACCGCUGUAUCAGCACGAGUCAUGGCCACUCAUGAGGCACCAAGGGUGGAGGUGCCCAAGCCACACACGUUCAGUGGCAAGAGGGAUGCCAGGGAGCUAGAUAACUUCUUGUGGCACAUGGAGCGUUACUUUGAGGCAAUUGCAUUAACGGAUGAAGCCACUAAGGUACGCACCGCGACCCUUUACCUCACUGAUAAUGCUACUCUAUGGUGGCGUCGACGAUUUGCCGACAUAGAGAGAGGGACGUGCACCAUAGACACAUGGGAUGCCUUUAAGAGAGAAAUCAAGAGGCAAUUCUAUCCCGAAGACGUGGCUUACCUAGCAAGGAAGAGUUUGAAGCGUCUCAAGCACACGGGCUCGAUCCGUGAGUAUGUCAAAGAAUUCUCUACUCUUAUGCUUGAGAUACCUAACAUGGCUGAGGAGGAGCUACUGUUCAACUUCAUGGACAACUUGCAAAGUUGGGCCGAGCAAGAGUUGAGGAGACGUGGUGUCCAAGACCUAGCCACGGCCAUGGCAGUAGCCGAGUCCUUAGUAGAUUAUAGAAGGGGAGACUCCUCCAAGCCCAAGCCACCAUCCAAGGGUAACCAGGCCAAAGGUGGGGGAGACAAGAGGUCGCAAGGCCAUACCUCUAAGGAAGGAUCAAGCAAAGGCCCUAGUGGCAAGGAUGGCAAAGGCAAGGACAAGCGAAAGGAGUUCACGCCCAGGACCAAUUGCUUCCUGUGCGAUGGUCCGCACUGGGCACGGGACUGCCCUAAGAGGAAGGCCUUAAAUGCUAUGAUCGAGGAAAAGGAGCAAGAAGGCGAUGCUAAGAUGGGAUCGUUGCAGCUCUUAAAUGCCCUUAAGGCCAAGCCGAUGCCUAAGACGCCUCAAAGCAAAGGGCUGAUGUAUGUGGAGGCCCUUGUGAAUGAGAAGGCCACCAAGGCCCUGGUGGACACAGGUGCCACUCACAACUUUGUCUCGGAGGAUGAGGCAAGAAGGUUGGAGCUCCAAGCAUCCAAGGAAGGAGGAUGGCUCAAGGCAGUCAAUUCAGCCGCCAAGCCAUCACAUGGAGUAGCUCGCGGGGUGACUAUGCACAUUGGCUCGUGGGAAGGAAGGGUCGACUUCACAGUGGCACCCAUGGAUGACUUCAAGAUGGUGCUAGGAAUGGACUUCCUACAGAAGGUCAAGGCCGUGCCACUACCUUUCCUAUGCUCAAUGGCUAUCCUAGAGGAGGAGAAGUCGUGCAUGGUCCCUACGGUCAAUGAAGGUACGCUCAAGACCCCUAUGUUAUCCGCUAUGCAAGUAAAGAAGGGGUUAAAGAGGGAAGAGGUGACCUACCUCGCCACCCUAAAGGAAGAAAAGGAUGAUGGGUCGGGAGAACCCAUGCCUAGAGAAAUCGAGGGGGUCCUUGAUGAGUUCAAGGACGUUAUGCCGCCCGAGUUGCCCAAAAGACUUUCUCCUAGGAGAGAGGAAGAUCACAAGAUUGAGCUGGAGCCGGGAGCCAAGCCCCCUGCUAUGGGGCCAUAUAGGAUGGCACCACCCGAGUUGGAGGAGCUAAGGAGACAACUCAAGGAGUUGCUAGAUGCGGGGUUCAUCCAACCAUCCAAGGCUCCUUAUGGCGCGCCGGUUCUAUUUCAGAAAAAGCAUGAUGGGUCCCUACGAAUGUGCAUAGAUUACCGGGCACUCAACAAGGUGACGGUGAAGAACAAGUAUCCCAUCCCGCUCAUUGCUGACUUGUUCGAUCAACCUGGUAGGGCAAGGUACUUCACGAAGCUAGACUUAAGGUUAGGCUACUACCAAGUGAGGAUUGCUGAGGGAGAUGAGCCGAAGACUACAUGUGUGACCAGGUAUGGCUCAUAUGAGUUCUUAGUAAUGCCUUUCGGAAUCACCAAUGCCCCAGCAACGUUUUGCACCCUCAUGAACAAGAUCUUCCACCCAUACUUGGACAAGUUUGUGGUGGUGUACUUGGAUGACAUAGUCAUCUAUAGUAACACUCUAAAGGAGCACGUAGAGCACUUGAGGAAGGUCUUUAAGAUCUUGAGGCAGAACGAGCUAUACGUGAAGAAGGAGAAGUGUUCGUUUGCUAAGGAGGAAGUGAGCUUCCUUGGGUAUCGCAUCAGAGAUGGCAAGCUGAUGAUGGAUGAUAGCAAGGUGAAGGCCAUCCAAGAAUGGGAUUCACCAACCAAGGUACCUCAACUCAGAUCUUUCCUUGGUUUAGUUAAUUACUAUCGGCGGUUCAUAAAGGGUUAUUCGGCAAGGGCUGCUCCACUCACUGAUCUUCUGAAGAAGAAUAAGGCAUGGGAAUGGGAUGAAAGGUGCCAACAAGCCUUUGAGGACCUGAAGAAGGUUGUGACUGAGGAGCCAGUGUUGGCACUACCCGACCACACCAAGGUCUUGGAGGUACACACAGAUGCCUCAGACUUCGCUAUUGGGGGAGUCCUUAUGCAAGAAAGACACCCAAUUGCAUUUGAGAGUCGCAAGCUAAACGACGCGGAGAGGCGUUACACGGUGCAAGAAAAGGAGAUGACCGCUAUCGUUCACUGCUUGCGCACCUGGAGGCACUAUUUGCUAGGGUCUCACUUCAUAGUGAAGACCGACAAUGUGGCCACUAGCUACUUCCAGACACAGAAGAAGCUGAGUCCUAAACAAGCUAGGUGGCAAGACUUCCUGGCCGAGUUCGACUAUACGCUGGAGUAUAAGCCAGGAAGUGCUAAUCAUGUGGCUGACGCCGUAAGUCCCAAAGCUGAGCUAGCGUCCAUAACGAGUCAGCCCCAAGGAGACAUAAUGGAUCUUCUAAGGGAGGGACUGUAACAUAAUCCAGUGGCUAAGAGCCUCAUCGCCCUGGCUCAUGAAGGGAAGACCAAGCGGUUUUGGGUGGAGGACGGCUUACUCUACACCAAAGGGAGACGACUCUACGUGCCUAAGUGGGGGAACAUAAGGCGGAACCUGAUUAAGGAGUGCCAUGACACCAAGUGGGCAGGGCACCCUGGGCAACGACGCACUAGGGCACUACUCGAGUCGGCUUACUAUUGGCCUCAGAUACGGGACGAGGUUGAGGCCUAUGUGAGGACUUGUCUUGUGUGCCAACAAGACAAGGUGGAACAACGACAACCUAGAGACAUGUUAGAGCCACUACCUGUAGCAGAACGCCCAUGGGACAGCGUCACCAUGGACUUCAUCAUCGGGCUACCUAAGUUAGAGGACAACGACUCUAUCAUAGUGGUGGUGGAUAGGUUCUCUAAGUAUGCAACCUUCAUAGCAGCCCCGACUGACUGCACUGCGGAAGAGACGGCGAGGCUAUUCCUAAAGCACGUAGUCAAGUAUUGGGGGUUGCCUAAGUUCAUCAUCAGUGAUCGCGACCCGCGCUUCACUGGGAAGUUUUGGACGAAGCUCUUCAAGCUUAUGGGUUCGGAGCUUCACUUCUCCACCAGCUUUCACCCACAGACAGAUGGGCAGACUGAGAGGGUGAACGCCUUGCUGGAGCUAUACUUGAGGCACUUUGUGAGUGCCAACCAGAGGGAUUGGGCUAAGUUGCUAGAUAUAGCCCAGUUCUCAUACAACUUGCAAAGGAGUGAGGCGACCAACAAGAGCCCGUUCGAGCUAGCCACAAGGCAGCAACCCUUAACUCCUCACACGCUAACGAUAGGCUACACAGGGAGAAGUCCAGCGGCUUUCAAGUUCGCGAAGGGGUGGCAUGAGUAAGCUGACAUAGCACGCUCGUACUUGGACAAGGCCGCUAAGAAAAUGAAGAAGUGGGCUGACAAGAAGCGACGUCACACGGAGUACAAGGUUGGAGACAUGGUGCUUGUCAAGCUCCUUCCUCAACAAUUCAAAUCCCUAAGGCCAGUGCAUAAGGGCCUUGUGAGGAGGUAUGAAGGACCCUUCCCUAUACUUGGAAAGGUCGGCAAGGUGUCCUACAAAGUGGAGUUACCGCCAAGGUUAAAGAUUCACCUUGUCUUCCACAUGAGUUACUUGAAGCCAUAUCACGAAGACAAGGAUGAUCCAAGCCGAGGGCUUUCUAAGAGGGCACCUACAGCGGUUGUGACCUCCUAUGACAAGGAGGUGGAACACAUCAUUGCAGACCGAAUCAUCAGAAGGCGUGGUGUGCCUCCUGCUACGGAGUACUUAGUGAAAUGGAAGGGACUACCAGAAAGCGAGGCUAGUUGGGAGCCAGCAAAUGCACUAUGGCAGUUCCAGGAACAGAUUGAGCGGUUCCGGGCAGAAGACACGACGAGGACGUCUGCGGCUUAGGUGGGGGAGAGUGUCACAAGAUGCUUCAAAUGACCCUCCCCAUGGCUUAUAUAGGAGGUGAGAAGCUUCUAGAGACCCUUGGAGACAUCCACACUUAGCCACUAGUGGGAAGAGUGUGGAAGGUUCUAGAAAUGCCUAGAGAAGUCCACACAACUCUACACUAUGGUAGAAGGCAUGAGAAGGGUCCAAAGCUUUCUAGAGAAAUCUAGAAGUCUCUUGAAUAUUCUAGAAUAGUGUAGGACAUUCUAGAAGUCUCUUGAAUAUUCUAGAAUCGUGUAGGAGAUUCUAGAGAGUUCCAUUGGUGCCUAUAAAUAGGUGAGGGCCUCAUUUGGCCAAGGCACCAAACAAAGUGAGCAUCCAAGCACUUGUAAAGGCUUCUUUGAGUAAUAAGAGCUUCCAUUAUUUAAAAGUUGCCUACUACACUUCUCAGCUUCCGAGUCGUGAGCAUCUUAGCCUAGCAAGCUAAGUGUCGGGGGUAAGGCUGACUUAGCAAGANNNNNNNNNNNNNNNNNNNNNNNNNNNNNNNNNNNNNNNNNNNNNNNNNNNNNNNNNNNNNNNNNNNNNNNNNNNNNNNNNNNNNNNNNNNNNNNNNNNNNNNNNNNNNNNNNNNNNNNNNNNNNNNNNNNNNNNNNNNNNNNNNNNNNNNNNNNNNNNNNNNNNNNNNNNNNNNNNNNNNNNNNNNNNNNNNNNNNNNNNNNNNNNNNNNNNNNNNNNNNNNNNNNNNNNNNNNNNNNNNNNNNNNNNNNNNNNNNNNNNNNNNNNNNNNNNNNNNNNNNNNNNNNNNNNNNNNNNNNNNNNNNNNNNNNNNNNNNNNNNNNNNNNNNNNNNNNNNNNNNNNNNNNNNNNNNNNNNNNNNNNNNNNNNNNNNNNNNNNNNNNNNNNNNNNNNNNNNNNNNNNNNNNNNNNNNNNNNNNNNNNNNNNNNNNNNNNNNNNNNNNNNNNNNNNNNNNNNNNNNNNNNNNNNNNNNNNNNNNNNNNNNNNNNNNNNNNNNNNNNNNNNNNNNNNNNNNNNNNNNNNNNNNNNNNNNNNNNNNNNNNNNNNNNNNNNNNNNNNNNNNNNNNNNNNNNNNNNNNNNNNNNNNNNNNNNNNNNNNNNNNNNNNNNNNNNNNNNNNNNNNNNNNNNNNNNNNNNNNNNNNNNNNNNNNNNNNNNNNNNNNNNNNNNNNNNNNNNNNNNNNNNNNNNNNNNNNNNNNNNNNNNNNNNNNNNNNNNNNNNNNNNNNNNNNNNNNNNNNNNNNNNNNNNNNNNNNNNNNNNNNNNNNNNNNNNNNNNNNNNNNNNNNNNNNNNNNNNNNNNNNNNNNNNNNNNNNNNNNNNNNNNNNNNNNNNNNNNNNNNNNNNNNNNNNNNNNNNNNNNNNNNNNNNNNNNNNNNNNNNNNNNNNNNNNNNNNNNNNNNNNNNNNNNNNNNNNNNNNNNNNNNNNNNNNNNNNNNNNNNNNNNNNNNNNNNNNNNNNNNNNNNNNNNNNNNNNNNNNNNNNNNNNNNNNNNNNNNNNNNNNNNNNNNNNNNNNNNNNCAUUUAGGAACCCUAGGCUUAUUUAGGCACCCUAGGUCUACUUAGGCACCCUAAGCCCAUUUAGGCACUCUAGGUCAUAUUAGGCACUCUAGACCCAUUUAGGCACCCUAGGUCCACUUAGGCACCCUAGGCCCAUUUAUGCACCCUAGGUCCAUUUAGGCACCCUUGGCCCAUUUAGGCACCCUAGGCCCACUUAGGCACCCUUGGCCCAUUUAGGCACCCUAGGUCCAUUUAGCCACCCUAGGCUCAUUUAGGCACCCCAGGCCCAUUUAGGCACCCUAGGUCCAAUUAGACACCUUAUGCCCAUUUUGGCACCCUAGGUCCACUUAGGCAUUCUAGACCCAUUUAGGCACCCUAGGUCCACUUAGUCACCUUAGGCCCAUUUAGGCACCCUAGGUCCAUUUUGGCAUCCUUAGCCCAUUUAGGUACCCUAGGCCCCCUAGGUCCAUUUAGGCACCUUAGGGUCAUUUAGGCAUCCAUAGGCCCAUUUAGGCUCCCUAGGUCUACUUAGCCACCUUAGGCCCAUUUAGGCACCCUAAGCCCAUUUAGGCACUCUAGGUCAUAUUAGGCACUCUAGACCCAUUUAGGCACCCUAGGUCCACUUAGGCACCCUAGGCCCAUUUAUGCACCCUAGGUCCAUUUAGGUACCCUUGGCCCAUUUAGGCACCCUAGGCCCACUUAGGCACCCUAGGCCCAUUUAGGCACCUAAGGUCCAAUUUGGCACCCUAGGUCCACUUAGGCACCCUAGGCCCAUUUAGGCACCGUAGGUCCAUUUAGGCACCCUUAGCCCAUUUAGGCACCCUAGGCCCAUUUAGGCACCCUAGGCCCAAUUAGGCACCCUAGGUCCAUUUAGGCACCCUAGGUCCACUUAGACACCUUGGCCCAUUUAGGCACCCUAGGUCCACUUAGGCACUCUAGGCCCAUUUAGGCACCCUAGGUCCACUUAGACACGCUAGGCCCAUUUAAGCACCCUAAGCCCACUUAGGCACCCUUGUCCCAUUUAGGAACCCUAGGCUUAUUUAGGCACCCUAGGUCUACUUAGGCACCCUAAGCCCAUUUAGGCACUCUAGGUCAUAUUAGGCACUCUAGACCCAUUUAGGCACCCUAGGUCCACUUAGGCACCCUAGGCCCAUUUAUGCACCCUAGGUCCAUUUAGGCACCCUUGGCCCAUUUAGGCACCCUAGGCCCACUUAGGCACCCUUGGCCCAUUUAGGCACCCUAGGUCCAUUUAGCCACCCUAGGCUCAUUUAGGCACCCCAGGCCCAUUUAGGCACCCUAGGUCCAAUUAGACACCUUAUGCCCAUUUUGGCACCCUAGGUCCACUUAGCAUUCUAGACCCAUUUAGCACCCUAGGUCCACUUAGUCACCUUAGCCCAUUUAGCACCCUAUGUCCAUUUUGGCAUCCUUAGCCCAUUUAGUACCCUAAGGCCCCCUAGUCCAUUUAGCACCUUUAGGGUCAUUUAAGGCAUCCAUAGGCCAUUUAAGCUCCCUAGGUCUANNNNNNNNNNNNNNNNNNNNNNNNNNNNNNNNNNNNNNNNNNNNNNNNNNNNNNNNNNNNNNNNNNNNNNNNNNNNNNNNNNNNNNNNNNNNNNNNNNNNCAGAAAGCGAGGCUAGUUGGGAGCCAGCAAAUGCACUAUGGCAGUUCCAGGAACAGAUUGAGCGGUUCCGGGCAGAAGACACGACGAGGACGUCUGCGGCUUAGGUGGGGGAGAGUGUCACAAGAUGCUUCAAAUGACCCUCCCCAUGGCUUAUAUAGGAGGUGAGAAGCUUCUAGAGACCCUUGGAGACAUCCACACUUAGCCACUAGUGGGAAGAGUGUGGAAGGUUCUAGAAAUGCCUAGAGAAGUCCACACAACUCUACACUAUGGUAGAAGGCAUGAGAAGGGUCCAAAGCUUUCUAGAGAAAUCUAGAAGUCUCUUGAAUAUUCUAGAAUAGUGUAGGACAUUCUAGAAGUCUCUUGAAUAUUCUAGAAUAGUGUAGGACAUUCUAGAAUAUUCAUGAAUUAUAAGGAACCCUCCAAGGUUCUAGAGAGUUCCAUUGGUGCCUAUAAAUAGGUGAGGGCCUCAUUUGGCCAAGGCACCAAGCAAGUGAGCAUCCAAGCACUUGUAAAGGCUUUCUUGAGAUAAUAAAGCUUCCAUUCUUUAAGGAGUUGCCUACUAAGCUCUUAAGCUUUCGAGUCGCGAGUGUCUUAGCCGAGCAAGCUAAGCACUGGGGAUCAAGGCUGACUUAGCAAGAUCAAGCGUCUUGACUUGCCUAAGUGCCGCACGAGCUUAGUGAACGACUAAGUCCGUGACAUUAGGCUCAUUUAGGCACCCAUAAGCCCAUUUUGGCACCCUAGGUCCACUUAGACACCUUAGGCCCAUUUAGGUACCCUAGGCUCAUUUAGGCACCCUUGGUCCAUUUAGGCACCCUAGGCCUACUUAGACACCCUAAGCCCACUUAGACACGCUACGCCCAUUUAGGCACCCUAGGUCCACUUAGGCACCUUAGGCCCACUUAGGCACCCUUGGCCCAUUUAGGCACCCUAGGUCCACUUAGGCACUCUAGGCCUAUUUAGGCACCCUAGGUCCACUUAGGCACCCUAGGCCCAUUUAGGCACCCUAGGUCCACUUAGACACCUUAGGCCCAUUUAGGCACCCUAAUGUCACAAAAUGCUUCAAAUGACCCUCCCCAUGGCUUAUAUAGGAGGUAAGAAGCUUCUAGAGACCCUUGGAGACAUGCACACUUAGCCACUAGUGGGAAGAGUGUGGAAGGUUCUAGAAAUGCCUAGAGAAGUCCACACAACUCUACACUAUGGUAGAAGGCAUGAGAAGGGUCCAAAGUUUUCUAGAGAAAUCUAGAAGUUUCUUGUAUAUAGGCUUGUACAUAGAAUAGUGUACGACAUUCUAGAAUAUUCAUGAAUUGUAAGGAACCCUCCAAGGUUCUAGAAAGUUCCAUUUGUGCCUAUAAAUAGGUGAGGGCCUCAUUUGGCCAAGGCACCAAACAAGUGAGCAUCCAAGCACUUGUAAAGGCUUUCUUGAGUUAAUAAGAGCUUCCAUUCUUUAAGGAGUUGCCUACUAAGCUCUUAAGCUUUCGAGUCGCGAGUGUCUUAGCCGAGCAAGCUAAGCGUUGGGGAUCAAGGCUGACUUAGCAAGAUCAAGCGUCUUGACUUGCCUAAGUGCCGCACAAGCUUAGUGAACGACUAAUUCCGUGACACUAAGCCCACUUAGGCACCCUUUGCCCAUUUAGGCACCCUAGGCUCAUUUAGGCACCCUAGGUCCACUUAGGCACCCUAGGCCCAUUUAGGCACCCUAGGUCCACUUAGGCACCCUAGGCCCAUUUAGGCACCGUAGGUCCAUUUAGGCACCCUUAGCCCAUUUAGGCACCCUAGGCCCAUUUAGGCACCCUAGGCCCAAUUAGGCACCCUAGGUCCAUUUAGGCACCCUAGGUCCACUUAGACACCUUGGCCCAUUUAGGCACCCUAGGUCCACUUAGGCACUCUAGGCCCAUUUAGGCACCCUAGGUCCACUUAGACACGCUAGGCCCAUUUAAGCACCCUAAGCCCACUUAGGCACCCUUGUCCCAUUUAGGAACCCUAGGCUUAUUUAGGCACCCUAGGUCUACUUAGGCACCCUAAGCCCAUUUAGGCACUCUAGGUCAUAUUAGGCACUCUAGACCCAUUUAGGCACCCUAGGUCCACUUAGGCACCCUAGGCCCAUUUAUGCACCCUAGGUCCAUUUAGGCACCCUUGGCCCAUUUAGGCACCCUAGGCCCACUUAGGCACCCUUGGCCCAUUUAGGCACCCUAGGUCCAUUUAGCCACCCUAGGCUCAUUUAGGCACCCCAGGCCCAUUUAGGCACCCCAGGUCCAAUUAGACACGUUGCGCCCAUUUAGGCACCCUAGGUCCACUUAGGCACCAUAGGCCCACUUAGGCACCCUAGGUCCACUUAGGCACCCCAGGUCCAUUUAGGCACCCUUGGCCAAUUUAGGCACCCUACGCCCACUUAGGCACCCUAGGCCCAUUUAGGCACCCAAGGUCCAUUUAGGCACCCUAGGCCCAUUUAGGGACCCUAGGCCCACUUAGACACCUUAGGCCCAUUUAGGUACCCUAAGCCCACUUAGGCACCUGUGGACACCGCAUUUCGUGCUUGAUGCGUUUCCCACUCGAUGGCGAGCUCGAUUUUUAUUUUGAAAAAUUAAUUUUAUUUAUUGUUUGUUUAAAAAAAUGACUUGGAGUCGCCACUUAUUUUUGUUUUAUUUUUAAAGGGUAAACAAAAUAAGAAAGAAAAACCCUAAGUGUGACUCCUUAUUUUGGAAAAGGCGGUCUGUGAAAAACCGGAUCGGGUUCGGGGGUCAGGUUACUUAUCGGGAAGGUACGGUAAAGACCGUAGCACCCCUCUAAGUCCCUAAAAUCGUGUCUCUACUAAUAGAAUAAAGCUGACGUGGCAAUCAAUGAGGAAAUCAGCGGAUACUCAAAUCAAACUUGCACAUAUGAAAAUAAGAGUAUGCAUAGAGAAUAAUCAAAAUGAGAAUGAGUGCGUACCUGGACCUCCAGUGACAAAUGCGCUAUCAUGAAACAGGAUUAGUGAGCAAUGAACAAGAUAUAAUUAAGCGCAUAUCAAGAAAUAGAGUAAACCAAUCAUGCAUGGCAAAUAAAUCAAUCGAUCUGUCAAUCAAUCAUGAAGUCAAGUAUGUGGGGCCCCCACCAAAGCCCGUUUAUUUUGCAUGAAUUAAUUCCAUAAAUUCCAUUAGUCGGAAUUAUGGAAUUUAAUUCUUGCUUAUUUUUAAAACAUUUUAAAAGAUUAUGAAAGAUUUGAAAAUUGCUUACCGAAUAGAAAGUGGAAGCAAAUUUGAUUAAAAGUGAGACUCUUAGGUGAUCCUAAAAAUUCUAAGGAUGAAAGAGUGUGGAAUUGAAAUUAUUGUUUUAUUGAAAAAUGAGGAACUGGGAAAUUAUUAAAAAAAGUGAGAUUUGAAAAAUUGUUGUCAAAGUCAAAGAGGAUAAAAGGGAAGAUGUCACGUGACCAAAGGUGGCCAUGCAACUGAAUGCUCAUAUGCGCGGACCCAAGGAGGUCACUGGGGCUACUUUGUCGGCGCACCAUCCUCUCUUAUAACUGCAAAUAGGCUCGGUAUGAAAGAAACUUGAGACAGGUCUGGUGACUCAGAAUAUGGAUCAGAACCCACAGAACCUUUGAUCACGAUCACCUAGGAUGUAACACGUCCCUCUCUCAAAGCAAAUCUUUGUCCAGCUUCAAGAGGAACAGCAGAUAUCAACUCGAAAAACUACUGUAACAUCAUUCCCGGGCAUAACCAUCUUAACUUCUUCAAGCAAUUGAACCUUCCUAGUGGCAUCUGCAGUCCUCAGGUGGCUUUGAUUUAUCAGAAGAAUUGAAAGCCGAAGAUUUAGGCAUUGGAGGGGUCACAUGCAUUAGUUGCCUAGAUUGCUUAAAUGCCAAUUCCUCAAGCCGAUGUGUGUUAACAGGCAGCUGUGGUGUAGUGCAAGCCCAUGAUGGAGCCCGUGCCAAUGCUUCAGCCAUAUUAAGACCAACUGUAAUACUUGGAAGCCCAGGUGCUGUGGCAGAACGAUAUUUUGUUGAGCAGAUGAGGAUCCAAUGAGCAAAUUCUGAACAGCCAUGUUCAACCCAGGUGACGAAACCCUCCCAAGAUCCAAUUCGGUUCCAAGUGAAGAGAAAUCCUUAUCAAACACAGUCUUGUGGAUGGUUUCUCACAAAGCAAUCUCAUGGUUUACACUUUCUGCUUAUUUAUGAAGUUUGCUAAUCCUUUCCUUUCUUAUCCUCGGGACGACCUUCUUCCGAUCGAGCCUUCCUAUCCUCGGUGUGGCAUUUAUACGACAUAACCCAACUCACCUAUCAACCCAUAUCUGAAUUUGGCUGCGUCUUAGCAAGAUGCUUCACGGCGUCUUUCUCCAGCUGCAGCCACAACGUGUCAGCUGCCUCCACCCAAAACCUGAUAUGCUGAGAAGUUUCCGUCUAUUAUUGGAUUCGGUAUCUGAUUCCUCAGUCGCUUUCAUUCUCUCAAUCCCUUCCAUGCAUGCAUGAGGGUUGGUGUUAUGUGGUGUAAGGAGAGAAACGGGUAUGGGAUGUGAUCAAAUGGGUGUAUGUGUGAGGGUAUGAAAUAUAGGUGUGGAGACGGGUAUUAUAGGCAAAAGAAGUGGCCAUGCACAUGAGAUGAGUGUGAAGCACGGCCACGGGUAGUGAGAGAAAAUGGGUGGUUAUGUGUUAAGUAUGAGUGGUGAUGAAAUGUGUAUGAAGGUUUAAACAAUGGGUUUGGAGGAUGGAGAUAGGAGUGAGUGGAGUGGGUGGUUGGACGAGUAGUAAGGCUUAGAGAGAUGGUAGUGGGUUUGGAAUAGGUGCAGGGGAAGAUAAUGAAUGAAGAUGAAUGAAGAGAGCGUGAGAUAGAAGAUGGAUGUGAUGGACAAGAAGGUGGCCACGUGCCUGGAGCUUCAUGUAUAUGGGUAUGAAAGAGUUUGAAGAGAGAGAAAAGGUGGUAAUAUGGAAUGGGUUUGGUGGGUGCAAGCAUGAGGCAUGAAGAUGAGGGUUAGUAUGGAAGUGUGGGUAUGAUGAGCGAAAGAGAGAGAUGAGAUGAGUGCAUGGUGGUGUAGAAAGAAAGGUGAUCAUACAAAUGGGCAUAGGUAUGGAGGUAUAAUGGGUAUAGGGUCAUGGGUAUGCUAAAUGGGCAAAAAGGGUAUAAGCCCGAAAUUAAUGGAGUAGGUAGUGGGAGAUAAUAGGAAAUGGGUGUUCAUGGGGAUCCUCUGCGUACAUGGUGGGAAAGGAAACAGUGAAGAGUACCCACAGCCAACUGAACUUUCAUUAUUCCUCUCAUUUUAACAUAAGCUUGACCACAAUAUUUCUGAACUCUCUCUUAGGACUCAUACUUCCGAUGGCUAUUUUGUGGUCUACAAUGCCAAUGGUGAUAUUUUCCGUCUUUCAAAGCCGAAAAGAGGUAAGUGACCCUCAUCAAUCGAACAACUCACUUUCUUAUAUAUUCAGGCAACAACUAGAGCAACUCCAGAUCUAUGAAUAGUAUGGGCCCAAGAAUCUGCUUAACAGAAUGCUCCAAAUCUUCAACAAGUGUAAAUCAGUUGGAUACGAUUGCACAUUGUGUUGUAGCGUGAACAACAGAGAUGGCAAAAGGACUUCAUUGUCAUGACCGAAAAAGCGUCAACUUCUUUCUCAUUGACUGGCAUAAUAUCCUCAGUAACAAACUGAUCCAGAUCAAAUAUAAAUGCAGUAUUCCCACAAGAUACAACCGGAACAGGACCUUGCUUCUUUUCCAUCUAAGAUCUUUGCGCAACCCAGAUCAUCUGGAGGAGUUUUGUUCAUCCUCAACACUCACGAGCUAUGAUCUGUGCUAUCACCACCUGGCUCUCUCAAAUAGGGAUGUACAACCUGAUGUAUAACAAGGUAGGAUGCCGAAAACAGGGGAAUGGCAAAACCAAAUAGAAAACAAACCAGUGAAACAAAUAAAACAACCAAAGCCAUGUUUCAUGUUUAGAUCAACAGGUUUGGCUGUAGGUGAGUGAACUAGAAUGCACCUAAAGAGAUAAGAACAAGACAAAACUCCUAUAUGUGGCAUAGCGAAAACUAAAACAGAGCUGAGCCAUUCUCAAAUCAUCAUAAGGAAAAUAGGCAAGAUAGCCGCCAAGGAAAUCCGAGAACCAAGCAGGAACCAUAAGAUAGAACGUAUACCCAAACAAAUCACAGACAAUAUCAAGCAAAAGGAAUGAAACUACAUACUGAUAAAGAAUAUGAAGGAUCCAUGGCAGUCAUACCUCGCUUUUCUUCCCCCUCAAGCUCUCUGUUCUCUCUGGAUAUCUUAGCCAAAACUCCUCCUAGUUUUCCCUCUGAGCUCUCCUCAAGCUCCCAGAAAAACUCUCCCUCAGGCUCCUCCGGAAUCUCUCCUUUUUCUCUCCUCCUCUCUCAAUAUCCAGCUUGCUCCUUGCAAAAUCAGCACCCUCUCUCCAAAAACAUGCUCUGUUUUUCUUAGCUUCUCCCUGGUCCCUGCAUCCCCUAAAAAUCUCCUUUUCUCCUUUUUCUUUUCUCUCGGAUUUGCCCUUCUAACCAUAUCUGCAGAGACAGCCCCCUUCAUGCAGCUGGCAACCUUCCCAUAACAGAAAAAUACGCUCCCCUGAUUCCAGAAGAUUCUUUCCCUUUACAGGUGUCUUCCCCGGAUUAGUCCAUCAAUUCCACUAUUUUGAUCCCAUAUUGACUAAUUCGGGAGUGACACGUGGCCAGAAUGAGCUGCAUGAAAUAGCACCCAAAUAGGGGUCUACAAAUAUGUCCCUCUUUGGUAGAGUUCACGAGUGUAAAGAAUAUGAACACUGGAGUGAAAAGCAAGUGUGAAUAGUGAGUGCAAUGAAGUGAACUCUACUGAAGAACAAAGGAGACCCCCAAAAGGACACCAGUGGAACCCAAACUCACUCAGGCCAACAGAAUGAACAAUGAGGCUCUAAUCCUAAGAGAGAAAAAUGUCACAAAAUGCCUCUGAAGCCACACUAAGGAUCCAAGCUCCCUCUAAGACAUCUCCAAAAGUGACUCGAAGAUCAAUGUCAAAGAUGAGUAACGGUCGAACCACCCUGGAGUACAAUAAAGAAUGUGCCCGAAGGAGACUGCCCUAUGUGAACUAUACGAGAAUGCCAAGUGUAGGGUGCCCAACAACAUGAUCGAAAUAUGCGUCACGGAUCUCAAAAGACUGUGUCAUGUGUAGUGGAAAGGGAAGUCUAAAAGAGCAAUGAUGAAUAGGCGAUAAGCAUCAAGUAACCAGGUGAGGAGAAUGGCUCUGAACGCCUAAAAUGGAAAUGUGAUCCUGAAUGUCAUACUGAAGCAAAGACCUGGACGCCAAACUGACUUGAUAGGAAGAAUGAAUGACCGAUCUAUAUGGGUGCGGUCCCGACUCAAACUAAACACAAUCUGAUAGGGAAAUGACCGAUCGAUAUGGGUGCGGCCCCGACUCAAACUGAACUGAUAAGAAGAUGGCCGAUUUAUAUAGGUGCGGCCCUAGAAACUAAACUGACAUGACAAGGAGAUGGUCGAUCGAUAUAGGUGCGGCCCCGACUCAAACUGACACGAUAAUGACCGAUCGUAUAGGUGCGGUCCCAGAAACUGAACUGACAUGACAAGCAGAUGACCGAUCGAUAUAGGUGCAGUCCCAGAAACUGAACUGACAUGACAAAGAGAUGACCGAUCGAUAUAGGUGCGGUCCCGACUCAAACUGACACGAUAAUGACCGAUCGUAUAGGUGCGGUCCUGGAAACUGAACUAACAUGACAAAGAGAUGGUCGAUCGUAUAGGUGCGGCCUCGACUCAAACUGACACGAUAAUGACCGAUCGUAUAGGUGCGGUCCCAGAAACUGAACUGCCAUGACAAAGAGAUGGUCGAUCGUAUAGGUGCGGCCUCGACUCAAACUGACACGAUGAUGACCGAUCGUAUAGGUGCGGUCCCAAAAACUGAAUUGACAUGACAAAGAGAUGGUCGAUCGUAUAGGUGUGGCCUCGACUCAAACUGGCACGAUAAUGACCGAUCGUAUAGGUGCGGUCCCAGAAACUGAACUAACAUGACAAAGAGAUGGUCGAUCGUAUAGGUGCGGCCCCGACUCAAACUGACACGAUGAUGACCGAUCGUAUAGGUGCGGCCUCGACUCAAACUGACACGAUGAUGACCGAUCGUAUAGGUGCGGUCCUAGAAACUGAACUAUCAUGACAAAGAGAUGGUCGAUCAUAUAGGUGCGGCCCCGACUCAAACUGACACGAUGAUGACCGAUCGUAUAGGUGCGGUCCCAGAAACUGAACUGACAUGACAAAGAGAUGGCUGAUCGUAUAGGUGCGGCCUCGACUCAAACUGGCACGAUAAUGACCGAUCGUAUAGGUGUGGUCCCAGAAACUGAACUGACAUGACAAAGAGAUGGCCGAUCGUAUAGGUGCGGCCCCGACUCAAACUGACACGAUGAUGACCGAUCGUAUAGGUGCGGUCCCAGAAACUGAACUGUCAUGACAAAGAGAUGGUCGAUCGUAUAGGUGCGGCCCCGACUCAAACUGACACGAUGAUGACCGAUCGUAUAGGUGCGGUCCCAGAAACUGAACUGACAUGACAAAGAGAUGGCCGAUCGUAUAGGUGCUGCCCCGACUCAAACUGACACGAUGAUGACCGAUCGUAUAGGUGCGGUCUCAGAAACUGAACUGACAUGACAAAGAUAUGGUCGAUCGUAUAGGUGCGGCCUCGACUCAAACUGACACGAUGAUGACCGAUCGUAUAGGUGCGGUCCCAGAAACUGAACUGUCAUGACAAAGAGAUGGUCGAUCAUAUAGGUACGGUCCCAGAAACUGAACUGACAUGACAGGAAGAUGGCCGAUCGUAUAGGUGCGGUCCCGACUCAAACUGACAUGAUAAUGACCGAUCGAUAUAGGUGCGGUCCCGACUCAAAGUGAACUGAUAAGAAGAUGGCCGAUCGAUAUAGGUGCGGCCCCGACUCAAACUGACACGAUAAUGACCGAUCGUAUAGGUGCGGUCCCAGAAACUGAACUGUCAUGACAAAGAGAUGGCCGAUCGUAUAGGUGCGGCCUCGACUCAAACUGACACGAUAAUGACCGAUCGUAUAGGUGCGGUCCCAGAAACUGAACUGUCAUGACAAAGAGAUGGUCGAUCGUAUAGGUGCGGUCCCAGAAACUGAACUGACAUGACAGGAAGAUGGCCGAUCGUAUAGGUGCGGUCCCGACCCAAACUGACACGAUAAUGACCGAUCGAUAUAGGUGCGGUCCCGACUCGAACUGAACUGAUAAGAAGAUGGCCGAUCGAUAUAGGUGCGGCCCUGACUCAAACUGACACGAUAAUGACCGAUCGUAUAGGUGCGGUCCCAGAAACUGAAUUGACAUGACAAAGAAAUGACUGAUCGUAUAGGUGUGGUCCCGACUCAAACUGACACGAUAAUGACCGAUCGAUAUAGGUGUGGUCCCGACUCGAACUGAACUGAUAAGAAGAUGGCCGAUCGAUAUAGGUGCGGCCCCGACUCAAACUGACACGAUAAGAUGAUGAAUGACCUGAUCAAGUGACCCAAAACCACCACAAUUCUCCAUGCAAUGACGUGUGAAAAACCACCACUCAAGGUGAAACAAGGAUAAUGUCGAGUAAUCAAUGAGGAAAGGAAAAGACAGAGAACGAAUAUCACAAGUGGUGGUAUGUGAUAUCGAAAAAUAGUGAUGAAAUGAUGUCCAAGCGGAAAAUAUCACAGUGAAGAGUGAAGAAUGAGGCUCGAAUAUGUAUGUCAGGUCUAGAACUCAUGACGUAUCCAAACAUAGCAUGCAAGCACUACAGGGUCCCCAACCCGGUGUAAUAAGUAAAUGAGGUGAUGAAAGAAAAAGCUAUGUGCUCGUGUGAGGCUCAAAGGGCUAGCAACGGGUAACUCUAUAUGUGAGGGUGAUAAAGUAAAUAGGCUCAUGAAAUGAUGGCCACCCAUCCUUUGACCAAAACCUCGAACAUCGUGCUUUUGAGAUCUCACAUGGUCAAUACUAAAGACUGGCAUCCAUCCAACAUAGUCAUGACGACUCCUCUGAAAUCGUGCAAAAGGCUCCCACUGAUGCUCUGUGAUGAUCAUCAAUGUCGUCUGAAAAUCAACUCACUCUAUCAUCACAAGCCACUCACCAUCAUCUCAUAAAAUCACCAUGUCUAAUCAUCCCGACUCUCUGAAGUCAUGUGCAAUGGCUCAAAUCUGGAUGCUCCAUGAUAACCUCUCUAUCUCAACAAUAUCGUCAAACAAAUCAAGCCACUCUCUCAUCGUGAUCCAUCUAUCAUCAUGUAAAGCUCACCUCGGGUCUAACCAUCUCGGACUCUACCUGGUCAGAUCCAUGAAAUGAUGGAAAGGAUAGGCAAUGGUACUGUAGCAUGAUAAGGCGAAUCAAGGGUAGUAAAGGUCGUACGAUGGUACCAAGGGAUGGUGUCAUGUCAAGCUCAAAAUGGGUAGGUCAUCAAGUCCACAAAGUCAAGGUACGAAUAUGGAUAUGGUAUCGCUCUAAUCAAAAGGUGAUAUGAGGCACAGUCUCGAACUCCCUAGGUCGAUCUCCUGAUCCUAGGUCAAUAGACUCAAUAUCCUCCAUGAUAGGUCAGGCCAAAGUGAUCGUGAUGUAAGUGAAAGAUGUAUCAUAUUGAAAGUACAACACAUCAUAUGAAAUAUGGUCCCGUGAUGGCAAUCCUAAACUGGAAAUAUGACAGAAACUCUAAGGUCAUAAAGGUGUCCACUAUGAGAUGGCUACAAAUGUGACCAGAGAAUCUCCAUCAAUAAUCCGAGAUAAAGAGAGGUGUGAAAAACACGCUAUCACGAGAUCGGUACUCCAUCUAUAAACAUAUAUCCUUGAAUCAACCUUCAACUCGAGCUCCAUAAGAGAAAAAUAAUAAGGUGAUCAAGGCGAAUCUCUCGAAGACAGUGUGGAUGUGAAAAAUGCGCCUUUCACCUUUCUGUAAUGAAAAUAUGAGCAUCGAGUCGAAAAUUGAACCAAGGAUCAAACAAAUGAUGAGGUACUGAGCCCGUGAUAAGCAUACAGUGUAAAAAGAUGAUCAAUGAACAUAUCCCAAAGCAUCAUGUGAGUGAUAACAAAGUGAAGGGGUGUGUCGAGCCAAGAAAUGAGAAUGAAAACCCUAGGGAGAAAACAUGCUAAACUCGUCAAGUAAAAAGCAUAAUCUAGAGCGACGAGACAAAGGUGAUCCAAUCGAUACUCAAACUCAUACCGAUCUCCGAGCACUCUCAACUGGAGACUAAAAAGAGGGAACACUGGAUCCGAACUGUAACUAAAGAGGCUCUGAAGGCCCUCAGAUGCACCCACGUGUAGGGAGGGAGUCCUAAUCGAAGGAUCUACGGCUCAACCUACGAGAUCAAGGUGGCUCUAAAUGGAUAUGGGUGGACUUUAAAAAAAAUCCCUAGCAGAAGCGAUCAUACCCUCCAGCGGUACACAACCCUCUGCACGCCUAAAAAAAAGACGGGGCGCUUCCAUGCAAGGUGGACAUCGCAUCCACACAUGCACUACCUCGACAUCCUAGGGGGUUUCCUAUGGUGAAUCCUCUCAAACUCUCAACGCUCAAUAGUCAACUAGGGUGCAUAGUGAUCGGUGUGGGUGCAUCCGAAACCCUAAGAAGCUAAAGCAGAAGAUGAAACAUACUGGUCGCAUAAAUAUCCAUGAAACCUAGCUCGGGGCUAUACAGGUCUUCAAUGAUCGGACUCUAAUCGACAACAAUGCGCCGCUCGCCUCCAGAAUGCUCCCAAACAUCAGUAUAGCCCGUCGCUAGACCCUACUCUUAACUUCUAUCUCAGUCAGAGUACAAGCACACACAAGGCCUCACACUUGCAAAAGUGAGAACCGUAAUGAAGAAAGUGACUGAGACUAGAGAGUGAGAGAUAAGGGGAUAGAUGUGCGACCCACAUAAACAAGCGGCACGAAAUCACACAGAUGAGGGCAAUCAUGCAACACACAGUCAAACAAAACUCAGAUAUAUCAUCAAUGUACACACAAGAUAAGCGAGAAUACGACAAUCAGAUGGAUAGUGAUACAAAGACAACACGCUCAAAGAUGAUCAAAAUAAUAUACCAACAAGUGGAUCAGCAUGUCGAGUCGAAUGAUGUACAGUAGUGAGUGUAUGCACGUGAAGUGAUCAAAACAAUCAUGACAAAAUCAGGGUCAAUGUGCUAAGCAAAGCAAUAAGAUCAAUCAUCAAUGAUCCAGCAUGUCAAUGUCUCAAACAAAUAUAUCAAUGCAACACAGAAGAAAUCAUGGCAUCAGAAUCCUCAAUCAAUAUAAAUCAAUCAACACGAUCGACGUGUCAAAGUCUCAAGUGGAUAUAAAAUCCGAGCAUGCAUCAAAUAUCCUCAAUGUGCAAUCAAGAAAUGGGCAUCCACUGAUUGUCCAAUCGAAUGCCACGUUUGCUUCAUUCUAAGUUCAAGUUUGACCCUCUAAAUGAUCCCCAGUGGAGUCGCCAUUUUGUGGACCCCGCAUUUCGUGCUUGAUGCGUUUCCCACUCGAUGGCGAGCUCGAUUUUUAUUUUGAAAAAUUAAUUUUAUUUAUUGUUUGUUGAAAAAAAUGACUUGGAGUCGCCACUUAUUUUUGUUUUAUUUUUAAAGGGUAAACAAAAUAAGAAAGAAAAACCCUAAGUGUGACUCCUUAUUUUGGAAAAGGCGGUCUGUGAAAAACUGGAUCGGGUUCGGGGGUCAGGUUACUUAUUGGGAAGGUACGGUAAAGACCGUAGCACCCCUCUAAGUCCCUAAAAUCGGGUCUCUACUAAUAGAAUGAAGUUGACGUGGCAAUCAAUGAGGAAAUCAGCGGAUACUCAAAUCAAACUUGCACAUAUGAAAAUAAGAGUAUGCAUAGAGAAUAAUCAAAAUGAGAAUGAGUGCGUACCUGGACCUCUAGUGACAAAUGCGCUAUCAUGAAACAGGAUUAGUGAGCAAUGAACAAGAUAUAAUUAAGCGCAUAUCAAGAAAUAGAGUAAACCAAUCAUGCAUGGCAAAUAAAUCAAUCGAUCUGUCAAUCAAUCAUGAAGUCAAGUAUGUGGGGCCCCCACCAAAGCCCGUUUAUUUUGCAUGAAUUAAUUCCAUAAAUUCCAUUAGUCGGAAUUACGGAAUUUAAUUCUUGCUUAUUUUUACAACAUUUUAAAAGAUUAUGAAAGAUUUGAAAAUUGCUUACCGAAUAGAAAGUGGAAGCAAAUUUGAUUAAAAGUGAGACUCUUGGGUGAUCCUAAAAAUUCUAAGGAUGAAAGAGUGUGGAAUUGAAAUUAUUGUUUUAUUGAAAAAUGAGGAACUGGGAAAUUAUUAAAAAAAAUGAGAUUUGAAAAAUUGUUGUCAAAGUCAAAGAGGAUAAAAGGGAAGAUGUCACGUGACCAAAGGUGGCCAUGCAACUGAAUGCUCAUAUGCGCGGACCCAAGGAGGUCACUGGGGCUGCUUUGUCGGCGCACCAUCCUCUCUUAUAACUGCAAAUAGGCUCGGUAUGAAAGAAACUUGAGACAGGUCUGGUGACUCAAAAUAUGGAUCAGAACCCACAGAACCUUUGAUCACGAUCACCUAGGAUGUAACACGUCCCUCUCUCAAAGCAAAUCUUUGUCCAGCUUCAAGAGGAACAACAGAUAUCAACUCGAAAAACUACUGUAACAUCAUUCCCAGGCAUAACCAUCUUAACUUCUUCAAGCAAUUGAACCUUCCCAGUGGCAUCUGUAGUCCUCAGGUGGCUUUGAUUUAUCAGAAGAAUUGAAAGCCGAAGAUUUAGGCAUUGGAGGGGUCACAUGCAUUAGUUGCCUAGAUUGCUUAAAUGCCAAUUCCUCAAGCCGAUGUGUGUUAACAGGCAGCUGUGGUGUAGUGCAAGCCCAUGAUGGAGCCCGUGCCAAUGCUUCAGCCAUAUUAAGACCAACUGUAAUACUUGGAAGCCCAGGUGCCGGGGCAGAACGAUAUUUUGUUGAGCAGAUGAGGAUCCAAUGAGCAAAUUCUGAACAGCCAUGUUCAACCCAGGUGACGAAACCCUCCCAAGAUCCAAUUCGGUUCCAAGUGAAGAGAAAUCCUUAUCAAACACAGUCUUGUGGAUGGUUUCUCACUAAGCAAUCUCAUGGUUUACACUUUCUGCUUAUUUAUGAAGUUUGCUAAUCCUUUCCUUUCUUAUCCUCGAGACGACCUUCUUCCGAUCGAGCCUUCCUAUCCUCGGUGUGGCAUUUAUACGACAUAACCCAACUCACCUAUCAACCCAUAUCUGAAUUUGGCUGCGUCUUAGCAAGAUGCUUCACGGCGUCUUUCUCCAGCUGCAGCCACAACGUGUCAGCUGCCUCCACCCAAAACCUGAUAUGCUGAGAAGUUUCCGUCUAUUAUUGGAUUCGGUAUCUGAUUCCUCAGUCGCUUUCAUUCUCUCAAUCCCUUCCAUGCAUGCAUGAGGGUUGGUGUUAUGUGGUGUAAGGAGAGAAACGGGUAUGGGAUGUGAUCAAAUGGGUGUAUGUGUGAGGGUAUGAAAUAUAGGUGUGGAGACGGGUAUUAUAGGCAAAAGAGGUGGCCAUGCACAUGAGAUGAGUGUGAAGCACGGCCACGGGUAGUGAGAGAAAAUGGGUGGUUAUGUGUUAAGUAUGAGUGGUGAUGAAAUGUGUAUGAAGGUUAGAACAAUGGGUUUGGAGGAUGGAGAUAGGAGUGAGUGGAGUGGGUGGUUGGACGAGUAGUAAGGCUUAGAGAGAUGGUAGUGGGUUUGGAAUAGGUGCAGGGGAAGAUAAUGAAUGAAGAUGAAUGAAGAGAGCGUGAGAUAGAAGAUGGAUGUGAUGGACAAGAAGGUGGCCACGUGCCUGGAGCUUCAUGUAUAUGGGUAUGAAAGAGUUUGAAGAGAGAGAAAAGGUGGUAAUGUGGAAUGGGUUUGGUGGGUGCAAGCAUGGGGCAUGAAGAUGAGGGUUAGUAUGGAAGUGUGGGUAUAAUGAGCGAAUGAGAGAGAUGAGAUGGGUGCAUGGUGGUGUAGAAAGAAAGGUGAUCAUACAAAUGGGCAUAGGUAUGGAGGUAUAAUGGGUAUAGGGUCAUGGGUAUGCUAAAUGGGCAAAAAGGGUAUAAGCCCGGAAUUAAUGGAGUAGGUAGUGGGAGAUAAUAGGAAAUGGGUGUUCAUGGGGAUCCUCUGCGUACAUGGUGGGAAAGGAAACAGUGAAGAGUACCCACAACCAACUGAACUUUCAUUAUUCCUCUCAUUUUAACAUAAGCUUGACCAUAAUAUUUCUAAACUCUCUCUUAGGACUCAUACUUCCGAUGGCUAUUUUGUGGUCUACAAUGCCAAUGGUGAUAUUUUCCGUCUUUCAAAGCCGAAAAGAGAGGUAAGUGACCCUCAUCAAUCGAACAACUCACUUUCUUAUAUAUUCAGGCAACAACUAGAGCAACUCCAGAUCUAUGAAUAGUAUGGGCCCAAGAAUCUGCUUAACAGAAUGCUCCAAAUCUUCAACAAGUGUAAAUCAGUUGGAUACGAUUGCACAUUGUGCUGCAGCGUGAACAACAGAGAUGGCAAAAGGACUUCAUUGUCAUGACCGAAAAAGCGUCAAGUUCUUUCUCAUUGACUGGCAUAAUAUCCUCAGUAACAAACUGAUCCAGAUCAAAUAUAAAUGCAGUAUUCCCACAAGAUACAACCUGAACAGGACCUUGCUUCUUUUCCAUCUAAGAUCUUUGCGCAACCCAGAUCAUCUGGAGGAGUUUUGUUCAUCCUCAACACUCACGAGCUAUGAUCUGUGCUAUCACCACCUGGCUCUCUCAAAUAGGGAUGUACAACCUGAUGUAUAACAAGGUAGGAUGCCGAAAACAGGGGAAUGGCAAAACCAAAUAGAAAACAAACCAGUGAAACAAAUAAAACAACCAAAGCCAUGUUUCAUGUUUAGAUCAACAGGUUUGGUUGUAGGUGAGUGAACUAGAAUGCACCUAAAGAGAUAAGAACAAGACAAAACUCCUAUAUGUGGCAUAGCGAAAACUAAAACAGAGCUGAGCCAUUCUCAAAUCAUCAUAAGGAAAAUAGGCAAGAUAGCCGCCAAGGAAAUCCGAGAACCAAGCAGGAACCAUAAGAUAGAACGUAUACCCAAACAAAUCACAAACAAUAUCAAGCAAAAGGAAUGAAACUACAUACUGAUAAAGAAUAUGAAGGAUCCAUGGCAGUCAUACCUCGCUUUUCUUCCCCCUCAAGCUCUCUGUUCUCUCUGGAUAUCUUAGCCAAAACUCCUCCUAGUUUUCCCUCUGAGCUCUCCUCAAGCUCCCAGAAAAACUCUCCCUCAGGCUCCUCCGGAAUCUCUCCUUUUUCUCUCCUCCUCUCUCAAUAUCCAGCUUGCUCCUUGCAAAAUCUGCACCCUCUCUCCAAAAACAUGCUCUGUUUUUCUUAGCUUCUCCCUGGUCCCUGCAUCCCCUAAAAAUCUCCUUUUCUCCUUUUUCUUUUCUCUCGGAUUUGCCCUUCUAACCAUAUCUGCAGAGACACCCCCCUUCAUGCAGCUGACAACCUUCCCAUAACAGAAAAAUACGUUCCCCUGAUUCCAGAAGAUUCUUUCCCUUUACAGGUGUCUUCCCCGGAUUAGUCCAUCAAUUCCACUAUUUUGAUCCCAUAUUGACUAAUCCGGGAGUGACACGUGGCCAGAAUGAGCUGCAUGAAAUAGCACCCAAAUAGGGGUCUACAGCACCCUUGGCCCAUUUAGGCACUCUAAGCUCAUUUGGGCAUCCUAGGUCCACUUAAGCACCCUAGGCCCAUUUAGGCACCCUUGGUACACUUAGGCACCCUAGGCCCAUUUAGGCACCCUAAGUCCAGUUAGGCACUCUAGACCCAUUUAGGCACCUUAGGCCCACUUAGGCUUUGUUGGCCCAUUUAGGCACCCUAGGUCCACUUAGACACCUUAGGCCCACUUAAGCACCCUAGGCCCUUUUAGGCACCCUAGGUCCAUUUAGGCACCCUUGGCCCAUUUAGGUACCCUCGGCCCACUUAGGCACCCUAGGCCCAUUUAGGCUCCCUAGGUCCAUUUAGGCACCUAAGGCUCAUUUAGGCACUCAUAGGCCCAUUUAGGCACCCUAGGUCCACUUAGACACCUUACGCUCAUUUAGGCACCCGAGGCUCAUUUAGGCACCCUUGGCCCAUUUAGGCACCCUAGGCUCAUUUAGGCACCUUUGGCCCAUUUAGGCACCCUAGGCCCACUUAGACACCCUGAGCCCACUUAGACACCCUUGGCCCAUUUAGGCACCUUAGGUCCACUUAGACUCUCUAGGCCCAUUUCGGCACCCUAGGUCCACUAAGACACGCUAGGCACAUUUAAGCACCUAAGCACCCUAGGCACAUUUACGAACCUAAGGCUCAUUUAGGCACUCAUGGGCCCAUUUAGGCACCCUAGGUCCACUUAGACACGUUAGGCUCAUUUAGGCACCCGAGGCUCAUUUAGGCACCCUUGGCCCAUUUAGGCACCUAGGCUCAUUUAGGCACCUUUGGCCCAUUUAGGCACCCUAGGCCCACUUAGACACCCUGAACCCACUUAGACAUCCUUGGCCCAUUUAGGCACCCUAGGUCCAAUUAGGCUCUCUAGGCCCAUUUCGGCACCCUAUGUCCACUAAGACACGCUAGGAACAUUUAAGCACCCUAAGCCCACUUAGGCACCCUUGGCCCAUUUACGAACCCUAGGCUCAUUUAGGCACCAUAGGUCCACUUAGGUACCCUAGGCCCAUUUAGGCAUUCUAGGUCCAAUUAGGCACUUUAGACCCAUUUGGGCACCCUAGGUCCACUUAGGCACCCUAGGCCCAUUCAGGCACCCUAGGUCCACUCAGGCACCCUAGGCCGAUUUAGGCACCCUUGGUCCACUUAAGCACCCUAGGCCCAUUUUGGCACCCUAGGUCCAGUUAGCCACUCUAGACCCAUUUAGGCACCUUAGGCCCACUUAAGCAUCCUUGGCCAAUUUUGGCACCCUAGGUCCACUUAGGCACUCUAGUCCCAUUUAGGCACCCUAGGUCCACUUAGGCACCCUACGUCCAUUUAGGCACCCUAGGUCCAUUUAGGCACCCUAGGCUCAUUUAGGCACCCUAGGCCCAUUUAGGCACCCUAGGUCCACUUAGACACCUUAGGCCCAUUUAGGCACCCUAGGUCCACUUAGGCACCCUUGGCCCAUUUAGGCACCCUAGGUCCAUUUAGGCACCCUAGGCCCAUUUAGGCACCCUAGGCCCAUUUAGGCACCCUAGGUCCACUUAGGCACCCUAGGUCCACUUAGGCACCCUAGGCCCAUUUAGGCACCGUAGGUCCAUUUAGGCACCCUUAGCCCAUUUAGGCACCCUAGGCCCAAUUAGGCACCCUAGGUCCAUUUAGGCACCCUAGGUCCACUUAGACACCUUAGGCCCAUUUAGGCACCCUAAGCCCACUUAGGCACCCUUGGUCCAUUUAGGCCCCCUAAGCUCAUUUAGGCACCCUAGGUCCACUUAGGCACUCUAGGCCCAUUUAGGCACCCUUGGUCUACUUAGGCACCCUAGGCCCAUUUAGGCACCCUAGGUCCAGUUAGGCACUCUAGACCCAUUUAGGCACCUUAGGCCCACUUAGGCAUCCUUGGCCCAUUUAGGCACCCUAGGUCCACUUAGGCACUCUAGGCCCAUUUAGGCACGCUAGGUCCACUUAGGCACCCGAGGCCCAUUUAGGCACCCUAGGUCCACUUAGACACCUUAGGCCCAUUUAGGCACCCUAAGUCCACUUAGGCACCUUUGGCCCAUUUAGGCACCCUAGGCUCAUUUAGGCACCCUAGGUCCAGUUAGGCACCUCAGGCCCAUUUCAGCACCAUAGGUCCAGUUAGGCACUCUAUACCCAUUUAGGAACUCUAGGUCCACUUAGGCACCCUAGGCUCAUUGAGGCACCCUAGGUCCAUUUAGGCACCCUUGGCCCAUUUAGGCACCCUAGGCCCACUUAGGCACCCUAGGCCCAUUUAGGCACCCUAGGCUCAUUUAGGCACCCUAGGCCCAUUUAGGCACCCUAGGUCCACUUAGACACCAUAGGCCCAUUUAGGCACCCUAGGCUCAUUUAUGCACCCUUGGCCCAUUGAGGCACCCUAGGCCCACUUAGACACCCUAAGCCCACUUAGACACCCUUGGUCCAUUUAGGCACCCUAGGUCCACUUAGGCACCUUAGGCCCACAUAGGCACCCUUGGCCCAUUUAGGUACCCUUGGCCCAUUUAGUUAGGCCCACCUAGUCUCACCUUAGGCCCAUUUAGGCACACUUGGGCCAUUAAGAAAUUUUUAGCGUGACUUAUAUGACUUGCAUGGUUGCAUGGCUUGUGGGGCUCAGUUUUUUUUUUAUUUAUUUAUUUUUAUUUUUAGUUUUAUUUUUAUUUUUAUCAAUCACUUGUUUAUUUUUAUUUGUUAUAUUCCUUUCUAUAUUAUUUUUCUUAGUUUUUUAAUUAACUUAUUUAUUUAUUAUUGUUUUACCGUUUUCUAAUUUAUCUACUCAUUUAUUUAUUCAUUCAAUUAUUUAAUAUAAAAAAAUUUCAUGCUUUUGCAAGGAAACUUACCAUUGAAGUUUAAGGAAAGUGGGACUCUCCUUGGAAGGUUUUGGAGAGGGAGUUUGAAAUUGGGAGGAUUGUUUUUGAAUGGGAAGAUUGGAAAAAGAGGGAAAAAAAAUGGGGAAUUUCUCAGAGCCAUAUAAGGAGUAGACUGCCAUCAUGAGAUAAAGAAAAAGAAAAAAAAAAAAGUUAGAGAUUUUGAUUUUCUGGGGGAUAGAGAGAACAAUAGGAAUUUUUUAGAAGGGUUUUUUUGUUAGAGAUUCAAGCAUAAAGCAUAAUUUUUUUUAAAGAGAGCACACAGAAUUUUGGAAAAAAAGCAAGGGACUUGAGACGGAGAUCGGGCUGCCAUUUAAUCAUCAAGAGAGGAUUUUCUAUUUCACUUCAAAGGUUAGUUUUCUAUAUAGUACUUUUAUUUAGCCUAGACUUUUUUUUGGAAAUUUUAGUUUUUGAUUAAUUCUUUGUGUUAAAGUUUAUAUUAUUUUCUUUUUAAAUCCCCAAUUAGUUUAAUUCCAAUCUAUCUUUUAGUUUAAGUUUGUUAAUGAUUUUAAUUCUUAAGUUUAAAUAAUCAUAUUGAAUAAAGUUUGUAUUUUUAAUCCUGAUUAGUUUGAUUUCAAUUCGUUUUUAGUUUAAAUGUAUUUUGUUGAUCUUAAUUCUUGACUUUAAAUAAUCACGUUAAAUAAAGUUUGUAUUUUUAAUCCCAAUUAGUUUGAUUUCAAUUCGUUUUUUAUUUUAAAUGUGUCUUGUUGAUCUUAAUUCUUUACUUUAAAUAAUCACGUUAAUAAAGUUUGUAUUUUUAAUCCCAAUUAGUUUGAUUUCAAUUCGUUUUUAAUUUAAAUGCAUUAGUUGAUCUUAAUUCUUUACUUUAAAUAAUCACGUUAAAUAAAGUUUGUGUUUUUAAUCUCAAUUAGUUUGAUUUCAAUUCGUUUUUAAUUUAAAUGCAUUAGUUGAUCUUAAUUCUAUGUUUUAAAUAAUCAUGUUAAAUAAAGUUUGUAAUUUUAAUCCCAAUUAGUUUGAUUUCAAUUCGUUUUUUAGUUUAAAUGUAUCUUGUUGAUCUUAAUUCUUUACUUUAAAUAUCACGUUAAUAAAGUUUGUAUUUUUAAUCCCAAUUAGUUUGAUUUCAAUUCGUUUUUUAGUUUAAAUGUAUCUUGUUGAUCUUAAUUCUUUACUUUAAAUAAUCACGUUAAUAAAGUUUGUAUUUUUAAUCCCAAUUAGUUUGAUUUCAAUUUGUUUUUAAUUUAAAUGCAUUAGUUGAUCUUAAUUCCUUGUUUUAAAUAAUCACGUUAAAUAAAUUUGUAUUUUUAAUCCCAUUUAGUUUGAUUUCAAUUCGUUUUUUAGUUUAAAUGCAUUAGUUGAUCUUAAUUCUUAAGUUUAAAUAAGCACGUUAAUAAAGUUUGUGUUUUUAAUCCCAAUUAGUUUGAUUUUAAUUUGUUUUUAGUUUAAAUGCAUUUUGUUGAUCUUAAUUCUUUAGUUUAAAUAAUCAUAUUGAAUAAAGUUUGUGUUUUUAAUUCCAAUUAGUUUGAUAUUAAUUUGUUUUUAGCCUAAAUACAUUCAUUGAUCUUAGUUCUUUAGUUUAAAUAAUCAUAUUGAAUAAAGUUUGCGUUUUUAAUUCCAAUAAUAGAAUUUAAUUUCAAUUUAGUUUGAUUUUAAUUUAUUUUAUAAUUUGAAUGCGUUCAUGAUUUUAAUUGUUUGAUUAACUCUCUUAGACAAAUUCUAUAUAUUUAAUUUCGAUUUUAUUUUAAUUUUACUUUGUUAAUUUAUUUAUUUGUUUAAAAAUAUUUGCAAUUUCAUUUUGAUAGUUUAGCCAAUCUUAUUAGAUGAUGUUAAUGUUUUUAAUUUAAUCUAGUAUCAAUUAUUUUUAGUAUUGAAUGUGUUCGUGCGUUUCUGAAUUCGCCAUUUUGGAUUGUAAUCCAUUUAUAUCCAAUUUUGUAGUUGAUCAUAAUUUUAGUUAAUUAAUUUAGUCAAUCACAUGAUAUUAUACUCACAUUCUAAGUAUGGAAAUUUCAGCUUUGAUUCGUCAAUAUUUAGUAUGAGUUUUUUGGAAUUUUAGUUAAUUACAUGUUACUCUUUUAGUCAAUAUUUUCAAGUUUGCUAAACUUUGGUUUUUGAUUUAUCAUACUUUGCUAGAAUGUUAAUUUACCUUAAUUGAUUCCCUGUUAUUAUCUUUAUAUGCUAAGCUUGUUGACUUUAAUCUUUGGUUGGUUAUUUUUAUUUUAAUUCAUGUGUUUCUUGAAAUCUAGAUGUUAGUCUUGGAUAAUAUUUGUGUUAGUUUGUUUGAUUAGGAAACCAUUAGUUUGUUGCUUUAGUAAUUGUUGGUAAAAUCUUUUUUUUUGAAGGCCAUUGGAAAAUCAUGAAGAUUGGCAUCUACCAUCACCUUUAUCAUUUUUGUUAAUUACUAAAAAAAUUUUACUUUGAGGUUUCAUUUUUUUUUUUUUUUUUGUUUGGUAUUUUAUAUAUUUUAUUUUUUCCAAAUUAAUUCCUUUUAUUUUAAAAUAAAAUACUUUUCUCAAAAAAUCAUUUUAAAAAUCUAUUUCAAAAACUCAUUUAGAGUCCUCAGGAUCAAUUUUUUUUUUUUUAUAUUUAAAAAUAAUGUGCAACCAUAUCUUGUUCUGUUUGCAUCCUUCUCGGUUUUCAACAAAAAGUUUGGUUUUGAACAAAAACACGAAUCAAAGCUUGUGGUCCCAAAUAAAUGGGAUAAUUCUUGGCUAAAUUUGUGUAUAUUAAUUUGGGGAAUUGGUGAAACCCCUACAUAAGAAAAUCUUUUCAAAAAUUAUUUUUGUUGCCAUAUUUGUCACUUGUUGAAAUUAUGUCUAUCUUUUUUAGGAAUUGUAUACAAGAUGUGUGUGAUAAUUAAUGUUUUCAUAUACUUUGAUAAUUUUUGUUAUGCUAAUUAGAUAACAAGCAUGCUAGGGUUUCUUUAUUUUAUUAUUAUCUAAUCCCUCAUGUCUUAUGGAAGUGCAUUGUAAGUUAUCUAUGCUAUCCAGGUACAUCCCCUAUCACCUACUUUCUAAGUUUUGUAAACAUGAUUGUCACUGAGAACUAUGCUUAUGCUUGAGAAUACUUGGGUGUUCCGAUAUACAUGUUUCAUUGUUUGAUUAUUUCUAAUAAAACACAUGUUGGAUGAUAUAUUGUUUAAAUUAACCAUUGAUGUUUUAUGAUAGCGCUUGAGAAGCAGUCCGGGUACACACCCUAACUCUCCUUUAUUGUGAUUUAAUCUUGUUUAGCAUGUAAGUUUUUUGAAAUCACCUAGCCUACUUAGGUAUCUAUAAUUAAUUGAUUAAUUGCCACACUUCCCUUAACUUUGUCAGUAGAGACCUUUGUAGGGCUUAGAGGGGUGCUACCUUUUAAAGGUGCCUUCCCAAUAAGUAACCUGAUCCCCGGACUUAGACUUAGGUUUUUCAAAGACACACUUUUCCAAAAAUUAUGGAGUCAUUUUUUAGGGUUUUAUUUCUUGUUUUAUUUUCCCUUUUAAAAAAAAAUAAUAAGUGGCGACUCCAACUUUUUUUCAAAAAUCAAUUUUUCACAAAUAAAAAGCGAGUCUCGCCGAUUGAGUGGGGGCGCACGUGAAAAAUGCGGGUCCACAUGGAGUAAUUAGAGAUUAUUGCAUCACAUACGUCAAUGAAGUUGUAGGUAUUAGAGGGUAAGUUUUUAGGAUAAAACGACCAGGUAAAUUUGUGUAACUUGAUCUUGUAUAGUGGAUUUUGAUUAGUAGUCUUAGACCUUGUGGUUUUUUUUAUCUCCACAGUAGUGUGGGGAUUUUCCAUGUAAAAGUCAUUGUGUCCAUUGUUAUAUCUUGUGAUUAUCAUGAUUGUGGGGAUUUUGUUUAUCUCUGAUAUUAUCUCACAGGGUAAAAAUUGAGUAUAACAUAUAAUCUUUUUUUUAGAAUUCUUUUAAUUACACCCAUUCACCUCCGUCCUCUCUUUGGGUGUUACCCUACUAGACUUGGCUUUUUCAGUCUCAAAUUCUACAUUAGCAUUUUUUUACUUAAGUUAUAAAUGGAAAAAGUUAUAAACCCAAGAUAACUUGUUAAAAAAGUGAGAAAUAAUAAAGGACUCAUGUUAGAGUAUAAAUAAUUAAUCUAUUCUAGGCUUAAUAUAGCUCCAAUGUCAAACAUGAAUACUUAAUUAUUUAUUAUAUUUUGAAAAUAAAGUAAGUAUUUUUUAUAUAAAAAAUGAAACAACUUUUCUAGAACAACACAAGGCACUAAUGCAUAUAGUUGGUAACAAGUUGGAGAAAGAAAAUAAUGUGGAGAAAUAAAACAACAUGUACAAAGAAACAAAUUGGAGAUAAAGAAAAUGACUAACAAAAAAGAAAAUAGAGAAAUUAUAGAAUAUAAGAUAAUUAAACUUAUUUUCAUAAAAAUAAUAUAUUUUCGAAAAAUAGAAAAUUUCGUUCAUAUUCUCUUUUUCACUUAUUUUAAAAAUAAAAGUAAAAAUUAAUAUUUAUCAAAUGCAAAUAUUAAUAAUUAUGAAAUUAAUAUUUAUCACAUAUAUAAGAUUAAGAUUGAGAUAUAAACUUUUUAUAAUCUAAACUAUUAUUUUCAUUUUAAACAAGAAAGUUCGAUGUGACAUAAUAAAAUUUGUACACAAAAUUUAAAUUAUCUCUAUUCAUAUAGAAUUAUAUAUAGGUAUAGAUUCAUUUCAAAAUUCAAAUAAUUAUUUGAAAUUUACAUUUAAAUUUUAUUUUUAAAUUUAAAACUUAAUUAUUUUGUAAUAGGGUAUGUGUCAUAAAAUUGAAACUUAUAUAUAUAAAUGCGUCCACUUCCAUACCUCUCAUAAAAUUGGAGCCGACUUUUUUUGUUUUCUUUUGUGUGUUUAUAAAUGUCUCCAAUUCCAUAUCUAGCUGUGAUAUAGUUUUGGAGAUGAUUGUGAUUGAAGUAUAAUUUCUUUUAAUUUUAAUUUUAUAAGAAUUAAAAUCAAAGAAACUGUUGGGUAGAAAGAUGUUUCCCUCCAUACAAAUCUAUUUAAAAGAAAAAAAAAACACAAAGAAAGACAACAAUAGAUGAAAAUAAUUAUUCAUCUGUUAUGUUAGUGCAAAAUAUGAAAGAGAAGACAACAGUGUGCAUCUUCACUGUGACUGAGGAUCAAAUUCUCUUUGAGAUUGAUAUAAAUUAUUUAUAACUUCAUUGUUCAUGGAGAGUUGAUUCAGUAGUGUCUUCCAUUUGAAGACAUACAGAAAUGGUUAGAAUUAUCUAUUCAUUUCAAGAGAUAACUUGCAUCUAUGACCCUUAUACUCCCAUGAACUUUGAGCAUCUAUUAUUUAUAAAAUAUGGAUGAAAAUAGAAUAUAAAAAAAAUAUUUUCAUGGGAAGUGUAUUUUGGAAAAAAUAAUUCUCAUUUGAUACAUUGGAAAAGUGUCUACCUCACAUUACCCAAAAAUGUCGUUAUAUGUGUACAUGGGUCAUCAUCCAUAGUAACCCAAUUCACAUGAGGAUGGUACAUCAUUCAACCAAUAAAGGUACUUUAAGCUCAAAACAGUGGUACAUUAUAAUCAAAACAAUAUUACUUUAAUAUCAAAAUACAUGUAAGGACAUUUUAAGGUAAUGUGAGGUAAAUACUACUAUAAUACAUUAAAUAAGAAUUAUUUUCCCAAAAAUGUACUUCCCAUGAAAAUGAUUUAUGUAGGUUUUCUUUCAUUUAUAUUUUAUAAAUAGUGCAUGUUUACAUAAUUCUCUCAUUAAUAUAAUAUAAUCAUCUAUACCUGAUAAUUAAGGAAAUAAAAAAUAUUUACGUACUAAGCAAGGAUAAUUGAAAUUAAAGAGUAUGUCAAAAGAGAAAAAAAAUAUUAAAGAUAAAUUAAAACUCUAAAAUAAAAGCCUUCAUUUGCACAUAUAGGACAAUAUCUUAGGAGGUAUUUUAUUAAAAUAAUAAUAACAAUGAUUAAAAAAUGGAAAAAAUUAUGGGUCCCAUUUUUUAAGUAUUUUCAAUAACAUAAUUAUAAACUUCUUUAAAUUUAAAAUCAUUUAUUUAAACCACUUUAUUCAUUUAGCAACAAGGACUUAAUUAAUCACUAAGAUCAAACACAAUGAUUUAUAAUUUUUAUAAUAUUUUCUUCCAUUACUAUCAUUUUUUUGUUAAUAAAAUGAAGACUUCUAUUGAUGAAUUUUUAAUAAUAAAAUGUAACUUCUUUUAAAUUAAAACCAUUUAUUAUUAAAAAAAUUUAAUUCAUCUAGGAGAUUCUUUUAACUAAUUCUUUUAGAAUUUUUUACAUUUUUUUAUUUCAUAUUUAAAGAUAAAAAAUUAUUAUGAAAUAAUUUUCUUCAUUAUAAAAUUUAUCUUUCGUUUCUAAAUCAGAAUUUUUGUCAUGUCCAUUCAUAUAAUAAAAUUAAAAUUAUAAAUAAUAAAAAAACCUAUUUUAAUUGACAGCGUCAUGGAAUCUCUCCAUGCACACCUCUUAAACCAAGUGAGCUAUGAAUGCAUGUAAGAUGUAUAUAUAACUAUAAAUAAGGAUUCAAAAUGAGGGGAAAAAUCAUUGAGAAGGGUGAACCAUGGGUGAUAAGCCACUUUCCUUUGGAUAAAUAUUAAAAGUUAAAGAGUAUAAAAUGUCUAUGUAUGUCGUCAUUUUUUUUUUCACUUUUAAGUUAAAUAUAUUUUUAUUGUUAUAAAUGAAGUAAUGAAUGCCACCACAUUUAUUAUAUGAAAUGUUCAUUAAAAGCCUAUAAAAAUGUUUCCUAUCCCCUGUAAAAUGCAUCCCAAGCAAAGAAAUAAAUUUUCUUUCUCUCUUAUUCUUUUUUAUUUUUUUAUUUUUAUUCUCCAUAUCUUUCAUUCUUUCAAUUGUCCUAAUUAUCUUUUAUGAUUCCUUCCUCUCCAUUAUAUAUUAUUAUCAAAAUAAUAUAUAGUUGUUCUUUACUUUUAUUUGUGUUGCAUUUAUCCUCUUUUUACAACACAUAAUUAGCAUGAAUUGCUCUAAAGGUAAUUCUCAUAUCUUAAAUUUGAAGUUAUUUAUAUAGAAUAAAAUUUUACAUAUUUAUAUUGGUAUUGUUAAAUUCAUUUAAUUUGUGUUAUAUAUUAUUAAAAUCUAUAAGCAAAUUAUUUGAUUUUGAUUAUAAUCAAAAGUUAUACCAAUGCUAUUAAUUUAUAACUAAUUCUAGUAAUAUUGUUUUGUCAUAUAUCUAAAGUUAUUUAACAAUGUCAAAUCUCACAAAACUCAAAUUUGUGGCACUUGACAUUUUAGGAAAGAACUAUAUAUCUUGGAUCCUUAAUGCUGAAAUACAUCUUGAUGCAAUGAAUCUUGGAGCUACAAUUAAAGAAGGAAAUCAGGCUUCCUUGUAGGAUCAUGCAAAAGCGUUGAUUUUCCUUCACCAUCAUCUCUAUAAAGGUUUUAAAAAUGAGUAUCUUAUAGUAAAGGACACUUUUACGCUAUUGAGUAAUUUGAAGGAAAGAUAUGACCACUAAAAAAUUGUGAUUAUCCCAAAAGCUUGAUAUGAUUGGAUGCAUUUAAGGUUGUAGGAUUUUAAAACUAUUAGUGAAUAUAACUCUGCACUUUUCAAAAUCAACUCUCAAUUAAAGCUAUGUGGAGAAAAAAAUCAUAGAAGAUGACUAUUAGAAAAAACUUUACUACAUUUCAUGCCUCGAAUGUGCUCUUACAACAAUAAUACCAAGAGUGUAGAUUUACAAAAUACUCUGAAUUAAUAUCAUGUCUUCUUGUUGCUGAACAAAAUAAUGAGCUUUUGAUGAGAAAUCACUAGUCUCAUCCAAUUGGAUCUGAACCAUUCCCUGAAGUGAAUGCAAUAUUGUCCCAAACUCGUGGACAUGGGUGAGGACAAGGAAAUGGUUGUGGUCACGGAAGGAAUCUCCGAUAUAAUGGUUAUUAUGGUAAUAAUUCCUCAAAUUCUCAUAAAAUGAAAGCUUUAUUGCACCACUAGAAAUGGAAUAAUACUGAGGCAAAACAAGAAAAUGGGAAGUGUUUACAAGAUUAACCUCCAAAUAACCAUGAGAAUAAUUGUUAUAAAUGUGGUAUGAAGGGCCAUUGGUUGUGUACCUAUCAUACACUCAUACAUUUGGUCAACCUUUACCAAGCAUCAAUAUAAGUAAAAGGAAAAGAGAUAGAGAUGAAUUUUACCAAUGGUGAUGGAUUGAACCUAACCUACUAUGACAUCGAUUUCUUUGGAGGUCCUAGUGAAAAAAUAGACCAUUUAAUAAAUGAUGAGAAUGCUAACAUUGAUGGGUGUUACUUUAUAUAUCAAAUAAUAUAUUAUUAUGUGUUAUAUUUAUAUCUGAUUAUUACAUUUUCUUUUAUAUUGUUAUUUUAUUAUGCCUUGUUUUUUUAAUAUUAGUUGUAUCUAAAAUCCACGUGUUAUUUGGUCUCAAGAUGAAUGAAGAUGAUGUAUGUUUCACAAAUUGUGAAACCACGCACACAAUUCUUCGAGAUAAAAGAUAUUUCAUUGAAUUGACAUUGAUAAAAGCUAAUGUAAGUACCAUAUUUAGUACUACAAGCUUAGUUGAAGGCUUUGGAAGAGGAAACAUAAUGCUACUAAAUGGAACUAGAUUUCAUAUAAAUGAUGCUUUAUAUUCUAACAAAUCUAGAAGAAAUUUGCUCAGUUUUAAAGAUAUCCACAAAAAUGUAUAUCAUAUUGAAAUUUUGAAUGACUUCCAUUAUAUCUGGCCAAAAGCUUAUGAUAGAAAAACUCUCGACUUUUUCCUCUAGGUUGUAUCAUACAACUAUAAAGCAUAUUGAAUCAUAUUUUGUCAUGAACCAGAAGUUCAACGGCCCAAAAUUUUUUGUCCUUUGGCAUGUGAGACUAGGUCACCCAGGUUUUCAAUGAUGCGUCAAAUAAUCGAACACUCACAUGGGCAUCCACUAAAAAACCAGAAAAUUCUUUUGCAAAAUGAAUACUCAUGUGCUACUUGCUCACAAGGUAAAUUGAUAGUCAAACCAUUUUUUACUAAAGUCAUAUUUGAGUCACGAGUUUUUAAAAAGAAUACAUGAGAACAUAUGUGGGCCUAUCCAUCCACCAUGUGAACCAAUUCGUUAUUUUAUGAUCUUAAUAGAUACUUCUACUAGCUGGUUACAUGUUUGUCUCAUUUUUACAAGUAAUGUUGCCUUUGCUAACUCCUUUCACAAAUGAUCAAAUUAUGAGCACAAUUCCAAGAUUAUCUAAUUAAGAUAAUACAUCUUAAUAAUGUUGGCGAAUUUACUUCUCAAACAUUCAUUGACUACUGUCUAUUGGUAGGGAUAAAUAUUGAGCAUCCUAUUGCUCAUACUCAUACCCAAAAUGGUUUAGUAGAAUUCUUCAUCAAAUGUCUCUAAUUAAUAGCUCGACCAUUACAAAUGAAAACCAAAUUACCUAUUUCUACCUGGGGACAUGUUAUUAUGCAUGCUGCAACUUUAGAUUGUAUUCAACAUAUAGCUUGCCAUGAAUAAUUCCCUCCACAACUCAUACUUGGAAAACAACUAAAUAUCUCUCACUUAUGAAUCUUUGGUUGUGCAGUAUAUGUACCAAUUGCACCUAUGCAAUGGACUAAAAUGGGUCCCCAAUGAAGACUCGGGAUUUAUUUAGGUUUUAAUUCUCCAUCUAUCAUAAGAUAUUGUUAGAAAAAUUAGGCUAAUCCAACCUAAGGUAAUUACCCUAGAAGGAAAAGGAGAGGAUGAAUAGAGUGAUGGUAUUUUUUUUUAAAAAAAAAUUAAAUUAUAUGAAUACAAGAGACAAUUAUAUGCAAAUAUAUAAUAAAACAAUAUAAAGAUAGAUGCAUAUAAAGAUCUUAUCUUGAUCCUUAUACAAAUGAAUAUGAACUAGAAGUUCAAAGGAACAUUUAUUUGCAAAAUCUUGCAAACAUAUUACUAGAUGCAUUCAUUGAUACAAAGAAAGUGACAAAGUCACAUAUCUUGGCUACAAAUACUCCAACAUGGAUUGAUGUCCCUGUAGGACAGUUAACAAAUGAACCUAAGAUAUGCUUGAAGCGUAGUAAACCUGUCGACUCAAAUGAUGUAACUCCCUAGAAGAGGAGAACACAAGAAAAACUUGGCACUUUAGAAGAGUCGUUAAAAUGACUAAUCAGUCUAAAAUUGAUAAAUCUAUAGCCCCAAAAGAGGCACAAAUAAUGCAAAAAGCCCAUGAAGAGGCACUUAUUGAACAAGAAGCCCUUGAAGAGGCACAUAUUGAACAAGAAGCCCCUGAAAAGGCACAUCUACCUGAAAAUUGUGAAAUAUUAGUAAGUUAUGUACACAUGGGAAAAAAAUGGGAUCCAAAUAAUAUUGCUAUCAACAAUACUUUUACUUUUCAAGUGGCCUAUGAUAUCAUAAGAAAUUAAUAAGAUCCCGAAUAACAAAAUAUGGAAGAAUGCCGACAUAGAAAUGAUUGGCCAAAAUGGAAAGAAGCUAUGUAAGCAAAGUUAAACUUAUUAACAAAAUGAGAAGUUUUUGGACCUGUACUCUAAACACUUGAAGAUGCAAAGUUUGUUGGGUAAAAAUGGGUAUUUGUACAAAAGUGAAAUGAGAAUAAUGAAAUCAUAAGAUAUAAAGCGUGAUUAGUAGCACAAGGUUUCUUUUAGAGACCAAGUAUUGACUACGAGGAAACAUACUCUCCUGACAUGGACAUAAUCACAUUUCGUUUCUUAAUUAGUUUGGUAAUCUCAUAAGGAUUGGAUAUGAUCCUCAUGGAUGUUAUUACAACAUAUUUAUAUAGAUCCAUAGAUAAUGAUAUAUACAUGAAAAUCCCUGAAGAAUUUAAACUGCCUCAAACAAAUAAUACAAAGACUUGUAACAUUUACUCAAUCAAGUUACAAUGAUCCUUGUAUGGAUUAAAGUAAGCGGGAUACAUGUGGUACAAUCGCCUUAGAAAAUACUUCCUAAAAGAAGGGUAUGUGAAUAACCCUAUAUGUCCAUGCAUCUUCAUUAAGAAAUCAAAAACUGGAUAUGCAAUUAUUGCAGUGUAUGUUGAUGACAUAAAUCUUGUUGGAACUCCUGAAGAGCUCAUAAGAACAAAAAAUUACUUAAAAAAGGAAUUUGAGAUGAAGGAUCUUGGAAAAACAAAAUUUUCUAUUGGUUUACAAAUCAAGCAUUUUCCAAAUGGAGUUUAGUACAUCAAUCAACAUACAUUAAGAAAAUUUUGAAGCAUUUUUAUAUGGGUAAAGCGCAUCUUUUAGCCUUUCCAAUAGUUGUUUGAUCACUUGAUGUGAAAAAGAACCCAUUUCAGUCUUGCAAAAAAUGUGAAGAAUUAGUUGGUUCUAAAGUACCAUAUAUUAGUGCUGGGUGCACUUAUAUAUCUUUCCAAUUGUACAUGUCUAAACAUUGUUUUUUCUAUCAAUUUAUCAGCAAGAUAAAGUUCCACUCCAACUCAAAGACAUUGAAAUGGUAUCAAACAUAUAUUGCACUAUCUUUGCGGAGCUACUGAUGUGAGUCUAUUUUACUCAAAGGAAUCAAGCAACAAUUGCUUGGAUAUGUAGAUGCAGGAUACCUUUCAUAUCCACAUAAAGAUAGGUCAUAAACAGGGUAUAUGUUUAAUUGCAAUGGUACUGCUAUUUCAUGGAGAUUUGUUAAACAAACAAUGAUGUCACAUUAUCAAAUCAUUCAAAAAUACUUGCAAUUCAUGAAGCAAGUUAUGAAUGUGUUUGACUAAGAUCUAUGAUUCAACAUAUUCGAUAACCAUAUGGACUUUUCUCUAUCAAAAGUGGCACGACAAUAUUAUUUGAAGAUGAUGUUGCAUACAUUGCACAAAUAACAGGGGGUCAUAUUAAAAGAGAUAGAACUAAACACAUUUCAUCAAAAUUAUUUUAUACACAUGAACACCAGAAAAGUGGUGAAAUUGGUGUGCAACAAAUAUGCUCAAGUGAUAAUCUAGCAAAUUUAUUCACAAAGUCAUUGCCAACCUCAACAUUAAAGAAGUCAAUACACAAGAUUGGAAUGCAUCAACUCAUAUCAACAUGAGGGAGAGUUUGCUUGUAAAAGGGUGUUAGUGUACUGUACUUUUUUUCCCUUUGUCCAGAUUUUGUCCUUUUGGGUUUUACUAGCAAGGUUUUUAAUGAGACAGUCCUAACAUAUCAAGAGCAACUUAAAGAAUUAUCACAAUAUUGUACUGUUUUUCCUUCGCUAGGUUUUCCUAUAGGGUUUUUUACUAGCAAGGUUUUAAUGAGACAUAUUCUUCUAAUGUGGUUGACAUUCAAGGAAAAGUGUUUAAACAAAGUAAUGAAUACCACCACAUUUAUUAUAUUAAAUAUUCAUUAAUAUUAUUUAUGACUUCCAUUAAUAUUCAUUAAUGGAAGCCAUUUGGAAAGCCUAUAAAACAACUUCCCAUCCCCUGUAAGAUGCAUCCUAAGGAAAGAAAUAAAUUCUCUCGCUCUUAUUCUCUAUGUCUUUCAUUCUUUCAACUCUGUUAAUUCUCUUUUCUGAUUCUUUCAUUCCCAUUAUAUAUUAUUAUUAAAAUAAUAUAAAGUUGUUAUAUACUUUUAUUUACGUUGCAUUUAUCCUUGUUUUACAACACUUAGUUUUUUCUUUUCUCUAUUUUAUUUUAUUUUUUUCUCUUCUAGUUAUUAUAAUUAUAAUAAUAAUUAUUAUUGUUAUUUUAUAAACAUAAUAUAACCUAUCAAAAAAUAAUAAUAAUAACAUAUUUAUAAAUAAUAUAAUAAUUAAUUUACAAAUUAUUGUUUCAUUUGUUAUUAUUAUUAUUGUUAUUAUUAUUUCAAUUUUUUUUAAAUAUCAUAUAUAACUUAUACAAUAUGAAUAAUAAUAAAAUAAUUUUACAAAUAUUGUUUCAUUCAUGUUUUGAAGACAAAGUUUUCUUAUAUAAACUUUCAUAAAUUUUCAAUUGUUUUUUACAAUAUGAUUAUUAAGAAAAUAUUACAAUAAAAAAUUAGUAUUGAUAAUUAUGAAAAAACAAAAUUAAAGCAUGUGUUAUCGUACUUUUAGUGUACUUAUAUUUUAAUUUCAAUGCAUAACUAUGACACAUACAUUUUGUCACAAACUUAAUAGUGUUAGAAGCAUUGUCUUAUCCUAGUAUAUUGAUUUCUAUAUUAUUAAGGCAUCCCAAUGAAUUAGCAUCAUAUACUAGAUGCAUUCUUAUUAGCAAUAAUUCUUAUAAUGAAACUCAUACACCUUAUAAAAAAAAUGUCUUAUAAGGUUAAUUUAUAGUAGAUGAAAUGUUAAAAAAUAUACAAAAUAUAUGACAAUCAUUUAUCAAUGCUUGUUUAAAAGGAAAAAUUUUAAAAUAAAGUUAGGUUAUGCAGUAAUGUAUAAGACAUUUAAAGUAUUCAUGUUGUAAGAUCAUUAUAUUUUUGUGGUACGAAUACGUUGGCUUUUAUAUUAAUACAUAAUAUCGGUGUACUAGCAUUAUACAUUUAAUGAAUCAUUAUUAUGCAUGAUUUUUAUAAUAAAGCCUAUAAGUUUUAAGAAUUAGGUGAAAGAAAGAUCAUAUUCUAAGAUUGGUUUAUAAUCAAUGACAUUAUAAUAAUAAAAAAUAUGAAUAAUGACACAUAUGAAAUAUUAAUAAUGUAAAACUAAUAUCAUAAAUAAUAAUAUUAAUAAUGAUGAUAAUAAUAAAUAUAUAAUUAUAAUUUUUUUUAAUAAAUAGUAUAGUUAGUCUUAACAUAUAGUAAAUAAAGCACAAAAGGUAGAAAAGAAAAGUAGAAAAGUAAAGUUAUAUGGGAGUAGGAGGAAAAGACAAAAUGAUGUAAUUGGAAUUAUGGAAUGAUCAAGUUAUCAAACUAUAACUUGUGAAUUUGACAAGACUUUGAGACUUGGUGACCCUUAAGGGAGAGCUUAUCAUCACUUCGAGCUAGGUGACCAUUUUUUAAAAAAUUUCAAAAAUAAAGCCCAUGAAAAAUUUAUUUAUUAAGAAUAAUAACAAUUUUGUAUUUUUUUAUAUACAAAUUAGAUAUUUAAUUUAUUAGAAUCAUUUUGAUGGUAAUGACAAACAAAAUAACUCCUUAAAUAGGUGAAAUAAUUCAUUUUCUCAAAUUUAUAUGCAAAAUUAUUUUAAAACAAAAGGGAUGAUACAUUAUUUUUGUUCAACAAUCCACAUUUUGACUUUCAUUUUAAAAUCCAUCUAUAAAAAUCUCUCUUUAUAUAUAUCUGCCUAGAUUGCCUGAUCAUCUAUUCAUUCAUUGUCUAUAACUUCUUGCCUGAUUAUCAAUUUAGAUGUUCAUAUUUGCAUAUAUUUAUUCAUUCCACCAUGUAUUUUGUUGCUUAUUUGUAAUGUUUACAAUUUUGAUGAAAUGUUUGAUUAUUUGAAAACCGAAUUUCCCCAAACCCACUAAUAAAAAGCAACUAAAAGUCUGACCAAUCUAGAGGGGUGUUCUUGGCCGGUGGCCAUCCUGAUAAGUCACCUUAGCCGUAGACUAGAUUUAGAUUUUGCAAUUAGUACCUUUCUUUUCCUUCUAGGAAUCACUAUCAUCUUGACCAAUCUAGCCAUGUACCAAAAAGUCAAUUUUGCCAAGUUUAAAAAGUUUGCUUUAAGCCUGUUCAUCAUAGUUGACAGAAGUUAGAAUUACAAUGAAAUAUCUAGGAGAAAAUGUCCGCAGGAGCAGAGAGAGAGAGAGUGAAGGCAAUACAUUCAGUCAUGAAUUUGAUGCAAAUCCCAACGUACAUAAUUGUAUCGAAUACUCUCACCAUGAUUGUCGAUCUAUCGGAUCAGACGAUUACUAUGUUUGCCAAAAAUGCCUGGGCCGUAUGUGGAAUAAAUCAAUUCCACAAGGAAGGGAAACUGCAAAAUUCCGUACAAGGUCACUGGCAAACAGACUAAUGCUGCCAAGGUAAUAAGAAUCCAUGCCUUCUUUUCACCAAAGAGAAGAUAGAUUGCGCUACUGUAGGCUAUCAUCAUGAAUGUUACGGAGAGGAAUAGAGUAACAAGGCCAAAUAUCAACCUCCUGGGAAGGGCAAAAAGAAAAUCAUCUUCUGCAUAUCGUGCCGUGAGAAUGGAUAGGCAUAUCAGCACCGAAGCAAUGGAUAGUAAGAGGGAAAGAGCAUCGGAAGCUGCAAAAACUUUGAAGGCCUUUUCUUUGGUGAAAUUUGGUAUGCCAGUAUCAUCAUGGUUGCCACCCGGGAUGGUAAUUGCUGCUGCAAACACUACAGUAGCAAUAAGCGCUGCUGCUAAUGUGUAACAUUUUGCUGUGCCUUUCAUCCAUUUCUCCCUUUCUUUUAUCAAUUUUUCAUGUUCCUUUAUAAAUGCCAUUUUCGGUUUAUCUUUUUUUUCAUUUCUCAGAUUCACUGAAGGCUCUCGGGGCAUAUUUUUCAAUUUCCUUUGUAAAAAUCAAAAUGUUUCUAAGAUACAGAAAAAGAGUGGAUAUGUAUAAGAAAAUUAAUUCCCCUUCAAAACAAAAAUUAUUACCUUAAACCAAUGUAACUCGCGUUGCAUUUGUAGAGCUGCACCAGAAACGAGACUGAGCCGGUGCGGAGGGGCCAAUUUUCCAACCAAAUGCAAGAUGUUAUUUAAAUCAUCUUUGGCUCGUAUUAUAAGUUCUCUAUGCAUAUCGGUUCCACAGAUGAGGUUGAAAAUCUUUUCAUAACGAUUUAAUACUGCCAAUUUGAAUACAUCCUCAUCCAGAUACUCGAGGGCAAAAGGAUAUGACUUCAUAAUCUCUUGCAGAAUCUCGGGAAUCCCAUAUUUUGCCCCAGUAAUGAAGGCUAGUUUAAAUAUUUCCUGUGCUCUUGAUGCUUUCAAAACUUCAGUACAUAGGUGGUUAAGCAAUUGAAGAGUCAGAGAAUGCAUUGUUUUUGUUUCUUGGAUGUGCUUGAUGGGUGGUACUGCAAUUAAAAUUAUAUUAAGGACAACAUAACAUUGCAUUCAAAACUUUUGCAUGCUUUAGUGGUAGUUUUGUUGUGUUCCUUACCUAACCAUCCAACCAGUUCCCAGAACAUUGCAUUCACCUUUCGGCAAGUUGUGUGCAAUGAAAAUUGAAGCAGUUCAGAUGCAAAAGCAGGACUAACAGAAGAAAAAACAAAAAAGCAACCCUGAAUCAAGUACCAAUUAAACACUAAUCUAUCAGAGCUUUUUGGGAUUCAAUAGGUUUCAUAUACUUCCCUUAAACCGUCGCACUUGAAUUUAAAGGCUAGAAUCAAGAAGCCUAAUGAAACUUGGUACAAGCUCAAUUACUCGACUUCUUAUUAAUUAACCAGGAGCAUCAGGUGACAAGAUAUUCAUAAAAUCUAUCAGAGCAAUGAAAAUUGUGUAUCCUACAUAAUUCUUUGAGUAGUAGAGUAUUAUCCAUUGGAAUUUGAUUGUAGAGCUGAUUUCAAAUCCAUUACUUGAACUUAAAAGGAAAAAAAUGAACACAAUUUUGUGAGGACAAAUUAAAAUUGUGAGGAUCUCAAAUUCAACAAGUUAGCAUUUCUCUACCAGGUGCAAUUUGGCAAAUUGGUUUGACCUAACUUGAAUAUCGGAGAAGUUGAGAAACCAUUUUUAGUACUCAAGUUAGAAUUUGGUCAAGCUUCUCAACCAAAAGUUAAUUUGGGUUGAGCUCAAUUUUGGGCUGAGUUCAAACCAAUGCUUCAACAAUCUAAGUUGAAUUAAACUCCAUUAAUAUUUUAUAAUAUUUAUAGAAUAUAUUACUAUAUAAUAAUAUCAAUUUUUUUUUCUAAAAUAAUUUUAAGGGAAAAACCAUCAAAAUAUAUUAAGCCAACUCUCAGAAAUUUGCCUACCCCCUUGUGAACACUAUUUGGAAGGAAAAUUAAUUAGGAAGCCUCUUAAGCAAGCCAGAAAGGUAUUUGGUCCUCUGUAGCCUAUGCAUUCCAUAGUACAGGGCCUAAUGAACAUGAGAGCAAAGCAUGGUGCCUACUACUUCAUCACAUUUACGGAUGGUUAUAUCUACAAGUCCAAAUAAUUGCUUUGAUUUAGAUGUUAUAUGAAUAUUGUAAAAAAAUGAAAAGAAAAAACUAUUACAACAUUAAGGAUAAAUCAUGGACAUGAGUAUCCAUUGAAGAGUUUUAAAAAUCUCUAUGAUGAAAAGCAAAUCCAAAGAACAAUCAAUAGCUUCAAGGACUCCACAGUAAAAUGGUUGAACUGAAAAUAGUAACCAUAAACUUUUGGAUAUGGUUCACUCAAAAAGGCACAAGCCAACUAUCUAACAUCUUUCAAGGUGGGAAAGGAGGGUUACUAUUUUGAUUGCAACUUAAAUCUUGAGUGAAGUGCCCUCAAAAUCAAUUACUUCAAAUCCAUAUAGUUAAGAAGUCAAACCUAACUCACUUGUGAUCCUAAGGGUUAGUAGGUUUAGUUCAUGUAAAUUCUCAUAGAUAUUGUGCUAUAAAGGAAACAAGUGCACUUUCAUUCAUUAGAUAUUCUAAGAAAUCAAAGGUUGUGUGAUGCUUAGUGAACAACUCAAUGGGAGUAUAAUUGAAAUAAAGUCAGAUGAAAUCACUUUCUUAUAGGAUGAUAUUUUGAGCAGAGGAGCAUUGAACAGGAGUCUCAAUUUAUUUGAGGCAAUUAAACCAAAGGAAAAUACUAUGAUAUCUCAUAUCGAACAGGGGAAAAAGUUCUUGACAUUAUAUAUAUAUAUAUAUAUAUAUAUAUAUAUAUAUAUUAGCUUCUCUUAAUUAUUUAGACACAUUUUAAUGUUGUGAGGGUGUAGACCCUCAAUUUUGUCCCUUUAACACAUGUCUUUAAAUCCGUUUUCAAUGCUCCGUAAUAGUUCCUUGGUGGCCCAUAGCUACUCAUACCACUUACCUUUUUUUUGAGUCACCUUGGAGACUUUGGUUGAGGGAUUAUUUGAUCCCUUAUUGUGACCCUUGGCAACCCUAACUUAGACUUAGGCUUUUCUUGUUUUUUUUUUAGGAUAGCUUUUAGAUACACUUGGCCCAUUAGGCACCACCCUAGGCCCACUUAGUCUCACCUUAGGCCCGUUUAGGCACACUAGGCCUACGAAGACUUUUAUUUUAUUUUAUUUAUUUAUUUAUUUAUUUUGUUUUAGUUUUAAUUUUAUGAUUAUCAUUCACUUUUUAUUGGUUAUCUUCCUCUUUAUAUUAUUUUCCUUAACUUAUUUAUUUAUUUAUUAUUUUUACCAUUUUCUAAUUUAUUUACUUAUUUAUCUAUUCAUGCAAUUAUUUAACUUAAAAAAUUUCAUGUUUUUGCAAGGAAACUUACCAUUGGAGUUUAAGGAAGGCGGGACCCUCCUUGGAAGGUUUUGGAGGGGAAUUUGAAAUUGGGAAGAUUGCUUUUGAUUGGAAGAUUUAAAAAAAGAGAAGAGAAGAAGAAAGGAAAUAGGAGAAUUCUCCUUUUUGGAAACAAAUUUAGGUCUUGAGGAGUGAUAUAUAAAGAGAAAAAAGGAAAAGAAGAGAAAGAGGGGGCAGCACGCAUUGGAGGAGAUUGGUUUUAGAGAAGAAGAAGGAAGAUAGCAAAAAAAGAGAUUUUUUAAGAAAACUUUCAGCACGCAUUGAGAACGGAGGGGAAUUGGAAAAGAGAAGCAAUCUUUGCCUCUUUAAGAGAAGUUCUAAGGUAAGUUUUCGGAGGAUUCUUUUUAUUUUUAUUUUUCUGGCUUAUAUCCCUAAUCUAUGUUCUUCAUUCUCUCAUUUUAUGAUUUGGGACACUGUUUGCUUGGUGGGUUGAAGAUGUAAGAAACUUCAUGCGAACUUUAUUGAUUUCUGGUUCUUGUUUAUGCUUACUGAUAUGGUUUCAUUCCUCGCUAUUCUUUUUCUUUUUUUUUAUUAUUAUUUUCUAUCAUAUGAACUCAGUGAGACUCUGUUUUAUGGAAUAUUAUUUGAUGAUAUUGGUUGCCCUGUUUCUCUUUUACUCCUCCCACUAAUCCAAGCCCAUGGAUUAACAUUUGAAAUGGGGACAUGUUUAUUGGCAUCCUCUGCUUAUUCCUUCUCCGGUCUACUAUGUGUCUAUCCAUGUCCUCUGUUCCCCUUUCCAUACUGCAUUCCAGUCCUUGUCUGUAUAUUUGGGUGUGUAUCUGAGACCGAUAGAAGUACUGAUGUGAAAGAUAAGGUGUGUAGCACACGCAGUGUGCUCAGUGUAUUCCUGGUGGAGUGCGGAGAAUGAAGGGUAGUGAUGGAGAUUCAAAUCAUGUGAAUUUGGUUGAAUUACAGAAGAAGGCUACCACUUUGAAUUUUCUCUACGUGGCAUAUUGGGAUUAAAAGAGUUCCACGCAUAGUCCAUGAUGAAGACAGCCUGCAAGCAUAAAUGGGUAUCCCACGUGGCUAUGAGACUAAAUGAUAUUCCCAUACAAGUCUGCACCUUUGUGAGAGACGUGUCGCUAUUGAAGAAGCAGCCGCAUCCUUGAGACUGUCUGCGCACAAGGAGAAUCUCCAGGGGUGCUUACCUUAUGUACAGAUUUGCAUGGUGAUUAGCUACGCUCAGGUAGUCCUGAAAUGCUUGCAAAUCUGCAUGGUUCACCAAUUGAGUCCGGGAAUUCUGACAGAUCUUCAGGAAUGGAUGACGAGUCCAAUAACCGCGAGGUGAAUUCUAAUUUAGAAGUUCCUAAUGCAAAUGCUGGUCAUGCUAAUGCUCUGCAUGCCAGCGCUGAUGUUGAUAUGAAUGGUGCUAGUCUUGAAGAUCAAAUUGAGCCAACUGGCCCGGUUUCUAAAUAUGGCACGGGUGAGCCACAGUCAAGGCCAAACACUCUAGUUCCUUGCUAUUGAGAUCUACUAUUUAUCAAAAAGACCUAUCCCCAAAUCAGUCCAACAGAAGCCGAAUCAAUUGAAACAUGAAAGCAAUGAGGGUACAAUAUAAAGGGGCAGUUUUUGGCGAGCCGAAUCCGCACCCUUUCGUCCUUGUUGAUGUUGCAUAGAAACUUACGGUGAAUGAGAAAACCAGUCAGUCAAUUCUGGUUAGUGGUGAAAGUGGGAUGCUUAUGCGUUAUCUCGCCUACAUGGAAGGGAGAUCUGUAGCUAAGGGAAGGACUAUUGAGCAACAAAUUCUAGAGUCCAAUCUAGUUCUAGAAGCAUUCGGUGAUGCAAAGACUGUCAGAAACAAUAAUUCAAGUCGGUUUGGUAAGUUUGUGGAGAUUCAAUUUGAUCAGAGGAGAAGGAUUUCAAGAGCAACUAUCAGGACUUAUUUUCCGGAAAGAUCCUGUGUUUGUCAAGUGCCUAAUCCUGAGAAAUUAUCAUCGCUUCUACAUGCUUUGUGAUGCAUCAGCGGAGAAUGUUCAAAGGUCCAGAUUGGGAAAAGCAGGAAGUUUCCAUUAUCUGAAUCAAUCCAAUCGCUAUGAGCUGGAAGGUUGACAGCAACUAAAGACCUUUGCCAUCUCAUUUUUCCCUCACUAAAAUCUGAACCUAAGGCAUACAUGCAUGCUGUCACCAUGGCUCCCGGUCACUCACAUCUAGAAGAUAAGAACAUAAGGAAAAUUCUUGUGGUAAAUGAGCAAACAGACCUGUUUUUACACAGUUCGUUGAUGAUUCACAUGAAAGCAUUUGAUUCAAGACACCAUCUCGCGGAACUGAAAGCGAUGUUAAGGAGAGAACUGAAGGUUUGGUCUUCUGGUUUGUGCUUGGAGGGGAAUAGGAUUUCUGCUGGAGGUAGUGGGAGCCUUUCUGAUAAUUCUUCCAGAGAUUCUGUUGCAAAUGAAACCAGUGCAGCAUCUAGAACUGACAAACCAGCUUUGGAGCGAAGAGAUAAAAAGUACUCUUCAAAUAAUAAUGGUCCAGAAGUGGAGAUUAGUCGCUGUUGUGUAGUCCUUUAGUCUUCACUAAGACUAUUAGUUGGCAAAGUUCACCAGAUUUUGAGGCAAUUCAAGACUAAUUUACUUGAUAUGGAUGCUGCUCUCCCUGAGGAGGCUCCAAGGCCAUCAAGGCCUGACUUAGAAAAGAAAUUGGCAUGGCAUGCUUUUGAUUAAAUCUGCAGAGACAAUCUUUGAGAUGGUUAAAGCAACAAUCAUGCUCGAGGGCAUGAUUAAGAUUGAAUACUUGAUGAACGGAUGGUGGCAUUGGUCAUCACUCUCUGCUGUUGCCAAGACUUCUAUCGUUUCUUCCCUUGCCCUCUGCAUAUACUCUCUGGAUGCUGCCAUUGCGUAUGAGAAGAUCUCAUUUAAUUUGGAUGACUGGCAGUCCCUCGCUCAACCAGAAAUGACAGUAUCUCCCACUCAGCAGAUGCCACAUGCAGAACAGCCAAUUCCUCCAUAAGUUAACCAUCCUUCCUCAUCUUCAGCUAUUGCAUUAUCAAAUUUUCUCCAAAGUGCUAGUGCAAAUGAAUCAAAAGGAAGCUUAGUUAAAAGUCCUAACCUGCUUUUGUCCGAAUUAUCAGAGUUUUCAAAAGAAACAUUGCAGCAAAUACACGAAUCAAUUGGAUUCAGCUUAUAGUCUCAAUGCUGAUGGUGAAAAAUAGCUAUGCUGAUCCAGAAGAGUAUAGUGAUGAAGAUUACAGUAGUUUCCAGAGGCCAAAAGUAGUAAUUGAAGGAAAACCAGAGAAGACUCUCAAAGCCAAAAGAAUCAUGGGACUCUGAACAGUUUGAGGAUCUUUGAUCAGAUCAGUCCAGAAAUCAAUCCUAAUCAGAGGAUGCAUACUGAUAGAGAUCAGGGAAGGUAUCUGUUUACUAGGACACCGUCCAGACUUGAACUUACUGACAAGCACUCUAAAUUUGGCAUCCAUGUUUUCUACUAAAGAACAGCUACUGCCUCUUUGUGAGUGCUUCCCUGCGUCUGUUGCUUCAGAAAAAUCAAUGAGUGGCAGUGUGCAUUUGAAUUGGUUUGUGAAGCAAUGUAUACUGAGCUGCGAAUUGUUCAUCAAGAUAAGUAUGGCUGGGUCCUCCAUGCUGAAAGUGAGCGGCGAACCUAUCUCCAACGACUCGUACAUGAGCGAGGAAUACUUCCAAUGCACAAAACAAGUCUGAUUGAAGGUCCUGAAUAGCAGCUUUGUCCCAUUGAAAGUCCAUAUAGGACGUGCCAGAAGCUUGAAAGAUGCAAAUUAAAAAUCGAUACCAUCCAAAAUGUUCUAGAUGGACAGUGUGAAUCAGUGGAAAUAGAGCUGUCCGGAGAGAAAAAUGAGAUAGGUUUUUCGAAGCAUCUGAUACUGAUUCUGAGUCAUAUCUCCCUCUUUUAGACAGUGGUGUCAAACAGAUUGAUGACAAAUAUUUUGAUGAAUCAUUCUUUAAAGAAUCAGAUGAUAUUAAAGAUGUUGCUUCCGCAAGGAGUGGAUGGAAUGGUGACCGAGCUAGCAUCAUAAAUAAAGCAAGUCUUCACUCUGCUUUGAAUUUGGUGUCAAGUUUAGUGCAGCCACUGUCCUAAUGUCAGAGCAUUCAUGGGAUAUCUGACACAGGAUCUCCAAGGCAGUCUUCUUCUAAGAAAAAUUGAGGAGGGGAAAGAUAGUGAGGAUAAAGUGGAUAAGGAACCGCUUGAUAAUAGUGGAUACUUAACUAGACCGUACCUGGAACCUCUUGCAAAGAUGAAAUUCAGAUAUAAUUGCGAACAAGUAGUUGGCCUUGACAAACAUGAAGGAAUGCGAAGAUAAACUCUCUGUUAUUGAUUAAGCUUUGGGAGCAAUGAAGAAUAUUAAUUUGCGGGUGUGCCGUGGCAUGAGGGUUGCUGUUUGUGGUACUGUAAGCUCAGACAAGUCAAGCUUACUAUCCUGUAUGUUCUGAGAGGUGUCUAAGAUAUCUGGUAUCUUUAAACUGUGUGGAACAAAGGCCUAUGUUACUCAGUCUCCUUGGAUACAGAGUGGCAAGAUAGAAGAGAACAUCUUGUUGGUAAAGAGAUGGACAGAGAAAGACCAAAAUACGAUUGAUACAAACAUUGCAACAGCCAAUCAAGCCAUCCUUUGCCUCUUAAAACUAUGAUGAAUCCAUUAUGAGAUCGCCACCAUCCCCGAUAUAUUGAACCAUCACAAUCUUUUGAGUCUGAAUUCCCUACACUGCAUGUAUUAUCAAGAAACAACCCUUCAACAUCCUCACCGCUGUCAGCAUCUCAUGCAGAGCUAGAAGACAGCCCACAGCAGAACCCCCAACUUCUGUACAAAAGCAUCUAAAGAUAGCUCCAAUUCCAGGAGUUGAUGAUUUAAUUGAUCAAAUGGCUGUCACAACUGGUCUUCUUUUUUUUUAUUUUACCUUUUAAUGGAAGCCACUCAGCCUUCUGUUGUUGAUGCAAAUUCAGAGCGAGAAAUUGAAAUUGAAGUCUAGAGUGAGAUCCUUUUUUACGAAAAGGAAACAAACAUUGAUGAUAGUGAAUAAUGGUGUUCCCCUUAAUCAAGACUUCAUCAGUAACUUACCCUCUCUGAUCCUGUGCAUGGAACCAUGGAAUUCGUAUCCUCUGCAAUGAGCUUACAGCAUAUGUGCUGACACAAAGCAAAGGGAGAAUCAGAUUAUGAUGAGUACAGAUCAGCAUGGGGACGAGAAGGUCUGGGUUAACCAUCUUCAAAGAGCUUGUGUACCUUACCAAAUCUAAAUAGCAAAGGAGAAAUAAGAGAAUGGUGGAGUACGGUGUCUUCUAGGAGGUCACUCUCGAAAGUCCAGAAAUGUAGGAUCCAUCAGUAAGCUCUAAGUUACUGCCCCUUUGCCUUCACACACGCGAAGAAGUUGCUGAAUCCUAUUGACUGAGAGAUAGUUUCUGAUUCUGGGCAAUUUGAUAUGCCUAAAGAAUGGGAAGUUAUUCGGGAAACUGAACAUCUGAAGAUCAAUAAAGACAUAAGCAUUCAGUUAAUGUUUAGCAGGUUGACGACAGAAACAGAACCCUGAUGUUAAUAUAAGGGAAAUUGCUGAUACACAUUUCCAGAUCAGAUGAUAAGUAGAAAUUGCUUUUCUGCCAGCGUUUCCUCUUUUCUGCCAUGGCGAAGCACCUUUAGGAUGAUGACAAUGGUUCUACUUUCUCCAAUGUGGUGAAUCCAAAUGACUUCUUGUCAUUCUCUGAACCUGAAUUAGAAGAAAUAUUGGAAGAUAUCAGCUGGAGUGCACCAAUCUGGUUUGGGUUGUGAUGCCAGUAGCAUGAAAACAGGAACUUUAGGAAGAGAUGGUAGUGAAAUUUCUUUCUCCACAAUUGUAUGAGCGAAUCGAGUUUGCAGACAGCGACCACUGAUGUAAGAACGCAGAAUUCCAUUUCAGCAAUCUACAGAAACAUCUUCAGGCAACCCAAGUAAUUCAGUCUCAAAAGUAGCCUAGACACUAAUCCAGCUUGGCCACCUCACCACGCAUCAUACUCCUUCUAUUGUUUCUUUUUCUUCUUUUGUGAUUUUAUACAUCUUAAAUCUAGAUUUCAAAACCAUUCUACGUCAAAAUAACUCCAAUUUUCUUUAAACUUCUUUAGAAGCUCCUAGGUACAAAAUCCAGAUUUUAACAUGCAAUUUGCUGCCACUUUACUUCGGGUAUGCACUUUCACUGUUUUCUUUGAUUUUAACUAUUUUCGUGUUUUUCUUGAUUUUCCUAAGCAUGAACAAACUUCAUAAUUCCAAAUCAUGGAAUUUAUGGAAUCAACUCAUGCGAAAUUAAUUAGGGCUUUGGUGGGGGCCCGACAUUCAUGAUACCUUAUUCAAUAUUGUUUGCUUGAUAUGUUGAUUUUUGAUUCUUCUUGAUGAUAUACAUGAAUGUGUUUCGUAUUUAUUGUUGAGAUGCUCUUGAUCCCCAUAGAGGAGUACUAGCUUGCUAUUCAGGUACGCUCUCUUCUCAUCUAUUUUUUUUUAGAACUCUAUAGACUUGUAUGCCAUUGAUAACCAUAUCCAUAUUUGACGUGAUUCUUGGAUGACUUGAUAUAUGCCUGACUUGCUUGAAUAAAACAAAUGUUGUGUGCUACAUUCCUACACUAACUUUUAUGUUUUAUGAUAGCGCUUGAAGAGCGGUUCAGGUACGCACCCUAACUCUCCUUUAUUGUGAUUUGAUCUUGUUUAACAUGCAAUUUUUUGAAAUCACCUAGCCUACUUAGGUAUCCAUAAUUAACCGAUUAAUUGUCAUAUUCCCCUUAACUUAGUUAGUAGAGACCUUUAUAGGGCUUAGAGGGGUGCUGCCUUUCAAAGGUACCUUCCCAAUAGGUAACCUAAUCCCCGGACUUAGACUCGGGUUUUUCAAAGACGCUUUUUCCAAAAAUUAUGGAGUCAUUUUUUAGGGUUUUAUUUCUUGUUUUAUUUUCCCCUUUAAAAAAAAAUAAAAUAAGUGGCGACUCCAACUUUUUUUCCAAAAAUCAAUUUUUCACAAAAUAAUAAAAAGCGAGUCUCGCCGAUCGAGUGGGGACGCACGUGAAAAAUGCGGGUCCACAGAGGGCUCUUUGAGCCCAAAGUGGAUAGUAUAUAUUUACACAGUUGGAAGUGAGUCAUUACAAAUGGUAUCAAAGUGUAUCCCCAGUCAUGAUAUGAGAGUUUAUCUCAUCAUUGUAAUUAUGGGCAUUAAGGUGAAGCUUUCAUGUUUGCAUCAUAAGAUCAUGAUGUUAGGAUAGAUUCUUUAAAAGCAUGAUAUGAUGUAACCAUAAAUGGAAUUCAUUAAUACUUAUAUUAUGACUUUGAAUUUCUAUUCACUAUCCUAUUUAUGAAUUAUGUAUGUUAAGCCUUCAAACCUACAUCACUUGCAUGUACAUGACUUGAGUGAAUUAGGAGUUACAUGAAAAAUCUAAGUCAUAGAUUCCUUGCAAGUUAAUGACUCAUUCACAACUGGUUCAUGGACUUCAAUAAACCAUUUGAGGCUAUAGUGCACUACCUCCUAAUUGGAGGGAUAACUUGCCCUAGUCAUUAGGAUGGGUUUCCCAUGGUGAGUGUACGUACUAGUGUGUUUAGUUAUGUUGGGAAACCUAGAUCUCUCCAUUCCCAUAACCCUGGAUUGUAUAGGUGCAUGCAAAAUACCCUAGGCCUCUAAAUCCUAUGCAACAAAAGCAAAAAUCAAAAUUUUAACAUUCUAUAAUCUAGAGAAAAGUCACCAAAAACUUUGAGAAAAUUAAAGGUUAAUCUUAAUAGAGAAAACACCCAAGAGAGGAGGGAAGGGGGGGGGGGGGGGGGGGGGGUUUGAAUUGAGUUUUUAAAAAAUCAUUUUCAAACACCACAAAUUCAAGAAAAGGAAACACAAAUAUAAAGAGAUAAGGUUAAAAAGAGUAAAAUUAGAUUUUAUAGUGGUUCAGCACUUCCUUGCCUACAUCCACUCUCCUCAACCUCUUAACUGAGUGAAGGUUCCACUAUACUUGAAGCUUCAACUAAGCUUUUAAUCACCUUUACACUUGGAUUCUAGCUCCAAUGGACUAUUACAUAAUCCCUUCAAGUCUUAACUCACUUGAAGCUUUUAGCAUUCAAAAUAACAAGUUUGAAUCUCUCAACCUAGCUCAACAAGGGCUCAAAUACAACUUAAAUGUUAGGAAGAAUCACAAGGGGGCACUAAGGAAUAUGCAAAUGGAUAUUUAAUGCACUAAGGAAAGAAUGAGAGCUUUUGAGGCAAGAAUAAGUAGGCAGACAAAUAAAUGCAGGUGUUCUCUACCUCAUAAAUGAAGUGGAGUUCUCAAUUUGUAGGUUUCUAGCCUCAGGAGUCAAAAAUGCCGAAAAACGGCCUUGACCAGUCGAGUUGGGGUUACUAGCCAUUGGACAAUAAAUGCAUGAUAGGUGAUCGUUACACCUCGACUGGUCCUUGACCAAAUCUUGAUUAGAUCUCAACCGAGAAGGCAUAUCCCUUGAUCGGGAAUGCAAAGCUAUAAGAAGAGAGAGAAGAUUUUUGCAUUUCUGGACUAGACCUCGAUCAAGAAGGUGUAAUCAGUUAACCAGUGCCCUAGCCGGUUGAGCCAGUUGGCUAGUGCCUUGACCAGUUCACCAUUUUUUGCCUGAAAACCUUUUUUUUUUUUUUUUGUUCUUUUCUCUUCUAACACUUAAACAAGGUAUUUAGGUAAAUUAAUAUGCCAAUUUUGAAACAAUUUGCCUAAGGUUCAUAUGAUAAAACUCAUGUUUUGACGAAAAUGUAACUUUAAUGCCUAAACUGAGUUUUUAAAGUGCAUGAAAAGAUAUGAAAAUCCUAAGUGCACCAUGCAUUCAUCUUACAUAUGUUUCCUAUUAUUAAAGGGUCUUCCAAUUGUCUUGAUCUUGCAUCCAUUGGGUCCUUUGAUGAAUUUCCAAACUAAUACUUGAAAUUCUUUAUAAUUCAAACCAAGUAACAACUUAACCAUGGUUUGUUAUCAUCAAAACAUGAUUAGGAGAACCCUUGGGCUAACAAACUUUAGAUUUGAUUUAAAUGGUUCUUAAAUCAAUUUUGCUUAGUGAAGGUGAAUCCUAAAGAGUUCAGAUGUCUCACACACCAAAAAUCUUUUGCUUGAUGACUUGAUCCAUAAUCUUGGCACUCCAAAAUGUGGGCUUUGGAAUAGAGGAAUCCUAGGCUCUCUCUCUUUAGACAUAGAAGAUGAUUGUCUCUCAAAAAGUGAUUGGAACCCUAAGCUUUAAAGGGUAUUUAUAGCAUUUCCCUACUAGGCUUAAAUGACUUGAGCCCACUAAGGCUUGGGCCACUUAAUCUUAUCUAAAAUGGGUCUUAAUUGAUUAAUUAACCAUACAUGAUCAUCUAAUUAACCAAUUCAUGUCAAUGAGAUAAUAAAGAGAAAACAAAAAAUAUAAAUAAAUUUCUAUCUGUUACAUCAUGUCAUGCUUUUUAGGGCUCAAUCCUAAUAUGUUACACAUUAGAUAAGAUUUAUGGUGAGUCAGAGAUUGGUCAUUAGGUAGCCUUAACUUCACCAAGCUACUAUGUUGCAUAAGCUCUCAACCUUGAGAGAAUAUUGAUCUAGUGCUAAGGUCUUCAAAGGCUUUGACCCAUGAGUGAGACCCUAAAGUGGUCAUAUAUUCUCUAUAGAUAGGAUUACUAUGAUUGAGGCAUGUGAUAAUGGGUAUUCUCAAGAUAAGCACCAUGAUAUCUUAAGGGUUUGAGACAUUAUGUCCCCUUAGGUGAUCCUAAGGACAUGUGAUCGUGAAAAUUAUGGCCAUAAUGAUUCCUUAAGUGGAAUUUAACAUAUGCUCUUGGAGGGAUAUAGUAUGUCAAUUGAUCACAUAAUAGGAGGAUCUAAGACUCAAGGAUUGUAGAAGUAAUCUUGAGAGGUUGAUAACAUUCAUUUUGUUAAAUUAUGGAUACCAAUUCAUGAGGAGCUUGCAUGCAAUUGUUAGUAGGUCACAGACUGAAGUUUUCUAUCUCGAUUUAAUAUCAUAAAGAUACUAAAUUGUAGUUUACUCUCUAUAGUUAGAUUUUGAGUCAACUUUAAGAUUGGAUUUUAAGGGAGCCAGUACUUCCCUAUGGAUCCUAGUGGUUCCCACUCAAACUCAUAUUCCUUGGUCAAAAAAUAUUUGAGGAAUAGUUGGAUUAUUUAUUUAUAUGUGUGUAUAAGAGCAUUUUGGUAAAUAUGGAAGGUUGCACAAGUACAUAUAAAUAAUCUUUUAAAUUUAGAUAAUUAAUUAAUUGAAACUCAAUAGAGCAAAUUAGUUAAUUAGGACCCAAUGAGUCAGAUUAAGUAACCUAAACGUAAGAUGAGCUCAAGUCACUCGAGCUAAGAGGUAAGCCUAUAUAAACUCCUUAAAGGGUUUAAGGCUUAGUACUUGUCAGCCAUUCAAUCUUCUACCUUAAUAUCUAUCCCCACAAAGAGGAUUCUAACACCCUUAUGUGUUAGGAUACAAGAAAGAGAGUUAUCAGGCAAAAUAUCAUGAGGUAUUUGAGAUCUUAAUUGACCUCUUCACCAAUUAGAUUUAAUUCCUUGAGCACUUAAAUCUAAUAUUCAUUGUUCUGAAUUCUCCCAUGACAUAGUUCUAGCAUUUCUACGAAGAUAGUGUCAUGCACCUAAUGAUCUAGGGCUUGAAGUUAGGUAAUCUAGAUGUUCCAACACAUGAGAAGUAUAAAUUUUUUAAUAAUGCUCUCUUAUCCAUACUUGUGAAAUAUGGAAAGCUACAGUGAAAUAACAGAUAAAGUUUAUUAUCAAGAACUCUAUUUGAGAAUUAAUUGAACUAUUGUUAAGACAUAAGACCUUAAGGAAUAAGUAGGUUUUUAAGGUCAAACUUUAGGCAAAUGAUGCAAGUUGUUAAACUUAACUCAUGAAGAAAGGAUACAACCAGAAUAAGUGUGUAGAGUAUAAAAAUAAAAAUAAAUAAAAAAAAAUCUCAUGAGAAGUGAGGUUUGCCUCAACUCUCCUUAUUCAAACCAUUAUCACAUCUUUGGAUUUGAAAUUAUAUCAAAUAAACAUUCAAAUCAUUUUUCUCAAUAGAGAACUAAAUAAGAAGAUCUAUAUAGAUCAAUUGACUGGUUUUAUGGCAACUAAAUAGAAAGUCAAAGUUAACAACUACAAAGGUCCAUUUAUAGCCUACAAUAAUCAUCUCAACAAUGGUAUAUUACACUAAUGGGUUUAUGAUGGUCUAAGAACACUAUUGCAUGUUUGUUAAACGGUGUAAGGGUAGAUUUUUUAUCCUUUUUUUUUUUUUUUUGUAUACAAAUGAAAUGUUGGUUAGGGAUGAUAAUGAGAUGGUUACCUCUAAAGUGUGGUGGUCGUCAACUUUUAAAAUGAACAACAUGCUUAAAGCAAACUAUGUUUUCAAAGUUAUGAUCCUAAUCAAUCAAUCAAGGAGACUUUUUGGUUUGUUUUACAAAUCAUAAACAAUGAAUAUUCUUGAAAAAAUUCUAUAUGUAAAAUUGAAAAUCUAUUAGCAUACAUAUACAGAAAGAUAAGACCUUAAGCUUUAACAUGUGUCGUAAGACUUUAGAUGAAUAGGAAAAGAUCACUCAAGGUUCCUAUAUGCUAGCAUUGUUAGUAGCUUAAAGUAUCCAAUGAUGUGUACAUGAACUAAUAUUUGUUAUAUAAUUAGGUUUGUAGCUUCCAAUUAGAUCUAAACCUUGCUUACAAAAAAGCAAUGGAUUGGAUGCUUUUCUACCUCAAAGUCACCAUAGGCUAUAUAAUUUUCUAUUGAGGAUUGAAUUUGGACAUGAUUAGCUAUAACAGUGAUAAUUGGGGUAGCAUCCUAAAUGAAACUAAAUCCACAUAUGGUUAUAAUUUUAUAUGUGCUCUAUGAUGUUAGCAUAUAUUGGUGAAAUAGAAAACAAUCAUGUAUAACAUUGUCUACCAUGCGUGGAGUUGGGAGUACCUUACUUGUUGUUUAGGAAAGUGACUAGUUUAUGAUGUUCAUACAUAUUUUUCACAACAUUGCUUGUUCUUUUGAGCAUACUACUAUUUAUUGUGAUAGCAUGGAAACUUUAGCCUAUGUCAAAGACCCCCNNNNNNNNNNNNNNNNNNNNNNNNNNNNNNNNNNNNNNNNNNNNNNNNNNNNNNNNNNNNNNNNNNNNNNNNNNNNNNNNNNNNNNNNNNNNNNNNNNNNCCUUGCUUACGAAAAACCAAUGAACUGGAGGAUUUCAUACCUAAAAGCCCCCAUAGGCUAUAUAAUUUGCUAUUGGGGAUGAAAUUGGGACUGGAUUAGCUACAACAAUGAAAAUUGGGGUGGCAUCCAAAAGGAACCAAAACCCACAUAGGGUUAAAAUUUUAUAUAUGCUCUAGGAUGUUAGCAUAUAUGGGUGAAAAAGAAAAAAAUCAUGUAAAAUAUUGUCUCCCAUCCAGGGAGUGGGGAGUACAUUAGUUGUCGUCUAGGAAAGUGACUAGUUUAUGAUGUUCAUACAUAUUUUUCUCAAUAUUGCUGGUUCUUUGGAGCGUACUACUAUUUAUGGGGAUGGCAGGGAAACUUUAGCCUAUGCCAAAGCCCCCCCCCCCCCAAGUAUCAUAGUUGAACCAAACACAUCAAUCUUAAAUGUUAGUUUAUAUGAGACAUGGUUAAAAAUCCUACCCUCACCCCCCUUGUUGACUAAGCUAAUACGUAAAGAUGUUUAUUAGGGUCAAGUUGAGAGUAUUGGAUUAUGUAGAUCAUGAUUAUGUGGAAGUUAAGUUGAGAGCAUUGGAUCAUGUAGAUUAUGAUUACAUAUUGUGUAUUUCAAUUAACCAUUAUACCUAUGAUUUAUUCAUUGUCCAAUCUUGUUUGAUGGUGACAUUUAAUUAUUUGUUUUACUUUAUUGACAUACACUUUCAUUACUUUGCACAACUGAAACAUAAUGAGUCCAAAACCACUUAGAUAGUGUGUUAGGUCAUUGAUAUUUAUAAGACUCCUUUUUGUAUCCAAUAAAACUUGCAUGUUAGUAGCGACCAAGUAUAGAUAGUCUUAUAGUCCACAUUUGUAAUGGAGUCAAUUGCCAAAUCUUGUUAAUGUAGUGCUUGAUUAAGUAAGCAUGUGCAAAACUUGAGUUCUUUGCUCGAUGCAAUUAAACUAAGAUUUGUACAAUAUAGAAGAUCUAAGGUACACUCAUAAUGAAGAUCUCCAUGUUAGCAUAUAUUUUCAUACUAUAUCUUCUUGGCAAUCAAACAAGAAUGAAUGAAUAUAUUCCUAGCUACUCCCUCAUCAUGUGCAUUAAUCUUAUUGGUGAUUAUAUAGUAUAACUUUUAUGCCCUUGUGAUUUUCAGUCAUAAGUUACAAGUAUGGUGUAGUUUGAAAUAUUUUUCUAGGGGGAUUCACCAUGUUUAACUCAAUGUGAAUAAAAGUGUUUAAGAUAUAACGAGACACCUUCUAGGGAUGAAUUACACUGGUUAAGAUGAAGUUUAGUUUGAUACUCUUGCACCUUUCUUAUCAAUGUGUUCGACAGUUGCAUAAUCCAUUAGUCAAUAUGAACAUGGAUGACAAUGAUAUAGUUGAGAAAAAUGCAUGACGUUAUUUUGCCUACUAUGCAUGAGUGGGAGACAAUGGAGUUUCUAUUUCAUGAGAUACUCUUAGUAGGGCUUCAUUAGCUAAAAGCUUGAGAGUAAGUUGCAUACUUAUCAGUUAAGAUUCCUCAUGGGAGAAAAGUUUAGUUAAGAUUCCUCUCAUGGGAGGAGGUUCACAUUUAGAUUUUGUGAGAAUCUAUAAGAGUUUUUUGUCUUUUUCAAUUCCAAUUCUAGUCCUUUUGCAUGUUUUGAAUUUAGUUUGUGGCAGUUGUUAAAUACUUCUACUUUAAUUUUUAGCAAUUAUAAUUUUUUAAAGCUUACUAUUUAGGUUUAGAUUUAUUACAUGCUUAUUAGAUAUCUUAAUUCCUAUUGUAUUCUCCUUGGUUAAUAAUCUUCCAAUUUGAUUGUGGAGUUCAAAGAUUUUUACCAAAAUAAGGAUCAGGGUUUUCAAAGUUAGGAAAAGUAUUUAAUAAAAUUAAUUUUUGAAUAAGUUUGCAAGCUAAAUCUUUCGAUUGAACCUAAUAAGUUUACAUACUAAAUCUCUCAUUUUCAGCCUUGGUUGUUUCCACUCUUUGCAAUUUAAUUAGUUUUUUUAAAUAUAUAUAUAUAUAUAUAUAUAAUUCAUUUUGUGUACCUAUAUGCUCAAGUUUUUGAGUAAUUAUGAGUUGUAUUGUUAUAUUUUGUAGAAUUUGACAAACUAAAAAUGCUUACCUUUGAACAAUCGAGUACAAUAGCACAUUUGUGUGGAUAGUUCAUGGCUACCAACUUGAUUCUCCAUGCCUCCUCUAUUAGGUUGACUAACAAAAUGGUUCAAUUUCACAGGAACACCUUAAGAAUAAAAAUGUCAAGAAAAGAGAAGGAAAAUUAUGUUUCGUCUAAUUUGACUGCAAGACUUAAACAAAAAAACAUAAUAAUAUAAUAGUUAUUAUAAUGAAUAUAAUAAAAAGAAAAUUUUUCAUGUUCUUCCCAAUAAUCAUAAAACCCCUUUCAAUGAAACUUUGUAAGCUCUACUAAUACAAAAUAAUGGUCCAUAUAGUAAAAGCUCAAUAAAUGAAUGUUUGAUAAAUUAAUAAUCUUAUAAAACAAAAUCUUCUAGUCUUAACUUAGACCAAUGUACUAAAUUAGCAAUCUCGUUAAAUACACAAGAUAAAAAUAUUUUCAAAAAUCUUUAAGGGCUCAAGAAAUAUAAACUAAUAAUUGAUGAAGUAGAAACAAAAAUUCGUAGUAUAGAAAAUAGAACUUCAUAAUAUAAUAUUAAGUAAUUUUUUAUAACUUUUAUUUUUCUAAAUUCACUUCUUUUAGAAUUAUCACAUAUUUGAAAUAGCUUUAUCUUUUACAACAUUAAGUUUUGAUGCCACAUCUUUUUUUAGGAGUCUUUUUAUCUUUUACAAUCAAUAACUAUUUUUUUUUCUUCAGUCUCUUAGGUUUCUGUGUAUUAACUUUUUACCAUGUGUAUUAUUUUUAAAUUUAUAAGUUAUACAUGUACUAAUAAAUAUUCAUUUAUCUAUAAAUCAAUAACCUCGUUAAGAUCAUAACUUUUCUUAGUCCCAAGAGUAUUAUUUUAUAAGAGUUUUUCUCUAUAUAGUUCCUUCAUUGUAGGAAUUUCUUUAGGUUAAUAUUACUAAAGUUGUAAUUUUAAAAGAACAUAUAUAAUGGAAAUUAAGAGAAAUUCGAAAUCUAUAAAUUAAUGUUUUAUAUCAUUCUUUUUUCCUAUGAAUGCUAAAGCCAUUGUCAAAUAAAAAGAGUAAAUAAAAUAAUUAAUCAAGUAAUUAGUUGAAAGCGAAAUAGGUGACUUAAAACUAUUGCUUUGGUACAUGGUUGUUUGAGGUGAAUAUAGUAGAUCAUAAGAAAUAAAAUCCUCUAACUAUGUUUAUUUGAUAGAAUAAAAAGGUGAGUGUGUGGUUGCUCCAUAGGAGAAGACCACAUGUUAACCAAAGAAUAAGUAACUAGAAAGCUUACACAAGUGUUAAAUGAUCAAUUUCUUGCCCAAGCACAUUAAUGAGAACUAAAUGUUGAAGGCCCAUGCCUCCAUGUGGGGAGACCUUAAUUGCUACCUUAAAAGGAAAGUUUAAAAGUGGUCAUAUCCUCUAUGCCAGGUUAGUAUUCCAAAAACUAAGAAAGUUAACCUUUGAGUUGAUGCUUAUUUGUUAGGUAGUUUCCUCAUUCUUCUUAAUAAAUUGACCUUUGAAGGCUCUAUGACUAGAGUGCUCACUUUAGAUUCCUUAUUAUUGUAAGGUCCUAACCAUCCAUUGAAGUAAGAAAGUGAACUAAUACUUGGAAAAAUGGUGUCAUCUAUGGUGAAGAUACAAAAAUUCAGCUCACCAAAAAAUCAUAGUAAAGCUACUAAAAAACACCGCACCCCCAGACAAGGACCUUCAUUUGAGUACUCCUUGAGGUCUACCCAAAUCGAAGACUUGACAUUGAAGAAAUGAAGUCAACUAAACUUAGUUCCAUGCAUGAUAAGGUUGAAAGCCUGCAUAAAAACCUAUAGAAAGCUUGCCUCUUUAUAAGAAUAAGCUGAACCUAAAAAGGAAGAAGACCUAUAAAAGGUAAUCAUAAAUAACAAAGAAAAAGAAGUUCUUCCCUCAUUUGAAAAAUCUUUCUUUGAAUGCAGAAACUUAUAUUUUUUUUUUUAUUAUCAAGAAACCUUCCUUUGUAUCCAAAAAUUGGUGGAAUAAAAAUUUUCAAUCCUAUAUGAAGAGUUUUAGCUUCUUCAUAUGGGAAUGCAUUAAAAGCCUUGAAGACAUUGUUUAGAUCUAUAGCAAUGGUUAGGCAAUAAAAGACUAUACAAUAGAGUCUUGGUAGGAAAAGGUAAUCAUGAUAAAAAUGAAGUGGAGCAAUGAGUGAGAGCAAACCAUUCAAUAGAUGGAAGACCUCACUAAAAGAAGUGAUUGACACAUUCAAGAAAAUGUUGUCUUCAGGGUAAGGGUAAACAAAUACCAAUGUGAUUUUGACCAGGAACUCUCAUUGGCAAGCACCAAUAAGAUGCAAGUUAAUGAAUAAUAGUUAAUUAGACCAACAUAUAGAUUAAAUUGGGAGAGAAGGGUGAAGGAAACCUUAAUUAAACUAACCAAACAAACCACCUUGCCAGAGGUCCCAAUGCUCUAAGGGCUUCUUACCACUAGAGCUACCACAAAAUGCAUAAUCUUAGUGAAUAAGGCGAUUGAGCCUAAGUCCCUUUAGGAGGAGGAGGAGGCCACAUGAGGGUUUUUCCUCCUUAAUUUUAAUUUCUUUCAAUGAAACUAAAGGCACUCUAGACAACUCAUGCAUUUAUAUGCAUAUGAUGAUCUUAGAGAAGGGAAGCGAUCAACUUUUAUGCAAAAUCUUCUCCUUCAUCCUCCAAUGACUAACUUUGUAUUGUUUUUAUCAACUUACCUUAGAGUUUGUUCCUGAUAUUGAGACCCUAAGGGCGAUGUCUACCUCCUAGAUCAUGCACUUAACAAGACAAAAGAAAAGCCGAAAAUAACCCAAGGUAGUUAUAGCUACCAUCCAUGGUGGAUCAUCUACUAGAUUUGAGCAACUAGACAAGGUAUCAAGAUGUUACAGAAGCAUAUGGCAAUUGAAGUAAAAGUCCUCACAUCCUUGCAUGAAGCAACUACCACUUGCCCAUUUGUCAUAUGCUUCUCUAAUAAAGACUUAAGAGGAGUCCAAACCUUACUGAAGAUCCAUUGGUUAUUACUUUAAGAAUUAUUGAAUACAACAUGCACCUAUUCUUAGUUGACCUAACAAGUUUAGUUAACUUGCUAAAUAUAUAAGCCCAUAUAUGAACAAAUGAAUAUGGACAAAGGAAAACUAGUGUCAAGUCUUGGGUCAUUAAUGGGACUAGACAAAGUCCUAUGUGGCUCAAUUGGGGAAGCUGCUCUAAUGGUUCCAAUUGGUUGUUGCCAUAUAAUGACACAAUUCUUUAUUAUGGAUAUCCUUUUCCCGACAAUGCCAUUAUGGGAUGACCAUGGAUAUACAACCUAAGAGGAACACUAUUCACAUACCAUCACACCAUUAAAUUCCUAACACUAUAAGGAAUAUGGGAAAUAUAUCGGGACUAGGUGGCAGCAUGAGUAUGCUACACCAUACCCCUUAAAGCGGUCAACAAGUGCAUCAAUUGGGACCUUUAGGAAGUUUAUAAAUCAAAAAUCAACUACAAAUUAGUAGGUGGCCCGAGAAAACAAUUAGAGAACCUAGGGAUUCAUUAUUCUAGAGCCCCUAAACCUAGGAGGUUCCUUCUAGUCCAUGUAAAAAAAAUGAUUUAAGAUGGCUACUAGAAAGAAAAACACAUCUUUUCUAGGAAACUAUAGGACAUUGUGGGCAUUGAUCCCCAAGUUACAUGUCAUCGACUCAACAUAAACCCUCGUGGUUAGCUCCUUAAAAACAUUAGGUUGUGAAAGAAAAGGUAUCUAGGCUCUUAGAUGCUAUAUUUGGUCAUUUAGGUCUUUUAACAACAAAUAGAAGUCAGUAUGCUAGUUUACAUUAAUAACAUGUUAGUAACAAGUAAGAAGAGGAAUGAGUACUUGAUUGACCUCCUAAGAACAUUUCAAACUCUUAGAAAGUACUAAAUGAAGCUAAAUCAGUGAAGUGCACCUUUAAUGUAGGGUAUGGAAAGUUCCUUAGGUACUUGGUUACAUACAAAGGAAUUGAAGCUAACCCAGACCAAAUAAAAUCAACUUUGGAGAUACCAAUGACCAAAAGGGCUAGAGAAGUCCAAAAGCUCACUAACAAGAUUGGUUCUUGAAAUAGAUUUAAAUAUUGGACAAAAAAUAUAUGCCAUCCUUUCUUCGACAUUAGCAAGAAGGGAAAAUGGACUAAAGGAACCAAAAAAUGCAACUAAGCCUAUGAAUCACUAAAGCAUUACAUGAUGCUAACCCUCAUUCUGGAUAAACCUUAGGAUAAGGAGGUCUUACAAGGUCUCAUUAGUAGUAGUAAGUAGAGUGUUAUCUCAAAAAAAAAAGGAGCAACCAAUGUACUAUGUCUAAAAGGCUCUCUUAGAUGUGGAAACCUAAGAUAUAUAUAAAUAGUGAAAAACAGGUGCUUGCCCUUUAGAUCGCCACAUUGAAACUUCAAUGUUACUUCCAAGCGCAUGUUAUUAAGGUAAGGACUAAGUGAUGAGAACUCAACCUUAAUACUUUAAUGGCUUUAAAGAGCCCACUUUAGUGUGUUUGAGGUACUAAAAAAUUAGCCCAAGGUUCUGUUUUUUUUAUAAUACCUUAAAAAAUUAUGUUUGAUGCAUUCUAUGACCAUUCUACAUGCUUUAAGAUGUAUUUUUUUUUUUGUUAGGAUAGAGUCCUUAAAAGCAUGAUAUGAUGUAAUAAAUUUGGAAUUCAUUAUUUAUUUAAUAAUGUUCUAGUUUCACUUUUAUCUAUCCUUAUUCCAUGUAUUGUACUUUAUGAGCAUUCUUGUCUACAUCUUUUGCAUUGUACAUAACUUAGGUGCAUUAGGAGUUGCACAGAAGAUCUAAGCCACGGGUUUCUUGAAAAUAGAUUACUUGUUCACAGUUGGUUCAUGGGCCUAGGCAAACCAUUAGAGGUUGCAAUACGCCACCUUCUAAUUGGAGGGAUGGUUGGUCUUGGCUAUUGGGAUGAGUUUUCCAUGGUAAGUGCACUAGUGUGUAUGGUUGCACAUUGAACGAGACCUAUGGUGAUUUAUGACUUAAGCCUAUCAAGUAGUCAUGACUCCACUGAGCUGCUUCAUUGUAUUAUCUCUCAACCUUGAGAGAAUAUUGAGUUUGUGCUGAAUUUAAUAGUGGCUUUGACUUACAAGUGAGGUCGUAAACUGAUCAUAUAUUGCCUAUGGAUUGGGUCACUAUUGAUGGAAGCCGAUUGCAAUAGGUAUUCUUAAUAAAAGCACCAUGAUAUCUCUUGGGAUUGAAACAGUGUGUCCCCUGGGUGAUCUUAAGGAGGUGUGUUCAUGGAAACUUUGGCUAUAGUAGUUCAUUAAGUGGAAUUUGACAUAGACUCUUUGAGAGCUAAGAUAUGUUAAUUGAACACACAAUAGGAAGAUCUGUAACUCAAGGAUGGUUGAGGUAGUCUUGAAAGGCUGAUAGCUUUCACCUUGUUAGACUACAGACACCAAUUCAUAGGGAGACUAAACACAAUGGACAGUAGGUCAUGGACCCGAGCACUUAGUGUCUUUGUUGUUAUUUACAUAAGAUACCGGAGUUCAGUUGAUUCUCUAUAGUGGGAUGUGGAAUCAACUUUAAAAUAGGACUAUGAGGGAGCCAGUAUUCCUAUAGGUCCUAGUGGUCCCCAUUAUGAGCUCAUAUACCUUGUUACAUGGGUAAUGAGGGUUGGAUUGACUCUAGGUUCACUUUUGUGCAAUAGGGCGUUUUGGUAAUUAUGCAAGGUUGUAUAGGAUUAAGUGAUCAAGGUCUCUGGAUUGGGCUAAUCGAUUAAUUAGUAGGCCUUAUUAGGUUAAUUAAUCAAUUAGAACUCAUUUUAGGUUAGAUUAAGUGACCCAAACCCAUGUGGGCUCAAGUCACUUAAGCUCACUUAGAAACCCUAUCAAUACCCCCUAGGGGUUAGGGUUUCCAUAACUUUUGUCUUCCAUCAUCCAGAAAGAUAGAGACCCAUAGCCUCCACCAUCUUUUCCUCCUUAUCAAAAGUGUGCCAAGAUCAAGGUCCAAGUCAUUGGGCAGAAGACUUUGGGUUUUUGAGACUUCUAUGAUUUCAAUUUUCAUCUUCACCAUGUGGAUUGGAUUCGAGAACACUUGAAUCUAAUGUAUGGUUUUUGGUAGCAUUUUCUGAAUCCUUUUAAAGUAUAAAAAUGCUAUUUUUCCGUUGUGCAUAGGAUUUAGAAAAAGCCUAUGAUAGUUAUGCAUGUUCCUAACUUGAUCCAGACUUGGGAAACAGAGAGAGAUUUGGGUUUUUCCCAUCAUUUUUGGUGCAAUAGAACCUUGUUAGGAACUCAUAGAGACAAAAAUGCCCAAGUAAGGAGGAAACACAGAUUGCACACCUAAAAGGUGUGCAAGACUUAAUCAUGCACUUAUUUCUUAGUGUAAAGCCACAUAGUGCACCUCCCAUGUAUACCUUAAAGACCAAACACACAAGAUCUCUCUAAUGCAUUGGACCAAAUUUCACACCCUAUUCAAGCAACCCAAUCUGCAAACCUCUUAAAUGCUUUAAGCCAAGAUGUUGUGCACCCCCUCACUUAAGUCAAUAGGAUGUGUAGUAGUGUAACCCUUUGAUGUCAUCUAAAUUACAAACCAUUCUUACCUCUAUAAUAGCUAAGUACUUAAUAAUUCUUCUAAUGAUUGGCUCACACACCAAAGUAGUAUGUUGUUCAUACCUCAAAGUCUUCAAUUAUACUACCAAAAUGUACCUAAGCUGAAUUACAUAGAGAAAAAAGGUGCAACUACCGACCAUAAGCUAACACAUCAAGAAUGAUGGUGGGUUGAUUGCAAUGACAAAGGACUUGACCCUUAGUAUAAGAAGAGACAAGUCCCGAGGAGGGGGUAACGUUUUUUGCCUAUAAAUGGAGGAUUGUGAAUAUACAAGUGGAAGCAAAUUAUAGAAAGUGAAAUUGUAGAUAAGUUUUUUCUUCUUGUAGGAACAGAAGUAGGAAUAAGAGUAACUUAAUGUAAUUUUAGUUUUUAAUUUUCCACUGUAAUCUUUUCUUUUCAUUAUAAAUGUUCCCUAAUUUCUAGUUUAAUGAAUUUUCUAGUCUUUUUAAUUAAUAUUACAUUUCAGUUUUUCAAUUUCAACUUACAAAUUUCCAUUUUUAGUUCUUUACUUAAUUUUUAACAUGCUUAGAUAACCUUUAACACUCUAAGGGGUGAGAGGAGCUCAAGUCUCCCAUAUCUUAGUUUAGCUCUCUAUUGGUUUAUCUGUGCAUUAGUUACAAGCAAUAUGAUCUCUAUUAGUAGUUAUAAUGACCAAAAGAAGAAACCAUGGAGAGAAAGUCUAUGUUGCAUUGGUUGUGAGCGUUGUAAGUCAAGCAACCUUGGAAGCAUACUUAGGCAUUGUUUUAAUGAUUCUUUCAACUAAGUACAGGCCUAUUGACAUGAAAAGAAUUUAUCUAAAUCAUUUGGUUAUAAGGAUAUUAAAAAAAGAAAAGAAAAAAGCAAUUAGAGGGAGAUGAACCUUAUUAAGGUGGUUCUUGUUCAUUUGAAGUAGGAAACCUUUUUGGUAUAAAUCCUUGCUUUGACCCUAAAUCGGAAAGCAUAAGUUCAAAGCCUUGUUGGUGAGUUACAUCUAAAAGUGGUGAUCCUAGUGAAUCUUUAGCUUUGAGGUUUUCCUUCCUUUAAUUUUCUAUCUUUUAAACUUUGUGUGUAUGUCUUUUUUAUUUAUAAAAUCAUUUUUCUAAUCUUUUAGCUAACAUUCACACCUCUAAAGCUAUUACCUUUGUUGCUACCAAUUUAAAGUUCCUCGUGGAGGCAACCUAACAAUUAUAAAACUAUUAUUUUUAUUUUUUAUUUUUGGUUAAGGAGUUCAAAGUUUCAAUGAAUGAUCUAGUUUAAUUUCUCUUUGUAAAACUUAACAGUUAAAUAAAUUUCCUAGUUUUGAUAAAAGAAAUGAAUUAGAGAAUGACAAACCAAAAAUUAGUGUCAUCACUAGGGAACUUUCAAUAUUGAUGACUCUAAAGGUAUUUUUGUGUUAUGCUUGUUGUUUUAGAAGCUUAACAAGUAUGUUUCACCCAUUCCCCACCUAUCUUUUAGUUGGAUUUUUUUUCUUUUUUUACAUAAUUUGUUUUCUUUGGAUUUUCUUUUUCUGCUCAGUUUUCAUUUUCAGUUGUUAAAUCCAACAUUUCAAGCAUUUUCUUUAAAGUGAUAUGAUGUAUUAGGGAAAUGAUUUUAAAGGAAGGGAACUAAGAGUGCAUUUGGGAGUGAUUCUACAAAGCAUUUCUAACAUUUCUAACACUUGAGUGAUAAAAAAUUUCAAGUAUUAUGAAUAUUAAAAGUGUUUCCUAGAAUCACUAUCAAAUAGGUUCUAAGUAAUCAAUUAGAAGAAACAAUUUUAGAGGAAGGACACUAAGUAAUCAACCAACCCCUAGUUAUCCUUUUGCUCAACACACCAGACCAUCACUGUCUCGUAUCUAUUUUCCAAAUUCAACUAUUGGUGGUACUAAUAGAAGUGUGAUGAAUGAGGGUUUUAACCCCCAAUAACUAGCCACCUAAGACCAUGAGGGAUAACCUACAGCCUAGUUCGGUCAAUGCUCCUUCUUGCUUGAUAUUUCUUUUUUUACGCUUUUCAAAUAAACAUUGAGCUUGAAAUGAUCCAAUUGCUAUCUCUAUUUUAUGGAAGGGAGGAUGAAAAUCCUUUUUCUUAUUUAAAAGAAUUUGAAGAGGUAUGGUCUAUUUUGGCAGAACCUACGUGAAAUCUGGAUCAUUCGAAACUCAAGGUUUUCUUUUUUCAUCAAAGAAAGAGGAUAAGCAUUGGUGAUAUAGCAUGAGACUUUAUAGAAUAAGUUCUAAGGAUAGUUUAUAAAAUAUUUUUUUCACAAAUUUAUUUUGGUAUAUAAAAUUGUUUCCUUUGAAAGGCAAAUUAAAAUUUUUUGUUUUAUAGAGAAUGAAACUUUUCAUCAUUGUUAUGAUAAAUUUAACUUCCUUACCAUAGUUUUGAAACCUCAAGGAUUGCUUCUUCUUUUUAAAGGGGACCAUCCCCCUAAAUGAAAUAAUUUGUCGAAAACAUGACUGGUGGGUACUUUAUACAGGAGAAACCAAAAGAAGCACUUAAGCAUUUAAAAUUGCUUGCUGAAAAAUCAAGGGUUUGGGACCCCUUAGUCCUCAAGUGCAUCUUCUAGAACGUGAAAGCCAACCCCAACAACAUAUAAUCUCUCAUCUCAUCUCUCAAUUUAUCAUUUCCCCUUAGAACAAGAGUUUUGACGAAGAUGAUUUUUGGAUGCUGUAAGAGGACGAAGCCACUGAAGUUAAGGAAAAGGAAACUGUGUACAUAGCAGUUGAAAGAAUUUGUUGAAAAAGAAUCAGUUGAAGAAGAGAACUUCCAACAGGUUGCAAAUAAGGUUAUAAGCUGCAUUUUUUCUUCUUUCCCAAAAAAAUAAAAAUAAAACAAAAAUAAAACAAAGAUAGAAAAAGAAACCCGUAAAGAGCAAGAAACAGAGGAGGAAUGGAGCAAUGUAUUGCAUGAUCACACCAACUUUAUUUGUCUCUCAAUUCCCUUCUCUUUACAACCCGAAGAGCCAUUGGCUAGCUAGAAGCUAGCCAAAAACUUGUAAAUAGCUUUCAUUUUUUAUUUUCUUUAUUAUUUUUGUUUCUAUUGCUUUGGCCAAUUUAGUGUGUAGGAGCACCAUCAUUGUGAAGCCUAUAAUAUUAUGUUCUCAGUCCACUCAACGCAUUUGGGUAACCUUUAUCUUCUCAUAAGAACUCAAGUAUAAAUUUCUCUAUACUCUAUUGGUUUUAUCAUGCUUCAGAGUAGGUGUAAAUUGUUAGCACCAGGAAGGUGCACUAAGUGUAGGACAUAUAGCAAUCAUUUCCCAUGGGAUGCCUACUUAUUCUUUUGUAUCAUUGUGCAAGCACGCCAUCCAUAAUAAAAAUCUUUAUUCUCUUAUGUAAACUUUUUGGAAGAAAAAUGUCUUCCCAAAUAAAACCAUUAUUGCUUAGAGACUUUUGUCCACCCCACCAUCGUAUCAAUUGAGGUGUGGGUAGGUAACCGAGAAGUCUUCUAAGUUUUAUAUAAAAGAAGUAAUUUUCACUACUUUUGCAUGCACUCAAACAAGAACACACACAAUAACGCAACAUGAAAACUCUAAAGAAUGGUAAAACCAAAACACUGAUCCUAAAUAAGAUAAGGAAGUGAGAUAAAAAUGAACAACCGAGCCAAUUUGUUGAAGUCAAGGUAACUAAAGUAGUCACUGCAAUACAGAUAUUCCUAUUCAAUACAUAGAGACAAGCUUAUAUGGCCUUGUAGGCGUCUCUCACCUUCCUAUUCAAUACAGAUAAAUUAAUCUGUACAAAUUGGAAAUGGAUAUCACCAUUAUCGAAAAACUAAAAAGACAAUAGAUUAUGAAAUGAAAAGGGGAAUCCACGUGGGUGGGUGGGUGGGUGAGAAUGAGAUGCCUGCUUUUCUAUGUGGCCAGAAGAAUCGAAUGAACAGGCUUGUUUAUUACAUCAUGGAAGUGGGAGAAAAAAUAUUCAUUUAUGAUGAUGGUUGUGUUUGCCAACUUCUUUAGGAAAGCCACCACUACUGCUUCCUCAGAGACAUUACAAGUCAACGAAGAUGAGGUUGCAGUGGCAGUGGGGAAAACCAGUGAAAGUCCCACUCAACUAACUCGCACAAUGGACCAAGAAGAGUGUUCCAUUACCACAUAUAUCAGUAGACAACUCCAAUUUUUUUUCUUUUGAUAUUAAUAGCCAAUCAAGCCACCAAUAUGCGACAUUGGUUUUGCUCAACUACAAUGUUCUUGGGCUUAUAACUCACCAAGUGGGGAAAAUUUGUUGAAGUCAAGGUGACUAAAGUAGUCACUGCAAUAGCCACAAUACUAAAAUAAUACAACAAAGCAUUCAGUGGAAUGAGCAUUUGGACAGAAAGGGAUCACAUUAAAUUUAAAAGCAUUGACCACAUCUUCAAUUAUUAUUACUUUAUCUUUGGGAUGAUAUCACCAUAUAAAGAGCAUUUGAAGCUAACAAUGGACGAUAUCAGCAACUUUUCUGGGGAAAAUGGAGAUUUUUUUUUUUUUUUUUUAAAUUCCUCAUGUAUUUUUCUUACAUUUUUAUAUUAUCCAAAGACAGAAAAUUAAUUAGUCCUUUCAAGUUUUUUUUUUCUUUUUUAUUUAUUGGACAGAGCUAAACAGGAUUAACAUAAAAGAAAAUAACUUGACUUAUAAACAAAAGCAAGGGAGAUGCAAUGGCAAACACAAAGCAAUUUAGAAGGGGCAAGCGAGUAAAGAAACUAACAGUGAUAUAUCAUGAGUUGCCAUAAUUUGAAGCAACUUCCACUUCGGAAAGCCCAAGGCCUUUUAGCCAAUACAGUCAAAAGGGAAAAAUCCUCAUCAGAAUCAUUUGCAUCAUCGUGGCGGGCGGAAUCGAAAUGGCAUGUGGCAAGGUCAGGAUAACGUUUAACCAGAUACAGUGCUACAUCUGCAUAUUAUAAAAUUGUACAUGGGAAGACGACAGUAAUUCAUAUCAAGAAAGUAGAUAGGGGAUAGUAAAUAUAGCUUACCAUGAAACCCCACCAUUAGAGCUCUGCGCAAAAGUUCGAAUCCAGGCUUGUCUGCGAAAGGACUUGGAUCUACAUCAUCUCUGGUGACGGUUAAUAAAUAUAAAGUCAGCUCUUUAUGAGCACACCUAAGAGCGCUGUGAAGAGGCACUAAAAGUUGUAGUUGGCAGAUAUUGGGCAAGCUUGGGUUUUUGUUCACUAACAACUUGACUGCUUUUAUAUUGCCAGCACUUACAGCGUUGAAAAGGGCAGUGGCGCCAUCAGAAUCCUGCAGAGCCAGUUUAUCACUUGGCAUAAACUCAACCAACUUCUUCACGAAACCCAUUCUGGCCUCUCCUAACCCAACUGCUAUGUGAAGCACUGGGGAAUCAUCUGUUCCGAUCGGGGCGGACAAUGAUUGUGGAUCAUCCUCCAAUAUUUUUGAAGCACUUUCCCAGUCACCAUUGAGCACAGCUUGGUACAGUUCCAAGUAAUAGAUUAAACCUGCUUCAUAGAAUUCUGCAGUCACAAAGCCAAAAGAUGUAUAGGUCAGCCUAGAUUUCCCUGAUAUGUAUAUUUCUUCAACGUUCACAACAUCCUAAUACUAAAAUUAUUUUUUUAAAAAUAAAUCAUUUAAGUUAUAUUUGGUUCUUAGAAAAUUUGACAAAAAUUACAAGGAAAAGAAAGUAAAUUGAAAAAAUUGAAGGUAAGAAAAAGUGAAAUAAAAUACAUCUAAAAUCAAUAAAUUAAUUAUUUUUAUAUGCUACUCAUUUCACUUAUUUUAACUAUUCAAUAUAAAAAUUAAAUAAUUUAAAAUUUCAUAAAUUUAUAACUAAUUUAAUUAUAUUUGAUUUUCUUAAAUAUUUUUGUGGAUACAACCAAAUAUGAUAAAAUCAUUUUCCUUAAUAUCGUUUCUUUGCUAAUUAUUUUCUUGGACUUCUUUGUUUACCUCUAAUCAACAUCUUUAUAUCUUUCAAUAAUAGUUUGAACCUCCAAUAAACUAAUUUCAAUAAAAUUUAAUUUAGUUUCAUUUGUUUUUUUAACAGCAGGUUGUAAAACACUUCUACUUGUAUGCUAAUUAUGCCCAAAAGUUGCAGAAGGACCUCAAGCGGAAAUGGACAUGAACAUAGUUUUUAGCAUCUUACCGGAGCUGCUAAUCCUUUGCAAAGAUGAAGGGGAAGAGACUGGAGCAUAUUCAUCAGCAUUCUGCGCCAUAUUGAUGCUACUACGGUUAGGAUUGUUUGGGCUGUCAUCAAUUACCGAGAUGGUAAUGAAGAGGAAGCCACUGCAGUAAACUCCUCAUCAUGCUCAGCAAUGUCGAUGUUACUGUUUUUAGGACUGUUUGCGCUGUUGUCAUUUCUAGGACGUAGUGGAGAAGAAGAAGCCAUUACAACAAAUUCCUUAUCGUUCUAUAGUAUUGCCAUGUUUAGCGAAGUUAUUCUAAUGUGUAACAGAAAACCUAAACAAAAUCUGCAGUUGACAAAGGUCAAAAUUAACUUACCUCGCAGAUGGAAGAUUAUAUUUAACUAUAUCAAGGCAGAGAAGAUACUCUCAUCCAAAGAGAAACAACAGCAGCCCUUUUUCCCACUGUCUUCAAAAGAUACAGGAACCAUUGAAGCAUAAGAGGUGCAAUGAUAAAGUCUUCCAAGUCAACUUUAUUUAGUUGAGUAUUGGGUAAGGAGUAGAUAGCGUUGAAAAGUUUUGAUAAUUUUUGUUGCGGAGAAAACGAUGUUUUAUAUCCCUUUAUUUCUAUCAGAUAUUACAAUUUUUAUCACUUGUUUAUAAAAUAAAAGAUAACGAAAUAUUUAACAUUCUUCAAUAGUAAAAACAUGUAUCGAAUAUAAAAAAAUUCUCACAAGUGCUGCAAUUAACAUUUUUUUUCUUCAAUAAUAUGUAUAAUAUAUACGAUAUGAUGUAUUAUUUCUACUUUAAGUUUUGUUUGGAUUUAUUUUUUAUUUUUUAUAUAUAAAAAUAAAUUAUAUUUUAAAAUUUAUAUGUGAUAUAAAAAAGUUAUUAUUUUUAAGUAUUUGAUAUAAUACAUUUAUAUAUUUAUUAAAUUAUGACAAUAAAUGAAAAUAAAGUGGAGAGGACGAUGUAGGUUGGCAAUCCUUUCUGAAGUGAAUGCAGUGCAACAAAAGAGAAGGUACCAUUAACUUGAAUGCGAGAAGGGUGAUUGAUCGAUCAAUCUGUACGUGUCCUUCUUGAAAGGGACCAGAUUCUAUGGGGUAGGUUAAGGAUUAAUGUGGGUGCCUGUAGCAUGAAAGCGGAAGGAAUUAAUCCUGUGCACCACACAUUGCUAUGAUCGUUUGCAAUAACCAAUUAUAUAAAAUCUAUUGAAAUAUUUUAUAUAAUUAACUUUUUGGAAUUUUUUUAUCAAGUUGUAAAAUAAAGAAAAUUUAGGAAAAAAUAUUUUUGUAAAAUGAUAAAAUUUUACAAAAAUGAUUAAUGUGGGUGCCUAUAGCAUGAAAGUGAAAGGAAUUUUGGGUCACCAAGGCGCCUCCCAUAAAAAUAUAUCUUUUAGGUCCUUUUAAAACCUAUAUUUAGUAUCCUCUUUCCCAUCACGUGAGUGUCCUGUCAUCCUCCCAUAAAAAUAAAAUUUUAAUUAAUAAUUAAAAUUUUAAUUUUAAAAUAAAAUUAUAAUUAUUAAUUAAGAUUUCGAUUAAAAAAUAAAGCACUAAUCGAUAAUUAAAACUUUAUUUUUAGCUAAAAUUUUAAUUGAUAAAUAAAAUUUUGGGUUAAUAGUUGUUCGUAAAAAAGAUUUAUAUUAUUUCUACGGGCAAGUUGAACAUAGACUUAAAUUUCACUUAGAAUGAUAAACAUUCAUGGAGCCAAAAUGUAAAUCCGCACUCUUGGACAUAAUAUUAUUGAGCCAUUGGUUACCGAAAAUUACUCUAAGCUAUCAUACCCACCUUUUAGGCCAAUAAAAUUAAGAACCAUGGCAAGGAAAUUUGAAAAAAAAAAAAAACAAUUCUCCAGGUUUAGCAUGGUUGCCGAGGGAAUUAAUCUUUUGCACCACACAUUGCUAUGAUCGUUUGCAAUAACCAAUUAUAUAAAAUCUGUUGAAAUAUUUUAUAUAAUUAACUUUUUGGAAUUUUUUUUAUCAAGUAGUAAAAUAAAGAAAAUUUAGGAAAAAUAUUUUUGUAAAAAGAUAAAAUUUUACAAAAAUGAUAAAUUUUUGUAAAAUAUAGAAAAGGAUACAAGGCUAUUAAUUCAUAAUUGUAUGAUAACCUUUUAGUAUUUCAAUCUUUGAAUGUUUUUGGAGAUUAUUUCCAUAAAUUCCACAUUCCAAAAACAAUGAUAACCUUUACACAAUAUUAUUGUUAUUUAAAGUGGGAAAAAAAUUAUAAAAAAAAAUUUCAAAAAAAUUAGAGAUUACAAAGAAUACAAGGAUACGAAGAAUGUGAGGAUUAUCAUAUUUUUUGUACCCUCCUCACAUUCUUCAUGCCCCAAACCAUUUGAAUAUUUUAAUCUUUUAAUUUUUCCAAACAUUAUUUACUUCAAUUGCAAGUGUAAUUAGCGUUUUUACACAAUACAUUGUCAAAUGAAGUAAAAAAGAAAUUCAAAAUUUAAAUUUUCAAAAAAUUUACAGGGUACAAAAAUGUGAAGAGGCUACGAAGAAUGUGAAGAGCCUCACAUUUCUCGUACCAUCCUCACAUUCUUCGUACCUAUUGUAAUUUUUAAAUUUUUUAAUCUUUCAAUUUUUUCAAACAUUAUUUGCAUCAAUUUCAAGUGUAAUUAAUAUUUUUACCCAAUAUUAUCAUCAAGUGAUGUGAAGAAAAACUUAAAAUUAAAAAAUUUUAGAGGGUACAAAAAAUAUGAGAGAGGAGGGUGUGAGAAAUGUAAAAAGGAUAUGAGAAAUGUGAGGGUACAAGAAAUGAAAAAAAAGAAAGAAAAAAAAAAUCUCAUACCCUUCUCACUUUCUUCGUACCUCUACAAAUUUUUUAAUAUUUUAAUCUUUUAAAUUUUUUGAACAUUAUUUGCUUCAAUUUCAAGUGUAAUUAGUCUUUUUACAAUAUAUUAUUGUCAAGUCAAUUAAAAAAAAUUAAAACAAUUUAGAGGGUACAACAAAUGUGAGGAGGGUGUGAGAAAUGUGAAUAGGGUAUGAGAAAUAUAAGGGUACAAGAAAUGAAAAAAAAUAAUUUCUCAUACCCUCUUCACAUUUCUUGUACUCUCCUCACAUUCUUUGUAUUUUCACCAAUUUUUUAAUAUUUUAAAUUUUUUUCAAAUAUUAUUUGCUUCAAUUUCAACAAAAUUCUCAUAUUUUUUGUACCCCACCAAUUUUGUAAUAUUUUAAUAUUUUUAACAUUAUUUGUUUCAAUUUCAAGUGUAUUUAGUCUUUUUACAUGCACAAUAUUAUUGUCGAGUGAUAUGAAAAAGAAAAACAUAAAAUUAAAAUUUUCAAAAAAAUUAAAGGGUACAAAAAAUGUGAGAAGGGUAUAAAGAAUGUGAAGAGGGUGCAUGAAAUGUGAGGGUAUAAGAAAUGAAAAAACAAAAUUCUCAUCCCCUCCUCAUAUUCUUUGUACCUUCACCAACUUUUGAAUAUUUUAAUCUUUUAAUUUUAACUCAUCUAGCCCUUAUAAAUCAUGUCAUUAAGGAAUAUGAGCUCAAAGUAAGGACCAUUGGGAUCCAUAGGAGUAUUGGCUCCCUUAGAAUCAAAUUCUUAAAUUGAUUCAACAUCCCACUAUAGAGAGUCAACUAUACUUUAAUAUCCUAUGUAUAUUACAACAAGACACCAAGUACUUGGGUUUAUGAUCUACUAUCUAUUGCAUGCAAACUCCCCAUGAACCGAUGUUCAUAAUCUAAUAAGGUAGUGUUGUCACCUAUCAAGAUUACCCCUCAAAUCCUUUAGUUACAGAUCACACUUUUUAUGUGAUCAAAUGACAUACUCUACCUCUAAGAAGCAUAUGUCAAAUUCCACUGAAGGAAUUACUAUGGCCACUGAUGCGACUCAUGGUAGCUUAGCUUUAAAGGCGUAUCAACAAAAUUUAUACCUUAAAUACUAUUACUAAAGUAGCCAAGCUACUAUAGCAUAGUGGUUCUAGGAUCGUUCACUGGGAAGGGUUUUCGCAAACACAAUUGAUAUUCAAAUUAGGAAAAUAGGUGAUUUUCUUAUGGAUGUUAGCUUUAAAAGAGAAUGUAAAUGUUUUAGAAAGAUUUAAACUAAUCUAAGCUAACAUUAAAGACUAAAAUGAAAGGGUGUAAAAACAAGUUUCUCAAAGAUAGGAUAGCUAUGCUCUGGCUCUUAUGCAAAUUGGAAAUCUCAGGAUAGGCUCCUCGCGUUGGGGUUGCAACUAUGGUGAUGCUUGCUUCCCGAACCGGUAUGGAUUUAGCAAAUCAAGUUUUAAUCCUUUAAAAUAGCAAAACAGAUGGUAGUGAAUUUCAUAAAUGGUUAUUCACCUUAGACUUCCUUUGAAUGGCUCGUAAGAGAUAACUAAUGGUCUAAAGCCAAAAGCUUACCAAAUAUUGGCAACUCAAAGUCAUUCCNNNNNNNNNNNNNNNNNNNNNNNNNNNNNNNNNNNNNNNNNNNNNNNNNNNNNNNNNNNNNNNNNNNNNNNNNNNNNNNNNNNNNNNNNNNNNNNNNNNNUGCUCUGGCUCUUAUGCAAAUUGGAAAUCUCAGGAUAGGCUCCUCGCGUUGGGGUUGCAACUAUGGUGAUGCUUGCUUCCCGAACCGGUAUGGAUUUAGCAAAUCAAGUUUUAAUCCUUUAAAAUAGCAAAACAGAUGGUAGUGAAUUUCAUAAAUGGUUAUUCACCUUAGACUUCCUUUGAAUGGCUCGUAAGAGAUAACUAAUGGUCUAAAGCCAAAAGCUUACCAAAUAUUGGCAACUCAAAGUCAUUCCAGGUGAUAAACUCACCUUUCAAUGGCCAUUGAAAUUGGUUCUAACUGAUUAAUGCAAAACUUGGAAUUGAAAACCUCACCUUCCAAUAGCUCGUAGGAGAUAACUAAUGGAUAGAAAUCCAAAAGCUUAUCAAGUAUUGGCCGUUGGAAGUUGUCAAAAGGAAAUAAAAACCAAACUUUGCAUUAAUGAACCAUUAAUGAAAAACCAUCUACCUUACCUUCCGGGUGCGAGAAAUUUCCAUGGGAUUGCAUCCAAGCCAUCACAUAACAUCCAUACUUUGAGAAACUAAAAGUUUUAGCCAAUCAUCCUUUGAGGAAAAGCCCUCAGAGGCUGUUUGGCUACUAAGAAAAUAGAAAUGGGGAAGAACAGGAGAAGAGAGAAAAACAGAGCAAGGCUCUGUAUAUUCUAUAUAUUGAUCGAUAUCUAUUACAAUGGAUGCAAGGGAAUAUAUAUAGAGAAGUUUUUCCAACCUUCCUAACUAAGAAAUUACAUGAGUGGUGGAUUACAAGGAGAAGAAUGGAAAUUUAUACAAAAAUAUCCAAAAGAAAAGAUCUCGUGUGGAGUCGGCAGAAACAGGGGAAAAUUCGCACCAUGCAAGGGGGUGUGCGAAUUUGGAAGGUGUUGUGCGAAAAUUUCGCACACCCCUGGAGCAGUUGUCUUCCAAAGGCCAUAUCUUCCUCAUUUCAGCUCCAAAUUGUACACGGUUUGAAGCGUUGGAUUCUUGACUUCCUGAGCUUUGAAACGGUAUAUAGAAUGUAAAAAAUGGACUUCGGGAAGUGCUCCAAAAGUGCCAAAGAAGACUGCAGCUGCUGUCCUCUGUUUUCCUCCUUGCUUCUUUUUGCUUCUCUUUGCUUCUCUCCAUUGUUCUUUCCUUGCAUACUUUGAACGAAUUUGGCAAAGGGCUAUGGAGCUCCAAAGCUUGGUUCUUCAUGAAUUUGAGCUUCCAAAAGCUUUGCCAUAACUUGUCCAAGUAGCUCCUCUAUCAUUUGGCAUGCUUGAAUUGAUUCAUAAGCUGAUAUAAACAUGUAAACUUGCCACAAAAUGGUUAAAACCAAUUACUAAGGACCUUAAUGAAUUAAUUGGGUUAAAUGAAUAUGAUUACUACUCAAAGGUGCUUAAAACCAUUAUAAUUAGGUCUACAAAAUAGCACUUUUUGGUAGUAAUCAGCCACUGAUUUCAUGAUCACAUGCCCUCUGGAUCACCUAAUGGGACAUAUUGUCUCAAUCCUAUGAGAUAUCAUGGUGCCUCUAUUAAGAAUACCUAUUGUCGUCAGCUUCCAUCAACAGUGACCCAAUUCAUAGGGAUAUAUGACCAUUUUAGUCACUCAUAGGUUGAAGUAUCUAUUAAUUUUGGCAUAGACUCAAUAUCCUCUAAGGUUGAGAGUCUAUACAGUAUAGUAGUUUAGUGAAUCAUGACAAUUGAUAGCCUUGCAUCAUGAUUCACCGCAGGUUCUAUUUAGUAUGCAUCACAUACACUAGUACUCUUCAUUGGAAACUCAUCCCAAUGGUCAAGACCAAUCAUCCCUCUAAUUAGGAGGUGGUGCACUAUAGUUUAUACUAGAUUGCCUAAAUCCAUGAACCAACUGUGGACAACUUAUCUACUUACAAGGAAUCCAUGACUUAUACUUCUAUGCAACUCCUAAUACACCCAAUCAUGUACAAUGUAAGAAACAUGGGUUGAAUGCUUAAAUCAAUGUCAAUACACUUGAGGGAUAACAAGGGGAUAGUUAAGUCUAACUUCGUUAUAUCAUGUCUUGCUUAGUUAAGUCUAACUUUGUUACAUCAUGUCUUGCUUAGUUAAAUCUAACUUUAUUACAUCAUGUCUUGCUUUUAGGGCUCAAUCCAAACAAACUCCUACUAGCCCCAAAAGUAUACUGGGUACUAUAGAAAAAAUCUAUUCUACAGUCACGUCACCUUUCUAUACUAUCCCACAACAAGGUAUCACUUGUUUUCUAUAUGUUCUCUCUUAUAGUGGUACUUUAGUUAUUUGGACUAUGCCACCGUCCUAUAUAACAAUAUCUUAGGCGAUAUAGCCAAUGGAAAUACCCAUAAGCUAAAAGGCUUCCUUUGUUGCUAAAGAAGUAACAAAAACCACUUAGAGUGUACACAUUCCCAGAGGUAGACUUGCGAGAGUCCUCAUUAGACUGAAAGUCCAAUUUCCCAGUACAAGGACUCACAAACAUAUAAUCCUUCAUUCUCUAAGGAUACUAGAGUAUAUGUUUGACAUUCGCUCAAAGCUUUAAUCAAGAAGUGAACUAAUAUUCACUCAUUAUUCUUAAGACAAAGCAAAUAUUUGGUUUAACACAUAGCAUUGUAUGCUUAAGGCUAUCCAUUGUAGAGGCCUUGGAUACCACCUUAAUAUGAUCUCUCUCCAAAAAUGUCCAAGGACAUUGAUCCUAAGAAAGAUAGCUCCAAAUCUAAAGAGUAACAAUCCCUUCUUGGAGUUUUACAUCAUAUACUUAACCAAAUGCUCAUCAAUGUAGAUGACAUGGCAUAAUUUUUCCUAUUCCUACAAUACUAAAAGACCUUAACCCUAAGAAUAUAUUGUGCAUUCCUCUAAAUUUUUAUCUAGAACUGAGUAAACAACUAGAUCUUGACAGAUGACAAUAUCCUUACAUCAUAUCCAAUGAGUAGAUUAUCAUCCACCUAUAAGAUCUUAGAGCAUUACUACACUUUCCUGUGCUUUCAUAUACACACAAGGCCCAUUGUUAUGAAAAUGUUUGGUUGUUAUAUCUCAUAAACGAGACACACUGCAAUAGAUAAGCGUAAUCUAAUAGAUUUGAGUAUGAUCACUGUUGAAAAGGUUUUCCAUAGUUGAAACAAAGUCUCAAACUAUAACCUUUAGCUAUAGUCUUAGCCACAUAAAACUCAAGCUUUCCAUCUACUUCUAUGUUCCUCUUAUGGACCAACUUACACCUAUGAGUUUUAUCCCUUUAGGUGCUUCUAUAGGAACCCAAACUAUUUUAGAAUACAAAGAUUCCAACUACCUCUUUAUAGCUCAUUACCUUAAGUGAGCAUAAACACUGCUCAAUGCUUCAUCAUAAUCUAUGAUAUAUAAACUUCCAUUACGAUGAGGCGUUGGUGUACUAGAAAUCAUAGAAACGGUAUGCCUUUAGCCCUCUAGAUCCUAAGAAUCCUAUGCAAUGUGGGACUAUCUUCUAAUUUAUCCUUCAAUCUAUAUCAUUCUUUAUCUUAUUCCUUAUCAUAUAGUUUUCAUAAAAAAAUUUGAUAUUUGUGUUAGCAAAUAUCUUUUAAUGAUCCUAACUAUAAAGGUAGUAACCCAAAAAUGCUCUUAUAUAUCCUAUAAACUGAUAUACCUCUUAAGAAAAAGGGUAACCACCUUUUUAAAAAGUAGUGAGUAAAAUAUACUUGAUACAUACCUUCAACCUUUUGCAUGUUUUACAUUUUGGUAUCUUAUAUUUGAAAUCCAUCAUUUUACCCAUUCAAACUUAUUAGAAAGCAACACUUCAAUAUCAUUUGCAAACCCUUUAUAAAUUAUAAAAAAUAUUUUUUAUUUUUAUUUUUUUUCCACAUUCUUGUUUGAACAUUGGUUUGAAUUUAGGUAAAACCAAAUUUGAAUUGAUAGCCUUAGGUAGUAUUUCCCAAACAUAUUUAUUUUAUUAUUUAUUAUCUAACCCUUCAUGUCUUGCAGAAGCACUUUACAAGUUAUCUAUGCUAUCCAGGUAUGCCCCCUAUCACCUACCUUCUAAAUUUUGUGAACAUGCUUGUCACUAUGAACCGCACCUAUGUUUGAUAGUGCAUGGGUGUCUUGCUAUAUUGUUUCAUUGUUCAAUUAUUUUUUAUAAACCGCAUGCUAGAUGAUAUGCUAUUUCAACUAACUUUGAUGUCUUGUGAUAGUGCUUAAGAAGCAAUCUAGGUAUGCACCCUAAAUCUUCUUUAAAAAAUUUGUGAUUGGUUCUUUUGUUUAGCAUGCUAUUUUUUAAAAUCACCUUAGUCAACCUAGGUACCCUCAAUCAACCAAUUAAUUUUCCCAAUCCCCUCAACUUAGCUAGUAGAGACCUUUUUAGGGCUUAGAUGGGUGCUACCUCUUAGAGGUAUCUUCCCAAUAGGUAACCUGAUCCCCGAACCUAGACUCAGGUUUUUCAAAGGUAUGCUUUUCCAAAAACUAUGGAGUCACUUCUUUAGGGUUUUGUUUCUUAUUUUAUUUUCCUUUUUAAAAUAAAAUAAAAUAAGUGGUGACUUCGACUUUUCCAAAAUUAAUUUUUUUCACCAAUAAAAGCGAGUCUCGUUGAUUGAGUGGGAGCGCAUGUGAAAAAUACGAGUCCACACUACGACUUUUGUAGUACUCCGGGUAUCGUCCUCAUGGACUAGCUUAUGGAAAUUGUCAAUACUAAAAUAAAUGAAUUGCUUUCGUUUAAAUCCUAAAGUGAAAAACACUAUGAGAAUAAUGUCAAACUAAGUAAAAGAAAAUAAAUUAAUAAAAAAAUGGAUAUUUAUUUUAAAUUCGAUUGAUUCAAGUUUGGGGUUUUCCACAAUCCAACAUAGGGUAUAGAAAUAGAAAUUAGAGAAAACAAGGGUCUUUUAAGUAAUAUGAUCUUAGGGUUUUGGGAUCCUUGGCCGCUCAUGAUCAAGUUGAGUUCUAUAACACAAAAUUGCAUCCGAAACUUAAUUUUUCCUUUUUAAAACAAAUUCCUAAAACCAUCAAAUGAAUGAUAUUGAUUACUAGUUUAAGAUUUGGCUUUUUAACCCUUCCUACUCCUUAUAGCUUUGUUUUGGGGUAAAUAACGAUAGAGAAGACGAGGAUAACUAAUGAUGAAAAUUUACCAAGAAUCACUAGUAUUGGGUAAUAACCUACCGUAUCAUUCCCUAAACUAACUCACAAGAAUAGGAUAAAAAAAUGAUAAAUUUUCACCCAACCAAUAAUUAAUCUCAUUGUUAUAAUAAUUUUACCCAUUGUCCCUAUAGGUUUCCUAACCAUUAGGUUUUCAUGCUUUAAGCCCCAAGUUGGCUCUUAACCUCUCAUGGGGGUGAUGUCACAUUCACAAUCCAUAAUAGGGUAAAAAUCCAUAAUUUGAAUCAAAAGAGCAUAAAACAAUAUGUUUAAUAAGGAAGAAAAAGAAAUCAAACCAAAGUUCCCGUCUUCUUCCACCUUCAAUGUCAAACUUUCUGGAAAAAAAAUAAAUCCAAGAUCUCUAAAGCCUAGAAGUAAGAGAGUUUAGAUAAUAACAUCAAUUACCUAAUCUGUGGCACACUCUCAUUGGCCACUUAUUACAAAAAUAAUUACCUAAAAAUAAUUAAAAAUAAUAAUAAAAUGGUGAUUUCUAGUCGUGUGGGGUCCAUUUAAGGUUGAUGGAGUGCCUUAGAUGCAAUUCCCUAGGUAGAGGAGGUGAAACAUCAAAGUGGCAGUGGGUGAAUUUGAAAUUGGUGUCAUUUCGAUGUGGAUUUCAAAUUCAUAAGUUGAAUUUCGAAAUCAUUUUGAAAUGACCCUUAAGCUUUGUGCAUUUGUUUUCAAAUGGCCAUAACUUCUUCAUUUUAGCUUUGAUUUGCACAUUGUUUGAAGUGUUGGACUCUUGACCUCCCAAGCUUUGAAAAAUAUGUGUAUGUAUAAAAUGGACUCUGAGAAAUGCUCCAAAUUUGUCCUCAAAGUCAAACUAUAUAUUACUAUUAGAUUUUGAGUUCUAAAUUUCCAUGCAACUGAAUCUUGCUUCAUGCCUCAUUUCCUAUGUUUUCUUGCCCCUUUUCUUACUCCAUUAUGGUCAUUUCUCAUCUUCUAAACUCAUGAUAUCCUCAUCUUGCCUUUCCUCAUGAUCCAUGAGUCCCGACUCACUUAUUUCCUCAUUUAACCCUUUCUUAAUCUUUCAAAAUCUAAAGUAAUUCAACUGGCACCCUUUUCUUCCCUUGAACUUGAGAUAAGUCUCCAAAGUACAAAUUAAACUCAUGGCUAGAGCCUUAGCAUUGAUUUAGGUCAAGUAGGGUGCUUUGAAUGUCCUUUGGUGCACAAAUCAUAUCGAAUAUGUGCCAUUAGAGCACACAUUUUGGUUCCAAUCAUCCCCCUCAACUAAACUUUGCUAAUCCCUAGCAAAUGAAAAGAGUAAAGAAAAAAGUUAAAAAUAUGUAAUGAGAUUCAUGAAACCAUAUUGACUCAACGUAGCAUGUUUCACACAAAAGAUACCCAAGUAGUCAAAUUUCCUAGAAUUAAGCAAAAUGAAACAAGAUAUGCAAUUUCUUAGUUUUCUCACCUUAUCUUCAUAUACUUAAAUGUGCAUCCAUGUUUAACAUUCCCCUUAGUGUCUCUUGAUUUUCCCAUGAUUGGUUCUUUCCACCUAAACCUCAUGUGCUUAAUUUUGGUGUCCCCUCAUAGUAUUUUUCUUAAGACUUUUCUUAAACUCAAACUUCAUCAUUCUUUAAGUUAAAGAGGGAGGAAAAUUUAUUUUGAUUUUUCUUUCUUAGUUUAGGAAAUCUCCUUCUAUAUGGCUUAAUAGGGAUCCAUCGGCAACUCCCAAGUUUUCACCCAAGGUACCAGGUAUUGAGAACCUUUAUAGGCCACUUACCUUUCAAGAAUCACCCUAGCUCAAGGUAGAACAAUGUUGAAUUUCCCAAACACUUAUUUAUUUAUUUAUUUAUUUUUUUCAAAACUGAGUUUAGCUUAUGUUACGAGCAAGAUACCGAUGACUCCUAACCAGUCGGUUUUCAGGCACCAGGGUUUGAAGACAUAAGGCCAUUACCCCCUCAAAUAAUUACUCAAGCUUAAAUCAGUUAUUUUCAAAAAAAAAAAUUCAUCAAUUUGUUUUUUUUUUUUUUAUUUCCUCAUUUUAUUGCUUAAGAACAACUCCUUUUAAGCUAAAGAAAUUAUCUUAAUCAAGAUACCAUAAGGGUAUAUGUGCUUUGUGUGUGCUUUGAGUCUUAAAUAGAAAAUAACCAUUAAAAAGAAAAAUGGAAGGUAUUCCAAGGAUUCAACCUAACUAUUUUUGCAUGUAAAGGUAUAUAAAGAUAAGGUAAGUGAACUAAUACUCUUGCUCUGACUAUAUUUUUUUCUAAAAUUCUAAAGAAAUAAUACUACUUAAAGCAUUCUCAUGCAAAAUAAACCAUGAGUUACCAAGGCAAAUCAAGAAUCUCAUUAACUAACCAAAGAUAACAUGCAAAAUUUUGAAAAAAAUUAGGGUUAGUAGAGCUUCCCCCCUCAACCUAAAUUACACAUUGCCCCCAAUGUCUAGGAUAUUGGGUCAAAAUAAAGGAAAAGUGAGAUGUUACCUCAAGAUCAUCGAGUGAGAAUUUUGUUAUGAGGACUUCAUAUAAACUAGUCUUGCACAAAAGCAACAAGAUUAGUGGCAAAAGUAUGCAUAGAGAAAAAUAUAAAUGGUGAGAAUCUAAAAGAGAGAAUAAGUGUAUCAAUAUGCUCCAAAAAUAAGAUAGUGUAUACAACCAUAUUGAAUAAGGUAUAUAUAGAAAUGAACAUCAAGCACCAAUGAUAGGAUCGACAACUCCAUCUAUUUCCUCCAACAUAGGGGUGGCUACUUGGUCAAUAUCCUCCAAUAUAGGUGUAGUAGCCUGAUUAGUGAUCUCCAUAAUAGGUGUAAUGGCCUUGCCAGCAGCCUGUACCAUAUGGGGGGUCAUCCCUAAUAAUGAUGUCCACACUAGUGUCAGUAGCAGAAAUGAAGAUCUCACCAUCGACCUGUCCUACAGAAUUUGGAAUAUCAAUAGUUGAGGUAAAAAUCUUAGUUGCGACAUCACCUGAUGUUUGUAAAAUAGGCAUGGUCUCAUGGGCUACUGUCAGUGCUCUAGUGUUUGAGCUAGAACUAAUCACCUCUGUACUGCCAUCAACCUCUAAGUUGGUAUCAGUUGGUAUAACCAAAUCUCCCCUCUGUUUAGAUGGAAUAACCAAAGAAGUGAGUUGUUGUACAGAAAAAGUGAGGUCAUCCAUCUGAGUCUCCAUCUUACUUAGGUGAGCAUCAAUGCAGGACUCCACAAACACAAAUAACUCCUAAAGUGUGUCUAGACGAGCCAUGAUUGAUAAGGUACUUGAGGUAGCAUCAGCAACCUAAGGAUAUGAAGGUUUAGGAAGAUCGAAGAUUGGUACUGUUGGUGUAGAAAUAUGAAUAGAAGGCUUUGGGGCACAUGAAAGAGGUGGUGGAAGCAUUGGUAAGCUCGUGUAAAAAAUAGGAAUAAGUGGGAGCGAGCUCUCUGUAUUAGAUGGAAGUGGAGCAACAUGCAAAGCUAUCUUUCACCUAAUGCCAUGGGUAGUCAACUGUGUCCCUGAAUGAAUUGUUCGAGCCCACUGAUUGAUAACAUAAGUGUGAGAAGCCAUGUGAUGAUAAGACUCAAGUAACUAGUGUCCACGAUGGAGCAAGUAAUAUGAGAGCAACCGAGGCAAAGGAAUGAGAUAUCUUUGAGCUGAAGCUAUCUGUUUCUCCUUGACCUUCUGAAAAAAAAAAUGAUGGUAUCCAUGAUGAGUUGAGGUGGACUCCACCACUCGCCUACGUACAUGUGAUAACACUCCCAUAAGACUAAACCAGAACGCUUUAUAGAGUGUCCACAACAAGUACCCCGAGGUGCUAGUAUACGUGUAAUCCUCGAAAAAGAUGGUCGUGACUAAGGUGCAAAUCGGGCUUCAGGAGGAGUCGAUGAUGGUAAACCAAAGGCUGCAACAAUGGUCUCAGUGGAAAUAAUAUCAGCUUAUCCUCUGGUAGAAAAAUGGAGCUCUCGGUACCCCCUUUCCAAUCCUCGAGAGUAGAGAAUAACUCUCAUACACUAGCAGUAUAAAAAUAUGGGAGAGGAUCCAUCAAUGUGAGAAAAUAAUAUCGGUCGAGGAGAUACAUGGACUAUGUAGUGGGCUCAUAAGUACUAAAUGCCUUUAUGUCAUAAGAGAACUCUUGACCAAACUCCCAUUGAGAUAGGUUCACCCUAGGGGCAUCAUCACAAACUCUUAGAGAUGGAGGACGUGUUGGGCUCAGAGUAGGGGGAGCUGGCCAUGGAUGUGGAAGAGUGGUAGUAGGCCUGGUGGUCUUAGCAGUGGUUGAGUGAUCAAAACGAGCCUUUGUCCUAGCCUUUACAUGCAUGGCUUUAGUUCUCUUAGUGGUUGGGCGGUCAAAACGAGCCUUCGUCCUGGCCUUUACAUGCUUGGCUUGACAAGUGAUAUGCCUCUCGAUAGACUCACUAAUCAUUACACCACUUUGACUUUGGACGAGAGGUUAGGCAUGCUUUUACCUUGGGGAAUGCUUAGUCUCAUUGUCACUUUGAAUAACAACUUUUCUUUUAUCUAAAAUAAAUGGCAAAAAAUAAACUAAACUUAAAAAAGGGAAAUAAAAACAAAAACAAAAAUUAAGGAUUAAGAAAACAAUCCAAAAAUAAAAUAAAAUUGGAUGCUCAUGAAAUUUAUGGAUUCAUGUGAAAAGGUGGUAAACCAUUCCUAAAUUGCGGGAGAACAUUCAAGGUGUCCAACAAUGAUGAAAACAUGAGUAUUUGAAGCCUUAGAUAUAAUUUAAAUAAUACCUAAGUUCAAAUAUCAUCUGACAAGGAAAUCAAAGUGAUUGGUUAGCUUAGGAGAAUGUGUAGAACAAACAGAAAAAUCUAUUAGAGAGUUUAAAAUGUUCUAGAGCUUAUAAAACAUAAAUUAGGCAACAAUUAUGCAAAACUCAUGGAAAAAUAAGAACUUUGCUCUCAAAGUAUUCUAAGAUGAUCAACAAGCCCUAAAAAUCAUGUAGAAAAAAUUUUAAAAUUUUUCUCUAAGUAUAAACCAAAAAUUCUAACACCCUGAAUUUCCAAGCAAAAUAAACGAAUCGUGUGUAACCAAAAUCAAUCUUAUUGUGCUACGCUCGGGUUUUCGGGGGUUGAGCUCCCCGUUGAGCUCGUGGGAGCCGGGGGGCAGCGCUCUCUAUAAUUUUUUUUUCAUUACAUUUAUUAUUUUUUAUUUAUCUAUCCAACUGAAACAAUAGAAACCCUAAACAAUGUUAAUGAGAGUUGGGUAACACUGCAUUUUAUAUAGAGCAACACUACACAAAGAAACCAUAAAGAUCAAGGAAAAUCCAUAAAAAAUAAACAAGAAAUGAGUAUGAGUGUAAUACGUACCUGGAAAGUGACAAACCCACAAUGAAACCCUAAAAUCGCCUUCAAUGGAAGUUAGGACGAUGAACAAGGGAAGAGGAAAUAAGGGGAAAAUGAGAUGAAAUGGUCUAGAAGUGGAAAUGACUAUUUGUAAAGGAGUUUGGGUGAUUUCAAAGUGAGCUCAAAAUAGAAAUUAAGUAUUUUGAAUUGGAUUUUUGGUUAAGAAAAGUCAUUUCGAAAUUUAACUAUUGAAUUCGAAAAUAACCUUAUUUUAUAUUCAUUAAUUAAUGGUAAAAAAAAUGCCCAUUUUAAAAUGUAACCAUUGGAUUCGAAAACUACCUUAUUUCGAAAUGGCUCACUAUAUAAAACAAAAACAUUUCAAACACCUCAUUUAGAAAUGAAAAAAAAAAAUCAUUUCUAAAUUGGGCAAAUUUUGAAUUCACCUUCUAAAGUUAAAAAAUCUCAAUUCUAAAGCAAAAGUUUCAAUUUUGAAAAGCCCACCAUUUUGAAUUUGCUAAAUGUAGCCUCAAUACAGUGUAAAAAAACCCGUUUAAAAAUUCCACUAAUGAUUUUGAAAAUAGCUCCAUUUUGAAAUGGCUCACUAUUGAUUCCAACUUUUAUUUCGAAAUUCAAAAUUCAUUGUAUUUCGAACUCAUUGUUUGUGAGUUCAAAACACCUAUUUCGACAUUUACUAGUUAUUUCAAAAUUAAUAUCAAUUCGAACACACUUUCUAUAGAUUUAAAAUUGCAAUUCCAAGACAAAAAUUUUGAAUUCGAAAGGAUCAUAAUAUUGAAAUCACCCAUUACUGGUCUCCAAAAGUGUCAUCUCCAUUUGAGAUUUCAAAUUCAAAAAAAAAAGAAAAGGAAUUUUGAAUUCAUCCACUAUACCUUUAACCUUUUAUCAUAAAAAUUUAGGAUUUCUCUCCCAAGGGCUACUCAGUUUUGUAUUUCAUCCUUUGUUUUCAAAGUUCACCAAUGAUCCUCACAAGUAAAUUUUUGGGUGACCUGUUGUCUUAAAUAUAGAUCAACAUACCUAUAAAAGCUUUGUCACCUUGAACACAUGUGAGGCUUACCAUUUCACUCCCUUGAAGUUCACAUUUACCUAUAUCACUCGGAUGUUUGCAAGCUAAGUUGCUACAACUCAUAAACUCAUUAGUAAGUUAAAAACAACUAAAAAAAAUGCUAACCAUAUUGCUAAUGACUAAUUGGAAAUGCAAAACUAAACAAAGGAAAAUAAAUAAUAAAAUAAACUAAAACAAAAUAAAAGAGAAAUUAAAUAAAUAAAAGUUUUACCUAAAUUUAUUUUUUACCUACUAGAUUUUCAAAAAAUACUUCAACCCUUUUAAACAUUCCCAUAAAUAAAAAUGGAGAUUCUCCUCUUGUGUCACAAAUCUUUCAAUGAAAUGCUUUAAGCGUUGAUCAUUAACUUUGAAUUCAUUACCAGUCUUCAGAUUUUGAAUAGUCACAGUGCCAUAAGGGAAGACUUCCUUUACCACAUAAGGGCUAUUCCACCUUGACCUAAGCUUUCCUGGAAAAAUGUGAAGCUUGGAGUCGUACAACAACACCUUUUCACCUUGCUUGAACUCCAUUCAUAAAAUAAGUUUGUCAUGGUAGAUUUUGUGUUUUUUCCCUUGCAUUACGUAAAUAUUCAUAACUCUAAUUUUGAUAUGCCUCAAGUUCAUUAAGAUCAUAUUUCCUUUUAGCUCCAGUUUGAUCCAAAUCAAAGUUCAUCUUCUUUAUAGCCCAAUAUGCACGAUGUUCAAGCUCUAUAGGCAAAUGACAUGAUUUACCAUAAACAAUCUGAUUCGGUGACAUGCCAAAUCCAGUCUUAUAGGUUGUCAUAUAUGCCUGAAGUACAUCACUCAACUUGGUAGACCAAUCUUUUCUUGUAGUAUUGACUACUUUGGUGAGGAUUCUCUUAAUCUCUCGAUUUGCUAGCUCAAUUUGCCCAACGUUUGAGAGUGAUAUGGGGUGGACACUUUAUGCCUCACUCCAUAUUUCUGCAAAAGAGUGGAAAAGGGCUUGUUACAAAAGUGUGAACCUCCAUCAUUAAUGAUUUCUCUCAAAAUGUCAAACCUAGAGAAAAUAUUCUCCUUUAAAAAUUUGAGUACCAAUUUAUAAUCAUUGCUCUUGCAUGCCACUGCUUCUACCCAUUUAGAAACAUAACCCAUUCUCACCAAAAUAUAGAGAUUACCAAAAGAAAGAGGGAAUGGUCCCAUAAACUUAAGACCCCAACAAUCAAAUACCUCAACAACACAAAUAUAAUUUUGUGGCAUUUGAUACCUUGUGUUGAUUUUCCCCAAUUGUUGACAUUGUGGACAACUUCUAUAGUGAGUGUUACAAUCCUUGAAUAUAGUUGGCCAAUAGAAUCAACUUUGUAGAAUGUUUGCUAAAGUCUUCAUUGGAGCAAAAUGACCUCCACAAGCUCCCUCAUGGCACAUUCAUAAUAUGUUUUGUUGUUCAUCCUUUGAAACACAUCUCUGAAUAAUUUGAUUUGGGCAAAACUUAUACAAAUAUGGAUCAUCUCAAGUAUAGUGUUUUGCUCAUGAAAGAAAAUACUUUUUCAUCUCCAUGUUCCAUUUUGAGAAAAGCUCUCUUGUUGCCAAGUAGUUGACUAUAUUUGCGAACCAAGGCAACCUCUCCACUACACAAAGUGCAUCAUCAAGAAACUCAUCAUUAAUCUAUGCUUCCUCGAAAUGUGACUCUACUUUAACUCGGGAGAGAUGAUCAGUAACCACAUUCUCUACCCCUUGCUUAUCCUUUAUUUGAAUGUUAAAUUCUUGAAGAAGAAGGAUCCAUAUAAUAAGUCUUGUUUUGACGUCCUUUUUGUUAAGUAGAUAUUUCAAGGCCGAAUGAUUAGUAAAAAUUACUAUUGAAGUUCCCAAAAGGUAGUUCCUAAAUUUAUCAAUUGCGAACACCACUACAAAGAGCUCUUUUAUAGUAGUUGUGUAGUUCUUCUGAGCAUCAUUAAGGGUCUUACUAGCAUAGUACACCACAUAUGGUUUUCCAUCCUCCAUUUGACCUAGUACGACUCCCACUACAUAAUCACUGGCAUCACACAUUAACUUAAAUGGAAGAGACCAAUUGGGAGGUCUCAUAAUUGGUGCGGUAGUGAGUAGUGACUUUAGCCUCUCAAAAGCUUCUUGGCAUGCUUUACUCCAUAUGAAUUCUGCAUCCUUAAGUAAUAAAGCACAAAGAGGUUGAGAGAUUUUUUAGAAGUCGUGUAUGAACCUUCUAUAAAAAUCUACAUGCCCCAAAAAUUAUCUCACCCCAUUAUCAGUAUUGGGGGAAGGUAGCUUUGAGAUGAGCUCAAUUUUAGUUGGAUCUACCUGAAUGCCUUCUCUAGAGAUGAUAUGACCAAGUACUAUCCCUGAGGUUGACAUGAAGUGACACUUCUCCCAAUUUAGGACCAAGUCCUUCUCAAUGCACCUUUUCAAAACUUUUUUCAAAUUUAAGAGACAAUUGUCAAAGGUCUUCCCAUAAACUAUCAAAUCAUCCAUGAAAGCUUCCAUGAUUCUCUCUACCAUUUCAUUGAAGAUAUUGAGCAUACACCUUUGAAAGGUGGUCGGCACAUUACAAAGACCAAAAGGCAUACACUUAUAAGCAUAGAUACCAAAUGGGCAUGUGAAUGUGGUUUUCUCCUGAUCCUCCAAUGCAAUGGCAAUUUGAAAGUAGCCCGAAUAACCAUCCAAUAAGCAAUAAUAGUCAUGACCAACUAGCUUCUCCAAAAAUGACCAACUACUUUCUCCAAAACCUGAUCUAAUAAAGGUAAUGGGAAAUGAUAUUUCUUGGUGACUGCAUUCAACUUCCUAAAAUAAAUGCAUACUUGCCAACCUGUAGUCAACCUUGUAGAAAUGAGCUCUCCUUCAUCAUUCUUCACUACAGUUAUCCCACUUUUCUUGCGUACUACUUGAGUAGGGCUCGCCAAACUACUAUCGGAGAUAGGAUAUAUAAUACUUGCAUCUAAAAGCUUCAAUACCUCAUUUCUGGCCCCAUCUUGCAUUAGGGGAUUUGGCCUUCUUUGUGGUUGCCUUAUUGGUUUUGCAUUCUCUUCCAAAUAAAUAUGAUGCAUGCAAAUCAUGGGAUUUAUCCCUUUCAAAUCUAAAAUAAACCAACCAAUCACUCUUUUCUUCUCUUUAAGCACUUUUAAAAUUUUGAUUUCUUGCUCUUCAGUUAAUGUAGUUGAAAUGACCAAAGGUUUUUCUUCAUUUUCCUCUAAAUAAACAUACUUUAAACCAUGUGGUAGGGGCUUUAACUCUGGUUUGUUGAUCACAACCUUCCCAUUUUUUAUUUCUUCAUUAUUUUCAACACUGUUCAAAGACUGAAUGGUAUUUUUUUUUCCACUUUGUAACAACUUCAACACGUUCUUCCUUAAUGAUUGUAGAGAAAAAAUCAUCUAUAUUUUCUUCCAUGAACUUUUCUGUGUUUUCUUGCACCAAGGCCUCUAUAAGGCAUGCUUCCUCAUCCUCCGCAUCAUCAUGGUCCAUUAGUUGCUUGCAUAAAUUGAAGACAUUCAUUUCCACUGUCAUGUUCCCAAAAGAUAAUUACAUCAAUCCAUUCCAAUAGUUAAUGAGAGCAUUGGUUGUUGCAAGGAAGGGUCUCCCAAGAAUAAUUGGAACAGAAUUCACACAUUUUUUCAACGGUUCUGUAUCUAACACCACAAAGUCCAAUGGGUAGUAGAACUUUUCAACUUGCACCAAGACAUCUUCGACUACUCCUUUGAGUACUUAAAUUGAACAGUCUGCUAAAGAGAGUGUAAUGGUAGUAGCCUUAAGCUCUCCCAAUAAUCCCAAUUUCUUAUAGAUUGAAUAUGGAAGCAAGUUUACACUAGCUCCCAAAUCUAACAAAGCCCUUUCCAUGAAUAAGUCUCUAAUCUGGACUGAGAUGGUAAAACAUCCUGGAUCUUUGUACUUCACCAUUGCCUUAUUCUCAAUGAUGGCAUUGACUUGCUCGGUGAGGAAUGCUUUCUUGCUUAAUUUAAUCCUUAUCUUCAUAGUGCAUAAGUCAUUAAGGAACUUUACAUAAGAAAGCACUUGCUUGAUCAUAUCAAGGAAUGGAAUGUUGAACUUCACUUGCUUCAAAACUUCCAAAAUCUCCAAAGUCUUAUCCCCCACUUUGUGUCUGCGCAUUGAUGAAGGGAAAGAGAAAUGAUUGAAACACUCUUUUCAUCUUUGCUCACAAUGAAUUUCUGAUAUUUUUCACUCUUUCUCACUUCUAGCAUUUUUCUCCGCGGUUGGUUCAUUUCUAGCAGGAAUAUCUUCACUUAUUGCUAACUUGGGCCUUUCAUAUUCUUUCCCAUUUCUAAGUGUGAUAAAUGCAUUGCAAUCUUCCUUUUGCACUUCAGGAACUUCAUUUACUCAUCUUAGAUUUUUCUAUGGUUGAGUUGUGAACUUUCUUUUCUCUUGAGGUAAGCCUGCAGCAAGUUGGCGUUUGAAUAUCUUCUAGUUCUUAAGAUGUUUGAGCAUUUAUCUUAUUUUGAUCCUCAUUACGCUUGUCUUGCUUUUAUAUAAACUCUCUCAUCGUAUCUUCUAGGCUUGAGUUAAAUGAUGAGGUCUGGGGUUGCUGUUGAAAAUUUUGGGAUGGCAUACCUUGUGGUUGAAAACCUUGCUACCCAUUAGUUUGAUUACCCUAAAAUCGAUUUCCUUGCUGCUGAAAUUGGCCAUUGUUACCUCAUCUCCAUGAUGGAUUUGGAUAAUUCCUCCAACUCGGAUUAUAAGUGUUGGAAUAUGAAGAAUUGCUUAAAUAUUGCUUGUAUGUCCUUAAGGAAUUGGCUUGCUUUGAAAACAUGUUUUGCACUACAAGUAGAGUGGAACAAGAUUGCACACCAUGUUCCAUAGACUUACAUAUCAAGAACGGUUGAGUUAUUCCCUCAUUGACUCUUUGUACCUCUUAACCUCCCUUAGCUUCCAAAUCAUCCAACCUUCUCAUAAUGGUUACAAACUUGACUUGGACAUCUAAACUCUCUGGUAAGGUAUACACUCCAUUAGCUCUUGCCCUAUUCAUUGUUCUAUCUCUAGAUGUUUCCUUGACGAUUGGUUCUUCCUAACUUCUAGAUACCUCAACAACAUAAUCAAGGAAUUGAAAUGUUUCAUCAAGGUUUUUAUUCAUGAAAUCUCCUCCACGGGGGUGAUGUCAUAUUCACAAUCCAUAAUUUGGUAAAAAUCCAUAAUUUGAAUCAAAAGAACCUAAAACAAUAUAUUUAAUAAAGAAAAGAAAGAAAACAAACCAAAGUUCUCGUCUUCUUCCACCUUCAAUGUCAAACUCUCCAAAAAAAAAAAAAAAAUUCCAAGAUCCCUAAAACCUAGAACUAAGAGAGUUUAUAUAAUAUCAUCAAUUACCUAACAUGUGAAACACUCUCAUUGGCCCCUUAUUGCAAAAAUAAUUACCUAAAAAUGAUUAAAAAAAUAAUAAAAUAGUGAUUUCUAGUCACGUGGGGUCCAUUUAGGGCGGAUGGAGUGCCCUAAAUGCUAUUCCCGAGGUAAAGGAGGUGAAACAUCAAAGUGGCAGUGGGUGAAUUUGAAAUUGGUGUCAUUUCGAUGUGGAUUUCGAAUUCAUAAGUUAAAUUUCGAAAUCAUUUGAAAUGACCCUUAAACUUUGUGCAGUUGUUUUCAAAUAGCCAUAACUUCUUCAUUUCAACUCCGAUUUGCACACUGUUUGAAGCGUUGGACUCGUAACCUCCCAAGAAACAAUAUAUUUUAUAUAUAAAAAGGACUUCAAGAAGUGCUCCAAAUUUGUUCUCAAAGUUAAAGUAUAUAUUACCAUUAGAUUUUUUAGUUCUAAAUUUCCAUGUAGCUGAAUCUUGCUUCAUGCCUCAUUUCCUAUGUUUUCUUGCCUUCUUUCUUACUCCAUAAUGGUCAUGUAGGCCCUCAAUUUUGUCCCUUUAGCACAUGUCUUUAAAAUUCGUUUUCAAUGCUCCACAAUAGUUCUUUGGUGGCCCAUAGCUACUCAUACCACUUACCUUUUUUUUGAGUCACCUCGGAGACUUUGGUUGAGGGAUUAUUUGAUCCCUUAUUGUGACCCUUGGCAGUUUUGAUUUAGAUUUAGGUUUUUCUUGCUUUUUUUAGGAUAGCUUUUAGAUACACUUGGCCCAUUAGGCACCACCUUAGGCCCACUUAGUCUCACCUUAGGCCCGUUUAGGUAUACUGGGUCUAUUAAGACUUUUUUUUUAGCGUGACUUAUAUAACUUGCAUGUUUGCAUGGCUCGUGGGCCCAUUUUUUGUUAAUUUGUUUAUUUUUAUUUUAUUUUAUUUUAUUUUUAUUAUUUUUAUUAUUAUUUUUAUUUUUAGUUUUAGUUUUAUGAUUAUCAGUCACUUUUUAUUGGUUAUCUUCCUCUUUAUAUUAUUUUCCUUAACUUAUUUAUUUAUUUAUUAUUUUUACCAUUUUCUAAUUUAUUUACUUAUUUAUCUAUUCAUGCAAUUGUUUAACUUCUAAAAUUUCAUGCUUUUGCAAGGAAACUUACUAUUGGAGUUUAAGGAAGGUGGGACUCUCCUUGGAAGGUUUUGGAGAGGAAUUUGAAAUUGGGAAGAUUGCUUUUGAAUUGGAAGAUUUAAAAAAGGAUAAGGAGAAAAAAGGAGAGAAAAUAGGGGAUUUUCCUUUCGGGAACAGAUUUAGGAUUUGGGAGGUGAUAUAUAUAGAUACGUGAGAGAGGAAGAAAGGAGAGGAGAAAAAGAGCUUUUUUUUUUUUGUGGGAGGAGAUUUUUUUUGGCGGGAAGCACGUAUUGGAGUCUAGAAAGGGAGAAGGAGGAAGAAAGAACAAGCAAAAAGAGGAUUUUUACUUGGGAAUUGUCUUCAGAAAGAAGAGAAAAGAUAGCCAUAAGUCAAGCCAUUGCAACCAAAGCUAUCCAGGUAUGCACCCCGUUGCUUUUGGAAUUCUUACCUAUAUUUGAUUUUUCCGUGUGUUCGAUUCUUGAAAAUUUAAUUGUUUUGUUGAUUUUUGGUAUGGACGAAAAGGGCCACAAUUUGCUUUGUUGAGAUUGGUUACUUGCCUGUUUGCCUUGUUUUGAUUUCGGAUGUCAUUAAUGUCUUCGGAAGCAUAUAACUCCAUGCCUGUUCCCACUAACCUGAGCCUAUUGAAAAAUCAGGAGAUGUGGUUUUAUUUUCUUUUAAUCUCCCAUGUCUGUUUUCCCAUUGUUUCCUCUACUCUCUACCAUAUCUGUUUUGCCUUUUCUUCCUACCCAUCACACGGCCAUCAGCUUUUCAUAUGGGGGUGACUCUAAAGCAUGGGCAUAUAGUCAUGAGUUUCAGUAAAGAGGUCAAACGCUUCAAAAUUCUGGAACUGCUAUCACAAUAUGGGAUCUAGAGAAGAUUGUCCGAAGGGUAUGUCAGCUGUUUAUUGCACUUGCUAAGUUUGGUUACCAUAACGUAAAUUUGUGAGUUCAUAUGGGGAUUAGAGAUGUGGCUCCUUGGAAUUCGAUUAUUCUAGGGUAUUUACACUGAGAGUAUAUUGGGGAGCGUGGGAGAAAGCAACAUUGAAAAGAAAAGAAAGAAAAAAAAGGGGUGGGGAUCGUUUUGGUGAAAAGAGGAAGGAAGCGCAGGAAAAUUAGUGGCAAAAAUCAGAGAAUACAAAACCAGAGGAGAUUCUCUUGUCGGAAGGCAGUUUUUCCAGGCUUGAUCCAGAUUGCGAAAUCAGUGCACUAUUCUUUUGGGCUCGGGGUGGUUUUGAAGGUAAUGUGUUUGUGAAGACGACUUUGGUUGACGUGUACUCAAAAUUUGGAUGUAUGGGUAUUGCGAGGCAAUUGUUUGAGAGUAUGUCAGAAAGAAACGUUGUUUCAUAGAAUGCGCGGCUUAAUGUAAUUACUUCUCUACACUUGAUCAGUCAUUAGGGCAGAUUAUUGCUUGAAAGCUUGUUACUAAACAGGUUGUCUAUUUCCCUGAACUUAGUUCUCUUCUAACUUCAGAGCGUAUGGAACUCUGUACACUUUUUUUUGCUUCUGAUUUCUCUUCUAAUGGCUCUAAGUGUAGAAGGGAAGAGCUUGAAGUUUUACGUGCUCUGCAAAUGAUGUUUUCUGUUUGAUCUCAAUGAUGUUUUGUUAAUAUCUGUGUUCUUCGGUCAGAGAAAGAAAUUUCAUGGAGAAGGGUUUACUACAGAAUGGGUGACUUCGGAUAUUAAGAAGAAAACUGGCCUUCGAACUACAGCUGAAGCACAUGUGACACUUGACUGUGCCAGAAGAGUCGAAUUUCUUAGCAAUAAAUGCAUGAAGCCCAGAGGGGAUCUUGAUGAUUUUGGCAACAACUUCUGUCUUGAAAGCAACUGCUUUUGCUGAAAAGAAUUCGGGCAGUGGCCCACAGUAUGAUAGCCUCUACUGAAAAGACCAGCUUUCCAGCAAUGAACAGCAUCAUCACUGAUGUCUCCUCUCACCCUCUCAACGGUUUUCUCUCCUCGUUCUUCUCAGAUGCAUCCCCGUUGUCUCCAUUUCCUCUCUCACUCGCUUCCCAUUUUCUACAAAUUCAAGAGUCCCCACAGUUUCUGCCCAAAAUCCUAGAACCGCCCUAUUUUCCUUGUUCGAAACUGCGCUUCCAUUACCGCAAAACCCUCUUCUCAGUUUCGGAAGAAAUCUGCCGAUUCCGAGCAGGAUGAGAAGCUUCGUUCUCUGUGUGAGCUGUUCUCGAAGCCCGGAAUUGGAAUUGAUGCGUAUAUUAUCCCUUCCCAGGACGCCCACCAGGGAACAAAUUAAGCCUCCAGUUCCACUUGGAGGUUUAUCUGGAUUCAUGUUCUUUGGUUCCAUUUACCACAUAGUACUUGUCGUCGGUGAGUCAACUGGAUAUUUAAUUCUGAAGCACUUCUAUUUUGGCUUCUAGAGUGAGUUCAUUGCUGAACGUUAUAUGAGGAGGGCCUACAUAUCAGGGUUUACUGGCAGUGCUGGUAUUGCUGUUGUCACAAAGGAUAAAGCAGCUCUUUGGACAGAUGGGCGUUAUUUUCUCCAGGCAGAGAAGCAGUUAAGCUCUAAUUGGAUUCUUAUGCGGGCUGGUAACUAUGGAGUUCCUACAACCAGUGAAUGGCUUAAUGAUGUCUUGGAUCCUGGUUGUAGAAUUGGCAUUGAUCCUUUUCUUUUUUCUUCUGAUGCUGCAGAGGAAUUGAAAGAGGCCAUUGCUAAGAAGAAUCAUGAAUUGGUUUACCUAUAUGAUUUAAAUCUUGUGGAUGAAAUAUGGAAAGAAUCAAGGUCGGAGCCUCUAAGAAAACCAAUUAGAGUGCAUGAGCUGACGUAUGCUGGUUUAGAUGUCUCAUCAAAAUUGUCUUCCUUGAGGUCUGAACUCAUUGAUGCUGGUUGUUCUGCUAUUGUUGUUUCUAUGCUUGAUGAAGUUUCUUGGCUGUUAAACUUGAGAGGAAAUGAUGUUCCAAACUCACCUGUUAUGUAUGCAUACUUAAUUGUGGAGAUUGAUGGGGCAAAAUUAUUUAUUGAUGAUUCUAAAGUUAGCCCAGAAGUGAUGGAUCACUUGAAGAAUGCAGGCAUAGAGUUGAGACCAUAUGAAUCCAUUCUAGCUGAAAUAAAGAAUUUGGCAGCAAAAGGGGCACACCUCUGGUUGGAUACGUCUUCUGUUAAUGCUACUAUUGUCAACACCUACGAGGCUGCUUGUGACCAGUAUUCUGGGAGCCUUGAUAAUAAGAGGAAAAAUAAGUCUGAGGCCUAUGGAGUCGCCAAUAGUCAAUCUGGGGUGCCCACUGGAGUUUAUAAGAUUUCACCUAUUUUGCUGGCGAAGGCUGUGAAAAAUCAGGCUGAAUUAGAAGGGAUGCGCAAUUCUCAUCUAAGGGAUGCAGCUGCUCUUGCACAGUUUUAGUCCUGGCUGGAAGAAGAAAUCCUUAAGGGUGUGCUAUUGACAGAGGUAGAUGUUGCAGAUAAACUUCUUCAAAUUCCGUUCUAUGCAGCUGUUCUACUGAAAGGCACAUGCGAGUAAUCACUAAACUCGUUAAAACAUUAUCUUCAUUUUCGAACCUGGAGUGUAAUCCCUCGAAGAGCAUUUUUUUAUUGCUAUAUAAAAAAGGCAAAAAAAAAAAAAACAUGAUAGAUGGAGGAAUGGCUCGGCACCUAGCUAGCAUUUUUAAGUGAUCCAGUUUUCAAGUCUGAUGGUUUGAACAAGAAAAAUCCCCAGCUUCAAACGGAAUAUCUGACGACCAGUGGAUUGCACCAUUGGCUAUAGAGAUUGGAAAGAAUAGUCGGAAUAGAAACAUCCAACAAGGACUCAUGGAUGCAGCAGGAACAGAGCAGCGACAGCGUGAAGGAAUUUCGCAAAGUGAAGGAAAUCAUUCAUUUACAGAUUCGGUCAGAUCAUGGAUGAAAAAUAACAAUGAGGAGUCUGCUUGGUGAUGGCAACGACAAGGGUACAUAUUCUAGUAGAACCAUUGAAUCAAAUCUUGGUGGUGGGAAAUUAACACAGAAUGCAGGAAAUCUGUCAAUACAAAGAAAUUGGGGAUUUUGAAUUUUAUGUUCCGUGUUUGAUCAAUGUUGGGGAGAAUCCAUUUGAGCUCACGAACCAAGUUACCUUAUACAUGGAAAUGCUUUUGACCACUGAAUAUCCUGCCGACGAAUUGGGUCCUUCUAUCCCGAAUUUUGAGGCUCCACUCCCUCUCGGCCACCUUGCCACACAUCAUACUCCCAAUGUUUCUUUUUCUUCUUUUUGUGAUCUUAUACAUUUUAAAUUUGGAUUUCAAAAUCUUUUUUUUUUCAUUAAAACAACUUCAAUUUUCUUCAAAUUCCAUCCUUAGGGAUUUCUAGGCAUAAAAUUUAGAUUUCAAUAAUCUUUUGCUGCCACUUUCCUUCGGGCAUGCAUUUUCACUAUUUUCUUUUAUUUUUCAUGGUUUUCUCGAUUUUCUCAAGCAUGAAUAAAACUUCAUAAUUCCAAAUCAUGGAAUUUAUGGAAUCAACUCAUGCGAAAUUAAUUAGGGCUUUGGUGGGGGCCCGACAUUCAUGAUAUUAUCUUCAAUAUUGUUUGCUUGAUAUCUGAUUGAUUUUUUAUUCUUCUCGAUGAAAUACUUGAAUUCGCUUUAUAUUUAUUGUUGAGAUAUCCUUGUUUCCCAUAGACGUGUGGAUGCUCGCUAAAUCAGGUACGCUCUUCCCACCCUACAACUCUGAAAUUCUAUGAAUGUGUACGUUAUCAUGAGCCAUGACCAUGUUUGAUGCCACAUUUGAUUGUGUUGAUGCUUGUUUGAUCAUCUUUGAUAAAAUACAUGUAAUGCGUCAUAUUUCCAAACUAAUCUCCUAUGUUUUAUGAUAGCGCUUGAGAAGCCGUUCAGGUUUGCACUUCGACCCUCUCUUAUGGUUGGUUUUCUUAUUAGGCAUGCAAUAUUUGAAAUCACCUAGCCUACUUAGGUAUCCAUAAUUAACUUAUUAAUGGCCACACUUCCCUUAACUUUGUCAGUAGAGACCUUCAGAGGGCUUAGAGGGGUGCUACCUUUUAAAGGUACCUUCCCAAUAGUAAACCUGAUCCCCGGACUUAGACUUGGGUUUUUCAAAGACAUGCUUUUUCCAAAAAUUAUGGAGUCACAUUUUAGGGUUUUUCUUUCUUGUUUUAUUUUCCCUUUAAAAUAAAAAUAAAAUAAGUGGCGACUCCAACUUUUUCCAAAAAUUAUUUUUUCACAAAUAAAAAGCGAGUCUCACCGAUCGAGUGGGGACACACAUGAAAUAUGCGGGUCCACAAGUCAUUUAUCAUCUUCCAAACUCAUGAUAUUCUUGUCUUGCCUUUCCUCAUGGUCCAUGAGUCUUGACUCACUUAUUUUCUCAUUUAACCCUUUCUUAGUCUUUUAAAAUUUAAAAUGAUUCAACUUGCACCCUUUUCUUCCCUUGAACCUAAGAUAAGUCUCCAAAGUACAAAUUAAACUCAUGGCUAGGGCCUUAGUAUUGAUUUAGGUCAAGUUGGGUGAUUUGAAUGUCCUUUGGUGUAUAAAUCAUAUAGAAUAUGUGCCAUUAGAGCACAUAUUUUGGCUCCAAUCAAGCUUACUCGCCAAAUUCCGUAUGUCAAACAUUGAGUGAUAGAAUGGAGUGGGUUGGUCAAAGAUUCAUUUGAGGCUCUAUAGUAUAGUCAUGAGAGCACACAAAUUAGAUGAUAUGUAGUUGGUUGCUCUCUUCCCCAUGUCACUUAGUUGAGCAGCAUAUAGGUGGUUGGCAUUAAUUAAGCCUUCGAGACUCUGCACUUAGGAGGAUGUGGCCUAUAAGUUUUUGACACAGUUUGCCUUUAGUGUCAAUAUUGAUUUUUUUAUUUUUUUUACUAAGCAAGAUGUCGAGAGUGUUACUUAAACAUCCCUAUGACAAAAGCAAAAGUUGUUGUCUUUAGUGCUAAUAUUGAUGUUUCUAGGAGAGAGUUAGAGGCUACUAAGUAGAAGCUAAAUGAAUCUGUUUCUUCAUUUAUUAGUCAUUGGAGGGCUAAGGUGGUUGGUAUGAUAGAUUGACUUAAGGAGUAAGAUUAGAUUGAUGUGCUUCUUUGGAACCUUCAGCCGAGGUUUGCCAGAUGUCUUGUAGGUAUUCCAUUUCAAGACUUCUUAAAUUUGGUUCAAUUCAUUUUUAGUGUUCAGGAGGGUAUUGCUAGAGUGUUAUAGACAAACACUAUUCCUUCCUUAGACAUUAAAGGAAAGAAGCUUGUAGGAUCAUUAGGGAGGCUUGGAGAUGUUAACACUAUCAGUUAUCAUCAUCGAGGUCAACUUAUUAGUCAUACCAAAGGUCUCCUACAAUCAAAGCCUACUUUCCUCAUCCAUUGUGCCAAUUGAUUCAUGCCCAAUUGGUGUCUCAGCUGAUUUGCAUCCAGCUAGUGCUCCUGAUUGAGGGAGUAAUCAACAAAAUUUAUAACCUAUAACACCAUAUACUAGGGUAGCAAAGACAAAGCUACUAUAGUAUAGUGGCUUUAGGAUCGUUCACUGGGAAUGAUUAACAAGCAAUCAAUGAUACCAAUUCCAAGUGAAUUGGCCUUGUUUCAUUUCAAGGUUAGCUUAAGAAGUAACACACAAACUUUGAUUGGUAAAGGUUUAGACUUAAACUAACUAACAUAACAGAAGUUUGGAAUAAUUUAGGAAGAAAAGCAUUCCUUAGAGAUUUAGGUUCACUAGGGUGGUUCCUCAUGCAAAAGACACGGCUUUGGUUAGAUGGUUCAUUUCCUCGCAUUAGAGAUUCAACAUAUAGUCAAUUCUCUAACCGGUGAUGUACAGAGACUCCUUCAAUUAGAUUUCACUUUAAUUCUCUCACUGAUGCAACUUGCAAUGGUUUAAGCCUCUCACUAAGCCUUAACCAUUCAAGGUGAUCUUUAACCUUGGAUUACCCGUCAAAAGCUCGCAAGAGAUAACUAAUGGAUGUCUCCUAGGAGUCCAAAAGCUUACCAAGUGUUGGCUAUUCUAGAAAAUCCUACCUUGAAGUCACCUCCCAGAGGCUCGCAAGGGGUAAACUAGUGCAUUUCCAUGGUUGGAAAUCACUUGCCUUACCAAGUGUUGGCCCAGGUGACUCCAAGGUGUUUUAAGUUAACUAAAAACAUAGAAAUCAUUGAAGGAUUUCACUUCCUCUUCAUUACUAGCUAAAACCACAAAGCUUUGCAUUCUUGCACUUGGAACCUCCCCCGGCAACCUUAGCUCCAAGGAAUUAGAGGUUUAGUUACUCAUUCUCUGGGGAAAACUCCUCAGAGAGUUCAUAACUUAGUAAUAAGUAAAAAAUACAAAGUGAGAAGGUAAGGCAGUAGAAAGAAAAGAGACUUUACUUGCUUACCCAAACUUUUUCAGAAGGAACUCCUCUCUGAGAACAGGCUCUCGAGAGGUAUAUAUAUGAACAUAAUAUAAAACUAAUUAUUACAUAGAUAUUUAGUCUUUUUACUAACUUAAAAACUAAGGAAUCAUGUAAUUGGUGGUUUACAAGGAGUAUUUUGGGAUUUAGACAACAAAAAUCUAAUGGAAAAUAUCUCCCAAUGUCGGUAGCAAAUAUCGGGAGGCUUCAGGAACCAUUUCGCAGGAGAAAAAUGGUGUCUGCGAGAUUUCGCAGACACUCAAGAGGGCUGCGAAAUUAUUUCGCAACACCAAGCUAUCUUCACAGGGCUGCGAAGUUGGCUUCUACCUUGAGGUUCCUAGCUUCCUUCUCGCGGCAUAAAUCGUGCAUCGUCAGAAGGACAAACACCUUACUGUACAAAAAUGCUGCGAAAUCACUUCGCAACAAAAGGGUGAUUUCGCAACACUUUGCAAAAUGCUUCCUUCAGCUCGAAGUGAUUGGCUUGUAAUGGCUGCAACUUUUUCGUUUCAACUCCGAAUUGCACACCGUUUGAAGCAUUGGAUUGUUGACUUCCUGAGCUUUGAAAUGGUAUAUAGCAUGCAUCAUUUGGACUUCAGAAAGUGCUCCAAAAGUGGCUGCUACGACUGUCAUCAAGAAUAUGCUUUAUGGCAGAUUCUCUUUACUUUUUCUCCUUGCAAUCCGGAUUUACUCUUGGCAAAUGACUUCUCAACUUUGCCCAAGAUUCCUCAUAGCUCUCCUCAGACUUGACUUGCUUUGGUGAUCAAAAUACUAACAAAAACACCAAAACUUACACAAAGUGAUUAAAAUUGCUUUAAAGGAUCCUUAACAUGCCAAUUGAGUUAAAAGGCUUAAACUACUACUCAAAAGUGUUUAAAAGGAUUAAUUAUAGGCUAUCAAAUAGCACUUUUUGAGUAGUAACCACUCCCCCCAACCGACAUAUUGCUAGUCCCUUAGCAAUAUAGGAGAGAAAAAUAAAAAUAAAUAGCAAACUAAUCUAAAAUUUACAACAUCAUGCUGAAAGGAAAUAAUUCUCAAGUGGCAUGAUGAUCUAAUUCUCACAUGAAUCAUUAAAGAAAUACAAACCCAAAUCUCAACAAGAGUCAUAACACCUAUGCUAAACACUGUCAAUCAAGGGAGUGCGUUAUGCAAACUGAAGUUUUAAAAUCAUUUCCACUUUCUAAGAAUCAAACUUUAAUCUUCCACAAAAAUCUAUGUGUAUUGGUUCCUUAGGUUCCGAUAAUAAUAUGCUAAACUAGUCUCUCCCCCCAACCUAUNNNNNNNNNNNNNNNNNNNNNNNNNNNNNNUACUCAAAAGUGUUUAAAAGGAUUAAUUAUAGGCUAUCAAAUAGCACUUUUGAGUAGUAACCACUCCCCCCAACCGACAUAUUGCUAGUCCCUUAGCAAUAUAGGAGAGAAAAAUAAAAAUAAAUAGCAAACUAAUCUAAAAUUUACAACAUCAUGCUGAAAGGAAAUAAUUCUCAAGUGGCAUGAUGAUCUAAUUCUCACAUGAAUCAUUAAAGAAAUACAAACCCAAAUCUCAACAAGAGUCAUAACACCUAUGCUAAACACUGUCAAUCAAGGGAGUGCGUUAUGCAAACUGAAGUUUUAAAAUCAUUUCCACUUUCUAAGAAUCAAACUUUAAUCUUCCACAAAAAUCUAUGUGUAUUGGUUCCUUAGGUUCCGAUAAUAAUAUGCUAAACUAGUCUCUCCCCCCAACCUAUCUCUUUUCAACACUUUAGCAAACUGACCAAAAUCAAUAAGAAAAGAACACACUUUCAUCAUCUAUUUUUAUUUUUAUUAUUAUUUUUUUUUCAAGGUAGCUUUAUGGGGUACUCUUUCUGACUUGUCCAUGUAAUGGGGGUCCAUCGAUGACUCCCAACCAAUUAAGGUUUAGGGCACCAAGUUUUAAGGAUCUUUCAACCACUAACUCCUCGGAUUUUUCCCCGGACUUUUAAGAAUGAAUUUCUAAUACCCAAGCAUCUACCAUAUGCUAACUCUACCUAUUCACCCUUAUAACGAGCAUUGAGGUCGGUGUCUCCCAACCAAUUAAGGCUUAGGGCACCAGGCUUUAAAGGCUUUCACCAUAUGCCCCUCAGACCUUGCUCGGGUUUCAAGGCAAGCAAACAACUUUCUUUAUUUCAAAGGCUCAUUGGCCUUUUGCAGGGUGUUUCAAUUUUUAUCAAAUGAGGUCAAAUAUACCAAGUCCCAAAAUUGUCCUAAGUCAAGAGGGAAAUAGCUUUUCAUCUUAUAAUCGGAAACUAAUGUGCACAGUGUGUGGAUAGCUUAAAGUGGAAGAACUAACUUCAAUUUCAAUAGAAGCUUCAACAAUUGAACCACUUUAGUAAGCAUAAUCCAUACUCUAAGUCAAGUGAAAAACAACAGUUCAAUUUCUCUUGGUUUAAUUUGAAAAUUUUUCCUCAAAAUUCAUGGAGAAUAGAGUAACAAGAGUAAAAAGUAAAAACUACAACUAAUUAACCAAUAUAAUUGCAAUACCAAAAAGAUUUAGAAUACUUCCUUUCUCAUACCCCCCAACCGAACUGAGCAUUGUCCUCAAUGUGAUUUGAGUGACUGUAAUAAAAGGGAGGAAGUGGUACCUCCUUGCUGAAAUCAAAUUCGAAUAUUGAUUGGGGAAAACCACAUGUUUCAAAAAGAAUAGAAUAUGUGAGAAAAGGAAAUAAGAAUAACUUAAUGCUAACUUUUAACAAGAAAUAUUCAACUUGUAUUACUUUAAAUUCAUUUGAUUACAAUGCAAAAGACAAGUAACACAAGGAAUCCCAAAUAUAGUACCAAAAUACUGGGAUUUCUUUUCAACUAAAAAAAACGAAAUACAUAAAAAUAUUAGAUAUCUAAUAUAGUCUAAUGAGUGGGGUGGUGCUGGGAUUAGGCAGAAGGAUCUACCUCUUCAGUAGGUGCAUCAGCUGGGGCUUAGGGCUCAGGAGGAUGAGACUCUGAAGGAUGAGGGUGUGGCUCUGUUGGAGUAUCAGUGGAGGGCUCUACAGCUUGUGGCAGAUCGAAAUGGACUUGGAGCUGCCUUAAGAUGGCAGCUUGUUGAGCCUAAGUGGCUAACAUCUGCUCUUGGCAUGCUCUGAUGGCUGCCAUCUCUUGAGCAAGAUUGCUUUGAGAAGCUGUAAGUGUCUCCAAUGCACGGCACAACUCUCGAUAUUCAGAUAUAGGAAUGGCCAUCCUCGGCUCAGCUGAUGUGGAUGGCUGAGAUGAAGCAGGUGCAGCUGGUGGAGCUCUAGGAAUGGCAGGAGCAGCAACUGUUAUACCUUCAAGUAUAUGUCUUGGGGAGGCUCUCCUUGCAGCUGGUUGAGGCUGCCCAAGCUGAUCAACUUUGUAGGUCGUCAUAUUAUUCCAUUUAUCAAGAGUGAAUAGCUCACGGCAAAUUCGCUUUCUCUCCAGCUGAGGCUCAGAGGGGUAUCCCAGAUGCUCCAAAAUUUGGCAUAGCAGCCUUGGGAAGAGGAGGGGAAUGCAAUCUGCUCUCUGAAGCUUCUUUUUGUGAACCUUCUCUUCAAAAUAGAGAAGGGCUGCCAUGAUCAGAUGAUGAGGCCCAAUGAAAAAUCCUUCUGACAUCUUGUAAAGAGCUUCUAGGAGGACUCCCCUUCUUUGGGUCCAAUGUUGCAAUGGGUAUAUAUUAUGACGCAAAAAGGCAUCAAUCAAAAACAUAACUGGAGGAAGCUCCCCCCUCAGCAGAUGUGAUCGAUUUGCAGCUCAUCUGGAAAGGGUGUGAACCACCUCUAGCUCAGUAGGAUUUGCCCAAGCUCUAAAAUUAUCGAAUUGGGUUGGCUCAAAGGGAAUUUGCAAGGCUUCAGCAAUAUGUCGUGCUCCCAAUAUGCCAUGUCUCCCAUCGAUUGUGAAAUGAAUCAAGGUUGGAUUUCUGACCUCUUUGGUUGUCAUGGAUUGGUAGAAAUUCGUGGCUAUCCGGGGAUAGAAAAAGUCUCUUGGAGCUAGCAGUUGCUCCAUGUGAUACCUCCUCAGCAGCUGGAAUGAUUGGGCAAGCUCUGGCCUCACUCUGAAUGCCAGUAAGUCGAAGCAAAGCUCGGAGUGAAAUGCCCGUGUUCUACAAUCCAAGUUUCCCUCAAUUGGGGGCUGAGGUAGCAUUGGCCUUUGGAUUACUUCUUCCAGAGCUGUUUCAGCUUGAAUUUGGGGCUCGGGAAGUGGCGCUUGAGGCUCCUGAGAUUUUUCUUGCGGCGCCGGAGAUGGUACCGGCGAUGGAACUGGUAGGGGACUCGGCAAGGGAACUGGAGACGGCACUGGAGUUUGAACCGGUGAUGGAAUUGGUGAAGGCUCUGGAGAUUGCUCAGUCAAAUCGAUGGGUUCUGAGCUCUCCACCCUGGGUUUCUUCUGCAAUGGCCGACCUCCUGACCUGGUAAGGUAUCGUCUUGUCAGCGGCUUUGGUGGCGCGGGCUUCACCGGAGGAGGAUUUGGCCUUGACGGCGAAGGCUCUGGAGCAGAACCUGGACUUGGCUCCUUUCACAGACUCUUCUUGCGGUUCGAAGGAGAUGAAGACUUAGCCCCUCGUGUUCGUGCCAUUUCGGGAUACCAAACUUUGGCCGGCAUUGCUGAUCGGAGGAGAUGACAGGAGGCUCGGACGGCGUGGCUCAAGGAAGAAGAUGAAAGGUCUACGAAAAUGGCGCUCUGAUUUUUGAAACCCUUUUCGCAGCUUAAAUGACCGGUAUAAAUAGGAAAAACGGAAGCCUAAGGGUCAGUUUAAGUUUCGUAACAAAACCCCAAUUUCGUAGCAAAAUGCCAUUUUCGCAGCAACUUCGCAGUGAGUUUCGCAGCUGCAAAAUGAGAGUUCUUGUGCUGCAAAGUGGCACUUGUGUGCCAAAACCACUUUCGCAAUUGCGAAAUACCCUGCGGAAUGGGACUUUUGGUGCGAAAUCACGCUUUUCCACUUCGCAAUGCGUUUCGCAGCUGCCAAAUGGAUGCUACUGUACUGCGAAGUGGCACUCGUGUGCCAAAUUUGCUUUCGCAGCUGCGAAAUACCCUCGCAGAGACUUCUACAGUGUUGCGGAAUGGUUUGGCAACAAAAUGCUCAUUUCGCAGAAGUUUCCUUCACUCUGCGAAAUUUCGUAGAGCUCUGUUUUUCCCCUGUUUUUGCUCUGUUUUGGCUCCGAUUUCGACCCAAUUUUUUUUCUUUCAAUUUCCUUGAAAUUUCUUCCACCUGGGAUCAUUCAAAACAAUUAAAACACACCUAAAAACAUCAUUUAAGAUCAAAAACUAAGAUCAAAAGUAUGGAAACAACUUGAAAAUUUACAAAAUUUACAAAAAUUUUGGACUGUGGUAAAACCACGUCCAGCAAACCCUUUUUCACUUAAGCUUUUUGAGGUUCAAGGAGGUUGAUCUCCUCCUUUUCUGGUUUGAAUGGCUCCAAGAAUGGCUUGAGACGAUAUCCAUUGACUUUAAAGCUAUCCUUGCCAUUGGAAUUCAAUAAUUCCACCACUCCAUUGGAAUAUACUCGGUGAAUAAUGAACGGGCCUAUCCACCUUGACUUGAGUUUCCCAAGAAAGAUAUGGAGUCUUGUGUCAUACAUCUAAACUCUUUGUCCUUCCUGAAAUUCCUUGUUGGAGAUGAGUUGAUCAUGCCACUUCUUCAUCCUCUGUUUUGCAACUUUGGAAUUGAUAUAAGCAUUAUUUCUUAAUUCCUCCAUCUCAUUAAGGUCUAGAAAUCUCUUUUCUCCUGCCUUGAUCAAGUCCAUGUUCAGCUUCUUAACUGCCCACCAAGCUUUGUAUUCAACUUCCACAGGGAGAUGGCAUGCUUUACUAUAGACAAGACGAUAGGGAGACAUCCCAAGAAUAGUCUUAUAAGCUGUUCUAUAUGCCCACAAUGAAUCAUGAAGAUGUUCUUUAUUUCCCUGUUAGCUAGCUCAACUUGCCCGGAAGUCUGAGGAUGAUAAGUUGUAGCCACCUUAUGCUUCACUCCAUACUUGGAUAAUAGAGCUUCAAAAGGUUUGUUGCAAAAAUGAGCACCUCCAUCACUGAUUAUGGCCUUGGGCACCCCAAAUCUUGAGAAAAUGUUCUCUUUAAGAAACUUGAGAACCACCCUGUGAUCAUUUUGUUUACAGGGGAUUGCCUCAACCCAUUUAGAAACAUAAUCCAUCCCCACCAAAAUGUAAGAAUUACCAAAAGACAUUGGGAAAGGUCCUAUGAAGUCAAUGCCCCAUACAUCAAAUAACUCAACUAUCAGAAUGGGGUUCAUAGGCAUUUGAUUUCUUUUUGUUAGCUUUCCAAGCCUUUGGCAUCUAUCACAAUUCCUACACAUGAUGUGGGCAUCUUUGAAAAGAGAUGACCAAGUAAACCCUGAUUGCAAUACCUUCAUGGUUGUUUUCUGAGAAGCAAAGUGGCCUCCACAUGCAUUCUCAUGACAAUGAGAUAGAAUCCCUUGCUACUCAUCUUCAGGGACACACUUCCUAAUAAUCUGAUAUGCACAAUACUUAAAGAGAAAGGGCUCUUCCCAAUAAUAAGAAUGAAUUUUGGCAAAGAAGUGCUUCCUGUCCUGUGCAUUCCACUCACUUGGAAUUUCACCAGUUACUAAAUAAUUAGCAAUAUGAGCAUACCAAGGAGUUUUCACUAGGAACAUGAGUGAUUCUUCAGGAAAAUCAUCAUUGAUAGGCAAGGGAUGGGAGUUAUGUGCUAUAACUAACCUUGAGAAGUGGUCAGCUACCACAUUCUCCACUCCUUUCUUAUCUUUGAUUUGAAGAUCGAAUUCUUGUAACAAAAGAAUCCAUCUAAUCAACCUUGCUUUUGCAUCUUGCUUUGUCAAUAAAUACUUCAAGGCUGAAUGGUCAGUGAAGACAAUGAUGAAAGACCCCACUAAAUAAGCACGAAAUUUGUCCAAAGCAAAUACCACAGCUAACAAUUCUUUCUCUGUAGUUGUGUAGUUCCUCUGAGCUUCAUUUAGUGUUUUACUUGCAUAGUAAAUCACAUAGGGCUUCCCAUAUUCUCUUUGGCCAAGCACAGCUCCUAUAGCAAAGUCACUGGCAUCACACAUCAGUUCAAAAGGUAAUUGCCAGUUAGGGGCUCUCACUAUUGGAGUUGUUGUUAAAAAUUUCUUCAGUUGAUCAAAGCUAUUCUGACACCUUUCAUCCCAUAUAAACUUAGCAUCCUUAGCUAACAGCUCACAAAGAGGUUUUGAAAGACUUGAAAAACCUUUUAUAAACCUCCUAUAGAACCCUGCAUGGCCAAGGAACUGUCUUACUCCUUUUACAGUUGUUGGAGAUGGUAAUUUGACAAUAAGCUCCACCUUUGCUUUAUCAACUUCAAUGCCUUUUUCAGAGAUGAUAUGGCCAAGGACAAUUCCUUGACGUACCAUAAAAUGGCAUUUUUCCCAAUUAAGCACCAGGUCUUUUUCAAUGCAUCUAUGAAGAACUGCUUCCAAAUUAACCAAGCAUUCCUCAAAUGUACAUCCAUAUACGGUGAUGUCAUCCAUGAAAACCUCCAUAAUUCGCUCCACCAUAUCACUGAAAAUACUCAACAUACAUCUUUGAAAUGUAGCAGGUGCAUUGCAUAAACCAAAAGGCAUUCUUCUAUAAGCAUAUGUUCCAAAUGGACAUGUAAAAGUGGUCUUUUCUUGAUCUGCCAAAUCAAUUUCAAUCUGAAAAUACCCUGAAUACCCAUCCAAGAAACAAUAGAAUGGAUGUCCAGAGACUCUCUCCAGCACUUGAUCAAUAAAUGGCAAUGAAAAAUGAUCUUUCCUAGUGACAGCAUUCAGCUUUCUAUAAUCAAUACACACCCUCCAACCUGAAGUGAGGCGUGUAGUAAUUUCUUCCCCUUUUUCAUUCUGAACCACUGUGAUCCCUGACUUCUUUGGUACUACUUGAGUAGGACUCACCCAAGGGCUAUCAGAUAUAGGGUAAAUGAUUCCUGCUUGAAGUAGCUUCAACACCUCAGCUCGUACCACCUCUUGUAGAUGAGGAUUCAACCUUCUUUGAAAUUGAUGAAUUGACUUUGCUUCCUCCUCCAUAUAUAUAUGAUGAGUACAAACUAAAGGACUAAUGCCUUUCAAAUCAGAUAUUUGUCAUCCUAUUGCCUUCUUACACCUCUUGAGAACUUCCAUUAAACAAUUCUCUUGAUGACUAGUCAGAGAUGAAGAUAUCACAACAGGACAUUGAUUAUUUGCUUCAAGAUAUGUAUAUUUCAGCUCCACAGGUAAAAGCUUCAGAUUGAGUUUUGGAAUUUCUUUUUCAGCAGCUGCCUCCUCUUCCUUAUUGAACAAAGGUAGAAUUCCUUCUAUCUUUCUCCAACUUUGUAGAGUAGCAAGCCCAAUAGGAGAUUCAGAAAAACCUUCCUCAAUAUCCUCAAGACUUUCAUUCAACUUUUCUUGCAUAUGUUGAUUGCAGUGCUCCUCUACCAAAGAAUCAAUUAUACAUAGCUCUUCUGGACCUUCUUCUUCCUCCGGAGUGAUUUGCUUUUUAGACAUGUAGAAAAUAUUGAGAUCCAGUGUCAUGUUACCAAAAGUGAGUUGCAUAAGCCCAUUCCUGCAGUUGAUGAUUGCAUUUGAAGUUGCAAGAAAUGGCCUUCCAAGGAUGAUAGGAACUAAAUUAGCUUCCUUUACAGUAGGAUCUGUAUCAAGAACAAUAAAAUCUACUGGAUAGUAGAAAUUAUCCACUUGAACCAAUACAUCCUCAAUUACCCCUCUUGGAAUUUUCACUGAUCUAUCUGCCAGAGAUAGAGUGAUUGCUGUUGGCUUCAACUCUCCAAGUCCCAAUUGCUUGUAGACAGAAUAUGGAAGCAAAUUCACACUUGCUCCCAAAUCUAACAAGGCUUUCUCCACUACCUUUCCUCCAAUCAUGACUGAAAUGGUAGGACUUCCAGAGUCUUUGUACUUCAAAGGAGACUUACACUGUAAGAUUGCACUUACUUCCUCAGUCAAGAAGGCUUUCUUGUUUACAGUCAACCCUCUUUUGAUAGUACACAAGUCCUUUAGGAAUUUUGCAUACGUUGGAACUUGUUUGAUCAUAUCUAGUAGUGGAAUAUUAACUUUCACUUGUCUCAAGACUUCAAGGAUUUCAGCUGCAUUUCUAACCCCCUUUUUCCCAUGUAAUGCUUGAGGAAAAGGUGGAGAAGUUGAUUUCUUCAGCAUUUCUUCCUUCAGAAGCUCCUUCUCUGGAAUUGCAUUCAUUGUUGCAUCAGAGUUCUUCUUUUCUUCACUGAUCUCACUCUCUUUAUCUUCCAUUUCCUUCCCUUUCUUUAUCUCUUCUUCUUUCUCAACAUGUGGCUUGGGUGUUGGCUGCUCAAUUUUUUUACCACUCCUUAGAGUGAUCAAGGCUUUCACAUCUUUCACCUGUGAUGAUUCUCCCUCUUGGCUUUCCACUUCAUGGACACCUUUGGGAUUUUGGUGAGGUUGAGAAGGAAAUCUUCCCUUUUCUUGCAGUGUAUUCAAAUUUGUAAGCCUUGAAAUUGAAUAUUGGAUGUUAUCAAACUUUUGGUUCAUAUCAUUUUGCAUUCCAUCCAUCCUUUUAUUCAACAUACUCUCCACUCUAUCAAUUCUUUGAUCGACUCGAGCAUUAGUGGCUUCUUGCUUUUCAAUAAAAUCUCCCAUUACUUUGCUGAGAUUAGCCAUUGCUUGUUCAAUACUUGAAGAUUGCUGAGAUGGUGGAUCCGGCUGUUGGUAUUGAGUUGCUCUGGCCUUCCAUGAAAAAUUUGGAUGAUUCCUCCAACUUGAGUUGUAGGUAUUUCCAUAUGGCGCAUUGUUAUUAGGCCUAAAUUGUCCAACAACAUUUGCUUGAUCUCUAAACAUUUCCCUUUCAGUUGGAAUUGCAGGGCAUUCCUCCACCAAAUGUUCAUAUGAUUGACAAUUGGGACACAGCUUCACUUGCACUGGUGCUUCAGCAACAGCUUGCACUUCAUGUAUUCUUUUCAACUCCAGCUCCUCCAAUCUUCUUGUCAUAGCUGCCAACUUUGCUUUCGUAUCAUCAUCUUCUUUCAAGGUAUACAUCCCAGCCUUUGCAUUGUAAGCAUUCAACUGAGACUUCAUUUUUCCCACUUCUCCUUUAGUUGGUUCAUCCCAUCCCCUUGAAACAUCAGCUACAUAGCUCAAGAAAUCCAUAGCUUCCUCUGGAUUUUUGCUCAUGAAAUCUCCUCCACACAUUGUCUCGAGGAGUUGCUUCAUUGAGGAUGACAUACCAUCAUAAAAAUAGCUCACCAAUAGCCAAGUAUCAAAGCCAUGGUGAGGACAAGCAUUUAUAGCUUCCAUGUAUCUUUCCCAACACUCAUAGAAUUUCUCAUUCUCUUUAGCUGAGAAGUUUGAAAUUUGCCUUUUCAAGCCAUUUGUUCUAUGAGUGGGAAAAAAUUUCUUGAGGAAUUCAGCUUGUAAAUCAGUCCAAGAGCGGAUACUCCUUGGCCUUAAAGAAUUAAGCCAAAUUUUGGCCUUAUCCUUUAAAGCAAAAGGAAAUAACUUAAGCCUCAUCAAAUCAAUUGAAGCUCUUCCCUCUUGGAAUGUAUUACAAACAUCUUCAAAUUCCUUGAUGUGUGCAUACGGAUUCUCACUUUCCAUCCCAUGGAAAGUUGGUAGAAGUGGAACAAGAUACGGUCUGAUCACUAGCUGCUCUGUAGGGGGCACUAUACAUGAUGGUGCACUCAUACGAGGUGGAUGCAUGCGGUCCCUCAUUGAUCUGAAUUCAUUGAGAUUAUCUUGACGACCUUGGUGACUAUGCUGAUCUUCAGGUGUAGCUUCCAUGAUAUUCAAGAUUACUUCAAAUUCUCCCCUCUGAGGUGUAUCACACUUAACAAGCCUUCCUCCACUGUCUCGUAUCCACUUUGGCAUACACAACUAGUAUCCAGCUACAACUUGAAUAAAAAUAAAGGACAACAAAAGAAACAGGGCUACAACAAUAAAACUAAACUAGGCUAAAUUUUAAAUGAUAAACUUAGAUUAUAAAUAAACAAAGAAAGAAUGAAAAUUAGUAAAGUGAAAGAAACUUUACCAACUUGUGAUGAAAAUCACAAGUGCUCAAAAAUGGUAUCAAUAUAAACUUGACACUCAUUCCCCAGCAACAGCGCCAUUUGAUUCGUCCUUAGCAACGGAAGUGGCAAUGGCACCAUCUGAUUCGGGGUUCGAUCCCCAGCAACGGCGCCAUUUGAUUCAUGCCCAAUUGGUGUCUCAGCUGAUUUGUGUCCAGCUGGUGCUCCUUGAUUGAGGGAGUAAUCAACAAAAUUUAUAACCUAUAACACCAUAUACUAGGGUAGCAAAGACAAAGCUACUAUAGUAUAGUGGCUCUAGGAUCGUUCACUGGGAAUGAUUAACAAACAAUCAAUGAUACCAAUUCCAAGUGAAUUGGCCUUGUUUCAUUUCAAGGUUAGCUUAAGAAGUAAAACACAAACUUUGAUUGGUAAAGGUUUAGACUUAAACUAACUAACAUAACAGAAGUUUGGAAUAAUUUAGGAAGAAAAGCAUUCCUUGGAGAUUUAGGUUCACUGGGGUGGUUCCUCAUGCAAAAGACACGGCUUUGGUUAGAUGGUUCAUUUCCUCGCAUUAGAGAUUCAACAUAUAGUCAAUUCUCUAACCGGUGAUGUACAGAGACUCCUUCAAUUAGAUUUCACUUUAAUUCUCUCACUGAUGCAACUUGCAAUGGUUUAAGCCUCUCACUAAGCCUUAACCAUUCAAGGUGAUCUUUAACCUUGGAUUACCCGUCAAAAGCUCGCAAGAGAUAACUAAUGGAUGUCUCCUAGGAGUCCAAAAGCUUACCAAGUGUUGGCUAUUCUAGAAAAUCCUACCUUGAAGUCACCUCCCAGAGGCUCGCAAGUGGUAAACUAGUGCAUUUCCAUGGUUGGAAAUCACUUGCCUUACCAAGUGUUGGCCCAGGUGACUCCAAGGUGUUUUAAGUUAACUAAAAACAUAGAAAUCAUUGAAGGAUUUCACUUCCUCUUCAUUACUAGCUAAAACCACAAAGCUUUGCAUUCUUGCACUUGGAACCUCCCCCGAAAACCUUAGCUCCAAGGAAUUAGAGGUUUAGUUACUCAUUCUCUGGGGAAAACUCCUCAGAGAGUUCAUAACUUAGUAAUAAGUAAAAAAUACAAAGUGAGAAGGUAAGGCAGUAGAAAGAAAAGAGACUUUACUUGCUUACCCAAACUUUUCCAGAAGGAACUCCUCUCUGAGAACAGGCUCUCGAGAGGUAUAUAUAUGAACAUAAUAUAAAACUAAUUAUUACAUAGAUAUUUAGUCUUUUUACUAACUUAAAAACUAAGGAAUCAUGUAAUUGGUGGUUUACAAGGAGUAUUUUGGGAUUUAGACAACAAAAAUCUAAUGGAAAAUAUCUCCCAAUGUCGGUAGCAAAUAUCGGGAGGCUUCAGGAACCAUUUCGCAGGAGAAAAAUGGUGUCUGCGAGAUUUCGCAGACACUCAAGAGGGCUGCGAAAUUAUUUCGCAACACCAAGCUAUCUUCACAGGGCUGCGAAGUUGGCUUCUACCUUGAGGUUCCUAGCUUCCUUCUCGCGGCAUAAAUCGUGCAUCGUCAGAAGGAGAAACACCUUACUGUACAAAAAGGCUGCGAAAUCACUUCGCAACAAAAGGGUGAUUUCGCAACACUUUGCAAAAUGCUUCCUUCAGCUCGAAGUGAUUGUCUUGUAAUGGUUGCAACUUCUUCGUUUCAACUCCGAAUUGCACACCAUUUGAAGAAUUGGAUUGUUGACUUCCUGAGCUUUGAAAUGGUAUAUAGCAUGCAUCAUUUGGACUUCAGAAAGUGCUCCAAAAGUGGCUGCUACGACUGUCAUCAAGAAUAUGCUUUAUGGCAUAUUCUCUUUACUUUUUCUCCUUGCAAUCCGGAUUUACUAUUGUCAAAUGACUUCUCAACUUUGCCCAAGAUUCCUCAUAGCUCUCCUCAGACUUGACUUGCUUUGGUGAUCAAAAUACUAACAAAAACACCAAAACUUACACAAAGUGAUUAAAAUUGCUUUAAAGGAUCCUUAACAUGCCAAUUGAGUUAAAAGGCCUAAACUACUACUCAAAAGUGUUUAAAAGGAUUAAUUAUAGGCUAUCAAAUAGCACUUUUUGAGUAGUAAUCACCAAUAUUAGUCCACCUAUAUUCAACAACCUUUCAUUGCUCGAACCAGUAUGCAACCACAACUGCCAUAUCCCAGAGCCACUAGAUCCCAUUCAUUACUCAUGUUCCUAUUCAUAUUUUUUUAUACACGUGAUCUUUAUCAAAGAGGGGCAUAUUUGUACACCCUCCAUUCUAUCUUCUUAAUACAAGCCCUAUUAAGUGUUCUUUCAAUAGUCCGCAAUGGUUCCCUAGUGGCUCUUUGCUGCUCAUAUAGCCUACAUUUUUCAGUCACUUUGGAGACUUUGGUUGAGGAAAUUAUUAUACCCCUCAUUAUGACCCUUGGCAGAAUUGAGUUAGAUUUAGGUUUUUAUUUUUUCUUUUUAGGAUAGCUCCUUUAAGUACAUCUCUAGGAUAGAAUAAUUAGGCAUCAUUUUUCGACCACCUUGGCCCAUUAAGGCACAUCCGACCCCUUUAGGAUCACCCUAACCCAUUUAGAUACAUCUGGCCUAUUUAGAUCACCUUGACCGAUUUAGACACAUUUGGCCUAUUUAGGUACAUCCAACUCAUAUAGGUCAUCCUAGCCCAUUUAGACACAAAUAGGCCCAUUUAGGCACAUCCUGCCCAUUUAGGGUCACCCUAGCCUAUUUAGACACAUCCAACCUAUUUAGGAUGACCUUGUCCCAUUUAGACACAUUUGACCCAUUUAGAAUUACCCAGGCCCAUUUAGGCACAUUCGACCCAUUUAGGUCAUCCUAGCCCAUUUAGACCACUUAGACCCGUUUAAGCACAUUGGACCUAUUUAGGAUCACCCUGACCUACUUAGGCACGCCUUGACCUAUUUAGAUCACUUGGCCCAUCUAGGCAUAUUUGGCCCAUUUAGGAUCACCUAGGCCAAUUUAGGCACAUUCGACCCAUUUAGGUUGACUUGGCCCAUUUAGAAACACCCAAGCCUAUUUAGGUCACUUAGGUGCCUACUUAGGCACACCUUGGCCUAUUUAGGUCACUUAGGCCCAUUUAGGCGCAUUCGACCCAUUUUGGAUCACUCUGACCCAUUUAGCCAUAUUUGGCCCAUUUAGGAUCAUCGUGCCCCAUUUAAACACACCUUGGCCCAUUUAGGUCAUUUAUGCCCAUUUAAGAACACAUUAACCCAUUUAGGUCACUUAGGCCCAUUUAGGUACAUUUGACCCAUUUAGGAUCAUCCCCCAGCCCAUUUAGACACACCUAAGCCCAUUUAGGUGACUUAGGCCAAUUUAGGCAUAUUUGGUCCAUUUAGACACUUUGGGCCCAUUUAGGAUCACCUAGGCCCAUUUAGGCAAAUUCGAUACAUUUAUGAUCACCCUAACCCAUUUUGACACAUUCGGCCCAUUUAGGAUCGUCUUGGCCCAUUGUAGCACAUUUGGCCCAUUUAUGAUCACCAUGGCACAUUGGGCCCAUUUAGGGUCACUUUGGCCCAUCUAGGCACACCCUAAGCCCAUUUAGGUCACCCGUUGUCUCACUUCUUAUUGCAUGGUUUGUGUGAUUGCAUUGUUGAACUUCCUUGCAUGGCUUGCAUGACACUUUGUUUUUUUUUUUUUUGUUAUUAUUAAUUACUUAUUUAUUUUUAUUUAUUAUCUUGCCAUUAUUUAUUUAUUAUUUAUCUAUUAUUAUUUCAUCAGUUUCUGAAUUAUUUUUAAUUACUAUUCAUUUGUUCAAUCUAAUUUUUUUUUUUUUUUUUGUGUUUUUGUAGGGAAAUUUACCAAAGAGAGAGCCAACGGAGAUGGAAAAUAAGAAUCACCAAAAUGAAAAAGGAAGAUAAAGGCAAAAGAGAGUAAAACUUACCAAAAGGAGAGGGGAUUGUGAGUUGCAUUAUGAAAGUAUGGAGAACGCAUUUUGGGAAGUUUAUCAAAGAGAGAGUGAAUGGAGGUGUAAAGCAAGAAUUACCAAAAUAAAAAAGGAAGACAAAACGAGAGAGAGUAAAACUUACCAAGAGAAGAGGGGAUUGAGGGUUGCAUUAUGAAAAUAUGGAGAACAUGUUUUGGUAACUGAGAAAUUCAGCACAUGGAGGUUUUGGAGUAAGGAGAGGAAGGAUUUGGUCAAGGUGGAAUUUUAAGAAAAAAGGAUAUUCAAUGUGGUAGGAAGGAAUGUUUAGCAUAUUAAGGAAGAAUGUGGGGAUUGGUAGGGGGGAAGAAGAACAAUUGCAAUUUUGAGCAUAAUUUUUAUAAAAUUUAUUGGAUGAUUGGUUUGUAUAAUUUUAAUGUUAGUAGAUUUUAAAAUUUUAUGGAAUGAUUGUUAGGUUAAAUUCCCAUCUUGAAUGUGUUUUAAAAAUUCGUUAAAAAAAUUAAAUAAAAAUUCUUUGAAUGUUUGUUAGGUUAAAUUCUCAUGUGAGUGUUAUUAUUAUUAUUAUUUAAUGCUAUAUUUGGUUGAAUUUUCAUGUCAAUAGAUUUUUUUUUUAUUAAAAAAAAAAUUGUUGAAUGUUUGUUAGUUUAAAUGUUUAUGUUAAUAUAUUUUUAAAAUUCAUAGGAUGUUCUUGGCAUAAUUCUUAGUUGCCCUUAUCUCUAAAACCUUUCUAAAAUAAGAAAGUCAUCCAAGAAAAUAAAAAUAAUAUAAGAGAAAGGCAAAGUUGCUGCCUUUUUUUUUUUGGGGGGGGGGGGGGGGGGGGGGGGGGGCCCUUUUUUUUGGGAAAAUUUUUUUUUGGCCCCCCCCGCCCCCAAAAAAAAAAAAAAAACCCCCCCCCCCCCCUAUUUUUUUUUGAGGGAAAAGGGGGGGAAAAAAAAAAAAAACCCUUUUUUUUUUUCCCCCCCCUUUUUUUUUUUUAACCCCCCCCUUUUNNNNNNNNNNNNNNNNNNNNNNNNNNNNNNNNNNNNNNNNNNNNNNNNNNNNNNNNNNNNNNNNNNNNNNNNNNNNNNNNNNNNNNNNNNNNNNNNNNNNAAAAAAUUUGAAUUGGAACAUGAGUAAUGAAUGGGAUCUUGUGGCUCUGGGAUAUGGCAGUUGUGGUUGCAUACUGGUUCGAGCAAUGAAAGGUUGUUGCAUAUAGGUGGACUAAUAUUGGUGAUUACUACUCAAAAAGUGCUAUAUGAUAGCCUAUAAUUAAUCCUUUUAAACAGUUUUGAGUAGUAGUUUAGGCCUUUUAAGUCAAUUGGCAUGUUAAGGAUCCUUUAAAGCAAUUUUAAUCACUUUGUGUAAGUUUCGGUGUUUUUGUUAGUAUUUUGAUCACCAAACCAAGUCAAUUUUGAGGAGAGGUGGGGGGGGGGGGGGGCGCUUUAUUUAGGGAGAAUUGUGUUUUGGGCCCAGCUAGGCCCAAAAAUUAAUAAAAGAUCCUCCAAACACCUAUAAUUGAUUGUAAGGAUAUAAGGUUGGAAUAGACAAAAAUACCCAUUUUUACUUACACCCAUCAUUUUGUCUUUAUACCACCACUCUUUACAUGCCCCAUCCAUAAAAUUCUCCUUUAUUUAAUCAUUUGUUUAUUUUUUAUUAUUUUUUAAACUCCUUUAAAAAUAAUUGAAAAAUCAACAUUAUUUUCUAUUUUUAAAUUAUAAAUAAAUAAAAAUUAUAUUAAUGAUUCAAAAAUUAUUUUGGAACAUACUUUUGAAAAAAAUAUUAAUUUAAAUGAAUAAAAAUUAUUUUUUACAUUUUACAAGUAAAUAAUUUAAUGAUUAAAACACUAUUUAAAAUAAAUAUAUUUACUAUUUUUUUUCUUUUAUACUAAAAACUAUUUAAAUUUUUUAUUUAUUAUUAUUAUAAAAUAAAAAGCUUAAAGUUUUUUUUUUUUUAAUCUUUUUCUUUCCAUAGUUUAAUAAUUUUUUGAACAUAGACUUUUGUAAUAAGUUAUAUGAAUGUUCCAAAUUUAUUUAUUAAGGAAUUUUUUAAUGAUUUGAAUUAAUUGAAAAUUUAUUGAAAUGAGAAAAAAGAAAAAGAGAGAAAGAGGAUAGAUGAAGAGUUUUUAUUUUAAAUAUCCAACUAAAAUGUUUUCGUAUUUAGAAAUGGAUUAUAUCAAUACAUAGUAUAGUAGAGAUUGAUUUUGAACAUAGACUUUUGUAAUAAGUUAUAUGAAUGUUCCAAAUUUAUUUAUUAAGGAAUUUUUUAAUGAUUUGAAUUAAUUGAAAAUUUAUUGAAAUGAGAAAAAAGAAAAAGAGAGAAAGAGGAUAGAUGAAGAGUUUUUAUUUUAAAUAUCCAACUAAAAUGUUUUCGUAUUUAGAAAUGGAUUAUAUCAAUACAUAGUAUAGUAGAGAUUGAUUUUUUUCUCAUACAAAGGGUUAAAUGAUAUGUUUACUCAUUUUAAAUAAAAACAAGUAGUUAAAAAUUAUAUAGAUUAUGUUUGAGUUUGGUUUUAAAAUAUUUUUUCUAGUUUUUAUUAUUUUUUAUUUUAAAAAAUUAUUUUUAUUUUCUAUAUUGUCUCUUUUUGAAAAUACAUUUAAUUAAAAAAAUGAAAAAUAUUUUUAAAAAUGAAAAUUGAAGACCUUGUUUAAUAUUAAGAUAAUAAAAAGAAUUAAAUUUCAUUUAUUAAUUAUUCUUUUUUAUUUUUAAAAUAUAAUAUGUUCACAAUUAAAUAAAGGAAUUGGUCAAUUGUAUAUUUUUUUCACAAAAAUGUAAUAUGUUCAUAAAAAAAUUGGAUUGAAGUUUUUCAUCAUUUUUUUAAUCAAACUACUAGAAUCAUGUUUAAUACAAAUAUAGGCAUAUAUGCACUACGGGAAUAUGAAAUUUGUGUCACUAAACAAGAGUAUUUACUAACUGUAUAAGGGAAAUGUACUAAGUGUACAAGCAGUGUAUAAGAUUACCAUUUAUAAAAGAUUUCAAUCUAUUUUAAACCACUCCUUUAUUUUCCUUGUCACCCACAAAUUGAAUACUCAUGUCAUGCAUUUUAUUUAACUCCCAUAUGGAAAUUCCGAUACUUUCCCCAAUAAUGAUGUUUGGGAAAAAAAAAAACUAACCCUAAUUCAUCCAUCCUUUUAUUAGUUAAACCAUUAGAAAUAUGGUUAACACACCUACAUGGACAUAUUACUUAGGAUAGAUAUAUUGUACAAUGGUAUUACACUAAUUGUACAAGGGAAAUGUACUAAGUGUACACGGAAAAUGUACUAAGUGUACAAGGGUGUACAAGACUAUCAUCUAUAAAAAAAUUUAAUCGAUUUUGAAUCACUUUUUCAUUUUCCUUGUCACCCAUAGAUUGCAUACCUACGUCAUGCAAUUUAUUUAACUUUCACAUGAAAAUUUCGAUACUUUUCUUAGUAAUAAUGUUUGGGGAAAAAAAUUUAAUCAUAAUUCAUCCACCAUUUUGUUAGCCAAACCAUUAGAAAUAAGAUUAAUAUAUUUACGUGGACACACAACUUAAGAGGGAUAUAUUGCACCAUUGUACAAUGAUGUUACACUAACUGUACAAGGGAAAUGUAUUAAGUGUAUAAGGGAAAUAUACUAAGUGUACAAGGGUGUACAAGGCUACCAUUUGUGAAAGAUUUUAGUUGAUUUUGAAUCAUUUCUUUAUUUUUUUUGUUACCCAUAAAUUGUUUAUGAAAUUUGCACUAUUAUAUAAGGGUGUUACACUAACUAUAAAAGAGUAUUCCACUCACUGUGUAAGGCAAUGUACUAACUGUAUGGGGUAAAUGUACUAAUUAUACAAGGGUGUACAAGGUUAUUUUUUAUGCAAGAUUUUAAUCAAUUCUGAACUAUUUUUUUUCUUGUCACCUAAGGAUUGAACACUUUUCCCCCACACAUUCCUUCACCUAAAAAUUGUUUUAAUUUUAAAUUUUAAAUUUCGUCAUCCAAAAUUUGUAAUUGCAUAUUUCAUUUAAGUAGUUUUAACAAUAUUUUUUCUUACUACAUUUACAUCCUAUAUAAAGGAAAAUUAACCAUAAUAUUUAGGUAUUACCUUUUUUUUUUGUGAAAUCAAAUUAAUAUAAAUGGAUAACACAUUAAUGUCAUUGUUUCAAAUAACUUAAGACAAUAUAAACAACAUAUAAUAACUGUUGAGGAAAAAUUAUGAAUAUUUUUUUACUAAACUAUGUCAUUUAGAUCUUCUCUACCAAAAUUAAAACAUAGGAAAUAAAAUUAAAAUUAAUCACAUUUAAAGUGUUUAUUACAAGUAAACCGAAUGAAAUAUAUAUUUUUACUAUUUUACCUUUAUAAACAUAAUGUUAGCAGAUAUUAAAAAAAAUCAUAUUUAAAUAGAAUUAAAAAGGAUAAAAAAUUAUCUUUGUAACAUUUGUAAUUUUUUUUUUAUAAAAAAUCAUUAAUUUAAAUUAUCAAGUUAAUUUAAAAUAUUUUUUUGUUGUAAUUAUAGUUUUAAAGAUUCUACGAUUUUUAUAUUAUUACUUUUAAUUUAUUUUCUUUGAUUUUUUAUUUUAAAUUUCAUCUAAACUUGUUUUUUCUUACAUUUAUAUGUUUUCUAUUAUAUCCUUAUUUAAAGUGAUUCUCAUCUAAUUUGUAUUCCAUUAUAUUCUCUUUUCAAUUUUAAUGUGUUGUUAUACCUCUUUACAUAUCAAAAGAUUUUAUUAUUUUUCAUCUACAAAACUUUAUACAAAAGAUAUCAUGUACGAGGAAAAAAAAAUAAAAAAAGAGAAAAUUAUGAUAUAAUUUACAUACACAUCUCUUAAUAUGAUACAUUUACUUGACUUAAUGACAUCAUGCUUUAAUAAUUUAAAUCAUGUCAAGUCCACAUCUAUUUUAGAUUUAAAAAGGCAUUUGAAUAUUUUACAAAUUAUUAAGUUAUAAUACAUUAUUCAAUUAAAAAUUAAUUAUCACCAUUAGUUAAAAGAUGAUCAUGUUACAAAAUAAUAUAUUAAAACAAUAUCAAUGUAUUGUCCAAAAAAUAGAGAAAAUAUUCAAAUAAUUGUCUACAACCUUAAAGAUAUUUAUAUAUAUAUUGGAUAAAAAAGAAUAAUAAUAUUUUUUAAGGUGCUUAAAAAUUAUUUAUUAUAUAUUUUGUAAGUUUAAAAAAAAAUAUUUUAUGAGGUAUUUAAAAAAAAUUUACUUUAAAAAUAUAGUAAUAAUCCUUUUCAACCAUUGAUUACCAAUAUUUAAUUUAUUAGGCAUGGUUUUUGGGAGAAAAAUAAUUGAUGAAAAUAGUAACACCUUUCUAGAAAAGAAUUAAUUUACAUGUCCCACCGAUUAAUAUGUGAGAGAAAAAGAUAAGGUGAAUGAUGAAAGAGAGAGGGAAAAAAAGAAUGAAAGAGAGUGGGAAGUUAGUUGUUUUCUUUUUCUUUUUGACAAUAAAGGGCAUUUUCGGAAAAUUAAAUAUUUCAUAUCCUUCUUUUUAAUUUAUAGAUUUUCUUUAGGUGUUGGGUUUAUGAAGAUCUUUUAUCAAUUUUUGGGCCCAGCUGGGCCCAAAACACAAUUCUCCCCUUUAUUUAUUUAUUUAUUAAUUUAUUUUUGUCAAUCUCCUACAAGAUGAUAUCCCACUUACACCCUUACGCAACAAGAGCGCGUGGGACACCCACUUCGACCCAACAACUUUAUGAUGAAUCUGAACCCUGUGGACAAUAAUACCAUGUGCAUAUAUAUAUACGAGCCUGUAACACUCAUUUAUAAGUUUAAAUUCAUUCAAAUGAGUCAGUAGUAAAAGCUAUGAAAUAUAUCGAACCCCACCAUUUUUUUUUCUUUUUUUUCGUUUUUAAAUUUUCUGGGGUCCCUCAGUUACUUUACAGAAGGUGGCAGAGAAAGAGAAACGAAUAAUCACUUUCCAUGCUGUUGUCUUCUUGUUGUAAGGGUAAAAUAAGAGGCAAAGAAAUUAAUGAAUUCAUUAUCUUACCUUUCUAUUGAAAUGCCUUCCAAGAAAUGUUUUGAGAGCUUUGAGUUUAGUCUAGAAUAAUGGUAGUAUAUUUCAAUGAAUAUGCAUUCUAGAAAAAUAUAUACCUUUAGCAUAUACCAAGAUAUCCUAGGGUUUCAAGUCAAGUAACAACCAAUCAAAACAAAAUCACUCUUCUUGGAAAACAUGGAUGUUCGAGUAUCCAGCUCUUUUCUUUAAUUGUGCUAACAUCGGCUCUCUCUCCAGCAUGCCAGUGUGCGUCCCAGGCAGCUCUUUUGUGCUUUAAAUGAAUUGAAUUCUUGAUCUUAUUCUGCCAUUGUUUUGGCUCAAACCUAAGAAGUAUAUUUACCCUAACUUCUUUUCAUGUCUUCAACUUACUCAAAGGCUCACAAGUCCCAUUGGAAGUAAGCAGUUAAGGAUUUUUGAACUAAAAUUAUCAAACAUAGUCUAAUAGGUUAUACUCUUUUCAACAGUUUAAAUUGUUUUUGUUGAUAGAUUAUUUGAUUUUUCUCCUAGCUGGCCCAGUUGUUUAUUUCAAAGUGCAGUUUAGAACAACUUUCAACAUUUGAAUAAGGAAAAGAAAAUAUAUAGAUGAAUUGACUGAUUCAAAGGGCAUAUUACAGUCAGUCUGUGCGUAACAGGGCGGGUGACUUCAAAUGGAUACACUGAGGUCUAUCUGUGCGUGUUAGGCAUUCAUGAACCUGUUUUCUUCGGUCAAAGAGCAGCCAAUACAAGGAAAAAACAUGGCGAAAAUUAAGUGAAGUGUGACUUCUGGAAGAUUUAUCACCUUCGUAAAUGAAGUGAGAGUUUUGACCGAAUUGAAGUAGAAAAAUUAAAUACAAUGGCCGGACCGGCUCCAACUAUUAAGAUUAUAAGUGCCACACAGAAAGAACAGAAAGAACGGUCCUAGUAAAUGAAGUAUAAAGACAUGUAAACAUAAAAUUGUCCAGGUAAAUGAAGACAUGCAAUGAAGAAGAAAUCUGUUGCAGACUACACAAAUCACAACCACAUAAAUCAACCACCCACCCAUUUUUCAAACUUCCAGCUCUCAUGCACUGGCACAGUUCGGUCCUUUCAAAGAUUAAAGUAGGCAUCUAAAAUUUUAUUGGUUUCAAGAAAUUUGGUGCACUAGGCUCCUAGAAAUUAAACAAUUGAAAAGUAAAAACAGUACUUUUCAAAGUGGAAGUAUACUAAUUUCAAAGUGGAACUACCACUGAAAUCUAAACCUUUGGUUUAAUUUUAAAAAGAGGGAAAAAAAAAACAGAAAGGAAAAGAAAAAUAGUUAGGAAGAGAAGAGCAGAAAACAAACAACUGCUUUAGGGCAGUAUAAAAAAGUUGGCCAUAAUUUGAAGAGAUCAGCAAACUUUAAUACUAUGAUGAAAAGUAAUAACUCAUAUCGCGGAGCAAUAUCAUCGGAGAGGCUGAUUGGUCUUGAAUAUGCUUCUUUUAACAUCAUGGACAUCUCUUUGAAGUCCCCAUGUAAUAGCCUAUAAGAAUUCCCAGCCAGGCCUUGCUCUCUAAGGCAUCUUUCUAACCUCUUUGGCCUCAACCACACCCAAUUCAGUAGCCUCCAUAAACAGCUUAUGAGCACAGUAAGGAACCCAAAAGAAAUUGCAAUUGAGCUAUGCUUCAUUUCCAGUUUGAGGGACUUGUAUCAGGAGAGGUGUGUUAAAUCACUUCAGAGUGAGAGAAGGACUUUAUGCUGCCGAUAUGUAUAAAUUGGCCCCUAUUCUAUUCCCUGGUGCCGGCGAACAUAGAAGAUUUCGUCAAUGCCUAAUGGGGAGAAGAAGGUCUAGUAUUUUAAAAUCUAUAAAUUAUCUAUUUUAAUUGUCUCCAUCAAUAUGGCUUUUAAACUUCUCAACGAAUUAUUAAGUUAUUCUAUUUGAUACAUUUCAAAGUUUGUGCAAUCAUCACUGCUUAUUAAAAACUAUAUAUGCCAUGAAUGUUGAAGGCAAAAUUUGAGCAUACGGAAUAUGGAAUUCUAUUUGACGGACCAGCUUUCACUUGUGAGUCGAUGGAGCAUGUGGAUGCUCACUUUCAGAGCCUCAAGGGGCAGCUCGCAUCCCUCACAUCUUGGCAGAUGUCGCUGGGUGCUUUCAGCUCUACAAAUCCAUCUGACAUCGAAAUAUAUGUACUUAGAAGCUAUUUUAAUUAUCAACACCAUAGAAUUGGCAUCGAAAGAAAAAUUAAGAUUUAACCAAUUCUACAGAUAACUACCAAUUCAAUUAUGCUUUGGGCACAAAUGACUGAUAAAAAUUCAUCCAAAAGUGCCUUAACUUGAAACGUCAUAGACUAAUUUCAACACCUGAAAAAAAAGGUAAAAAUUUGGCAUAAAUUAAAAGUUAUUCACAGCUCCCAGAAAUUAAACAAUUGAAAAAUAGAAACAGUCCUUUUCAAAGUGGAAGUAUAUUAAUUUCUUGAUGAAAGAAAUUGCAAUACUGUUAGCAAAGAUUAAGAACUAGCAGUGAAAUCUAAAACUUCGGUGUAAUUUAAAAAAGAAGAGAAAAAAGACAGAAAGGAAAAGAAAAAUAGUUAGGAAGAGAAGAGCAGAAAAUAAACAACUGCUUUGGGGCAGUAUAAAAAAGUUGACCAUAAUUUGAAGAAAUCAGCAAACUUUAAUACUAUGAUGAAAAGUUAUAACUCAUAUCGGUACCAUAUUUCUUAAUGAAACGACAAUGGAAGGGCAGGACACAUAGAGCAAUAUCAUCGGAGAGGUUGAUUGGUCUUGAAUAUGCUUCUUUUAACAUCAUGGACAUCUCUUUGAAGUCCCCAUGUAAUAAUAGCCUAUAAGAAUUCCCAGCCAGGCCUUGCUCUCUAAGGCAUCUUUCUAACCUCUUUGGCCUCAACCACACCCAAUUCAGUAGCCUCCAUAAAUAGCUUAUGAGCACAGUAAGGAACCCAAAAGAAAUUGCAACUGAGCUAUGCUUCAUUUCCAGUUUGAGGGACUUGUAUCAGGAGAUGUAUGUUAAAUCACUUCAGAGUGAGAGAAUGACUUUAUGCUGCCGAUAUGUAUAAAUUGGCCCCUAUUCUAUUCCCUGGUGCCGGCAAACAUAGAAGAUUUCGUCAAUGCCUAAUGGGGUGAAGAACGUCAAUGCCCCUAUUCUAUUUUAAUUGUCUCCAUCAAUAUGGAUUUCAAAACUUCUCAAUGAAUUAUUAAUUUAUUCUAUUUGAUACAUUUCAAAGUUUGUGCAAUUAUCACUGCUUAUUAAAAACUAUAUAUGCCAUGAAUGUAGAAGGCCAAAUUUGAGCAUACGGAAUAUGAAAUUCUAUUUGAGUGGAUGCUCACUUGUGAGUCGAUGGAGCAUCAUCACUGCUUUCACUUGUGAAUCGACGGAGCAUCAUCACUGCUUUCACUUGUGAGUCGAUGGAGCAUGUGGAUGCCCACUUUCAGAGCCUCACGGGGCAGCUCGCAUCCCUCACAUCUUGGUAGAUGUCACAGGGUGCUUCCAGCUCUACAACUCCAUCUGAUCUGGACUUUUUGAUACUUCAUGUUUUUUAUUUUUUAUUUUUUAUUUGUGGAUAAGUUUAUUUUGUACACCUAACCCAUCUUGGCUCAGUUUAUCAUAUAUUUUGUUUGUCUAGAUGUACUUUUAUUUUCUUAUCUCUUGUAUCCAGAACCUUUUUUACUAUAUAUGUCCAUGUGUUUGCUUUUCUUAUCUCCUUUUCAUAUGCUUACUGCUUUAUCAUGCUCUUUGUCAUUUUUUGCAACAAAAAGGGGGAGAUGGAUUGUUGAUUUGAUUAAGUGUUUUGACAUCUGUUUCAUGACUUGCAUCCCCUUACUCGGUUACCUAAUUUGAUAAAAUUGAUCAGUUAUCUUUCUUUCCACACUACUUUAUCUGGGUAUGUUGUUUAGUUUGUGCAAGUUCUAGGUACUAGGGUAUUGCUCAUUUUUUGGAUGUGGCUUCUAGUCCUUUGCACGUUAAAUGAUGAAUUGGUUUAGACAAGAGCUAUUGAGAGAUUUGUAAACUCCAUUCGAGAGUAUUAAGGGGUUUAUCCAAUUUGUAUUUUAUCACAAAAUUGCCAAAGGGAGAGAUUGUUCGUACAUCAGGCAAUGUAGUUUAAAAUUGUCGAUUUUGUUCUAUUCAUUUUGGUUUAGGAUCUUUCUAGAUUGUAUCACUCCCCAUUGAAGACUCAAGGUUAUAAUUAAUUGAUAAACCAGAAUGACAUAGGUAAGUGUAAAAAGAUUUGGAAAAGGCAAGUUAGUGUUUGGUAUGAAAUGGCAUGAAUUGAGCGGUUUAAAAUUGAGCAAAAUGAUUUUCUAACCGGUUUAAAAAAUGCGUAAAGCGCUUAAACACUCUAAGAGCAUUUGAGCCCUAGCAACAUAAUUCUCUACAACUUUGGAGAUCUAUCUUUCUAUUUUUAAAGGAUUUAUUUUGAGGAACUUUUUAGAAUUAGUCCACUAGGUUCCUAGGCUUAUAUAUAUGUUGCAUAAAAAGGUUUUUAGUUUGAUGCUUCUGAAUUGAAAAACGAAGUUUGUCUUUCUGUUCCCAAAAUUCUAGAAGAAACUUUCAUAUUUGCUUCUACCUAGUUGAGAAAGAGAUUUGUAUCCCCCUCAAGUGCUAAAGUGAAAUCCUCUAGGAGCAUAUUAGAUGUUGCUCAAGUGCUAAAGUGAGAUCCUCUAGGAGCACAUGAGAUGUUGCAUUGUAGACGUAAAACACAGUGUAGGUGUUAGGUAGUGAGUCUUAGUAGUAGCUUUCAUAAGAUAAAAUUGAGUACAUACCCCAUUAUAUAUGAUGGAGAGCUCCUCAAAUGCAAAUCCUAGAAUCGAAUCAAUUUUUACUAAAUUAACAGCCAACCCAUAUUUCAAACAAAAUCUUGCAAUUUCACAUUUUGAGCACUAAUCCAUGAAAAUGGUGUUUUUGGGGAGAAUUUCAAUUGAUUUAAGUGUAUUUGAAGAUGAUGCAACAAGAGAAGGCUAAGAGGAAUGCUAUUUUUUAACAUGUAAUUUUAUUUUAUUUAAAAAAAAAACAUUUCAAUACCAAUUUCAACAAUUGCUCUAUAGAUUUUGAUAAUGACCUAGAGAAGAAGUCUUUGUUGAAAUUUUUAUGACACUUUUAUCUUGUAUCAAAAGUUUUGAUACUAGUUGCAAAUUUUGUUAUCGUUUGCCAAGAAUUUUUCCAAUUACUUCUCUUGUUUACUUUUAUGACAUUUUAGGGAUUUUCUUGAUGUUUUAAGGUUAGGUUACAAGUAUAAAUACAUUCCUUAGAGAUUUUUAUGAGGAGGGUGAAUGAAAAACACAUAUAUUUAAUUUCAUAAUUUUAGUACUAUCUUUAUUAAUUUAUUUAAUUCAAUGCAUUUUGUUGGAAUGACAAUGAAUGGCUAAAUGCCUCAUUUUUCUAGAUAAGGUGGAUCUCCUAAGGAAAAAUCUCGGUAGAGUGCAUCUAAGGCAUUAAGAAAAGUUAUCCAAGUAUAAAAUCCCUCUUUCCCAUAAAUUUUGAAAAGCAAAAUAACUCGACCAAGGUUAGAUAUAUCCAAUUCAUAUUAGAUUCAAUGAGUGCUUCUUCACAGGUUAGGAAGUGAAUGUGAAAAAGUGUGACCAUCAUAGGAGUAUAUUAGAUCUUAUCCUUCCCUUCUUGAGACUUGAACUUAGGAGUAACCUGUUUUUGGAUGGCUUCAAUAUCACUAAUUGAUUAAUUUCUAUGUACAAUAUGUUUUUCUAAAUUUCAAACUCAUAAAAAUUCCAUCCUUUUAUUUCUAUUAGAAUAACAUAAAUCAUAUGGAAGUUAGAUUCUUAAUCUUAAGUCUUCUCAGCAUCAAGUAUCAACUAUAAGAACUCAAACUCAACACUUUAGUGGCUCUAAAGAGUCUAUUUAGUGCAUUUGAGGUAUUUAAAAAUGACCUAAUGCUUGGUUUUUUUAAUUAUUAAUGCCUUAGCCAUUUGCUUUUGAUAAUUUUUGUGAGUAUUUUUUAAACUUUAAGGCAUUUUGAAAAUAAAGUAUACUUUGUGGAGGAUUCUCAAAGAAUAAAAUGCCUAAGAAGAGAGCAAGAACAAAUUGUGUACCUUUCAGGUACACAAGAGUCUAUUGUGCAUCCCUCAAGUGAUCCAUCAAACUAGAUUGCACACUCCCUCUAGCAAUUUAAAUUGAGCACCUUUCCCACGAUUCAAAGGUUGCAUGCCCCCUCAACAAUUAAACCCAACAAGAGCACUCAACUUGUGCAUGUUCGUAACAUCUUAAUUGCACUUUUCCCUACCACUACAGUAGCAUAUCCCUAGGGUCACUCACUAUGCACACUGUUACCACUCUUGUAAAGGUUGAGCGCUUGAGAAAACUCCUUCCAAUGAUUUGUACACUCACCAAAGUAAUGUAAGCAUCUAAGCCUUAAGUCAUCAUCUAUACUAUCAAUUCUCUCAUAUUGAUUGCAUUGAAAGCCAAGUGCAACCACCAACUCCAAGUUGACAAGUCAAGUACAAGAAAGAUGGCUAGUUGACUACAUUGACACAUGAUCUGAUCCCCAAAAUGGGCAAGGGGCAGUUCUAGGAGAAUAGUUUGAGCAAUAAGAAUGGAUUACCUAAAGGGAAACCCAUUUAUAAAUAGAGGAUUGUCUGGGCGCGCGCCCACACACACACACACACACACACAUAUAUAUAUAAUAUGUAUGUAUGUAUGGGGAGAAAAAAAAAAAAAAAUGUUGAAGAGUUAGAAUCUUUAAUGGAGAUGAUAUCAACCUUUUUAGGAUUUAGUUAGGAAUUUAUUUUGGUAAUUAAAAUGACAAUUAAUAAUUUGGAUAGGAUUUGUUAAGUAGUUUCCUAUUUCUUUCUAUAUAUUUUCCUUAUUUUUUAUUGUUUCCUACAGUUAUAUAUAUAAAGGACAUUUUUCUCUUCUUUUCUCUAUGAAAAAAAAUACAUGACUAGGUAAAAUUAAGCUAUAGGUUUCUUAAUGGUAUCAAAGACAUCUUCUGGUUACUAGGAAUAAUGGUUAAAGGAGCAAUGAGAGGUACUUCCCAUUACAAUAACAACUUGAAGGAGGCAAAAAGAAAACCUAUCCCUCACUAGAAUUUUGUGACCAAUGGUCAUGUUCACUCUUCUUAGCUAAUUACCUCUCACAAAUUAACUUAAUGGAGAAAAUUAUCUUUAAUGGUUUCAAUUUGUCAAACCUUUUAUUUGUGGGCAUGGACAAAUUGAAUAUUUUAUUAAAGCAACAUCAAUACCACAAGGAACAAUUCUCAUCGAGAAAUAGGAAGUAAAGAAUGCCAUGAUUAUGUCAUGGCUGAUCAACUCAAUGGAACUCAAGAUUAUGAAGACAAACAUGUUCAUGCCUAUAACUAGAGAGAUAUAGGAGGCUACCAAGGAAACCUAUUAUGACUUGGUAACUUGCUCAGGUCCACACGAUAGCUAUACAAAUAAAAAAUACCAAGCAAGGUAAUAUGAAUGUAAUUCAGUACUAUAAUACACUCAAAACUCUUUGGUAAGAACUUAAUUUGUUCUAUGAUUAUGAAUAACAUUGUGCAUAAGAUAGUGAAAUGUUCUAAAAUAUGAUUGAGAAAGAUCGAGUCUCUGCAUUCCUAGUGGGGUUUAAAUCAGAAAUUAGAUGAGGUUUAAAGUUGAAUCUUAGUUUUGAAUAAUUCUAGCAAAAUCUGAUACCUCUUCACUUAACACUGCCCUAGCUAUGAAAAACCGUAAGCUUCACAUUUCAGCUAAUGAUCCAAAAUUCAAAAGGAUCCAUGGAAAGCCCUAGUGUGAUCAUCAUCUCCUCUAAAUGCUUCCAAAAUUCAAAAUAUUCAUUAACAAGUGAUUAACCAUCAUCUUUUCAAAAUGCAUCUUUAGAUGUCAUAUGCCCAAAGGUGUUCAAAUUCGUAAGAUAUUGACCAAGUCCAAAUAUUUAGAAGAAGGUAUAUCAUCCUCUACAAUUAGAAAGAAGAAAAUACAUUAUCCUUUACUAGUGAAAGCACAUAUGCCAUCACCUCAACAAAUCAAGCAUGCGUGCAAAUCUGUCUUAUUGGUCUUCUAAUUGCGGUUGAGCAAGUAUUAAGGAAGUACUUAAUUUGAAGCAUCUCUUCAUCAUCUAUAGUGGUUGUAGUUUCUAAUCCAAUAAUUGUACUCCUUUGAAAGUGGUACAAAUUAUUCUUCCUUAUUCCUUGCGUUACCACAAGUUUGCUUGGCCUAACUUUCACCCAUAUUUUAUAGUAACAAUAUUGAACCCUAUGGGUUAUAAUACUCUCAUUGAGAUGAGACACUUAUUCAUUCUAGGAACAUACUAAACAUCACUCAAAAUUUUAGUUGAUUAAUCACGAGUCUUCAACUGGAUGGUAUCUAUUAUUGUUAUCUCACAAACAUUAUCAUUCCCCAUGUAAACAACUCCAUCUUGGAGUUCUUCAAAGCAGGAAAACCACUCCUUGUAGGAAUGCAUGUGAAGGUGGACCCAAUAUCCAAAAUCCAUUCAUCUAAGUUAUAAAGCAAGGAUAAGGAAACCAAAGCAAAGUUUGAACCAUCUUCUCCAAACUUAGCCAGACAAGCAUCUAAUACUAUCUCUUCUUAAUUCUUCUUCUAUAACUUAGGACAAUCAUUGUUCCAACACUACCAAAAAUUAAGUAUGGGUGACCCAUUUAUAUUUACUUUUGCGACGAAUUUAAGUUGAUGCAAAUUUCUAACACACCUAUUAUGCCGCAAAUUGAAUUGUCUAUUGCUUAUAUGUAAUUAUUUACCAACGAUAAUUGUAACAACAGAUACUUGUUGGAAAAAAUAUUAUUGCAAUGGAUUUAAACCAUUGCAAAUGUUCAACUAAUAUACUUUGUCACAAAAGCAAUUUACUUAUUAAAAAAAAAAGAAAAAAAAAAGAACUUUCAUAAAUAAUUUUUUCUAUGAAAAUUACUACUUAAUAAAACAUUUUUAUUAUAGUGGAUAAUAAUACCACACAUAAUUUAUUCCAAAAAUAAUUGUUGUCUUAUGAAUAUAAAAUCUUUUCACCAUAGUUGUAUGAUAAAUACGAUCUAGCUAGUGACAAAACAAUUUUCUGAUCAUUUUUUAGGUUCAUACAAUAUUUACAUUUUUUUAAUCAUAAUAGUUUUAAUAUUUUUUAACUACUUUUUAUAGUCCAUUUUAGAAAGAAAUAAAUUAAAAAUUAUUGAUAUAUAUAUAUAUAUAUAUAUAUAUAUAUGUAUAAUAUAAUUUAUGAUAUCGAAUACUAAUAUUUAAAUUUUAAAAAUACAUUUUAUAGAGAUUUAUCUAAUUUGAAUGUAUUCAAUAACAUAAAAAAAAAAAAUUGAUAGUACAUGCAUAAGUAUUUUUAUUUUAAAAUGUUGAUAAUUUCAUUUAUAAAUUUAUAUUUAUUUUAUAUUUAAUUAUUAUACAAAAUACAAAAGAAUUAAAAUUAAUUAAUUUAUAAUAAUUUUAUUUUAAAUAAUUUAUAAUUUAUACUAUAUAUAUAUAUAUAUAUAUAUAUAUAUAUAUAUAUAUAUAUAUAUAUGAAUUCAUGCAUGUGUAAUUUAUAUAUAAUAUGUAUUUAUAUAUAGAUAAUAUUUAUAAUAUAAAUGCAUAAGUAUAGGAUAUUUACAUUUAUGAAUCUUAUAUAAAUUCUGUAUAUUGCACAUAACAAAGUUACUUGGUAGCAUAGUUACUUCCUUUCAAACUUGAGGUUAAGGGUUUCAAUCUUGAGAAACAACAUCCAAGCCAAUAUCCAAAACUAGAAAAGAGAUGAGUGUCCAUGUGAAUGUAAUGAAAUCAAAAUUUCAUGACAACCUAAAAUAUUUUAUUAUUUACAUUUCUCAACCAAUUUAAUCCGUUGGUAAUAGUGAGAGUCCAAAUCCAUUGGAUAGUUUGUCACUAAAUAUUUUUUAUUGGCAAUGGAAAAUUCCCAUCAAUAGAGUUUUGUCAACACACCUUUCCUCGAUUACCAUGUGAUGGGAUUAUCGAUUGGUAAAUGUUUAUUUCGACCAUGUAUAUCAGUUGAGAAAAGUAAUAUUUCUUGUAGUGUGAUGACCCUUGUCAUGAAAAGGACACAUUCAUCUUUUGCAAGUAUACAUUUAAAUUAAGAAUUGUCUCAUUUUCUAGGUUUUCAACUUUGAGAUUAGUCAUUAACUAUUGAAGCUUCCAAUGAUAUAUCCCAAUGAUUGCUUUGGUCCUUCUUUCUUUAUUCAGAGCUUAGCGAAGUGGAACGCACAACAUCAAAAGGAAUCUUAUCCUUACCAUAAAGUAAGGUGAUGGUAAGAUUUUCAUACACAUCAAGAAGAAAAUUCAAUAACAAUAAGGCCUUAUUCUCAUCUUCAAUGAUCUCAUCUAAAUUCAACAAAUUUGCUCUGAUUCUAUCAUAAGCAUGCAUAUGAUCAUUCAUAGACAUUUGUUUAUACUUGAAGCAAAAAAGUUUGUUAUUCAAAUAUAGUUGAUUUUCUAGACCUUUUUUCAUAUACUUGUCCUCCAAUGUCUUUCAUAAAUGUUUUUGUAGAUAUCUCUUUCAUAAUGGAAUAAUUUUAAGCUUUAACAAGAUAUAAGUGGAUGGAAUUAUAAAAUUGACAAUUGAUCCCUUACCCAUUCUUUAUCAUUCAUGUUUUCAGGUUUUUCUUCCAAAAAAAUAUCCAAAUUCUAUUUGACAUAUCUAAUUAAUGCCUCUUACUGCCACAUUCCAAAAGUACUAGUUCUAUCAAAUUUCUCUAUUACAAAUUUCACAUUAGUAACCAUUGUCUUAACUAACGAAGUUUUUGACUUUUCUUUUAACUAGUGCAAUAACAAAUAACCUUGAAACCAACCUUGGAUAGAACUAAUGCUCUUAUACCAUUUUGUUGUGCUUUAACCUAAUCCCAGAAGACUUCCAAAAAUACUAAAUAAAAUACAAACUAAACUUUAGUCCAUAAUAUAAAGAUAAAUAGCAAGAGAAAUAAAAAUAAAAGAUGAUACACAAUAUUUAUGAGGUUUAGUAAGGAUAUCUUACCUAUAUCAUCAGACAAUGAUGAUCAAUCCACUAAUCUUCAAAUCAAAAUUACAAAAUCAAGUUGGGAAAGCUUGUCUCACAAAGUGGUUGCAAUUACAAAGAUUGACUAAAACCUUAAAGAUUGAUUGAAGCUGCUCUAACAACUUUCCUAAAGUCAUUCUCACACUACCAUGAUGAAAGGACUUAGACUCAUUUAUAGAACCUGAAUAAGUCCUCGAGCCUUGAAAAAACUAAUUCAUAAUUCCUGUGGGACACGAACUCCUAACAUAUAACAGAUUAUGAAAUCAUAAUCCUUAUAGGACAAGGAUCCUUAAAAUAUAUUAAACUCUUAAUUGAGCUAAAAGCCAAUGCCUAAUAUAGAACUCACACCAUAUUUGCCAUAACUCUACUAAGUAGUUGGUUGUUAAGCAGAAUUAUCAGUUUCAAAGAUUAAAUAAGCCUUUCUUUUUCCUUCCCUUUCCAUUUUUCUUAUCAUCCAAACAACAAUGAUAAAAAAUUUAGUGUAACUUUUGUUGCUUUGCUACUUGUUCUCUCAACUUACUUGCCUGCUUGCGAAUGACCUCCAAAAUCAAAGUAAAUGGGGAAAUAAUGUGGAGUUCCAAGAUAUACAUAGAAAAGAGUGGACAACUAGAUCUACAACAUAGCUAGCAAUUUUGUCUCUAAAUUUCUCUUUGUCGUGGUAAUGGCCAUUGAAGAUGUCAUCACUGAGAAGAUCACAAAGUGAAGAAGGCAUGAUUGAGGGUUGGUAGAGUAGAGAGUUAAGGUAGAAAAUAACAAAGAUAGGAUUUUGACAUUUUUAGAAUUUGUAAAUAAAAAAUAAAUACAAUCCAAAAAUCACUUUCAGAACAUAAUUUUACUUGACCAUGGCAAACACGUUUUUUGUUAUGUGGAUUGUACUUGAUGUUCUUGAAAACAUUGAAUGCAUUUUGGAUUGACUACUAAACAUGACCUUAGUAAUUAAAUUAGCAUAUUGAUAAAUUAUUAAGAGGCUUUUAUCAAUUUGGUCAACUCUUAGAAAAGUGUUGUUGAAAACACUAAAUAAAAUCUAUAUAAUUUUUUUUUUUGAAACAUGCUUGACCAUACCAAACACAUUAUUUUUUAUUUGGAUUGUAUUUAAUAUUUUCAAAAACACUAAAUACAUGCAAUUUGAUUGACUGCUGAACAUGAACUUAGUAAUUAAAUUAGAAAUUUCAAAUGAAUUAAUGUUUUCUAUUUUGCAAGCAAGUCAAGAUUUUAUGUUUUCUACUAAAAUUUUGAAUGCAUCACUAAAAGUAACAUCACCACUUUCUAGUUAUAAAGUUUUAAGAAUAUAUUUUUUAUCAAUACAUAUGGUUGUUUUCUUUCGUGUCAAGAUACGAAAUACUUUUUUCCUAAAAUUUUUCCUUUUUACGCAAAUAAUAAAGUGGGGUUUUUUCUUGAUUUAUUUUUUAACAUAGUUUUCCAUUCUAUAUUGUUAAUAUACCAACACUUUUCAUUUUUUUCUUGAAUUUUGGAUCUUCCUUCAUUGUUUGAUGAACUAUUUCCUUAGCCAUAACCAUGAUGACCAUGACCAUGAUUGUUUUGGCUUCCUUCAUACCAAAUGUUUUUUUGCCCUCUUGUUGAUAUAUUAAACUACGUUGACAAUUUUCUAUUAUUUAUAUAUUGAGUCUGAUACAUCAUACUUCCAAGGGUCAUACUGAUGUCAUUCAACUUCAAGCUACUUUUGAGUUAACUAUAUUACAAGGUAUAUGUGCAAAAUUAGGUUGAAUCAGGGUACAAGGAAUGGCUACCACAUGUAUGCUAGGUGAAAUUUUAGAGAUUUUUUUUUUUUUUUUUUGUCAAGGUUAAGGAUUUGAAUAACUAAAGUCUCAAUAAAGUCUUUGAGGUAACUAAGGAGCACAAGGAGUGUUGCAUGGGGCAUGGAAGAAGAAUGUAAGUUACGUAUAUCUUAUUUUUAUAUUUAAUAGAUUGUUUGUGGUUGAUAGACUAUUCAUUGAUCUUUACACCCAAAAGGUUUUAAGCGGUUUUUUCAUGUUACAUUUUGUGUCAUAUGUUUAAUUGAUUAAUCUUAUUCAAGGAAUUGAUGAAAACUUAAUUAUAAUUGAUAUAGCUAGAUGUUUAGGAAUGUUUCAAUUUAAAGUGCUUUUAAUUGAAUUGUUUUUUUUAGAAGCAUUUUUAUAUAUUAAAGAAUCACCUCUCAAGCACUUCUCCAAAAAGUAUUACAAGUGAUUUUUAACUUUAUAAAGAAUGCUUUCUAAGUUUUUCCAAGCGUAUAGUUUUUCUCUAAAAGUGUUUUCUUUUUAAUACUAUAAGCAUUUUCGAAAAGUACUACUAAAUGGACUCUUAAUUUUUGAGGAUAUUUCACUUAGACAGCCCAUUCAUCCCUCUCUCUAUAUGGUUUUGUGUCUCAAGAUAAAAGCUCUCUCCUUUAUUUUAAUAUAAUCUUUGUUUGAAGAAUUAUUCUAAUUUUUACUUGACUUUUGUUUUUAAUAUGUCUUCCUAGGCUUUUAAUGAUCCCAUAAAUUGGUCAAUGACUAUAGAAUCCAAAUAUUUAGGCCUUUCAAUAACAAAAAAAAAAAAAAAAAGAUGAAAACUUUUUUUUUUUUAGUUACACAAAUAUCAUUAAACUUUCCCCAUUUAUUUUGACUUAAUUUACAUAUGUCAAUAUUUUUGGAAAAUAAUCAAAGAUUCUCUUAUAUUUAAACUUAAAAAUUCACUUUUAAAAGUAUGAAAUUGAACUUUUUUUUUUUUUUAAACUUAUCAAACUUUUAUAUUUAUUUGUAAUAUUUUUCAUGUUUCCUUUGAACUAGUUGCACUUAAAAUCAUUUCAAAGGUGUCUACAUCUAUUUCUUAAUAAAUAAGGUUAAAAGCUUUCUUGUCUUUCUUUCUUAUAUCUUCAAAAAGUCUAUUUAAUUUUGGGAUAGAUUGGUUUUAUCCUAUAGCUCCUUGUAGUUUUUCUCUACAAUCUAUUAUAUAUCUUGCAACCAAAUAAAACCUUUGUCUUGAAAUUCAAAUAGUCAAAAUUGUUAAAACAAUCUUUAUUGAGUUAAGCAACUUAAUUGCAUUACACCUUUUCCGAAAAAUAAAAUAAAAUAAGAAUCAUAUUAUAUGCAUAAAUUUCAUGAAAGUCCUGCAACCUAUAGGGGGUAGGCCUUGAAGUUACAGUGAUAAUUUAUUCCACUAAAAAUUUUGAUCUCUACAAUUAUACCUUUUUUUUUUUUUGGAGUAAUAGGGAUAAAUACACAAAUAAUAGUACUAUUAAAAGGGAUAAGUAGAGGAAUUUAAAAGAAAUUUAUUGUGUUUUUAAAACUUUAAUUCAAGUAUUAUAUACAAAACUCCAAUUACAAUAUGUUUUAAUUCACUUUUUAAAACUAAUCAAAUGUAAUUUUUGAAAACUUCUCGAAACUCAAAUUUCGAUUUCAACAUGUGAUUGAAUGAUAGGGAUGAUAAAAAAUAGGUAAAUAAAAUAUAUGUAAUAUUAUUGUACAUUAUUAACCGCUUUCAUACCAUUAGCAUAUCAAUGGCAUCUUGCUAAGAAGAAUAACCACCGACAAUAGUCCAUUAUAAUUGUUUCAGAAUGAAUGACAUUUAUUUGUUCGUAUUCUAUUGUUUUGCUAUUUAGGCCAUAUUCACUUGAACUGACUUUUUGUUUGGAGUAGUGUUUUAGUAGAGAAUUUGUAGGAGGACACCUAGAUUUAGCCUAUGGGUUGCCUUAAUUAAUGGUUUUGGCACAACUUAACAAAAUUCUAUGCUAUCAUAAAGUAGCUGAUUGACCAUGAUUGCGCAAUGCCAUCAUAAAGGAACUGAAUGCCCAACACACAUACAUGUGAGGUACCAUAUUUUUUAAGAAAGACAAGUCAGUUUGCAAUUGAUGUUAAUAUCUUUCCAAGGCGGAGACAUCAUUUUGUAGGUAUAAUUGAAUUAGUUAAACUUAAAGCCCAAUUGACAUUCUUUCAAGUAAAAUCAUUUUUAACCUAUAAUGCUCAACACUUUUAUUAUGAGAAUCAUAGAAGUAUCAGAAUCGUAGAGAAUCUGAGAAAGUGAUUCUAUAGUGUUGUUGAUAAUAUGUCACAUGACUAUAAAAUGUUUUUAAUAUUAGUAAAUUAUCAAAAAGGACAUCAAAUUUAAUUACAACAAGGAAAUAUUAUAAUAAACUAAUAAUUUUUCAUGAUAAAAGAAUAUAUAAACAUUUAUAGUAAAAGAAUAUAUAAACAUCUAUAUUACUAACAAAAACUAAAAAAAAAAUAAUAGUUCUGGUGAUUACAAGAAAAUUUUAGAGAAAAUUUACAACAUGAUUUGGAUUAAUAAACAAACAUCAAUCAUAAUAUAAUAAUUUUCAAAAUAAAAUAAAUUAUUUGAUUAUUUAUUCACUUAAAAAUAAUAUUUUUUUAUUACUACAAAAAAAUUUUGAAAAAUACUUACAAAAAAUCUAGAUUAAUAAUGAAGAAUUGAAUAAAAACAUAUUAGAUUUUAAAAAUAAAUUAGUAAUUAAAAGCAAAUGAGAAGACAAAUUUUCUCAUAGAAAAAAAAGGAGAAAAUUGUAUAUAUUUUUUCAUAUUAGUGUUAUAAUAAAACAUCAACAAAAUAUAAGAAGACUAGCAAUUCGAUCACGUUCUUUUUACAUCUCUCUUGCAUGAUAGAACCAUCUUUCUCAACUCGUAAAUUCACUAUAAUCUCUUUUUUAUUAAGUAGAUGUAACCCUUGAUCAUCAUCAUAAGGUUUAAAUUUCAUAUCUAUUCUAACAUUAAUCAUUAUUAAGUUGUAAAAACCAUCAAAGUAAUAACAAUGUUCACUUAUUUUUUAAGAGGAAAAACUAUGCAUUUCUCAUAUUGUUCCACAUCUGUUCUUCAAAAAGGCAAAUGUUCAAUUGUUCUCCUCAAAUAUGUCUAUGGUUAGAUAUUUCCUUCUUACCUCUUGGUAAACUACUCCAUCAAAAUUUGGAAGUUGGUAACACUCGCCCUCUAAGGGCCUAAUUAUAUAUCCACUCAUUUAAGGAUAACCAACAUUGAGUAAAUAAUAUUUACCUACAAAACAAAAACAAAAUAUUAUAUAAGAGAAUAAAAAUUUAAUCACAAAAGUAACUUUCAUAUUUUUAGUCACAAAUCUCUAGAUGGAUGAGGAAAACCCAAUUCUAGCAUUUUUUUUUAAUGCCCCUACAAAGACGCAUGCAUCAUGAGCAAUACCUCCCCAUCUAGCCAAUGCAAAUGUGAAAUACAUAUUGAAAUAAUAUAUGGCCAUAAUAUUUUAGGUAGUUAUGCUUUUUGUACCAAUAUGUGAUAUUUGCCUAUCUCUAAAAAUCAUAAUGGGCAUAUGAGUUCCAUUAAUUACCCCUGUACAAUUCUUAAAAUAUGGCCAAUAACGGUCAACAUUUCUUAUUUUAUCAAGGAUCUCCCUAAACUAUGAAUCACUUGGUUUUACAAUAUCCAUAGCUAUAAGACAAAUAACAUCUAAUAUAAUCUCAAACCAUCUAGAAAUAAAUUCAUUGGAGUGUACCCUCCCCCGAUCCACCGACCGGCGUGACUCACAAUUGAAACGAUAAGUAGAGAAAAAAAUGUUUUCCAGUUUUGGAAAAUCCAUCCCAACGAGGGAUGGUUUUUGUUUGGAGUCGCCACUUACUUUUUAUUUUUAUUUUUGAAAUGGGAAAAAUUAUGGAAGAACAAAAACCCCUCAAUGACUCCAGUUAGGAAAAAAACGGUCUGCGAAACUAGAUUUCUAGGUCCGAGGAUUAGGUUACCUAUCAGGAAGGUACCUCAUAUGAGGUAGCACCCCUCUAGGCCCGAAAUCUGGUCUCUACUAGUGAAUUGGGUACAUUGGAGCAUAUGGUAAAAGAUCAAUCAAUUCCCACCUCGAGCUACAUGAAUGACAAGACUUGCGCAAUUCUAGUUGGUAUUUGACAUGCUUAGGAAAUCGACAAUCAGAACAAAGAUGCGUACCUGAGGUCCCUAGUUGUGCGCUGAGAGAAAAGGUUAGUCAAUAAGCACAAGCGUACAACAUAUACAACCCUGUGAUUUACUAAAAUUUAGCCGCAUUCCUACUUGAAUUGAUAGAAUUUCUAGUCAUGACCUGACCCUAUACAUGUAACCUCUAAUCUUCGCUAAACAACCAUCAAAAUUGAAACUUAAAAAAUUAAAUUCAAAAUUUCAAGAUUUUUGGAAAUUUUGGGAACGGAAACUUGAAAAAAAUAAAUCCGGAGUUUUCGAAACUUUGGAAAUUUUGGGGAAUGGACUCUUAAAAAAAAUGAAUCCAGAAUUUUGAGCAUUUUGGAAAUUUUGGGAAUGGAAACUUAAAAAAAUUUAAAUAUGGAAUUCUCAAAAUUUUGGAAAUUGAAACUUAAAAAAUAAAAUCCGGAAUUUUUGAAACUUUGGAAAUUUUUGGAAAUGGACACUUAAAAAAAUUAAGUCUCGAAUUUUCGAAACUUCGGAAAAUUUUGGAAAUGGAAACUUAAAAAAAAUGAAUCCGGAACUUUCGAAAUUGGAAACCUUCAAUUUUAAAAGUUUUGGAGUUUUGGAAAAUUUGAUAGUGGAAACUUAAAGAAUUAAAUUUGGGAAUUCGGGAAUUUUGGUAAUGGAAACUUAAAGAAUAAAUUCUGAAUUUUGGAAACUUUGGAAUUUUGGAAAUAAAACUUUGAGGAUAGUAUUUAAAAAUGAAACUUUGGAACUUUGAAAAAAUAAACUUUGAGGAUAGUAUUUAAAAUGAAACCUUGGGAUUUUGACUUUUGGGAAUUUGAAAAAUUAAUUUAAGAAUGCCAUUAAAAAAAAAUUGAAAUUGCGGAAUUUUGAGAGUUGUGGAAUUUUGGAACAUUAAUUUUAACAAUGGUGUUUUUAAAAAUGAAAAUUUGGAAUUUUAAGAGAAAUGGAACUUUAGAAAACUUAUUUAAAGUUAGUAUUUUAAAAAAAAAAACUAGAUUUGGGAGUUUUAGAAAUGGAAACUUAAAAAAUUAUAUUCGAAAAUUUUGAAACUUUGGAAUUUUAGGGAACAGAAAUUUUAAAAAUUGAAUUCGGAACUUUGAGAAUUUUUGGAAAUUUUGGGUACCCUAAUUUUAAAAAUUGAAUCCGAAACUUUAUAAUUUUUUUGGAUAUUUGGGCAUAGGAAUUUUAGAAAAUGAAUUUGGAACUUUGUGAAUUUUUUGGAAACUUUUUUGGUAUGGAAAUUUUAAAAAUUAAAUCCAGAACUUUGUGAAUUUUUUGGAAACUUUGGGUACGAGAAUUUUAGAAAAUAAAUUCGGAACUUUAUGAAUUUUUAUAAAUUUGGUGUACGGGAAUUUAAAAAAAUGAAUCCGGAACUUUGUGAAUUUUUUGGAAAUUUGGUUACGGGAAUUUUAAAAAACGAAUCUGGAACUUUACGAAUUUUUGGAAAUUUGGGUAUGGGAAUUUUAGAAAAUGAAUUUGGAACUUUACGAAUUUUUUGGAAACUUGGGUACCGGAAUUUUAAAAAAUGAAUCCGGAACUUGGCAAAUUUUUUGGAAACAUUGGGUACAGGAAUUUUAAAAAAUAAAUCCGGAACUUUAUGAAAUUUUUGGAAACUUUGGGUACUAGAAUUUUAAAAAAUGAAUCCAAAAUUUGGCAAUUUUUUUUGGAAACUUUGGAUAUGAGAAUUUUUAAAAAAUGAAUCCAGAACUUUACGAAUUUUUGAAAACGUUGAGUAGUGGAAUUUUAAAAAAUGAAUUCAGGACUUUACAAAUUUUUGGAAACUUUAGGUAUGAGAAUUUUAAAAAAUGAACCCGGAACUUGGAGAUUUUUUUGGAAACUUUGGGUACGAGAAUUUUUUAAAAAUUAAUCCGGAACUUUACGAAUUUUUAGAAACGUUGGGUACUGGAAUUUUAAAAAAUGAAUCCGAAACUUUACGAAUUUUUGGAAACUUUGGGUACAAGAAUUUUAAAAAAUGAAUAUGGAAUUUUACGAAUUUUUGGAAACUUUGGGUAUGGGAAUUUUUAAAAAAAUGUUAAGUUGGAAUUUUGGGGAAUAUUGGAAAUGAUAUUUUAAAAGUUAAGUUGGGAAUUUGGAAAAUUAGAAAUGUUGGAAAUGAUAUUUUAAAGGUUAAGUUGGGAAUUUGGACAAGUGGAAAUGUUGGAAAUAAUAUUUUAGAUGUUAAGUUGCAUGUGGGCUGUGCAUGGGAAGUGCAUGGGCUAAAUGGGAGGUGUAGACGUAUGAGAGGAGUUGUGGGGAGAUGUAUUUGAUGGCUGUUUGAAGACCCUGAGCUUCCUGUGAGCUAUAGGAUGGCUUUAAGCUAUAUGUGGGUUGCACUUGGUGGCCAUUUGGAGACCUUGAGUUGUAUAUGGGCAGUAGGGUGGUUUUAAGCUGCAUGGGGGCUGCAUGUGUGACCUUUAGGCUAUGUGUGUGGGCUAUAGGUGUGAGGGUAUGGAGGCCAUGGGUGCAUGUGAGGAUUGUUAAGAUAUGGACUCGCAUAUCUAACAAUAGUUCAUGACUAAGCUACUCACCCUUAAUGUAUUUUUUUUCUAUUCGUUCUAAGUAUGGGCCAUCUCAUGUGUAGAGCCCGAUACCGUAUAUGUCUCAAAUGAUGGGCUUAAGACACAUAUGACCCAAUCUUUGCAACGGAAUGGUACCUAAGGCAGGAGGGUAUAAAAGGAUAAGUGUCAGUUCUUGAACAUCACAACUUUUGAAAAACUAAACUAAACUCGUUCUCUCCUACUCCCAUCGUCAGAGAGAAUACCAAAAAGAGGUGGUACCCUCCAUAGCCUUAGAAGAUCCAUACCUUCUUCAACACCCAAAAAGAGGCGGUGCCCUCCAUAGCCUUAAAAGGCAUGAUUUUAUGAAUGAAUUGAUAUAUAUACAUCUAUCUUGUAUGCAUGUUUGGUGUUAAUGGAGAAGACAGUUUAUUAUCAAGGAUGAGGUGUGAACUGUACGGAUGUCAUGGUGGGGUGUGAGGAUGUAUGUGGUAGUGUGGGCUGCACAAUGGGUGGGUUGUGGGCUGUGGGAGAUGAGUUUCGUGAAGAAUGAACAGUGGAGGAGGUAGAGAGAGAAGUGGGUUUGGUGGGUGUGGAAGAUGAAAACAUGGAUAUGGUGGUGUGAAUGAGCUAUGAGGUUACAUGGGUUGCAUUGUGAUGGUAUGAACGAGCUGUAGGUUGCAUGGGCUGCAUGGUGAUGGUAUGGAUGAGUUGUGAGGUUGCAUGGGUGAGCCAUGGAGGUUAUGGGUUGCAUGGGUGAUCCAUGGAGGUCAUGGGUGCAUGCGUGAACUGGGUGUGAGCUGUGGGUGCAUGUGGGCUGUAUGUGGAAAGUGUGAGUGAGCUUUGUGUGGGAUGUGGGUGCAUGUGGGCUGUAUAUGGAGAGUGUGAUGCCUUUUAGGGCUAUGAGGGAGCUAUGGGACGGCCGUGAGGGGAUGAGGGCUGCGUGUGGACUGUAUGGUGGGCGUGAGUGGCCUGUGAGGGAGCUAUGGUUGCUGGUGAAGCGGUGUGGUGACUGUGGAGGCUGCAUGCGGGCUGUAGGUCGGCUUUGAGGGCCAUGAGGGGGCUAUGGGAUGGCCGUGAGGGGGGGUAAGGGCUGCAUGUGGACUGUAUGGUGGGCGUGGGGUACAUGUAUGGGCUGUAGGUGAUGUGCGGGCUGCAUCAUUUUAUCCUGUAUGCCAUUUUAGGUUUAAACUCAUUUUUAACUUAAAACAUCUGAAAUUAACCCAAAACCAUGGCGAUGGGAAAAGAGAGGGUAAGGAAAAAUGGCCCAGAAAGGUUUUCAAUUUUCUUUAAUUGCAUUCCAUAUCUCCCUCAUGAAGCAUCCCUUCCUCACUUUCAAAUUGUAACUUAACUCCAAAAGAACCCCAUCAAUUCUUCACAACUACAUAAGAAUAAUUGAUCACCUCCCUUGCCUUCCCUUCAGAAUUAGUUUCUUUGCAUAGACCAGUCCACUCACCAAGAGUUUUAUCAUUGAGUGCCGAUAUAAGGCUGACAUUAUGGUCAGCACAAAUAAAUUUAAUACAGUCCAGCUGAUUACAAAUCUCUUCCAAUACACACAAUUGGGCAGCAUGUUUUUCAAUCAUCUUAGCACUUUCGUGGAAGCUUCGCAUAGGUCCAACAUGAGCCAAUGAUUACCUUAAGACGGGUAUCAGGGCUGUCUUGAGGUCUAUGGUCUUACCUAGGAGGGGCACCAGCAGCCUCAACCACAACAACUUCAUCUCCAAACAUUUUCCUCAAUCAUCCCCCCUAGAUGAUCUUGGUGUGCAAGCUUACCCAUAUGAUUCUAACCGAGCAUGAGAAAUCGGUAUACAUGGCGUAUAGAACCAAAAACAUAGGACAUCGGGAAGACCAGACAAGAAGUUGAAACGAAAAUAGGGUAAAUGAAAACAAGGAUAAAACAAAGGACAUGCAAAAUAAUCACCAAUCCAUAUUCCAUAAACAGAGAGUCAAUAGACUUGUAUUAAGGAUGGGUGAGAAGAAUUUCCAGAAAUUAUCAAGAGGCUUAAAACAGAGUUCAAACCAAUCUCUGUAAAGCACAAUGAAAAUGGAACAUAAAAGCACUAUAACUCAGCCCAAACAAUCCAAAGAUCAGCCACUAUACAGCCUGAUACCUAUACCUAAAAUUAAUGACGAGCAUAUAGGCCUUCGACCACCAAAACAUCUAACAAAUGGAAUAAAUCUAGAAAAGAGUAGAUGUUUUAAUGUAAAGAACUUACCUCCUAGAAUAUGUGGAUUGUCCUGAAUCCUCAUUGCCUUGCUCUCUGUUCUGACUUUUUUCUCUGUUCUCCCUUCAGAAUCCGUUUUUCUUUCUUUCUCUCAAAACCUCCCCCUUUCCUCCAGAUUUUUCUGCUCCAGACCCCCUCUUUUUGAAACCUCCUCAACUUUUCUUCUCCUCUCUCCUCUUUUUUUUUUUUUUCUUUUUAUACCAGAAUCUCCUUUCUACCUCCUCCCAUGCCUUCUCAAAAUCCUCAAAUUCUUUCAAAAACUCUGUUCCACCUCUGCAAACUCUCCUUCCCAUAAAAAAAAAAAUCCUCUUCCUCAGGUCAACUUAUCUAUCUCUUCCCCAUUUUCCAAUUAAUUAAAUCCUUUUUUUUUUCAAAACCUUUGUUUUUCUUCUUUUAGCCAACGACCCUUGGAAUUUUUAUUUAUUUAUUUAUUUAUUUUAAAACCUCAUUUUCUGCACCCUUCCAUUUUCAAAAAUAUCAACCUCUUUUUUUUUUUUUUUAUGCACUCGAUUUUUUACUUUGCCAAGUCUUUUUUUUUUUAAAGUAAAUAAAAUAAAAUAAAUUGAAUAAAAUAAAAUAAUAAUAAAAAACAUAAAGUAAAUAAAUAAUAAUAAUAAUAAUGAUAAUAAUGACUUACCAAAAAAAAAAGCUAUUCAUAAAAAAAAUUAUAUUGAAACAUUUCAAAAUAAAUAAAUAAAUUGAAUAAAAUAAAAUAAAAUAAUAAAAUAAUUUACCAAAUUAAUAAUAAUAAUAAUAAUAAUAAUAAUAAGAUAAGAGCAAUAAUCACAUGCAAAUUUUUUGAAAAUAAAUAAGUAGGUGAAUAUAUAAAUAAAAUAAGAAAAAUAAAUAAAUAUCAAAUGCAUAUAAUUAAUAAUCUAAAUAUUAAACUAAAACACAAUAAAAAAUUAAAUUUAAAAAAAUUAUCAAAUUGACACAAUUAAACAUCGAAAAUUCUUUUUAGGCAAUCAAAAUCAAAAUCAAAAUCAAGAUCAAACCCAAUACUUACCUAAUCUCAAACAUCUAGCAAUCAAGAAAUUAAUCUUAGGGAAUUAACCCCAAAAAAGCAUCUAAGUGACCUAGGUGAAAAAGUGUCUAAGUGACCAAAGUGGAAAGUGCCAAGGUGAAUUAGGUGGAAAUUAAACUAAGGAGGUGUCUAAGUGAUCAAAAAUGCGCUAAGUGACCUAGAAGGUUUAAAAAAGGGCCUAAGUGAUGUAGGGUGAUUAGAAACGUGUUAAGUGGCCUACGAGUGUAUUUAAUGGGCCAAAUGCAUUUAAAUAGGCCUAAGGUGCCAAAGUGGGCCUAAGGUGGUGCCCAAUGGGUCACCAGAGAAUUAUUGAAAAGUAUCAAAUGGACACAUAAUAGAACAUGUGCUAGUAGGACAAAAUGGAGGGUCUACAUGGAAUGCUAAAAUCUUUCUUAGGUCGUCAUGUUGCCAAGUCUAUGACCUAUUAUAGUGAGAAACAUUGCUAAAGCCUCUAUUAAGGGCAUAUCCAAACCUUCUCUUAGACCAUGCCUUUUAAUAAGUGUUUCUAAUCAUUAAUGCAUACAUGUUUUUCCAUCCUAAAUUGCUCAAAACUCUAAUUUCGAAAAAGUUCUACAAGGUUUUUAUUUUUUAUUUUUGUAGUUAGUAAGUGUUACAGGUACAACACAUCAAACCAACACCAAUUGAUAAAAAACAUUUCACCAUUGCUUUCAUCUUUAAUAUUAUGAUUGCAACUAUUAUUAUAAUUAGAAAACAUAUAUACAAAAAAUAAAAAUAAGAAAUACAUUAAAAAAAAACCAAUAAUGUACAUUUUAUGUUAAUAUAGCUUAAACUUAUGCAUGUUUACUAAAAUAAAAGGAUUUUUUAUUUAAAAAUUUAUUUGAACAGGCCAAUUCAAGAGUAGUAGUAGUAGUAAGCAAAAUAAUAGCACUAAAAAAUAAGAGCAUAAAUACAUGUAAUCAUAUAAUUAUAUUUUUCCAUAAUAAUAAUAAUAAUAAUAAUAAUCUAGCUCAUGUGGGUCACCCUAGGAUAAGACUCCUCCCAUAACACCCCUAUUUUCAAUCCAUUUCUAUUCUUAAUAGCUUGAUUAAUUAAACAAAAUUUUAAAUUCGAAAGUGUUGUGUUGAGAAAUCAAAUACAUUAUAAAGCUCAUCUAAUUAACGACUUGACUGAAACAAAAUUUUAGAUUCAAAAGUGUUGUGUUGCAAAAUCAAAUACAUUAUAAAGCUCAUCUAAUGGUCACAACUUUUAGAGAAAGAAACAAUUAAAUAUACCAUGUGAUAGGCAUAUAUGUCUUCCUCACUCAAAAAUUUCACUCAAUACCAACAUACAAAUCCAAUUUAAAACAAUAUUAGGUAGCAAAAUAUGUUUCAACAUUAGAAUAAGAAAUAACUCAAAUAGUCAAACAUGUUUUUGCUUAUGUCGUGCAAUUUGAUCAAUUGAGUUUUCUAAUGUAAGAAACAUCUCAUUAUUUUCCUUGACAACUUGAAUAACUAUGACUUUCAUAUACAACUUAAGGUCAUUCUCCACUUCAAGCAUGCCACAUAUAACUUUUAUUACUUUAACCAUGCUACAACCAAACUUAUCUACUCUAGAUGUAACUUUAAAAAUGGGCUCUAACUGCAUAGUAAAAACACAAGAUUUGGUUCCAUCUCUUAUCUUCUUUCUUCUUCUCUUAUUUUGCCUUGAAAUUUAUUGCCUUGGGGUUCUUCUACAAAAGUAUCCAAUUCAUUAUAUUUCACAACCAAAAUAUAAAUUAACCAAAUAAACUUAGUAAAUAAAUAAAAAUGUAUCUUCAAUUUAUUAUCCUACCAUUCGUUUUUAGCAUUAGUGGUUUGUGUCAUAGGUUCCACCCAAGGCCAAUCUCUUUUUGAAUCAAGGCAUUCCAAAGUUGUCAAUCAUUUUUUAAGAGUACUUACUGUUAUAGUUGAACAAAAAAUGAUCUCUUCAAGAAUAUUUUAGAGACUUCAAAAUUAUAUAUGAUAAUCUUGCCGCAAUCAAAAGCUAAUUUCAAACCAAGACAAAGUUUGUUGAUUCACUCGUGGUUUAGGAUAAUGGAAUGAUUUUUUAUUUUUUUUUAAUCUACAAUGCUUUUCUAGCCAAUUCAUAGUAUCUCUUUAAGGACAUAAGCAAUCACUCACUCGAAAGAGAUGGAAAGAAAAUUUUCCUAGAGGAUGUACAAGUUUUUAAAGAAAAUUUUCCUAAAGGAUGUACAAGUUUUUAUUUGGACAACAUAGUUAUGGUCAUAAUGGUUAAAAAGGCGGAAAUUUUAAUUUGAGGGGAAGAAUCUUUACACUUCCUAGUGUUACGAUUUUUAUUUUUUAUUUUUUAAAUAUUUUUAUGAUUUUAUCAAGUCCUUGUCAAAGGAUGUCUUCACCAUGUUUUGAGAUAAGUCGGGUGUGCAUAUUCAUUCCCACUCCAACUUUAGCGGGCAUAUUAAAGGAAAGAAUAAAAUAAGACAAAAAGAACAUAGGAUGGCAACACGUAGGAUGAUAAAAAUCCGCUUCAAUUAAUAUUUCCAUAAAUCAAGAGUAAUCAAAUAUUAAAAUAUCUGAUUUUCCUAAUUUAGGAUAUAAUAUUUAUUUUAAAUAAAUAAAGAACAAUCAAAUAUUAAUAAUAUUUUAUUAUCUUAAUUUAGGAAAUAAUACUUAUUUUCCUUAAUUUUAGGAUACUUGUUAUUUCUUUCUUUGUAUAAUUCACAAUGCAUUCUUGUAUAAAUUUUCUAAAAGAAACAAUAAAAUUCAUCAUUUUCAUUGCCAAAUUAUCAAAUCCUUUACUAAUGACCUUAUGAUUAAAAUCUUGUUUGUUUGGUAAGCUAUGAAUUUUAAUGAUAUUCCAUCAUUUCUAGGCCUCUCAAACCUUCAAUUUAGUAGGGUUACAAAACAUAAUUUCUCAAACAGCAUUCUUUCCAUAGUCAUAUCUCUAGCCUUGCUAUAAACCAAGACCAUCAAGGACCAAGACACAACAUUCUUGUCUACCAUCUUGUCAAACAACUCAAAUGUUGUAUUUAUAUAUCCUACUUUAACACACCCAUCGAAUAUUAUGUUCAAACUAAUAACAUCUCCAUUUGGCAUUUCAUCAAAAGCCUUGCUCACCUUUUCUUGAUCCACAUGGGCAUAAAUCACUCUCAACUAUUAACACAAACAACAUAGAUUUUAGCCUAUUACAAACCAAACUGAUAUAUCACCCCUAGUAGUUGUAAUUUCCUUCAUUAAUCUCCCUCCCAUUUCCACAUCUCUUUUCUGACACAACCCAUAAAAAAAAUAAAAAAAAAAUCAUGACAUUUGAGUCUAGAUAGGAGAAAGCACAAAUCUCAGUGCACAAAAAUUUGAUUUCAAUCAUUCACAAAAAUUUAAUUUUAUACAUGGUAAAACAUUAUAAUAGUAAAAUAACAAAUUGAGAAGAACUUCCUAGGAAAAUAUAAUCAAAGGAAAACAAGGUAAUCAAAAGACUCAUAUAAUUUUUUACUUCCAUUUUCUAAGUAACUAAAUAGAAAUGUGGCAAGGAAAGUAUCUCUAACUAUGGAUGUAAAGAGUCAUUGUUAAUGAGAAAGGGGUGAGAAUUGGAAUUAUGAAAAGAGUAGAAGAAGACUGCUUGGACUAUGGAGAGUGAAGGAGAAAGAGAAUGCUUGUUGAAAGGGAAAGAGUGGGUUAUUGGGUAACACUUACGGUUAUUUUAGGUACAUUUGAAAAUUUGAAAAUUAUUUUUUAAAUAAUCACCUCUCAAGUGCUUUUCUAAAAAUCACUUCAAGUGAUUUUUUUUCUUUUAAAGGUUUUUAAAAGUGUUUUUGAAAAUUUUUCCAAACAUUUAUUUUUCACCCAAAAACCUCUUUUAAUUAUUCAAAAUGCUAGACGCUCUUCUUAAAAACACUACUAAACAAGUUCUUAAUAAGAUUUUAUUUAUUAUCACAGUUUCUUAGUCUUUAACCAAGGAUAUGUCUAUAUUAUAUAAUAAAAGCAAGGAUAUAAUUUUAUUCUAACUAUUUUUCAACCUUAUUUUCUUUAAAUAUCUACUAAAAUGCCAUUUUAUUAUUGUUCAUUGAUUAACCCAUUAAGAAUGGAAUUACUAUGAUUUCACCCCAACUCCAACUCUCUUUUCUACAAAAAGGAAAACUAAUUUUUUUUAGGAAUAUGUAUGGAAAGGCAAUGUUAUAGAUGUAGUUAUACAUGGAGAUUGAUAGAAGUGAUAGAAGCGGGAUCAUGCUAGGGUUUUAGAGCCAAAGAUGAUGGGUUAGCGAUGAUGGGUCAUAAGGGAAGAGAUGGAGAAGUUAGGAAUUGAGGUUAGAUUUAAGGUUAAGGUUAGGGCUAGGGUUUCAUCAAUGGAUGGUGAUGAAGAUGAAGAUAUGCACAUCCCUUGCAAAAUCUACCAAUAUGAUCCGUUUCUACUACAUAAUCAACUGAAAUUUGAAUCAAUUCUUCUUCUCAAACUAUGAUAAUACGAUUUUAGAUGGUUUUUGAUAAUGAUUUCUUUUCCUCUCAAUGAAACUGUAGAUCAAUUCUAUGUUACAACCCGAAUAAAGGAUCAUUAGGAUCCCUUAAUCUUUAGUUUCUAUUUAGAUUAGGGAAUAAAGGAUCCCUAAGGUCCGUCAAUCUUUAAUUUCUAUUUAGUUUCCUAUAUAAAAUAAGAAGAGCAUAAUGAGGAAAGAAAUGGAAAAAUAAUCUCAGUAAGAAAAAUUUGUUCUCUCAAUUUUGCAUCUUCUCCUUGAGUCAUAAGAAUUGGUAUUAGAACACGGUCUUGGCACUAAUCAUGGCGAAAGGGACUAGAGCGUAAGAACAACAUAGACUUAAAGAUACUAUUAAACAGUUGAAAGAAACAUUGGAUAAACAAGUGACUACCUUAUUAGAACUAUCAAAGAUGGUUGCAACCAUAAACUUGAAAUUCAAACACAUGAAUUCAAGGAUAGAAAAGUAAAGUAAUGGGUAUAAUGCUUCAAUCAAUAAAAGCAUGAUAGACUAUCACUCAUAUGUCAUAAACUCCAUUCAAACCAGGUUUUCCAAACUCAAUUUUCCAAAAUUUGAAGGUGAGAAUUGGGAAUUAGGAAAAGGUUGGAUUGGCUUCCUUACAUUUAAAACAAAGGGCCUUAAAAAGGUUUCAAGGGUGCGAGGCUAGUAACAAGGAAAUCAAUUGGACACUAUUUUAUAUAGAUGUUGUUUCUAGGUUUAGCCCUAGUGUUUAUGAUAGCCUUAUGGGGCAAAUAAUCAAAUUGAAAUAGGUUUCUACAGUUUAGGCAUACCAAAAUUAGUUUAAAGUAUUGAUGACCAAAACUAGUGGGUUAUCAAAGAAUUUUUUUUUUUUGUCUAGUGUUUCAUUAGUAGCUUGAAAAAGGAAAUUAAAAAUCAAGUCACCAUGUUUCAACCAAUCACACUAGCCCAAACCAUCGAGUUAGUCUUGUUGCAGAAAUGAAUAAUGGAGGUAAUUCUCAAGGAAUUCAAGGACUCUAACAAAAGUGGGGAGAGUACAGUGAACUUUACAAGAAUCAUAAUGAAUCAUAAUAACAAAUUACCACCCCUUAAGAAGAUUUUAGCCAUAGAAGUGUAAGAGAUGAAAAAAAAAAUUGUUAUUAUUGUGAUGAGAAGUAUGAUUCUAGCUAUAAAUAUAAAAUGAGUCCAAAUUUUCUAUUAAAUGGUCAUAAAAGUGAAGGGAACGCAACAUCUAAAGCUAAAAAUGAUAUCAAGAGGAUGAUAUUAUGGUUUUAAUCAAUGCAAUAUUUAGUUCACCGUCUCAUCAAACCAUGAGAAUCUAUGACAACAUAAAAAAGAAGGUCGUCACCGUACUAAUUAAUUUAGAAAGCACCCAUAACUUCCUUGAUCUUGUAGUGGCCAAAAGAACAAGCUGCUCAAUACAAACUACCAACCCCAUGAAGGUGGUAGUAACAUAUGGAACUAGAAUUGCUAGUGAUGCAAUUUGUAGGCAAUGUUAGGAUAGAACCCUUAAAAGCAUGACAUAAUGUAAUAAAUUUGGAAUUCAUUAUUUAUUUAAUGAUGUUCCAGUUUCACUUUUAUCUAUCCUUAUUCCAUGUAUUAUACUUUAUAAGCAUUUUUGUCUACAUCUUUUGCAUUGUAUGUGACUUAGGUACAUUAGGAGUUGUAUAGAAGAUCUAAGUCAUGAGUUCUUUGCAAAUAGAUGACUUAUUCACAACCAAUUCAUGGGUCUAGGAAACCCAUUAGAGGUUGUAGUGCACCACUUCCUAAUUGGAGGGAUGGUUGGUCUUGGCUAUUGGGAUGGGUUUCAUAUGAUGAGUGCACUAGUAUGUAUGAAUGCACAUUGGACAGGACCUAUGAUGAGUUAUGACUUAAGGCUAUCAAGUAGUCAUGAUUUCACCAAGUUGCUUCAUUAUGUUGUUUCUCAACCUUGAGAGAAUAUUAAGUUUGUGUUGAAGUUAGCAGUGGCUUCGACCUAUGGGUGAGAUAGUAAGAUGAUCAUAUAUUCCUUAUAGAUUUGAUCACUAUUGAUGGAUGUUGGUAGCAAUAAGUAUUCUCAAUAGAGGCACCAUGAUAUCUCUUAGGAAUAAGAUAGUGUGUCCUUUUGGGUGAUCCUAAGAAGGUGUGUUCAUGGAAACUGUGGCCAUAGUAGUUCCUUAGGUGGAACUUGGCAUAAGCUCUUUGAGAGCUAAGAUAUGUCAAUUUAACACACAAUAAGAGGAUUUGUAACUCAAGAAUGGCAGAGGUAGUAUUAAAAGACUGAUUGCUUUCACCUUGUUAGACUAUAGGCACUAAUUCAUGGGAGGACUGAACACAAUGGAUACUAGGUCACGGACCCAAGCACUUGGUGUAUCAUUGCUAUUUACAUAGGAUAUUGGAUUUCAGUUGGUUCUCUGUAGUGGGAUGUUGAAUCAAAUUUGGAAUUGGAUUAUGAGGGAACCAAUAUUCUUAUGGGUCCUAGUGUCCUCGCUUUAAGCUUAUAUACCUUGUUGGCACUGAUUAUGAGGGUCAGAUUGGCUUUAGGUUCACUUUUGUACAUAAGGACAUUUUGGUAAUCAUGCAAGAUUGCACAAAGGUAAGUGAACAAGGUUUUUGGAUUGGGUUAAUUGAUUAAUUAGGAGGCCCUAUUGGGUUAACUAAUCAAUUAUGACCCAUUUUGGGCUAGAUUAAGUGACCCAAUCCCUUAGUGGACUCAAGUCACUUAAGCCUAGUAGGAAACCCUACAAAUACCCCUUUAGGGGUUAGGGUUCAUAUUGCUUUUUCUAGAGAUCCAUCUUCCAUCCUUAGAGAGAGAGAGAGAUUCAUAGCCUUUAGUCUUCUUUCUAUUCCCACCGGAAGUGUGUCAAUAUCAAGUUUUGACUCAUCAAGCGGAAGACUUUGGGUUUAAGAGACUUCUAAGAUUUUGUUCUUCAUCUUCACCAUGUGGAUUUGAUUUAGGAACAUCCGAAUCUAAGGUAUGGCUUUUGUUAACACUUUCUGAAUCCCUUUAAAGUUUAAAAAUGUUAUUUUUCCUUUGUACAUAGGAUUUAGAAAAAGCCUAGGAUAGUUAUGCAUGUUCCUAACCUGAUCCGAGCUUAGGAAAUGGAGAGAUUCGAGUUUUCCCAUUAGGCAGUUGACAUGAAACAUGUAAGAGAAGAAAUUUUAGACAUAUUUAAGGCUCAUACCUUUGAGUGGGUGCGAUAUGGUAUUGGGAAUUCAAUGGCUAGCUGAAUUGGGACUCAUAUUGUGGGAUUUCAAGAAUUUAAAAAUGGAAUUUAUUAUUGAUGGGAGGAAAUUCAUGUUGAAAGGUGCAACUAUAGGUUCCAAAAAUUUAGUUUCAACAAAUCAAAUUCAAAAGGAUUUAAGGCAUAUGUAUCAAGCAUCUACCAUUCAAAUUUUCACUAUACAAAGGAAUAAGGAAAAUAAAGUUGAAAAGGAACAACAUGGCAACUGUCCAACUCAUUUCCAAGAGAUGUAACAUGGAAAGAUGCUUACAAGAUUCAAUAAAAGUUUCCGUAGUUUCAACCUUGAGGACAAGGCUUCUUUUGAUGGGGGAGGGAAUGUUACAGCCCCAAAUAAAGGAUCCCUAGAAUCCCUUAAUCUUUAGUUUCUAUUUCUACUUAGUUUCUAUUUCUAUUUGGUUUCUAUUUGAUUGGGGAAUAAAGUAUCCCUAAGAUCCCUCAAUCUUUAGUUUCUAUUUCUAUUUAGUUUCCUAUAUAAAAUAAGGAAAGUGUAAUGGAGAAAAACAUGAAAAAAAUAAUCUGAAUAAGAAAAAUUUGUUCUCUCAAUUUUUCAUCUUUUCCUCAUAUCAUAAAAUUCUAAAUGUGGAUUUUCUCCUUUUGAAGCUCUAUAUGAUACGAAAUCAAUUCUCUUUUACUCUAAUUCCAAGUAUGUAUUUAUCGAAAGGGGUAUGCUUUGACUCUCAAUGAACACAUUUUCUCAAAUUUUCUUCAUAGCUAAGUGGAAAUAACAUAAGGCAGUUAAACUUGCUUUGAGAUUAAUUGUGGUUUUGACAAGCAUUUCAUCUAUAAUUCAUUUAUACAAAAUUUUAUUUCAAAGUUCAAAUAAUCAUUUGAAUUUUACAUUUAAAUUUUAUUUUUAAAUUUAAGACUUAAUUAUUUUGUAAUUAGAGUACUUGUCAUAAAAUUGAAGCUCAUAUAUAUAUAUAAAUGCUUCCACUUUCGUACCUGUCAUAAAAUUAGAGCCUACUUUUUUUUAUUUUCUUUUGUGUGUUUAUAAACGUCUCCAAUUCCAUAUCUAGCUAUGAUAUAUUUUUGUAGAUGAUUGUGAUUGAAGUAUAAUUUCUUUUGAUUUUAAUUUUAUAAGAAUUAAAAGUCUUAUCUAAAUUUGAUUAUUAUUCUAGUUUUCUAAAAGUUCAGAGUAUUACAAAGAAACUAUUGAGUAGAAAGAUGUUUCCCUCCAUACAUAUCUAAUUAAAAAAAAAACCACAAAGAAAAAAAAUUAUUAUUCAUCUGUUGUGUUAGUGCAAAAUAUGAAAAAGAAGACAGAAGCGUGCAUCUUCACUGUGACUGAGGAUCAAAUUCUCUUUGAGAUUGAUAUAAAUUAUUUAUAGCUUCAUUGUUCGUGGAGAGUUGAUUCAGUAGUGUCUUCCAUUUGAAGACAUACAGAAAUGGUAAGAAUUAUUUAUUAAUAUGAAGAGAUAACUUGCAUCUAUGACCCUCAUACUCCCAUGAACUUUGAUCUUAUAAACAUAGUGGGCUUGUUUUAUUUAUAAAAUAUAUAUGAAAAGAGAAUAUAAAAAAAUUAUUUUCAUGGGAAGUGUAUUUUGGAAAAAAUAAUUCUCACUUGAUACAUUGGAAAAGUGCCUACCUCAAAUUACCCAAAAAUGACGUUAUAUGUGUACAUGUGUCAUCAUCCAUACUAGCCCAACUUACAUGAGGAUGGUACAUCAUUCAACCAACAAAGGUACUUUAAGCUCAAAACAAUGGUACAUUAUAAUCAAAACAAUGUUACUUUAAUAUCAAAAUACAUGUAAGGACAUUUUCGGGUAAUGUGAGGUAAAUACUAUUCUAAUACAUUAAAUAAGAAUUAUUUUCCCAAAAAUGUACUCCACAUGAAAAUGACUUUUGUGGGUUUUCUUUUAUUUAUAUUUUAUAAAUAGUACAUGUUUACAUAAUUCCCUCAUAAAUAUAAUACAAUCAUCUAUACCUGAUAAUUAAGGAAAUCGAAAAUAUUUACAUACUAAGCAAGGAUAAUGGAAAUUAAAGAGUAUGUCAAAAGAGAAGAAAAAUACUAAAGAUAAAUUAAAACUCUAAAAUACAAGCCUUCAUUUGCACAUAUAGGCUAAUAUCUUAGGAGGUAUUUGAUUAAAUAAUAAUAAUAAUAAAAAAAAUAAUAAUAAUAAUGAUUAAAAAAUGGAAAAAAUUAUGAGUCCCAUUUUUUAAGUGUUUUCAAUAACAUAAUUAUAAACCCCUUAAAAUUUAAAAUCAUUUAUUUAAACCACUUUAUUCAUUUAGCAACAAGGACUUAAUUAAUCACUAAGAUCAAACAUAAUGAUUUAUAUUUUUUAUAAUUUAAUUUUUUUUUCCAUUUUAAUAAAAUGAAGAUUACUAUUAAUAAAACAAAUUAUUAUGAAAUAAUUUUGUUCAUUAUAAAAUUUAUCUUUCUUUUCUAAAUCAGAAUUUUUGUCAUGUCCAUUCAUAUAAUAAAAUUAAAAUUAUAAAUAAAAAAACUUAUUUUAAUUGACAACACCAUGGAAUCUCUCCAUGCACACUCAUGCAGCCAUCAGUUCCCACGGCAACCAUGUGUCUUCCAACAAGUAUAUUUGCUUUCUUUGGCCCUCCAUGUGUUUGUGUUCUAUUUUUAUUUAUUUAUUUUAUCUUGAUUAGUAGUUCACUAAACAAGCAUGACAAGGAUAUGAGCAGAUAUGUCAUGGCUAUGAUCACUUCUAACACUUAACCCUCUUAAACUAAGUGAAGUAUGAAUGCAGUAUGCAAGUCUAAAUAAUGGUGAAAGAAUAAAAACAAAGGAGAAUGCAUGUAAGAUGUAUAUAUAACUAUAAAUAAGGAUUCAAAAUGAAGGGAAAAAUCAUCGAGAAGGGUGAACCAUGGGUGAUAAGCCACUUCAAGGUUCAUCCUUUGGAUAAAUAUUAAAAGUUAAAGAGUAUAAAAAGUCUACACAUGUCGUCAUUUUUUUUUUCACUUUUAAGUUAAAUAUAUUUUUAUUGUUAUAAAUGAAGUAAUGAAUGCCACCACAUUUAUUAUAUUAAAUGUUCAUUAAAAGCCUAUAAAAAUGUUUCUUAUGUAAAAUGCUUCCCAAGCAAAGAAAGAAAUUCUCUUUUCUUAUUCUCUCUUUUUCUUAUUCUCCAUAUCUUUCAUUCUUUCAACUCUCUUAAUUCUCUUUUAUGAUUCCUUCCUCUCCAUUAUAUAUUAUUAUUUAAAUAAUAUGUAGUUGUUCUCUACUUUUAUUUGGGUUGCAUUUAUCCCCUUUUUACAACAUGUUACCAGCACGAAUUGUUCUUAAGGUAAUUCUCAUAUCUUAAACUUGAAGUUAUUUACAUAGAAUAAAAAGCUAUAAGCAAAUUAUUUGAUUUUGAUUAUAAUCAAAAGUUAUACCAAUGCUAUUAAUUUAUAACUAAUUCUAGUAAUAUUUUUUUAACAUAUAUCUAAAGUUAUUUGACAAUGUCAAAUCUCACAAAACUCGAAUUUGUGGCACUUGACAUUUCAGGAAAGAACUAUCUAUCUUGGAUCCUUGAUGCUGAAAUACAUCUUGAUGCAAUGAAUCUUGGAACUACGAUCAAAGUAGGAAAUCAAGCAUCCUUAUAGGAUCACACAAAAGUGUUGAUUUUUCUUCGCCAUCAUUUCUAUGAAGGUUUUUAAAAUGGGUAUCUUAUAGUAAAGGACGUUUUUACUCUAUGGAGUAAUUUGAAGGAAAGAUAUGACCACUAGAAAAUUGUGAUUUUCCCAAAAGCUCGAUAUGAUUGGAUGCACUUAUGGUUGCAGGAUUUUAAAACAAUUAGUGAAUAUAACUCUGCACUUUUCAGAUUCAGCUCUCAAUUAUAGCUGUGUGGAGAAAAAAUCACAGAAGAAGACAUGUUAGAUAAAACUUUACUACAUUUCAUGCCUUAAAUGUGCUCUUAUAGCAGUAAUACCUAGGGUGUAGAUUUAUAAAAUACUUUGAACUAAUAUCAUAUCUUCUUGUUGCUGAACAAAAUAAUGAGCUUUUGAUGAGAAAUCACUAGUCUCAUCCAAUUGGAUUUGAACCAUUCCUUGAAGUGAAUGCAAUAUCGUCUCAAACUCGUAGACGUGGAUGAGGACAUGGUCGUGGUUGUGGAAGGCAUCCCUAAUAUAAUGGUUAUUGUGGUAAUAAUUCCUCAAAUUCUCAUAAAAGGAAAACUUCAUUGCACCACCGAAAGUGGAAUAAUACUGAGGCAAAACAAGAAAAUGGGAAGUGUUUACAAGAUAAACCUCCCAAGAACCAUGAGAAUGAUUGUUAUAAAUGUGGUAUGAAGGGCCAUUGGUCCCAUACCUAUCGUACACUCAAACAUUUGGUCGACCUUUACCAAGCAUCAAUAAAAGCAAAAAGAAAAAAUGUAGAGAUGAACUUUACCAAUGGUGAUGGAUUGGACCUAACCUACUAUGACAUUGAUAUGACAUUGAUUUGUUUGGAGGUCCUAGUGAAAAAACAAACCAUUUAAUAAAUGAUGAGAAUGCUAACAUUGAUUGGUGUUACUUUAUAAAUCAAAUAAUAUAUUAUUAUGUCUUAUAUUUAUAUCUUAUUAUUACAUUUUCUUUUAUAUUGUUAUUUAUAUUAUGUGUUGUUUUUUUAAUAUUAGUUGUAUCUAAAAUCCACGUGUUAUUUGGUCUCAAGAUGAAUGAGGAUGAUGUAUGUCUCAUAAGAUUAUGAAACCACACACACAAUUCUUCGAGAUAAAAGAUAUUUCCUUGAAUUAACAUUGAUAAAAGCUAAUGUAAGUACCAUAUCUAGUACUACAAACUUAGUAGAAGGCUCUAGAAGAGCAAACAUAAUGCUACCAAAUGGAACUAGAUUUCAUAUAAAUGAUGAUUUAUAUUAUAGCAAAUCCAAAAGAAAUUUGCUCAAUUUUAAAGAUAUCCGUAAAAAUGUAUAUCAUAUUGAAACUAUGAAUGAAGAUAAUGUAAUUAUCUUUACAUUACUUCCAUUAUAUUUGGGCAAAAACUUAUAAUAGAAAAACUCUCGGCUUUCUCCUCCAGGUUGUAUCAUACAACUAUAAAGCCUAUUGAAUCACAUUUUUUUGUGAACCAAAAGUUAAACUACCUAAAAGUUUUUGUCCUUUGGCAUGACAGACUAGGUCACCUAGGGUUUUCAAUGAAGCAUCAAAUAAUCGAACACUCACAUGGGCAUCCACUAAAGAACCAGAAGAUUCUUUUGCCCAAUGACUACUCAUGUGUUACUUGCUAACAAGGUCAAUUGAUAGUCAGAUCAUCUUUUACUAAAGUCUAUCCGAGUCACUAGUCUUUUUAGAAAGAAUACAUAGGAACAUAUAUGGGCCUAUCCAUCCACCAUGUGGACCAAUUCGUUAUUUUAUUAUCUUAAUAGAUGCUUCGAUUAGAUGGUCACAUGUUUGUCUUCUUUUUACACAUAAUGUUGCCUUUGCUAGACUCCUUUCACAAAUGAUCAAAUUAUGGGCACAAUUCCAAGGUUAUCCAAUUAAGACAAUAUGUCUUGACAAUGUUGGCAAAUUUACUUCUCAAACAUUCAUUGACUACUGUCUAUCAAUAGGGAUACAUAUUGAGCAUCUUGUUGCUCAUACUCAUACCCAAAAUGGUUUAGCAAAAUCCUUCAUCAAACGUCUCCAAUUAAUAGCUCGACCAUUACUAAUGAAAACCAAAUUACCUACUUCUGCCUGUGGACAUGUUAUUAUGCAUGCUGCAGCUUUAGAUCAUAUUCGACUUAAAACUUACCAUGAAUACUCCCUUUUACAACUCCUACUUGGAAAAAAACCAGAUAUCUCUCACUUACGAAUCUUUGGUUAUGUAGUAUAUGUACCAAUUGCACCCACACAAUGCACUAAAAUGGGUUCCCAAUAAAGACUCGGGAUUUAUUUAGGUUUUAAUUCUCCAUCUAUCAUAAGAUAUUAUUAGAAAAAUUAGGUUAAUCCAACCUAAGGUAAUCAUCCUAAAAUGGGGGGAGAAGGGAGUGAAUAGAGUGAUGGUCUCUUUUUGAAAAUUUAAAUUAUAUGAAUGCAAAAGACUAUUGUAUGCAAAUAUAUAAUAAAACAAUAUAAAGACAAUUGCAUAUAAAGUAAAAGAGUGGGGAAUAGAGAAAGCAAACAUAAGCUUUUUAUAGUGGUUCAGCGUAACCCAACCUACAUCCACUCUCAUCUAGCUUCAAUCCCAAGCUUGAGAUUCUACUAUUUCAAGGCUUCCAAACCAAGACUUCAAGCAAUACAAUUGGAUUAUAGUUCUAAUCCACUUUCUUGGACUUUUGGCCCCAAGCACCCUUUACAAUCCUUAAGAGAUACCCCACUCUUGAACAAUCCCUCAAGUGAUACCCCACACUUGAGAAUCCUUAAAUGAUAUCACACACUUAGGCUUUUCUUCUCAAAGAUUUACAAAUGAAGAUAGGAUUGAAAGGUGCACUAAUGAUAUGAAAGUUUUAAAACGUUGAUGCACUUAAAAACACCCUCCCAAGGCUCAAAUAUAUUCAAGAAGGGUUUUGGAAAGUUAAGCUCUUGAAACAAUGAAGAUUGAAGCCUUUUUAUAGAGGAAAACGACUAAACUAGUCGUUGGGAGUUUGACUGAUCGAGCUGAGGGUUGAUCGAUUGACUAGCCGUUAGCCGCAUUUAAUGCUUGGUAGAGGACCAUUGGACCUUGAACCCCCUUGACCGGACCUUGACUGUUUGAACAAGCAUUAUGGAAGAGAGAGAAGGUUUUUGCACCCUUCGACUGAUUAAGCUGAACAGGUCAACCGGUUCCUCAUUUGGUUCAACCGGUUGUGUCAUUUUUGGCUCAACAACCAUCAUUUUCAACUUAAAGCCUUUUAAACAAGUUUACAAAAAUUUGACACAAGAUUUUAGUUGAAAACAUGAAAUCAUGCAAUUUUAAAGGAUUUAAUAAAAAAUUACUUUUGGAUGAUUUUGCUGCAUAAAUUAAUAAUGUAAUACAUAAAAGACCUAGUACACCAACAACCUUAUAAAGAGAUCCUAUAAAGUUUAGGUCUUGAAAAACACUUCUCUUUGAGGUCUUUUUUUUCUUAAUGAUUUCUCUUUGGUUUGAUUUUGUCUUUUUGAUUGCCACUUUGGAAAUAUUCUUCCCUAAUCAGACUUGAAAUAUAAUCAUUAGUUCCAAACCUUGUUUUAUUAUCAUCAAAACUGAGAUUAACCAAACUUUGGUUUCACAAAUAUCUUGAACCUUUGACAAAUGAUGUUUUAACAGCCCACUUUGCAGAUUGUCGUUUUAAUAAGAGUGUUUUCUUGUCAUUAGGGGGAGAAAAAUCGAUUCCUGAAGAACAGUGGCAAAUUACUUGGAAUGCAUCUACUAUAUCCCAUCUUGAUCCUCAUACAAAUCAAUGUGAACUCGAAGUUCAAAGGAUCGUUUAGUUGCAAAAUCUUGCAAACCAAUUACUAGAUGCAUUCAUUAAUACAAAGAAAGUGACAAAGUCACAUGUCCCAGCUACAAAUACUUUAGCAUGGAUUGAUAUCCCUGAAGGAUAGCUACUAAAUGAAUCUAAGAUACGCUUGAAGCGUGGUAGACUUGUUGGCUCGAAUGAUGUAACUUUUGGAAGAGGAGAACACAAGAAAAACUUUGCACUUUAGAAGAGGUCAUUAAAAUGACUGAUCAGUUUAAAAUUGAUAAGUCUAUAGCCCUAAAAGAGGCACAAAUAAUACAAAAAACCCUUGAAAAGGCACAUAUUGAACAAGAAGGCCCUAAAAAAGUACAUAUUGAACAAGAAGCCCUUAAAGAGGCACAUAUUGAACAAUGAACCCCUAAAAAGGCACAUAUUGAACAAGAAGCCCUUGAAGAGGCACAUAUUGAACAAGAAGCCCUUAAAGAGGCACAGGUACCUGAAAAUUGAGAGAUCUUAUUAAGUUAUGUACACAUAGGAGAAAAAUGGGAUCUAAAUAAUAUUGCUAUUAAUAAUAUUUUUGCUUUCCAAGUGGCUCUUGAUAUCAUAAGAAAUGAUGAAGAUCCCGAACCACAAAAUGUGGAAGAAAUGCCGACAUAGAAAUGAUUGGCCAAAAUGGAAAGAAGUUAUGCAAACAGAGUCAAACUUAUUAACAAAACAAGAAGUUUUUUGACUUGUACUCCAAACACCUGAAGAUGUAAAGCCUGUUAGGUAAAAAUGGGUAUUUGUAUGAAAUUAUAAUGAGAAUAAUGAGAUCAUAAGAUAUAAAGUGUAAUUAGUAGCACAAGUUUUCUUUCAAAGACCAGGUAUUGACUAUAAGGAAACAUACUCUCCCAUCAUAAACACAAUCACAUUUCAUUUCAUAAAUAGUUUGGUAGUCUCAUAAGGAUUAGAUAUGCAUCUCAUGGAUGUUAUUACAACAUAUUUAUAUGGAUCCAUAGAUAAUGAUAUAUACAUGAAAAUCCUUGAAGGAUUUAAAUUGCCUGAAACAAAUAGUACAAAGACUUGUAAUAUUUACUCAAUCAAGUUACAACGAUCCUUAUAUGGAUUAAAGAAAUAUGGAUGCAUGGGGUACAAUUGCAUUAGCAAAUAUUUGCUAAAAUAAGGGUAUGUGAAUAGCACCAUAUGUCCAUGCAUCUUUAUUAAGAAAUUAGAAACUGGAUUUGCAAUUAUUUCACUGUAUGUUAAUGCCUUAAAUCUUGUUGGAACUCCUGAAGAGCUCAUAAGAACAAAAAAUUACUUAAAAAAGGAAUUUGAGAUGAAGAAUCUAAACAAAAUUUUCUAUUAGUCUGCAAAUCGAGCAUGUUCCAAAUGGAGUUUUAGUACAUCAAUCAACAUACAUUAAGAAAAAUUUGAAGCAUUUUUAUAUGAAUAAAGUGCAUCCUUUAAGUUCUCUAAAAGUUGACUGAUCACUUGAUGUGAAAAAAGACCCAUUUCAACCUUGCAAAAAAUUUGAAGAAUUACUUGGUCUUGAAGUACCAUAUCUUAGUGAUAUUGGUGCACUUAUAUAUCUUACCAAAUUUACAUGUCUAGACAUUGCUUUUUCUAUCAAUUUAUUAUCAAGAUACAUUUCUACUCCAACUCGAAGACAUUGAAAUGGUAUCAAACAUAUAUUGCGUUAUCUUUGCAGAACUACUGAUGUGAGUCUAUUUUACUCAAGGGAAUCAAAAAAAAUUUGCUUGGAUAUAUAAAUGCAGGAUACUUUUCAGAUCCACAUAAAGGUAGGUCACAAAUAGGGUAGAUGUUUAAUUGCAAUGGUACUACUGAUUACUACUCAAAAAGUGCUAUUUGAUAGCUUAUAAUUAAUCCUUUUAAACACUUUUGAGUAGUAGUUUUCGCCUUUUAACUCAAUUGGCAUGUUAAGGACCCUUGAAAGCAAUUUUAAUCACUUUGUGUAAGUUUUGGUGUUGUUGUUAGUAAUUUGAUCACCAAAGCAAUCCAAUAUUGAGGAGAGUUAUGUGGAAUCUAGGACAAAGCUUGGAAGUCCUUUGCCAAGAGUAAAUCCGGAAUGCAAGGAGAAGAAGUAAAGAGAAUCUGCCAUGAAGCAUAUUCUUGAUGACAGUCGUGGUAGCCACUUUUGGAGCACUUUCUGAAGUCCAAUUGAUGCAUGCUAUAUACCAUUUCAAAGCUUAGGAAGUUAAAAAUCCAAUGCUUCAAACGGUACACAAUUCGGAGUUGAAACGAAGAAGUUACAGCCAUUGCAAGCAGAUCACUCCAAGCUGAAAGAAGCAUUUUGCAAAGUGUUGCGAAAUCACCCUUUUGUUGCGAAGUGAUUUCGCAGCCUUUUUGUACAGUAUGGUGUAUUUCCUCCUGAAGUUGCCCAAUAUAUGCCGCAAGCUAGAAGCUGGGAACCUCAAGAUGGAAGCCAACUUCGCAGCCCUGCGAGAAUAGCCUUUUGCUGCGAAGUGAUUUCGCAGCCCUUCUUGAGUGUCUGCGAAAUCUCACAGACACCAUUUUCUCUUGCGAAAUGGUCCCUGGAGCAUCCUGAUAUUUGCUACCGACAUUGGGAGAUAUUUUACAUCAGAUUUUUGUUGUCUAAAUCCCAAAAUACUCCUUGUAAGCCACCAAUUACAAGAUUCCUUAGCUUUUAAGUUAGUCAAAAGAGAAAAUAUCUAUGUAAUAAUUAGUUUUAUAUUAUGUUCAUAUAAAUACCUCUCGGGAGCCUAUUCUCAGAGAGGAGGACCCUUUGUAAAGUUUUGAAAAGCAAGUAAAGUUCAGGCCUUUGUUUUGCCUUACCUUCUCACUUUGUAUUAUUUAUUUCUUACUAAGUUAUGCACUCUUUGAGGAAUUUUCCCCAGAGAAUGAGUAACUAAACCUCUAGUUCCUUGGAGCUAAGGUUGCCGGGGAAGGUUCCAAGUGCAAGAAUGCAAAGCUUUGUGGUUUCAGCCAUCAAUGAAGAGGAAGUGAAAUCCUUUAGUGAUUUCUAUGUUUUUAGUUAACUUAAAACACCUUAGAGUCACCUGGGCCAACACUUGGUAAGGCAAGUGAUUUCCAACCAUGGAGAUGCACUAGUUUACCCCUUGUGAGCCUCUGGGAGGUGACUUUAAGGUAGGAUUUUCUGGAAUUGCCAACACUUGGUAAGCUUUUGGACUCCAAGGAGACAUCCAUUAGUUAUCUCUUGCGAGCUUGAGAAGGGAAGUCCAAGGUUAAAGAUCACCUUGAAUGGUUAAGGCUUAGUGAGAGGUUUGAACCAUUGCAAGUUGCAUCAGUGAGAGAAUUAAAGCUGAAAUCUAAUUGAAGGAUGUAUCUGUACAACACCGGUUAGAGAAUUAACUAUAUGUUGAAUCUCUAAAACGAGGAAAUGAACCAUCUGACCGGAGCCAUGUCUUUUGCAUGAGGAACCACCCCAGUGAACCUGACCCUCCAAGGAAUGUUUUUCUUCCUAAGUUAUUCCCAUUACUUGUUUUGUUAGUUAGUUUAAAUCUAAAUCUUUACCAAUUAAAGUUUGUGUUUUAGUUCUUAAGCUAACCUUGAAAUGAAACACUACCAAUUCACUUUGAAUUGAUAUCAUUGAUAAUUUGGAAACCCUUCCCAGUGAACGAUCCUAGAGCCGCUAUACUAUAGUAGCUUUUUCUUUGCUACCCUAGUAUAUGGUGUAAUAGGUUAUAAAUUUUGUUGAUUACUCCCUCAUCCAAGGAGCACCAGCUGGACACGAAUCAGCUGAGACACCAAUUAGGCAUGAAUCAACUAUUAUUUCAUGUAGAUCUAUCAAACAAACAAUGAUGACCACAUUAUCAAAUCAUUCAGAAAUACUUGCAAUUCAUUAAGCAAGUCGUGAAUGUAUAUGACUAAGAUCUAUGAUCCAAUAUAUUCGAGAAUCAUGUAGACUCUCCUCUAUCAAAAGUGACCCGACAAUAUUAUUUGAAGAUAAUGUUGCAUGCAUUGAACAAAUAACAAGGGGUUAUAUUAAAGGAGAUAGAACUAAACACAUUUCAUCAAAAUUCUUUUAUACAUAUGAACACUAGAAGAGUGGUGAAAUUGAUGUGCAACAAAUACACUCAAGUGAUAAUCUAGCAAAUUUAUUCACAAAGUCAUUGCCAACCUCAACAUUCAAGAAGUUAAUACACAAGAUUGGAAUGCGUCAACUCAAGGAUAUUGACAUGAGGGGGAGUAUGCUUGUAAAAGGGUAUUAGUGUAUUGUACUUUUUUUCCCUUCAUCCAAGUUUUGUCCCAUUGGGUUUUACUAGCAAGGUUUUUAAUGAGACAGUCGUAACAUAUCAAGAGCAACUUAAAGAAUUAUCAGAGUAUUAUGGUGGACAUCCAAGGAAGAGUAUUAUAAAUGAAGUAAUGAAUACCACCACAUUUAUUAUAUUAAAUGUUCAUUAAUAUUAUUUAUGACUUCCAUUAAUAUUCAUUAAUGGAAGCCAUUUGGAAAGCCUAUAAAAAGGCUUCCCAUCUCCUGUAAGAUGCAUCCCAAGGAAAUAUAGAAAUUUUCUUUUAUUCUCUAUGUCUUUCAUUCUUUCAACUCUGUUAAUUCUCUUUUUUGAUUCCUUCCUCCCCAUUAUAUAUUAUUAUCAAAAUAAUAUAUAGUUGUUCUCCAUUUUUAUUUGCAUUGCAUUUAUCCUCGAUUUACAACACUUAUUUUGUUCUUUUCUCUAUUUUAUUUUAUUUUUUUCUCUUCUAGUUAUUAUAAUUAUAAUUAUUAUUAUUAUUAUUAUUUUAUAAACAUAAUAUAACCCAUCAAAUAAUAAUAAUAAUAAUAGCAAUAAUAACACAUAUAUAAAUAAUAUAAUAAUUAAUUUAAAAUUUAUGUUUCAUUAGUUAUUAUUAUUGUUAUUAUUAUUUCAAUUUUUUUUUAAAUAUUAUAUAUAACUUAUACAAUAAUAAUGAUAAAAUAAUUUUACGAAUACUGUUUCAUUCAUGUAUUAAAGACAAAGUUUUCUUAUAAAAACUUUUAUAAAUUUUCAAAUGUUUUUUACAAUAUGAUUAUUAAGAAAAUAUUACAAUAAAAAAUUAUUAUUGAUAAUUAUGAAAAAAAGAAAAUUAAAGCAUGUGUUAUCGUAAUUUUAGUGUAUUUAUAUUAUAAUUUCAAUGCAUAACCAUGACACAUACAUUUUGCAACGAACUUAAUAGUGUUAGAAGCAUUGUCGUAUCCUACUAUAUUGAUUUCUAUAUUAGUAAGGCAUCCCAAUGAAUUAGCAUCAUAUACUAGAUGCAUUCUUAUUAGCAAUAAUUCUUAUAAUGAAACUCAUACACCUUAUAAAAAAAAUGUCUUAUAAGGUUAAUUUACAGUAGAUGAAAUGUUAAAAAAAUAUAUAAAAUAUAUGACAACCAUUCAUCAAUGCUUGUUUAAAAGGAAAAUUUUAAAAUAAAGUUAGGUUAUGCAGUAAUGUAUAAGACAUUUAAAGUAUUCAUGUUGUAAGAUCAAUAUAUUUUUGUCGUAUGUAUAUGUUGCCUUUUAUAUUAAUACAUAAUAUCAGUGUACUAUCAUUAUACAUUUAAUGAAUCAUUAUUAUGUAUGAUUUUUAUAAUAAAGCCUAUAAGUUUUAGGAAUUAGAUGGAAAAAAGAUUAUAUCCUAAGAUUGGUUUAUAAUCAAUGACAUUAUAAUAAUAAAAAUAUGAAUAAUAUAAAACUAAUAUCAUAAAUAAUAAUAUUAAUAAUAUGUUAACAAUGAUGAUAAUAAUAAAUGUAUAAUUAUAAUUUUUUUAAUAAAUAAUAUAGUUAGUCUUAACAUAUAGUAAAUAAAGCACAAAAGGUAGAAAAGAAAAGUAGAAAAGUAAAGUUAUAUGGGAGUAGAAGGAAAAGACAAAAUGAUGUAAUUGGGAUUAUGGAAUGAUCAAAUUAUCAAACUAUAACUUGUGGAUUUGAGAAGACUUUGAGACUUGGUGACCCUUAAGGGAGCUUAUCACCACUUUGAGCUGGGUGACCAUUUUUUUAAAAAAAAUUGAAAAUAAAUCCCAUGAAAAAAUUUGUUUAUAAAGAAUAAUAAUAAUUUUGUAUUUUUUUUAUACAAACUAGAUAUUUAAUUUAUUAGAAUAAUUUUGAUGGUAAUGACAAACAAAAUAACUCUAUAAAUAGGUGAAAUAAUUCAUUUUCUCAAUUUUAUAUGCAAAAUUAUUUUAAAACGAAAGGGAUAAUACAUUAUUUUUGUUCAUCAAUCCACAUUUUGACUUUCAUUUUAAAACCCAUCUAUAAAAAUCUCUCUUUAUAUAUAUCUGCCUAGAUUGCCUAAUCAUCUAUUCAUUCAUCGUCUAUAACUUCUUGCCUGAUUAUCAAUUUAGAUGUUCAUAUUUGCAUAUAUUUAUUCAUUCCACCAUGUAUUUUGUUGGCGUAUUUGUAAUGUAUACAAUUUUGAUGAAAUGUUUGAUUAUUUGAAAACCGAAUUUCCCCUUACCCAGUAAUAAAAAGCGAGUAUAAGUCUGACCAAGAGGGGUGUUCUUGGCCUUGGCCGGUGGCCUUCCUGAUAAGUCACCUUAGCCGUAGACUAUAUUUAGAUUUUGCAAUUAGUACCUUUCUUUUCCUUCUAGGAAUGACUAUCAUCUUGACCAAUCUAGCCAUGUACCAAAAAGUCAAUUUUGCCAAGUUUAAAAAGUUUGCUUUAAGCCUGUUCAUCAUAGUUGACAGAAGUUGGAAUUACAAUGAAAUAUCUAGGAGAAAAUGUCCGCAGGAGCAGAGAGAGAGAGUGAAGGCAAUACAUUCAGUCAUGAAUUUGAUGCAAAUCCCAAAGUACAUAAUUGUGUCGAAUACUCUCACCAUGAUUGUCGAUCUCUCGGAUCAGACGAUUACUAUGUUUGCCAAAAAUGCCUGGGCCGUAUGUGGAAUAAAUCAAUUUCACAAGGAGGGGAAACUGCCAAAUUCCGUACAAGGUCACUGGCAAACAGGUUAAUGCAGCCAAGGUAAUAAGAAUCCAAGCCUUCUUUUCACCAAAGUGAAGAUAGAUUGCGCUACUGUAGGCUAUCAUCAUGAAUGUUACGGAGAGGAAUAGAGUAACAAGGCCAAAUAUCAACCUCCUGGGAAGGACAAAAAGAAAAUCAUCUUCAGCAUAUCGUGCCGUGAGAAUGGAUAGGAAUAUCAGCACCGAAGCAAUGGAUAGGAAGAGGGAAAGAGCAUCCGAAACUGCAAAAAAUUUGAAGGUAUAUUCUUCGGAGAAAUUUGGUAUGCCAGUAUCAUCAUGGUUGCCACCCGGGAUGGAAAUUGCUGCUGCAAACACUACAGUAGCAAUAAGCGCUGCUGCCAAUGUGUAAGAUUUUGCUGUGCCUUUCAUCCAUUUCUCUCCUUCUUUUAUCAACUCUUUAUGUUCCUUUAUAAAUACCAUUUUUGGUGUCUCUUGUUCAUCGUUCUCAAAUUCCCUGAAGGCUUCCGGUGCAUAUUUUUCGAUUUCCUGUGUAAAAAUCAAAAUGUUUCUAAGACACAGAAAAAGAGUGGACAUGUAUAAGAAAAUUAAUUCCCCUUCAAAACAAAAAUUAUUACCUGAAACCAAUGUAACUCACGUUGCAUUUGUAGAGCUGCACCAGAAACGAGACUGAGCCGGUGUGGAGGGGCCAAUUUUCCAGCCAAAUGCAAGAUAUUGUUAUUUGAAUCACCUCUGAUUCGUAUUAUAAAUUGUCUAUGCAUACCGAUUUCGCAGAUGAGGUUGAAAAUCUUUUCAUAACGAUUUAAUAUUGCCAAUUUGAAUACUUCCUCAUCCAGAUACUGAAGUGCAGAAGGAUAUAACUUUAGAAUGUUUUCCAGAAUUUCGGGAAUUCCAUAUUUUGCCCCAUUAAUGAAUGAUUGGCUGAAUAUUUCCUUUGCUCUUGGUACUUCCAAAUCUUCAACUUUAGUACAUAGGUGGUUAAGCAAUUGAAGAGUCUGAGAAUGCAUUGUUUUUGUUUCUUGGAUUUGCUUGAUGGGUGGUACUGCAAUUAAACUUAUAUUAAGGACAACAUAUCAUUGCAUUCAAGACUUUUGCAUGCUUUAGUGGAAGUUUUGUUGUGUCCCUUACCUAACCGUCCAACCAGUUCACAGAAUAUUGCAUUCGCCUUUUGGCAAGCUGUGUGCAGGAUAAAAUUGAAGCAGUUCAGAUGCAAAAGCAGGAAUAACAGAAAAAAAAAAAAGAAAAAAAAAGAAAGAAACAAUCCUGAACAAAGUACCAAUUAAACACUAAUCUAAAUUAAAGUGAUUGUGAGUAGUAGUUGCCAACUCAUAUUGGUUGGUGUAGAGUUUGUGUUUUCUGGCUAUCAUUAAGUUAAUUAAAUAUACGAUGCCAGUUUGCUUGAAUAAAUUAAGUUUCAAGAUUCACACCCUUGAAUUACUUAUGGCCAAUCUGAUAUUCAUCUUCACAUGUACAUGAAUUUGGGGUUUGUUAUGGAAAAAUGAGAAUAGGCAACAAGAAAAAUAAGAACACAUAGAUUUAUGCGAAAAAUCCUAGAUGGGAAAAACCACGGGCAGAGGAGAAAGAUAAUCCAUUAUGUCAAAAAUUGGUACAAAAAGGGGAGUGUAUCAAGUGGCUACUAUAUAUAUCCUUGAAAACCUAUACACCAUUAAAAAUAUAUACAUAUAUGGGAGAGAAAAAAAUAAAUAAAGCAGGAAAAUCCAUAAUUUUUCUUCACCAUAUAUGUUACACCGCAAACUUUUUGGGUUGGACCAAAAAAGGAAAUCGGGUCACCAAGCUCUAACAAUCUCCACCUUGACAUAAAUUCUAAUGUAAGGAAUGAAAAAACAAACUCCAAUCUUCAACCAAAACUCUUCACCUCUUCCACAAACCCUAAAGGGCAACUCAAUAACGAAUACUAACCAAGUCCAAGCAAUGCUCAAACUUUGCUAUAGAGAGUGUCUUGGUUAUCAUAUCAACAGGAUUAUCAUGGUUGCUAACUUUGCCCAUAACAAAGCAAUGAUAUCACGCACAAAAUGAUACCUCACAUCAAUGUGCUUUGUCCUAUCAUUAAACAUUCGAUCUUUUGUGAGGAAAAUAGCACUCUAACUAUGACAAAAAACUGUGGUAAUCUGUAAGUUGUCACUAAGUUCACCAAAUAGUUUCCUUUCAAGCCUUUGUAAUAGCCAUGUACUAAGCCUCUAGUAAACAAAGCAACUGUAAUCUACAAAGUAGCUUUCCAACUAAUAGCACAACUACCAAUAGUAAAAACAUACCUUAUAAGAGAUCUUUUAUCAAGGUCACUUGCAAAAUCAGAAUCGACAUACCCAACAGCUCCAUCUCUAACUCUCCCAAAAUGCAAACAAACAUCAGUAAAGCCACACAAGUAUCUGAACAUCCAGUGAACUACUUUCCAAUGUUCUUUACCAGGAUUUGUCAUGUAUCUACUAACUACACUAACUGCAUAUGAUAAAUAUGAAUGUGAACAAACUCUUAUACUGCUGUCUAGGUGACUUUUUUAAGCCAUAGAGAGAGACUUUUUCAACAAACACACUUAGUCUUUCUUUCCUGAAACUAUAAAACCCUUAGGCUACUGCAUGUAGAUGUCCUCCUUAAGUUCCCCAUGUAAGAAUGUUGUCUUCACAUCCAACUGCUCAAGCCCAAAAUCAUACAUGGUCAUAAUAUCAAGCAAAGCUCGAAUCAAACUAUGCUUUACAUUUGGAGAAAACACAUUAGUGAAGUCUAUACUCGAAAUCUAAUCGUAGCCCUUUACAACUAAUCUCGCUUUAUACCUAGCUUCUUCAACUCUUGGUAUUCCUCCUUUCCUCUUCAACACUCAUUUGCAAUUAAAAAUCUUUUUACCCUUAUUUAGUCUCACUAAGUCCCAUGUGCCAUUUUUAUGAAGUGACCCCAUCUCCUCCUACAUGACAAUCAUCCAUCUAUUAGAAACAUCACAAUUAACUGCCUUUGAGUAGGUAGAAGGUUUUGCACUAGAAUCAAUACCUUUGGCCACAUUUAAGGCAUAAGCAACCUAAUUAGCCUCAAUAUACCUCUGUGGAGGUUUAAUAUCUCUUCUAGUCCUAUCUUUAGCAAUAGAUUAUUGUGGUGAUGGUUGUGGUGGUGAGAGAGCAGCAACACCACUCUUCAUCCCUGAACUAGACUAAGAUGUAGAAUCUAGUAUGGAUCCUAAUUCAAUCUAAAACUCCACCUGUGUGCUUGAUUUCUGUUGCUUUUUUUUUUUUCAUAAGAAUCUCUAAAAGAUAAGUCACAAAGCAUAGCAGUUUCCUAAAAAAUAUCUUUAUUGAUUAUGACUUUAUUUGUUUUUGGACACCAUAACUUAUAUCCUUUAACACUAGACUUGUAGCCAAGGAAGAUAGAUUUUAUAAAUCUAGGUUCCAAUUUUCCAUUAUCAACAUGAGCAUAGGUAGGACAUCCAAAUAUCUUCAAAUUUGAGUAAUUAGCAGAAGUACUAGACCAUACCUCUUAUGGAGUCUUUUUGUCAAUAGCAGUUGAAGAAGAGCAAUUAAUGAGAAAACAAUCAAUAGUGGUAGCUUCAACCCAAAAAGAUUUAGGUAAACCAACAUUGGAGAGAAUACAACAUACUUUCUCCAUCAAAGUCCUAUUCAUUUGCUCUACCACACUAUUUGAUGUAGAGUAUGACAAACUGUGUGAUGCCUCACAAUUCCUUCUAACUUGCGUAGAGCAUUUAAUUCAUCAUAACAAAACUCCAAGCCAUUAUUAGUGCAGAGAUGUUUUACCUACUUCUCUAUCUACUUCUCAAUCAUAAUCUUCCAGUCCUUGAAUGUAGCUAGCACAUCACUCUUUUGCUUCAAGAAAAACACCCAAAAUUUUCUAGAAAAAUCAUUAAUGAUAGUCAACAUAUAACUAUAACCUCCCUUAAAAGGCACCCUAGAUGGUCCCUAAAGAUCAUAAUAUAUAUAACCAAGUGUCCCUUUUGUCUUGUGAAUGCUUUUUAUGGAUUUAACUCUCCUCUGCUUCCCAAAAAAGCAAUGCUCAUAGAACUUCAGUUUACUAAUACUUUGCCCAUUAAAAAUUCCUUUUAUACUCAGUUCAACCAUCCUAUUCUCACUUAUAUGCCCAAGAUGCAUAUGGCAAAGUCUAAUAACAUCACCAUCUGACAAUGAAAGAGUUGCAACAGUUGCAUCACCUGUAACUAUAAGACCUUGCAAGACAUAUAAUUUGGAAGACCUUUUCUACCCUUUCAUCAUAACAAGAACACUUUUGCUAACCUUCAAGACUCCACCCUCACCAAUUUACUUGUACCUUUUUGAAUCAAGAGUACUCAACGAGAUAAGAUUCCUCUUUAGAUCUAGGACGUGUCUCACAUCACCAAGUGUCUUAACAAGCAUAUCAAACUUUUUAAUUUUGAUCAUUCCAAUACUAGCUAUCUUAUAAGAUGCAUCAUUUCUCAUCUACAUAACACAUUUGGACAUUGUUUCAUAUGUUGAAAAAUAGUCCCGAUUGGGACACAUGAAAUGUGCAAUCGGAAUCAAGAAUCAAAUCUUUGUAAGGUUUGGAGUCGCUAUAAAAAAAAACUAGGAGUUUUCCAUCACUAUACUCAUCUUCUACAACACUGGCUUCACCAGAUUUUUCUAGUUGUUUUCCCUUCUGAUUUACAGCAACUUUCUUAUUCUUAUUCUGCAAUUUAUAGCAUUCAGAUUUGAUGUGCCCCUUUUUCUUAUAGUAUCUAUAGGUUUUUUGUCUUUAUUACUACAUUUCAAUAUGCCCCUCGCAUCACCACCAAAAUUCCUCUCCUAUAUCCUCUCUCAAACAACAAGGUCCUCUACCUGAGCCUUAGAUCCAAUCACAAGCUACUUCAUCUUUUCCUUAGAAUAUAAAGCAUAAAAAACUUUCUCCAGUAAGAGUGUCACGAUUAUACAAAAUAGUAUCUCUAAAAGUCGUAUAUAAAGAGGGCAACAAACAUAAUAAAAUCAACCCUAAAUCUUCUUCAUCAUACUAAACCUCCAUGGUCUCUACAUCAAAAACAAUUUCUUUAGAGACGGUUAAGUGAUCUUCUAAAUACAUACCUUCUGUUAUACGAUGAGAAUACAGUCACUAUUUUAGAUGUAACUUGCUAGUUAGACUUUUCAUCAUGCACAAGAAAUUUUUUCUUUCAGAAUGUCCUAUAAAAUUUGAUUUGACAUAUGAAGAUGAAUUUGAGAUAGGGCCUUUUGAUCAUUACGUUGUUUUUUCUCCGGUGUCCACGAUGAGGGCAUCUUGUCAAACCCUAAUAGGAUUAUACCAAAAAAAGAAAUCGAGUUACCAAACUCUAACAAGAUUCAAUAGGUUUCAUAUAUUUCCCUUAAACCAUACACUUGAAUUUAAAGGCUAUAAUCAAGAAACCUAAUGAAAUUUGGUACAAACUCAAUCACUUGACCUCUUUUUAAUUAACUAGGAGCAUUAGGUGACAAAAUAUUCACAAAAUCUAUCAAAACAAUGCAAAUUGUGUAUCCUGCAUAAUUCUUUGAGUAGUAAAGUAAUAUCCAUUGAAAUUUGAUCAUAGAGCUGAUAUUAAAUCAAUUACUUGAACUUAAAGGAAAAAAAUGAAGAGAAUUUUGUGAGGACAAACUAAAGUUGUGAGGAUUAAUCAAAAUAAAAAGUUGAAUUCAACAAAUUGGCAUUUCUCUAAUGGGUGCAAUUUGGCAAAUUAGUUUAACCUAACUCGAAUCUCGAUGAAGUUAAGAAAACAUUUUUAGUACUCAAGUUAAGAUUUGGUUGACUUUCUUAACCAAAAAUUAAUUUGGGUUGACCUCAAUUUUGGGCUUAGUUCAAACCAAUGCUUCAAGAAUCUAAGCCUAAUUAAACUCCAUUUAAUAUUUUAUAAUAUUUAUAGAAUGUAUUACUAUAUAAUAAUAUCAAUUUUUUUUCUAGAAUAAGUUCAAGGGAAAAAACAUCAAAAUAUAUUAAGCUAACUCUUAAAAAUUUGCCUACUCUUUGUGAACACUAUUUGGAAGGAAAAUUAAUAAGGAAGCCUCUUAAGAAAGCCCCAAAGGUAUAUCGUCCUUUUAGCCAAGGCAUUCUAAAGUACAAGGCCUAAUGAACAUGAGAGCUAAGCAUGGUGCCUACUACUUCAUCACAUUUAUAGACAAUUAUGUCUACAAGUCCAAAGAAUUACUCUAGUUUAGAUGUUAUAUGAAUAUUGUAGAAAACUGAAAAGAAAAAACUAUUAAAGCAUUAAGGAUAAAUCAUGGACAUGAGUAUCUAUUAAAGAUUUUUUAAAAUCUCUAUGAUGAAAAGGAAAUCCAAAGACAAUCAAUAGCUUCAAGGACUCGAUAGUAAAUUGGUUGAAUUGAAAAAAGUAACCAUAAACUUUUGGAUAUGGUUUACUUAAAAUGACAUAAGCCAACUUUCUAAUAUCCUUGGGGAGGAAGGGUUACUGUUUUGAUUGUAACUUAAAACUUGAAUAGAGUACCCUCAAAAUCAAUUACUUCAAACCCAUAUAGUUGUGAAAAAAAAGAAGUAAAAAACUAAACCUAACUCACUUGUGAUCCUAAGGCUUAGUAGGUUCAAUUCAUGUAAAUUCUCAUAUAUAUUGUGCUAUAAAGGAAACAAGUAAAUUUUCAUUAGAUAUUCUAAUAAAUCAAAGGUUGUGUGAUGCUUAAUGUACAACUCACGAGAGUAUAAUUGAAGUUAAGUCAUAUGAAGUUAGUUUCUUAUAGGAUGAUAUUUCGAGUAGAGGAGCAUUAAACAAGAGUCUUAAUUUAUUUAAGGCAAUUAAACCAAAGGAAAAUACUGUGAUAUCCCACAUCGAAUAUAGGAAAAAGUUCUUGACAUUAUAUAUGUAUGAGCUCCUCUUAAUUAUUUAGACACAUUUUAACAUUGUGAGGGCUCUUUAAACCCAAAGCAGAUAGAAUAUAUUUACAUAGUUGGGAGUGGGUCGUUAAAAAUGAUAUUAGAGUAUAUUCUCAACCCCAAUGUGGGAGUUUGUUUAGCCUCACAACGGAUAUUUGUUUGUUUGGUCUUGCAAUCCUAUGAGACAUAAUAAGUAUGUUAUGUCUCUCUGGGGGUGAUUGUGAUAUCCCACAUUGAAUAGGGGAAAAAGUUCUUAGCAUUAUGUAUGGACUCCUCUUAACCAUGCAAGUGUGUUUUAAAUCUAUAAGGACCCUUUAAGCUUAGAGUAAACAAUAUUUACAUGAUUAGAGUGAGUUGUUAUAGAUGUUGAAGAUCUUGCUAAGGAUAUGAGUGACUCGACAAUUUUCAAGACUAUAAUUUUAAGUAGUAGCCUACCACCUACUUAUGCCACCAAGUGGGAUUUUACCAUUACAUAUUAUUCACUAGAUUUAGAUGUUUGUGUAGAAAACUUGGAACUAUCCCAUCAUUGUCAUUGUGGGCAUUAGGGUGAAGCUUUCAUGUUUGCUUCAUAAGAUCAUGAUGUUGGGAUAGAGCUUUAAAAAGUAUGAUAUGAUGUAACCAUAAAUGGAGUUCAUUAAUACUUAUAUUAUGACUUCGAUUUUCUAUUCCCUAUCCUGUUCAUGAAUUAUGUAUAUUGAGCAUUUAAACCUACAUCACUUGCAUAGUACAUGGGUGAAUUAGGAGUUGCAUAGAAGAUCCCAAUCAUAGGUUCCUUGCAAGUUAAUAACUCAUUCACCAUUGGUUCAUGGACCUAGGUAAUCCAUCUGAGGUUAUAGUGCAUUAUCUCCUAAUUAGAGAGAUGACUUACCUUGGUCAUUAGGAUGGGUUUUCCAUGAUGAGAAACUAGUGUGUUUAGUUAUGCUGGGAAACCUAGAUCUUUUCAUUCCCAUAACCCUUGAUUGUAUAGGUGCAUGCAAAAUACCCUAGGCCUCUAGAUAUUAUUCAACGUGAGAAAAAAUCAAUUUUUUAAUAUUCUAGAACCUAGAGAAAAGUCAUUAGAAAACUUUAUCUUUGAUUUGGACAGUUCUCAAAUCAAUUUUGCUUAGUGAAGAUGAAGCUUAAAGACUCCAGAGGUCUCGUACACCUAAGAUCUUUCACCCAAUGACUCAAUCCACAAUCUUGCCACUCCAUGGUGUGGGCUUUAAAAGGGUAGAAUCCUAGGCUCACUUUCUUUUUCUAAAGAUAGAAGAUGAUUGAUCUUAAAAAGCAAUGAAAACCCUAAUCCUUAAGGGGUAUUUAUAGGGUUCUCCUACUAGACUUAAGUGACUUGAGCCCACCAAGACUUAGGUCACUUAAUCAAGCUCAAAAUUGGUCUUAAUUGAUUAAUUAAGCAUAUAAGGUCAUCUAAUUAAUCAAUUAGCCCAAUCCAAAGACCUUGUUUAUUAUCCCUUGUGUAACCUUUCAUAAUUACCAAAAUACCCUUAUACAUAAGAGUGAACUUAGAGUCAAUCCAACCCUCAUAAAACUAUGCCAUAAUGGUAUAUGAGCUUAGAGUAAGGACCAAUUGGAUAGAUAGGAGGACUAACUCCUUCAUAAUCCAAUUUUGGAGUUGAUUCAACAUUCCACUAAAGAGAAUUAAUGGAACUCCAUUACCCUAUAUGAAUAAUAAUGAGAUGAAGCUUAGAUCCGUGACCUACUAUCCAUUGCAUGUAGAGUCCCCAUGAACUAAUGUCUAUAAUCUAAUAAGGUAGUGUUAUCACCUGUCAAGAUUUUCUCUUCAAUACUUAAGUUAUAGAUCCCACUUAUUAUGUGAUCAAUUGACUUUAGCUUGAAGGAGUAUAUGUCAAAUUUCCAUUAAAGGAAUUAUUAUGGCCAUAGUCUUCUAGAUCACAUGUCCUUUGGAUCACCCAAUAGGACAUAUUUUCUCAAUCUAUAAGAUAUCAUGGUGCCUCCAUUGAGAAUAUUUUUUGCCACUAGCCUCCAUCAACAGUGAUCUAAUCCAUAAGGAUAUAUGGCCACUUUAGAGUCUCACUCAUAAGUCAAAACCUCAUGUUGGCUUUGACACUAACUUAAUAUCCUCUCAAGGUUGAGAGUCCUUACCGUAUAGUAGCAUGGUGUAUCAUGACAAUUGAUAGCCUUAUGUCUUGACUCACUAUAGGUCGAGUCUAGUGCAAAUCAUAUGCACUAGUGCACUCACCAUGGGAAAACCAUCCUGGCUAUCAAGAGAAGUCAUCCCUCUUAUUAGGAGGUAGUGCACUACAAUCUUAAAUGAAUUUCCUAAAUCCAUGAACCAACCAUGGACAACUUAUCACUUUGUAAGGAACCCAUAACUUUGGAUCUUCUAUGAAACUCUUAAUGCACCCAAGUCAUGUAUAGUGUAAGUGAUGUGGGGUGUGUAUGUUCAAAUAACCAAUUAAUGCAAAUGGGAUAAUAAUAAGAAACCAAGAAGCAAAAAUAAAUAAAUUUAUAAAAGAAUCUCUAUAUCUUACAUCAUGUCAUGCUUUCAAGGGCUUAAUCCCAAUAGGCUACACAUUAGAUAGGACUUAUGGUAAGUCAGACAUUAGUUAUUAGGUAGUCAUGACUUCACCAAACAACUUUGUUGCAUGAGCUCUCAACUUUGAGAGAAUAUUGAUCUAGUGCUAAGGUCUUCAAUGACUUUGACCUAUGAGAGAGACCCUAAAGUGGUCACAUAUUCUCUAUGGAUUGGGUUACUAUUAAUUGGGACGAACAGGUAUUCUCAAAAUAGGCAUCAUGAUAUCUUAAGGGUUUGAGACAUUAUGUUCCCUUGGGUGAUCCUAAGGACAUGUGACCAUGAAAACUAUGGCCACAAUAAUUCCUUAAGUGAAAUUUGACAUAUGCACUUAGACAGAUAUAGUAUGGCAGUUAAUAAAAUAAUAGGAGGAUUUAAGAUUAAAGGAUUAUAAAGGUAGUCUUGAAAGGUUGAUAACAUUCAUCUCGUUAAAUUAUGGAUACCAAUUCAUAGGAAGCUUGCAUGCAAUUGUUAGUAGGUCAUAGCCUCAAGUCUUCUAUCUCGAUCUAAUAUCAUAGGAUACUAAAGUGUAGUUGACUCUUUAUAGUUAGAUGUUGAGUCAACUUUAAAAUUGGAUUUUGAGGGAGCUAGUACUUUUUUAUGCAUCCCGAUGGUUCCCACUUGAACUCAUAUUCCUUGGUGACAUAUUAUUUGAGGGAUAGUUGGGUUCUUUAUUCAUAUGUGUGCAUAAGAGAAUUUUGGUAAAUACAGAAGGUGACACAAGUGAUUAUACAAGAGGUAAAUAUAGAAAAAAUGAUACAACCAAAAUGAGAGUGUAAAGUAAAAUAAUAAACAGAAUAAUAAAAAACUUCUUAUGAGUACUAAGGUUUGCCUCAACUCUCCUCAUUCAAACCAUUAUCAUGCCUUUGGAUUUGGAAUUAUACCAAAUAAACAUUCAAAUCACUUUUCUUAAUGGAGAAAUGAAUGAGAAGAUCUAUGUAGAUCAAUUGACUUGUUUUAUGGCAACUAAAUAGAAGGGUAAAGUUAACAACUACGAAGGUCUGUUUAUAGCCUAAAAUAAUCUUCUAAACAAUGGUAUAUUACACUAAUUGGUUUAUGAUGGUCUAAGAACACUACUACAUGUUUAUUAAAUGGAGUAAAGGUAUAUUCUUUAUUUUUAUUUUUUUCUAUACAAAUGACAUGUUAGUUAGGGAUGACAAUGAGAUCGUCAUUGCCUCUAAAGUGUGGUGGUCAUCAAAUUUUAAAAUGAACAACAUGUUUAAAGCAAACUAUGUGCUCAAAGUUAUGAUCCUAAGCAAUCAAUAAAGUAGAAUUUUUCGUUUGUCUUACAAAUCAUACACAACAAAUAUUCUUGAAAAAAUUCUAGAUGUAAAAUUGAAAACCUAUUAGCACACAUAUAGAGAGAGUUAAAACCUUAAGCUUUAACAUGUGUCUAAGACUUUGGAUGAAAAGAAAAAGAUCACUCAAGGUUCCUAUAUAUGCUAGCAUUGUUAGUUGCUUAAAGUACCCAAUGAUAUGAACAUGAACUAAUAUUUAUUACAUAAUUAGGUUAGUAGGUUCCGGUUAGAUCCAAACCUUGCUUACAAGAAAGUAGUGAAUUGGAUGCUUUCUUACCUCAGAGGCACCAUAGGGUGUAUAAUUGUUAUUGAGGAUUGAAUUUGCACUUGAUUGGCUGUAACAAUGCUAAUUGGGGUAGCAUCCUAAAUGAACCCAAAUCCACAUAUAAUUAUAAUUUUAUAUAUGCUCCAUGAUGUUAGCAUAUAUUGGAGAAGUAGAAAACAAUCAUUUAUGACAUUGUCUAUCAUGGAGUUAGGAGUACAUUACUUAUCGUUUAGGAAAGUGACUAGUUUACAAUGUUCUUACAUAUGUUUUAUAAUGUUUCAUGUGCUUUUGAGCAUACUACUAUUUAUUGUGAUAGCAAGGAAGCUUUAGCCUAUGCCAAAGAGCCCCAACUAUCAUAGUUGAACCAAACACAUCAAUCUUAAAUAUUAGUUGUUAUAAGACAUGGUUGCAUAGGAACAUAUUUCUACACGUUUCAUGGUUACAGACUGAACCCCCCAUCCCUCCAUUGACUAAGUUAAUACGUAAAUAUGUUUAUUAGGGUCAGGUUGAGAACAUUGGAUUAUGUAGAUCAUGAUUACAUAGGAGUUAAGUUGAGAGCAUUGGAUCAUGUAGAUUAUGAUUCCAUAUUGUAUAUUUCAAUUAACCAUUAUACCUAGGAUUUAUUCAUUGUUCAAUCUUGUUUGAUGGUGGCAUGUUAUUUGCUUUACUUUAUUGGCAUGCACUUUCAUUACUUUGCACAGUGAGCAAAGUUGAAACAUAAUGAGUCUGAACCACUUAGAUAGUGUGCUAGGUCAUUGAUCCUUGUUGUGUCCAAUAUGACUUAUAUGUUAGUAGUGAAAGAGACCAAGUAUAAAUAGUCCUAUAGUCCAUACUUUACUUGUAAUGGAGUUAAUUGCCAAAUGACAUUAAUGUAGUGCUUGAUUUAGCAAGCAUAUGCAAAACUUAAGUUCUUUGCUUGAUGCAACUGAACUAAGAUUUGUAUGAUAUAGAAGAACUAAGGUACACUCAUAAUGAAGAUCUCCAUGGUAGCAUGCAUUUUCAUACUAUAUCUUCUUGGCAAUCAAAUAAGAAUGAAUGAAUAGAUUCCUCCUUCCUUGUCAUGUGUAUUAAUCUUAUAUAGGUCAUUAUAUAGUAUAACUUUUAUGCUCUUGCAAUUUUCAUUCAUAAGUUAUAAGUAUGGUGUAUUUUGAAAUAUUUUUCUAAAGGGAUUAAUGAUGCUUAAUUCAAUGUGAAUAAAUGUGUUUAAGGUAUAACAAGAAACCUUUUGGGAUGAAUUAUACAAGUUGAGAUGAAAUUUAUUUUAAUACUCCACCUUUCUUAUCAAUGUGUUCCAUAGUUGUACAAUCCAUUAGUCAAUAUGAACAUGGAUGAUAAUGAUAUAGUUGAGAGAUGCAUGACAUUGUUUUGCCUAGUAUGCAUGAGUGGGAGACAAUGGAGUUUCUAUUUCAUGAGAUACUCUCAGUAGGACUUUAUCAACUAAGAGCUUGAGAGUAAGUUGCAUACUUAUCAGUUAAGAUUCCUCUUGUGAGAGGAGGUUCACAUUCAGAUUUGGGGAGAAUCUAUAAGAGUUGUUCAUGUUUUGCAAUUCCAAUUCUAGUCCUUUCCCAUGUUUUCAAUUUAGAUUGUCGCAAUUGUUAAAUAUUUUUACUUUAGUCUUUAGCAAUUAUAAUUUUUUAAAGCUUGCUAUUUAGGUUUAGAUUUACUAGAUGCUUAUUAGAUAUCUUAAUUCUUGUUGUAUUCUCCUUGGUUAAUAAUCUUUGAUUGUGGAGUUCAAAGCUUUUUACCAAAAUAGGGAUAACGGUUUUCAAUGUUAGGGAAAGCAUUUAAUAAAAUUAAUUCUUGAAUAAGUUGGCAUGCUAAAUCUUUCAAUUGAACCUAAUAAGUUUACAUACUAAAUCUCUCAUUUUCAACCUUGGUUGUUUCCACUCUUUGCAAUUUAAUUAGGUUUUCUUUAUAUAUAUGUGUGUGUGUGUGUGUGUAUAUAUAUAUAUAUAGAUAGAUAAUUUAUUUUGUGUACCUAUAUAACUAAGUUUUUGAGUAAUUAUGAGUUGUAUUGUUACAUUUAGUAGAAUUUGACAAACUAAAUAAAUGAAGUGCUUACCUUUGAAAAAUUGAGUCCAAUAGCACAUUUGUGUGGAUAGGUCACAUCUACCAACUUGAUUCUCCAUGCUUCCUCUAUUAGGUUGACUAAGAAAAUAGUUUAAUUUCACAGGAGCACCUUAAGGACAAAAAUAUCAAGAAAAGUGAAGGAAAAUUAUGCUUCAUCUAAUAUGACUAUAGGACUUAAAUGGAAAAAAACAUAAUAAUAUAAUAGUUAUUAUAAUGAAUAUAAUAAAAAUAAAAUUUUUCAUGAUCUUCCCAAUACUCAUAAAGCCCCUUUCAAUGAAACUUUGUAAGCUCUACUAACACAAAAUAAUAGUCUGUAUAGUAAAAGCUCAAUAAAUGAGUGCUUGAUAAAUUAAUAACCUUAUUUGAAUAACAGAACCUUCUGGUCUUAACUCAGGCUAGUGUACUAAAUUAUAUAUAUAUAUUAAAAAGAAAUUCAUAAUACAAUAUUAGGUAACUUUUUAUAACUUUUAUUUUUCUAAAUUCACUUGUUUUGGAAUCAUCACAUAUUUAAAAUAUCUUUAUCUUUUACAACAUUAAGUUUUGAUGUCAUACCUAUUUUUUUAGGAGUCUUUCUAUCUUUUACAAUCAAUAACGAUCCUUUUUUUUUAGUCUCUUAGGUUUCUAUGUAUUAUCUUUUUACCAUAUGAAUUAUUUUUAAAUUUAUAAGUCAUACAUGUACCAAUAUUGUAUACUAAUAACAUAAUACUCUUUAUAAAUUAAUGAAUAUUCAUUUAUCGAUAAAUCUAAGAUAAUAAUUUUUCUUGGUCCCAAUAACAUUAUUUUAUAAGAUUUUACCCUAUAUACUUCCUUCAUUGUAGGAAUUUCUUUAGAUUAAUAUUUUUAAGUAAUAGUUGUACUUAAAAAAAUAUAUAUAAUGGAAGUUAAGAGAAUUUUGAAGUUAUAAAUUAGUGUUUUAUAUCAUUUGUUUGUCUAUGAAUGCUAAAACCAUUGUCAAAUAAAAAGAGUAAAUAAAGUAAUUAGUUAAAAAUUAAAUAAGUGACUUAAAAUUACUACUUUGGUACAUGUUUGUUUGAGGUAUAGUAGAUCGUAAGAAAUAAAAUCCUCUAGUUAUGUUUAUUUGAUAGAAUAAAAAAGUGAGUGUGUGGUUGCUCUACAAGAGAAGACCACACAUUAGUCAAAGAAAAAGUAACCAGAAAGCUUGCACAAGUGUUGAAUGAUCAAUCUCUCACCUAAGUGCACUAAUGAGAAAUAAAUGUUGAAUUAAACCAUAGUCAUGCACUCGUGCCAAGGCUCAUGCCUCCAUAUGGGAAAACCUUAAUUGCUCCAAAGUUUAAAAGUGGCCACAUCCUCUAUGCCAGGUAAGUAUUCCAAAAAUCAAGAAAGUUAACCUUUGAGUUGAUGCUUAUUUAUCUAGCAGUUUCCUCAUCCUUCUUACUAACUUGACCUUCAAAGGCUUUAUGACCAUAAGGAGCCUAGAGUGCUCACUUUUAGGUUCCUUAUGAUUGUAGGGUCCUAAUGAUCCAUUGAAGUAAGAAUGUGAACUAGGAGUUGGAAAAAUGGUGUCAUCUAUGGGAAUGCAUUAAAAGCCUUGAAGCCAUGUUUAAACCCAUAGUGGCGGUUGGGCAAUAGAAGAACCUCAUGCAAUGGACUCUUGGUAGGAAAAGGUAAUCAUGACAAAUAUGAGGUGGAGAAAGGAGUGAGAGCAAACCUUUCAACAUAUGGAGGAGCUUACUAAAAUAAGCAACUAACUCACUCAAGAGAAUGUUGCCUUUAGGGUAAGGGUGUAAGAGUACCAGUGUGAUCUUAAUCAACAGCUCUCAUUGGUUUGCACCAAUAAGAUUCAAGUCAGUGAAUAAUAGUUAUCAAAGCAAUUAGACCGACAUAUAGAUUAAAUUAGGGAAGGAGGGUGGAGGGGACCUUAAUCAUACUAACUUACCAAAGGCCUCAAUGCCUUAGGGCUUCUUGCCACCAUAGCUACCAUUAGAUGUAUAACCUUGGUGAAUAAGGAGAUUAAGCCUAGGGCCCUUCAGGAGAAGGUUGCCACAUGAGGAUUUUCCCUUCCAAAUUCAAUUUCUUUCAAUGGAACUUAAGACCCCCUAGACUACUCAUGCAUUUCUAGCAUAUAAUGAUCCCAAAAAAGGGAAAUGAUAGACUUUUAUUCAAGAUCUUCCUCUCCAGCCUCCAAGGACUAACUUUCUAUUGGCUUUAUCAACUUCUGUUAUGGUUUAUUCCUGAUAUGGAAACCUUAAGGUGAUGUUUGCCUCCUAGUACAUGAACUUAACAAGAUAGAAGAAAAGCCUUGACCAACCCAAGGUGGUUAUAGCUACCAUCCAUGAGGGAUCAUUCACUAGAUUUGAGUAACUAGGUAGGGUAUCAGGAUAUUAUAGAAGCAAAUGGUGAUUCAAGUAAAAGUCCACACAACCUUCUAUGAAGUAACUACCACUUGCCUAUAUGCCAUAUGCAUCUUUAACAAAGACUUAAGAGGACUCCAAGCCCUGCACAAGAUUUAUUGGUUAUUAGUUUAAGGAUUAUUGACUAAGACAUGCAUCUAUUCUUAGUUGACCUAAGGAGUUUAGCUAACUUACUAAAUAUAUUAGCCCAUAUACAAACAAAUGAAUAUGGAUAAAGGAAAACUAGUGUCGACUCUAGGGUAAUUGGUAGGACUAGAUAAAGUCUUGCGUGGGUUAACUAGGGAAGUCACUCUAAUAGUUUUAGUUGGUUGCUGCCAUAUAAUGACACAAUUCUUUGUUAUGGAUAUCAUUUUCCCUAUAAUACCAUUAUGGGAUGACCUUGGAUAUACAACCUAAAAGGCAUACUCUUCACCUACCAUCACAUCAUUAAAUUCGUAACACUAUAAGGAAUAUGAGAAGUAUAUUAGGACUAGGUGGUAGCAUGAGUGAUACACCAUAGCCCUUAAAGCGGUUAGGAAGUGCAUCAAUCGGGACCCAUAAGAAGUUCAUAAAUCAUAAAUCUAAUAACAAUUAACAGAUGACCCUAAAAGGCAGUUAGAGAACCUAGGGAGUCAUUACUUUAAAGGCCCUAAACCCAGGAAGUUCCUCUUGGCUCAUGCAAAAAAUGAUGUCUUAAGAUGGUUACUGGAAAAGAACCCAUCUUCGCUUGGAAACAGUAGGACAUGGUGGGUAUCAACCCCCAAGUUGCAUAUCACUAACUCAACAUAAACCUAGGUGGUUAGCUCCUUAAAGACACUAGAUUGUGAAAGAAAAGGUAUCCAGUUUCUUAGAUACUAGAUUUAUAAGAGAGGUAAUUUGUCCUAGUUGGUUAGUGAAUAAAAAUCAUCAUACCUAAGAAGACGGGAAAGUGGAAGGUAUGCCUAGACUAUACCAAUUUAAAUAAGGAUUUCCUUAAGGAUAGCUAUUCCUCACCUUGAAUAGAUUAGUUAGUCGAUGCCACCUUUGAUUAUAAGUUGAUUAUGUUCAUGGAUGUGUAUUCCAAGUAGAACCAAAUAAGCAAGCAACAAAGAAAAAAUAGCCUUUAUUAUCGGAUUAGUAACAUAUUGCUAUCAAACCAUGCUCUUUGGCCCAAAAAAAUUAAGGCUACCUACAAAUGUUCGAUCAUCUAGGUCUUUUAACUAUAAAUAGAAGUCAACAUGAAAGUCCACAUUAAUAACAUGUUAGUAACAUAUAAGAAAAGGAACAAGUACUUGAUUGACUUCCUAAGAACAUUUCAAACUCUUUGAAAGUACUAAAUGAAACUAAAUCAAUGAAGUACACCUUUAAUGUAGGGUGUGGAAAGUUCCUUAAGUGCUUGGUUACAUACAAAUGAAUAGAAAUUAACCUAGACCAAAUAAAAGCAACUUUGGAGAUAUCAAUGACUAAAAUUGUUAGAGAAGUCCAAGAGCUCACUAACAAGAUUGGUGCUUGAAAUAGAUUCAUAUAUUGGAUAAUGAAUAAAUGUCAUCCUUUCUUCGACAUCAGCAAGAAUGGAAAAUGGACUAAAGGAACCAAAAAGUGCAAAUAAGCUUGCGAAUGACUAAAGCAUUACAUGAUGCUACCCCCCAUUUUGGAUAAACCUUCGGAUAAGAAGGUCUUAUAAGGUCUUAUAAGGUCUCAUUAGCAACUAUAAGUGGAAUAUUUGCUCAAAAAGAAGGAAAAGAGGAGCAACCAAUGUACUAUGUCUAAAAAGCCCUCUUAGGUGUGGAAACGUGAGAGUAUAUAUAAAUAUUGAAAAGUUGGUGCUUACCUUUUAGAUCACCACACUAAAACUUCAAUGUUAUUUCCAAGUGCAUGUUAUUAAGGUAAGGACCAAGUGAUGAAAACUCAAACUUAACACUUUAAUGGCUCUAAAGAGCCUACUUUGGUGUUUUGAGGCACUAAAAAAUUAACCCAAUGUUUUGUUUUGUUGAUAAUACCUUAGAAUAUUAUGUUUGAUGCAUUCUAUGAGCAUUCUACAGGCUUUAAGGUGUUUUUGGUGCAAUAGAACCUUGUUGGGAACUCAUGGAGACAAAAAUGCCUAAGUAGGAAGGAAACACAUAUUGCACACCUAAAAAGUGUGCAAGACUCAAUCAUGCACUUUGUUUUUAGCGUAGAGCCACAUAGUGAUGGGAAAAUCCUAGAUCUCUUUGUUUCCUAAGCUCGGAUUAGGUUAGAAACAUACAAAACUAUCCUAGGCUUUUCUAAAUCCUAUGCAUAGUAGAAAAUUUGCAUUUUUAAACUUUAUACGGAUUUAGAAUAUGCUAAUGAAAAAUGUACCUGAGAUUUGAAUGUUCUUGAAUCGAUUCUACGCAAAGAAGAUGAAGAAUGGAGUCCCAAGAACUCUUGUAAACCCCGAGCCUUUCGCCUUAUAACUUGAACCUUAAUCUUGACACACUUUUGGUAGGGAUAGAAGGAAGGGUAGAGGCUAUGAUUCUCUUUCUAGAGAUGGAAGAAGCCUUUCUAGAAAAAGUUAUGGAAACCCUAAGCCCUAAGGGGCUAUUUAUAAGGUUUUCCCACUAGGCUUAAGUGAUUUGAGCCCACUAUAGGCUUGGGUCACUUAAUCUUAACCCAAAACAGGUUCUAAUUGAUUCAUCAACCCAAUAGGGCCUACUAAUUAAUUAAUUAACCCAAUCUAGAGACCUUGUUCACUUACCACGAUGCAAUCUUGCGUAAUUACCAAAACUCCCUUAUGCACAAAAGUGAACCUAUAGCUAAUUCGACCCUCAUAACCCAUGCCAAUAAGGUAUAUGAUCUUAGAGCAAGGACCAUUGGGACCCAUAAGAGUACUAGCUCCCUCAAAAUCCAAUUUUGAAGUUGAUUCAACAUCUUACUACAAAAAAAAAUCAACUAAACUAUAAUAUCCUAUGUAAAUAACAACAAGACACCAUGUGUUAAUGUCCGUGACCUACUAUCCAUUGCGUUUAGUCUUCCCAUGAACUGGCGACCAUAGUCCAACAAGGUGAAAACUAUCAUCCUUUCAAAACUACCUCUACUAUCCUUGAGUUAUAGAUCCUCUUAUUUUGUGUUCAAUUGACAUGUAUUACCUCUUAAAGAGUCUAUGUCAACUUCCACUUAAGGAACUACUAUGGCUAUAGUUUCCAUGAACACACUUCCUUAGGAUCACCCAAAAGGACACUCUAUCUCAAUACUAAGAGAUAUCAUGGUGCUUUUAUCAAGAAUUCAUAUUGCUAAUAGCUUUCAUCAAUAGUGACCCAAUCUAUAGGAAAUAUAUGAUCAGCUUAUGAUCUCACUGGUAGGUUAAAUCUACUACUAACUUUAGAACAAACUUAAUAUCCUCUCAAGGUUGAGAGACAACACAAUGAAGUAGUUUAGUGAAGUCAUGACUACUUGAUAGCCUUAAGUCAUGACUCAUUGCAGGUCUUGUCUAAUGUGUAACCACACACACUAAUGCACACACCAUGGGAAACCCAUCCCGAUAGUUAGAACAAGUCAUCCAUCUAAUUAGGAGGUGAUGCCUUACAACCUUUAAUGGGUUGCCUAGACUCACGAAUUGGCUAUGAAUAAGUCAUCUAUUUGCAAGGAACUGUGAUUAAUUUAGAUCUUCCUUGUAACUCCUAAUGCACCUAAGUCAUGUAUAAUGCAAAAGAUGUAGGUUAGAGUGCUUACAAGGUAUAAUGCAUGGAAAUAGGAUAUAUAAAAGUGAACUAGAACUUUAUUAAACAAAUAAUAAAAUCCUAGAGUUUAUUACAUCAUGUCAUGCUUUUGAGGACUUUAUCCUAACAUAUAAUGCACCUCCCAUGUAUGUAUUGAAGACCAAACACAUAAGAGCUCUCUAAUGUAUUGGACCAAAUUUUGCAUCCUACUCAAGCAACUCAAUCUAUAAACCUCUUAAGUGCUCUAAGCCAAAAUGUUGUGCACCCCUUUGCUUAAGUCAGCAGGAUGUGUAGUAGUACACCCCCUUGAUGUCAUCUAAAUUACAAACCAUUCUUACCUCUACAAUAGCUAUGUCCUCCCAAAGUAGCAUGUUAUUUAUAAAGUCUUCAAUUCUAUUACCAAAACCUACUCGAUGUUGAUUGCAUAGAGAAAAAAGUGCAACUCCCAACCAUAAGCUAACAUAUCAAGAAUGAUGGUGGGUUGACUACACUGACCAAGGAUCUGACCCUCAAUAUAGGCAAGAGACAAGUCCAGAUGGGUUGGUGUUGGAGUAGUUGGAAUGGAGAGAGUAUUUUUUACCUAUAAAUGGAGGAUUGUAAAUAUAUAAGUAGAAGCAAAUUAUAGAAAGCGAAAUAGUAGAUAAGUUUUUCUUCUCGUAGGAAUAGGAGUAACUUAAUGUAGUUUUAGUUUUUAGUUUUCCAUUGUGAUAUUUUUAUUUCUUUAUAAACUUUCCCUAAUUUCUAGUUUAAUGGAUUUUACAAUCUUUUUUAUUAAUCUUACAUUUCAAUUUUUCAUUUUCAACUUACAAAUUUACAUUUUCAGUUACUUCCUUAAUUUUUAACAUACUUAUAUAACCUUUGACACUCUAAGAGGUGAGAGGAGCUUAGGUCUCCCAUCAAUAAGUUUAGCUCUCUACUCAUUUAUUUAUGCAUUAGUUAUAAAGAAUUUGAUAUCUAUCGGUAGUUACGAUGACCAAAAGGAGUAACCAUGGGCAGAAAAGUCUAUGUUACACUGGUUGUGGGGGUUGUAAUUUAAGUAGCCUUGGGAGCAUAUUUUGGCAUUGUUUUAAUAAUUUUUUCAACUAAGUAUAGGCUUAUUGACAUGAAAAGAACCUCAUCUAAAUCAUUUGGUUGCAAGGAUAAAAAAAAAAGAGCAGUUAGAGGGAGAUGAACCUUAUUAAGACGGUUAUUGUUCAUUUCAAGCAAGAACCUUUUGUGGUAUAGAUCCUUGGAUUAAUCCUAAACUUGAAAGCAUAAGUUCACAACCUCGUUGGUAAGUUGUAUUUGAAAAUGGUGAUCCUAAUAAAUCUCUUGUUUUUGGGUUUUCUUUUCUUUAAUUUUCUAUCUUUAAAACUUUUUGUGUGUGUGUCUUUUAUUUAUAAAAUCAUUUUUCUAAUCUUUUAGCUAACAUUCACACCCCUAAAGCUAUUACCUCAGUUGCUACCAAUUUAUAAUUCCUUGUGGAGGCAACCUAACGGCUAUACAACUAUUAGUUUUUUUUUUUUUGGUUCAAGAGUUGAGAGUUUUAAUUAAUGAUCUAGUUUAAUUCCUCUUUGUAAAACUUGACUAUUAAAUAUAUUUUUAAAUUUUGGUAAAAAAAGGAACUAGAGAAUGACAAACAAAAAAUUAGUGUUGUUGCCAGGGACUUUUCAACAUUGACUACUCUAGAGGUAUUUUUGGGUAUAUGUUUGUUGUUUUAAAAGCUUAGCAAGUAUAUUUCACCCAUUCCCUACCUAUCUUUUAGUUGGAUUUUUAUUUAUUUUUACUUAAUUUGUUUUAUUUAGAUUUUUUUUUCUUUAUUUUUUUUGCUUAGUUUUCACUUUCAAUUGUUAAAUCUAACAUUACAAGCAUGUUCUUUAUUAGGGAAAUGAUUUUAGAAAAAAGACACUAAGUAAUCAACCAAACCAUAGUUAUCAUUUUCCUCAACACAUUAGACCAUAACCACCUUAUAUCUAUUUUCCAAAUUCAAGCAUUGGUAGUACUAAUAGAAGUAUGAUGAAUGGGGAUUUUAACCCAAAUAACUAGCUAGCCAGGACCAUAAGGGUUACCUACAACCCAAGUCAAUGCUUUCUUUUAAUUGAUAUUUCCUUUUGAAUAUUUUCAAAUAAACAUUGAGCUUGUAAUGAUCCAAUUGGUAUCUUUAUCUUAUGGAAGGGAUGAUGAAAAUCCUUAUACUUAUUUAAAAUAAUUUGAAGAGCUAUGGUCUAUUUUGGUAGAACCUUCAUGAAAUCUAGAUCAUUUGAAACUCAAGGUUUUUUUUUUUUUUUCAUUAAAGAAAAAGGCUAAGCAUUAGAGGUAUAACCCAAGACUCUAUAGUAUAAGUUCUUGGGCUACUUUACAAAAUAUUUUUAAUAUUUUUUUAUUUAUUUUUUGUUUUGUAAAGAAGGAGACCUUGCAUAAUUGUUGGGAUCAGUUUAAAGCUUUGUUGCUCAACUUCCUUACCAUAGUUUUGAAAACUUAAGGAUUGCUUCUGCUUUUUAAAAGAGACCAUCUCCCUAAAUGAAACAAUUUGUUGAAAACAUGAGUGAUGGUUAAUUUAUAUAGGAGAAACCACAAGAAACACUUAAACAUUUAAAUUUGCUUGCUGAAAAAUCAAGGGUUUGGAACCCCUUAGUCCCUCGAGUACAUCUUCUGGAACUUGAAAACCAACCCCAACAACAUAUAGUCUCUCAUCCCAUCUCUCAAUUUAUCAUUUUCUCUUGGAACAAGAUUUUUGAAGAAGAUGAUCUUUGGAUGCUAUAAGAGGAGGAAGUCGCUGAAGUUGAGGAAAAGGAAACUAUGUACAUAGUAGAUUGAAAUGAAUUUGUUGAAUAAGAAUUAGUUGAAGAAGAGAAUUUCCAAUAGGUUGCAAAUAAGUUUGUAAGCUUCAUUUUAAAAAAAAAAUUUCAAAAAUAGAAAAAGAAAACUAUAAAGAGUAAGAAACAAAGAAGGAAUGAAACAAUGUAUUACAUUCUCACACUAGCUUUAUUCUUCCUCAGUUUUCCUUCUCGUUGCAAACUAAAAAUAUUGAGCUUCAAUUUUUAGAAGCUAGCCAACAAUUUGUAAAAAGCUUUCACUUUUCUUUUCUUCAUUAUUUUUAUUUAUGUUGCUCUUGCAACUUGAGUGUGUAGUAGCACCAUCAUUGUGAAGCCUGUAAUAUUACAUUCUCAGUACACUCAAUGCAUUUGGGUGACCUAUAUCAUCUCAUAAGAACUCAAGUAUAAAUUUCUCCACACUCUAUUGGUUUCAUCAUGAUUCAAAGUACGUGUAAAUUGUUAGCACUAGGAAGGCGCACAAAAGUGUUGGAAAUAUAGGAAUUCCAUACCUUUGAGGUGCAUUGCCCAACUUGUAUGAUGACUUAAAUUGUGCAUCUAUAAAGCACAACUCAAAUUGUACACCUUGAAAGCAUGACUUAAAUUCCAUACCCUAAGAGAAUAAUUUAAAUGGUACACUCAAAAGAGCGCAACUAAAAAUUACAUACCUUUGAGCAACCUUUUAUAUUGCAUAGCUUAUGUGUGCACAAUUUAAAUUACACAUCAUAAGAGUGCAAUCAUUUCCCAUGGGAUGCCAACUUAUUCUUUUGUAUUAUUAUCCAAGCGUGUUGUCCCUAGUAAAAAAUCUUUAUUCUCUUAUGCAAACUUUUUGGAAGAAAAAUAUCUUCUUAAACAAAACCAUAAUUUCCUAUAAUUUCUUAGAGACUUUUGUCUAUCCCACCAUCAAUGUAUCAAUUAUGGUGUAGGUAGGAAAUCGAGCAGCUUUCUAAGUUUUAUAUAAAGGAAGUAAUUUUAAUACUGUUUGCAUGUGCUCAAACAAGAACACACACAAUAGUGCAAUAUGAAAACUCUGAAGAAUGGUAAAAACCAAAACACUGAGCCUAAAUGAGACAAUGAAGAGAGCUAAAAAUGAACAAUCAAGCCAAUUUAUUGAAGUAAAGGUGACUAAACCAGUCACUAUAGUAGCCAUAAUACUAGAACAACCCAACAGAGCAUUUAGUAGAAUGAACAUUCAAACAAAAAAAGAAUCACGUUAAGGUUAAUAGCGUUGACCACGUCUUCAAUUAUUAUUGCUUAAUCUUUAGGAUAAUAACAUCAUAUAAUGAGCAUUUGAAGCUAACAAUGGGUGAUAUUGAACUUUGUCGGUCAAUCUCACCCUUAGUGAAGAAUUCAAUUAAGUAAUAGUCAGAGGUUGAACAGGAUAAACAAAAAUACCCCCAAGGAACUCAAAAUCUCAAGACUAUACAAUUUUUCAAGAGCCCCUGAUAAAUAUAACUUCUUUACCUAAUUUUUGCAUCAUUUUUGUUUUCUUUACCUUUUUCUUUUAACAAUCAAAUCAAGUAAAAUAAGCUUAGUUUUAAAUAUUUUAAUUCAAGCUCACAUCUGGAAUUAAUCUACUUAAAUGACUUAUUAAAAAUCAUCAUCUAAGUAAUGAAGUACCAUAGUGAACUUAGAGGAACCAAAAAGAAAUGAGUUUUCCUAAAAGUUUCUCUUUAAUCUAGUCUCACACACCAUGCACUAUAGUGUUAGGGUACUCAUACUUCUCAGGAGAAGAACUGGUGGCAACUUGAGAAAUAGAACAAACUCAUUGUAGAUAAAGUGUUAUGAUAAGAUUUGCUAUCACCAACAUCCUAUAGGAGGACGCAAUGAAGAGCAACUAAAGGAAUCCAUUUAUUACUUGAAGCUUGGUGGUAAUUCCCCAAGGGUGCUUUAUCACCUAGUGCCUUAUACCAACUGGUCUGGGAGUCAUAUAUUGAAAUCCAUUACAUAAGCAACAAGAAGGUGACAAAGUCUACAUUCUUUGAUGAAUGAACUUUUAAUUUUUCAAAAAACAAAAAGGGCGAGUGGAGGAAGGGAAGUGAAAGUAUAUUAAGGAAAACAAUUUGUCUCAAACUUAUGCCCUAGGAACUUGCUAUUCCUAAGACUAAGGGGUGUUAGUUUGAAAAAUCAAAAGAUAGAGGAAGGGAGAAACAAUAGUAAAAACUACUAAACUUAAGGAACCUUUUGUAUGCGAAGAUCUAGUCACACCUAAGUAAGGGCUGAUUUGAAAAUUUUCUUUUAAUGUAUUUAUUUUGUUUCAUUUGAGCUCUCUUACUUUUUGCGUUUUCUAACUCAAACUCAACACUUUAAUGGCUCUAAAUAUCUCACUUUAAUGUGUGAGGUACUCAGAAUUAACCUAAUGCAUUGUUUGACAAUACCUUAAACAACUAUAUUUGAUGAAUUUUGUGAGCAUUUUGUAGGCUUUAAGGUAUUUUUGGUAUAACAUAGCCUUUUUGGGAACUUGCAUGGACAAAAAUGUGUAAGUAUAGAGCAAACACAAAUACCUCACCUCUUAGGUGCACAAGACUUAAUAACAUGCCUCUUUUUUAGUGUAAAUCCAUAGUACACCUCCCAUGUACACCCUAAAGACCAAGUUGUGCACCCACUCAAACACCUUAAUUUGCACCUCUCUUAAGUGCUCUAAGCCUAGCAGUUGCAUACCUUUUCACUUGAGUCGGUAGGAUGGCCAGAGGUGCAACUACUCAAGAUCUAAAAUGUGCAAUCUUUUUUCAAUAAUAGAAUGCACUCUUAGGGGUAUUCUAACCUUACAUACCAUUCAUAUCUCCACAAGAGUUGUGUACUUAAUCAUUCUUCUAAUUAUUAGUGUACUCACAAAAGUAGCACAGUCAUGCAUGCAUCAAAGUCUUCAAUUGUAGUACCAAAACCUACGUAAUGUCGACAACACAAAAAAUGAGGUGUAGCUACCAACCCCAAGCUAAUACAUUAAGAAUCAUGAUCAAUUGACUACAUUGACAUAGGACUAAAUUUUGGUGUUGGAGUAGUUGGAACAAGGGGAAAUUUUUUUGCCCAUAAAACUAGGAUUGUAAAUAAGUAGAAAUAGAUAAUAGAGAAUUAUAUAUUUUUUCUUCCUCAUACAAAUAAGACUAACUUGAUGCAGUUUUAGUUUUCAAUUUUCAUUUGUAAUCUUUUCUUUUCUUUAUAAAAUUUCCCUUAUUUCCAAUUUAAUGAAUUUUCUAGUUUUUUCAAUUGAUCUUACUUUUCAAUUUUUUAGUUUUAGCUUAUAGAUUUAUAUUUCUAUUGAUUUCCUUAAUUUUUAACAUGCUUAGAUAACUUUUAACACUUUAAGAGGUGAGAGGAGUUGAGGUCUUCGAUAUCUUAGUUCAACUCUCUAUUGGUUUAGUUGUGCAUAGCUACAAAGAAUUUGAUCUUUGUUAGUAGUUACAAUGACUAAAAGGAGUAACCAUGGGGAUAAAAGUCUAUGUUGCAUCGGUUGUGACGAUCACAAGUCAAGCAACCUUGGGAGCAUGCUUAAGCAUUGUUUAAAUGAUUCUUUUAACUAAGCAUAAGCCUACUAACAUGAAAUAAAAAAAUAAAAAAAUAAAAACUAUCUAAAUCAUCUAGUUGCAUGGAUCCAAAAGAGGGCAAUUAGAGAGGAAACUUAUUCAGGUGGUUCUUGUUUAUUUCAAGAAGCAAUCUUUUUGGGUAAAAACCCUUAGCCUAAUGUUAAAGCCAAUAUCAUAGGUUCAGAGCCUUAGUGGUGAGUUGUACUUGAGAGUAAAAAUCCUAACAAACCUCUAAUCCUAGGGUUACUUUUUUUUUUUUUGCCUUUUAAACUCUUUCUCCCUUUCUUUCUUUCUUCUUCCUCUCUCUCUCUUAUUUAUAAAAUCAUUUUUUUGAUUUCAAAAAAUGGUGAAAUACAAAAUAGAACUAGCCUAGCAAAUUCGAUAUAUGUUAUGCCCAUGUGUUGCAUUCAAAUUGUAAUCUCUUGUUAAAUUCAUGAUAAAGUUUACUAGUAUUAUGAAAAGGUUUAGGGGAGUUAUAGAUAGUGAAAUGAUCGAUUCAAAUGACUUUGGCAUUAUGAGUGUAUGGAGCCUCCAUUGUAAAGGGCUUAGCAAUUGGGAUACACUACUAUGCUCUCCCGAUAGGGUUUGAAAUCAACCUAUCAAUGUAGUUAGAGUAUUUGACAACUAAUAAGGAAUUGGAAUACAAGGUCCUACUAGCUAGCUUACCUUUGGCAAAAGAGGUGGGGGUUUUCUGCAUACAAUUAUAUAACUAUUUGUAACUUAUUAUCGAAAAGAUCACAAGACAUGAUGAGGCUUGGAAACCUCAAUUAUGACCUUGCUAAAAUAUUAUUUAAGCCACUAUAUGUGACCUAUAGAGGUUCCACCUUAGCCUUAUCCCUAAAGAAGCUAACCAACAAGUAUAUACCCUAGCCACACAAGUACUAGCUCACCUACGGGAACCUCAAGUAUACGUUACAUAACCAAUAGUGGAAACAUCCCACUUUAUUGUUGAGGUUCAUUAUUGGAUCUUCAAUAACAUGCUUCUAAAAAAUCCCUAUCCUUUAGUACCUCCUCGAGAGGAAGCAAUUAUAAAGGGGAAAAUGAAGCACAGGGGCUCUAAAAAAAAGUUGUAAGGUCGUAUACUAUCAUGAAUUGUGCCAGCUCCUAUGAUGGACCCUACCUAUGUUGCAUAGAUGAGGAAGAUGCUCGAUAUAAUGAAAUUAUCUACAAUGACCUAUUAUUCAUUUCUUUGGGAUACCAUGGGUCAUAGUAUCAAACAAUGGAUUCCAAUUAACCACCCAAAACUUCUAAGAUUUAUAUAAGGAAAUGAGAAUUGAGAAUUGUUACCAUAUUUUGUGGUACCCUUAAGGCAUCCAACCAGCAAAGGCCAAUAAUAAGGUAAUAGUGCAUGAACUUAAGCAAAAAGUUGGAAAAAUCUAAGCGAAUGUGAGUGAAGCAACUUUUCACUAUACUUUGAUCUUACAAAACCACUCAAAGAACGUCUACCCGAGAAGCACCUUACUUUCUCACAUAUAGGAUAGAGGUGAUCAUUUUAACUAUGAUUAGAAUGCCAACCUUGUGUACCUAAAUGAGUAGCAAAGAAGUGCUUGUUGCUAGAAAACAAGAUUUUGAUCUAGUUGAAGAAAGAAAGCAAGUGACACCCAUAAAGAUGAUUAUCUACUAGAGCAAGAUAACCAAAAUCAUAAUGGAAUAAAAACAAGACCCUUGCAUGAAAAAGAUUGAGUUUUGAGAAGGACUUUCCAUGAAAGCUAAGAAGAUGAAAAAUUAUCCUCCCUGUGGAAAGGACGAUUCCUAAUUAAAAGAAUGGGGACACAAUGCAUAUUAGUGGGAUGUUCUUGAAGGAAAGUUUAUACCAUGACCAUGGAACAUGUGCCACCUAAUAAAAACCAAAAUUUAUUAUCUUUAAAUAAAGAGAAACCUUUGGAAGAAAAAUCAUCUAACCCCUAGUGGGCAUAUUUCCUUUUAACAAGCAUAUUACUCUAAUGGGUGCCUUACCUUUCAACGAGAAUCUCUUCCUUAAUGGGUAUCUUGCCUUUUAAUAGUCAUUUUAUCCUCAAUGGGAAUUUUGCCCUUAACAGUUGUCUUAUUCCCUAGUAGACAUCCUAUCUUUUAAUAAGAACCUUGUCUCUAGUAGGGUUUCUACCUUUUAAUAGGCAUCUAAACUAAAUAGGCACCUAAACCUAAUGGGCACCCUUCCUUUUAGCAUAACAAAGUAACAACAUCAAAGAUAAAAAUAGCAAAAUGUAAAGCAUAAAAAGGUCAUAAAGGCCAUCUAAUGUAAUAGAGGCACAAAAGCCAUAAACAAACCAUGACACAAUGGCAAACAAGUGUUUAAGGGUGUGCAGGCCAAACUCCAAAUAAACAACGUAUUAAUUACUCCUCCGAUCUAAUGCAGAGGACUUCAGAAUCUCCCAUAACUUGUAAUAAAAUUAGAGUUAUCUUCGAGGAUCCUUUUAAAGCAGGUUAGACACUAUUCUUGGCCUAGAUGGCUUGAUUAAAGGCUCCAAAAUUGGGUUGGUGUCUUUUGAGGCAUUUUCCUUUAACAUUUGGAUUAUCUCUUUAAGAUGGACUUCAUGCCUAGCAAUAUCCUCCCCUGAUGGAGCAAACUUGAUGUGCAAAAUUUGUGAACACUUGAACACUUAAACUACAUGGGCCUUGAAAUAAAUAAUGCAUUCGACCUUUAGGUUUUCCAUCUCCAUAAACUUUUCCAAUAAAAUUUGAAUACAAAUUUUUUUACUAUUGACAAAUGUUGUGCUCCCACUACUAACCUCCUUUAGCUUUCCCUUUAGGACCCACACUUCCUCUUGCUUCAAUCAAAGCUCUUCUAUGACCUUCCUAUAUAUAUGUUGCUCACUCAUAGUGUGGUCCUUAAGUGCUUGUGAUGUAACCCAUAAUACGAAGAGACCCACCAUCAGGAUGUUCACUCAAUCAAAUUGCACCCCUAGCUCCCUACCACUUAGUUCCUUUAAACUUGCUAGCACCAACUUAAUAUGGUUCAUGUUUCACCUCUUGAACAAGCAACCAAAUAGAGGGCAAAGACGCACACUACGACCAAAUAAAGGGUAGCCAAAAGGGGGGAAAAAGAAAAGCUACUCACAACAUUUGAGUCAAGAAAGAGGGAAAGCAUGGAAAAAAUCUCAUAGAUCAACAUACCAACCAACCAAAGAGUAGCUUAUGGAGCAUUAAAGAAAGAUAAUUAACCCACAAAGCCCCUAAGCUUCUGUCUUCUCAAAGGAAGAUUCCUGUAUGCAAAAUGGUGGAUAAGAGCCUAACUAAUAGUUUUGUCCUAUUAUUAUGAUUCCACUAUAAUCAAUUUGCUAGAAAUAGGAAGGUAGGAGAGGGUCCUUUAAAGAAUGGGGGACAUAUCAAAAUAGGAGAAAAAACAAUUAGGGGAACAUGAAAAGGAAUAGAUGAGAUCUAUAAUUGAAACCUCCAUGGAUUUAAUAGAGUUAAGUAGAUCGGAGGACUUAAAAAAUAAAAGCGAUUUUCUAGAUUCCUGAUAAGAGAGCAUGAGGGACCGAUACAUGAGAAAGGCACGUUUGGCUACCUACAACUCACCUAUACUUUUGUUUGAACAAUUUUAUGAAAUGAAAAAAGAUAUCUAACAUAGGAGGUGAGAAAGCAUGAGCCCAUAAGCAUGAUCAAACAAGGCUGUAAGUAGGUUUUGUUAGGAUGGAAUCAUAGAGUGGGUGCUCUAAGAUCCUAGAGCAACUAGAUCUAAGAACAACAGAAGCAUAUACAUUUCAAAUAUUUAGAUAUAGGUGUUAAAAGGCAUACCUUUACAUCUAGAUGUUCCUAGAUCAUACUCUAGUUAUUACAGGGAUCUAAAAAAACUUGGUGCUUCUACCGAUGACUUUGUCUUUAAUCCUUGGAACAAGUGUAAAGUGACUACACACCUUGAGAAAGAGAGUACUUAAUGUUUUCUCUAGAAGAGCAAUGAAUGAAUAGAUGGAUAGAUAGAUUGAUAACUUGACCUCAAACCCUCAUCAAUCUAACCUUAAACCCUAAGAGAGUUUAUAUAACUUCUUUUGUAAGCUAAUGUGACUUAGGCCCACCAUAGGCUAAGGUCACUUAACCUAGUCAACUAGGUACUAAUGAAUUAAAUAGUUCUAAUGAGCUUCAAUUAAUUAAGUGGCUUAAUAAAAAAAACUUAAAAUACACUACAAGAAAAUGUACUUUUCGUGACAAAAAUUUAGUGGUGAAUUCUACUUUUGUCGCUAAAAGUAACAUUUACCGAUGAAAUUUUAGAUGUUGUCAAUAAUGCCAAUUUUCUACAAACUUUUCCUAACAAAUUUGAAAUUUUUGUCAUUGAAAGAUGUGACAGGAAAAUUUGGCGUUUUGUUUUUGGCGCAAACACUUUUGUGACGAAAAUAAACUAUUUCCCUACGAAAAUAUUUAUCACUAAUUAUAAUUUUUGGUGAUGAAAAUAAUUUCCUCACUAAAAGUUACAACUUUUUAUCUAUUUUUGCUUACAAAAUGGUUUCGUCGAUAAUUAUAUUAUUUCCUAACAAAUUGAGUAAUUUUUUCAUCAAAUCAUGUUAUUAAAUUGUGAUAUUAAUAAAGAAUAUUAAUAAAUAAGUAGAUGAUUUAUACUAUGAAAUAAUAUAAUAUAUAUUUGUUGACACUUAAUAUUUAUACUAUAAUAUUUUAUUUAUAUAAAUAAUAAUAAAAAUUAAGGAUCCAUAAAAUUAAAUACUAGAAUGUAGAUUUAUUUAAAUUUAAAUGUUCUAUUAUGUAAUAAUAGUAUUGUUAUGAAAUAAAAAAAUGUAAAUUAUUUAAGCAAUUAAUAUUUAUAGUGUAACAUGUUAUUUAUAUAUAUAUAUAUAUAUAUAUAUAUAUAAAUAAUAACAAUAGAUAAUCCAAGAUAUGUAAGAUUACAUCCUAUGAUAUAAAUUUAUUUAAAUUUCAAUAUUAUUAUAUGGUGCUACACAUACAUAAAUAUUACUAAAUGAUUUUUAUUAUAUUAGGUAAAAGUUAUCCAUACAAGUCCAAUGUAGUAUUAAAUUUAUGUUAGCUAUGAAUAAGUUAUAGUCCUCUAAUUUGUUCUCAUUCAAAAUCAUACCUUAUCCACUCAAGAAGUAAAUUUCUACUAACAUUUAGUUACCUAGUUUAAAUUAAUAGAUUUUUUUUAAUUAUUACUUAGUUUUUAAAUAAUUGGUUAGAAUUAAAUUUCUCAAAUAAAUUGUCUAGUGUCUAUAAAAACAUUCUACCUACAUAAAAUUCCAAAUAUUAUUUAUGUGUAUGAAGAUAUCAUAUAUUAUUAAUAAAUAAAUAAGUAUAAGUUAAAUAUUAUAUGAUAUAAUAUAUUGCAAGUACUAUAUGCCUAGCUCUAUUUUCAUAUUUACAAAAUAAAAAAUGUACAAUAUAUAUAGCACAUGUGAAAUUCUAUAUAAAUAUAAAGUUUUUUAAAAAGUUUUCAAUCACAUCUUUAUUAAUAAUUGGUUAUUUUAUUUUUUAUUGAUCAAUUUUAUAUUUAUUUUUUUAAAUUAUUAAUUACUAAUUUAUCAAAAUUGAUUAGUUAUUAAGAAUAAAGUCUUAAAUUAUACCGCAAAUAACUUGUAAAGGAGUUUUUAUACUUGUAUGCAUUUUUAAUCAAAUAUUUAAAACAAAUAUAGUUAUAAAAAUAAUUAAAAUAUAUCAUAAAUUAUUAUAUGAUUUAUAUUUAUAGUGUUUCAUUAUGUUUGAUAUUUUUGUUUGGAAUAGAUGAGAAAGGGAAAGAAAAAAAAUGAUGUAGAAUCCUAAUUUCAUUUUGAUCAUUAUUUUAUUAAUGUCAAUAUGAGUAUUACACUUUGGCAUUCUCCUAACAUUGUCUUCCAAUUGUACUUUUAUUUUAUAUUUCAAAUUUAUCACUUUAAUCCAUAAGUCUGGAAUUGAAUUUAUUCUAGCUAUUAAUAAACUAUAGUCCUCUAAUUUGUUCUCAUUCAACAUUAGGUUUGUUUAGAGGUGACAAAAUUUGAUAUGACUUGUCAAUAUGACUUGAAUUUAACACCCUUUCAUGAUUUAGGGUUGAGUAUAAUUGAGUUCAAGUCAAAUUCAUGUCGACUUGCAUACCUUAUUUAAUAAAUAAAUAGUGUUGGCCUUAUGGGGGGGCUAACAACCACCCUAAUGGACUAUGGAGAGUAAGCUUAAAUAAUAUAAGAUCUCCAUUCUAAUCACCAAUUAGUUUUCAGAACAAAUGGGGGUCUUGUCAUAAGAUACUCCGUGGUUAAGCAUGUUGCAGCAAAAGAAAUCUUAGGAUGGGUGACCCACUAGGAAGUAUAGAGCACCUCGAUCAAUAAGUGGUAUCAGAGCCUGGUCACAUGAUUGAUGGGUGAGCUAGCACUGUGGGUGAAUGGUGAAGGCCUGGGGUGUGGCCAAGUUAAACAAAGACGGUAGGCUAUCACCGACUUUUGGGACAAAUUUGAUUUUUUUCGUGACAAAAAUUCUUAGUUUUGUCGAUGAAAUAUUUCGUUGGAAAACACUUCUAGUAACAAAAUUUUAUUUCAAGGAAAACUUUAGGCGACAAAAUAAGAUUUUUGUCAUGGAACUUUUAGUGACGGAUCUAGGGCGAUGAACAAGGCACGAAAGAAUUUUCAUUGGGGAAUGUUUUUGUAGGCAAAAUUUAGACUUUCAAUGACAAAAUAUUUUAUCGUUGAAAGUCAAUUUUCUUGUAGUGAUAAAUAGUCAUAAGUUUUUGUGCAACUUUUAUUUUUACCAAAAUGCCCUUAUGCACACAUAUGAUUAAUUAAACCCAAUUUCCUCAAAUCUUUAUGUCAAUAAAAAUUAUGAACUUGAGCAGGGAUCACUAGAACCCAUAGGAAAAUAUAAGCCCCCUGAUAAUCCAAUUCUAAAGUUGACUCAGCAUUCCACUAAAGAAAAUCAACUACAUUCCAAUGUCCUAUGAUAUUAUAUUGAGAUAAAAUUGAUUAAAUCUAAUUUAAUUAAUUUCUUAAGCUUGUGACCUACUGUCCGCUGCAGAUGGGUUCCUUAUGAGCUAAUGUCCAUAAUCUAAAGAGUUAAUAACUAUCAACCUUAGAAAAUUACCUCUAUAGGAUUACUUAUACAAUCCUUGAGUCUCACAUCCUCCUAUUUUGUGAUUAAUUGACAUACACUAGUUCAUAAAGAACAUAUCUUCAAUCCCACUUAAGCAAUUGUUGUGGCAACAAAUUUCAUAAUCACAAGUUAUUAGGAUCACCUAAUAGGAGACACCAUAUUAAUCUCAUGAGAUAUCAUAAUGCCUUUGUUGAAAAUGUUUAGUGUCACUUGCUUUAAUUAAUAGUGACCCAAUCUAUAGGGAAUUUGUGACCACCUUAGAGUCUUAUCCACAUGUUGAACCCUUUAAAGACCUUAACACUACCUUAAUAUUCUCUUAUGAUUGAAAGUCUAUGUAACAUAGUAACUUCUUAAAGUCAUAACUACUUGGUAGACAAUGUCAUGAUUCAUUGUAAGUCUUGUCCAAUUUGUAUACACACUAGUGAACUCAUCAAGGGAAACCUAACUCAAUAACCAAGAUAAGUCAUCCCUCAAAUUAGGAAAUAGUGCACUAAAACUUUAAAUGGAUUGCCUAAGUCCCCAAACUUACUCUGAGUAACUCAUUAACCUAUAAGGAACCCAUGACAUGAAUCUUUUAUGCACUCUUAACAUACCUAAGUCAUGUACAAUGCAAAUGAUGUAAGUUUGAAUGGUCUUAUAAGUAAUAAUGCAAUCAAGGAUAGAAAAUUAGAAAUUGAAAUCAUAAUAUAAAUAUAUUGAAGAAACCUCAUUUUGUUAGAUCAUAUCAUGCUUUUAAAGGCUCUAUCUUAACAGUUUUGACACGCUAGAUGAAGACAUUUUUAAGACACACUCUUCUUUCUCUAAGUAGCUAUGAAACUCGAAAAAGUUAUAGAUAAUCAAAGGAAGAUUGUUUUGUUUAAAAAUUCCUUCUAGAGUAAAAUUUGAGGAGAUAUUGUGUGGUGGAAUGAUCUCCUAACAAUAAAGUAAAAGAGGGUAGGUAAAUUGAAAGGAGAAAAAAAAAGAAGAAUCAAAGAAAGAAAGUAAUCAUGCAAUUUAGGCCUUAAAAGCCACAAGGGACUCGAAAAUGGAUAUCCUUGUGCUCUAAACCUUCCUAAUCACUAAAGACCAUUAGUAAACCCUUUUUUCCUAAGCCUUGUUGGAGUCAAGGAGUUUCAACACUAAAUCUCUAUCAUUAAAGUUUGGCAUAAAAUCAUCAUUUUUACCCUUGUGCAACUUUAUUGAACAAGGAAAGAGUACCUUUCCUAAAUUGACAUAUUGUCCCUCUAACAUGUUGAGGAUAAUAGUACAAACCAAGAAUGUGACGAUGGUAAGGUUAACUCUAAUGAGAAAAACCCUAGAAAAAUCAUAAAGCUAACAAAUAGUGGAAGAAAAGAGAAAUGAAUGUUAGCCUGGAUGUGGGCAAUCAAGACAUCAUCUCCUUUUGAGAACUCAUAAAGUUAGUCUAAGAAAAACAACCCACUCAACAUAAGAAUAGGCCCCUUAGCAUAACUCUAUCAGGUCUAAAAAUCCUUGGAGCACUUGACUAAGAAGUCCUUGUUCUUUGCCAUAAAAAUUGAAACCCAUACUUGCUCAAAAAACCCAAGAAGAGGAAAAUAGGUGUAAGAAUAAGCCUCAAAGUACUAUUUAGUGAAGAACCACAAAGAGGCAUGAAGAGGGCGAGACUUAACUACCCAUUAAUGCGUAACACUCUAAGAAUCUCAAAAUGCUCCUUGCAUAACAAAUUAUCAUAAUGAUGUAUGGCAUUUUUAAAUCUUCCUCAUCCCUUACGAACUGUUGUCAAAGAAAAAUGAGGGAAAAAUAUAGGGGUGCUUGGUAGAAGAAGGCCACGUGUUAGCAAGAGAAUAGGUAACCAAAACCCUAGGUAUGAUUAUGCUUAUAUCUGAACCCCUUGCACAAGUGCUAAAUGAUUGAUCACUCGCCAACAAGCAUGAAUGAACAAUAAAUGCUAACUUAGACCAUACUCAUGUGACCUUAACAAAGUCUAUGCCUUGAUAUACGGAAACUCCAACUACUCCCUCAAAGGCCUUGUAUAAAAGUGACCACAACCUCUAUGCCAAGUAAGUAUUCUAAAAUCCAAGAAAUUAGCCUUUUGGAUUGACACUCAUUCAUCUAUUAGUUCCCUCAUUCUUUCUACGAACGACAAAAAAAUCAUGAUAAAUCGACAAUAUGUUAACAAAAUAUCGAAUUUUGAUUGGCACUAAAGCAACACAUAGUGGAGAAAUUUCAAUCAACCAAUUUUUUUUUAAUCAUUUUUCGGGGUAUUUAUGGGUUUUUUUACCAAUUUUUUUAGUCUAGUCAACAUGUGGCUGGCUCGGUCAAACUGCCUACUCAGUCAAAAUCAAUCAAACUUCAAAAGUGAACAUGGUUUGAUGUAGGGGGGGUUUCGAACCUAGACAAAAGGUUCUACACCUACACCACAUGACCAUUGGGCAUUACCCUUUAAUCAAUAUCAUUCACUAAUAUAUAUAUAUAUAUAUAUGUAUGUACGUAUGUAUGUAUGUAUGCAUGUAUGCAUAUAUGUAUGCUGAGAAAUAAAACUGUCAUUGCAGGUAGAUGGUGGAAAUCCUUGUUAAUAUUUUCAAUCUCAUCUUCAUCCCAACUAAAGACCAAUCUUGAAAAUUGAUGUCCAUCUGCCUUUCUUAUUUCUCAUGUGCCAAACUUAUUCUUAAUUAUGCUCUUAUUCCAUGGGCUUUGUGGUGUAUCAGAGUCUUACUAUCCAUUUAUAACACAAAAUGACCUAUUAUAUAACAUAAAAUCAAAUAAAUAAUAACAUGCAAUUGUGUGCCUUAUAUUUAAUUUUUAUUCAACAAAAUUAGGGAUAUUCAUAUAUUUUGGUAGAAUUCAUUAAGCUUAUAUUUGGUUGGGAUGAAUUUUGAUAGAAAUUAAGAAAUAGAAAUAAAAUAUAUAUAUAUAUAUAUAUAUAUAUAUAUGCAAAAAUAUAAUUUUUUUCCCUACUGUUUAUUUUACUAUGAAAAAAUUAAAUGAUAUAAAAUUAAAUAUACCUAAGAAAUGCAUUUUUAUUCCCAAAUUGUUUCCAACUUUUCUGAGGAAAGUGGAGAAAAAAUUUUAGAAUUCCUCCUGCCUUUUUCUGUAAUAUUUUUCUUACAUUUUCAUGUCAUCCAAAGCCAUGAAAAUUAAUUAUUCUUUUCUCUAUAAACAAAAGCAAGGGAGAUGCAGCGAAAAACACAAAGAAAAUUAAAAGAGUCAAGCGAGUAAAGAAACUAACAGUGAUAUAUUAUGAGUUCCCAUAACUCGAAGCGAUUUCCACUUCGGAAAGCCCAAGGCCUUUUAGCCAAUACCGUCAAAGGGGUUUUAACAUCAUCAGAAUCUUUAUCAUCAUAAGAAUCUUUAGCAUCACCGAAAUUGCAUGUGGCAAGGUCAGGAAAACGUUUAACCAGAUACAGUGCUACAUCUGCAUAUUACAAAAUUGUACAUGGGAACCCGACGGUAAUUCAUAUCAAGAAAAUAGAUAGGGGAUGGUAAAUAUAGCUCACCAUGAAACCCCACCAUUAGUGCUCUGUGCAGAAGUAUGACUCCAGGCUUGUCUGCGAAAGGACUUGGAUCUACAUCAUCUCUGGUGACGCUUAAUAAAUAUAAAGUCAGCUCUUUAUGACCAUACCUAAGAGCGCUGUGAAGAGGCACUAAAUUGCCUUGGUUGCAGGUAUUGAGCAAGCUUGGGCUUUUGUUCACUAACAACUUGACUGCUUUUAUAUUGUCAGCCCUUACAGCGUUGAAAAGGGCAGUGGCGCCAUCAGAAUCCUUCAGAGCCAGUUUAUCUAUUGGCAUAAAGUCAACCAACUGCUCCACGAAACCCAUUCUGGCCUCUCCUAACUCAACUGCUAUGUGAAGCAUUGUUGAAUUAUCUAUUCCGAUCGGGGCGUCCAAUAAUUGUGGCUCACGCCCCAAUAAUUCUGAAGCACUUUCCCAGUCACCAUUGACCACAGCUUUGUACAGUUCCGAGUAAUAGAUUAUAUCUGCAUCAUAGAAUUCUGCAGUCACAAAACCAAAAGAUGUAUAGGUCAGCCUAGAUUUCCCUGAUAUGUAUAUUUCUUCAACGUUCACAACAUCCUAAUACUAAAAUUACUUUUUUAAAAAUAAAUCAUUUAAGUUAUGUUUGGUUCUUAGAAAAUUUGACAAAAAUUACAAGGAAAAGAAAGUAAAUUGAAAAAAAUAGCUAGAAGGUGAGAAAAAGUGAAAUAAAAUAUAUCUAAAAUCAAUAAAUUAAUUAUUUUUAUAUGUUACUCAUUUCACUUAUUUUAACUAUUCAAUAUAAAAAUUAAAUAAUUUAAAAUUUCAUAAAUUUAUAACUAAUUUUAAUUAUAUUUGAUUUUCUUAAAUAUUUUUUUCGAUAUAACCAAAUAUGGGAAAAUCAUUUUGCUUGAUAUAUUGCCUUUGCUAAUUAUUUUCUUGGACUUCUUUGUUUACCUCUAAUCAACAUCUUUAUAUCUUUCAAUAAUAGUUUGAACCUCCAAUAAACUACACGAAUUAAAAUUUAAUUUAGUUUCAUUUGUUUUUUUAACAGCAGGUUGUAAAACAGUUCUACUUGUAAACUAAUUAUGCCCAAAAGUUGCAUAAGGACUUGGGCAUGAACAUGGUUUUUAGAAUCUUACCGGAGCUGCUAGUUCUUUGCAAAGAUGAAGGGGAAGAGACUGAAGCAUUGUUUGGGCUGUCAUCAUUACCGAGAUGGUAAUGAAGAGGAAGCCAUUGCAGUACACUCCUCAUCAUCCUCAGCAAUGUCGAUGUUACUGUUUUUAGGACGUAGUGAAGAAGAAGAAGUCAUCACAACAAAUUCCGAACAUGAAACUUUGGUUUAUUCGACUCUUUCAUUAUAGACGGAUAAAUUUCCAAAUUUAAGACAUAGACAAAAUUAAAAAAAAAAAAAAACUUUACUUGAUAUAUGAAUACCAAAAUAAUAAUAUUGUGUGUAACAAAAAGGAGAAUGAAUCCUGGUUGAAUGAAUAGUGCAUGCAGAAUCUUCAACUGCAUUGACCCAAAAGAUCAAACCGAUAGAAAAAAAAAAUGAAUAUAUUAGAAUUCAACUAGGUCAACCACAUUCCAUCCAAGUCAAAUACCAGCCCACAAUCGCAGCAAACAAAGACUAGCUAGCCAGUGCGUUUAAUUUCAUCCAAUAAGAAUUCCCUCAAGCAAAAAGCCAGGAAACAGAAGUAGUAGGAAAGCCCUAGCCUUGCACCAAAAAAGUCUCGUCUCAUUGCUGGGAGUGCAUGCAUCCAUGCAGGAUCUGUUGGAUCAGAAAUUGGAAGAGCUAAAGUCCAGGACAUACAGAAGCGGUCGCCGGAGCCAAACCUAGUGAGCUUCCAUUUAAAGAUUAAAGCUAUGUUUGGUUCCCGAAAAUAUUAAUUUUCUACCAUGUAUCCAAGGGAAUCAAGGGCCUCAUAUGAUUCGAUGUUAUAAAGUCGGCCUCUACAAUUUAGAUUAAAAAAAUAGUUUGUUUCAAAGGAUAAUCCAUCAAAGAAGAAUGAAACAACAUUCUCAUCCUAAUCUUCUAACCUAACAUUGGUGAAACUUUUUAAACUCGUUUUCUUUGAAAUUGAUCAACUGAUCCAUGAUGGAAAACGACCUACAUGCAUGAAAGCAACCUAGGUAGUCUUCAAAGUCCAUUUUAGCCAUAAAAAUUCAAACACCCAACUUCUAAAACUAGAAGAGGUUGAACUAAAAACGAAAGAGAUCGAAACUAAUGAUUCUAUUCUUAACAAAAAUUCAUAGCCUACCCAACCUCACACGAAAACACUUCUUGAAUUGGUUGGCAUCACUUCCACAUGGAAAUGGCAUCAAAAAAUGCAUGCGUCUCAUAGUUGUAUUCUUAUUGUUGACUAGUGUCCCAUGUCACGCCCCAAGACCCACUCCAAGGGCGUGACGGUCAUUUCACACCUCAAACCCGAAGGCUUAAAGUAUAAUCUGACCCAAACAAUCAUAUUGUAAUUGGAUGUUACCAAUUACCAAAUACCUGUUCAGAGUAGCGGAACAAAAUCUAAAAUCCUAAAAAUUUAAUUUCCAAAUAACUUCCAAAUAUCAAAUGAUCCAAAUAAAAGUUGCAGAAGGACCUCAAGCGGAAAUGGACAUGAACAUGGUUUUUAGCAUCUUACCGGAGCUGCUAAUCCUUUGCAAAGAUGAAGGGGAAGAGACUGGAGCAUAUUCAUCAGCAUUCUGCGCCAUAUUGAUGCUACUACGGUUAGGAUUGUUUGGGCUGUCAUCAAUUACCGAGAUGGUAAUGAAGAGGAAGCCACUGCAGUAAACUCCUCAUCAUGCUCAGCAAUGUCGAUGUUACUGUUUUUAGGACUGUUUGCGCUGUUGUCAUUUCUAGGACGUAGUGAAGAAGAAGAAGCCAUUACAACAAAUUCCUUAUCGUUCUAUAGUAUUGCCAUGUUUAGCGAAGUUAUUCUAAUGUGUAACAGAAAACCUAAACAAAAUCUGCAGUUGACAAAGGUCAAAAUUAACUUACCUCGCAGAUGGAAGAUUAUAUUUAACUAUAUCAAGGCAGAGAAGAUACUCUCAUCCAAAGAGAAACAACAGCAGCCCUUUUUCCCACUGUCUUCAAAAGAUACAGGAACCAUUGAAGCAUAAGAGGUGCAAUGAUAUAGUCUUCCAAGUCAACUUUAUUUAGUUGAGUAUUGGGUAAGGAGUAGACAUGAUAAACAAUAGUAAACAUGUAUCAAAUAUAAAAAAUUUCUCACAAGUGAUGCAAUUAACAUUUUUUUUCUUCAAUAAUAUGUAUAAUAUAUACCAUGUGAUGUAUUAUUUAUACUUUAAGCUUUGUUUGGAUAUAUUUUUUAUUUUUUAUAUAUAAAAAAUAAAUUAUAUUUUAAAAUUUGUGUAAUAUAAAAAAGUUAUUAUUUUUUAGUAUUUGAUAUAAUACAUUUAUAUAUUUAUUAAAUUAUGACAAUAAAUGAAAAUAAAGUGGAGAGGACGAUGUAGGUUGGCAAACCUUUCUGGAGUGAAUGCAGCGCAGCAAAAGAGAAGGUACCAUUAACUUGAAUGCGAGAAGGGUGAUUGAUCUAUCAAUCUGUACGUGUCCUUCUUGAAAGGGACCAGAUUUUAUGGGGUUGCUUAAGGAUUAAUGUGGGUGCCUGUAGCAUGAAAGUGAAAAGAAUUUUGGGUCACCAAGGCGCCUCCCAUAAAAAUAUAUCUUUUAGGUCCUUUUUCCCCAGAGUGUCCUAUCAUCCUCUGAUAAAAAUAAAAUUUUAAUUAAUAAUUAAUAAUUAAAUUUUUAAUUCAAAAAUAAAAUUAUAAUUAUUAAUUAAGAUUUUGAUUAAAAAAUAAAGCUUCAAUGGAUAAUUAAAACUUUAUUUUUAUCUCAAAUUUUAAUUGAUAAAUAAAAUUUUGGGCUAAUAGUUUUUAGUAAAAAAGAUUUAUAUUCUUUCUUUGGGCAAAUUGAACAUAGACUUAGAUUUCACUUAGAAUGAUAAACAUUCAUGGAGCCAAAUGUAAAUCCGCACUCUUGGGCAUAAUAUUAUUGAGCCAUUGGUUACCAAAAAUUACUCUAAGGUAUCAUACCCACCUUUUAGGCCAAUAAAAUUAAGAAACAUGACAAGGAAAUUAAAAAAACCAAUUCUCCAGGUUUAGCAUGGUUGCCGAGGGAAUUAAUCAUGUGCACCACACAUUGCUAUGAUCGUUUGCAAUAACCAAUUAUAUAAAAUCUGUUGAAAUAUUUUUGUAAAAUGAUAAAAUUUUACAAAAAUGAUAAUUUUUUUUGUAAAAUAUAGAAAAGGAUACAAGGCUAUUAGUUCAUAAUUGCAUGAUAACCUUUUAGUAUUUCAAUCUUUGAUUUUUUUUGGAGAUUAUUUCCAUAAAUUCCACAUUCCAAAAACAAUGAUAAUCUUUACACAAUAUUAUUGUUAUUUAAAAUGGGAAAAAAAAUAUAAAAAAUAAAAAUUUCAAAAAAAAAUUAGAGAUCACAAAGAAUACAAGGAUACGAAGAAGGUGAGGAUUGUCAUAUUUUUUGUACUCUCCUCACAUUCUUCAUGCCCCAAACCAUUUGAAUAUUUUAAUCUUUUAAUUGUUCCAAACAUUAUUUACUUCAAUUGCAAGUGUAAUUAGCGUUUUUACACAAUAUUAUUUUCAAAUGAAGUAAAAAAGAAAUUCAAAAUUAAAAAUUUCAAAAAAUUUAGAGGGUACGAAGAAUGUGAAGAGCCUCACAUUUCUUGUACCCUCCUCAAAUUCUUCGUACCUAUUGUAAUUUUUAAAUUUUUUAAUCUUUCAAUUUUUUCGAACAUUAUUUGCUUCAAUUUCAAGUGUAAUAAAGAUUUUUACCCAAUAUUAUCAUCAAGUGAUGUGAAGAAAAACUUAAAAUUAAAAAAAUUUAGAGGGUACAAAAAAUAUGAGAGAGGAGGGUGUGAGGAAUGUAAAAAAGGGUAUGAGAAAUGUGAGGGUACAAGAAAUGAAAAAAAGAAAAAAAAAAAAUCUCAUACCCUCCUCACUUUCUUCGUACCCCUACAAAUUUUUUAAUAUUUUAAUCUUUCAAAAUUUUUGAACAUUAUUUGCUUCAAUUUCAAGUGUAAUUAGUCUUUUUACAAUAUAUUAUUAUCAAGUCAAUUUAAAAAAAUUAAAACAAUUUAGAGGGUACAACAAAUGUGAGGAGGGUGUGAGAAAUGUGAAGAGGGUAUGAGAAAUAUAAGGGUACAAGAAAUGAAAAAAAAAAAAAAAAAUUCAUACCCUCUUCACAUUUCUUGUACUCUCCUCACAUUCUUUGUAUUUUCACCAAUUUUUGAAUAUUUAAAUUUUUUUUCAAAUAUUAUUUGCUUCAAUUUCAACAAAAUUCUCAUACCCUCACAUUUUUCAUACCCCACCAAUUUUGUACUAUUUUAAUAUAUAAUUUUUUUUAAACAUUAUUUGUUUCAAUUUCAAGUGUAUUUAGUCUUUUUACACAAUAUUAUUGUCAAGUGAAGUGAAAAAAAAAAAACAUAAAAUUAAAAUUUUCAAAAAAAUUAAAGGGUACAAAAAAUGUGAGAAGGGUAUAAAGAAUGUGAAGAGGGUGCAUAAAAUGUGAGGGUAUAAGAAAUGAAAAAACAAAAUUUUCAUCCCAUUCUCACAUUCUUUGUACCUUCACCAACUUUUAAAUAUUUUAAUCUUUUAAUUUUAACCCAUCUAACCCUUAUAAAUCGUGUCAUUAAGGAAUAUGAGCUCAAAGUAAGGACCAUUGGGAUCCAUAGGAGUAUUGGCUCCCUUAGAAUCAAAUUCUGAAAUUGAUUCAACAUCCCACUAUAGAGAGUCAACUACACUUUAAUAUCCUAUGUAUAUUACAACAAGACACCAAGUACUUGGGUUUAUGAUCUACUAUCUAUUGCAUGCAAACUCCCUAUGAACCGGUGUCCGUAAUCUAAUAAGGUAGUGUUGUCACCUAUCAAGAUUACCCCUCAAAUCCUUUAGUUAAAAAUCACACUUAUUAUGUGAUCAAAUGACAUACUCUACCUUUAAGGGGCAUAUGUCAAAUUCCACUGAAGGAAUUACUAUGACCACUGAUUUCAUGAUCACAUGCCCUCUGGAUCACCCAAUGGGACAUAUUGUCUCAAUCUAAUGAGAUAUCAUGGUGCCUCUAUUGAGAAUACCUAUUGUCAUCAACCUCCAUCAACAGUGACCCAAUUCAUAGGGAUAUAUGACCGCUUUAGGGUUUCACUCAUAGGUUAAAGUCUUCUAUUAAUUUUGGCACAAAUUCAAUAUCCUCUAAAGUUGAGAGUCUAUGCAGUAGAGUAGCUUAGUGAAUCAUGAUAAUUUAUAGUCUUGCGUCAUGAUUCACAUAGGUCCUAUCUAGUGUGUAUCACAUACAUUAGUAUAUUCAUCAUAGGAAACUCAUCCCAACGACCAAGACCAGUCAUCCCUCCAAUUAGGAGGUAGUGCACUAUAGUCUCUACUGAAUUGCCCAAAUCCAUGAUCCAACUAUGGACAACUUAUCUACUUAGAAGGAAUCCAUGACUUAUACAUCUGUGCAACUCCUAAUGCACCCAAAUCAUGUACAAUGUAAGAAACAUGGGUUGAAUGUUCAAAUCAGUGUCAAUACACUAGAGGGAUAACAAGGGGAUAGUUAAAUCUAACUUUGUUACAUCAUGUCUUACUUAGUUAAGUUUAAUUUUAUUACAUCGUAUCUUGCUUUUAGGGGUUCAAUUCCAACAAACUCCUACUAGCCCCAAAAGUAUACUAUGUAUUGUAGAAAAAAUCUACUCUACAGUCACGUCACCUUUCUAUACUAUCCCACAGCAAGGUAUCACUUGCUUUUUAUAUGUUCCCUCUUAUAGUGGUACUUUAGUUCUUUGGACUAUGCCACCAUCCUAGAUAAUAGUAUCUUAAACAAUACAACCAAUGGAAAUACCCAUAAGCCAAAGGCUUCCUUUGUUGCCAUAGAAGUAACAAAAACCACUUAGAGUGUACACAAUCCAAGAGGUAGACAUGCAAGAGUCCUCAUCAGAAUGAAAGUCCAAUUUCUCGAUACAAGGACUCACAAACAUAUAAUCCUUCAUUCUCUAUGGAUACUAGAGUAUAUGUUUGACAUUCGCCUAAUGAAGAAAUGAACUAAUAUCUACUCAUUAUUCCUAUAACAAAGCAAAUAUCUGGUCUAGCACAUAUCAUUGUAUGCUUAAGGCUAUCCAUUGCAAAGGCAUUAGAUACCAUCUUAAUGCGAUCUCUCUCCACAUAUGUCCAAGGACAUUGAUCUUAAGAAAGAUAACUCCAAAUCCAAAGAGUAACAAACCUUUCUUAGAGUUUUACAUCAUAUACUUGACCAAAUGCUCAUUAAUGUAGAUGACAUGGCACAAUUUUUCAUAUUCCUACAAUGCUAAAGGACCUUAACCCUAUGAAUAUAUUAUGCCUUCAUCUAGAUUUUUAUCUAGAACUGAGUAAACAACUAGAUCUUGACAGAUGAAAAUAUCCUUACAUCAUAUCCAAUGAGUAGAUUAUCAUCUACCUACAAGAUCUUAGAGCAUUACCAUGCUCCCCUAUGCUUUCAUGUACACACAAGGCCCAUUGCUAUGAAAAUGUUUGGUUGCUAUAUCUCAUAAAUGAGACACAAUGCAAUAGAUAAGAGUAAUCUGAUAGAUUUGAGUAUGAUCACUAUUGAAAAGGUUUUCCACAGUUGAAACAAAGUUUCAAACUAUAACCUUUAGCUAUAGUCUUAGCCACAUAAAACUCAAGCUUUCCAUCUACUCUUGUAGACCAUCUUACACCUAUGAGUUUUAUCCCUUUAAGUGCUUCUAUAGGAACUCAAACUAUGUUAAAAUGCAAAGAUUCUAACUACCUCUUCAUAGCUCAUUACCUUAAGUGAGCAUAAACACUACUCAAUGCUUCAUCAUAAUCUAUGACAUAUAAACUUCCCAUUAUGAUAAGGCACUGUUGUACUCAAAAUCAUAGGAAUGGUAUGCCUUAAACCCUCUAGAUCCAUAGUAUCAUAUGCAAUGUGGGACUAUCUUCUAAUAUAUCUUCCAAUCAUUAUCAUUUUUUGCCUUAUUCCUUAUAAUAUAGUUUUCAUAAAACAAAAUUGACAUUUGUGUUAACAAAUAUCUUCUGAUGAUCCUAACUAUAAAGGUAAUAACCUAAAAAUCCUCUUAUACAUCCUAUAAAUUGAUAUACCUCUUAAGAAAAAGGGUAAUCACCUUUUUAAAAAAUAGUAGGUAAAAUAUACUUGAUACAUACCUUCAACCACUACAAGAAAAAAGGUCAUUGUUGACAUAUUAUUAUCUUGACUUAAGGUGAAAUGUGUCAAUGUUGCCUAUUUUAAUGAACAACUAUGACAUAUACAACUUGUUUAAACCAAUAAUGACAUAUAUAAAAUUUGUUGAAUUCUUUCAUGACUUAUAUAGUAGAAUCUUGACAAAUAAUUUAUGAGUCAAUGUAUUCAAGGUACUUAAAUAAAAGCAAUAAUGAUAAUAAUUUGUUUGAUAUGUGUAUAUCUAAUUUACUUACUAAGUAUUAUAAAUUGAAGUGACAACAAUCAAUUUUGAUUAAGGAAGUUAAUAUUUAAUAAAUUUUUUUAGUAAUGUUAAUAUCAAUUUUCAUUUUUUUUAUCAAAUUGAUUAAAUCAUUUUUUAGUCUAUAUCAAUAGCACUGAAAUAAAUUUGUGUACAUAAUUUUUUAUGCACUAAUUUUAGUGAAAUAAAAUUUGCUACAUUAUGGUUUUUUUAUAAUUGGAUAUAAAUAAAAUCAAUACUAAUAAAGUAUUUUUUUUAUUCAUUGAUGUUAAUGAUUUUUUUUUUUUUUUUUGAGUUUGUAUUAAUAUAAUAUUUUUUUCAUAAACUGUUUUUCAUUAUUUUUAAAUUAGUAAGUAACUUGUAUUUGAUUUAAAAAUAAUUAAUAAAUUUGUGUAAGCUUGAAAAUUAAGAUAUUUGGAAUUUUGAUUUAUCAAUUCUUCGGCAUAAUAUCAGGUUUCAAAAUUUUAUUUUUUAAGUUAACUCAUACAAAUUUAGACAUUAGGAAAGAAGAAAAUUAAUUAUGGAAAAUUGACAUUAUAAAAGUUAUAAAUAUAUUCCAUGAAUUGAUUUUCAUAAAGAUAUUAUUAUUAUUAGUAUUAUUAUUAUUAUUAUUAUUUGUUUAUUUACUUUAUGUUUUUAUUUUUUAUUUUAUUUUCAUUUCUUUUUUAAAAUGCUUAUUUUAUUUUAUUUUAUUUACCUAAAAAAAAGGGCUUUGAAAAAUGUAGAACAAUCCAGCUCCAUUCGGGAAAAAUCUCUCUCUAGAUUGAUGGUUCCUGUUGAGUGGUAGAAAGAGAAAUUAGGUUUUUGAUUUUGAGAAGCAAUCUUCUAGGUUUUGACCUUUAAGGCAAAAACUACUCAUCAAAACGCAUUUGUUUCCGAUUAUCUGGUCUUAGCCACAUCUUAAUUAUUCAUAAAUUUUUAGCCCCAAAAUUCAUUCUGUUCUUAUUCAAAUCAAUAUCUGAGUAAGAGUAUGUCUGUGUCAUUAACCCAUAUUUCUUGGUGGUUAUGGAGUGGAAAACACCAAGAGCCCAAAAGACUCUCCAAUGGAUCUUCUUUAAAUUCUUCUCAAGAUUCAGGUUUGUGGGAGUCGGAUGCUUUGAAAUUCCCUUUAGUUAAGGGGACUUCUUCAUUCACAUUUCAACUCUUUUUUUCUCCCAGAACCUCUUGAUUCUCUGAAUCUCAAAGUCUCCCAAUCUCCCGCACCUCGAUCCACGCAGAUCUCCGAUUUUUGCUAUUUUUUAUUUUUUUUUUCUUCGUGAGAAUUUUCAACCUAGGGUUUUGAUUUUGUAUGUUCUAGUUUUUGCUUCGAUCUCCUCGAUCUCGGUUCCGAAUUCACCCAAGGUUUGAUCGUUUGAUUGUUGGAUUGUUUGGUUCAUCUCAUGGAGGCGAUCGAUGAGCUCAUGCAGCUGUUAGGGUCUAUGUGCUAGGCCGCGGCACUGCUGGCGGAUGAAGAUGUGGAUGAGAAUUCGAGUUCCAGUUCUUCUCAUAGGGGUUCAACUUUUCUUAACGUUGUUGCUCUUGGAAAUGUCGGUGCUGGUAAAUCUGCAAUUUUGAACAAUUUGAUUGGACAUCUUGUUUUGCCUAUUGGAGAAAAUGGUGCUACUCGGGCUCUAAUAUGUAUUGAUUUACAAAAGGAUUGUUUCCUAAGCAGCAAGUCGAUCAUCUUACAAAUUGCCAACAAAUCUCAACAAGUUUCUACAAGUGCUCUUCGACAUUCUCUCCAGGACAAGCUGAGUAAGGGUGCUUCAGGCAAGAACCGAGAUGAAAUAUAUUUGAAGCUACGAACUAGUACAACACCUCCUCUGAAACUGGUUGAUUUGCCUGGAUUGGAUCAACGGAUUAUGGAUGAGACAUUGGUGAGUGACUAUGCUCAGCACAAUGAUGCCAUUUUGCUGGUUAUUGUACCUACUGCCCAGGCACCUGAAAUGGCUUCAUCUCGAGCUCUCAAAAUUGCUAAGGAAUAUGAUGGAGAUGGUACAAGAAAAAUCGAUGUAAUUAGUAAAAUAGAUCAAGCUGCAUCAUACCAGAAAAUCCUUGCUGCUGUUCAGGCUCUCUUGUUAAAUCAGGGUCCUCGAAGUACAUCUGAAAUGCCAUGGGUUGCUUUAAUUGGGCAAUCUGUUUCAAUUGCCUCUGUCUGGAUCUAUUGGGUCUGCAUGAGUUUGAUAGCGUGCCUAAAAGAAUGUCUAUUGUCAUCAAAUUCCCCAACGAUACUGUGAAAGACUUGGUGAAAGGUGUUGAUUCUUAAAUGUUUAGCAUUUUAGCAAAAGACAGUGGGAGGAAUAGUCAUGUAAGGCCGGCAACUCAGAGCCAUUUCACUGAAUAUUCAUCACAAGGCUUACUCACACUUGUAGUUGCUGCUAGGGAUAUUAUUGAUGAGGAACUUUCAGAGUGGCAGUGUAAGUAUGAAAAUGCAAGCACUUCAUUGACUGAUAGAUCCGUAAAACUUCAUCAAACAACAACUUUCAUUGAAUGCAAAUUAAAUCUUCUUGGGUCUACUAGGAUGAGAAUAAGGCUUCCACUUUGAACCUCCACUACACAUCAGUUUAUUUUUUGUAAAAAAAAAAAAAAAAAGAAUGCUGCCACUUUAAGAAUAUGGCACCACCAGAUUUUGUGAAAGGCAUCCACACAUGAAUUUGGAGGGCAACCAUACCAUGCAAAGAAGAUGAUUGCCACUUUAAGAAUAUAGGUUUAGUUAUUUUUUAUUUAUUAGUCUUUAAUCUUAUCAUUAUUAUUGGUGAAUUAACCUCACUUUUGUAGAAUCAUUGACGCUUGCUAUAUAGGUACGCUCUCUCUCUUCCCAUUUUAAAGUUUCAUGAAUAUGUAUGUCAUUAAGAACUAUAUCCUCAUUUGAUAUUGACUUUGGGUGCCUUGAUAUUCAUUUGAUUUCCUUUGAUAAAAUGCAUGUUGAGUAAUAUAAUACUUGAAAAUUGCUAUUUUGAUACUUGUUGCUUACUUUGCUAUUAACAUGUGUCUAUCCUACUAGGUAUUCAAGAAAUAUAGCAAAAAAGAAGAAGAAGAUGAAGAAUUAAUGACCACCUCUUAUGAAGAUAGUAUUGUACUUUUUAAUUUAAGUUUAUAUAUUAUCUUAAUUGAAUAUUUGUAAUUAGUUUUUUUUUGUAUAUAGAAAAUAGAGAGUAAAUAGAAAAAGAUUUAUUCCAUUGUGUUUUUAAUAUUCAAAUGUAUCUAUAACAAUUUUUUUCCCUUGAGUAAUAGUUUAUUUACAUUGUUUUAGGACUUAGUUAUUAUUAUCAUAAUUAAAUAUGUAUCAAAAUUAAUUUGGAAACAAGUUUCAUAUGGUAACAAGUUUAUUUUCCAUUAAAACUAAAAAUUAUAGUAAAAUAAUAUUAAAUUUGUCAUAGGCAACCUUGACAGAUGGCCAAUGCCCAACAUUGACAUUGCAAUAGCUAGAAACCUUCACAUAUUAUACUUAUCCUUGACAUUUGUUGUAGCAACCUUAACAGAAUAUCAAAUUAACAUUGACAUAUGAUAAAAAAAUCUUGACAUAUGUUGAAUCCAACCUUGACAAAAGUGAAAGAAACAUUGACAUAUGUCAUAGUAACAAAGAUUCGAUCAUUGGUAGAAAUAGAAACAACCUUGACAUAUGUAAAUGUCAAGGUAGAUUUAAACUUUUCUUGACACUGGAAUAGAUGACAUAUAUAAAUAGUAACAUACCUUGACAGAUAUACCCUACCUUGAUGGUGAAAAACUGUCAACGAAAGGCUUUUUUCUUGUAGUGAACCUUUUUCUUGUCUUACAUUUUGGUCUCUUAUAUUUCAAAUCCAUCAUUUUACCCAUUCAAACUUAUUAGAAAGCAAUACUUCAAUAUCAUUUGCAAACCCUUUAUAAAUUAUAAAAAGGAAUUUUUUUUUCCACAUUCUUGUUUGAACAUUGGUUUGAAUUUAGGUAAAACCAAUUUUGAAUUGAUAGCCUUGGGUAGUAUUUGAUUACUACUCAAAAAGUGCUCUUUGGUAGCUUGUAUUUAACCCUUUUAAACACUUUUGAGUAGUAGUUUUGGCCUUUUAACUCAAUUGGCAUGUUAAGGACCCUUGAAAGCAAUUUUAAUCACUUUGUGUAAGUUUUGGUGUUUUUGUUAGUAAUUUGAUCACCAAAGCAAUCCAAGAUUGAGGAGAGUUAUGAGGAAUCUUGGGCAAAUCUUGGAAGUCAUUUGCCAAGAGUAAAUCCGGAGUGCAAGGAGAAGAAGUAAAGAGAAUCUGCCAUGAAGCAUAUUCUUGAUGACAGUCGUGGCAGCCACUUUUGGAGCACUUUAUGAAGUCUAAUUAAUGCAUGCUAUAUACCAUUUCAAAGCUCAGGAAGUCAAAAAUCCAAUGCUUUAAACGGUACGUAAUUCGGAGUUGAAACGAAGAAGUUACAGCCAUUGCAAGUCAAUCACUCCAAGCUGAAGGAAGCAUUUUGCAAAAGGUUGCGAAAUCACCCUUUUGUUGCGAAGUGAUUUCGCAGCCUUUUUGUAUAGUGUGGUGUAUUUCCUCCUGAAGUUGCCCGAUAUAUGCCACAAGCUGGAAGCUGAGAACCUCAAGAUGGAAGCCAACUUCGCAGCCCUGCGAGAAUAACCUUUUGCUGCGAAGUGAUUUCGCAACCCUUUUGUGUGUCUGCGAAAUCUCGCAGACAUCAUUUUCUCUUGCGAAAUGGUCCGUAGUGCUUCCCGAUAUUUGCUACCGACAUUGGGAGAUAUUUUCCAUCAGAUUUUUGUUGUCUAAAUCCCAAAAUACUCCUUGUAAGCCACCAAUUACAAGAUUCCUUAGCUUUUAAGUUAGUAAAAAGAGAAAAUAUCUAUAUAAUAAUUAGUUUUGUAUUAUGUUCAUAUAUAUACUCUUCGAGAGCCUGUUCGAACGAGAGGAGACCCUUUGUAAAGUUUUGAAAAGCAAGUAAAGUUCAGGCCCUUUGUUUUGCCUUACCUUCUCACUUUGUAUUAUUUAUUUCUUACUAAGUUAUGCACUCUCUAAGGAAUUUUCCCCAGAGAAUGAGUAACUAAACCUCUAGUUCCUUGGAGCUAAGGUUGCCGGGGAAGGUUCCAAGUGCAAGAAUGCAAAGCUUUGUGGUUUCAGCCAUCAAUGAAGAGGAAGUGAAAUCCUUUAGUGAUUUCUAUGUUUUUAGUUAACUUAAAACACCUUAGAGUCACCUGGGCCAACACUUGGUAUAGCAAGUGAUCUCCAACCAAGGAGAUGCAUUAGUUUACCCCUUGCGAGCCUCUGGGAGGCGACUUUAAGGUAGGAUUUUUUGGAAUUGCCAACACUUGGUAAGCUUUUAGACUCCAAGGAGACAUCCAUUAGUUAUCUCUUGCGAGCUUGAGAAGGGAAGUCUAAGGUUAAAGAUCACCUUGAAUGGUUAAGGCUUAGUUAGAGGCUUGAACCAUUGCAAGUUGCAUCAAUGAGAGAAUUAAAGUUGAAAUCUAAUUAAAGGAUGUAUCUGUACAACACCGGUUAGAGAAUUGACAAUAUGUUGAAUCUCUAACGCGAGGAAAUGAACCAUUUGACCGGAGCUAUGUCUUUUGCAUGAGGAACCACCCCAGUGAACUUGACUCUCCAAGGAAUGUUUUUCUUCCUAAGUUAUUCCCAUUACUUGUUUUGUUAGUUAGUUUGAAUCUAAAUCUUUACCAAUCAAGGUUUGAGUUUUAUUUCUUAAGCUAACCUUGAAAUGAAACACUACCAAUUCACUUUGAAUUGAUAUCAUUGAUAACUUGCUAAUCCUUCCCAGUGAACGAUCCUAGAGCCACUAUACUAUAGUAGAUUUUUCUUUGCUACCCUAGUAUAUGGUGUAAUAGGUUAUAAAUUUUGUUGAUUACUCCCUCAUCCAAGGAGCACCAGCUGGACAUGAAUCAGUUGAGACACCAAUUAGGCAUGAAUCAGUAUUUCCUAAACAUCUUUAUAUUAUUAUUUAUUAUCUAACCCUUCAUGUCUUGUGGAAGCACGUUACAUGUUAUCUAUGCUAUCUAGGUACGCCCCCUAUCACCUACCUUCUAAAUUUUGUGAAUAUGCUUGUCACUAUGAACCGUGCCUAUGUUUGAUAGUGCAUGGGUGUCUUGAUAUAUUGUUUCAUUGUUCAAUCAUUUCCAAUAAAGUGCAUGUUGGAUGAUAUGCUAUUUGAACUAACUUUAAUGUCUUGUGAUAGCACUUAAGAAGCAGUCCAGACACACACCCUAAAUUGUCUUUAUGAUUUAUGAUUGAUUAUUUUGUUUAGCAUGCCAUUUUUUUUUUUAAAUCACCUUAGUUUACCUAGGUACCCUCAAUCAACCAAUUAAUUGUCCCAAUUCCCUCAACUUAGCUAGUAGAGACCUCUUUAGGGCUUAGAGGGGUGCUACCUGUUAGAGGUACCUUCCCAAUAGGUAACUUGAUCCCUGAACCUAGACUUAGGUUUUUCAAAGACACGUUUUUCCAAAAACUAUGGAGUCACUUAUUUAGGGUUUUCUUUCUUGUUUUAUUUUCCAUUUUAAAAUAAAAUAAAAUAAGUGGUAACUCCAACUUUUCCAAAAUUAUUUUUUUUCACCAAUAAAAGCAAGUCUCAUCGAUUGAGUGGGAGCACAUAUGAAAAAUACGAGUCCACACUACGGCUUUUGUAGUACUCUAGGUAUCGUCCUCAUGGACUAGCUUAUGGAAAUUGUCAAUACUACAAUAAAUGAAUUGCUUUCGUUUGAAUCCUAAAGUGAAAAAUACUAUGAGAAUAAUGUGAAACUAAGUAAAAGAAAAUAAAUUAAUAACAAAAUGGAUAUUUAUUUUAAAUUCAAUUGAUUCAAGUUUGGGGCUUUCUACAAUCCAACAUAGGGUAUAUAAAUUAGAGAAAAUAAGGGUCUUUUAAGUAAUAUGAUCUUAGGGUUUUGGGAUCCUUGGCUGCUCGUGAUCAAGUUGAGUUCUAUAACACAAAAUUGCAUCUGAAACCUAAUUUUUCUUUUUUAAAUCAGAUUCCUAAAACCAUCAAAUGAAUUAGAUUGAUUACUAGUUUAAGAUUUGGCUUUUUAACCCUUCCUACUCUUUAUAGCUUUGUUUUGGGGCAAAUAACGAUAGAAAAAACGAGGAUAACUAAGGAUCAAGAAUUACCAAGAAUCACUAGUAUCGAGUAAUAACCUACCGUAUCAUUCCCUAAACUAACUCACAAGGAUAGGAUAAAAAAUGAUAAAUUGUCACCCAACCAAUAAUUAAUCUCAUUGUUAUAAUAAUUUACCCAUUGUCCCUAUAGGUUUCCUAACCCUUAGGUUUUCAUGCUUUAAGCCCCAAGUUGGCUCUUAACCUCUCAUGGGGGUGAUGUCACAUUCAAUCAAUAAUAGGGCAAAAAUCCAUAAUUUGAAUGAAAAGAACCUAAAACAAUAUAUUUAAUAAAGAAGAAAAAGAAAACAAACCAAAGUUCUCGUCUUCUUCCACCUUCAAUGUCAAACUCUCUAGGAAAAAAAAUCCAAGAUCCCUAAAACAUAGAACUAAGAGAGUUUAGAUAAUAUCAUCAAUUACCUAUCCUAUGGCACACUCUCAUUAGCCACUUAUUACAAAAAUAAUUACCUAAAAAUGAUUAAAAAAAUAAUAAAAUGGUGAUUUCUAGUUGUGUGGGGUCCAUUUAAGUUUGAUGGAGUGCCUUAGAUGCAAUUCCCAAGGUAGAGGAGGCGAAACAUCAAAGUGGUAGUGGGUGAAUUUGAAAUUGGUGUCAUUUCAAUGUGGAUUUCGAAUUCAUAAGUUGAAUUUUGAAAUCAUUUUGAAAUGACCCUUUAGCUUUGUGCAGUUGUUUUCAAAUGGCCAUAACUUCUUCAUUUCAGCUCCCAUUUGCACAUUGUUUGAAGUAUUAGACUCUUGACCUCCCAAGCUUCGAAACAAUAUACCAUAUGUAUAAAAUGGUCUCUAGGAAAUGCUCCAAUUUUGUCCUCAAAGUCAGGGUAUAUAUUACCAUUAGAUUUUUGAGUUCUAAAUUUCCAUGCAGUUGAAUCUUGCUUCAUGCCUCAUUUUCUAUGUUUUCUUAGCUUCUUUCUUACUCCAUUAUGGUCAUUUCUCAUCUUCCAAACUCAUGAUAUCCUCAUCUUGCCUUUUCUCAUGGUCCAUGAGUCUUGACUCACUUAUUUCUUCAUUUAACCCUUUCUUGAUCUUUCAAAAUCUAAAGUGAUUCAACUUGCACCCUUUUCUUCCCUCGAACCUGAGAUAAGUCUCCAAAGUACAAAUUAAACUCACGGCUAGGGCUUUAGCAUCAAUUUAGGUAAAGUUGGGUGAUUUGAAUGUCCUUUGGUGCACAAAUCAUAUCAAAUAUGUGCCAUUAGAGCACAUAUUUUGGCUCCAAUCAUCUCCCUUAACUAAACUUUGCUAGUCCAUAGCAAAUGAAAAGAGUAAAGAAAAAAGUGAAAAAUAUGUAAUGAGAUUCAUGAAACCAUAUUGACUCAACAUAACUGAUUACUACUCAAAAAGUGCAUUUUUAUAAGCUUAAACUUAAUUGUAUUAAGCACUUUUGAGUAGUAGUUAGACAUUUUAUCCCAAUUGGCAUGUGAAGGACCUAGCAAAUGUUACUAACCAAUUUUUGGUAAGUUUUAAUGUUUUUAGUAGCUUUUUGAUCACUGAAACAACCCAAUAUUGAGAGAGAGUUUUGUGCAAGCUAUGGCAAGGCAAGUUUAUGGUCAAUCACAUGAAGAAUCUGAGCCUUAGAGCACUUCAAAACCCCUUGCCAAACUUGGAAAGGGGUUGGCAAAGCUAUUAGUAGUAAGAUGGACGGAAACAGAGCAUUUUGCAAGGCAAAAUCAUCAAAUUCGCAAGGUGUGCCAAAAUUCGCAAUGUGUGCCAAAUUUUGGCAGGGUGUGCCAAACUUUCGCAAAGUAUGCCAAAAUUUCGCAAGGUGUGCGAAAAUCACUUUAUGCGCACCGACCUUCAGGAAAAAUCUCCAGAAUUGUAAUUUUUUCUUUUUUACUCCUUUUGUAAUAGAUAAAAGACAUUAGGGUUUGUUUAGGAACUAUAAAUAGGGGUUGGAAAACCUCUCAGAGAUGAUGUUGUGUUAGAUAUUAUGUUUUAGAUAUUUCGUAAAGUCUGAGUUUUUCUCUGCCUUUCCUUCUCAUUUUCUCUUCACUUUCUCUCUAGCCAAACACCCUCUGAGGAUGAUUUCUCAGAGGAUGAAUGGCUAAGUUUCACAUUUCUUGGAGUGAUGGAAGCUAGGUAAAGGACCCAGAUGCAAAGGUGGGAGUUUUCCUUGCUAAAAAUGAAGGUAGUUGUGUAUCGUUAAUGGUUUGUAUGUCAAGUUUUAGCUUUAAUCCCUUAGAAUCACCUUGAAUGGCCAAUACUUGGUAAGCUUUUAGGAUUCUAUGGAUGCUUAUUGCUAGAUCCAUGGAUGUCCAUUAGUUAUCAAGUACGAGCCAUUGGAAGGUGGUUCAAGGUGAGGGUCUUUAGUGUUUGAAGUCAUUAAUGGGAAGCAACUACUAUUUUUCAAGAACCCUUUGGAUCAAAACUUAUUUGCUAAAUACAAAUCCGGUUUGGGAGAUGACCAUCCUUUAUGUCAUUGUCCCCAAUGCGAGGGGAAGAUCCGGAAUUUCCCACUUUGCAAUAGGAACCUGAUCCUAGUAACCAUAGCUCCAAGAGACUUUCUCUUUAUAAUAAUUUCAAUUGUUUAUGUUUGCUUAACUUAAAAUCAACCCUUCCAAUCAAUCUUAUUUUCAUUUAAAAACUAACUUCCAAAAAGAAAAUCACCAUUUCUUCUUUCAUUAAUGUUAAGUGUACAAAGAAAACCCAUCCCUGUGGACGAUCCUAGAGCCACUAUACUAUAGUAGCUUUGUAUUUGCUACUCUAGUAUAAGGUGUUGUAGGUUUUAUAAAUGUUUUGAUAGACACCCGACUGGGCAUGAAUCAAAUGGCGCCGUUGCCGGGAAUGGUGCCUAAGUACAUAAAUGUUACCUUUUAUGAGUACUUGUGAUCUUCAUCACAAGUUGGUGAUUUUUUUUUCACUAACUCGUUUUCUUUGUUUUUAUUUUAUCUUAUCUUUCAUUUACUUUUUAGCUAACUUGUAAUCUUUUCCUAGAAUUGUAGUCCUUUUUGUUUUCUUUGUUUUUGUUUCAGUACUCUCGAGUUGUGUAUGCCCUAUUGGAUAAGAGAUAUUGAGGAAAGACUUGUGAAAAUUGAAACUCCUCAAGAAAUCAAGUUGGAAGUCUGCUUGAACAUCAUGGAUAUUCCACCUGAAGAUCAGCAUAGCCAACAUGGGCAAGAGGAGAAUCUCAAUGCAUAUCGAUCCAUAAGGGACCGCAUGCAUCCACCUCGAAUGAGUGCACCUUCAUGCAUAGUGCCUCCCACUGAGCAACUAGUGAUCCGACCUCAUAUAGUGCCCCUUCUACCUACUUUCCAUGGGAUGGAAAGUGAGAACCCCUAUUCUCACAUCAAGGAGUUUGAAGACGUGUGCAAUACAUUCCAAGAAAGAGGAGCUGCAAUUGACUUGAUGAGACUCAAGCUAUUCUCUUUCACCUUAAAGGAUAAGACCAAGGUUUGGCUUAAUUCUCUAAGGCCGAGGAGUAUCAGAAUGUGGACUAAUUUACAAGCUGAGUUUCUCAAGAAGUUCUUCCCUACUCAUAGGACCAAUGGCUUAAAAAGGAAAAUUUCGAACUUCUCAGCUAAGAAGAAUGAGAAAUUCUAUGAGUGUUGGGAGAGGUACAUGGAAGCUAUCAACGCUUGUCCUCACCAUGGCUUUAAUACAUGGCUCUUAGUGAGUUAUUUCUAUGAUGGUAUGUCUUCCUCUAUGAAGCAACUCCUAGAGACCAUGUGUGGAGGAGACUUCAUGAGUAAGAAUCCAGAGGAAGCUAUGGACUUCUUGAGUUAUGUUUCUGAAGUUUCAAGAGGAUGGGAUGAACCGAAUACUAGAGAUAUGGGGAUAAUGAAGUCUCAGCCCAAUGCUAAGGGUGGAAUGUAUGUGUUGAGUGAAGACAUGGACAUGAAAGCAAAAUUUGCAACUAUGGCAAGGAGAUUGGAAGAGCUAGAACUAAAGAAAGUAUAAGAAGUAUAAGCCAUUUCUGAGGCAUGAGUGCAAGCUACGCCUUGUUCCAUAUGUCAAUCUUAUGAGCAUUUGGUGGAGGAGUGUCCAACCAUUCCAGUAGUGCGAGAAAUGUUUGGUGAUCAAGCAAAUGUGGUUGACCAAUUCAAGCCCAACAACUAUGCUCCUUAUAGAAGCACCUACAAUUUUAAUUGGAUAAACCAUCCAAAUUUCUCAUGGAAGCUAAGGCCACCUCAGUACACACCACCAGCUCAAGCACCUCAACAAGCUUCAAACCUUGAACAAGCCAUUGUGAAUCUUAGCAAGGUUGUGGGAGACUUUGUGGGGGAGCAAAAUUCAAUCAACUCUCAAUUGAAUCAGAAAAUUGAUAGAGUGAAGAGUACAUUGAAUAAAAUGAUGGAUGAGAUGCAAAAUGAUCUAUCUCAGAAGAUAGAUAAUGUUCAAUACUCCAUCUCAAGGCUCACCAACCUCAAUACUGUGCAAGAGAAAGGAAAGUUUCCUUCUCAACCUCAUCAAAAUCCCAAGGUAAUUCAUGAAGUAGAAGCUCAAGAAGGAGAAUCUUCAAAGUUGAGGGAAGUCAAAGCAGUUAUCACUCUUAGGAGUGGUAAGGAGGUUGUUCAACCCCCACCCAAGCUGAAACAUGAUGAAGGAAGUGAAUCAAAUAAGGACAUGGGUGAGAAAAAGUCAAAGAAAGGUGACCAUGAUUCAAGUGUGGAUGAAGAACCAAGGAUAGUCAUCAAGGAAGAUAUGAUGAAGAAGCACAUGUCUCCACCUUUCCCUCUAGCUUUACAUGGUAAGAAGGGAACCAAGAAUACAUCAGAAAUUUUUGAAGUGUUGAGGCAAGUGAAGGUCAACAUUCCUUUACUUGACAUGAUCAAGCAAGUUCCAACUUAUGCCAAAUUCUUGAAGGACUUGUGCACUGUAAAGAGAGGGUUAAAUGUGACCAAGAAAGCCUUCUUGACUGAACAAGUGAGUGCUAUCAUCCAAUGCAAGUCUCCAGUGAAGUAUAAAGAUCCAGGAUGCCCCACCAUUUCAGUAAAUAUUGGAGGGACAUGUGUGGAGAAAGCUCUUCUAGACUUGAGAGCAAGUGUGAAUUUGCUACCCUAUUCGGUUUACAAGCAGUUGGGACUUGGGGGGUUGAAGCCCACAUCCAUUACUCUCUCCCUAGUUGAUAGAUCAGUGAAGAUCCCAAGGGGGGUAAUUGAGGAUGUCUUGGUAUAGGUUGACAAAUUCUACUAUCCAGUAGAUUUUGUUGUUCUUGAUACUAAUCUAGUUGUCAUAGGGACAAACUAUGUGUCAAUCAUACUUGGAAGACCAUUCCUCGCUACUUCUAAUGCAAUCAUCAAUUGUAGGAAUGAAGUUAUGCAACUCAUGUUUGGCAACAUGACCUUGGAGCUAAACAUCUUCCAUUUGUGCAAGAAGCAUCUCCAUCUAGAAUAAGAGAAAGGGCCAGAGAAAGUGUGCAUGAUUGACACUUUGGUGGAGGAGCACUGUGAACAGAGCAUGGAGGAAGAUUUGAUUGAGAGUCUUGGGGAUCCUGAUGAAGGGUUACCUGAACCCUCAGAUUUGCUAACUACCAUGUCUCAUUGGAGAAAGAUGGAAAAGAUUCUACCUUUGUUCAAUGAGGAGGAGUCGCACAGAGUUGGUAAGGAGGAGCCCCCAAAACUUACUCUUAAGCUUCUACCUACUGGGUUGAAAUACGCAUACUUGGAGGAAGACAAGCAGUGCCCUAUGGUGAUUUCUUCAGCUCUCACCAUUCAUCAAGAGGAUUGUCUAAUCGAACUCCUUAGAAGAUGUAAGAAGGCCAUUGGGUGGAAAAUUUUAGACUUGAAAUGAAUCAGCCCUUUGGUGUGCACCCAUCAUAUCUAUAUGGAGGAGGAAGCAAAGUCAGUUCGCCAACCGCAGAGAAGGUUGAACCCUCACAUGCAAGAGGUGGUACGAGCUAAAGUUUUGAAGCUACUUCAAGCCGGUAUUAUAUAUCCCAUAUCAGAUAGCCUAUGGGUGAGUCCAACCCAGGUUGUCCCAAAGAAGUCUGGGAUCACGGUGGUGCAGAAUGAUAAGGGAGAAGAUGUCUCCAAAUGCCUUACUACUGGUUGAAGGGUGUGUAUCGAUUACAGGAAGUUGAAUGCGGUGACAAGAAAUGACCAUUUCCCGUUGCCUUUUAUUGACCAAGUGCUUGAAAGGGUUUUUGGGCAUCCUUUCUAUUGUUUUUUGGAUGGCUACUCUGGCUACUUUCAAAUAGAGAUUGAUUUGGAAUAUCAAGAGAAGACCACUUUCACAUGCCCCUUCGGUACAUUUGCAUAUAGGAGAAUGCAUUUCGGUUUAUGCAAUGCACCUGCAACUUUCCAAAGAUGCAUGCUAAGCAUCUUUAGUGAUAUGGUGGAGCGAAUUUUGGAAGUCUUUAUGGACGAUAUCAUCGUUUAUGGAAGUGCAUUUGAGGAUUGCUUAGUAAACUUAGAAGUUGUUCUAAACCGGUGCAUUGAAAAAGACUUGGUGCUUAACUAGGAGAAGUGUCAUUUCAUGGUACAACAAGGGAUUGUUCUUGGGCAUAUCAUCUCUAAGGAGGGUAUUGAGGUUGAUAAAGAAAAAGUUGAACUCAUUGUGAAGUUGCCAUCCCCCACCAAUGUCAAGGGAGUAAGGCAAUUCCUUGGACAUAUCGGUUUCUAUAGGAGGUUUAUCAAGGACUUUUCAAAGCUUACAAGGCCUCUUUGUGAAUUGUUGGUCAAGGAUGCUAAAUUCAUAUGGGAUGAAAGAUGCCAAAGAAGUUUUGAGCAAUUAAAGUCAUUUUUGACAACAAUACCCAUUGUGCGAGCUCUUAACUGGCAGUUACCCUUUGAGGUAAUGUGCGAUGCUAGUGAUUUUUCUAUUGAAGUUAUGAUGGGCCAAAGAGAAGAUGGAAAACCCUAUGUGAUCUAUUAUGCCAGUAAGACACUCAAUGAGGCUCAAAGAAACUACACAACCACUGAGAAGGAAUUGUUAGCAGUAGUUUUUGCCUUGGACAAAUUUCGUGCUUACUUGGAGGGGUAUUUCAUAGUGGUAUUCACCGAUCACUCUGCUUUGAAGUAUUUGUUGACUAAGCAAGACUGAUUAGGUGGAUCCUCUUGCUUCAAGAGUUCAAUCUUCAAAUCAAAGACAAGAAGGGAGUAGAAAAUGUGGUAGCUGACCACCUUUCAAGGCUUGCAAUCGCACAUAAUUCCCAUGGUUUGCCCAUUAAUGAUGACUUCCCAGAGGAAUCUCUCAUGUUAGUGGUAGUAACUUUGUGGUAUGCUCACAUUGCGAACUACCUAGUUACAGGAGAAGUUCCAAGUGAGUGGAAAGCACAAGAUAGAAAACAUUUCUUUGUAAAGAUCAAUGCCUACUAUUGGGAAGAACCAUUUCUAUUCAAGUAUUGUGCGGAUCAAAUAAUAAGGAAGUGUGUUCCUGAACAAGAGCAACAUGGGAUUCUCUCUCAUUGCCAUGAGAAUGCUUGUGGAGGUCACUUUGCUUCUCAAAAGACAGCUAUGAGGGUCUUGCAAUCGGGUUUCUAUUGGCCCUCACUUUUCAAGGAUGCCCAUGCCAUGUGCAAGGUUUGUGAUCGAUGUUAGAGGCUUGGGAAGUUGACCUGAAGGUAUAUGAUGUCUUUGAACCCCAUUCUGAUAGUUGAUCUUUUUGAUGUUUGAGGCAUUGACUUCAUGGGACCUUUUCCUAUGUCAUUUGGCUACUCCUACAUCUUGGUGGGAGUCGAUUAUGUUUCUAAGUGGGUUGAAGCAAUUCCAUGCAAACACAAUGACCAUAGGGUGGUUAUCAAGUUCUUGAAGGAGAACAUUUUCUCAAGAUUUGGAAUGCCUAAAGCCAUAAUCAGUGAUGGGGGUACUCAUUUUUGUAACAAUCCUUUUGAAACUCUUCUAGCCAAGUACGGGGUGAAGCAUAAGGUAGCUACGCCUUACCACCCUUAAACUAGCGGGCAAGUUAAGUUGGCAAACCGGGAGAUCAAGAACAUAUUGAUGAAGGUGGUGAAUGUGAACAGAAAAGAUUGGUCUAUCAAACUCCUUGAUUCACUAUGGGCUUAUAGAACUGCUUACAAGACCAUUCUUGGAAUGUCCCCUUAUCGCUUAGUCUAUGGUAAAGCGUGCCAUCUCCCUGUGGAAUUGGAAUACAAGGCUUGGUGGGCAAUCAAGAAACUCAACAUGGAUUUGAGCAAAGUCGGGUUGAAGAGAUUCUUAGACCUCAAUGAGUUGGAGGAACUGCGAAAUGAUGCUUACCUUAAUUCGAAAAUUGCAAAAGAGAGGUUGAAGAGAUGGCAUGAUCAGUUGGUGACCCGAAAUGACUUUUCAAAGGGACAAAGAGUCUUGCUCUAUGACUCUAAGCUCCAUAUCUUUCCGGGCAAGUUGAAAUCAAGGUGGUUAGGUCAUUUCACAAUCCACCAAGUGUAUUCAAAUGGAGUAGUGGAGCUACUCAACGCCAAUAGUAAUCGAACUUUCAAAGUGAAUGGCCAUCGUCUCAAGCCUUUGUGGAGCCUUUUUCUCGAGACAAGGAGGAAUUCACCCUCCUUGAUCCCCCUCAGGCUUAAAAAAUAAUAAUAAUAAUCAGAUCCUGGAUGGACUUAGUCUUUCUGAAAACUAUUAAGUUCAUCCAUUUUUGCUUUUUGUUUUUAAUUUCAUGUUUUUCUUGCAUUUGUAUUUGUUUUGAUUUCGAUUUCUUACUUGAAUUCCAUUUUAGUUUGAUUUAAUUUAGGUUUUUGAUGAUCACUUGUAGAGGAAAAGCUGAGGAAAAAUUGAAGCAAAGCAUUUCGCAUACCUCUCUGCGAAUUUUUCGCAUGGUGUGUGAAAAGUGCUCUUUGCAUUAAGUGAGCUACUGCCAUUUAGCAGAGCAUGCAAAAAUUUCGCACCCUCUACGAAAUUCUUGUGACUCUCGGUCUUCAAAUGCGAAUUUCCACAUGGUUUGCUAACUCAAAGUUCACCCUACAAAUCAACUUUGCGAAAAUUCCAUUUUGCGAAAAUCCCACUUUGCGAAAACUCCACUUUGCGAAAAUUACACUUUGCGAAAAUUCCAUUUUGCGAAGACCCCACUUUGCGAAAAUUCCACUUUGCGAACAAUCUCCACCCCUCAUUUUUCUAAAAAAAAAAAAAAAAUAGUAAAAUUUUAUUUAUUUAUUUUUUUUGCAGCAUACAUCCCAACUUCAUUUCUCACUUCUCUAGUCAUUUUUGCGCCCUUUUGCGAAACUUUUGCAUGACUAUGAAAAAUUUGCCUCGAAAGGUAUCACUUCCUCCCUUUAUUUUCACUUGCAAUUGAAACAUUGAGGACAAUGUUCGUCUUGGUUAGGGGGAGAGUUGAGGAAGUAAGUAUUGUAAAUAUUGCUAGGAUAUUUUGUUAACUUAGUUACCUUUUGUUUAUUUUUUUUUUAAAAGUUUUUACUCUACUCUCCAUGGUUGUUAAGGAAAAAUUCUCAAAAUGAAAUGAGAGAAGUUGAGUUCUUGCCUUUUUGCUUAAGUCUUAGAGUUUGUAUUAUGUAUAUUGAGGUUGAUGAAUUAUUGAAGCUCCUAUUGAAUUCAACCUUGUUUCUUCCACUUUAAUCUUACCACACACUGUGCACAUUAGGUUCCAAUUAUAAGAUGAAAAACUAUCUCACCCCUUGAACUUAGGAAAAUUUUGACUUGGUACCUUUGACCUCAUUUUAAUAGUGUUGGGACACCUUAUAGAAGGCCAAUGAGCCUUCAGAAAAAAAAAAAAAAACAAGUGCUACACAUGCCUUGAAACCCAAGCAAGGUCAUAAGGAUAUAUGGCGAAAGUCUUUGAAGCCUGGUGCCCUAAACCUUAAUUGGUUGGGAGUCGCAAACCUUAAUGCUCGUUAUAGGGGUGAAUGGGUGAAGUUGAGCAAAUAAAAGAAUUGUGAAAUAAAAGAGGUGUGUUCUUAGCCUAUUGGGUGUUGGUCAGUUUGCUAGGUUUGAGAAAGAACUAGGUUGGGGGGAGAGCAUAGUUUAGCAUACUAUAAUUGGAAACUAAUCACCUUAACACUUAGAUUCUUGUCGAAGAUUAAGUGUUGGAUCUUUGAGAGUGGAAAUUCUUUUGAUGCUUAAAUUUGUAUAGUGCCUACUCUUUGUAUUUUGUGAUUAGGUAAGUGAUUUAAUGACUCUUGUUAAAGGUUGGGUUUUAUAUCUUUGAUUUUCCAUGAGAGAUUUUUGAUCCAUAUCAUGCUGCUUUAAAAUUUUAUUUUUGAAGUGGUGAGCAUGAUUUUGUAAAUUGUUGUAUAGUCUAUUUUUCUUUUUGUCUCCUUCAUUGCUAAGGGACUAGCAAUGUGUCGGUUGGGGGGAGUGAUUACUACUCAAAAAGUGCAUUUUUAUAAUCUUAAACUUAAUUGUAUUAAGCACUUUUGAGUAGUAGUUAGACAUUUUAUCCCAAUUGGCAUGUUAAGGACCUAGCAAAUGUUAUUAACUAAUUUUUGGUAAGUUUUAGUGUUUUUGGUAGCUUUUUGAUCACUGAAAUAGGCCAAGAUUGAGGGAGAGUUUUGUGCAAGCUAUGGCAAGGCAAGUUAAAGGUCAAUCACAUGAAGAAUUUGAGCCUUGGAGCACUUCAAAACCCCUUGCCAAACUUGGAAAGGGGUUGACAAAGCUAUCAGUAGUAAGAUGGAGGGAAACAAAGCAUUUCGCAAGGCAAAAUCAUCAAAUUCGCAAGGUGUGCCAAACUUUCGCAAGGUGUGCCAAAAUUUUGCAAGGCGUGCCAAAAUUUUGCAAGGCGUGCCAAAAUCACUUUGUGCACACCGACCUUCAGGAAAAAUCUCCAGAAUUGUAAUUUUUUCCUUUUUACUCAUUUUGUAAUAGAUAAAAGACAUUAGGGUUUGUUUAGGAACUAUAAAUAGGGGUUGGAAAACCUCUCAAAGAUGAUGUUAUGUUAGAUAUUAUGUUUUAGAUAUUUUGUAAAGUCUAAGUUUUUCUCUGUCUUUCCUUCUCAUUUUCUCUUCACUUUCUCUCUAGCCAAACAUCCUCUGAGGAUGAUUUCUCAGAGGAUGAGUGGCUAAGUUUCACGUUUCUUAGAGUGAUGGAAGCUAGGUAAAGGACCCAGAUGCAAAGGUGGGAGUUUUCCUUGCUAAAAAUGAAGGUAGUUGUGUAUCGUUAAUGGUUUGUAUGUCAAGUUUUAGCUUUAAUCCCUUAGAAUCACCUUGAAUGGCCAAUACUUGGUAAGCUUUUAGGAUUCUAUGGAUGCUUAUUGCUAGAUCCAUGGAUGUCCAUUAGUUAUCAAGUACGAGCCAUUGGAAGGUGGUUCAAGGUGAGGGUCUUUAGUGUUUGAAGCUAUUAAUGGGAAGCAACUAUGAUUUUUGAAGAACCCUUUGGAUCAAAACUUAUUUGCUAAAUACAAAUCCGGUUUGGGAGAUGACCAUCCUCUAUGUUAUUAUCCCCAAUGUGAGGAGAAGAUCCAGAAUUUCCCACUUUGCAACAGGAACCUGAUCCUAGUAACCAGAGCUCCAAGAGACUUUCUCUUUAUAAUAAUUUCAAUUGUUUAUGUUUCCUUAACUUAAAAUCAACCCUUCCAAUCAAUCUUAUUUUCAUUUAAAAACUAACUUCCAAAAAGGAAAUCACCAUUUCUCCUUUCAUUAAUGUUAAGUGUAUAAAGAAAACCCAUCCCUGUGGACGAUCCUAGAGCCACUAUACUAUAGUAGCUUUGUAUUUGCUACUCUAGUAUAAGGUGUUGUAGGUUUUAUAAAUGUUUUGAUAAACACCCGACUGAGCAUGAAUCAAUAACAUGUUACACACAAAAGAUACCCAAGUAGUCAAAUUUCCUAGAAUUGAGCAAAAUGAAACAAGAUAUGCAAUUUCUUAGUUUUUUCACCUUAUCUUCGUAUACAUAAAUGUGCAUCCAUGUUUAGCAUUCCCCUUAGUGUCUCUUGAUUUUUCCUUGUUUGGUUUUUUCCACCUAAACCUCAUGUGCUUAAUUUUGGUGUCCCCUCAGUAUUUUUCUUAAGACUUUUCUUAAACUCAAACUUCAUCAUUCUUUAAUUUAAAAAAUGAGGAAAAUUUAUUUUGAUUUUUCUUUCUUAGUUUAGGAAAUCUCCUUCUAUAUGGCUUAAUAGGGAUCCAUCGACAACUCCCAAGUUUUCACCCAAGGUACUAGGUAUUGAGAACCUUUGUAGGCCACUUACCUUUUAGGUGUCAUCCUAGCUCAAGGUAGAACAAGGUUGAAUUUCCCAAAUAUUUAUUUAUUUAUUUUAAUGUUUUUUUUCAAAAUUGAGUUUAGCUUAUGUUACAAGCAAGAUAUCGAUGACUUCUAACCAGUCGUUUUCGGGCACCGGGGCUUGAAAACACAGGGCCAUUACCCCCUCAAAUAAUUGCUCAAGCUUAAAUAAAUCAUUUUCAAAUUUUUUUUUCAUCAAUUUUUUUUUUCAUUUCCUCAUUUUAUUGCUUAAGAACAACUCCUUUUAAGCUAAAGAAAUUAUUUUAAUCAAGAUACCACAAGGGUAUAUGUGCUUUAUGUGUGCUUUGAGUCUUAAAUAGAAAAUAACCAUUAAAAAAAAUUUGAAGGCAUUCAAAGAAUUUAACCUAACUAUUUUUGCACUUCAAAGUAUAUAAAGAUAAGGUAAGUGAACUAAUACUCUUGCUCUAACUGUAUUUUUUCUCAAAUUCUAAAGAAAUAAUACUACUUAAAGCAUUCUCAUGCAAAAUAAACCAUGAGUUGCCAAGGCAAAUUAAGAAUGUCAUUAAUUAACCAAAUAUAACAGGCAAACUUUUGAAAAAAAUUAGGGCUAAUAGACCUUCCCCCCUCAACCUAAAUUACACAUUGUCCCCAAUGUGUAGGAUAUUGGGUCAAAUGAAAGGAAAAAUGGAGAUGUUACCUCAAUAUCAUCAAGUGAGAAGUUUGUCAUGAGGACUUCAUAUAAACUAGUCUUGCACAAAAAAAACAAGAUUAGUGGCAAAAGUAUGCAUAGAGAAAAAUAUAAAUGGUGAGAAUCUAAAAGAGAGUAUAAGAGUAUGAGUAUGUGAUUCGUCCCUAGCAGCGGCAGUGGCAACAGCACCAUUUGAUUCGGGGUUCGAUCCCCGGCAACGGCGCCAUUUGAUUCGUGCCCACUUGGUGUCUCAGCUGAUUCAUGUCCAGCUGGUGCUCCUUGAUUGAGAGAGUAAUCAACAAAAUUUAUAACCUAUUACACCAUAUACUAGGGUAGCAAAGACAAAGCUACUAUAACAUAGUGGCUCUAGGAUCGUUCACUGGGAUGGGUUUUCACUUUGCAAAUGAUAUUAAUUCAAAAUUGAAUUGGUGCCUUUUCAUUUCAAGGUUAGCUUUAAAAGAAAACAUAAAGAUGUUUGAAUGAAAAAGGUUUAGAUUUAAACUAACAAAAAAUAGUAACUGAUUUUACUUACAAAGAAAAGUGUUUCUUGGAGUUUCAAAUCACUAGGCUCAGAUUCCUCAUACAAAAAGGGAGUUCCGGUCACUUGUUUCUUUUCCUCGCAUUAGAGAAUUAACAUAUAGUUAAUUCUCUAACCGAUGUUGUACAGAUGCUUCCCAUUAAUGGGUUCAAACACUAAAUCCCUCUCACUGAUGCAUCUUGCAAUGGCUCGUGCCUCUCACCUAGCAUUUGCCAUUCAAGGUGAUCUUUAACCUUGGAUUACCCGUCAAAAGCUCGCAAGAGAUAACUAAUGGAUGUCUCCUUGGAGUCCAAAAGCUUACCAAGUGUUGGCUAUUCUAGAAAAUCCUACCUUCAAGUCACCUCCCAAAAGCUCGCAAGAGAUAAACUAGUGAAUCUCCAUGGACGGAGAUCACUUGCCUUACCAAGUGUUGGCUCAGGUGAAUUGAAGACGUUUUAAGUUAACUAAAAAGAUAAAAACCAUUAACGGGUCACACUUUCUCUUCAUUAAAAACUAAAACAACAAAACUUCCAAACUAUGCAUGUGGAAACUUACCCGGCUUUCCUCACUCCAAGAGACAAAAAGCCUAGCCUCUCAUCCUCUGAGGAAAAAUCCUCAGAGUUUGGUUGGCUAGAAAGAAAACUAACGAGAAAACAAGAAUAUAUAUGAAAAACAGAGCAAGUGCUCUGUUCGUUGAUCUAUAUAUGAUAUAUCUAUAUUACAGUGGAUUACAUGAUUACAUGAUUCUCUGAGAACAAGCUCCCGAGAGCUAUAUAUAAAGAAAAUUACAAAACAAAAUAUCUGAGGUUAUUCACCCCUGUGUUCUUACUUAACAACUAAGGAAUCCUAUAAUUGGUGGAUUACAAGGAGAGAAUUGGGAUUUAGACAUCAAAUAUCUGAAGCAAAAUAUCAAAAAAUGUCGGUCGCAAAUAUCUGGAAGCACUCGGGAGAAUUUCGCAGGCGCACAAAAUGGCUGGUUCGACUCAUGGUAGCUUAGCUUUAAAGGCGUAUCAACAAAAUUUAUACCUUGAAUACUAUUACUAAAGUAGCCAAGCUACUAUAGCAUAGUGGUUCUAGGAUCGUUCACUGGGAAGGGUUUUCGCAAACACAAGUGAUAUUCAAAUUAGGAAAAUAGGUGAUUUUCUUAUGGAUGUUAGCUUUAAAAGAAGAUGUAAAUGUUUUAGAAAGAUUGAAACUAAUCUAAGCUAACAUUAAAGACUAAAAUGAAAGGGUGUAAAAACAAGUUUCUCAAAUAUAGGAUAACUAUGCUCUGGCUCUUAUGCAAAUUGGAAAUCUCAGGAUAGGCUCCUCGCGUUGGGGUUGCAACUAUGGUGAUGCUUGCUUCCCGAACCGGUAUGGAUUUAGCAAAUCAAGUUUUAAUCCUUUAAAAUGACAAAACAGAUGGUAGUGAAUUUCAUCAAUGGUUAUUCACCUUAGACUUCCUUUGAAUGGCUCGUAAGAGAUAACUAGUGGUCUAAAGCCAAAAGCUUACCAAAUAUUGGCAACUCAAAGUCAUUCCAAGUGAUAAACUCACCUUUCAAUGGCCAUUGAAAUUGGUUCUAACGGAUUAAUGCAAAACUUGGAAUUGAAAACCUCACCUUCCAAUAGCUCGUAGGAGAUAACUAAUGGAUAGAAAUCCAAAAGCUUAUCAAGUAUUGGCCGUUGGAAGUUGUCAAAAGGAAAUAAAAACCAAACUUUGCAUUAAUGAACCAUUAAUGAAAAACGACUACCUUACCUUCCGGGUGCGAGAAAUUUCCAUGGGAUUGCAUCCAAGCCAUCACAUAACAUCCAUACUUUGAGAAACUAAAAGUUUUAGCCAAUCAUCCUAUGAGGAAAAGCCCUCAGAGGCUGUUUGGCUACUAAGAAAAUAGAAAUGGGGAAGAACAGGAGAAGAGAGAAAAACAGAGCAAGGCUCUGUAUAUUCUAUAUAUUGAUCGAUAUAUAAUUACAACGGAUGCAAGGGAAUAUAUAUAGAGAAGUUUUUCCAAUCCUUCCUAGCUAAGAAAUCUUAUGAUUCGUGGAUUACAAGGAGAAGAAUGGAAAUUUAUACAAAAAUAUCUAAAAGAAAAGAUCUCGUGUGGAGUCGGCAGAAACAGGGGAAAAUUCGCACGUUGGAGUUCCAAUUUCGCACGUUGAUUUGAGGUGUGCGAAAUUCUCGCACAGUGGACUGAGGAAUUCGCACCUUGAAUAGUGGUGUGCGAAAUUCCCGCUCAGCUCGGUCCAGUUUUCUUGCAAUGACCAUAACUUUUUCGUUUCAACUCCGAUUUGGACACCGUUUGAAGCGUUGGACUUCUGACUUCCCGAGCUUCGAAAUGGUAUAUAGUAUGUAUAAAAUGGACUCGAGAAAGUACUCCAAAAUAUGUCCCAAAGUGGAAAUAGAACCAAUGGCCAGAAUUCUCUCUUCUCUUCCUUUUCUUUCAUCAUUUUUGCAUCUCCUCCUACAAUGAUCAUCCAAAACUCAUCUUAAAAACAUAUUAAAACUAAAUUAAAGCUAAGAAUUCAAACUAAAACAUGCAUAAAUUUAAAGAAAGCAUAGAAUUUAAAUGAAGCUGAUAGCAUGUACCCCAAAAAGAAGAUGAACUAUUUAGCUCAUCCUGACUCACACACCCACUUCAUGCUGAAUUCCCCCUGGAUCCCAAACAAAAUUGGCAUCCUUCCCAUUUGGUCCAAGGGAAUUCGUUUCUCUUCUCUUCCCUAGAGAAGUGGAUGCUUUAAAGGGUUCAGGUAACCCCUUAUCAUCUUGAACCUUAUGAUUUUCAAUGGAAGGUUGGUCCAUAGAGUUGUCAUAGCAAUCCCCCACCAAAGUGUCAAUCUUCAACACUUUCCUUGAUCUUUUUGCAUUGGUUCCUUGAAGGUUAUGGUGGGGUUGAGGAGUAAGCUUCCUUUUCCCCCUUGCUAUGUCGAGAUUGGUGAGCUUCUCAAUGGAGUCUUGAACUUUUUCUAUCCUUAGUGAUAGAUCAUUAUAAACCCCCUCCAUUCUUACAUUUAUUGAACUCUCCAUAUUAUCAAUCUUUUCAUUAAGCUGAGAGUUGAUCUUUUGUUGCUCACCUACAAAGUCCUCCAUGACUUUGCUUAUCUUCAAAAUGGCUUGCUCCAAUGAAGAUGUACUCAUUGAUGGUUGAGGUUGAGGUUGGGUUGCAAGGUUGGGAUGGUUUAUAUACUCAAAUGAAGUUGGCAUGGCUUGUGGUUGUGCUUCAGUAUGCACAUUCCUCAAUUCAAACUCUUCUAUCCUUCUAGCCAUAGAUGCUAGCUUUGCCUUCAUGCUCAUGUCUUCAUUCAAAGCAUACUUACUAGCCCAUUGGCUUUGUUGAACUUGCCUUUUCCCUAAUUCAAUCCGAUCCCUCAUGGAUAAGUAUGCAAAUUUGUCCUUCUCAUGAUCAUAAUGAGAGCUUUGAUCUUCAUGUGGAAUUUCCAUUUAUAAAAAAAAUGAUAUUCAACUAAGGCUCUUUUCUUCAACUUGUACCAGGGUUCCCUCUUGGUCUCGAAUCCAACAAGGAAUGCACAAAUUGAAAUUAAAACAAAAAUAAAAGAAAAGAGAAUAAAAAAUUUAACUCAAUAAAAACUAAACUAAAAAAAAUUAUAAGAAAACUCACCAAACUUGUGAUGAAGAUCACAAGUUACCCUUAAUGGUUGCUUCACUGUGCUUGUGGCACCUUCCCCGGCAACGGCGCCAUUUGAUUCGACUCAUGGUAGCUUAGCUUUAAAGGCGUAUCAACAAAAUUUAUACCUUGAAUACUAUUACUAAAGUAGCCAAGCUACUAUAACAUAGUGGUUCUAGGAUCGUUCACUGGGAAGGGUUUUCGUAAACACAAGUGAUAUUCAAAUUAGGAAAAUAGGUGAUUUUCUUAUGGAUGUUAGCUUUAAAAGAAGAUGUAAAUUUUUUAGAAAGAUUUAAACUAAUCUAAGCUAACAUUAAAGACUAAAAUGAAAGGGUGUAAAAACAAGUUUCUCAAAGAUAGGAUAGUUAUGCUCUGGUUCUUAUGCAAAUUGGAAAUCUUAGGAUAGGCUCCUCGCGUUGGGGUUGCAACUAUGGUGAUGCUUGCUUCCCGAACCGGUAUGGAUUUAGCAAAUCAAGUUUUAAUCCUUUAAAAUGGCAAAACAGAUGGUAGUGAAUUUCAUCAAUGGUUAUUCACCUUAGACUUCCUUUGAAUGGCUCGUAAGAGAUAACUAAUCGUCUAAAGCCAAAAGCUUACCAAAUAUUGGCAACUCAAAGUCAUUCGAGGUGAUAAACUCACCUUUCAAUGGCCAUUGAAAUUGGUUCUAACAGAUUAAUGCAAAACUUGGAAUUGAAAACCUCACCUUCCAAUAGCUCGUAGGAGAUAACUAAUGGAUAGAAAUCCAAAAGCUUAUCAACUAUUGGCCGUUGGAAGUUGUCCAAAGGAAAUAAAAACCAAACUUUGCAUUAAUGAACCAUUAAUAAAAAAUGACUAUCUUACCUUCCAGGUGCGAGAAAUUUCCAUGGGAUUGCAUCCAAGUCAUCACAUAACAUCCAUACUUUGAGAAACUAAAAGUUUUAGCCAAUCAUCCUCUGAGGAAAAGCCCUCAGAGGCUGUUUGGCUACUAAGAAAAUAGAAAUGGGGAAGAACAGGAGAAGAGAGAAAAACAGAGCAAGGCUCUGUAUAUUCUAUAUAUUGAUCGAUAUAUAAUUACAACGGAUGCAAGGGAAUAUAUAUAGAGAAGUUUUUCCAAUCCUUCCUAGCUAAGAAAUCUUAUGAUUCGUGGAUUACAAGGAGAAGAAUGGAAAUUUAUACAAAAAUAUCUAAAAGAAAAGAUCUCGUGUGGAGUUGGCAGAAACAGGGGAAAAUUCGCACGUUGGAGUUCCAAUUUCGCACGUUGAUUUGAGGUGUGCGAAAUUCUCGCACAGUGGACUGAGGAAUUCGCACCUUGAACAGUGGUGUGCGAAAUUGUCCCUCAGCUUGAUGCAGUUGUCUUCCAAAGGCCAUAUCUUUCUCAAUUCAGCUCCAAAUCAUAUAUGGUUUGAACCGUUGGAUUUUUGACUUUCUGAGCUUUGAAAUGGUAUAUAGCAUGUAGAAAAUGGACUUCGGGAAGUGCUCCAAAAGUGCCAAAGAAGACUGCAGCUGCUGUCCUCUGUUUUCCUCUUUGCUUCUUUUAGCUUCUCUUUGCUUCUCUUUGCUUUUCUCCUUUUGUUGGCUUGCUUUGGUGUAGCUAAAACCUUGCUUUAACUUGUACAAGUAGUUCCUCCAUCAUUUGGCAUGCUUGAAUUGAUUCAUAAGCUGAUAUAAACAUGUAAACUUGCCACAAAAUGGUUAAAACCAAUUACUAAGGACCUUAAUGAAUUAAUUGGGUUAAAUGAAUAUGAUUACUACACAAAGGUGCUUAAAAUCAUUAUAAUUAGGUCUAAAAAAUAGCACUUUUUGGUAGUAAUCAAUGGCUGUGAAAUUUCGCAGCCAAAGGCUAAUUUCGCAGCCCUGCGAAAUUGGCCUUCAGCUUGGAGUGAUCUGCUUCCAAUGGCUCUAAUUUCUUCAUUUCAACUCCGAUUUGCAAACCGUUUAAAGCAUUGGAUUGUUGACUUCCUGAUCUUCGAAACGACAUAUAGCAUGUAUAAAUUGGACUUCAGGAAGUGCUCCAAAAGUGGCUGAAAUGACUAUCAUCAAGAAUGCUUCAUGGCAGAUUUCUCUUUGCUUCCCCUCCUUGCAUUCCGGAUUUGCUUAUGGCAAAGGACUUCAAAGCUUUGGUUAUUCAUGUUUUUGAGCUUUCCAUUGCUUUGCCAUGGAUUCCAAAGAACUCUCCUCAAUCUUGGAUUGCUUUGGUGAUCAAAAAGCUAUCAAAACACCAAAACUUAACACAAUUUGAUUAGAAUUGAUUGCAAGGGUCCUUAACAUGCCAAUUGAGUUAAAAGGUAAUAACUACUACUGAAAAGUGUUUAAAAGAGUUAAUUACAAGCUAUCAAAUAGCACUUUUUGAGUAGUAAUCAGUAUGCGCCAAAAAUACCAUAGUAUAUACAACCAAAUUGAAUAAGGUAUAUAUAGAAAUGAACAUCAAGCACCAAUGAUAGGAUGGACAACUCCAUCUAUCUCCUCUAACAUAGGGGUGGCUACCUGGUCAAUAUCCUUCGAUAUAGGUGUAGUAGCCUGAUUAGUGAUAUCCAUGAUAGGUGUAACAGCCUCGCCAGCAGCUUGUACCAUAGGGGGGUCAUCCCUAAUAAUGAUGUCCACACUAGUGUUAAUAGCAUAAAUGAAGAUCUCACCAUCGACCUGUCCUGCAGAAUUUGGAAUAUCAAUAGUCGAGUUAAAAAUCUUAGCUGCGGCAUCACCUGAUGUUUGUAAGAUAGGCAUGGUCUCAUGGGCUACUGUCGGUGCUCUAGUGUCAAAGCCAAAACCAAUCACCUCUGUGUUGCCAUCAACCUCUAAGUUGGUAUCAGUUAGUGUAACCAAAUCUCCCCUUUAUCUAGAUGGAAUAACCAAAGAAGUGAGCUAUUGUAUAGAAAAAGUGAGGUCAUCCAUCUGAGUCUCCAUCUUACUUAGGUAAGCGUCAAUGUGGAAGUCCAUGGACACAAAUAACUUCUGAAGUGUGUCUAGACGAGCCAUGAUUGAUAAAGUACUCGGGGUAGCAUCAACAAUCUAAGGCUAUGAAGGUUUAGGAAGAUCGGAGAUUGGUACUGUUGGUGUAGAAAUAGGAAUAGCAAGCUCUGGGGCACAUGAAAGAGAUGGUGGAAGAGGAAUAGGAAGCACUAGUAAGCUCAUGUCAAAAGUAAGAAUGAGUGGGAGCGGGCUCUUUGUAGUAGAUGGAAGUCGAACAAAAUCCAAAGCUCUCUUUCACCUAGUGCGAUGGGUAGUCAAUUGUGACCCUGAAUGAAUCAUUCGAGCACACUGAUCGAUAACAGAAGUGUGAGAAGCCAUGUGACGACCAAACUCAAGUAACUGUUGUCCACGGUGGAGCAAGUAGUAUGAGAGCAAUCAAGGCAAAGGAAUGAGAUAGCUUUGAGCUAAAAAUAACUGUUUAUCCUUAACCUUCUAAAAAAAAAGAAAUGAUGGUAUCCAACUGAGUUGAGGUGGACUCCACCCCUCGCCUGUGUGCAUAUGAUAUAACCCCCAUAAGACUAAAUCAGAGCGCUCUAUAGAGUGUCCACAACAAGUACCCUGAGGUGCUAGUAUAUGUGCAAUCCUCGAAAAAGCUAGUCGUGACUGAGGUGUAAAUCAGGCUUCAAGAGGAGUGGAUGAUGGUAAACCAAAGGCUGAAACAAUGCUCUCAGUGGAAAUAAUAUCAACUCGUCCUCUAAUAGAAAAAUGGAGCUCUCGGUACCCCCCUCUCUAAUCCUCGAGAGUAAAUAAUAACUCUCGUACACUAGCGACAUAAAAAUAUGGGGGAUGAUCCAUCAAUGCGAGAAAAUAAUAUCGGUCAAGGAGAUGCAUGGACAAUGCAGUGGGCUCAUAAGUACUAAAUGCCUUUAUGUCAUAAAAGAACUCUUGACCAAACUCCCGUUGAGAUAGGUCCACCCUAGGGGCAUCAUCACAAACUCUUAGAGAUGGAGGACGUGUUGGGCUCAGAGUAGGGGGAGCUGCCCAUGGAUGUGGAGGAGUGGUAGUAGGCCUGGUGGUCUUAGGAGUGGUUGAGCGAUCAAAAUGGGCCUUCAUCCUAGUCUUUACAUGCAUGGCUUCAGUCCUCUUAGUGGUUGGGUGGUCAAAACGAGACUUCGUCCUAACCUCUACAUGCAUGGCUUUAGUCCUCUUAGUGGUUGGGUGAUCACAACGAGCCUUCAUCUUGGCCUCUACAUGCUUGGCUUGACUAGUGACAUGCCUCUCGGUAAGCUCACUAAUCAGUACACCACUUUGACUUUGGACAAGAGGUCGGGCAUGCUUUUGCCUUGGGAAUGCUUAGUCUCAUUGUCACUUUGAAUAACAACUUUCCUUUUAUCUCGAGCCAUCUAAAAUAAAUGUCGAAAAAUAAACUAAACUUAAAAAGGGAAAUAAAUAAAUAAAAAUAAAAGCAAAAACUCAUAAGGGUUAAGAAAACAAUCCCAAAAAAAUUGAAUGCUCAUGAAAUUUAUGGAUUCAUGUGAAACGGUGGUAGACCAUUCCUAAAAUGCGGGAAAACAUUCAAGGUGUCCAACACUGAUGAAAAUAUGAGUCUUUGAAGCCUUAGAUAUAAUCCAAACAAUACUUAAGCUCAAAUAUCAUGUGACAAGGAAAUCAAAGUGAUUGGUUAGCUUAGGAGAAUGUGUAGAACAAAUAGAAAAAUCUACUAGAGAGUUUAAAAUGUUCUAGAGGAUAUAAAACAUAAAUUAGGCAACAAUUAUGCAAAACUCAUGGAAAAAUAAGAACCUUGCUCUCAAAGUAUUCUAAGAUGAUAAAAAAUCCCUAAGAAUCAUGUAGAAAAAAUUUCAAAAAUUUUCUCCAAGAAUAAACCAAAAAUUAUAACACCUUGAAUUUCCAAGCAAAACAAAAGAACUAUGUAACCAAAAUCAAUCUUGUUGUGUUGCACUCGGGUUUUUGGGGGUCAAGUUCCCCGUUGAGCUCGUGGGGGUCGAGGGGCAGUGCCCUAUAGAUUUUUUUUUUCAUUAUAUUUAUUGUUUUUUAUUUAUCCAUCCAACCAGAACAAUAGAAACCCCAAACAAUGUUAGUGAGAAUUGGGUAACACCGCAUUUUAUAUGAAGCAACAUCGCACAAUGAAACCAUAAAGAUCAAGGAAAAUCCAUGAAAAAUAAAUAAGAAAUGAGUAUGAGUGUAAUACGUACAUGGAAUGCAACAAACCCACAAUGAAAACCUAAAAUCGCCCUCAAUGGAAGCUAGGACGAUGAACAAGGGAAGUGGAAAUGACCAUUUGUAAAGGAGUUUGGGUGAUUUCAGAGUGAGCUCAAAAUAGAAAUUAAGUAUUUUGAAUUGGAUUUUUGGUUAAGAAAAGUCAUUUCGAAAUUUAACUAUUGAAUUUGAAAAUAACCUUAUUUUGAAUUCAUUAAUUAAUGGUAAAAAAAUGCACAUUUUAAAAUGAAACCAUUGGAUUCGAAAACUACCUUAUUUCGAAAUGGUUCACUAUAUACAAAAAAUUUUAAAAAACCUCAUUUCAAAAUGAAAAAAAAAAAAUUCAUUUCUAAAUUGGGCAAAUUUCGAAUUCACCUUCUGAAGUUAAAAAAUCUCAAUUCUAAAGUAAAAGAUUCAAUUUUGAAAAGCCCACCAUUUUGAAUUUGCUAAAUGUAGCCUCAAUACAUUGUUAAAACCCCAUUUCAAAAUUCCACUAAUGAUUUUGAAAAUAGCUCCAUUUCGAAAUGGCUCACUGUUGAUUCCAACUUCUAUUUCGAAAUAGCAAUUUUUUUAUAUUUCAAAUUUGCCUUUAUUUCGAAAUAACCCACGGUGAGUGUUGAAGUCCAUCUUAAAGCAUGAAAAUUGCUCAUUUCGAAAUUCAAAACUCAUUGUAUUUUGAACUCAUUGUCUGUGAGUUCAAAACACCUAUUUUGACAUUUACUAGUGAUUUCAAAAUUAACCUCAAUUCGAAUUCACUUUCUGUAGAUUUAAAAUUGCAAUUCUAAGACAAAAAUUUUGAUUUCAAAAGGAUCAUAAUAUUUAAAUCACCCAUUACUAGUCUCCAAAAGUGUCAUCUCUAUUUGAGAUUUGAAAUUCAAAAACAAAGGAAUUUUGAAUUCAGCCACUAUACCUUUAACUCUUUAUCAUAAAAAUUUAGGAUUUCCCUCCCAAGGGCUACUCAGUUUUGUAUUUCAUCAUUUGUUUUCAAAGUUCACCAAUGAUUCUCACAAGUAAAUUUUUGGGAGACCUAUUGAUUCGUGCCCAGUCGGUGUAUCAGCUGAUUCAUGUCCAGCUUCUGCUUCUUGAUUGAGGGAGUAAUCAACAAAAUUUAUAACCUAUUACACCAUGUACUAGGGUAGCAAAGACAAAGCUACUAUAGCAUAGUGGCUCUAGGAUCGUUCACUGGGAUGGGUUUUCACUUCACAAAUGAUAUUAAUUCAAAGCUAAAUUGGUGCCUUUUCAUUUCAAGGUUAGCUUUAAAAGAAAACAUAAUUUUUGGUAGAAAAGGUUGGUUUUAAGUUAACCAAAAAUAAUAACUAAUUUUACUUACAAAGAAAAGUGUUUCUUGGAGUUUAGACCACAGGGCUCAUAUUCCUUGUACAAAAAGGAGAGUUCCGGUCACUUGUUUAUUUUCCUCGCAUUGGGGAUUUAACAUAUAGUUAUUUCCCGAACCGGUGUGGUACAGAUGCUUCACUUUAAUGGGUUCAAACACUAAAUCCCUCUCACUGAUGCACCUUGCAAUGGCUCAUACCUCUCACCUAGCACUUGCCAUUCAAGGUGAUCUUUAACCUUGGACUUCUCGUCAAAAGCUCGCAAGAGAUAACUAAUGGAUAUCUCCGUGGAGUCCAAAAGCUUAUCAAGUGUUGUCUAUUCUAGAAAAUCCUACCUUCAAACCACCUCCCAAAGGCUCGCAAGAGAUAAACUAGUGCAUCUCAAUGGAUAGAGAUCACUUGCCUUAUCGAGUGUUGGCCCAGGUGAUUUAAUGGCGUUUUAAGUUAACUAAAAAGAUAAAAACCAUUAAUGGGUCACACUUUCUCUUCAUUAAAAACUAAAACAACAAAACUUCCAAUUUAUGCAUGAGGAAAUUUACCCGGCUUUCUUCACUCCAAGAGACAAAGAGCCUAGCCUCUCAUCCUCCGAGGAAAAAUCCUUAGAGUUUGAUUGGCUAGAAAGAAAAUAAUGAGAAAACAAAAGCAAAGCAAGUGCUCUGUAUUUUACUUCCUUCCCAAAACUGUAAAAAAGGAUUCUCCCCCUGAGAACAGGCUCCCAAGAGAUAUAUAUAAGGAAAAUUACAAAAUAUCUAUAUGAGGUUAUUCACCCUUUUUCCAAACUUAAUAACUAAGGAAUCCUAUAAUUGGUGGGUUACAAGGAGAUUUUGGGGAUUUAGACAACAAAUAUCUAAAGCAAAAUAUCUCAAAAUAUCCCAAAAUAUCGAUGGCAAAUAUCAGGAAGCUUCAGGAGAACACCGCGGCCCUGUGCAAAAUGGCUGCUCUCCCAUCCGGGUAGACGCUAUCAGAUGAUCCGGAUACGUCCGUCCGGAGAAGUUGAAACGCCCUCUUCUCCCAUCCGGCGUCAUGCGCCGGAUGCAAAAUAUCCGGAUGUAAUGGCGGCGACAGUAGAUUUCUGGAUGUGAUACAUCCGGGUGGAAAGAGGCGGCAGCCGGAUGCAAUGGCGGCAGCCGCUCCAUCUGGAUGAAACGAUAGCAUCUUAUCCGGAUAUGUUGUCCGGAUGCCCUCUGAUGGUGUAUCCUGACGCCCUAUCCGGGUAUACUCCUUGCAUGGAUUCCAAGUAACUCUCCUCAAUCUCAGAUUGCUUUGGUGAUCAACAAGCUAUCAAAACACAAAACUUAACACAUUUUUUAUUAGAAUUGAUUGCAAGGGUCCUUAACAUGUUAAUUCGGUUAAAAGGUAAUAACUACUACUCAAAAGUGUUUAAAAGAGUUAAUUCCAAGCUAUGAAAUAUCACUUUUUGAGUAGUAAUCACCUAUGAUCUUAAAUAUAGAUCAAUGUACCUAUAGGAGCUUUGUCACCUUGAACACAUGUGAGGCUUACCAUUUCACUCCCUUCAAGUUUGCAUUCACCUAUAUCACUCGGCUGUUUGCAAGCUAAGUUGCUACAACUUAUAAACUCAUUAGUAAGUUAAAAAUUAACUAAAAAAUGCUAACCACAUUGCUAAUGACUAAUUGAAAAUGCAAAACUAAAAAAAGAAAAAUUAAAUUAAAUAAAAAAAUAAAACAUAAAUUAAAUAAAUAAAAGUUUUACCUAAAUUUAAUUUUUACCUACUAGAUUUUCAGAAAAUACUUCAACCCUUUUAAACAUUCCCAUAAAGAAAAUGGAGAUUCUCCUCUUGUGUCUCAAAUCUUUCAAUGAAAUGCUUUAAGCGUUGACCAUUAACUUUGAAUUCACUACCAAUCCUCAGAUUUUGAAUGGUCACGGUGCCAUAAGGGAAGACUUCCUUUACCACAUAAGGGCCAUUCCACCUCGACCUAAGCUUUCUUGGAAAAAUGUGAAGCUUGGAGUCGUAUAACAACACAUUUUCACCUUGCUUGAACUCUCUUCGUAAAAUAAGUUUGUCAUGGUAGAAUAUGUGUUUUUCCCUUGUAUUAUGUAAGCAUUCAUAACUUUAAUUUUGAUAUGCCUCAAGUUCCUUCAUAUCAUAUUUCCUUUUAGCUCUAGUUUGAUCCAAAUGAAAGUUCAUCUUCUUUGUAGCCCAAUAUGCACGAUGUUUGAGCUCUAUAGGCAAAUGACAUGAUUUACCAUAAAUAGUCUGAUAUGGUGACAUGCCAAAGCCAGUCUUAUAGGUUGUCCUAUAUGCCUGAAGUGCAUCACUCAACUUGGUAGACCAAUCUUUUCUUGUAGUAUUGACUACUUUGGUGAGGAUUUUCUUAAUCUCUCAAUUUUCUAGCUCAACUUGCCAAUUCGUUUGAGGGUGAUAUGGGGUGGACACUUUAUGCCACACUCCAUAUUUCUGCAAAAGAGUGGAAAAGGGCUUGUUACAAAAGUGUGAACCUCAAUUACUAAUGAUUACUCUCAGAAUGUCAAACCUAGAGAAAAUAUUCUCCUUUAAAAAUUUGAGUACCAUUUUGUGAUCAUUGCUCUUGCAUGCCACUGCUUCUACCCAUUUAGAAACAUAAUCCACUCCCACCAAAAUAUAGAGAUUACCAAAAGGAGGGAAUGGUCCUAUAAAGUCAAGGCCCCAACAAUCAAAGACCUUAACAACACAAAUAUAAUUUUGUGGCAUUUGAUACCUUGUGCUGAUUUUCCCCAAUUGUUGACAUUGUGGACAAGUUCCGCAGUGAGUGUUGCAAUCCUUGAACAUAGUUGGCCAAUAUAAUCAACUCUGUAGAAUGUUUGCUAAAGUCUUCCUCGGAGCAAAAUGACCUCCACAAGCUCCCUUAUGGCACAUUUUCAAUAUGUUGUUCAUCCUCUAGAACACAUCUCCGGAUAAUUUGAUUUGGGCAAAACUUAUACAAAUAUGGAUCAUCCCAAGCAUAGUGUUUUUCUCAUAAAAGAAAAUACUUUUUCAUCUCCAUGUUCCAUUCUGAGGGAAGCUCUCUAGUUGCCAAGUAGUUGACUAUAUUUGCGAACCAAGUCAACUUCUCCACUGCACAAAGUGCAUCAUUAAUUCAUACUGCCUUGAAAUGUGACUCUACUUUAACUCGGGACAGAUGAUCAGUAACCACAUUCUUUACCCUUUGCUUAUCCUUGAUUUGAAUGUUAAAUUCUUGAAGAAGAAGGAUCCAUUUGAUAAGUCUUGUUUUGACAUCCUUUUUGUUGAGUAGAUAUUUCAAGGUCGAAUGAUUAGUAAAAAUUACUAUUGAAGUUCUCAAAUGGUAGUUCUUGAAUUUAUCAAGUGUGAACAGCACUACAAGGAACUCCUUUUCAGUAGUUGUGUAGUUCUUCUAAGCAUCAUUGAGGGUCUUACUAGCAUAGUACACCACAUAUGGUUUUCCAUCCUCUCUUUGACCUAGUACGACUCCCAUUGCAUAGUCACUGGCAUCACACAUGGGGUCUCACAAUUAGUGCGAUAGUGAGGAGUGACUUUAGCCUCUCAAAAGCUUCUGGGCAUGCUUUAGUCCAUAUGAAUUAUGCAUUUUUAAGUAAUAAAGCACAAAGAGGUUAAGAGAUUUUUGAGAAGUCAUGUAUGAACCUUCUAUAAAAAUCUGCAUGCCCCAAAAAUUGUCUCACCUCUUUAACGGUAGUAGGCGAAGGUAGCUUUGAGAUGAGCUCAAUUUUUUCUGGAUCUACUUGAAUGCCUUCUCUAGAGAUGAUACGGCCAAGUACUACCCUUGAGGUUGCCAUGAAGUGACACUUCUUCCAAUUUAGGACCAAGUCUUUCUCAAUGCACCUUUUCAAAACUUUUUUAAAUUUAAAAGACAAUCAUCAAAGGCCUUCCCAUAAACUAUCAGAUCAUCCAUGAAAUCUUCCAUGAUUCUCUCUACCAUGUCAUGGAAGAUAUUGACCAAACACUUUUGAAAUGUGGUCGGCGUAUUACAAAGACCAAAAGGCAUGCGCUUAUAAGCAUAGGUGCCAAAUGGGCAUGUGAAUGUGGUUUUCUCCUAAUCCUCUAAUGUAAUGACAAUUUCAAAGUAACCUGAAUAGCCAUCCAAGAAGCAAUAAUAGUCAUGACCAACUACCUUCUCCAAAACCUGAUCUAAGAAAGGUAAUGGGAAAUGAUAUUUCAUGGUGACUGCAUUUAACUUCCUAAAAUCAAUGCAUACUCACCAACCUGUAGUCAACCUUGUAGGAAUGAACUCUCCUUCAUCAUUCUUUACCACAGUUAUCCUGCUUUUCUUAGGUACUACUUGAGUAGGGCUCACCAAACUAUACCUGCAUCUAAAAGCUUCAAUACCUCAUUUCUGACUACAACUUGUAUAAGGGUAUUUAGCCUUUUUUUGUGGUUGCCUUAGUGGUUUUACAUUAUCUUCCAAAUAAAUAUGAUGCGUGCAAAUCAAGGGAUUUAUCCCUUUCAAAUCUAAAAUAAACCAACCAAUCACUCUUUUACUCUCUUUAAGCACUUUUAAAAAAUUGAUUUGUUGCUCUUCAAUUAAUGUAGUUGAAAUGACCAAAGGUUUUUCUUCAUUUUUCUCUAAAUAAACAUACUUAAAACCAUGUGGUGGGCUUUAACUCUAGUUUGUUGGUCUCAACAUUCCCCUUUUUUAUUUCUUCAUCAUUUUCAACACUAUUCAAAGACUAAAUGCUACAUUUUUCUUUCCACUUUGUAGCAACUUCAACGCGUUCUUUCUCAAUGAUUGUAGAGAAAAAUUUGUUUAUAUUUUCUUCCAUUAACUUUUAUAUGGGUUCUUGCACCAAGGCCUCUAUAAUGCAUGCUUCCUCAUCCUCCACAUCAUCAUGGUCCAUCGGUUGCUUGCAUAAAUUGAAGACAUUCAUUUCCACUACCAUGUUCCCAAAAAAUAACUGCAUCAAUCCAUUCUAACAGUUAAUGACAGCAUUGGUUGUAGCAAGGAAGGCUCUCCCAAGAAUAAUUGGAACAAAAUUCACACAUUUUUUCAACGGUUCUGUAUCUAACACCACAAAGUCCAUUGGGUAGUAAAACUUUUCAACUUGCAGCAAGACAUCUUCGACUACUCCUCUAGGUAGUUUAAUCAAACAAUCUGCUAAAGAGAGUGUAAUGGUAGUAGCCUUAAGCUUUCCCAAUCCCAAUUGCUUAUAGAUUGAAUAUGGAAGCAAAUUUAUACUAGCUUCCAAAUCUAACAAAGCCCUUUCCACGAAUGAGUCUCCAAUUUGGACUGAGAUGGUAGAGCAACCUAGAUCUUUGUACUUCACCAUUGCCUUAUUCUCAAUGAUGGCACUGACUUGCUUAGUGAGGAAUGUUUUCUUGCUUAAUUUAAUCAUUCUCUUCAUAGUGCAUAAGUCCUUAAGGAACAUUGCAUAAGCAAGCACUUUCUUGAUCAUAUCAAGGAGUGGAAUGUUGAUCUUCACUUGCUUCAAAACUUCCAAAAUCUCUAAAGUCUUAUCCCCCACUUUGUGUCUUUGCGUUGCUGAAGGGAAAGAAAAAUGAUUGAAAACACUCUUUUUAUCUUUGCUCACAAUGACUUUCUCAUAUUUUUCAUACUCUUUCUCAUUUCUAGCAUUUUUCUCCAUGGUUGGUUCAUUUCUAGCAAGAAUAUCUUCAUUUAUCGGUAACUUGGGCCUUUGAUAUUCUUUUCCAUUUUUUAUUGUGAUAACUGCAUUGCAAUCUUUCUUUUGCACUUCAGAAACUUCAUUUACUCAUCUCAUAUUUUUCUAUUGUUGAGUUGUGAACUUUCUUUUCUCUUGAGAUAAGCCUGUAGCAAGUUGGCUCAAAAUGGUUCAAAUAUUUGCUAGUUCUUAAGAUGCUUGAGCAUUUAUCCUAUUUUGAUCCUCAUUACGGUUGUCUUCCUUCUAUAGAAACUCUCUCAUCAUAUCUUCCAGUCUUGAGUUAAUUGAUGAGGUAUGAUGUUGUUGUUGAAAAUUUUGAGAUGGCAUACCUUGUGGUUGAAAACCUUUUUGCCCAUUAGUCUGAUUACCCUGAAAUCAAUUUCCUUGCUACUGAAAAUGGCCAUUGUUACCUCAUCUCCAUGAUAGAUUUGAAUAAUUCCUCCAACCUGGAUUGUAAGUGUUGGAAUAUGGAGAAUUGCUAGAAUAUUGCUUGUAUGUCCUUAAGGCAUUGGUUUGCUCUGAAAACAUGUCUUGCACUAUAAUUAGAGUGGGACAAGAUUGCACACCAUAUUCCAUAGACUUACAUAUCAAGAACGGUUGAGUUAUUCCCUAAUUGACUAUUUGUACCUCUUGACCUCUUUUGGCUUCCAAAUCAUCCAACCUUCUCAUAAUGGUUACAAACUUUACUUGGACAUCUAAACUCUCUGGUAAUGUAUUCACUCCACUAGCUCUUGCCCUGUUCAUUGUUCUAUCUCUAGGUGUUUCCUUGACGAUUGGUUCUUCCCAACUUCUAGAUACCUCGGCAACAUAAUCAAGGAAUUGAAAUGCUUCAUCAGGGUUUUUAUUCAUGAAAUCUCCUCCACACAUAGUCUCGAGAAGUUGUUUCAUUGGUAGUGACAUGCCUUCAUAGAAAUAUGAUACUAGUAUCUAGUUGUCAAAUCUGUGAUGGGGAUAUGCUGCAACCAUCUCCUUGAAUCUUUCCCAACAUGCAAAAAAUUUCUCAUCCUCCAUAGCCUUGAAAUUCGAGGUUUCCUUUUUCAAUGCACUAGUCAUAUGUAUUGGAAAGAUUUUUUGCAAAAACACUGAUUGUGGAUCACCCCAAUUUCUAAUACUAUAGGGUCUAAGACUAUUUAACCAAGUCUUAGCUUUAUCCUUCAAUGACAAGGGGAAUAGCUUCAUGCGGAAGAUCUCUAAAGGAGUGUUGGCUUCUCGAAAAAUUGAAACGAUGUCCUCAAAUUCCUUGAUGUGAGAGUAUGGGUUUUCAUUUUUCGUUCCCUUAAUAAUGGGUAACUGAGAUACCACUUAAGGUCGAAUGGUAACAUGAUCAUGAUUUGGAGGUAGAAUAAAACACGAUGGUGUGCUCAACCUGGGAGGAUUUAGAAACUCUCUCACAGUUUUUUGGUCCUACAUAGGUGGUCAUGGCCUGUUGUUACUACUGUUGGAUUCUUUAGUGUCCUCCAUAUUUGGUUAAGAUUCCUCAGUUGUUCUUUGAAGUCUACCUAAAAGAUCUCUUUCCCAACCAAGCAUAAAAUAGAAGAAAAAUAUAUAUAAAGAAAAAAAAGAACUAAAACAAAGUAUUGCCAAUCCCUGCCAACGACACCAAUUUCUUGACGAAAAUUCUCUAUUGUACCAAAAUACUUAGCUUUUUUUACGUAGCAACUCCAAUUAAGAAAAACUAGAGAAAGAGUCACUACAACUUUUGAAGUACUCCAGGCAUCGUCCUCAAGAAUUAGCUUAUGGAAAGAAUUAAUACUAGAAUAAAUGAAUUGCUUUCGUCUAAAUCCUAAAGUGAAAAAAAAAAUGAGAAUAAUGUGAAACUAAGUAAAAGAAAUUAAAUUAAUAACAAAAUGGAUAUUAAUAUUAAAUUCAAUUGAUUCAAGUUUGGGCCUUUCCACAAUCCAACCUAAGGUAUAGAAAUUAGAGAAAACAAAGGUCUAUUAAGUAAUAUGAUCUUAGGGUUUUGGGAUCCUUGGCCGCUCACGAUCAAGUUGAGUUUUAUAACUGAAAAUUGCAUCAGAAACCUAUUUUUUUCCUUUUUAAAACAGAUUCCUAAAACCAUCAAAUGAAUGAGAUUGAUUACUACUUUAAGAUUUGGCUUUUUAACCCUUCCUACUCCUUAUAGCUUUGUUUUGGGGCAAAUAAUGAUAGGGAAGACGAGGAUAACUAAUGAUAAAAAAUUACCAAAAAUCACUAGUAUUGGGUAAUAACCUACCAUAUCAUUCCCUAAACCAACUCACAAGGAUAGGAUAAAAAAAAUGAUAAAUUGUCACCCAACCAAUAAAUAAUCUCAUUGUUAUAAUAAUUUACUCAUUGUCCCUAUAGGUUUCCUAGCCCUUAGGUUUUCAUGCUUUAAGCUCCAAGUUGGCUCUUAACCUCUCAUGGGGGUGAUGUCACAUUCACAAUCCAUAAUAUGGUAAAAAUCCAUAAUUUGAAUAAUAAUAAUAAAAAAAAAAACAAACCAAAGUUCUCGUCUUCUUCCACCUUUGAUGUCAAACUCUCCGAAAAAAAAAAUCCAAGAUCCCUAAAACCUAGAACUAAGAGAGUUUAUAUAAUACCAUCAAUUACCAAACAUGUGGCACACACUCAUUGGCCACUUAUUAAAAAAUAAAUACCUAAAAAUGAUUAAAAAAAUAAUAAAAUGGUGAUUUCUAGUCGUGUGGGCUCCAUUUAGGAUGGAGUGCCCUAGAUGCAAUUCCCGAGGUAGAGGAGACAAAACAUCGAAGUGGCAAUGGGUGAAUUCGAAAUUGGUGUCAUUUCGAUGUGGAUUUCAAAUUCAUAAGUUGAAUUUUAAAAUCAUUUUGAAAUCAUUUCAGCUCCGAUUUGCACAUUAUUUAAUGCUUUGGACUUGUAACCUCCCAAGCUUCGAAACAAUAUAUUGUAUAUAUAAAAUAAACUCUGGGAAGUACUCUAAAUUUGUCCUCAAAUUUAGAGUAUAUAUUAUCAUCAGAUUUUUGAGUUCUAAAUUUCCAUGUAGCUAAAUCUUGCUUCAUGCCUCAUUUCCUAUGUUUUCUUGCCUUCUUUCUUACUCCAUAAUGGUCAUUUCUCAUCUUCCAAACUCAUGAUAUCCUUGUUUAGCCUUUCCUCAUGGUUUAUGAGUCCUGACUCACUUAUUUCCUCGUUUAACCCUUUCUUGAUCUUUCAAAAUUUAAAGUGAUUUAACUUACACCCUUUUCUUCCCUUGAACCUAAGAUAAGUCUCCAAAGUACAAAUUAAACUCAUGGCUAGGGCCUUAGCAUCAAUUUAGGUUAAGUUAGGUGAUUUGAAUGUCCUUUGGUGUAUAAAUCAUAUCGAAUAUGUGCCAUUGAGCACAUAUUUUGGCUCCAAUCAAGCUUUCCCGCCAAAUUCUGCAUGCCAAACAUUGAGUGAUAGAAUGGAGUAGGUUGUCCGAAGAUUCACUUGAGGCUCUAUAGUACAGUCAUGAAAGCACACAAAUUAGAUGAUAUGUAGUUGGUUGCUCUCUUCCCCAUGUCACUUAGUUGAGCAGCAUAGAGGUGGUUGGCAUUAAUUAAGCCUUCAAGACUUUGCACUUGGAAGGAUGUGGCCUAUGAGUUUUUGACAUAGUUUGCCUUUAGUGCCGAUAUUGAUUUUUUUUUUUUCACUAAACAAGACGUCAAGAGUGUUACUUAACCAUCCCUAUGGGAAAAGCAAAAGUUGUUGCCUUAAGUGUUAAUAUUGAUGUUUCUAGGUGAGACUUAGAGGCUACUAAGCAGAGGCCAAAUGAGUCUAUUUCUUCAUUUAUUAGGCAUUGGAGGGCUAAGGUGGUUGAUAUGAUAGAUUGACUUAAGGAGUAAGAUCAGAUUGACGCACUUCUUUGGAACCUUCAACCGGGGUUUGCUAGACAUCUUGUAGGUAUUCCAUUUCAAGACUUUUGAAGUUUGGUUCAAGUCGCUUGUAGUGUUCAGGAGGGUAUUGAUAAAGGGUUAUAGACAAACACUAUUCCUUCCUUAGACAAUAAAGGAAAGAAGCCUAUAGGAUCAUCAGGGAGUCUUGGAGAGGUUAACACUAUCAGUUAUCAUCAUUGAGGUUAGCUUAUCAGUCAUACCAAAGGUCUCCUACAAUUAGAGCCCACUUUCCUCAUCCAUUGUGCCAAUAUUAGUCCACCUAUAUUCAACAACCUUUCAUUGCUCAGACCAGUAUGCAACCACGACUACCAUAUCCUAGAGACACUGGUUCUCAUUCAUUACUCAUGUUCCCACUCAUAUUUUUUACACACAUGAUCUUUAUCGAAGAGGGGCAUAUUUGUAGACCCUCCAUUCUAUCUCCUUAAUACAUGCCCUAUUAAGUGUUCUUUCAAUACUCCACAAUGGUUCCCUAGUGGCUCUAUGUUGCUCAUAUAACCUACCUUUUUUAGCCACCUUGGAGACUUUGGUUGAGGAAUUUAUUUCACCCCUCAUUAUGACUCUUGGCAUAAUCGAGUUAGAUUUAGAUUUUUCUUUUUUCUUUUUAGGAUAGCUCCUUUAAGUACAUCUCUAGAAUAGAGUACUUAGGCAUCAUUUUUCGAUCACCUUGGCCCAUUUAGACACUUUUAGCCCAUUUAGGCACAUCCGACCCAUUUGGGAUCACCCUAACCCAUUUAGAUACAUCUGGAUUAUUCAGAUUACCUUGACCGAUUUAGACACAUUUGGCCCAUUUAGGUACAUCCAACUCAUUUAGGUCACCUUGGGCCAUUUAGACACACAUAGGCCCAUUUAGGCACAUCUGGCCGAUUUAAGAUCACCUUAGCCUAUUUAGACACAUCCAACCUAUUUAGGAUGACCUUGCCUCAUUUAGACACAUUUGACCCAUUUAGGAUUACCUGAACCCAUUUAAGCACAUUCGACCCAUUUAGGUCAUCCUAGCUCAUUUAGACCACUUAGGCCCGUUUAGGCACAUUAGGCACAUUGGAGCCAUUUAGGAUCACCCUGGCCCACUUAGGCAUGCCUUGACCCAUUUAGCUCACUUGGCCCAUUUAGGCACAUUUGGUCCAUUUAGGAUCACGUAGGCCAAUUUAGGCAUAUUCGACCCAUUUAGGUUGCCUUGGCCUAUUUAGAAACAGCCAAGCCUAUUUAGGUCACUUAGGCCCACUUAGGCACACCUUGCCCUAUUUAGGUCACUUAGGCCCAUUUAGGCUCAUUCGACCCAUUUUGGAUCACCCUGACCCAUUUAGGCAUAUUUGGCCCAUUUAGGAUCAUCGUGGCCCAUUUAAACACACCCUAGCCCAUUUAGGUCAUUUAGGCCCAUUUAAGAACACAUUAACCCAUUUAGGAUCACCCCAGCCCAUUUAGACAUACCUAGGCCCAUUAAGGCAUAUCUGACCCAUUUUAGAUCACCCUAACCCAUUUAGACACAUUCGGCCUAUUUAUGAUCACCAUGGCACAUUGGGCCCAUUUAGGGUCAGUUAGGCCCAUCUAAGCACACCCUAAGCCCAUUUAGGUCACCCAUUGUCUCACUUCUUAUUGCAUGGUUUGUGUGAUUGCAUUGUUGAACUUCCUUGCAUGGCCUGCAUGACACUUUGUUUUUUUUUUUGUUAUUAUUAAUUACUUAUUUAUUUUUAUUUAUUAUCUUGCCAUUUAUUUAUUUAUUAUUUAUCUAUUAUUAUUUCAUCAGUUUCUGAAUUAUUUUUAAUUACUAUUCAUUUGUUCAAUGUAAUUUUAAUUUUUUUUUUGUUUUUGUAGGGAAAUUUACCAAAGAGAGAGCCAACGGAGAAGGAAAAUAAGAAUCACCAAAAUGAAAAAGGAAGAUAAAGACAAAAGAGAGUAAAACUUACCAAAAGGAGAGGGGAUUGUGAGUUGCAUUAUGAAAGUAUGGAGAACGCAUUUUGGGAAGUUUAUCAAAGAGAGAGUGAAUGGAGGUGUAAAGCAAGAAUUACCAAAAUAAAAAAGGAAGACAAAACGAGAGAGAGUAAAACUUACCAAGAGAAGAGGGGAUUGAGGGUUGCAUUAUGAAAAUAUGGAGAACAUGUUUUGGUAAUUGAGAAAUUCAGCACAUGGAGGUUUUGGAGUAAGGAGAGGAAGGAUUUGGUCAAGGUGGAAUUUUAAGAAAAAAGGAUAUUCAAUGUGGUAGGAAGGAAUGUUUAGCAUAUUAAGGAAGAAUGUGGGGAUUGGUAGGGGGGAAGAAGAACAAUUGCAAUUUUGAGCAUAAUUUUUGUAAAAUUUAUUGGAUGAUUGGUUUGUAUAAUUUUAAUGUUAGUAGAUUUUAAAAUUUUACGGAAUGAUUGUUAGGUUAAAUUCCCAUGUUGAAUGUGUUUUAAAAAUUCGUUAAAAAAAUUAAAUAAAAAUUCUUUGAAUGUUUGUUAGGUUAAAUUCUCAUGUGAGCAUUAUUAUUAUUAUUAUUAUUUAAUGCUAUAUUUGGUUGAAUUUUCAUGUCAAUAGAUUUUUUUUUAUUAAAAAAAAAUUGUUGAAUGUUUGUUAGUUUAAACGUUUAUGUUAAUAUAUUUUUAAAAUUCAUAGGAUGUUCUUGGCAUAAUUCUUAGUUGCCCUUAUCUCUAAAACCUUUCUAAAAUAAGAAAGUCAUUCAAGAAAAUAAAAAAAAUAUAAGAAAAAGGCAAAGUUGCUGCCUUUUUUUUUUUGGGGGGGGGGGGGGGGCCUUAUUUAUUUAUUAAUUUAUUUUUGUCAAUCUCCUACAAAAUGAUAUCCCACUUACACCCUUACGCAACAAGAGCGCGUGGGACACCCACUUCGACCCAACAACUUUAUGAUGAAUCUGAACCCUGUGGACAAUAAUACCAUGUGCAUAUAUACGAGCCUGUAACACUCAUUUAUGGGUUUAAAUUCAUUCAAAUGAGUCAGUAGUAAAAGCUAUGAAACAGAUCGAACCCCACCUUUUUUUUUUUCUUUUUUUUCGUUUUUAAAUUUUCUGGGGUCCCUCAGUUACUUUACAGAAGGUGGCAGAGAAAGAGAGACGAAUAAUCACUUUCAAUGCUGUUGUCUUCUUGUUGUAAGGGUAAAAUAAGAGGCAAAGAAAUUAAUGAAUUCAUUAUCUUACCUUUCUAUUGAAAUGCCUUCCAAGAAAUGUUUUGAGAGCUUUGAGUUUAGUCUAUAAUAAUGGUAGUAUAUUUCAAUGAAUAUGCAUUCUAGAAAAAUAUAUACCUUUAGCAUAUACCAAGAUAUCCUAGGGUUUCAAGUCAAGUAACAACCAAUCAAAACAAAAUCACUCUUCUUGGAAAACAUGGAUGUUCGAGUAUCCAGCUCUUUUCUUUAAUUGUGCUAACAUCGGCUCUCUCUCCAGCAUGCAAGUGUGCGUCCCAGGCAGCUCUUUUGUGCUUUAAAUGAAUUGAAUUCUUGAUCUUAUUCUGCCAUUGUUUUGGCUCAAACCUAAGAAGUAUAUUUACCCUAACUUCUUUUCAUGUCUUCAACUUACUCAAAGGCUCACAAGUCCCAUUGGAAGUAAGCAGUUAAGGAUUUUUGAACUAAAAUUAUCAAACAUAGUCUAAUAGGUUAUUAAUGAAAUUAUUGAUGCAGAAUAACAGGGCGGGUGACUUCAAAUGGAUACACUGAGGUCUAUCUGUGCGUGUUAGGCAUUCAUGAACCUGUUUUCUUCGGUCAAAGAGCAGCCAAUACAAGGAAAAAACAUGGCGAAAAUUAAGUGAAGUAUGACUUCUGGAAGAUUUAUCACCUUCGUAAAUGAAGUGAGAGUUUUGACCGAAUUGAAGUAAAAAAAUUAAAUGCAACGGCUAGACCGGCUCCAACUAUUAAGAUUAUAAGUGCCACACAGAAAGAACGGAAAGAACGGUCCUAGUAAAUGAAGUAUAAAGACAUGAAAACAUAAAAUUGUCCAGGUAAAUGAAGACAUGCAAUGAAGAAGAAAUCUGUUGCAGACUACACAAAUCACAACCACAUAAAUCAACCACCCACCCAUUUUUCGAACUUCCAGCUCUCAUGCACUGGCACAGUUCGGUCCUUUUAAAAAUUAAAGUAGGCAUCUAAAAUUUUAUUGGUUUCAAGAAAUUUGGUGCACUAGGAUCCAAUGAAGAGAACCUUUUUAUUCUAAAUAUUCAAUAGUAGAUUCCAUUCUUAGCUUACCAAUAUAUAUAAAUUACUCAGGACCUUAAGAAGUUGAUAUUACAAUUUAAACAAUGUUAUAUCAUGUGUAUUAGGAGAGAACCAAUCUCACCCACAAAUCAAGAACACUCAAUUGUCAAUUCUUAAGUUUAUGACUAAUAUAGUUUAUGUAUCUUUUGGAAAGUCAUGCGUAUAUUUAAAAGACUAUAGUGUACACCAAUAAUAAUAUACUUGCACCAUUCAUCUAUGUACCUCUUUCUGGUAUCAGAGCAAUUCUAGCUCCCAUGAGUUCUUUUUUUCGCCUUCAUCCUAUGUUUCACCAUGGCUGAAGCAAGCUCAACCAGGCUAUCCCACCUUCCCUUACCUACCAAUACAACCAUGAACCUGGACAAUCUCAUUGCCAUCAACACAAUUAGCUAGCCAACUUCCACUCAAGCUCAUCCUCACUAACUAUUACUCAUGGAAAACAUAGUUUGCUGCACUGCUCUUUGGAUAUGACCUACUUGGCUACAUUGUCGGAACAAAGCCAGGACAAACAAAUAUCAAUCGUAACUAUACUAUUUGGACAAGUAGGACAAGCUUCUUCUUCUAGGAAUCAUCGGCUCUCUCAGCCAUAAAGUCGUACCUGUGGUUCAUUCAUGCAAAACUUCCACUAAAGCUUGGCAUCAUUUUUCAAAGCUCUAUGUCAAUCCCUCAUUCUCCAAAACCAUGGGAUUGGUAGAGCAACUCAUUCUUCUCAACCAUGGCUCUUAACCAAUGGUUAACUACCUUGCAACAAUCCAUGAUAUUAUUGAUGAAUUGGACCUUCUUAGAGAAGCCAUUCCAAACCAAUAACUCACCCCUUAUGCAUGCAAACAUGUCACCCACGAAUUCAAUGAAUUGUUGUUGUUAUAUGCGCACGAGAUACUAUGAUCACAUUUGAUGAGCUGCAUGAAAAAUUGAUGGAAUAUGAAGCCUUCCUCAUGUAGGAAGAGCUUCGUUCCACUAGCACUCUUGGUACCAUUAAAGUCAACAAUACACAAUUUUCAUCUUCCCAUAGUGACAAAAACGCUAGCCAAAAAUAUUUCCCUAGUAGGAAAGGAUACAAAGGCCAACAUCCUCCUCAUUUUGGGAAUCAACACCCCAACAAGAACGCCACUAUGAUUUGCCAAUUCUGCGAGAAGAAAGGUCAUACUACUUGCUAGUGUUACUUGGCUAAGAAAUUGUUCCUUUCAUCCACACCUACUACUAGUCCAAUUAUCCCCACAAACAACUUCCUAACCAAUUGGCUCGUAGAUAUCAGUGCCUCACAUCAUGUUACAUCUAAUCUUAACAAUUUGUCUCUCUGCCAACCAAUGAAUCUGGUCAUUAAUAGUUUUCACAUUUCCUAUACUUGGAGGGUUGUUCCAAGAUUAAAUAAAGUUUUUUCCCAAGCUAAUCUUAAUGUAGUCUUUUCCUAUUCUUUGAGGGUUGUUCCAAGAUUAAAUAUGCUCAGUUUCAGAAUUGAAAGGACUUUUUCAUAUUGCUAAGAAAAAAACUUAUGAGAUUGAUUUUUCUAUCAAAAUUCUUAUCUCUAAAGUGGAUUCCUUUGAGUGGUGAGCUUAAUUCUGAGUUCUUAUCUUUAAGGUGAUGAAUUUCUUAUCGUUAAAGUGGUGAACUUGUGUUAUUAACUUAUCAUUUUAUUUCCUUAAAACGGUAUCAUUUUGUGUCAGAAAAAGUAGUUACAGGCUCCCUUCAAGUUUCUUAUGUAUCAACCCACAAUCAACUUGUGGAUAUACUCAACAAACCAUUGCCCAAGUCCCGCUUUACAUUCUUUCAGUCCAAGAUUGGCAUUUUUUUUUUUUUUAUGGAAGCACCAUCUUGCAAGGGCAUAUUAGGAGAGAACCAAUCUAACCCACAAAUUAAGAGCACUCAACAAACCAUUGCAAGGGCAUAUUAGGAAAGUCAUGUGUAUAAGAUUGUAGUGUACACCAAUACUAAUAUACUUUCACCAUUCAUCUAUUUACCUCUUUAAUGUGAAUGACAUCUACACCAAAAGAUAAUUUGGUGCCUAUACAUGCGUUAGUUUUUCAACUAAAUUGUUGAACAAAUGCCAUGAAUUGAGGUAUUACGAAUUAUUAAAAAGUUAAACUUGACUUAGAAUGUUUCUAAAAAUUAGAAUUUCACUUAGUUUAAGCUAACUAGAAUAUUUUAUUUUUGGCAAUUUAUUAUUUUCUAUUUUUUUUUUAUGAAGUUUUAUAUUUUAUAAGAAGUUUCUAUUUUAUUAGGUGUUAGUAUCUAUAAAUAAGAUGUAAUUUAAUAGUUGAAUAAGAGCGGUGAAAAACAAUAAUUUUUUUCUUAAUCCAUCUCAGUUGCUUAUCUCCCUUUAUGUUAUUAUUUGUCAUAAGUUAUUUCAACCCUAUUACUCCAACAAAUGGCUAUCACUGUCAUUCAAAAAAGUGGAAAUUGGCAUGUAUCUAUUUCAAGUCCACAAAGUCAAUAAAUGUAAUUACAAUAAAGGGGUAUGAAACUACUCUAUCCUAAAAUUAAUCAAAAGGAAUUUUUUUUUUGAAAAAUAUAAGUAAGAAAGAUAAGAAAGCUCUUACCUCCAUCAAUUAAGCAAUGGAUGAAGGUACUUUUGAGAAGAUUUUCAGUGCAACCAUAACCAAAUAUGAGAGAAUUUUAAGCACACAUAACAUAUUUAACAAUAUACAAAAGAUUAAUCUUCAAACUCUAAUAAGAGAAUUUGAAAGUUUGAGCAUGAAAAAAGAAAUCGAAAUAAAUCUCUAAUUAUUUUUCUAGAGUAUUAGCUGUUGUGAGUUUACAAUAAAAAUAUGUCAAAAGUUUGAAUGAUAGCCAUGUGGUAAAAAAAUAUGUUCAAUCUUUAGAUUCCAAAUAAGUUUAACUAUAUUGUUGUUGUCAUUGAAGAAUAUAAACAUUUAGAUUCUAUCACCAUUGAUCAACUCAUGAGAUCACUAUAGACUCAUAAAGAGAUUAAAAAGAAAUAACUAAGAAAAAUUACAACUUUUUUAAACAGAUUAAACUUAUACUAAAGGAGAAUGAUGAAAACAUUAGUGAAAGAAGUCAAAACAAUCAUGAAUAUGUCAAAGACAUGGUCAUAGCCAUGGCUAAGACAAUAGAGGAAGAGAUAGGUUUAAUUUAUCAAACAAUGAAAUAACAAGUCAAAAUUCACAUUCCUCAAGAGGACAUGAAAGAUGACACAACUUCAGGCAUAAUAAAAGAAGAGGAUAUGAUAAAUUUCAAAUUGAAUGUUAUAAUUAUAAAAAAUAUGGUCAUGAUGCUUAUGAAUAUAGAAAUGCUACAAACAAUAUGAAAAGAUACGUCAAAGGAGUUGCCACCUAGGACCAAACUUCCUGCUGAUCAAGUCUCAUAUCGAAUAUUGUAAACCCUCAAUUUUGUCCCUUUAGCACAUGUCUUUAAAAUUCGUUUUCAAUGCUCCACAAUAGUUCCUUGGUGGCCCAUGGCUACUCAUACCACUUACCUUUUUCUGAGUCACCUCGGAGACUUUGGUUGAGGGAUUAUCUGACCCCUUAUUGUGACCCUUGGCAGCCCUAACUUAGACUUAGGCUUUUCUUGCUUUUUAGGAUAGCUUUUAGAUACACUUGGCCCAUUAGGCACCACCUUAGGCCCACUUAGGUCACCUUUUAAGUAAUUUUUUGCAUGUUUGCAUGAUUGCAUUUUUUUGUAUGACUUGCAUGGCUUGUGGGGCCCGAUUUUUGUUAAUUUGUUUAUUUUUAUUUAUUUAUUUUACUUUAUUUUUUAUUUUUUAUUUUUUAUUUUUUUUUUACUAUCAUUCACUUUUUAUUGGUUAUCUUCCUCUUUAUAUUAUUUUCCUUAACUUAUUUAUUUAUUUAUUAUUUUUACCAUUUUCUAAUUUAUUUACUUAUUUAUCUAUUCAUUCAAUUAUUUAACUUAAAAAAUUUCAUGCUUUUGCAAGGAAACUUACCAUUGGAGUUUAAGGAAAGUGGGACUCUCCAUCGAAGGUUUUUGGAGGGGAAUUUGAAAUUGGGAAGAUUGCUUUUGAAUUGGAAGAUUUAAAAAAAAAGGAAAAGGUGAAAAGAAGAAAGAAAAUAAGAGAAUUUGUCUUUUUUAGAGAGAUUUAGGUUUUAGGGGGGUAAUAUAUAUAUAUAUGUGAGAAAAGGAAAAGAAGAGGACACGUAUUGGAGUCACGGUAGGGAGAGGAAUAAAGAUAGCAAAAAAAGGAUUUUUUCUUUUGAGGAGUACGCUGAAGAAGAGGAAGGAGAUGGGUGAUUCAUUACUCUGCAGCUGCCUAAAGGUUAUAGUGUUUUCAUGUUUCACUUUUAUUGAUUUUUCGUCAAGAUCAGUUUGGUACUGCUUUAGUCUCUCUAUAUCCUUGCUUCCCAUAGAGAUGUGGAUGCUUGCUAAUCAGGUAUGCCCUUUCUACCCCACAACCCUAAAAUUCUAUGAAUGUGUAUGUUCUCAUGAGACAUGACCAUGUUUGAUGCCAUAAUUGAUUGCCUUGAUGCUUGAUUGAUAAUCUUUGAUGAAAAUACAUACCAUGUAUCAUAUUUCCAAACUAAUCUCUUAUGUUUCAUGAUAGCGCUUGAGAAGCGGUUUCGGUACGCACCCUAACUUUCCUUUAUUGUGAUUUGAUCUUGUUUAGCAAGCUAUUUUUUGAAAUCACCUUAGUCUAUCUAGGUACUCUCAAUUAAUCAAUUAAUUGCCCCACUUCCCUCAACUUAGUCAGUAGAGACCUCUUUGGGGCUUAGAGGGGUGCUACCUCCUAGAGGUACCUUCCCAAUAAGCAACCUGAUCCCCAGACCUAGACUCGGGUUUCUCAAAGACAUGCUUUUUCCAAAACUAUGGAGUCACUUUUUAGGGUUUCUCUUUCUUGUUUUAUUUUCCCUUCAAAAUAAAAAUAAAAUAGGUGGUGAUUCCAACUUUUCUAAAAUUAAUUUUUCACAAAUAAAAAACUAGUCUCGCCGAUCGAGUGGGGACACACGUGAAAAAUGCGGGUCCGCAAAUAUCACUUUCGAAGUUACUAGAGCUAAGGAGGUAAUUGAAGAAACUAUUGGAUGCAUGCAUGAUCCAAUCUUUAAGGGUUUGUUUUGGUGCUCCUAUCUUAUUCCAAAUAGAUGUGUGUUAACUAUUGGGCCUUGAACAAAGUAACGAUCAAGAAUAAGUAUCCAAUCUCCUUAGUGGAAGAAUUAUUUAAUAAACUGGCCAAGGCAAAGUUUUUCUCCAAAUUCGACUAACGGUUAGGAUACUAGCAAGUAAGGAUUGUAAAGGGGGACAAAAAAAAAAAAAAGACUAUAUGUGUAACUCACUAUGGACCAUAUGAGUUCCUCAUGAUGCCAUUUAGACUAACUAAUGCCUCAAUAACAUUCUACAACCUAAUGAAUGAUUGCCAUACAAGUUCUUAUAUGCCUUUGUUGUGGUUUACUUUAAUGCAUUGUUGUCUAAAGCAAGACCUUAGAAGAGCCUGUGAAUCACUUGAGAUUAGUGUUUCAAAGACUAAGAGAACAUGAACUCUACUUGAAGAUGGAGAAGUGUGAGUUCGCACAAAGUCAUAUUACCUAUCUAGGACAUUAGAUAGAGGAAGGGUUUAUCAAGAUGGAUGUUUAGACCAUUAAAGAUUGGCAUGCUCUAAGCAAGAUGACACUACCUGACUAUUAUUGAAUGUACAUAAGGGGCUACUUCAAGAUAGUGGCUCCCCUUGCUAACCUUCUAAAGAAGGAUAUUUGCUAGGAUUGGAGGUUUGAAUGCUAGAAAGAUUUUGAGAAGUUGAAAGUAGUGAUUUGAGUCAAGUUGGUGUUGCAAUUACUAGAUUUGGAUCUCCUAUUUGAGGCUCAAAUAGAUGCAUCAGCUAGGGCCUUAGGAAGGAUCUUGGUGCAGGAAGGGCACCCAAUAGCCUUUGAGAGUUGAAAACUUAAUGAGUUAGAACAAAGAUACUCCAUUCACGAGAAAGAGAUGACAAUGAUUAUCCAUUGCUUAUAGUAGUGGAAGCAUUAUCUGUUGGGGAGUAUAUUUACUAUAUAUGGUCACAGGCAACAUAGUUAAUACAUUUUUCAAGAUGCAAAAGGAGUUGAGCCCUAAGCAAUCUAGGUGGCAAGAAUUCCUAGCCGACUUCAAGUUUAAAUGGUUGUAUUGACCAAGAAGACAUACUGUAGUUGUAGAUGCCUUAAACCAGAAGGAAUUGACAGAGUAUGUGAUCCCUCUAUCACAUGUGAUCUCAUAUUUUAAUGAAAAGAUCAAGCAAGCUGCUAAGCUUGAUUCUACUUAUGAGAAGAUGAAUCAACAAGUCAAAGAGGGGGCUAUUAAAAAGUAUUGGCUAGAAGAUGACCUCUUGGUGGCUAAAAGAGGUAGGCUAUGUGUACCAAGAAGUUGCUUACAUAAGGAGUUACUAAGAGAGACCUAUGAUGUCGAGUAGCCAGGUCACCUUGGCAAAGAGAUGACAUCAAUAGUAUUGUCCAACUACUAUUACUAGCUAAAAAUAAGAGAGGACAUCUAGGCUUAUGUUCUAUAUUGUUUGAUAUGUCAAUUGGAUAAGACAGGCAAGAAGAAAGCUAUAAGGUUACUACAACCUUUCCCUAUCCUAAAGAGACCUUAGGAGAACAUAUUUGUGGACUUCAUCGGUGGCUUUCCAAAAGUGAGGGAAUUUAAGUAUAUCUUCAUGAUAGUAGAUAGACUCUUUAAGUAUGUUGCUUUCAUACUUACACCACAUGCAUGUCCCGUAAAGGAGGUUGUUAGGCUAUUCCUCAACCAUGUGGUCAAGUACUUCAAGUUGCCUAAAGACAUAGUCAGUGAUUUUGAUGCUUGAUUCAUUGGUUAGUGUUGGAUUGAGUUGUUUAAACUCCUAGGAUUGAAGUUGAAGUUCUAAACAACAAAUGAUUCAUAGAUAGAUGGGCAAACAAAGUGUAUCAAAUGUGCCACUUAAGGAAUACCUCAGACACUAUGUUUUUGCAACACAAAAGAACUAGAUUGAUUUAGUGGAGAUAGCUCAGUUAUCCUAUAACUUACAUAAGAGUUCAAUAAUAGGGUUGAGUCCCUUUGAAUUGGCUAACAAGUGUUAGGGUUCCCAACAAAUACCCCCUUAGAGGUUAGGGUUUCUAAGGUUUUUCAGUUGUCUUCCUAAUCUAGAGAGCGUAAGAGAAAGAGCUUAGGAAUCAUCCCUUCUAAAGCCCACUCUUUGGAGUUCUAAGAUCGUAGUUCGAGUCAUCAAGUGUAAGAUCUUGGAUGUACAAGACCUCCAAACUCUUCAAGUUUAUUUUUUACCCAUGAAAUUGAUUUGGGGACAUCCAGAUCUAGACAUGAAUGUUUCUUCUCUAGUUUUAUUAAUCUAAAUCAUUUUAAAAGUCAUAUUUCAAUUCAAAUUAGUUUCUACAAAAGCCUAGGGUAGAUUUACAUGUACCUAUACAAUCCAAGGUAUGGGAAUGGAAUGAUCCAAGGUUCUCAACAUACACACUAUCUUACUCCCAUGAGAUAUCAUGGUGCUUUUAUUAAGAAUACUUGUUGCUAGCUUUCCCAUAUGGAUAUAUGACCACAUUAGGGUCUCACCUAUAAAUCAAAGUUUCUUAUUGAUUUUGGUAUAAAUUCAAUAUAUUCUCAAGGUUGAGAAUCUAUGUAUUACAGUAGCUUAGUGAAUCAUGACAACUAAUAGCCUUAUGUCAUGAUUCACUAUAGGUCUUGUCCUAUAUGUAACCAUACACACUAAUGUACUCAUCAUGGGAAACUCAUCUCAAUGGUCAUGAUAAGUCAUCUCUCCAAUUAGGAGGUGGUGCAUUGUAGUCUUUAUUGAAUUGCCCAAAUCUAUGAACCAAUUAUAAACAACUAAUCAUCUUGCAAGGAAUCCAUGACUUAUGUCCUUUAUGCAAUUCCUAGUACACUAAAGUCAUAUGCAAUGCAAGUGAAAUGACAUGUUUAUUUAGGUAACCAAUCAGUACAUAAUGGGAUAGUAAGUUGAGCAAUAAACAUAAAUAAAUAAAUUUAUUAAUGAAUCUACAACUAUUAUAUCAUGUCAUGCUUUCCAAGGCACUAUCCCAAUAGGUUGGAUUAGGUGACUCAAGUUCAGUUUAAGCUUAAGUCACUUAAACCCAUAAGAAGCCCUAUAUAAACACUCUAAGAGGUUUAGGGUUCACGAUUUUAACAUUUUGGCCACCAUCUUCCUAAAAGAGAGUAAGAGCAAGCCUUAACCACUCUUAGGAGAGGAAGAGAAGCUCACCCUUAUCUUAUGCCAUGAUCCUUGAAAUGAGAGAUCGAGUAAAAGAUCUUUGGGUAGAUGAACUCCACCACAUCCCCAACAUCUUCUUUGACAUCUUCUUGGGAUUAGAUUCGAUUUUGGAACAUCCAAAUUGUAGGUAUGAAACUUUAACCUCUACAUCUAGAUCAUAAUGUGGUUUUAGUUACCAUAUAUUUUUACUAUGUUAGAUACAAAGCCUAUGAACUAAGUAACUAGUGGUUCCCAACAGUUUAUAGUUAUAAAAUGAUGAAAACUAAUGUCUUUUCACCAACUAAACCUCAUAAAGCAUUAAAAUCAUUAGUUUCAUUGCAAAUUCAAGUUAAAGAUUAAAAUGCACCAAGUAUGAGUCUCACCCACAAAAUGAUCCCUAAUGCUCAUUAAUAUAUAUAUUAAAAGUCAAAAGGAUAAUGAAGAUGAUGACAAACCAAUAAUCAAAGCAAACUUUUGAUAAUGAAGAAAUAUGUUAUGUUCAGUGUCAAAAUAAAAUCAACACUAAAUUUUCUAAUAAAAGAAUUUGAUAGUAGGUUGUGACUACAACCUAGAUAUCAAUUCCAUAUUGAUACAAAAACAGAGCUUAAGGCAAUUUGAAAAACAAGCAUAAAAUCGAUGGUUUUGGAAUUGAUAAUAAAAUCAAUAAACCAACUCAACUUGAUACUCCUUGACAACAUGGAACCAAUGUCAAUCCCAAUAUGAUAACAAGAUCUAUACAACAUGAAAAACUGACAAAGCAAAAUUUACCAGACUUGGUAUCAAAUCAAAAUCAACAUGUAUUUCAAUAAAUUAUAUAUAUAUAAAUCAAUACAACACUAACAAUGGUAAUGUUAUUAUUUGGGAUAAACUAAUAUACAAAUAAUAAAGGCUCUGAGGUAUCAAAAUAUCAUUAAUGAGUACAAAAUCUAAUUCAACCAAUUUCAGGCAUUCUCAUGUGAAUUUACAAGUAUAAAAUAAUGAAAACUAAUGCAUUUUCACAAGCUAAACCUCAUAAAAGCAUUGAAACCAUUAGUUUCAUUGUAAUUUCAAACUAAAUAUCAAAAUGCACCAAAUAUGAGUCUCUCACGCAAAAUGAUUCCUAAUGCUCAUUAAUCUGAUUUUUUUUUUUUUCAUAUAAGACAAAAACAAAAACAAUUCAACAAUUUUUAUAGGGCUAAUUUUUUUUAAAAUGAUAUAGAAUAAUACAAAAGAAAAUAGAAAGGAGAGGAUAAUAUAUUGAAUGAAAGCUUGAAGUGCAGUUGGGGAGGCUUCAAGACUUGUUCAUAGCUUUGAUCUUCCUUUUUGAUCUCCAAUUUGACAAAGUUUCUUCUGCUUUUAUUUCCAUAGAAUUGUCUCCUUUGAAAAUGUAGCUCCCUCUUUGAAUUUAUUGCCUUGAGGAUGAUGAGGAUGAGGAGGAUGAUGAUAAACCAAUAAUCAAAGUUAACUUUUAAUAAUGAAAAAAUAUACUAGGUUCAAUGUCAAAAUCAAAUCAACACCAAAUUCUCUAAUAAAGGAAUUUGAUAAUAAGUUGUGACUCCAAACCAAAUAUAAAUUUCAUUUUGAUACAAAAACUGAGGCUAGACUAAUUCGAUAAACAAACAUAAAAUAGGUGGUUCGGGAAUUGAUUUGAAAUUAAUACUUGAGUAAAUACAACUACCCAAAUUGAUACUCCUCUACAACAUAGAACCAAUGUCAAUCCCAAUAUGAUAACAAGAUCUAUGCACCAUGAAAAAUCAACAGAACAACAAUUACCAUAGACUUGCAUUGAAUCUAAAUUAACAUUGAUUUCAAUGAAGUAUUAAAAAAUCAAUACAAUACAAACAAUGGCAACAUUAUUCUUUGGGAUGCAUGGAUACAAAAACAAUUAAGACUUUGAGGUAUCAAAAUGUUAUUAAUGCUUCAAUAAAAAAUCUAAUUCAACAAGUUUUUUUUUUAUUUCCAUUUGAAUUUACAAGUAUAAAAUGAUGGAAACUAAUGCAUUUUCAAUAGCUAAAACUCACAAAAGCAUUAUGUAGAACCUUCCUUUUUGUCCUGGUAACACAUGCUUUUAAUCGUAUUUAGUACCCCUCAUUUUUAGCAAUUUAAAUUGUUUAUAUAUAUAUAGAUUAUACGAAUGUUUUAACACUUAGAGAAAUUGGAAUGAAGCAAAAUAUGCAAAAAAAAAAAAAAAAAAAAAGAAAUAAUUGUCUAUAGUUAUCUUUAUUAUUUUUUAUACAUUUCUAUUGACAUGGUAUAAAUCAUCAAUAAUUGUUGUGAGUAAUAGCAUUGAGAAAAGUCAAUGUCCAUAAUAAUACUCUAUUGCCAUUUUUUAUUUUUUAUUUUUGUAAAAUAAUAAAUCAAAUCACAUCUUGUAACAUUAUCAUUAAGAUUUACAUGAUUUCUUACAAUGUAGCUUAAAACCAAAUAUUUCAUCAAAGAAGUUAUCAAUAAUUAGCCCCACACAAUGAUAUCUAUUAUAAUACAGACUUCCUUCAAUAUGUGUGUUUGUGAGUGUAAAGAAAAUAACAAAGAUAAGAAAGUAAGGUAAUAGAAAUUGAGAAAGUAAGAGAAAUAUUUUUUUUUUGUUUUAUUUUUCUCUCUCUAUUUAUUAUGCUAUUUAUAGAGUAAUAUAUAUAGUAAACCUAACUAAAAAAUUCUUUAACAAUAAUAGAAGAAAACCAAUGAGUAUAUGACACGUGUACAUCUUGUAACCAUAUGAAACUAUCUCUUAACAUUCUUCCUUGAACUUAAGGUAGAAAGAUUUUCUACUUUGAGUUUGUUUCUUAGAUUUACAAAGUGAGUGCUUGAGACAACUUUUGUUAAGACAUCUGCUACUUGAUCAAUGGAAGGCACUUGUUGGACUAAAACCUUUCUUUGCAAAACCUUUUCCUUGACAAAAUGUAAAUCCAAUUCAAUGUGUUUGUCCUAGCAAGUAAUAUUGGAUUAGCAACCAACAUAAUAGUGCUAAGAUUAUCACACCAAAUAACUAGUGGUGUCGGCAAAGUGAUUUUAAGUUUUGAGAGAAGAUAUUGUAACCAAGUGAUUUUUGCAACGAAACUAGUUAGGUUUCUAUACUCUACUCUUGUACUUGAUCUAAAAAUAGUAUGUUGUUUCUUUGACUGCUAAGUGACUACAUUUAAACCAAAGUAUACACAAAAUCCUAAAGUUGAUCUUCAAUCAUGAGGAUCAAAGGCCCAAUCGACAUCACAAAAUGCUAUAAGAUCAAGAGUAGGAGACUUUCUUAAAUGGAAUUUCAAGUAUCUAAGAAUUCUUUUGACUACUGUUUAAUGAGAUUCUAAGGGAGCUUGCAUAUAUUGACACUUUAUUAAUACUAUAGGUAAUUUCAAGCCUAUUAACUAUUCCUUAUUGUAAAGGUCUUACAAUUGAUCUAUAUAACUUCACAUCCUAAACUGAUUCACUUCCAUAGCUUAAAAGUUUCUAUUCAUUGGUCAUAGGAGUAGAAAUAGGAUUGGAACCUUGCAUUUUGAAUUUUCAUAAUAGAUCAGUUAAGUAUUUUCCUUGAGAGAGGUGAAUGCCUUCAACAAUAUGCUUUACUUCAAUCCCUAAAAAAUAAUUGACUUCUCCAAGAUCUUUUAAGGUAUACUCUCUAUUUAAUUGGUAAUGAGAUAAAUCAUAACUUUUUCACUACUACCAGUGAUAAGAAUAUCAUCUACAUAUACAAGAAUAUAGGUAGAAUGAAUAGAGAUUGAUCUAACUUUGUAGAGAUAAAUCCAAAAGGAAUAUAGGGUUGCACUUAACUUUUCAAGCCAAGCACUUGGUGCUUGUUUGAAGUCAUAUAAAGUUUUAUGUAAUUUGUGAACAAGAUGAGACUAGUUGUGCUGAAUAAAACCAGGAGAUUGUUGCAUAAAAACUUCCUCAUGUUAUUAAUGUCUAAUUGAUGAAUUAACCAACCUCUAGACAAAGUUAUAGUAAGCAUAACCCAAAUAGUGGCAUGUUUAACAACUGGAUUGAACGUUUCAGUGAAAUCAAAACCAGAUACUUAAUGAAACUCUUUAGCCACUAACUUGGCUUUGUACUUCUAAAUUGAGCCAUUGGGGUUUUCUUUCACUUUAAAUACCCAUUUGCAGCCAAUAGGUGUUCUUCCAGGUGGUAAUGAGACUAAGGAUCAUGUAUUAUUCUUCAAAAAAGCCAUCAAUUCAUCAGUCAUUGCUUGUUUCCAAUGAUGUAUAUGUAAAUCUUCCUUAACACAAGUAGGUUCACAUGUGGCAGCAAAAAGCUUUGGUUUAAAAAAUUCCAGUUUUAGAUCGAGUGACCAUAGAAUGAGUAUUUUUGCAAGGUUGCAUUGGAACAAAAGCUAAAUCUUCUUGUGUUUGGUCUUGUGAAAGAGCUCUAUGACCAACAACACUGUCAUAAGUAUUAGUAGCAAGAGGAGAGGUAGUGGGUACUAAAACAUUAGUAACAGAUUGGACAAUUUCUAGAUGAGUAAACCUACCAAAAAAAGAAAUUAUUAGAGAAGCAACAGAAAGAUGAAAAAAGGGUGAAACAUAAUUAGAUAAGGAUGAUUGAAUUUUAUGAGCAAAAGAAAAUGAAGACUCACAGAAAAUGACAUCUCGAGAAAUAAUAAAUUUGCCAUUAAAAUCAAGACAUUUAUAGCCUUGAUGAUUGAGACUAUAACCUAGAAAAGUACAUUCAACGAAUUGGAACUGAAGCUUGUGUUUGUUAUAUGAAUGAAUGUUAUGAAAAUAGGAGCAACCAAAUAUUUUUAAGAAAAAGUAAUCUGGUAAGGUUUUGAACAAAACUUCUAGAGGAGUUUUAUGAUGAAAAACAAAAGUUAGUAAAUUUAUUGUUGAGAUAAACAUAAGCUUUAAAGGCUUCAUCCCAAUAUUCCAUUGGCAUUAAAGCAGAUGCUAACAAGGUGAGACCAUGUUCUACAAUGGUUUUAUGCCUCCUUUCAGGCCAACCAUUUUGUUCAUGAGUAUAAAGACAAGAAUAUCUAUAAAAAAUGCCAUUUAAAGUUAAAAAAUUUGUGAAAGCUCUAUAUUCUCCACCCUAAUUUGUUUGUAUGGUGUUCAUUUUAAAUCCUAGUUGUAAUUCACCUUGAGUUUUGAAAUUAAGAAAGGCUUGAAAUGCAUCUAAUUUAUAUCUAAGCAAGUAGAUCCAAGAAAAUCUUGAGUAAGCAUCAACAAAGUGAAUGUAGUAGUAAUAACCACUAGAAGAUUGAAGUAGAGAGGGACCCCAUAAAUCAGAGUGUAUAAGUUGUAGGGUUUGAGUGUAAACAAUGUCAGAAAAAUAAAAAAGAAGUUUGUGAAUCUUGCCAUAACAACAAGUUGAGCAAAAAGAAAAUUGCAUUUUAUUAGGAACAUAAAUAUUGCAAUUAAUUAGACAGAACAAACUUUAAAAUUUUAAAGAAUGGAUGUCCAAGUUUGUGAUGCCAUAGAUCAAAAGUAUUCAAAGAACCAGAAGAAUCCUUAGUUGCAGUACAAGAGUCAAGAUUAUCUUGAAAGGGGCUAGAAACAUGAUUCUGAAAUAAAGAGGUGGAAAACUCGCAAAAGGUUGUAAAAGAUGGAACUGAUAGUGGCUUUGAUGAAGACAAUAGUGUGAAAUCAUCAAAUACGUAAAGUUCAUUCUUAACUCUCCUUGCCAUGAAAAUUUCCUUGGAAGCUUGAUCUUUGACAUAACAGAAAUUAGGAAAGAACUCAAAAUACAUAGCAUUAUCUUUGGCAAAUUUAGAGACAUUGAGCAAAUUUUUGGUAAUAGAUGGAACAUGAAGAAGAUGAUUUAAAGAGAGCAAUUUCAAAGUAAAUUGAGAUUGAAAAGAUGAUUGUCCAAUAUGUUUAAUGUUCAACCCUGUUCCAUUACCCAUCAUGAUCUUAUCUUACCCAACAAAUUUAGUUUUAUUCAUCAUAUUAUUAAUGUCUAGUGUGAUAUGAUUUGUAGCUCCUGAAUUUGGGUAGGCAAAUUCAAGAGUAGUAGCAACCAUGGCAAUCAUUUGUGAUGAAUCUUGAGUAGAAGGAAAUUCAUGCUAAAAUGAAGAUGGAUCAAAUCUAUAGUAACAUGGUUACACCAAAUGACCAACACGACCACAAAAUUGGCAUUGAGGUUUAUUGAAAUUCCAAUAAUUUUGACCACCAUUGAAGCCUCCAUGACCUUUGCUACUAGGACCUCUAAAUUUAUUGAAUCCACGACUACCAAAACCUCCUUUACUAUGAAAGUUAUUGAAAACACAAAAAUCGCCCUGAACAAAAGUAGAAAAGCCAUUUUCAGAAGAAUUGUAAGACCUUUUCUUGUCUUUGUUAUUCUCACUCUGAGUUGCUAAGUUAGCAUUCAAAUUAGAAUCUAAAACUUUUAUAGCCUUCUCAAUGUGCCUUUCUUGAGCCAAAAGAACAAACUUUAUUUCAUCAACAGUAUAUGAAUCCAUGUGUGUGGUAACAACAGUAAUCAAUGUGUCAUACUUGAGGGUAAUCCUUCAAAAAUUGUGUCAAUAUGAUCCAAAGUAGAUAUAGAAUAAUUAACCAAUAAUAUGCUAUCAACAAUGAUUUUGAUUUGCAAGUGAUAAUCAUUCAUGGAUGAUGAACCUUUCUAAGAGCUCUUGAUUUGCAUCUUGAACUUAUCAGUCUUAGUAUGAGUUUUAGUAGCAAAGAAAAUCUCCAAUUUCUCCCAAAUCUGAAAAGAAGUUACACAUCCAACCAUUCUUGUUAAAAGCCCUUUGGACAUUAAUGAAUGAAACCAAGAGAUUAGUAAUUAGUUCUGUUGUUCCCAAUUAGAGAAAUCUCAAUUGAUUUUACCACUUGUUUCAUUAAUGGAAGAAAGAAAUUUUGGAGGAGUGGUAUCGGUUCUAUUGAUGAACUUUGAGAGCUUGUAACCCUUGAUUGCAACUUCAACUUGUUGACGCCAAAUCAAAAAAUUAUUAUGAUAAAGUUUUAUGGCAAUUGAGUGAUUGAAGGAAAUCAGAACAAAUUGGGAUAGGAACGAAAAAGUAGGGGUGAGGGAAUCGGCCAUGGAUGAGACCUCCGAUACCACGUAAAGAAAGUAAUAGAGAUAAGAAAGUUAGGUAACAGAAAUUGAGAAAAAUCUUUUCUCAUUUUCUAUUUUAUUUUUCUAUUUCUAUUUAUUUUGCUAUUUACAGAGUAAUAUAUAUAGUAAACCUAACUAACAAAUUCUCUAGCAAUUCAUCUAACAAUAAUAGAAGAAAAUCAACGAGCAUAUGACACAUGUACAUCUUGUAAUCAUAUGAAAUUAUCUCUUAACAAUGAGUAAAAAACAAAGUUCUUGGUUUAUAUUCAACAUAAAUGUUAUAAAGGUAUUGCUAAUGGCAAGUAAUAACAAAAAAUCUCAAUACUAAAGUUUUUAGCAUGCUAACAUUUAUUUUUUCUGUUAUAACAACUAUAUUAGUAUAGAAUAUUCUCGAUAUAGUUUGUUAGAAUAAGUUUUGAGCUAUACAACCUCGUUUAGCAAUGUAAGGAAAAACACUUUCCUAUAUAUUUUUUGUACUUUCAAACUAUCAAUUAAAUUCAAUGAAAUGAGAAUGUGUUUUCUCUUUUCUAUUCUCUUCUUAUAAUAUGGUAUCAAAACAUUUUCCUUUUGUUGUUCUUCCAUCUUCUUGCUAAAAUGACCCAUGGUGGUCAAAAUAACAACACCAACUUAUUCAAGUCAUUGAUACCUCCUUCUUCCACUAGUACCAUGGCUUAACAUGAUUCUUCUUCUUCCAUGAAUAACACUAAUGGUCCUUUUUUCUUGCACAGUUGUGACCAUCCCGAAUUGGUUCUUGUUUUUCAUUUCCUUACUACUCUUAACUAAAAUUGUUGGAGUCAAGCCAUGGCCAUGGCUCUCAACACCAAGCAUAAACUCGUUUUUGUCAAUGGAUUGAUUCCACAACCACCUUCAGAGAAUCCUGUUGCUAAGGUUUGGUUAAGAUGUAAUAGUAUGGUCACUUAUUGGCUUCUCAAUGUCGUUUCCAAAGAGAUUAUUGAUAAUUUCCUCUACCUUGAUAGUGCUCAAGAUAUUUGGGCAGAUCUAUGAUCCAUGCCCAGUCGAGUGUUUAUCAAAACAUUUAUAAAACCUACAACACCUUAUAUUAGGAUAGCAAAGACAAAGCUACUAUAGUAUAAUGACUCUAGGAUUGUUGAUUCCUGCCCAGUCGGUGUCUCAACUAAUUCGUGUCCAGUUGGUAUCCUUGAUUGCGGGAGUAAUCAACAAAAUUUAUAACCUAUUACACCAUGAACUAGGGUAGCAAAGACAAAGCUAUUGAUUACUACCCAAAAAGUGUUAUUUUGCACCUUUAAUUCAUUAUGUUUUAAGCACUUUUGUGUAGUAGUUCUCCAUUUUUAUUCAAAUUGGCAUGUUAAGGACCUAGCAAUGACUUCUAAUCAUAUUUGUGGCUAUUUUUAGUGUUUUGACAGCUUUUUGGAUCAUUAAGACAAGCCAAGUAAAAGAGAGAAGCAAAGAGGAAAACAGAGUGAAGAAAACAGAGGACAGCAGCUGCAGUCUUCCUUCGCACUUUUGGAGCACUUCCCGAAGUCCAUUUGCUACAUGCUAUAUACCAUUUCAAAUCUCAGGAAGUCAAGAAUCUAACAAUUCAAACUGUGUAUGAUUUGGAGCUGAAAUGAGGAACAUAUGGCCUUCGAAAGACAACUGCACCAAGCAUGUGCAAACUUUGCACAACAGCCCAAGCUUGUGCAAAAUUCGCACAACACCUUUCCCUUGUGCGAAAUUCGCACCAGCCCAUGCAUGGUGCGAAAUCUCCUCUGUUCUGCUGACUCCACACGAGAUCUUUUCUUUUAGAUAUUUUUGUAUAAAUUUCCAUUCUUCUCCUUGUAAUCCACCAACCAUAAGAUUUCUUAGCUAGGAAGGUUGGAAAAACUUCUCUAUAUAUAUUCCCUUGCAUCCAUUGUAAUAGAUAUAGAAGUAUGUAAUAUAGAUAUAUAAAUAUAAAGAAUAUACAGAGCCUUGCUCUGUUUUUCCUUCUCUUUUAUUUUUCUUUUUCUUGAAAGCCAAACAACCUCUGAGGAUGUUUUCCCAGAGGAUGAGAGGCUAAACUUUUGGUUUCUUGGAGUGAAGGAAGCUAGGUGAAAAGUCCAGAUGCAAAGGUGAAAACUCUCGUGCAUUAAAUACAGGUAGUUGGAGUUCAUAAAUGGCUUUUAAAUCUAAAGUUUUGCUUUAAAUCCCUUAGAAUAACUUUGAAUGGCCAAUACAUGGUAAGCUUUAGGUCUUUGUGGAUACUUAUUACUAGAUCCACACCAGUCCAUUAGUUAUCAUGUACGAGCCAUUGGAAAGUGGCUCAAGGUGAAGACCCAUAGUGUCUAAAGCCAUUAAUGGAACCUGACUACCAUUUCUAUUGACUUUUUAUGGAUUAAAUCUUCAUGGUUAAACCUAUACCGGUUCGGGAAACAACCAUCUUUUAUGUUGUUGUCCCCAAUGCGAGAAGAAGAAUCCGAAAUUUCCACUUUGCAUUCUGAACUUGAUCCUAGCAACCUUAGCUCCGGGAGACUUUCUUUCUUCCAUUUUUACCUAGUUUUAUGUUAGUUUAGUUUAAAACACCACUUUCAAAACAAAUAUUAUUUUCUUUUAAACUUAAAGUUUUUGACAAAGGAAAUCAUCAGAUUCAAUCUCUAAUCUUGAGUCUAUCACUGGUAGAGUGAAAACCCAUCCCAGAGUUCGACCCUAGAGCUGCUAUACUAUAGUAGCUUUGCUACGCUAGUAUGAGGUCAUAGGAUUUAUAAAUUUUUUUUAUUAAAAGACCCGACUGGGCACGAAUCAAAAUGGUGUCGUUGCCGGGGAUGGUGCCACUUUACAGUGAUAUGACCUUUUCAGAGUACUUGUGAUCUUCAUCACAAGUUUGGUGACUUUUCUUUUCCUUUUACUAACUUUUUUUAUUUGUUUAUUUUCCUUUGUUCAUGUUUUAGUAUAUCUUUUAUUUAGUUUUUAGUUAAUCUUAACAAUUUUCUUUAGAAUUUUAUUUUCUUUUAUUUUCUUUUGUUUUCUCUGUUUUUAAUUCACAAAUUGCUAGUUGUGCAUGCCAUUUCUAAAACACUAGUGCAAGCUAUGUUGUGUUCCAUUUGUCAAUCUUUUGAGCACUUGGUGGAGGAGUGUCCUAUCCUUCCAGCAGCGAGGGAGAUGUUUGGUAUGCCAUGUAGCAUUUGUCAGUCUUUUGAGCACCUGGUAGAGGAGUGUCCUAUCAUUCCAGUGGUGAGAGAGAUAUUUGGUGAUUAUAACACCUACAAUUCAAAUUGUAGGAAUCAUCCAAAUUUCUUUUGGGAACCACAACCACGUCAGUACAUGCAACCCACUCAAGCACCACAGCAAGCCUCAAACCUUGAACAAGCUAUGAUGAAUCUUAACAAGGUCAUGGAAGACUUUGUUGAAGCUCAGAAAUCCAUCAAUGCUCAGCUCAGUCAAAGAAUAUCACUCCCUGAUAGAGUAGAGAGUUCAUUGAAUAAAAAGAUGGAUGGAGUGCAACAUGAUCUAUCUCAAAAGAUAGAUAAUCUCCAAGAUUCAAUCUCAAGGUUUGCCAACCUCAACACAAUGCAAGAAAAAGAAAACUCUCCUUCUCAACCUUAUCAAAAUUCCAAGGGUAUCCAUGAAGUGGAGGCUCAAAAGGGAGAAUCUUCAAUGGUGAAGGAAGUUAAAAUGGUUAUCACUUUGAGUGCUAAAGAGGUUGAUUUGGCCACAUCCAAACAAGAGCAUGAAAUAGAGAAUGAAAUAGAGAAAAAGAAGAGGGAGGAAAUUAAAGGAAAGAGAAAGGGAAUUGUUUCCAUUGCCAUCAUACAAUGCAAAUCUCUAAUGAAGGAUGCAAACUUCAUAUGGGAUCCGGGCAAGCUGAACCAGGAUCAAAUUUUUUUAUGGACUUAGUUUUUUUAAAGACUAGCUAGUCCAUAUCUUUUUGUUUUAUUUUUAAAUUUGUUUUGAUUUUGAUUUCUUGCUUUAAUUUUAUUUUGGUUUGAUUUAACUUGUUUUUUUUUUAUGAUCAACAUAGGGGAAGCCAAAAAUAGAGGAAAAUAGAGCAAUUUGCACCACCCAAUUCUCUGGUGCGAAAUUCGCACCACCCUACCCCCUUGUGCGAAAUUGCCUUUGUGAGCGUUUUCCAAAAAGCAUGCUCUCAGUCCCUACCCAAAAUCUCAGUGCAAAAAUCACAGGAAUGCGAACAUUGUGUGAAAUUCCCACCGCCAUCUCCACAUGUGCGAAAUUCGCACAACACUACUCCACCUGUGCAAAAUUCGUACCACCCCAUUUCGGCAACUGUUGGGCACAUUUAGAUCACUUCCCAAAUUUCAUUUCAUGCGUACUAUAUCUCGUUUCAAAGCUUGGGAAGUCAGGAGUCCAUAGCUUCAAACGGUGCUCGAUUUGGAGUUGAAACGAAGAAGUUAUGGCCAUUUGAAGACGACUGUGCAAAGCUGAACGGAAAUGUUGCAGCCGCACCCCAUUUCGCUACUGUUGGACACGUUUUUUGGAGCACUUUCUGGAGAUAAAAUUAUGCAUACCAUAUGUCGUUUUUAAGCUUAGGAAGUCAGGAGUCCAGUGCUUCAAACGGUGUGCGAUUUAGAUUUGAAACGAAGAAGUUAUGGCCAUUUGAAACCACCACAAUUUCGCAUUUGGACGGGUGAAUAGUGCCUUGUGCGAAAUUCGCACAACCCAUUCCCUUGUGCUAAUUUUUGAGAUUCUUCAUCCCUACCCUUCCCAAUCCCAAGCCUUUGAGCCUCAUUUCUUUGCUCCAUUAUGCCUAAGACCCGAGGAGGCUAUGCCUCAGCUCCCCAGAGGCAGCAUCGUCUGAUGCCCCACCUACUGUCCCUCCUUACCAACAGAGCCCCGCGCACCCUGGGAUCACACACAUGAAGCCUCUUACUCCAUUUCUGACCUCCUUAAACCAUCAAAGCCCAUAGCUCCAGCUGAGAGCUCCAGUUGAGGAGACUAUGCCAUCCAAGGAGAAUAUCAAAACAGAGGCCAAAGUCCUGAUCCAACCCACUCAGAAGGCCACCACAGAUGCAUCAGCUCCAUAGGACCUUACCAUUAUUUGAUCAUCUCUUUACUUUUUGUCUUUACAUAUUAUAUUAGUAUAUAUAAUUCCAUGUUUUGAUGUUUUAUAUUCUGGGAUUGGAUGUAUUGCAUGAUCAUAUAUUAUAUUCUAUUUUCUCAGAUUAAUAUAUAGGCAUCAUUUUUGUUUAAACUUGACAUUUUUCUAUUUUCUCUACUCACUAUUUUUUUUUAAACAUGUGGUUUCUCUUAUACAACUCAGACUCCAUGUCACUCAAGAGGUACCACUUCCUCCCUAUUUUUUAAUCGCUUUGUCACAUUGAGGACAAUGUUUAGCUUGGUUGGGGGGAGAGUUGAGGAAGGAAGUUUUUGUUAUUAAUGCUAAGUUAUUUUGGUAAUUUAGUUGCUUUUUGCUUAAUUUUAAAAAAUUUUUAAAGUUUUUUUUGAAUACUCUCCAUGGUUAUUAAGGAAAAAAUUUCAAAAUGAAAUGGGAGAAAUUAAAUUUUUGUCUUUUUACUUGAAACUUAGAGUUUGUAUUAUGUUUAUUAAAGUUGAUGAAUUAUUGAACUCCUAUUGAUUUCAACCUUAUUUCUUCCACUUUAAGCUUAUCACACACCAUGCACACUAGGUUCCGUUUAUAAGAUGAAAAACUAUUUUACCCCUUGACUUAGGAAAAUUUAGACUUGGUACCUUUGACCUCAUUUUAAUAGUGUUGAGACACCUUAUAAAAGGCCAAUGAGCCUUUGGAAAAAGAAAGAAAAAGAAAAAUGUUUUACUUGCCUUGAAACCCGAGCAAGGUCUGAGGGGUAUAUGGUGAAAAUCUUUAAAACCUGGUGCCCUAAGCCUUCAAUGGUUGGGAGUCACCGACCUCAAUGCUCGUUACAUGGGUGAAUAGGUGGAGUUUAACAUAUUGUAGGUGCUUGGGUAUUAAAAAUUCAUUCUCAAAAGUCCGAGGUGAAAUCCGAGGAGUUAGUGGUUGAAAAAUCCUUAAAGCUUGAUGCCCUAAACCUUGAUUGGUUGGGAGUCAUCGAUGGACCCCCGUUACAUGGACAAUUUAGAAAAGAAUGCCUUUAAGCUUUGCACUCCUACAGGAAAAAAAUUGUGAAAGAAAAGAGGUGUGUUCUUAGCCUAUUGGAGGUUGAUUAGUUUGCUAAGCUUUGAAAAGAACUAGGUUGAGGGGAGAGAUUAGUUUGACAUACUAUAUCCGGAAACUAAUAAAUAACACAUAGAUUUUUGUGGAAGAGUAGGGUUGGACCUUUAGGAGUGGAAAUUAUUUUGAAGCUUAAAUUUGCAUAAUGCCUACUCUUUAUGAAUUGUGACUAGGCAAAUUAUUUGAUAGCUCCUAUUGAAGUUUGAGUUUUAUUUCUUUCAUGUUCCAUGUGAGAGUUUGAUCCAAUCAUGCCACUUGAUUAUUUUUUGGAGUGAUCAACAUGAUUUUAUAAAUUAUUAUAUUAUCUAUUUUUCUUUCUUUCUUUUUCUCUCCUUCAUUGCUUAGGGACUAGCAAUGUGUCAGUUGGGGGGAGUGAUUACUACCCAAAAAGUGCUAUUUUGCGCCUUUAAUUCAUUAUGUUUUAAGCACUUUUGUGUAGUAGUUCUCCAUUUUUAUUCCAAUUGGCAUGUUAAGGACCUAGCAAUGACUUCUAAUCAUAUUUGUGGCUAGUUUUAGUGUUUUGACAGCUUUUUGGAUCAUUAAGACAAGCCAAGUAAAGGAGAGAAGCAAAGAGGAAAACAGAGUGGAGAAAACAGAGGAUAGCAGCUGCAGUCUUCCUUCGCACUUUUGGAGCACUUCUUGAAGUCUAUUUGCUACAUGCUAUAUACCAUUUCAAAGCUCAGGAAGUCAAGAAUCCAACUCUUCAAACCGUGUACGAUUUGGAGCUGAAAUGAGGAAGAUAUGGCCUUCGGAAGACAACUGCACCAAGCAUGUGCGAAUUUCGCACAACAGCCCAAGCUUGUGCGAAAUUCGUACAACACCUUCCCCUUGUGCAAAAUUCGCACCAGCCCAUGCGUGGUGCGAAAUCUCCUCUAUUCUGCCGACUCCACGUGAGAUCUUUUCUUUUAGAUAUUUUUGUAUAAAUUUCCAUUCUUCUCCUUGUAAUCCACCAACCAUAAGAUUUCUUAGCUAGGAAGGUUGGAAAAACUUCUCUAUAUAUAUUCCCUUGCAUCCAUUGUAAUAGAUAUAGAAGUAUGUAAUAUAGAUAUAUAAAUAUAUAGAAUAUACAGAGCCUUGCUUUUUUUUUCCUUCUCUUUUAUUUUUCUUUUUCUUGAAAGCCAAACAACCUCUGAGGAUGUUCUCCUAGAGGAUGAGAGGCUAAACUUUUGGUUUCUUGGAGUGAAGGAAGCUAGGUGAAAAGUCCAGAUGCAAAGGUGGAAAACUCUCGUGCAUUAAAUACAGGUAGUUGGAGUUCAUAAAUGGCUUUUAAAUCUAAAGUUUUGCUUUAAAUCCCUUAGAAUCACUUUGAAUGGCCAAUACAUGAUAAGCUUCAGGUCUCUGUGGAUACUUAUUGCUAGAUCCACAUCAGUCCAUUAGUUAUCAUGUACAAGCCAUUGGAAAGUGGCUCAAGGUGAAGACCCAUAGUGUCUAAAGCCAUUAAUGGAACAUGACUACCAUUUCUAUUGACUUUUUAUGGAUUAAAUCUUCAUUGUUAAACCUAUACCGGUUCGGGAAACAACCAUCUUUUAUGUUGUUGUCCCCAAUGCGAGAAGAAGAAUCCGAAAUUUCCACUUUGCAUUCUGAACUUGAUCCUAGCAACCUUAGCUUCGGGAGACUUUCUUUCUUCCAUUUUUACCUAGUUUUAUGUUAGUUUAUUUUCAAACACCACUUUGAAAACAAAUAUUAUUUUCUUUUAAACUUAAAGUUUUUGACAAAGGAAAUCAUCAGAUUCAAUCUCUAAUCUUGAGUCUAUCACUGGUAGAGUGAAAACCCAUCCUAGAGUUCGACCCUAGAGCUGCUAUACUAUAGUAGCUUUGCUACGCUAGUAUGAGGUCAUAGGAUUUAUAAAUGUUUUUUAUGAAAAGACCCGACUGGGCACGAAUCAGCUACUAUAGCAUUGUGGCUCUAGGAUCGUUCAUUGGGAUGGGUUUUCACUUCACAAUUGAUAUUAAUUCAAAACUGAAUUAGUGCCUUUUCAUUUCAAGGUUAGCUUUAAAAGAAAACAUAAAGAUUUUUGAAACUAAACUAACAUAGAACUAGGUAAAAAUGGAAGAAAGAAAGUCUCCCGGAGCUAAAGGUUGCUAGGAUCAAGUUCAGAAUGCAAAGUGGGAAAUUCCGGAUUGUUCUCCUCGCAUUGGGGACAACAACAUAAAGGAUGGUUGUUUCCCGAACCGGUAGAGGUUUAACAAUGAAGAUUUAAUCCAUAAAAAGUCAAUAGAAAUUAGUCAAGUUCCAUUAAUGGCUUUAGACAUUAUGGGUCUUCACCUUGAGUCACUUUCCAAUGGCUCGUAUAUGAUAACUAAUGAUCUGAUGUGGAUCUAGCAAUAAGUAUCCCCAUAGACCUAAAAGCUUACCAUUUAUUGGCCAUUCAAAGUGAUUCUAAGGGGUUUAAAGCAAAACUUUAGAUUUAAAAGCCAUUUAUAAACUCCAACUACCUGUAUUUAAAGCACGAGAAUUUUCCACUUUUUCAUCCGGACUUUUCACCUAGCUUCCCUUAGUCCAAGAAACCAAAGGUUUAGCCUCUCAUCCUCUGGGAAAACAUCCUUAGAGGUUGUUUGGCUAGUAAGAAAAUAUAAUCAAAAUGAGAAGGUAAAAGCAAAGCAAAGCUCUGUAUUUUUCUUCCUUUCAAAAUUGUACAAAGGAUUGAUCGAUAAUAUAUUCGAUAUCUUGUGUAAAGGAAAUUACAAACUAUAUAUAAGGGUUUAUUCACCCUUUUUCCAAACUUAAUAACUAAGGAAUCCUAUCAUUGGUGGGUUACAAGGAGACUUUGGGAAUUUAGACAUAAAAUGUCUAAAGCAAAAUAUCUUAAAAUAUCCCAAAAUAUUGGUGGCAAAUAUCAGGAAGCUUCAGGAGAACACAGCAGCACUGUGCAGAAUGGUUGCUCUCCCAUCCGGGUAGGCGGUUAUCAAAUGAUCCGGAUACGUCCAUCUGGAAAAGUUGAAACACCUACAUCUCCUAUCCGGCUCCUGAAUUCCAGAAGUGAACAUUCGGGGUGGAAAGUGCGCGGCAACCGGAUGCAAUGGCAGCAGCCGGGUGCAAACGGCGGCGCACAUCCGGGUGCAAAUGGUGGCGCACAUCCGGGUGCAACUCCUAUCUGGUGGUGUGGUCCGGACGCCCUCCAAUGGUGUAUCCGGACGCUCUGUCCAGGUAUACUCCUUGCAUGGAUUCCAAAGAAGUCUCCUCAAUCUCAUAUUGCUUUGGUGAUAAAAAAGCUAUCAAAACACCAAAACUUAACACAUUUUUUAUUAGAAUUGAUUGCAAGGGUCCUUAACAUGCCAAUUGAGUUAAAAGGUGAUAACUACUACUCAAAAGUGUUUAAAAGAGUUAAUUACCAGCUAUGAAAUAACACUUUUUGAUCCUAGUUCAGCUGGCCCGGAUCCCAUAUGAAGUUUGCAUCCCUCACUUGAGAUUUGCUUUGUAUGAUUUUGCCAUACAAAGCUUGGGGGAAAAGUGGAUGCAUGUGUUUCUUCCUUGAUGACUAUCCUUUUUGGUUUUUCUUUUAUACAAUCAUCUUUCUCUGUACUUUUCCCCUUUCUCUUUCCUUUUAUUUUCUCCCUCUUUUCUUUCUCUGUUUCACUCUCUUCUUUGUGGUCUAGCUUGCAUGCGGGUAGAUCAACCUCUUUAUCACUCUCCUUAGCCUCUAUUUCAAGGAUACCCUUUUGAUUUUGAUGAGGUUGAGAAGGAAAGUUUUCUUUCUCUUGCAUUGCGUUGAGGUUGGCAAACCUUGAGCUUGAGUAUUCGAAAUUGUCUGUCUUCUGAGACAGGUCAUUGAACCUCUCAUCCAUCCUAUCAAUUCUUUGACUGAGCUGAGCAUUGAUGGAUUUUUUAGCUUCAACAAAGUCUUCCAUGACCUUGUUAAGAUUCAUCAUAGCUUGUUCAAGGUUUGAGGCUUGCUGUGGUGCUUGAGCAGGUUGCUGAUACUGAGGUGGUUGUGGUUUCCAAGAGAAAUUUGGAUGAUUCCUACAAUUUGAAUUGUAGGUGUUAUAAUCACCAAAUAUCUCUUUCGCCACUGGAAUGAUAAGACACUCCUCCACCAAGUGCUCAAAAGAUUGACAAAUGGCACACGACAUAGCUUGCACUAGUGUUUUAGAAAUGGCAUGCACAACUAGCAAUUUGUGAAUUAAAAACAGAGAAAACAAAAGAAAAUAAAAGAAAAUAAAAUUCUAAAGAAAAUUAUUAAGAUUAACUAAAAACUAAAUAAAAAAUAUACUAAAACAUGAAUAAAGAAAAAUAAAAUAAAAAGAGUUAGUAAAAGGAAAAGAAAAUUCACCAAACUUGUGAUGAAGAUCACAAGUACUCUGAAAAGGUCAUAUCACUGUAAAGUGGCACCAUCCCCGGCAGCGGCGCCAUUUGAUUCAUGCCCAAUCGGUGUCUCAGCUAAUUCGUGUCCAGCUGGUAUCCUUGAUUGCGGGAGUAAUCAACAAAAUUUAUAACCUAUAACACCAUGAACUAGGGUAGCAAAGACAAAGCUACUAUAGCAUAGUGGCUCUAGGAUCGUUCACUGAGAUGGGUUUUCACUUCACAAUUGAUAUUAAUUCAAAGCUGAAUUGGUGCCUUUUCAUUUCAAGGUCAAGUUUAAAAGAAAACAUAAAGAUGUUUGAAACUAAACUAACAUAGAACUAGGUAAAAAUGGAAGAAAGAAAGUCUCCCGGAGCUAAAGGUUGCUAGGAUCAAGUUCAGAAUGCAAAGUGGGAAAUUCCGGAUUGUUCUCCUCGCAUUGGGGACAACAACAUAAAGGAUGGUUGUUUCCCGAACCGGUAUAGGUUUAACAAUGAAGAUUUAAUCCAUAAAAAGUCAAUAGAAAUUAGUCAAGUUCCAUUAAUGGCUUUAAACACUAUGGGUCUUCACCUUGAGUCACUUUCCAAUGGCUCGUAUAUGAUAACUAAUGAUCUGAUGUGGAUCUAGCAAUAAGUAUCCCCAGAGACCUAAAAGCUUGCCAUGUAUUGGCCAUUCAAAGUGAUUCUAAGGGGUUUAAAGCAAAAAUUUAGAUUUAAAAGCCAUUUAUAAACUCCAACUACCUGUAUUUAAAGCACGAGAAUUUUCCACUUUUUCAUCCGAACUUUUCACCUAGCUUCCCUUAGUCUAAGAAACCAAAGGUUUAGCCUCUCAUCCUCUGGGAAAACAUCCUCAGAGGUUGUUUGGCUAGUAAGAAAAUAUAAUCAAAAUGAGAAGGUAAAAGCAGAGCAAAGCUCUGUAUUUUUCUUCCUUUCAAAACUGUACAAAGGAUUGGUCGAUAAUAUAUUCGAUAUCUUGUGUAAAGGAAAUUACAAACUAUAUAUAAGGGUUUAUUCACCCUUUUUCCAAACUUAAUAACUAAGAAAUCCUAUCAUUGGUGGGUUACAAGGAGACUUUGGGAAUUUAGACAUAAAAUGUCUAAAGUAAAAUAUCUCAAAAUAUCCCAAAAUAUCGGUGGCAAAUAUCAGGAAGCUUCAGGAGAACACAGCAGCACUGUGCAGAAUGGCUGCUCUCCCAUCCAGGUAGGCGGAUAUCAGAUGAUCCGGAUACGUCCAUCUGGAAAAGUUGAAACACCUACAUCUCCCAUCCGGCUCCUGAAUUCCAGACGUGAACAUCCGGGGUGGAAAGUGCAUGGCAGCCGGAUGCAAUGGCAGCAGCCGGGUGCAAACGGCGGCGCACAUCCGGGUGCAACUCCUAUCUGGUGGUGUGGUCCGGACGCCCUCCGAUGGUGUAUCCGGACGCUCUAUCCGGGUAUACUCCUUGCAUGGAUUCCAAAAAACUCUCCUCAAUCUCAUAUUGCUUUGGUGAUAAAAAAGCUAUCAAAACACCAAAACUUAACACAUUUUUUAUUAGAAUUGAUUGCAAUGGUCCUUAACAUGCCAAUUGAGUUAAAAGGUGAUAACUACUACUCAAAAGUGUUUAAAAGAGUUAAUUACCAGCUAUGAAAUAACACUUUUUGAGUAGUUAUCAAUUGUCCACAAUGAUGGGUUUUCGUUAUACACUUGACAUUAAUGAAAUGAGAAAUGGUGAUUUCCUUUUUGAAAGUUAGUUUUUAAUGAAAAUAAUAUUGAUUGGAAGGGUUGAUUUUAAGUUAAGCAAACAUAAACAACUGAAAUUACUACAAAGAGAAAGUCUCUUGGAGCUAUAGGUUACUAGGAUCAUGUUCCUAUUGCAAAGUGGGAAAUUCCGGAUCUUCUCCUCGCAUUGGGGACAAUAACAUAAAGGAUGGUUAUCUCCCAAACCGGAUUUGUAUUUAGCAAAUAAGUUUUGAUCCAAAGGGUUCUUGAAAAAUGGUAGUUGCUUCCCAUUAAUGGCUUCAAACACUAAAGACCCUCACCUUGAACCACCUUCCAAUGGCUCGUACUUGAUAACUAAUGGACAUUCAUGGAUCUAGCAAUAAGCAUCCAUAGAAUCCUAAAAGCUUACCAAGUAUUGGCCAUUCAAGGUGAUUCUAAGGGAUUAAAGCUGAAACUUGAAAUACAAACCAUUAAUGUUACACAACUACCUUCAUUUAAAGCAAGGAAAACUCCCACAUUUGCAUCUGGGUCCUUUACCUAGCUCCCAUCACUCCAAGAAACGUGAAACUUAGCCACUCAUCCUCUGAGAAAUCAUCCUCAAAGGGUGUUUGGCUAGAGAGAAUAUGAAGAGAAAAUGAGAAGGAAAGGUAGAGAAAAACUCCCGUAUAUUUUCUUCAAAACCCGACUUUACAAAAUAUAAAAAACAUCAAGCAUCCUUUGAGAGGUUUUCCAACCCUUAUUUAUAGUUCGUAAACAAACCCUAAUGUCAUUUAUCUAUUACAAAGGAGUAAAAAGGAAAAAUUACAAUUCUGGAGAAAAAUCCCAAAAGUUGGUGCGCACAAAGUGAUUUUGGCACACCCUACCAAAUUUUGGCACAUCCUGCCAAAUUUUGGCACAUCCUGCCAAAUUGAUGAUUUUGCCUUGCAAAAUGCUCUGUUUUCCUCCAUCUUACUACUGAUAGUUUUGGCAAGAAUAGAGAAGUCAAGUAAUGGGUACAUUUCCUCAAUCAAUAGAAGCAAGACACACUAUAACUCAUAUGGCAUAAACUUCAUUCAAACCAAGUUUUCCAAACUCAAAUUUCAAAAUUUUGAAGGUGAGAAUUGGGAAUUAGGAAAAAGUAGGUGUGGACCCCGCAUUUCGCUUUGCUCGAAUGCGUUUCCCACUCGAAUGGCGAGCUCGAUUUUUAUUUUUUUUGAAAAUGAUUUUUAUUCAUUAAAAAUUGACUUGGAGUCGCCACUUAUUUUUGUUUUAUUUUUAAAGGGUAAACAAAAUAAGAAAGAAAAACCCUAAGUGUGACUCCUUAUUUUGGAAAAGGCGGUCUGUGAAAAACCGGAUCGGGUUCGGGGGUCAGGUUACUUAUCGGGAAGGUACGGUAAAGACCGUAGCACCCCUCUAAGUCCCUAAAGUCGGGUCUCUACUAAUAAGAUGAAACUGACAUGGCAAUCAAUGAGAAUCGAUGAAUAGUCAAAUCAAUCAUGCACAAUAUGAGAAGCGAAGCAUGUAUAAAGAAUGAGCGAAAUAUGAAUAGAUGCGUACCUGGAUGGCAAUCACGAAUGUGCUAUCAUGAAACAUGGUUAGUGAACAAUGAACAAAUAUAGUUAAGCGCAUAUCAAGGAAUAGAGUAAAUCAAUCAUGCAUGACAAAUAAAUAAAUCAAUCAGUCAAUCCAUCAUGAAGUCUCAUAUGUAGGGCCCCCACCAAAGCCCAAUUCAUUUUUGCAUGAAUUAAUACCAUAAAUUCCCUUGCUUGGAAUUACGGAAUUUUAUUCUAGCUUAUUUUAAAACAUUUUGAAAAUUUGAGGAGUUGUGAAAAUUGCUUAUCAGAAGAAAAAGUGGAGGCAAAAAUUUAUUAAAAAUAGGAUUUUUGUGUAACCUAGGGAAAAUGCUAAGGAUGAAAAGUUGGAAUAUUUGAAGUUAUUUAAUCGACCAAAACUUGGAAAACUACUUUGAAAACAGAGGUUUGAGGAAUUAUUUUAAAAUAAAAUAUGAUGAAAUAACAAAAAAAAAAUAAAAAAAUGGCACGUGGUCUAAUUGCCUGCUUUUUUAUUUCAUAAUAGUGACUCCAAACCCCACGCCUCUCAAGCUCACAAACUUGUCAUCUUCUCAAUCAGCAAAUGGCCUGUCUGCCAAGGCUGGCAUGUCACAAACGAUGCGUCCUGCAGCCAACAGUGUUUCAAGAACAGCAGCUUAGUGAUCAACAUGGAAAAUCUGACACGGCUCCCAGGUCAAAUUUGGUUUAGAACGAGUCCUCAAGCUGUUUCUCCCUGCAAUACUGGACCAUAAAUUUGUGACGAGAGUCCUGAAGUGACCUUUCCCAGCAAUAUGUUCCCAAAAGUGAGGGUUACUCUCCACAUGUUUAUCAGGACUCGAAACAUCCACACUACUGGUGCUCAUGUCGUUACGUACAAUGCACAGCUUUCCAUUAAGGGGGACAAGAGCAGCAGCCUCUAGAACUCGGGAGCUCCCCAGAUGGAGCUUGCUAUCUAUGAAUUUGUUCCAUGAAUCUGUGUCACUGUCAUAGACCCUGAGCUUGCACCCACCCUGGCAGUCCAAGGCGUAGAGCUGUCCAUUCAAAGAGAUGCUAGGGUUGCGCCAACCAGCAACCAUUCCAUCACUGAUUGGGGUCCAAGUAUUGGUUUCAGGAAUAUAAGCUUCACUCAUGACCUCACGGUGGGAUCCAAGUCCUUUUAGGAACCAUUUUCCAUUUAUAGAUUACUCCGAUAAAGGGCACCAUAGCCGAGCUCAUAUCUGAAAUAAAGCUCCACCUAUUCCUGUUAGGAUCAUAGACUUCAGCUGAACGGAGAGUCUUCUGAAUUCCUUCACAUUCGGAGCAUGCCAACUAAGGAGUUGAACGAAGUGGGCCCACAAUUCUUUAUCAAAACGAGGCUCAACAGUUUCUUUAUUGUUGGAAUCCUUGAGCCGACUAGGAUCCUCAUUGCAUACCUUCAGGUUCUGACGCCUUUCCAAGCAACCAUGCAUAUUUACUUCGAUCACACUGGUGAAUAGAAAGAGUUAUCUUCGUGUAAGCAUGCUAAAAAAACAUCGGUGUGCACUGUCGAAUGCUUCGAGCAUUGAGCUAUAUGUUUACAAAUCUGACAUGAGGGAAAUACUGCCACCAUCCAUGCAUAUACUAGAAGCAAAAAGUAGCAUCAUCGGAGACUAUAGAUAGACACUUGGCGGCCAAAUCUGGAGGGCAGUCUGAAUAUGAAGCAUGUAGUCCCCAAAUGAGCUUUUCGAGCUCCUCAUACCAUGAAGAAGAAUUUUUAGAAGGUGGUGAAGGGAAGGAUAAUGGAUAUGAGAAGGUCUUAGAGUGAGAAAAUGGGUUUGACGGAUGUUUUGAUGGGUAAUGAAGGCUGCCAUGCAUAUGAGAGAGUAUGAGACACGGGCAUGAAACAAUGGAUUUGAUGGAUAUGGGAUGCAUGCAUGAGGUGGAUGACAGAGGAUGAGAUGGACGGGUUUGAUGGGUACGUAGAAAUAAAAUAAUGGGUAUGAAAGGGUAGAGAGAGAAAAGAUGAUAGGAAAUGGGUGUGAAGAGUGGAAUAGAGAGAGAAAGUGAGGUGGUGAGAAAAAUGUAAGGGUGUAGGGAUAUGGGUCUAGAUAUGAGUGUAGGGAGAUGGUUUGUGGGUAUGAAAAGAAUGGGUACGAAGGACGGGUAUAGUGGGGUGUGGUUCAAUGAUGUUGUGCAUGGGCUUGUGCUCAGUUUCGCUACCGAUCCUGGAUUCAUCCCAUUGUUGAAGCAUGAAAUUAGUGGAGUAGCGUAGUGGCUGCGUCUUAGCAAGAUGCUUCACGGUGUCUUCUCCAGCUGUAGCCAAAACGCGUCAGCUGCUUCCACCCAAAACCUGAUAUGCUGAGAAGUUUCUGUCUAUUAUUGGAUUCGGUAUCUGAUUCGUCAAUCGUUGUGAUCUUCUCUUCUUCAAACUUGAUGCAUGGAUGCCAAAUUGCUCCAACAUUCUUUGAUAUACAUAUAGUUGGUAUCAGCCUUUGUCCUACUGUUGGGAGCAAGGACAUGAACCCUAGCAGCAUUAACUCUAACUUGACCUUUUCCAGCGCUUCAUAUAGAGCUCUCCUGUGUAACCUCAGAUUGCAAGGUAACCUCAGAGUUUUGUACAUCACAACCAGGAAUUCCAGCAGCGGAAUUAUUGCCAUAGCCUCUGACACUGACAUCAAAUUCCUGUCUCAUAUUCCACAAAUACUAAGACAAAGCUUUCAAAGAAUCCGGAAUCAUUGGUGGCUGUAGUUGCUCCAAAGUAACAUCAUUUGGAAGCAAAGAAGCACCAUUGAGAGAAUCAGAUUGAUUAAUUGUAACAGCUUGGUUAAGUUGUUGUUCGCUAGAGUCUCUCAAACCACUUAAACCAUAAGUUCCUAUGCCUUUCUCUGAGACAGGAUCCCAAAUUUUUGAGGAGGAUUUAUCUUCAUGUGAAGAAGAAACAGGGCAUGUAGCAUCAGUGAAGUCCCUAAACCAUACAAGCCCAUCCUCUGUACCACAGCUAGUAGUGAUAACUCUUUGCAUCGUCCUCAAAUCAAUUGUGGAAACAGAGGAACCAGCAGCAACAAAAAACAAUGAUUCAUAACAUCUCAUGUCCAUAGGUGCAUCAAGAACAGAAGUCAUUCCCACACAACAUAAAGAAUGGACAGUAGAUGAUGUAGUUGUAUUCCAAACUCUCACCUUAGAAUCUUUCGAAAUUGUCACUCGAAGAGAAGUUUUAUGCCCAGUAACUGUCAUCAAUUUUACAGGUUUCGCAUGCCCAUAAAGAGUUGCCUUUAAAGCCUGAUAGCCACGUUAACCACUUGAGCUAAGGAACCAAAGUCAAACUGUACCAUCUUAUCCUCCACUUGCAAAUACUUUGCCACUACCAUCACCCAGCAAUUUAUCUCAAAGAGUGGAAACUGGGCCAUUAUGAUUUCUAAAACACCGCUGGCAAGAACCCUUCCACCAUAGACGAAUGGAGUGGUCACAGCUUGAGAUUACCGAAACAUUUUCUUCUCGUUGUGUCUCACUUCGAAAUAAAGAUGUUUCACUAAGCGGAAAUAAUCUGCUAAAUGAUCAAUUCCAUAUUCUUUGUCAUUCACAUCAUGGGAAGCCCAGAAACGAAUUAUUAAUUACUUCUGGUCCAAAUUGGGAGACGAAUUCAGGCAGCCCUAGCAGGAGCCCACGACUUUCAGACAAGCUGAUGGUAUCUUCUGGGGUCACUCUAUCAGCACAUGGAACCUUCUUAGUCAAGGAUGCUACUGCUACUGCCAAUUUGGCUCCGCUUCUUGGCCGUGGCUAUGGACCUUUGGCUGAACUUCAAAACGUCAUUGACAAGACUGAAGCUGCCGAAUCACUUAGAUGUUCUCGUGAUCAAUUCUCCUCUUAGAUGUCAACCAAACUUUGAGAAUAUGUAUCCCUUGUAAGGAUUCACAACUAGCCUUGAUUUCUCUCUCUCUCACAGCCAAUGUAUUGAACGAGAUCCCAAAAGCAAAAGGCAAUCACCACAGAGAAAGAAACAAUAGAAACAGAGCAUAAAAAAAACAAAGUAAAAACAUCCUCAAAUGAGGCUUCACUGCAUGAGUCAUCAGCAAGCCCUCUGAUUAAGUGAGAAAAACCACAUCAAAUAUGACUAUUGGCAUGAUUCCUAGGUAUUUCGCAAUAGAGGCAAGGUGCAUUAAGAUCAACAAUGGCAAACAUGAGUUCAAGAUUAUAUAUCAACAAGCAACAAGUGGCCUUCAUCAUCCACUCCAAGCAAACCAACAAAUAUCCAGAUAUUAACAAGAAAUGCAGAGGAGUAAUAAGAAUCCAAACCAAACAAGAAAUCAGCUGCAUUCAUACCUGAGAGAACCCUUUUCCGGUAAGGCUCUGUUCAGCUCUAAACGCCUUAAGUCCUCCUCCAAUGCCGAUGAAACCAGCAAGCUUACCUCCCUAUCACUCUCUCACCAGCAGCCUCUAAAUCAACUCUCAGCAGUCUUCUCCCUCUGGUUUUCUCUCUGAGCUCCUCUCAAUCUCUAGCUAAGCAAUCCCUCAAAAAUAUCUCUCUCUAAGCUCUCCAAAAACUCACCUCUCUGCUCCAACCUCAAACCUCCCUCCUACAGUAAUAAAAAACUCCCCUCCCUAGCUUACCUUCCUUCCUCUCUGGUUCUCUCCCUCUCAAGUUCCCCUUCUCUCAAGAAAACUCUCACAGUAGUCUAUCCGCCCUCCCCUCCAGUUGCUCUCUCUCCUUUUCUCUGCCGAGAACCCUCCAAAAGCAGCCUGCUGUCCAAAAUAUCUCCUAACCAACUCUGAAAAGCACCACCUGCCAGAGACGCCCCUCUCACAGCAACGUACCUCCUCUGCAUAUCCUCCUCCAGGUGUCAACCUCUGAUUAGUCCAUCAAUUCCACUAUUUUGAUAACCAACUCUGAAAAGCACCACCUGCCAGAGACGCCCCUCUCACAGCAACGUACCUCCUCUGCAUAUCCUCCUCCAGGUGUCAACCUCUGAUUAGUCCAUCAAUUCCACUAUUUUGAUCCCAUAUUGACUAAUCCGGGAGUGACACGUGGCCAUGCAAGAUGGUGACACUUGUCAAGCAUCAGCUGCAAGAAUCACUCCCAAAAUGGGGGUCUACAGUAGGAUUGGCUUCCUUACAUUUAAAAGGAAGGGCCUUAGAAAGGUUUCAAGGGUAUGAGGCUAUUAACAAGGAAAUCAAAUGGACACAAUUUUAUAUAGAUGUUGUUUCUAGGUUUAGCCCUAGUGUUAAUGAUAACCUUAUGGGGUAAACAACCAAAUUGAAAUAGGUUUCUACAGUUAUGGCAUACAAAAAUUAGUUUAAGGUAUUGAUGACCAAAACUAGUGGGUUUUUGAUUCAUGCCCAGUCGGGUGUUUAUCAAAACAUUUAUAAAACCUACAACACCUUAUACUAGGGUAGCAAAGACAAAGCUACUAUAGUAUAGUGGCUCUAUGAUCGUCCACAGGGAUGAGUUUUCUUUGUACACAUGACAUUACUGAAAGGAGAAAUGGUGAUUUCCUUUUGAAAGUUUGUUUUUAAUGAAAAUAAGAUUGAUUGGAAGGGUUGAUUUUAAUUUAAGCAAACAUAAACAACUUAAAUUAUUACAAAGAGAAAGUCUCUUGGAGUUAUAGGUUACUAGGAUCAGGUUCCUGUUGUAAAGUGGGAAAUUCCGAAUCUUCUCCUCGCACUGGGGACAAUAACAUGAAGGAUGGUUAUCUCCCCAACCAAAUUUGUAUUUAGCAAAUAAGUUUUGAUCCAAAGGGUUCUUGAAAAAUGGUAGUUGCUUCCCAUUAAUGGCUUUAAACACUAAAGACCCUCACCUUGAACCACCUUCCAAUGGCUCGUACUUGAUAACUAAUGGACAUCCAUGGAUCUAGCAAUAAGUAUCCAUAGAAUCCUAAAAGCUUACCAAGUAUUGGCCAUUCAAGGUGAUUUUAAGGGAUUAAAGCUGAAACUUGAAAUACAAACCAUUAAUGAUACAUAACUACCUUCAUUUAAAGCAAGGAAAACUCCCACCUUUGCAUCCGAGUCCUUUACCUAGCUUCCAUCACUCCAAGAAACGUGAAACGUAGCCACUCAUCCCCUGAGAAAUCAUCCUCAGAGGAUGUUUGGCUCUAGAGAGAAUGUGAAGAGAAAAUGAGAAGGAAAGGCAAAGAAAAACCAGGCUUUAUAAAAUAUCGAAAACAUAAUAUCUCCUCCUCCUCUGAGAGGUUUUCCAACCCUUAUUUAUAGUUCCUAAACAAACCGUAAUGUCUUUUAUCUAUUAUAAAAGGAGUAAAAAAGAAAAUUUACAAUUCUGUAGAAAAAUCUCGAAGCUCGGUGCGCAUAAAGUGAUUUUCGCACACCCUGCGAAAUUUUGGGACACCUUGCGAAAGUUUGGCACACCCUGCCAAAUUUUGGCACAUCUUGCGAAAUAGAUGAUUUUGCCUUGCGAAAUAGAUGUUUUCCUCCAUCUUACUACUGAUAGUUUUGGCAACCCCUUUCCAAGUUUGGCAAGGGGUUUUGAAGUGCUCCAAAACUCGGAUUCUUCAUGUGAUUGAUCUUCAACUUGCCUUACCAUAGCUUGCACAAAACUCUCCCUCAAUUUUGGCCUGUUUCAAUGAUCAAAAAGCUACCAAAAACACUAAAACUGACCAAAAAUUGGUUAGUAACAUUUGCUAGGUCCUUAACAUGCCAAUUGGGAUAAAAAGGUCUAACUACUACUCAAAAGUGCUUAAUACAAUUAAGUUUAAGCUUAUAAAAAUGCACUUUUUGAGUAGUAAUCAAUCUACAUGCAUUUUUUUAGAUCAAACAAUAACUGCAUGGUUUGUCUCAAGGUUCUCUCGAUAUUAAUACUUAUUAUACCAGUUUAAAAAUUCUUUGGGAUGAACUUAAGAUGUUUGAACCCAUUUCCCGUUUGGCAAUUUGGUGGCAUCAAAAUAUGGAUGGAUUAUCAAUAGCAUAAGUAUGUAAUGCAAUUUUUUAAGGGCUUGAAUGAAUCCUAUGUCGUGAUGAGUGGGUAGAUUUUGAUGUUUGGCCCAUUACCCUCUGUUGCGAAGGUUUUCAAUCUCGUCGUUUAAGAAGAACAAUAAUGCACCAUCGAAUCUAGUUCCCUUGCUCUGUUUGAAUCUUUGGCAUUUAGUGCCUCCUCGUCAUCUCUCUCUGUUGCAAAUUUCUCUUCUUAGGGUAAGCUCAAUCAUGAUCACCCGAUUUGUUCUCAUUGUGGGCUCAUGGGGUAUAUUGUGAAUUGUUGCUACAAGUUACAUGGGUACCCAAUUGGGUAUAAGCCCAAACCCAAGGCCCAAUUGAGCUCUCUUCAGCCCACCAACAAUCCAUUAUCUUUCCUUAAGCCAUCAAAAGACACCCACUUCUCUCAUUUAGCUACAACUGCCAUACCAUCCUCUCCACUUUCUAGUUCUCUCUCAAUAGAUCAAGUUCAAUAGCUCAUAAAGUAGACUUUAUUCACUUUGGAAUAAUCCUUUGUCAUGAUCAAAUCUUAUUAUCCACAUGCCUUGUUUGACUAAGAUCAUUAUAAUUGUUUCCCAAAGUGAGUCAAUGCCAAAUAUUGAAUAAUUGGUUAAGCAUAACUCUUACACACAUUCUAAGAUUUAUGCUCUUAACUUUAUGUGACUUGCUUGCAACAUUUGGAAAUACCCCUAAAGUGGAUACAAAGGUAGCCAUGAAUGAAAAAAAAAAAUCAAUAUUGAUCAAAGUGUACAAUAGCUUUACUUUCAAAAGAAAAAAAAAGUAAAAAAAAAAAAAGAACUAUGAUAUCAAAUUAAGGGGAAGUCAAGUUGUGUUGUAUAUAAAUCAACAAGACCGUGUUAAAUAAAAAUCCAACAAUCUUAGAUCAAAUUAAUUGGAUGUGUACUUUAAUUAGAACAAAGGUAUGAUUGGAACUCUUCUAAGUGAUCAAUUUUGAAAUAUAGAACUAGACAAUAAGUUGUAUUCCCUUGAACAUCAAUACUUAUGUAUCUAUGUUGACCUUCUUAUCUACUAAUGGUUAUGCACUAGAUUUUGAAAUUGAAAUUACAAUUAACUCUAACCUUUUGGACUUGAAACCUCAAUCUUGAUGGAUUGAUGUAUAAUAUCUAUAGUAACUCGCUUUAUAAUUGAUUAAAGUAACUCCUGCAAGCUAUUUAAAGCCAUCCAGUACAUUAUUUCUUAUUUCUCACUUUUCUGAGUUGUUUCAAUCACUCCAUGUUUCCACUUCUUCGUCAUUUGAGGUCAAUUCUCUUAGUUUUUCGUAUUUUUGUUCAUAUAAUAUUUUUUACACCUCAUUUUUAGUAUUCUUAGAUGUUUAGGGGUUUUUUUUUUUUGGAUUUUCAUCAAUUUUUCUUACUUUUAUUGUCCUUUUAUAUUUCAUCCUCUUGUUAUGGAAAGUCGUCAUCAUCCGUAUGAGGUGACCCCUCUAAGGUCGCCUGAGCUCAUUUAAAGCAUUGCACUCUAAAGUCCAUUUGACCUAAGAAUUUUUCUUGUUGAGUGCUUCCAUUGUUAGGAGGCAUGAGAUCAAUACUACACCUCUUUCAAUGAUUAACUAGUCGAGGUUGAGCAUCCAGUCAAUCUCAAAGUCUUCUAGGAGACUUCUCUCAUUGCUAUUGUUAGAGUGAGGAUAAGAGACAUUAUUUUCUCUUUAGGGGACUUCUACCCCCAUCAUAUUCACAUGUUUUAUGUGAACAUGCAUUCUCUUGUAAUUGGAGUUACCUUUUAGUUGAUUUUGUAUUAUCAAUCAUUUCUUGUCUCUUCCUGUUCUAUUUGAUGUGUUCUUAGCAUGUUGCGACAUGAGUCUUGCUUUGGGCAGAAGCCAUUCUCUAAGCCAGCGUGGCUACUAGCUACCUUCUUCACCUACUCCUUCUGUCAUUCUACUCAUCGUACCCAUAUUUGUCGGUUGUCUACUCAAUUCAUUCAUGCCAUACUCUCUAGCUACCAAUUUGAUAUCGACUUAAUGAUUUUGGAUAGAAUUACUCCUUCCCAUGAUCCAUAUUUUUGAGAAGGCACCUUUUCCUUUACCCUUCUUAUCUCAUAGAAUUUGGAGGAUGUAGGUUUUGAGAUAAACCCUACAUUAGGGGGUAUAAGAUACAUAUGCCCUCUUGGAAGGGAGCUCCUGGGCUAAGCCUUAUAGCCACAUUUAUGGACCAAUGGCACCUUUAAUCCACCAUGGUCCUCAGGAUAUAGCUCAACAGGCGGCUUAGGAGGCAACAAUAGAGGAGGAUGAGCUCCAAGCUAUGAAGCAAAGUGUAGUUCUUGAGGUAAAUUAUCUUAAGCCUACUUUGAGGACUUGCUCUAGUUGAGGUCAAGCAAAUUCUUCAAGAGCUACUCACAAGCAGUGUUUUAAAUGCCACAAAAUAUCGGGGAUAUUUUGCCAAUAUUUCGGGUAUAGAUGGGGCUCAAUAGAUAAAGAGAAUGAAAUUUUGGGUUAUGCAAAAUUUUGAGUAUUUCCCUCAUUUUUCAUUGAUAUAUCGGCUAUAUGCUGAUAUAAUACCAAUAGAUUAGUUAUAUUGGUCAUUUUUUAGUGCUUUGAUUUCUUUUAGGCCAAAAGGUUUCCCUUUUUUGCCAAAAGGUUUCUCUUUUUUUUCCAAAAGGUUUCCAUUUUUUAUUUUAAGCCGCAUUCUCACACGCACAGCCACACAAUAGUUGUUCGAGAGGAGAAAGGCACCAUCUAUUAAAUAGGCAAUUUUGUUCUCUCAAGUUUAUUGAUAAGUUUAAAAUUCUAAUCAAAUAGGUAAACAAAAUUUACAUUGGUGAGACUUGAACCCGAGUGCACAAGUUUGUCAUGGAAGGACACAACCAUUAAACCAUAUGUGAAUUUGUGGUUUAAAUUGUAUAUAGAAUUAUAUAUAUAAUGUACAUACCUUUUAUACAUUAUAAUAUUUUUAAUAUAUAUUAUAAUAAUAUUUAAUAAAUUAAACCAUUAUAAAUAAGUUAAUUUUAAUUAUCAUAUUAUAUAUUUUGUAUUCCAAUUAAAUACAAGGUAAAUAUAAAUUUUAUAAAUGAAUUUUUUAAUAUAAAAUACUUAUCUAAAUAUCACUUUUUUAUCCCUCAAUAUAUUCAAAUCAAACUAUUAUCAUUCUAAUAUUAUUGUGCUUUUAAAUUAGUAUAUUAUUGCCUACUAUUACAAAUUUAUUACAUAUUACUAUAUAUAUAGUAAUAUGCGUAUUCUUUUUUAUUUUAUCAUUUUUUUUAAGUUUUUCCAAGUAUUUUCAUGAAUUUUGAUUAAUUUGUAUUUCUUCAUUUUUUUUUUCAAAAUAUUCCACCGUUAUUUCCUGAUAUAUCCAUAAAAUCCAAUGAUCAAUAAUUCCAUGAUUAUCGAUAUUUUCAUCUUUGCUCACGAGACAUCUUUUUCUAUAGGCCCGACUACCCGAGAGACAUUGGAUUCCAUGGCUUAUGUCCAUUAGUAGAUGGACUCACAGGAUCUUCACCUUCGUGAGAUCCAAGGAUAACUCCACUAUAUCAUUUCCUAGAUCCACUAUAAAGGCGCCUUGAGCUCUACCUCUCUGUCUUCUUUGGAUGCAUAUAUAUAUAUAUAUGUUGUAUUCUUCUUUCUAUUUAACUCUUUAACUAUUGUGUGCUUUCCAAUGUUUAUAAUUCAUAUGCUUUGCCAUUUUUAUGACAAAAACAGGAGAUCAUUGACCAUAUUUAACUCACUUAAAUAGGGAGAGCGUAGGCAUCAAUAUAAUAGAAAAAAAGAUAAAGAAACUCGUUGACAAAUAGGAGUUAAUAAUUUUUUAAUUAUUUAUUUAAUUCAUUCUUUUGCUCAUUUAAUUCUUAAGGGAAAUUAAUUGAAAUAUUGGAGAAAAUUAAACCUAAGACAUUAGAAGAAAUUCGAUCAACUGUUGAAAGCAUAACUUGGAAGUUUAAGAGAGUUACCUAACACAAAUAUUUAUGUUUGAAUUGUCUUUCUCUUUGGAACUAUUAUGAGUCACGAAAGCUUCUUCUCAUGGUUUUCAUUGUCUAUUUUCUAGUUGGAGAUAGGCCUCUAGGCAUCAUAGUUGAUCUAUUGUGUCUUAUCAAGAUUCUAUUAUGUUCGGUUGAUUUGUAUACAUUUAAAUUCCUCUCGAGCUUUACUUUGUACCUUGGUAUCACUAUAGGGAUAUAUUUCUCUUACAUGUUUUCACAUCCAACUAUCAUGUUCUAUUGCUUUGAUCAUAUCUUAUUUCACACAUUGUUCUACUUUUGUUGUAGUUUUUUUAUGUGUGUAGCUUACAAGAUUGGAAGAUAAGUACUACAAGAUGAUGCAAAGCAUUCCCUUAGUUUAUUUUUAAUUAAGCAUUAAUGUGUGUUAUGUAAACUCCUUUAUAAGAGUUUAGAUCGGUUUAUGUAAUGAUGUUUUGUCACAAGACUGCCAAAGAGUGAAAUAGUUAGGACAUUAAGUCUUGAUUAUAUGUUGGAAAUUUUGUUCAUUUUAAUGUUUGGCCACAAAAGUCUUUUUAGAUAGUGAAUUGCUCUCCAUUGAAGGUCAAAAGUUAUUGUUUGUCUAACCGAGAAUUCACAAGUAUAUCUAAAAAAGUUUGGCUUGUAGUAAGUUAGGCUCCUUUGAGGUAUAAAGAAGAUUGAUAAUUGUUUUGAACUUAAAAUUAAUUUUUAUAAGGUUUUUGAAAAACAGGGGAUGCUUAAGUAGGAAGCAAUGCUCAAGUUGACCACUCAAGUGCCAUACACUGCUUGAAUGCCCAAAGCGCUCAAGCCACUAUCAUAAGCUCGAGCAAUCAUGAAUUUAUAGUUGAGAUUUUUUCAUGCAAAAUUGAUUUGGAAGUCUUCUAAAACCAAACCUUUUGGAGAUUUAUUCCUACAAAUACCUCUUUAUAACCCCUUAAGGGUUAGAGAUUGUUUAAGAGAUUGGUGAGAGAUCUUACAUUCUUUAGGGAGAGUCUCUUAGAGAAAAAGCUUAACGAGCCACACCAUUCCCAAUCUCUCAUUCAAGGAUUCAAUCUUUGAAUCUUGGUUGAAAUGCAUUCACUAGAGUAAUAGGAGGUUGCUACGUUGCGGACAUGGAUCAAGUUUUAAGUAUUAAAGAGUAAGUCUUUAGGGUAAAGUGGCUAAGUAAAUCUAUAUAACUUGAUCUCAUAUAAUGGAUUUAGAUUAUUGGUCUUACACUUCAUGUUCUUUUAUCUCCACAAUUAGUGUGGGGGUUUUCCAUGUGAAAAAUCUCUUGUACCUCAUUUCUUAUUACUUGAUAUCUUAUUUGAACUGCCUACAAUAGAAAUUAUUGGUAUACUAAUAUCUCGUAGGAUAAAAAUUAGGUAUAACAUAUAAAUCUUUAUUUAAAUUUUUUAACAAAUCCAUUUUGCCUCCUUCCCCUAGGUGUUACCUCACUGGACUUAGGGGCUUUUCAAACCAUAAGUUGGUUCAACUUGAGUUGUUCUUUUAUGUUGUUGACCAUCGUUAGAUGAAUCAUUUUGUUGGAUUGCACUUGUUAAUCGAUUUUUUUUUCUCAUAUCCAACUUUUGUUUCUUGUGAUUCCUCCAUCUAAAACCCACCAAUUAUUUUACAUCAUAAUAUAAAGUUUCACCACUUGUUUUGUAUUUUAACCCUAACAAUUCAUGUUCUUUAAAAGUAACAUCUCUACUAAUUAUUGUCUUUCUCAAAUUCAGACACUACAACUUAUACCCCUUCACUUUAGUAGAAUAUCUAAGAAAUAAACAUUUCUUUCUUUGCUCUUGGUUGCAACUUUUUAUCAUUUACAUGUGCAUAUGUUGUUGACCCAAAUACAAUAAGGUGUUCCAUACUUCUUGAGGUGUUUUGAACUUUAUGGAACUUGAAGGUCAUUUGUUAAUCAAGUCACAUCUUGUAUGGAUAUCUUUCACCCAUAACUUUGUAGUUUAUCUUAUAUUUAUCAACAUGCAUCUUACUCUUUCAAGAAUAGUAUGAUUCAUCCUUUUAGUUAAGCCAUUUUGUUGAGAUGUACUCUUCACAGUUCUUGUUGGGAUUGAGCUCUUAAAGGAAACACAUGAUGUAACAAAGUUAGACUUAACUGUCCUCUUGCCAUCCUUUUGGUGUAUUGACAUUGAUUUGAGCAUUUAGCUCAUAUCUCUUACAUUAUUACAUGACUUAGGUCAUUAAGAGUUGCACACAAGAUACAAGUCAUGAGUUCCUCAUAAGUACAUAAGUUGUCCACAAUUGGUUAAUGGAUUUGGGCAAUCCAAUAAAGACUGUAGUGCACCACCUCAUAAUUGAAGGGAUGACUUAUCUUGGCCAUCAAGAUGAGUAUCCCAUGAUGAAAUGAUGAGUGCACUAGUUUAUGUGAUGCACAUUGGACUGGACCUAUGGUGAAUCAUGAUGUAAGGCUAUCAAAUGUCAUGAUUCACCAAGCUAUUAUGCUACAUGGACUCUCAACCUUGAGAGGAUAUUGAGCUUGUGAUGAAAUCAAUAGAAGGCUUUGACCUAUGGGAGAGACCCUAAAGUGGUCAUAUAUCCUUAUAGAUUAGGUCACUAUUAAUGAAGACUAGCGACAAUAGGUAUUCUCAAUAGAGGCACCAUGAUAUCCCAUAGGAUUGAGACGGUGUGUCCCCUUGAGUGAUCUAAAGGACAUGUGAUAAUGAAAUUUGUGGCCAAAGUAAUUCCUUUAGUGGAAUUUGACUUAUGCUCCUUGGAGUUGGAGCUAGAGUAUGUUAGUUAAUCAUAUAAUAGGUUGUGUGCACGAGACGCGCAUAGGUCACAUGCAUGGGAAUUGCAUGAGACGUGCUUAUGGGUAGCAGCAUGAGGAGAAAGACUCUCUAGUUUUUCCAAGUAUGUUCUUCAUCGGAUGGAUUUUGAUUUGGGAACAUCUAAAUCACAAGUAUGAGUUUCAAAUAUCAAGAUCUAUAGUUAUUAAUGGUUUUCAUUGCCAUUUUAUUUCACUAUGAUAGAUUUUCAAAUGCCUAGAGAUAGAUGCAUGCACCCUAUGAGAUCCAAGGUAUUGGAAUGGAGUAUUAAUCUAGGGUUCCGAAGUGAUUAGAAUAGUAAGAUCUAAAGAUUGAACCUAGCACUAAUUAAACAUCUGGUAUUUAGACCUAGGUCAUAUUAAUCUGAAUAAGAUGCAAAGAUUGGCAAAGUCAAGACUCUUUGAUUCCAAAAGAUCUUCCAAUCUAUGAAUUUUAUAUAGAUGGUAAAAUGAUCAAGAGGACUAGAAUUAAGGAAUAUUUGGAGUUAGUGCAUACUAACAUGUAUGGACCUUUUAGUGUCUAUGCAUGGGGAGGGUAUGGGUAUUUCAUCACUUUUAGUAAUGAUUGCUCUAGGUUUGGAUAUGUACAUAGGAAAUCUGAUGCCUUGGAUACAUUCAUUGAAUUUAAGGUGGGAUCGAAUAACCUAUUGGAUAUACAUACCAAGUCAUUUCAAUUAUGUCAAGCUGAUAUGUCUAGUAAGUUUGAUUUUUUUUGUUGGAGCAUAGGAUUAUUUUCUAGUUAUGUUCAUCAAGGUCUCUAUUGCAAAAUGGAGAAGUGGAAAUAAGAUAUCAAACUUGGAUUAACAUAGUAAGAUUGUGGAUAGGCUUCUCCUAUUUUAUCAGAUUAUUUUGGGGAUAUGUCAUAUAGUCUGUGUAAUUACCUUUUUCUUUUUUCUUCGUAAGAGGUGUAUUAGUUUAUAGGAUAUCUAAGAGGAUUUUUGGGUUAUUAGGUUUAUAGUCAAGAUGAUCAAAAAAUAUUUGUGAACAUAAAUGUCCCAUUUUUUAUGAAGAUUAUAUGAUAAGGAAGAAGGCAGGGAGUGACAUAGAUUGGAGGAUAUAUUAGAAUAUAGUUCCACAUUACAUAGGACACUAUGGAUCGAAAGGGUUAAAGACAUACCAUUCUUAUGAUUUCUAGUACACCAGUACUUCAUCAUAGUAAGGAGUUUAUAUCCCACAAAUUAUGAUGAAGCAAUGAGCAGUGUUUAUGCUCACUUAAGGCAAGGACGUGUGAUCAUGAAAUCUAUGAACCCAUUAUAAUUCUUUUAGUGAAAUUUGACAUAUGCUCUUAGUGAUUUAGAGUAUGUAAUUUAAUCACAUAAUAGGAGGAUCUAUAACUCUAAAAUUGUAGAGGUAGUCUUUAAAGACUGAUAACUUUCACCUUGUUAGACUACAAACAACCAAUUCAUGGGAAGAUUGUAUACAAUAGAUAGCAAGUCACGAACUUGAGCACUUGGUGUCUCAUUGUAAUAUACAUAGGGUACCAAAAUAUAGUUAACUCUCUAUAGUGGGAUAUUGAGUCAACUUUAUAAUUGGAUUCUAAGGGAUCUAGUACUGUCCUAUGGGUUCCAUUGGUCUCUACUAAAGCUUAUUUUCCUUGAUAACAUGGUUUAUGAGAGUUGGAUGAGUUUUUAGUUAACUUGUGUGCAUAAAUGCAUUUUGGUAAUUACACAAGGUUACAUAGGGGUAACUGUGCGAUAUCUUUGAACUUGGGUAAUUGAUUAAUUAGAGCCUUAUCGUAUUAAUUAAUCAAUUAGAAAUCUUUUUGGGUUAAAUUAAGUGACCCAUGCCCAUAGUGGGCUCAAGUCACUUAAGCAUAGUAGGAAACUUAUAAAUACCCCUCUCAAGGGUUUAGGUUUCUAAUUCAAUCUUGCCAUUCUCUCCCUACAGUCCAGAGAGAGAACCUUAGUCUUCAACCUUGAGAUUUCCACCAUCUCAGUGCCUAGAUUCAAGAAGGAGUCAUCGAGUGGAUGAUUAUGGGUUUACAGGAUCUUUAUUAGAUUUGGAGCUUUCUACACUAACAAGAAUUGAUUUGGGAACAUCUGAAUAAUACAUAUAACACUUUUUUCUAGAUUCAUGAUAUGUUUUCUUUUUUAAAAUACCAAAGUUUUCAACUAUGCUUAGAUCUAGAAAGCACAAAAUAGGAUUACAUGCACCCUAAUGAUCCAAGGCCUAGGAAUAGAGCGAUCCAAGGUUUCCUAGAAAAUAUAACCCAAUAAGUAAGAAUGAUUUAUAGGAACUAAAAAUUCUUUCAAAAAGAAAAAAAGUUAAUUGGAGUAAGAUAGGUAUACAAGAGAAGGAAAAAUGCAAAAGGAGUAGAAAAAUAUAAAGCAACAUUGGUGCAAAGGAUUACAAGAAAGAAUAAUGCACCAACAAGAUGAGGGUAUUUGCUCUCAUUGUUCUUUUAGUAACUAUAAAUUAAUAAUCUCUUUGGUAGCUCAAAAUAGUUGAAAUUUUCAAAUGGAUGUGAAAUCCAAUUUUUUGAAUUGACAUCUUGAAGAAGUGUAUGUAGAACACACCAUAGUUGGUAUAUAUAUAUAUAUGGGCAUGAGAAUAAAGUUCCAAAAUUGAAAAUAACCUUGUAUGGAAUAAAACAAACACUAAGAGCAUGAAAUGAUAGAAUUGACCAAUAUUUUCAUGAUAAUAAUUUUGUUUAAUACCUUUAUGAACACGCUCUCUGCAUAAAAGUGAAUGAAAAAAAGUAAUAUAUUACUUGUUUGUUUAAAUGUGAAUUUUUUGAUCUUUAUUGGAACUAAUCCAAUCAUGUUUAACGAGUUCAAAGAAGUAAUAGAAUAAAAGUUUGAGAUGACUGGAUUAGUCUCAUAUCAUACUCUCUUGGCUUAGACUUGAAGAGAUUGAAAAGAGUACUUUUUAUUUCUCAAGAAGACCAUGCAAAAUAAAUUUUCAGAAAGUUUAACUUGAAUAUGUGUAAUAUGGUAAACACUACAAUAUAAUGCAAAGCUAAAUUAUCAAAGACAUGUAGAAAGAGAAAAAGUGGAUUCAACAUAACAUAAAAUCUUAGUUGGAAGCAUACACUAUUUGACUUAUACAAUUUCAAACAUUCUCUAUGGCAGUUGGAUUUGUCCAUCAUUAUAUGGAAGCACUAAUGAGUAUUUACACUAAGACCUCGUGAAUUUUUCACUACAUCAACGACACAUUUGAUUAUGACUUAUAUUAUUCACCUUUAACAAUUUCAAACUUGUUAGAUAUAACGAUAGUGAUUAAGGUGGAGACUUAGGAUGAUACAAAGAGAACCACUAGCUUUAUGUUCCUCAUGGGAGAUACCAUGUUCACUUGGACUUCAAAGAAGCAACCUAUUGUGAAACUUUCAAUGUAUAAAGUGGAAUUUGUAUUGGCAUCAUGUGUACGUAGGUCAUGGAAUUUGGCUCAAAAAUUUGUUGAAAGAAUUUAGUUUACCACACAAGAAACCAAUAAAGAUCCAAGUGGAUAUAAAAUCAACAAUUACCUUAUGAAAAAAUCUAGUUCUCCAUGAUGAAAGCAAGUACAUUGAUACAAAAUAUCAUAUUUUAGAGAGUAUAUGAAAUACAGAGUGCAAUUAAAAUUUACAAAAUCUCAUAAUCAAAUUGUUAAAAUGUUUACAAAUUCUCUUAAGUUUAGCGAUUUUAGAAAGCUAAGCUUGCUACUUUGACAAAUCAAGUUGAAGGCAUGAGUGAAAAUGUUGACAAAGUUUCUCGAGUUUAAAAAUUUUAGAAAACUAAGGAUGCUAUUUUUACAAUUGAAUGGAGGAUUUAGUAAAACUGGAUUUAGGAAGUUUCUAAAAAUUAGAAUUUGAGUUAGAUUCUAAAAUGCUUGUUUAGUUUGUAUAUUUUGUUAUUACAAGAUUUCAUAUUUUACCAUUAUGAGUAUUAAAUUUUUUUAGGUGUUAAUAUCUAAAAAUAAGAUGUUAUGUAAUAGUUGAACAAGAGUGGUGGAAGAAAAUAAAUUUUUUCUUAGUCAUCCCAAUUAUUUAAAUAUCUCCCUUUACAUAUGUAAUUAUGUAAUGCCCUAAACCCAAUUUAGGGGUAAAAUCAUAAUUUAGAAAUUAUUAAUGAAUAAAAGUAAUUUAAUAAGGGUAAAAAAGUCUUUUUAUAUUUAAAACCCUAGAUAUAAAUUAGAUUUUUCAUAUCUUCUCUAUUCAGAAAACCCUUUUACAUAGAGAUCAGAAAGAUCAAAGAGCAUAGGGCUGAAGAUUUGGAGGUUUAGGGUUUGAAGAUCAAUUUUUCAGGUAAGAUUUUUAAUCCUUAAAUUAAUAUUUUAUAUUCGCUAAUUAGUUUUGAAUACUUUAGAUAUUCUUUGGAAUAUCUCAAUUUUGAUUAGAGUUCAUUUAAUUAAUUUCUAGGUCAAAAAGAUUAAAAAUUUAUGAACAUAGUUUGAUUUAUUAAUGGAGAUCGAUAAGUUUUGAUUGCUCAAAUGAAUAAAUCUAGAUAAAAAAAAAUUAAAAAUUAUACUUUAGAGGGUAUGGAGGUUAAAAGUUUUUACUUUAGAGAGGAGAAAACAAAUGAUGAAAGAUGCGUAGGAAGGAUUUGGCAUGUUGAAAAAAAAAAUGGUUGACCUAGGAAAGGAAUUAAAUAGUAUUUUGGUAAACAAUAAGGAAGAAAAGGACGUGGAUGUCUUGGAAGAGAAAUAGGUUAAGGUGUUGUUAGGUAUUGAAAUUAAUAAUAAUAAUAAUAAUAAUAAUAAUAAUGAUGAUAAUAAUAAUAAUAAUAAUAAUAAUAAUAAUAAUAAUAAUAAAAGAAACAAUAAUAAUGAAAGGAGUUGGUGUGGAGUUGUUGGGAAAAAAAAAAAGAAAAAUUGCAUGGGGUAUUUGUUAAGUUUCAAUAGAAGAUUUAAAUAAUAGUAAUAAUAAUUUAAUACAAAUAAAUAUUCGUAAAAGUUUUAAUUUAGAUAAGUUAGAAAAGAGAAAUAAAUUAUUGUUUAGGAAGUUGAAAAUAAUAUUGGAUGGUAAUAAUAUUAAUAUGAGAAAUUAAUUAGGAUCCCUAAUACUAAAUAAAAUAUUUUUAAGGUUGUCAAAUUUAUAUAUUUAGAUAAAUAAUCAAUAAUCAAUAUUGUGUAUGAUAUUAUGUUAGGUGAGGAGUAAAUUCGUCAAGCUAAAUACUUUAAGUUUUUGAGUGCUUCUUCAAGGUAAGGGAAAUUAGUGCGGAUUUUUAUAAAAGAAAACAAUUUUAUUUUUAUAUUGUAUUUUGAAAUGUGCAAAAAUAUUAUUUUUAUCUUUACGUAUAGAUGAAAUAUGUGUUUUGUAUGGAAAAUAUAUUUGAGAAUUUUCUUUGUUUAUGAAAAAUGAAAAAUUAAGGAGAUAUGAUAUUUUGUUUUGUAAAUUUGAAUUAAUGAAAUAAAGUGUUUGACUUUGGUUCUUAUGGCCCUAAUCAACGGGUUAUAAUUGUUGACAUAUUCAGCCCUAAUCAACGGGUUAUAAUAGUUGAUAUUAUAUGACCCCAGUCAACAGGUUAUAAUUGUUGACAUAUUCAAUCCUAAUCAAUAGGUUAUAAUAGUUGAUAUUAUAUGGCUCUAGUCAAUGGGUUAUAAUUGUUGACAUUUGGUUUUGUUCACCUUAAAUAGAACAAAUUUGAAACUAGUUACUCAAUUGUGAAGUCCCAUCUAAUUAGGCACUAUUUGUCAUACAAUAACCAGAGUAAAGAUAUUUUGAAUGUAUUCGAUUUGGUUUUGAUGAGAAAUUGUUUUGAAAUGGAUAUGAGAAAGUUUUGUUGAAAAGUUUGAAUGUAUUAGUAUUUUGAACUCAAAAGUUUUUGUGAAAAUAAGUAUAUGUUAUAUUUGUUAUUUGCAAGCAUGAUUGAAAAUGUUUGAUCCAUGAAACUGUAUUAAUGUUCCUUAUUGGGCUUUGAGCUCAUCCACUUUUGUUAAUAAUCUUUCAACUAACCUCAGUUCGAGUGAGGAGUGACCGUUAGGAGGGAAAUUUGGCUUUAUUAGGACAUUUGUUUAAACUCUCUUUAUGUUGGACAUUGUUUAGAUGUUAAAACUUAAUUCUCAUUUGAAUUAUUUUGAGUUUGGAGUUAUUUGGACAAUGACACUUUGGUUGAUGUAUUAGUUUUUUUAUAAAGUUGAUACUUGGAGAUUUUAGAAUUUUAUCAUACUACUCUGAAUAGGAAUUUGGUAAUUUGUAAAUUUCUAGUUACAAUAUGAAUGUUUGUAUCGUUUCCACUUUGAGCCUUUGGGCUUGAGGUGAAAUGAGAGGUGAAAUGAUCGUCAUGCCCUUGGAGUGGGUUUUGGGGUGUGACAAAUUACUUCCAUGUUUUUUCAACCAUAUUAUUGCAACAUAUGUGGAUCUGCUGGUUGGUCUAUGAAAAUUCAUAUAAGUUGUUAAAUUCUGUUAGGCUUGUGUAACGGUAUUUAGAUCAUAACAUCUUUCCCUAAGCCCGCAUUUUUCUAAAUAUAUAAUUAAAAUUGUUGUGUUUGCAAUUUUAAUGAAAUCUAGCAUUGGAUACUCAACUUCUCACAAAAUGACAAAAAAAAAUGGUGGUGAUUUCAUGGAGGCUAACCAUUCACCUACCUUUAGUCAAGGUUUUCAAGUUGUGUUACAAUAGUAAAGUAAUAAUCUCAAUCAAAACACAAAAUUUAGUUUUCUAAACAAUUAUUGUUCUUGGAAAACAUGCAAGGAAUUUAAGCAUCUUAAGGUACUUAAGCAAUCUUAGUUGGACAUUCAGUAUCCAGAUCUUUUCAUUAAUUGGUUUUUCUCUUUUUGUGCCAACAUCUGCUCUCUCUCUCUCCAACAUGCAAGCGUAAGUGGUAGGCACCUCUUUUGUGCUUUAAAUUAAUUUUUGAAGUAAUUUAAAUCAACUUAAAAGAUCAUAAGUCCCAUUGGAUAUGAUGUAUUGAGUUUUAGAUUUUUGAAGUAAAAUUAUCAACAUAGUCUAGAAUAUAUACUAAUAGAUUAUACUCUUUCCAAGAGUUUAAAUUGCUUUUUGUUAAUAGAUUAUAUGGAUGUUUUAACACAGAAAUUGGAAUGAAGCCAAAUAUGCAGAAAAAAGAAAUGGUUGUGACCAAUAGUUAUAUUUAAUCUCUUUUAUUUCUAUUGAUACUCAAAUUUUUAGGGAUAGAGCAUCAACAAUCCUUGUGAUGAAUUAAUAAUGUUGAUAAAAGUCAAUGACUACACAAUGUAGCUAGCUUAAAACCAAAUAUGUCAUUAAAGAAGAUAUCGAUAAUCACCCCCACACAAUGAUAUCUUGUAUAAUUCAUUAGUUGAAUCAAACACAAAUUUCGUUCAAUAUAUGUGUCUACGAGUAAAAGAGAGUUCUUGGUUUAUAUUCGACAUACACGCUAUAUAGGCUAUGCUAACAGCAAUUGAUAACAAGAAUCUCAACACUGAAGUCCAUGUAGAAUCAGGUGUCCACCAUAUUGGAGUUGCAUAGUUAGGAUAUUGAAAGGAGCAUGAGCAUAGGAUGGCGAAAGUUCAAAUAAGAAGUGUUGUAAGAUCAUUGCCAAAGCUAUUUUUGCCUCCAUCAUUGCAAAAUUUUGUCCAAUGCAUGCCUGAGGACCCCAACCAAAUGGGAAAAAUGAAACUUGGUUUUUUUUUGCCUUCGAAAUUCCUUCUGCAAGCCUCUCUGGGUUAAACUCCUUUACAUCAUCUCCCCAAAUUUCAUGAUCAUGGUGAACUAGGAUGGUGGGCAACGCAACCUGCACUCCAGCUGGAAAAUACAUGUCUCCCACUUGAGUGUCCUUAUAAACAGCUCUAGUAAGCAUUGCUACUGGUGGGUAUAACCUAAGAACCUCAUGAAAAAUCAUGGUAACCUGUGGUAGAGAAACUUUAUAAGUUGUAGCAUGAGAAUUCUUACUAAAAUACAUUCUAAUCAUUAUGCAGAACACUGAAGAAUAAAGCAAUUUCUUAAAAUAGUGAUGCAUAAGAGAAAAUGUUCUAAAUCAUGCAUGCCAAAAUAUCAAGUAUACAAAGGACAUUGCAUAUCCCAUGGAUAUAAUAACUUAAGAACCUCAUAAAAAAUCAUCAUGAUCUAUCAGAGAAAUUUGAAAUCAUGGCAUGAGAACCUGUUCCUGAGCUACUAAGUGAAAGCAAAUGUUUAGUACAAAAUAUAAAAACUUAAGAAAAAUGUGUUUUCAAUUUUACUCCAAUUUUGGGGAAAAAAAAUAGAGUACUAUAUGAUUUCAGUGAGAAUCACUAAACUGAAGAUUGGACUGAGUACUCACAAUUUUUAGGUGAUUUAAUCCAUUAGCUUCCAGUUUUUUAUUCCCAAAAACCUGUAAAACCUCUUCUCUUGCACGAGCUUGCCAAUUUGGAUUCUCGCUUAGCAGGACCAUUGUCCAUACAAGAAAAACUGAGGUUGUCUCUUGGCCAGCAAGAUAGAAUAUCUUACACUCUUCAAUGACCUCUUUGACACUCAUUCCAAUCUUCUUGUUAUUUUUAUGUUCUUGAAUUUAUCUAAAAUUGGAUUCCAUUAGUAUAACUAAUAAGUCACUAUUACCAGUUUUGUCAGCCUUCAUUGUCUUCUCCCUUUUGUUAAUGAUACCCCUCAGCAAUGCAUAUGCUUUUUUGCUUAUUUGCUUCAUCUUCCUGUUCGUCUUUGUGGGUAAAAACUUGUGCGCAUGUUAGUAAUUCUAGUAAAUAAAACAUCACAUGAAACACACAGACAUUAAUUCUUAUUUUCAUUCAUGCUUUUUACUUCUCCAUUAAUUUUUUGAAGCUUGUAUAAGGCUUCAAAGGUAGAAACUAUCAAGACAAUAACUAAUGGUUUCAUCUACACAUGUGUUGCAAUGGUAUAUCAUCAUCUUGACACAGUAUCCUGCCAACAUAAGAUUGAGGAUACUAAACAUCAAUUAGUGAAACAUACUACUUUCUAGGUGUUAUACAAAAGAAGUAAUUGACUAAAAGGGGAUGAAAUGAUCUCAUAUUUGUAAAUCUAAUAUCUCCUAUGCUUGACCGUGAAAAGUAAUCCAUUUUUAACAUAAAUUCCCUUCAACAUAUGAACCGAAAUUUGUGCUGGCAUCAUGUGUAGGUCAUGAAAUUUGGCUCUGAAAUUUGUUCAAUAAACUUAAUUUACCAAACAACACUACAAGGAAAAAGAUAUAUGGUGACAUUUAUAAUAAGUCACUAUAAACAUAGGGUGUCACUACAACAUAGCGUCACCUUAUCCACUGACACCAUAAAGGGUAUCAAUUGGUGACGUAUUUGGAAGCGACACCAAAGCAGAUAAAUGGUGACACAUUCAGAAGAGACACCAUAUAUUUUUAGUGAUGCUUAAUUUGAUAUAGAGUUGUAUGAGAUAUAUAAGGUGUCAUAUUAAAUGCAUCAUCUUUGAGUUAUGGUGUCACGUUAAAUGUAUCACCUUUAAUUUAUGGUGUCACAUCAUUGUAAAUGAUUAUGGAAAAUAUGGUUGUUUUUUGUUGAUUAGUUUGUAGAUUUUUGUAAUGCUUAUUAAUAAAUAAGACUAACCUGUGUAAAUUGUCCAUAAAUAUAAUAAUCAUAUUACAUUUAACUUAUAUUUUCAUAAUGCUUAUGAAUUAAUUUGUAACAUAUUACAUCAUCCAAUAAUAUUUGUAUAUCAAAUGUUCACAAAAUGAUAGUACAUCAAACACAUCAAACCCACCAAAAGGAAAAAAGAAAAGUGAAUACACAUUAAAACAUGAUUUAAANNNNNNNNNNNNNNNNNNNNNNNNNNNNNNNNNNNNNNNNNNNNNNNNNNNNNNNNNNNNNNNNNNNNNNNNNNNNNNNNNNNNNNNNNNNNNNNNNNNNGAAUAAGUAAUGUUAUACAAUAUCAAUGGAAAAUUCAAUCAUAUAACAACUAAGGGACUUACCAUGAAUGAUCACAAUACAUCAAUAUGAUUCAUGAUUAGUUAUAACACAAAAGUAAUCUAUUCUUCUCUAAUUUCAUCAAAUUCUACUUGAGAAUAUGUUUUAUUUGUCAUCAAACUGAAAUCAAAUGAGAAUAACAUUAAUAUCACAAUAAUUAAAAGUAUGAAAUUAUGUACAAUUCAUUAAAUGAGUAAAACCUUUGAUGCAAUUACUGUAAAAUCAACAAUUAUUUCUUUAAUGAAUCUCAUAACAAAGUAGUCAUAUUUGAACUUAGCAUUAUUUUUUUACUCUUAAAUUAUUUUAAAACAAAAUAACAAUUAUUAAUAUAUUGGUUCAUUUUUAAAUACUUUCACAAGAAUAUAUUUUAACUACGAGUUAUUUUAAUUUAUCAAAAGACUUUUAGGAAAUGAGCUAUUAUCCAUUUAUUAUUUUCUUAUUUUUCAAAAAAUAUUUUUAGUCAUUUCAUACACGUUUUCAACUACUAAAAUUAUUGUUUUUAUAGAAUAAACAAAGAAGCAUACACUUCUCCUCCACUCACUAAGUCAACUAUUACAAUCACCAUAAUAUUUUAUUCACCUACCAACAUCUCAUUCCAUUUAGAUAACUCUCUCAACAAAAUCAUUUCUACAAUACUUUUUACUCUCCUAUGAUAUUGAAUAUUUUAUUCCAUUUAGGUGACUCUCAACACAAAGAAAAGUAGGAAUGUCUUCUUAGGUUAACUAAACAAAGACUUUUUUUUUUUUUUUUACUUUACAAUAUGUAUAAAAAACAAUUAUUUAUUACAAGGAAUGUGGUAGAAAGGUCAUUUUAUUUUUAAAGAAUUUUUAAGAAUUUAUUAAACAUUUACAAAAAAUAGAAUCUAACAAUUUUAUUUCUAAAAAAAUUGAUCAAUUCAAAAAAGAAAGAAGAAUGUUAUUUUUUAAGAAAAGUUAAUAAACCACUUUAUUCUUGAAUUAUCUAAACAAAACUUACUAAAAAAUAUUUUAUCCCAAAUUUAUUUUCAAAACUUUCUUAUUGAAAACUAUCUCAUAUAUAAAUUAUUUUAUUAUAUAGAGAAAUUCUUAUUUUAUUCUUUUUUUAGAGAAAAAUUCACUUGUUUUUUAAAUAUCAAAGAAGUCUAUUUUUAUGUCUAUUAUAUAUAUAUAUAUAUAUAAAUUCUCUUAUUUUCAUACAAGAAAUUUCCAUUUAUGCCUAAAAUACUUUUAGAAAAAUCAUUGCCAACAAAAUUUUAUUUUUAAAAUUAUUUUCAACAUUCUUAUUUAAAAAAAUUAUCAUUGGAUUAUUUUCAAAAAAGACCGUCCUAAAAAAAUUAACCAUUUAUAACCCAAUUUAAACUCAAAAAUUAUCCCCAAUAUUAUUUUAUAUUCCUAAAUUAUUUUCAAACAAAAUAACAAUUAUUAAUAUUUUGAUUCAUUUUUAAAUACUUUCACAAAAAUAUAUUUAAACCACAUAUUAUUUUAAUUUAUCAAAAUAUUUUUAGGAAAUGUGCUAUUUUCCAUUUAUUACUAUCCUAUUUUUCAAAACAUAUUUUCAGGCAUUUCAUUCACAUUUUAAAUUUCAAAUACUAAAAUUAUUGUUUUUAUAAAACAACAAAGCAUGUAAAUUUCAACUACUAAAAUUAUUGUUUUUAUAGAAUAAACAAAGCAACAUACACUUAUCUUCCAUUUACUAAUUCAACUAUUACAAUCACCCCAAUAUUUUGUUCACCUACCAAUAAUUCAUUCCAUGUAGGUGACUCUAAAAAAAAAAAGUCAUAUUUAUAAUACCCUUUACCACUCUGAUACCCAAUAUUCUAUUCCAUUUAGGUGACUCAAUACAAAGAAAGUGGGAAUGUUUUCUUAGGUUAACCGAAGAAAACCCUAAAUAACUUAAGUGCUUUUGGAUUAAUUGAGCAUCAUCUUGUAGUAGAUGUCAAUCUCUAUUGUUAGACUUCACCAAAAAGCUCCUAGCACGGUGGAAAAAAGUAUCAAAUAUAGUCAAGUCUUCAAUAAAAUAUUUUCACAUGUGAAAAAUUACAACCAAUACACUAUAUAGUCAAGUCUUCAAUAAAAUAUUAUUUCAUACGAAAAAUUACUACAAACUAGUGUAUCUCUCAUUCUCAAUUAGACAUAAUUUUUAAAAAUAAUUCCUUUUUUUUUUUCAUUUGUUUUGGGGCUUAUUAGCAAUGAAACAAAAAAUAUGUUAGAAUGUUAAACCUAGUUUUUACUUCCCUGGAACUUGAUAAAAAACACCAUUUACAAAACCCACAUCAUAGAUAUACUUAAUCAAGAGAUAUAAAACAAUUAUACUAACAAAGUUUUUUGCAUUAAUAAAAAAAAAUGAAGAUGAUAGAUAAGAGAUUUGGACUUACCCGAGAUUUUACGAAGCAAAGAAUAUCAAUUAUGGGUGUGCCGACCAUGGGUGUGAGAAGAAGGAGAAGAAAACGAUGGUUAGGGUUAAGCAAUAAGAUCUUUUAUAUUAGUUAAUGUAUAUAUGGAAACAAUGGACUUUUCAUAAAUUGUUCCUACUUACUAUUUUUAAAAAGGGCCCAUUGAGUUAUAAAAUUUAAAACUUUUUAUUUCAUAUGGUGUCACUUCCAAAAAAUGACACUGUAAAUCUGAAAUUAGCAUCAUCUAACUAUCCUAAUUGAAGAUUUUUUAUAUGAUGUGUCACCUUUAUAAAUUUUAAGUUCAAUGGUGUCAUUAUUUUAAAUGCGACACCAUAAAUAGUGACAUCAUAAAUUAUUUUUGUAGUAGUGCAAGAAACGAAUAAAGAUCUAUAUGGAUAUGAAAUCAACAAUUAUCUUAUGAAAAAAUCUAGUUCUCCAUGAUGGAAGCCAGUAUAUUGAUACAAAAUAUAAUUUAUUAGAGAGUACAUUAUGAAAUAUGAAAUGCAAUUAAAAUUUACAAAAUGUCAUGAUCAAAUUGUGAAAACAUUAACCAAGUCUCUCAAGUAUAAAGAUUUUAGAAAGCUAAGGAUGCUAUUUUUACAAAUCAAGUUGAUGGGAGGAUGUUAGUUAAACUAGAUUUAGAAAGUUUCUAAAAAUUAGAUUUUGAGUUAGGUAUUAAAAGUUAAUUAAAAUAUUUUAUACAGAAUUCUUGAUUUAGUUUGUAUAUUUUGUUACUGCAAGAUUUUAUAUUUUACUAUCGUGAGUAUCUAUUCUUUUUAGGUGUUAGUAUCUAUAAAUAAGAUGUUAUGUAAUAGUUGAUCAAGUGUACAGGUGGACGACAAUAAAUUUUUUCUUAAUCAUCUCAAUUAUUUAUUUAUGUAAUUGCUUGUGUGUUUUUUCAACCACAUUGCUGCAACAUAGGUGAAUCUGUUAGUUGGUCUAUGAAAAUUCAUAUCAGUUGUUCAACCUUUUAAAUUCUAUAACGUAUGUAGAUUAUAGCCUCUUUCCCUAAGCCUGCAUUUUUCUUUCAUUUCAUGGUGUCAACACUUGAGGAAAGCAAAAUUUCCUAAAAUGGAAUAUGGUGUGCAAGGAUCCAGUGACUUAUUAGGCAUCUAAACAUGGUGGCAUUUAUUUUUUUGGCUUUUUGCUAAAAGCAAUUUGCUUUCAAAAUUUAGGUUGUUUGUUUUUUUAGUUUUUGAUGACUUAUUAUUGAAUUUUUAAAAUUUUUGGCUAAAUUGAGCACAAACAACUGACAUAAAAAUUCAUCUAAAAGUUUUCAAAAUUUUUGCUAAAACGUUAUAAAUUAACACUUGAAAAAAAAAUAGUACUUUUCAAAGUGGAAGUAUAUUAAUUUCUUGAUAAAAGAAAUUGCAAUAUUGUUAGCAAAGAUUAAGAACUACCACUGAAAUCUAAACCUUUGGUGUAAUUUAAAAAAGAGGGAAAAAAAACAAAAAGGAAAAGAAAAAUAAUUAGGAAGAGAAGAGCAGAAAACAAACAACUGCUUUAGGGCAGUAUAAAAAAGUUGGCCAUAAUUUGAAGAGAUCAGCAAACUUUAAUACUAUGAUGAAAAGUAAUAACUCAUAUCGCUAACGUAUUUCUUAAUGAAAUGACAACGGAAGGGCAGGACACGCGGGGCAAUAUCAUCAGAGAGGCUGAUUGGUCUUGAAUAUGCUUCUUUUAAUAUCAUGGACAUUUCUUUGAAGUCCCCAUGUAAAAGGCUAUAAGAAUUCUCAGCCAGGCCUUACUCUCUAAGGCAUCUUUCUAACCUCUAUGGCCUCAACCACACCCAAUUCAAUAGCAUCCAUAAACAGCUUAUGAACACAGUAAGGAACCCAAAAGAAAUUGCAACUGAGUUAUGCUUCAUUUCCAGGUUGAGGGACUUCUAUCAGGAGAGGUAUGUUAAAUCACUUCAGAGUGAGAAAAUGACUUUAUGCUGCCGAUGUGUAUAAAUUGGCCGCUAUUCUAUUCCCUCGUGUCGGCAAACAUAGAAGAGUUCGUCAAUACCUAAUGGAGAGAAGAACUUCUAGUAUUUUAAAAUCUAUAAAUUAUCUAUUUUAAUUGUCUCCAUCAAUAUGGCUUUUAAACUUCUCAAUGAAUUAUUAAUUUAUUCUAUUUGAUACAUUUCAAAGUUUGUGCAAUCAUCACUGCUUAUUAAAAACUAUAUAUGCCAUGAAUGUAGAAGGCAAAAUUUGAGCAUACAGAAUAUGGAAUUCUAUUUGAUGGACCAGCUUUCACUUGUGAGUCGAUGGAGCAUGUGGAUGCUCACUUUCAGAGAGUCAAGGGGCAGCUCGCAUCCCUCACAUCUUGGAAGAUGUCGCAGGGUGCUUCCAGCUCUACAACUCCAUCUGAUCUGGACUUUUUGAUACUUUAUGUUUUUUUUUUUUUUUUGGUGGAUAAGCUUAUUUUGUACACCUAACCCAUCUUGGCUCAGUUUAUCAUAUAUUUUGUUUGUCUAGAUGUACUUUUAUUUUCUUAUCUCUUGUAUCCAAAACCUUUUUUAUCAUAUAUGUCCAUGUGUUUGCUUUUCUUUUCUUCUUUUUGUAUGCUUACUGCUUCAUCAUGCUUUUUGUCAUUUUUUUUGCAACAAAAAAGGGGAAAUGGAUUGUUGAUUUGAUUGAGUGUUUUGAUAUUCAUAUUUUUUUGACAUCUGUUUCAUGACUUGCAUCCCCUUACUCGUUUACCUGAUUUGAUAAAAUUGAUCAAUUAUCUUUCUUCCCACACACUACUUUACCUGGGUAUGUUGUUUAGUGUGUGCAAGUUCUAGGUACUAGGGUGUUGGUCAUUUUUUGGAUGUGGCUUCUAGUCCUUUGCACGAUAGAUGAUGAAUUGGUUUAGACAAGAGGUAUUGAGAGAGAUUUGUAAACUCCAUUUCAGAGUAUUGAGGGGUUUAUGCAAUUUGUAUUUUAUCACAAAAUUGCCAAAGGGAGAGAUUGUUCGUACAUUAGGUGAUGUAGUUUAAAAUUGUCAAUUUUGUUCUAUUCAUUUUGGUUUAGGAUCUUUCUAGAUUGUGUUUCAUUCCCCAUUGAAGACUCAAGGUUAUUAAUUGAUCAACCAAGAUUACAUAGGUAAGUGUAAAAAGAUUUAGGAAAGGGAAGUUAGUGUUUGGUAUGACAUGGCAUGGAUUGAGUGGUUUAAAAUUGAGCAAAAUGAUUUUCUAAUUGGGUUUAAAAAAUGCUUAAAGUGCUCAAGCACUCUAAGAGCAUUUGAGCUCUAGAAAAAAAAUUCUCUAGAAUUUUGGAGAUCUGUCUUUCUAUUUUUAAAGGAUUUAUUUUGAGGAACUUUUUAGAAUUAGUCCACUAGGUUCCUAAGCUUAAAUAUACAUUGCAUAAAAAGGUUUUUGGUUUGAUGCUUUUGAGUUGAAAAACCUAGUUUUUCUUAUUGUUUCCAAAAUUAUAGAAGAAACAUUCAUAUUUACUUCUGCCUAGUUGAGAAGGAGAUUUGUAUCCCCCUCAAGUGCUGAAGUGAGAUCCUCUAUGAGCACAUGAGAUGUUGCAUUGUGGACGCAAAACACAGUGUAGGUGUUAGGUAGUAAGUCUUAGUAGUAGCUUUCAUCAGGUAAAAUUGAGUACAUACCUCAUUAUAUAUGAUGGACAGCUCCUCAAAUGCAUAUCCUACAAUCAAAAUCAAUUGAUUCUAAAUUAACACCCAACCCAUAUUUCAAACAAAAUCUUGCAAUUUCACAUUUUGAGCACCAAUCCAUGAAAAUGGUGUUUUUGGGGAGAAAAUUCAAUUGAUUUAGGAGCAUAUUAGAUCUUACCCUUCCCCUCUUGAGACUUGAGACUUAGGAGUAACCUAUUUUCAGAUAGAUUCAAUAUCACUAAUUGAUUAAUUUUUAUGUACAAUAUGUUUUUCUAAAUUUUUAAAAAUUCCAUCCUUUUAAUUCUAUUAGAAUAACGUAAAUCAUAUGGAAGUUAGAUUCUAAAUCUCAAGUCUUCACAUCAUCAAGUAUCAACUAUAAGAACUCAAACUCAACACUUUAGUGGCUCUAAAGAGUCUAUUUUAGUGCAUUUGAGGUAUUUAAAAAUGACCUAAUGCUUGGUUUUUUUGUUAUUAAUGCCUUAGCCAUUUGUUUUUGAUAUUUUUUUGUGAGUAUUUUUAGAACUUUAAAGUAUUUUGAAAAUGAAGUGGACUUUGUGGAGGAUUCUCAAAGAAUAAAAUGCCUAAGUAGAGAGCAAGAACAAAUUGUAUACCUUUUAAGUACACAGGAUUCUAUUGUGCAUCUCGCUAGUGUGCCACCAAACUAGAUUGCACAUUCCCUCUAACAAUUUAAAUUGAGCACCUUCCCUAUGAUUCAAAGGUUGCAUACCCCUCAACAAUUGAACCUAACAAGAGCACUCAAGUUGUGCAUGUCCAUAACAUCUUAAUUGCACUUUUCCCUACCGCUACAGUAGUUUAUCCCUAGGGUCACUCACCAUGCAAUGUCACACCCCAAAACCCACUCCAAGGGCAUGAAGAUCUUUUCACAGCUAGCUCAAGCCCAAGGGCUUAAAGUGGAAACAACACAAACAUUUGUAUUGUAACUGAAAAUUUACCAAUUACCAAAUUCUUGUUCAAAGUAGUAGGACAAAAUUCUAAAAUCUCCAAGUAUCAACUUGAAAAAAAAAACUAAUACAUCAACCAAAGUGUUAUUGUCCAAAUAACUUUCAACUCAAAAUAAUUCAAAUGAGAAUUAAGCUUUAACAUCUAAACAAUGUCCAAAAUAAAGAGAGUUUAAACAAAUGUUAUAACAAAGCCAAAUUUCCCUCUUAAUGGUCACUCCUUGCCAGAACUGAGGUUGCCUAAAAGAUUAUCAAUGAAGAGAGGUAAGCUCAAAGGCCAAUAAGGAACAUUAAUACAAUUUUAUGGAUCAACAUUUUCAAUUAUGCUUGCAAAUAGGAGAUAUAACAUAUACUUAUUUUCAUAAAAACUUUUGAGUUCAAAAUGCUAAUACAUUCAAACUUUUCAACAAAACUUUCUCAUAUCCAUUUCAAAACAAUUUCUCAUCAAACCAAAUCAAAUACAUUCAAAAUAUCUUUACUCCAGUUAUCGUGUGACAAAUGGUGCCCAAUUAGGUGGGACUUUGCAAUUGAGUAACUAGUUUCAAAUUUGUUCCAUUUAAGGUGAACAAAACCAAAUGUCAAGAAUUAUAACCCAUUGACUAAGGUCAUAUAAUAUCAACUAUUAUAACCUGUUGACUAGGGCCAAAAAUGUCAACUAUUAUAACCCGUUGACUAAGGCCAUAUAAUGUAGAGAGUCAAAUACUUUAUUUCAUUAAUUCAAACUUACAAAACAAAACAUCAUAUCUCAAAUUUUCAUUUUUCAUAAACAAAGAAAAUACUCAAAUAUACUUUCCAUACAAGACAUAUAUUUGAUCCGUGCUUAAAGAUAAAAAUAAUAUUUUUAAACAUUUCAAAAUAUAAUAUAAAAAGAAAACUAUUUUCUUUUACAAAAAUCUGCAUUAAUUUCCUUUACUUGAAUAAGCACUCAAAAUCUUGAAGUAUUUAGCUUUGAAGAAUUUCCUCCUCACCUAACAUAAUAUCAUACACAAUAUUGAUUAUUGAUUAUUUAUCUAAAUAUAUAAAUUUGACAAUCCUAAAAAUAUUUUAUUUAGUAUUAGGGAUCCUAAUUAAUUUCUCAUGUUAAUAUUAUUACCAUCCAAUAUUAUUUUCAACUUCCUAAACAAUAAUUUAUUUCUCUUCUCUAACUUAUCUAAAUUAAAUCUUUUAAGAAUAUUUAUUUGCAUUAAACAUUAUUACUAUUAUUUAAAUCUCCUACUAAAACUUAACAAAUACCCCAUGCAAUUCUUUAUUUUUUUCCCAACAACUCCACACCAACUCCAUUCAUUAUUAUUAUUUCUUUUAUUAUUAUUAUUAUUAUUAUUAUUACUAAUUUCAAUACCCAAUAACACCUUAACCUAUUUCUCUUCCAAGCCAUCAACGUCCUUUUCUUCCUCAUCGUUUACCAAAAUACUAUUUACUUCCUUUCCUAGGUCAACGUGCUGACCAAUCCUUAGUUUUUUUUUUUUCAACAUGCCAAAUCCUUCCUACCUACAUGCAUCUUUCAUCAUUUUUUUCUCCUCUCUAAGGUCAAAACUUUUAAUCUCCAUACUCACAAAUUUUAUGUAAUUUUCACAUCUGAAACUAUAUAUAUAUAUAUAUAUAUAUAUAUCUAGAUCUAUUCGUUUGAGUAAUCAAAAUUUGUCGAUCUCCAUUAAUAAAUCAAACUAUGUUCAUAUUUUUUUUAUCUUUUUGACCUAGAAAUUAAUUAAAUGAACUCUAAUCAAAAUUGAAAUAUUCCAAAGAAUAUCUAAAGUGUUCAAAACUAAUUAACAAAUAUAAAAUAUUAAUUUAAGGAUUAAAAAUCUUACUUGAAAAAUUGAUCUUCAAAUCAUAAACCUCCAAAUCUUCAACCGUAUGCUCUCUAAUAUUUCAAAUCUUUAUGUAAAAGGGUUUUCUGAAUAGAGAGGAUGGGAAAAAUCUAAUUUAUACCUAGGAGUUUUAAAUACAAAAAGACCUUUUUACCUUUAUUAAAUUACUUAAUUUAAUUAUUAAUUUCUAAAUUAUGAUUUUACCCCUAAAUUGGGUUUAGGGCAUUACAUUCACACUGUUCCCACUCUUGCAAAGGUUGCACACCUGAGAAAACUCCUUCCAAUGAUUUGUACACUCACCAAAGUAAUGCAAGCAUCUAAGCCUUAAGUCAUCAUCUAUACUAUCAAUUCUCCCAUACCGAUUGCAUUGAAAGCCAAGUGCAGCCACCAACUCCAAGCUGACAAGUCAAGUACAAGAAAGAUGGCUAGUUGACUACAUUGACACAUGAUAUGAUCCCCAACAUGAGCAAGAGGCAGUUCUAGGAGAAUAGUUUGAGCAAUAAGAAUGGAUUACCUAAAGGGAAACCCAUCUAUAAAUAGAGGAUUGUCUGGGCACGCGUGCGCAUACACACACACACACACACACACACAUAUAUAUAAAUAUGUAUGUAUGUAUGUAUGGGGAGAAGAAAAGAAAAGAAAAAAAGAAUGUUGAAGAGUUUGAAUCUUUAAUGGAGAUGAUAUUAACCUUUUUAGGAUUUAGUUAGGAAUUUAUUUUGGUAAUUAAAAUGACAAUUAAUUAUUUGGAUAGGAUUUGUUAGGUAGUUUCCUACUUCUUUCCAUAUAUUUUCCUUAUGUUUGUAGGUUUCCUACAUUAUAUAAAUAGAGGACAUUUUCUCUUCUUUUCUCUAUGAAUGAAUAUAUGACUAGGUAAAAUUAAGCUAUAGGUUUCUUAAUUGUAUCAAAGCCAAAUUCUUAUUACUAGGAAUAAUGGUUAAAAUUACAAUGAUAGGUGCUUCCAAUUAUGAUAACAACUUGAAGGAGGCAGAAAGAAAACCUAUCCCUCAUUAGAAUUUUGUGACCAAUGGUCAUGGUCACUCUUCUUAGCUAAUUACCUCUCACAAACUAACUUAAUGGAGAAAAUUAUCUUGAAUGGUCUCAAUUUGUCUAACCUUUCAUUCGUGGGCAUGGACAAAUUGAAUAUUUUAUUAGAGUAACAUCAAUACCACAAGGAACAAUUCUCAUCGAGACAUAGGAAGUAGAGAAUGCCAUGAUUAUGUCAUGGUUGAUCAACUCAAUGGAACUCAAGAUUAGGAAGACAAACAUGUUCAUGCCCAUAACUAGAGAGAUCUAGGAGGCUACCAAGGAAACCUAUUACAACUUGGUAAUUUGCUCAAGUCCACAAGAUAGCCAUACAAGUAAAAAAUACCAAGCAAGAUAAUAUGAAUGUAAUUCAAUACUAUAAUACACUCAAAACUCUUUGGUAAGAACUUAAUUUGUUCUAUGAUUAUGAAUAACAUUGUGCACAUGAUAGUGAAAUGUUCUAAAAGAUAUGAUUGAGAAGGAUCGAGUAUUUGCAUUCCUAAUGGGGUUUAAAUAAUAAAUUAGAUGAGGUUUAAAGUAGAAUUCUUAGUAGUGAAUAAUUCUAGCAAAAUCUAAUACCUCUUUACUUAACAUUACCCUAGUUGUAAAAAAACAGUAAGCUUCACAUUUCGACCAAUGAUCCAAAAUUCAAAAGUAUUCAUGGAAGGCCCUAGUGUGACCGUCAUCUCCUCUAAAUGCUUCCAGAAUUCAAAAUAUUCAUUGACAAGUGAUUAACCAUCAUCUUUUCCAAAUGCAUCUUUAGAUGUCAUAUACCCAAAGGUGUUCAAAUUCACAAGAUAUUGACCAAGUCUAGAUAUUAAGAAGGUAUAUGAUCCUCUACCAUUAGAAAGAAUAAGAUACAUUAUCCUCUACUAGUGAAAGCACAUAUGUCAUCAUAUCAACAAAUCAAGCAUGCGUGCAAAUCUAUCUUCUUGGUCUUCUAAUUGUGGUCAAGCAAGUAUUAAUGAAGUACUUAAUUUGAAGCAUCUCUUUAUCAUCUAUAGUGGUUGUAGUUGCUAAUCCAAUAAUUGUACUCCUUUAAAAGUGGUACAAAUUAUUCUUCCUUAUUCCUUGCAUCACGACAAGUUUACUUGGCAUAACUUUCAAAAUCCCAUCUUUUAUAGUAACAAUAUUGAACCCUAUGGGUUCUAAUACUCCAAUUGAGAUGAGACACUUAUUCAUACUAGGAACAUACCAAACAUCACUCAAAAUUUUAGUUGAUUCAUCGUGAGUCUUCAACUGGAUGGUAUUUAUUAUUGUUAUCUCAUAAGCAUUAUCAUUCCCCAUGUAAAUAACUCCAUCUUGUAGUUCUUCAAAGCAAGAAAACCACUCCUUGUAGGAAUGCGUGUCAAGGUGGACCCAAUAUCCAAAAUCCAUUCAACUAAGUUAUAAAACAAGGAUAAGCAAACCAAAGCAAAGUUUGACCCAUCUUUUCCAAACUUAGCCACACAAGCAUCGAAUACUAUUUCUUCUUUAUUCUUAUUCUGUAGCUUAGGACAAUCAUUAUUUUGACACUACCAAAACUUAAGUAUGGUUGACCCAUUUACAUUUAAUUUUCUAACAUAUUUAAGCUGACGGAAAUUUAUAAUACACCUAUUCCAUCGCAAAUUGAAUUGUCCGUCACUUAUAUGUAACUAUUUACCAACAGUAAUUGCAACAACAAAUACUUGUCGGCAAAAAUAUUAUUGCAAUGGAUUUAAACCAUUGCAAAUGUUCAACUAAUAUACUUUGUCACAAGAGCAAUUUACCUAUAAAAUAGAAAAAUAAAAAACAAACUUUCAAAAAUAAUUUUUUCUAUGAAAAUUACUACUCACUAAAACAGUUUUAUUAUAGUGGAUAAUAAUACCACACAUAAUUUGUUCCAAAAAUAAUUGUAGUUAUAUGAAUAUAAAAUCUUUUCACCAUGGUUUUAUGAUAAAUACGAUCUAGCUAGUGACAAAACAAUUUUAUGAUUAUUUUUUAGGUUCAUACAAUAUUUACAUUUUUUUUAAUCAUAAUAGUUUUAACUACUUUUUAUUGUCCAUUUUAGAAAGAAAUAAAUUAAAAAUUAUUGACAUAUAUAUAUAUAUAUAUAUAUAUAUAUAUAUAUAUAUAUGUAUGUAUGAUAUAAUUUAUGAUAUCGAAUAAUAAUAUUUAAAAUUUAAAAAUAUAUUUUAUAGAGAUUUAUCUAAUUUGAAUGUAUUCAAUAACAUAAAAAAAUGAUAGUACAUGUAUAAGUAUUUUUAUUUUAAAAUGUUGAUAAUUUUAUUUAUAAAUUUAUAUUUAAUUAUUAUACAAAAUAAACAAGAAUCAAAAUUAAUUAAUUUAUAAUAAUUUUAUUUUAACUAAUUUAUAAUUUAUAUAUAUAUAUAUAUAUAUAUAUAUAUUAAUUCAUGCAUGUAUAAUUUAUAUAUAAUAUGUAUUUAUAUAUAGAUAAUAUUUAUAAUAUAAAUGCAUAAGUAUAUAAUAUUUACAUUUAUGAAUCUCAUAUACAUUCUUUAUAUUACACAUAAAUAAGAUGACUUGGUGGCAUAGUUGCUUCCUUUCAAACUUGAGGUCAAGGGUUCAAUCUCAAGAAACAACAUCCAAGUCAAUAUCCAAAAUUAGCAAGGAGAGGAGUGUACAAGAUGCUCCAUGUGAAUGUAAUGAAAUCGAAAUUUCAUGACAACCUAAAAUCUUUUAUUAUUUAUAUUUCUCAACCAACUUAAUUUGUUGGUAAUAGUGAUGGUCUAAAUCCAUUGGAUAGUUUGUCACUAAAUAUUUUUUAUUGGCAACGGAAAAUUCCCAUCAAUGGACUUUUGCCAACACACCUUUCCUCGACUACCAUGCGAUGGGAUUAUUGAUUGGUAAAUAUUUAUUUCGACUGUGUAUAUUAGUUGAGAAAAGUCAAAUUUCUUGUAGUGCGGUGACCCUUGUCAUGAAAAAAGACGCAUUCAUCUUUUGCAAGUAUACAUUUAAAUUAAGAAUUGUCUUCUUUUCUAAGUUUUCAACUUUGAGAUUAGUCAUUAACUGUUAAAGCUUCCAAUGAUAUAUCUCUAUGAUCGCUUUGGUCCUUCUUCCUUUAUUCAUAUAUUUGUCCUCCAAUGUCUUCCAUAAAUGUUUUUGUGGAUAUCUCUUUCAUAAUGGAAUAAUUUUAAGCUUUAACAAGAUAUAAGUGGAUGGAACUAUAAAAUUGACAAUUGAUCCCUUACCCAUUCUUUAUCAUUCAUGUUUUCAAGUUUUUCUUCCAAAACAAUAUCCAAAUCCUAUUGACAUAUCUAAUUAAUGCCUCUUACUGCCACAUUCCAAAAGUACUAGUCCUAUCAAAUUUAUCUAUUAUAAAUUUUGCAUUAGUAACCAUAGUUUUAACUAACGAAGUUUUUACCUUUUCUUUUAACUAGUGCAAUAAAAAAUAAUCUUGAACUAAUCUUGAAACCAACCUUGGAUAGAACUAAUGCUCUUAUACCAUUUUGUUGUGCUUUAACCUAAUCCCACAUGCAAGACUUCCAAAAGUACCAAAUAAAAUACAAACUAAACUAGUCCAUAAUAUAAAGAGAAAUAUCAAGAGAAAUAAAAAUAAAGGAGGGUACACAAUAUUUAUGAGGUUUAGUAACGAUGUCUUACCUAUUUCACCGAACAAUGAUGAUCAAUCUACUAAUCUUCAAAUCAAAAUUACAAAAUCAAGUUGUGAAAGAUUGUCUCACAAAGUGGCUGCAAUUACAAAGAUUGACUGAAGCUACUCUAACAACUUUGCUAAAGUCAUUCUUACACUACUAUGAUGAAAAGACUUAAGACUCAUUUAUAGAACCUAAAUAAGUCCUCGAGCCUUGACAAAACUAAUUCAUAGUUCCUAUGGGACAAGGACUCCUAACAUAUAACAAAUUAUGAAAUCAUAAUCCUUAUAGGACAAGGAUCCCUAAAAUAUAUUAAACUCUUAAUUAAGCUAAAAGCCAGUACCUAAUAUAGAACCUAUACCAUAUUUGCUAUAACUCUACUAAGUAGAUGGUUGUUAAGAAGUAUUAUCACUUUCAAAAGUUAAAUAAUCAUUUAUUUUUCCUUCCCUUUCCACUUUUCUUAUCAUCCAGACAACAACAGUAAAAAAUGUAGUGUAACUUUUGUUACUUUGCUACUUGUUCUCUCAACUUACUUGCUUGCUUGUGAAUGACCUCCAUAAUCAAAGUAAAUGGAGAAAAAAUGUGGAGUUCCAAGAUAUAGGUAGAAAAGAGUGGAAAAAACCUUAGUUCUAUAAAAUAGUUUGCAAUUUUGUCUCUAGAUCUCUCAUUUUCGUGGUAAUGGCCAUUGAAGAUGUCAUCACUGAGAAGAUCACAAAGUGAAGAAGGCAUGACUGAGGGUUGGUAGUAUAGAGAGUUAAGGUAGAAAAUAGCAAAGAUAGGAUUUUGACGUUUUUAGAAUUUGUAAAUAAAAAAUAAAUACAAUCCAAAAAUCACUUUUAGAACAUGAUUUUACCUAACCAUGCCAAACAUAUUUUUUGUUAUGUGGAUUGUAUUUGAUGUUCUCAAAAACAUUGAAUACAUUUUGGAUUGACUAUUAAACACGACCUUAGUAAUUAAAUUAGCAUAUUGAUAAAUUAUCAAGAGGCUCUUAUCAAUUUGGUCAACUCUUAGAAAAGUGUUGUUGAAAACACUAAAUACAAUCUAUAUAUAUAUAUAAAAAAAUGAAACAUGAAUUUACUUGACCAUACCAAACACAUUAUUUUUUAUUUGGAUUGUGUUCAGUAUUUUCAAAAACACUAAAUACAUGCAGUUUGAUUGACUACUGAACAUGAACUUAGUAAUUAAAUUAGAAAUUUCAAAUGAAUUAAUGUCUUCUAUUUUGCAAGCAAGUCAAGAUUUUAUGUUUUCUACUAAAAUUUUAAAUGCAUCACUAAAAGUAACAUCACCACUUUCUAGUUAUAAAGUUUUGAGAAGAUAUUUUUUAUCAACACAUAUAGUUGUUUGCUUUCAUGUCAAGAUACCAAAUACUUUUUUCGUAAAAUUUUUCCUUUUUAUGCAACUAAUAAAGUGGGGUUUUUUUCUUGAUUCAUUUUUUAACAUAGUUUUCCAUUCUACACUGUUAAUAUACCAACACUUUUCAUUUUUUCUUGAAUUUUGGAUGUUCCUUCAUUGUAUGAUGGACAAUUUCCUUAGCCACAACCAUGAUGACCAUGACCAUGACAAUGAUUAUUUUGGCUUCCUUCAUACCAAAUUUUUUUCCCCUCUUGUUGAUAUAUUAAACUAUGUUGACAAUUUUCUUUUAUUUAUAUAGUGAGUCUAAUACAUCAUACUUCCAAGGGUCAUAUUGAUGUCACUCAACUUCAAGCUACUUUUGAGUUAACUAUAUUACAAGGUAUAUGUGCAACAUUAGGUUGAAUUAAGGCACAAGGAAUGGCUACCACAUGUAUGCUAGGUGAAAUAUUAGAGUUUUUUUUUUUUUUUUUGUCAAGGAUAAGGAUUUGAGUAACUAAAGCCUCAAUAAAGUCUUUAAGAUAUCCAUUAAGGAACACAAGGAGUGUUGCAUGGGGGCGUGGAAGAAGAAUAUAAGUUAUGUGUAUCUUGUCUUUAUAUUUAGUAGAUUGUUUGUGGUUGAUAAACUAUUCAUGUAAUGACCUGCUCCCAACCGUGUAGAUAUUGUCCACUUUGGACCUAAAGGGGCCCUCACGGCUUUAAAAUGCCUUUAUAGAGUUAAGAUAAGUCCAUACUUAUAUAGCGCUAAGAAAUUUCCCCCCUAUUUGAUGUGGGAUGUUAGAAACACCCCCUUCCCUAUGUAGACACAACGUCCUCGUUGUGUCCUAUGGGAUUGUAGGGCCAAACAAAUGAACACCCCUACAAGGCCAAACAAACCCUCAAACCGAGGUUGAAGAUCGGCUUUGAUACCAUUUGUAACAACCCAUUCCCAGCCAUGUAGAUAUUGUUCGCUUUAGGCCUAAAGGGGCCCUUACGACUUUAAAACACAUCUACGAAGUUAAGAAAAGUCCAUACUUAUAUAGCGCCAAGAACUUCCCCCCUAUCCAAUGUGGGAUGUCACAAACACCCCCAUCCCCCACCCCAUUAUAUAAAUAUAUUAUUAUUAUUAUUAUUAUUAUCAUUACUUUCAAAAAACCCUACAACACCAUUACUCCAAGCCACCAACUACACUCAUUAUUAUUAUUAUAAUAAUAACACUUUUUUUUUCUUUUGUUUCUUCCUUCAUAGACGUCCACAUGCAUUUUUUUUUUCUUUUUAGUUUGUUUGUGACAUCCCACAUCAGAUAGAGGGAAAGUUCUUGGCGUUAUAUAAGUAUGGACUCCUCGUAACCCUGUAGACGUGUUUUAAAGUCGUGACGGCCCCUUUGGAUUCAAAAUGGACAAUAUCUACAUGAUUGGGAGCGGGUUGUUACAAAUGGUAUCAAAGUCGAUCCCCAACCUCGGUGAGGGGUUUGUUUGGCCCUGUAAGGGUGUUUGUAUGUUUAAACCCACAAUCCCGUGGGACACAACGAGGACGUUGUGUCUGCAUGGGUGUUGUUUGUGACAUCCCACAUCAAAUAGGGGAGAAAGUUCUUGGCGCUAUAUAAGUAUGGACUCCUCAUAACCCUGUAGACGCAUUUUCAAAUUGUGAGGGCCUAUUUGGGUCCAAAGAGGACAAUAUCUACACGGUUGGGAGCGGGUCGUUACAUACACAUAAAUUUCAUGAAAGUCUUGCAACAUAUAAGGGGUAGGCCUUGAAGUUACAGUGAUAAUUUAUUCCACUAAAAAAUUUGAUCUCUACAUUGAUAUCAAAUUUUUUUUUUUUUUUGGGAGUAAUAGGGAUAAAUACACAAAUAAUAGUACUAUUAAAAGAGAUAAGUAGAUGAGGAAAUUAAAAGAAAUUUAUUGUGUUUUAAUACAUUAAUUGAAGUAUUAUAUACACAACUCCAAUUACAAUAUGUUUUAAUACACUUUUAAAAACCAAAUCAAAUGUAAUUUUUGAAAACUUCUUGAAACUCAAAUUUAGAUUUCAACGUGUGAUUGAAUGAUAGGGAUGAAAAAAAAUAGGUAAAUAAAACAUAUGUAAUAUUAUUGUAUAUUAUUAAUCGCUUCCAUACCAUUAGCAUAUCAAUGGCAUCUUGCUAAGAAGAAGAACCACCACAACAAUCCAUUAUAAUAGUUUCGGAAUGAAUGACAUUUAUUUGUUUGUAUUCUAUUGUUUUUCUAUUUACGUCAUAUUCACAUGAAUUGACUUUUUGUUUAGAGUAGUGUUUUAGUAGAGUAUUCGUAGUACACCUAGAUAUCUUUCUAUGCUAUCAUAAAGUAGCUGAUUGCCCAUGAUUAUGCAAUGCCAUCAUAAAGGAACUGAAUGGCCAACACACGUACAUGUGAGGUACCAUAUUUUUUAAGAAAGACAAGUCAGUUUGCAAUUGAUGUUAAUAUCUUUCCAAGGCAGAAACAUCAUUUUGUAGGUAUAAUUGAAUUAGUUAAACUCAAACCCCAAUUGACAUUCUUUCAAGUAAAAUCAUUUUUAACCUAUAAUGCUCAACACUUUUAUGAGAAUCAUAAAAGUAUCAGAAUCAUAGAGAAUUAUUGAAAGUGAUUUUGUAGUGUUGUUGAUAAUAUGUCACAUGACUAUAAAAAUGCUUUUAAUAUUAGCAAAUUAUAAAAAAGGACAUCAAAUUUAAUUACAAGGAAAUAUUAUAAUAAACUAAUACUUUUUCGUGAUAAAAGAAUAUAUAAACAUUUAUAGUAAAAGAAUAUAUAAACAUCUAUAUUACUAACAAAAACUAAAAAAUAAUAGUUCUUGUGAUUACAAGAAAAUUUUAGAAAAUAUUUACAACAUGAUUUGGAUUAAUAAACAAACAUCAAUAAUAAUAUAAUAAUUUUUAAAACAAAAAAAAUCAUUUGAUUAUUUAUUCACUUAAAAAUAAUAAUUUUUAUUACUACAAAAUUUUGAAAAAUACUUACUAAAAAUCUAGAUUAAUAAUGAAAAAUUGAAUAAAAACAUAUUAGUUUAGUUUCUAAAAAAAAAAAAAUAGUAAUUGAAAGCAAAUGAGAAAACAAAUUCUCUCAUAGUAAAAAAAUGAGAAAAUUAUAUAUAUUUUUUUCAUAUUAGUGUUAUAAUAAAACAUCAACAAGAUAUAAAACGACUAGCAAUUCGAUCACGUUUUUCUUACAUCUCUCUUGCAUGAUAGAACCAUCUUUCUCAACUCAUGAAUCCACUCUACUCUUUUUUUUUUUUUUUAUUGAAACAGAUGUAACCCUUGAUCAUCAUCAUAAGGUUUAAAUUUCAUAUAUAUCCUAACAUUAAUCAUUAUUAAGUUGUAAAAACCAUCAAAGUAAUAACAGUGUUGACUUAUUUUUCAAGAGGAAAACUAUGCAUUUCUCAUAUUGUUCCACAUCUAUUCUUUAAAAAGGCAAAUGUUCAAUUGUUCUUCUCAAAGAUGUCUAUGGUUAAAUAUUUCCUUCUUACCUCUUGGUAAACUACUCUAUCGAAAUCUAAAAGAUGGUAACACUCGCCCUUUAAGGGCCUAAUUAUAUAUCCACUCAUUUAAGGAUAACCAACAUUGAGUAAAUAAUAUUUACCUACAAAAAAAAAAUUAAAAUUAUAUAAGAUUAUGAAAAUCUAAUCACAAAAGUAACUUUCAUAUUUUUAGUCACAAAUCUCUAGAAGGAUGAGGAAAACCCAAUUCUAGCAUUUUUUUUUAAUGCCUAUGAAAAGACGCAUACAUCAUGAGCAAAACCUUCCCAUCUAGCCAAUGCAAAUGUGAAAUACAUAUUGAAAUAAUAUAUGACCAUAAUAUUUUAGGUAGUUAUGCUUUUUGUACCAAUAUAUGAUAUUUGCCUAUCUAUAAAAACCAUAAUGGGCAUAUGAGUUCCAUCAAUUAACCCUGUACAAUUCUUAAAAUAUUGCCAAUAACGUCUAACAUUUCUUAUUUUAUCAAGGAUCUCCCUAAACUAUGAAUCACUUGGUUUUAUAUAUCCAUAGCUAUAAGAUAAACAACAUAUAAUAUAAUCUCAAACCAUCUAGAAAUAAAUUCAUUGGAGUGAUAAAAUCUUUCUUAGGUUGUCAUGUUGCCAAGUUUAUGGCCAAUUGUAGUGAGAAACAUUGCUAAAGCCUCUAUUAAGGGAAUAUCUAAACCUUCUCUUAGACCAUGCCUUUUAAUAAGUGUUUCCAAUAAUUAAUGCAUACAUGUUUUUCCAUUCUAAAUUGCUCAACUAUAAUUUUGAAAAAGUUCUACAAGGUUUUUAUUUUUUGUAGUUAGUAACUGUUAUAGGUAUAACACAUCCAACCAACACCAAUUGAUAAAAAUCAUUUCAUCACUGCGUUCAUCUUUAAUAUCAUGAUUGCAACUAUUAUUAUAAUUAGAAAACAUAAAUACAAAAAGUAAAAAUAAGAAAUACAUUAAAAAAACUAAUAAUGUAUAUUAUGUUAAUAUAGCUUAAACUAAUGCAUGUUUACUAAAAUAAAAGGAUUUUUUAUUUAAAAAUUUAUUUGAACAUGCAAAAUCAAGAGUAGUAGUAGUAUGCAAAAUAAUAGCACUGAAAAGUAGUAAGAGUAGAAAUACAUGUAAUCGUAUAAUUCUAUUUUUCCAUAAUAAUAAUAAUAAUAAUCUAGCUCAUGUGGGUCACCCUAGGAUAGGACUCCUCCCAUAACACCCCUAUUUUCAAUCCAUUUAUAUUCUUAAUAGUUUGACUAAAUAAAAUUUUAAAUUCAAAAGUGUUGUAUUGAGAAAUCAAAUACAUUAUAAAGCUCAUCUAAUUAGGAACUUGACUGAGACAAAAUUUUAGAUUCAAAGGUGUUGUGUUGUGAAAUCAAAUACAUUAUAAAGCUCAUCUAAUAGUCACAACUUUUAGAGAAAGAAACAAUUAAAUAUACCAUGUGAUAGACAUAUAUGUCUUCCUCACUCAAAAAGUUUACUCAAUACCAACAUACAAAUCUUAUUUAAAACAAUAUUAGGUAGCAAAAUAUGUUUCAACAUUAGAAUAAGAAAUAACUCAAAUAGUGAAACAUAUUUAUGCUUAUUUCAUGCAAUUUGAUCAAUUGAGUUUUCUAAUGCUAGAAACAGCUCCUUAUUUCCCUUGACAACUUGAAUAAUACAAUUUAAGGUCAUUCUUCACUUCAAGCAUGCCACAUAUAACUUUUAUUACUUUAACAAUAGCCAGGCUUAUCUACUCUAGAUGUAACUUUAAAAAUGGCCUCUAACUGCAUAGUCAAAAAACAAGAUUUGGUUCCAUCUCUUAUCUUCUUUCUUAUUCUCUCAUUUUGCUAUGAAAUUUAUUUCCUUGGGGUUCUCCUACAAAAGUAUUCAAUUUAUUAUAUUUCACGACCAAAAUAUAAAUUAACCAAAUAAACUUAGUAAAUAAAUAAAAAUGUAUCAUCAAUUUAUUAUCCCACCAUUCAUUUUUAGCAUUAGUGGUUUCUCAUAGGAUCCCACCCAAGGCCAAUCUUUUUCUGAAUCAAGGCAUUCCAAAGUUGUCAAUCUUUUUUAAGAGAACUUAAUAUAUUCUUAGGUUGCUUGUAUUGGUAGGUUCUUCUAGUUAGAUUGUUGAAUACCUUUAUCAUUUUUUUCCAUCCAAUUUACUAAAGUGACUAUUUGGUCUAUUUUUAGCCAAAAUCUUAGCAACACAAACUGUGAGAUAUGCAUUAACAACAAUAUCAUUCAAUAUACUUUGCUUUAUUUAUCAUUUUCUUUACCACUUGUUUGUUGUAGUGGUUGAACUAUACUACUAGACAUCUAAUAACAAAGUAAAGAACAAAGAAGUAUUAAAAGAAAAUGUUGUCAAUGUACUUUUAUAUUUUAUAGUUUAGACAUCUAAUGAGACCCAUAAAAAAGUGAACCUUAAAGAAAUAGGUCAACUAGAGGAAAAUGAAUCUCAGAAUACUGAAUUGGAAAGACUCACAUUCAUGGAAUAAAUUAAUAUACUAUAUCAUAAUUUUAUUAAUUCUUUUCAUUAGGUUGCUAAAAGUUGAAAAAGAAUUCCUCAUGAAACAAAUUAAAUAAUUUCCUCAUGAAAGAAUCCAAUCAUGGCCUCAUUAUGAAGUAUUGAAUUAACUCAAAGAACUUAAAUAUUAUCUAAUAAAUUUUUUCAUGGGUUUGUUUUUAUAACUUUAAUGUUACCAAUAUAAAAGGAAAUGAAACAUGUUUUAAAUAAUGUAAGAAACUAUGGUAGAAACGUGGAAAGAUUUAAGGAUAAGAGGCUUUAUAUGAACUUUAAUAUUGUUAGUAACAGAGAGGCAAAUGAGAUAUCUCAAUAUUAAAUUAUGCAUAAUUAGUAUAAUUUUUUAAAACUAAAUGGAAGAGAAUUUAGGAGGAAAAUAAGUAAUUAGAGUAUGAGAUAACAUGAAUGGUUAAAAUUGCCAAUCAUUAAAUUUAAGAUAAUUGUUAAUUUUCCAACUCCAUUAAUUAAAGCAAAGAGGGGAAAUGAGUUGGAUUUCUUAAUAGUAUUAAGUGUUGGAUUGACACAAAAUUAGGGUGCUAGUGGACACUUGAAAUGAGGACAAAGUAACAAUUGCAGAUAGCAUUUUACUCAUCUAACAUAGUUAAAAUUUGCAAAACCCACUUCUUAUUUAGUACUUUUAUUGAAUAUAUGGGUAUAGUUUAACUUCGAAUCUAAUAUGAGUGUACUUUGAAUUUCCUAAAGCUUACAUAUAUCUUCACAUAUUAAAUCAAAGAGAAAAUAUUAACGUUUUUUACAAUUACAAUUUAUCAGGACUCAAGGUUUAAUUCCUAAACUUUUAAAGUGGGAAAAAGAAGUGUAAGGGAGAAAAAAGGAAAAGGAAAAGAAAGGAAAAACAAAAAGAAUAAAAAACUAUUAAAAGGCAUUAGAAGCCUAAGAUGGGCAUAUCCAUGAUUUGAGGUGCAAAUAGGGGUGACAAUUCAUGUUGGUGGAUAGUGUUUGUGUUGUGUCAAAGCCUAGGUAUUCUACUACAUAGCUCAACCCAACCCUGAUACUACUUAUAAUCAUAUAAAAAAUAUAAGCCUAAAUACUAUCUAAUUAUUAAACAAGUAACACAUUGUACAACCCGCUUAAUCUAUUUAAUAUUCAGGUCCUGCUAUUUAAUAAUCAAAUUAAGUUAGGUCUUCUAUAUGUCUAUAUGAUUAAUGCCUCAAUAAAAUAUGUUUUUGGCUCAAUUGACCUAUCUAUUUAGAAACAAAUUUAAAAUGAAUCAAAUAUGGGUCAAACAUCUUAAAAAUAUAAGUAAGUUAAUAGCAAGAUUAUUAAAUAGGUUAAUUUGGGUCAAAUUCGUAUUAUGCAGGUUGACCAAAAAAGUACUUAUUUAGUAAAUGAGUUAUGUAAGUCGACACAAAUUUUACCUAAACUCAUUUAUACUUGACCCAAACCCAUGAAAAGCAUGUUAGGCUUGUAUCAUGCUAGGAAUUGUAUCAAACUUUGUCAUUCCUAGGUGCAAACAACUCCAAGACCCUACUUUUAAGGAGAAUAUAUAUACUUGAGAUUGCUACAUGAUUACUACUCAAAAUGUGCACUUUUAUAAGCUUAAACUUAAUUGUACUAAGCACUUUUGAGUAGUAGUUAGACCUUUUUAUCCCAAUUGUCAUGUUAAGGACCUAGAAAAUGUUACUAACCAAUUUCUAGUAAGUUUUAGUGUUUUUGGUAGUUUUUUUAUCACUGAAGCAGGCCAAGAUUGAGGGAGAUUUUUGUGCAAGCUAUGGCAAGGCAAGUUAAAUAUCAAUCACAUGAAGAAUCCGAGCUUCGGAGCACUUCAAAACCCUUGCCAAACUUGGAAAGGGAUUGGAAAAGUUAUCAGUAGUAAGAUGGAGGAAAACAGAGCAUUUUGCAAGGCAAAAUCAUCAAUUUUGUAAGGCAGGGUGUGCCAAACUUUUGCAAGGUGUGCCAAAAUUUCGCAGGGUGUGCAAAAAUCAUUUUGUGCGCACCGACCUUCUGGAUUUUUCUCCAUAAUUGUAAUUGUUCCUUUUUACUCCUUUUGUAAUAGAUAAAAGACAUUAGGGUUUGUUUAGGAACUAUAAAUAGGGGUUCGAAAGCCUCUCAAAUGAUGUGAGAUAUUAUGUUUUAGAUAUUUUGUAAAGGAGUUUUGAAGGAAAUAUAUGGAAGUUUUUCUCGGCCUUUCCUUCUCAUUUUCUUUUCAUAUUCUCUCUAGCCAAACACCCUCUGAGGAUGAUUUCUCAGAGGAUGAGUGGCUAAGUUUCAAGUUUCUUGGAGUGAUGGAAGCUAGGUAAAGGACCUAGAUGCAAAGGUGGGAGUUUUCCUUACUUUAAAUGAAGGUAGUUGUGUAUCAUUAAUGGUUUAUAUUUCAAGUUUCAGCUUUAAUCCCUUAGAAUCACCUUGAAUGGCCAAUACUUGGUAAGCUUUUAAGAUUCUGUGGAUGCUUAUUGCUAGAUCCAUGGAUGUCCAUUAUUAUCAAGUACGAGCCAUUGGAAGAUGGUUCAAGGUGAGAGUCUUUAGUGUUUGAAGCCAUUAAUGGGAAGCAACUACCAUUUUUCAAUAACCCUUUGGAUCAAAACUUAUUUGCUAAAUACAAAUCCGGUUCGGGAGAUAACCAUCCUUUAUGUUAUUGUCCCCAAUCCGAGGAGAAGAUUCGGAAUUUCCCACUUUGCAACAGGAACCUGAUCCUAGUAACCUAUAGCUCCAAGAGACUUUCUCUUUGUAGUAAUUUCAAUUGUUUAUGUUUGCUUAACUUAAAACCAACCCUUCCAAUCAAUCUUAUUUUCAUUUAAAAACUAAAUUCCAAAAAGGAAAUCGUCAUUUCUUCUUUCAUUAAUGUUAAGUGUACAAAGAAAACCCAUCAUUGUGGACGAUCGUAGAGCCACUAUACUAUAGUAGCUUUGUCUUUGCUACCCUAGUAUAAGGUGUUGUAGUUUUUAUAAAUGUUUUGAUAAACACCCGGCUGGGCAUGAAUCACUACAUUAUUUAGACUAAUCCACACCUACUUAUUAAGGGAAAAAAAUAAAAGAGGACAAAGGUAGGGCACAAGAUGAUGAGACAAGGCACAAAAUGAUAAGACGUAGGAUGAUAAGAAUCCACUUCAAUUAAUAUUUCCCUAAAUCAAGAGUAAUCAAAUAUUAAAAUAUUUUAUUCUCCUAAUUUAGGAUAUAAUAUUUAUUCUAAAUAAAUCAAGAGCAAUCAAAUAUUAAUAAUAUUUUAUUCUCUUAAUUUAAGAAAUAAUAUUUAUUUUCCUUAAUUAUAGGAUAUUUAUUAUUUAUUUCUUCUAUAAUUCACAAUGCAUUCUUGUAUAAAUUUAUGAAAAGAAAUAAUAAAAAUUCAUCGCUUCUAUUAUCAAAUUAUCAAAUUCUUCUUGGUAUUAGAGAUAGAGGAGGAGACUCAAACUUGGGUUUUCUCCGAAGGUGGUUGAAUACCCUAAAAGACUUGACCUAUCCACACAAACAAUGUCUUCCUCUUCAUUCAUUCAAAAAUAAAAUAAAAUAAAAUAAAAUCCUUAGUGCUCUAGCUUUCCAUCAACAUUUUUUCUAAUUUGAUUUCAUUCAAGCUAAACACAACAAAUUUUCUACUAUGGGGAAAUCAAAUCAUCCUCUCAGCUUGUGGUUUCCGUGUUCAAACCUUUCAUCAAUGUUUUACCCUUUCAUUGGUGUUAUUUCUAGUUUGAUUUCAAUCAAGUUAAACACCAUAAAUUUUCUACUAUGGCAAAAUCAAGUCAUCCUCUUAGUUCAUGGUGUGUUCUCUGACAUUUCUUAGGUGGAGAAAAACCUGCUAAAGAAUUAAAGAUGAUGAGGAAAGCAAAAUUUUUAUCCUACAAUACUAGUAAUCAAUUAAUAAUAACAUAUUUGUCACUUCAUGAGUUAUCGAAACCAUGACAAAAGACAUUUUCAUUAUGAUCCUUGGGGCUAACAAGAUAUAUAAGGUAUAAACUUUUCUUAAGGAGUAAUCGCUUCCUAUUAUAGUUGAAAAAAAAAUGAUAUCUUCAAGAAUAGUUAAGAGAUAUAAACAAUAUAUAUUAUAAUCUCAUGAAAAUCAAAAGCUAAUUUCAGACCAAUACAAAGUUUGUUGAUUCACUCAUGGUUUAGGAUAAUGGAAUGAUUUUUUUUUUUAACCUACUAUGCUUUUCUAACCAAUUCAUGGCAACUCUUUAGGGACAUAAGCAAUCACUCACUACCAAAGGGAUGGAAAGAAAAUUUUUAUAGAGUAUUCACAAAUUUUUAUUUGGACAACAUAGUUAUGGUCAUAAUGGUUGAAAAGGCAUAAAUUUUAAUUUGAGGGGAAGAAGCUUUACACUUUCUAUGUAUUACAAUUCUUUAAAAAAAAUAAACUUUUAUGAUUUUAUGAAGUCCUUGUCAAAGGAUAUCUUCAUCAUGUUUUGAGAUAAGCUGGGGUGUGCAUAUUCUUUUCGACUCCAAUUUGAGCUUGCAUAUUAAGGGAAAUAAUAAAAUAAGAUAAAAAGCACAUAGGAUUGCAACAUGUAGGAUGAUAAAAAUCCGAUUCAAUUAAUAUUUCCAUAAAUCAAGAGUAAUCAAAUAUUAAAAUAUUUGAUUCUCCUAAUUUAGGAUAUAAUAUUUAUUUUAAAUAAAUAAUGAACAAUCAAAUAAUAAUAAUAUUUUAUUCUCUUAAUUUAGGAAAUAAUAUUUAUUUUCCUUAAUUUUAGUAUACUUGUUAUUUAUUUCUUUGUAUAAUUCAAAAUGCAUUCUUGUAUAAAUUUUCUAAAAGAAACAAUAAAAUUCAUCAUUUUCACUACCAAAUUAUCAAAUCCUUUACUAAUGACCUUAUGAUUAAAAUCUUGUUUGUUUGGUAAGUGUUAAGCAAAAUGCCUUAGUAGCUACAAACAUUAUGGAAGACGUGUGAAAGUUGUUGUGAACUGAGGAAGCUUAAGAAUCUGUUAAGAAGGUUGCUGAGGUGUGAAGAGAUGUUGAAAUUGAGGCUGCAACCAUAAAACAACUUAGUCAAUGAAGUUGUUAUGCUAUUGUUGCUGUUGUUGUUAAAAUCUUGUUUCAUGGAGUUGUUAUGUUGUUGUUGUUAAAAUCUUGUUUCAUGGAGUUUUUAUGCUGUUGUUGCUAUUAUAUAGGAAAUAAUUGUUAGUUCCAACUAUUUUUGCUACUUUUCUAUUGUUUUCUGUUGCAAAUUUGUGUAUAAAUGUUGCAUUGAUCAUUCAACAAGAGUAGACAUUUUCGUUGUCUCAAAUACAACUUUUGGUUGUUACUUCCAACAUUUCUAGAUUCUAAAACCUAUAGAUUAGUAUCAGAGCCUUCAAUGUUGAGGAACAUGUGAGGAUUGAGUGAAGCCAAAAUACCUUCACACAUACUGAAACUCCAAAGCCAACAUAAACACACAACCUUUGACAGGUUGUAACUAUCAUUCUACAACAAAUGGAUGGAGAUACAAGCUUUCUGUUAGUACCAGUUUUCAAUGGUGAUAAUUAUCAGGCGUGGGCUAUUAGAAUGACAGUCCACCUUGAAGCUUUGGAUCUUUGGGAAGUAGUAGAAGAAGAUUAUGAAGUACCACCACUUGGAGACAAUCCAAGUAUCAAUCAAAUGAAGAUUCACAGGGAAAUAAAAACAAGGAAAGCCAAAGCCAAGGCUUGCCUCUUCUUUGCAGUUUCACCUUCUAUUCUCACCAGAAUCAUGCAAAUAGAGUUUUUUAUAGCAAUCCGGGAGUAUCUAAAAAAUGAGUAUUGGGGGAAUGAAAGGGUGUAGAAUAUGCAGGUAAUGAAUUUAAUAUGAGAAUUUGGAAUGAGCAGAAUGAAAAAGUCUCUAACUAUCAAAGAUUAUGUUGAACAACUGCUUAGCAUAGCAAACAAGGUAAGAUUGUAUGGUAAGGAAUUUUCUGAUGAAAGAAUUGUUAAGAAAAUCUUAGGAACUCUGCCUGAAAAAAUAUGAAGCCACAAUCUCUUCCUUGGAAAACUCUAAAGAUCUGUCAAGUAUAUCUUUGGUAGAAAUUGUUAAUGCUUUGCAGGCCUUGGAACAAAGGAGAAUGAUGAGACAAGAAGGAUAUGUUGAGGGAGCAUUCUAAGCCAAAUCAAAGAACAAUGAUUCCAGCAAAGACAGAAAGAAAAACAAGAAAUAGAAGUCAAGCAAUAACAAAAUGAAUCAGAAAGGAGCUGAUCCACCUUGCCCUUAUUACAAAAAAACAAAUCAUCCUCCACAAAAGUGUUGGUGGAGGCCAAAUGUCAAGAGCAACAAUUAUGGUCAAUUAGGCCAUAUGGAGGAGGUAUGCAAAAAAAAAAAAAAAAAAAAAAACAAACAAGGAGAGAUCAAGGCUACAAUUGUUGAUCAAUAUCACGAAGAACAAUUGUUUGUUGCCACCUGUUUUUCCAGCAAAAACAUGUUUGAAAGUUGGCUCAUAGAUAGUGGUUGCACAAACCACAUGACUUAUGAUCAAGGACUUUUUAGGGAACUCGAUAAAAUAACCGUUUCCAAAGUAAGAAUUGGAAAUGGGGAAUACAUCUCAGCAAGGGGCAAAGAGGUUGUUGCCAUUGAAAGUCUCUCAGGUUUGAAACUUAUCCCCGAUGUUUUGUUUGUUCCUAAUAUUGAUCAAAAUAUCUUGAGUAUUGGGCAGCUACUUGAGAAAGGUUUCAAGGUGCUAUUUGAGGACAAGUUCUGUAUGAUUAAGGAUGCAAAUGGAAAAAAUGUGUUCUAGAUCAAGAUGAGAGGCAAAACCUUUGCCUUGAAUCUGCUUGAGAAAGAGUAGGUUGUUAUUUCUCAAGAAAAUAAUGUCACAAUUUUAUGGCAUAAGAGAUUGGGGCACUUUCAUCAUAAUGGAGUGCUCUACAUGAAGAAUAAUCAACUUACAGUAGGUCUACUUGACCUAAAGCAAAAUCUUCCUACUUGCAUAGCCUGUCAGUAUAGAAAACAAUCCAGACUUCCUUUCCCAUAGAAAUCUACAUAGAGAUCAUCACACAUGCUGCAACUUGUACACAUUGAUGUUGGAGGACCUCAGAGAACACCAUCUCUAAAGGGCAGUAAGUACUACAUUGCCUUUAUAGAUGAUUACACCAGAUAUUGUUGGAUUUUUUUCCUAAAUUUUAAAUCUGAGGUUGCUGAUGUAUUUUGGAAGUACAAGGCCCUAGUAGAAAACCAAAGUGGUGUCGUCUUGUAGGUUAUAAGGACAGAUAAUGACACUGAAUAUACUUCUGAAAUAUCCAACAAUUUCUAUGAAGAAGUAGGCAUAAAGCACCAACUGACUACACUUUACAGACCACAACAGAAUGGAGUGGUGGAGAGGAAGAAUAGUGGAGAGGAAGAAUAGGACUAUAAUGGAGAUGACAAGAUGCCUUUUGCAUGAGAAAGGGCUACCAAAAAAGUUUUGGGCUGAAGCCACAAACACUAUAGUGUUUCUACUGAAUAGACUCCCAACCAAAGCUUUUAAAAAAAAGACUCAUUUUGAGGCUUGGUUUGGAUAUAAACCUCUAUUAUUAAACUUAAAAACAUUUGGUUGCCUUUGUUUUAGUUAUGUGCCUUAGGUGAAACAAGACAAGUUAGAUAAAAAGGCAGAAGUUGGGAUCUUCGUAGGAGACAACAACCAAUCAAAGACUUAUAGAGUUAAUAUGCCUCAUGCUAACAAAGUCAUUGUUAGCAUAGAUGUCAAAUUCAUGGAGGAUGAUAAAUGGAGUUAGGAUGCUAAAAAAAAAAUUAGAAUUUUGAGUUACUUGACGAAAAUAUUGAUGACAUUCCUAUAAGAAGCACCAAAUCACUUUUUGAUAUUUAUCAAAUGUGUAAUGUGGUUGUGUUUGAGCCUGUAGGGUUUAAUGAAGUUGUUGAGGAUAAAAAAUGAAGGGUUGUAACGUGGGAGGAGCUUAGAAUGAUAGAGAAAAACAACACUUAGGAGCUAGUUGAUAGACCAACACAUAAAAAGACCAUUGGUGUCAAGUGGGUUUAUAAAACCAAACUCAAUUCUGAUGGUUCUGUAAACAAACAUAGAGCCUGGCUGGUUGUCAAAGGUUAUGCUCAAAUGUUCGGUGUGGAUUUUUCAUAAACCUUUGCACCUGUAGCUAGGUUGGAUACAAUAAGGAUGCUGCUAGCUUUGGCUGCUCAAAAUGGUUUGAAAAUCUAUCAGCUAGAUGUAAAAUCAGCUUUUCUAAAUGGCUACCUUGAGGAGGAAAUCUUUGUAGAGCAACCUGAAUGAUUUGCAGUAAAAGGCAAAGAAGACAAGGUUUAUCAACUAAAGAAAGCCUUGUAUGACUUGAAGCAAGCCCCCAGAUCUUGGUACAACAGGAUUAAUGCACAUCUGCUUGGUUUGGGGUUAAAAAAAGUCAGAGUGAAUCCACACUUUAUAUUUGAAAAAUUAAUGCUGGCAUACUUAUUAUUUCAUUAUAUGUUGAUGAUUUGCUUGUAAAGGAAGCAAUCAAUUUUUAAGCUAAAAUAGAGAAGGUCUUUGAGAUGAAAGAUCUUGGAGACAUGUCUUAUUUUCUGGGAAUGGAAGUCCAUCAGAAUCAGCAUGAGAUAUUCAUCUAUUAGCAAAAGUAUGCAAAGGAAAUUCUAAAACAGUUCAAGAUGGAGGAAUGCAAGGCCACAUGCACACCUAUGAAUCAAAAAGAAAAGUUUUGAAAAGAAGAUGGUGCUAAAAAAGUAAAUAAAGAGUUAUACAGAAGCAUGAUUGGAUGUUUGAUGUAUUUGAGUACAAGAAGAACAAAUAUAAUACAUGUUGUAAGUCUACUCUCAAGAUAUAUGCAUUGUGCUAGUGAAAUUCACUUGUAGGUAGCAAAACGUAUUGUGAGAUAUAUAAAAAACACUAUCGACUUUGGCAUCAAGUUCAAGCAGGUGCAGAAUUUUCAUUUUCAUGGAUUUUAUGAUAGUGAUUGGGUUGGCUGCAUUGAUGAUAUGAGAAGCACAUCAAGUUAUUGCUUUAGUUUUGGUUCAAGUUUUUUUCUCUUGGUGCUCUAAAACAUAGGAUAUCAUGGCAUAAUCCAUAGUUGAAGCAGAGUACAUUGCUACUGUUGCUGCUGCAAAUUAAGCACUUUAGAUAAGAAAGCUACUAACAGACUUAAACAUGGAGCAAACUAGGAGCACACAAGUCUUUGAGGACAAUCAAGCUGCAAUUUCAAUUGCAAGUAAUCCAGUAUUCCAUGGUAGGACAAAGCACUUCAAAAUCAAGUUUUAUUUCUUAAGGGAAAUACAACUUGAUGGAGAAGUAAUUUUGGUACAUUGUAAAACAGAAGUAAAAAAUGUUAAUAUUCUAAAAAAAGCUCUACCAAAAGCUAGGUUUGAAUUUCUCAGAAAAAGACUUAAAGUUUGUAGCUCCCAAGUCAAGGAGGAGUGUUAAGCAAAAUACCUUAGUAGCUAUAAUCAUGUUGGAAGACGUGUGAAAGUUGGUGUCAACUGAGGAAGCUUAAGAAUUUGUUAAGAAGGUUGCUGAGGUGUGAAGAGAUGCUGAAAUUGAGGUUGUAACCAUAAAACAACUUAGUCAAUGAAGUUGAUAGAGUUUCAUGGAGCUGUUAUGCUGUUGUUGCUAUUUUAUAGGAAAUAGUUGUUAGUUCCAACUAUUUUUGUCGCUUUUCUAUUGUUUUCUAUUGCAAACUUGUGUAAAAAUGUUGCAUUGAUCAUUCAAUAAGAGUAGACAUUUUCGUUGUCUCAAAUACAACUUUUGGUUGUUGCUUCCAGCACUUCUAGAUUCUAAAACCUACAGAUUCUAUGAAUUUUAAUGAUAUUCCAUCAUUUCUAGGUCUCUCAAACCUUCAAUUUAGUAGGGUUACAAAACAUAGCAUCUCUAUUUGGCAUUUCAUCAAACGCCUUUCUCACUUUUUCUUGAUCCACAUGGGCAUAAAUCACUCUCAACUAUUAACACAAACAACAUAGAUUUUAGCUAAUUACAAACCAAAUUGAUAUAUCACCCCUAGUAGUUGUAAUUUCCUUCAUUAAUUGCCUUCCCAUUUCCACAUCUCUUUUUUUACGCAACCCAUAAAAAAAUUUCAUGAAAUUUGAGUCUAGGUAGGAGAAAGCACGAAUCUCAGUGCACAAAAAUUUGAUUUCAAUCAUUCACAAAAAAAAAUUAAUUUUAUGGAAAAACAUUAAAAUAGUAAAAUAACAAAUUGAGAAGGACUUUCUAAGAAAAUAUAAUCAAAGGAAAACAAGGUAAUCAAAAGACUCAUAUAAUGUUUUACUUCCAUUUUCUAAGUAACUAAAUAGAAAUGUUGAAAUGAAAGUACCUCCAACUAUGGAUGUAAAGAGUCAUUGUUAAUGAGAAAAUGGUGAGAAUUGGAAUCAUGAAAAGUGUAGAAGAAGACUGUUUGGACUAUGGAGAGUGAAGGAGAAAGAGAAUGCUUGUUGAAAAGGAAAGAGUGGGUUAUUGGGUAACACUUAAGGUUAUUUUAGGUAUAUUUGAAAAUUUUAAAAGUAUUUUUUUUUUAAAUAAUCAGCUCUUAAGUGCUUUUCUAAAAAUUACUUCAAGUGAUUUUUUUCUUUUAAAGGUUUUUAAAAGUGUUUUUGAAAUCUUGCCAAACAUCUAUUUUUCACCCAAAAAAAAACUCUUUUAAUUAUUAAAAAUGCUAGACACUCUUCUUAAAAAUACUACUAAACAAGUUCUUAAUAGGAUUUUAUUUAUUAUCGCAUGUUUCUUAGUCUUUAACCAAGGAUAUGUCUAUACUUCAAAAUAAAAGAAGGGACACAAUUUUAUUCUAACCAUCCUUCAACCUUAUUUUCUUUAAAUAUCUACUAAAAUGGGAUUACUAUGAUUUCACCCCAAUUCCAACUCCCUUUUCUACAAAAAGUAAAACUAAUUUUUUGGGAAUACGUAUGCAAAGGUAAUGGCAUAGAUGAAGUUGUAAAUGGAGAUUAAUGGAAGUGAUAGAAACGGGAUUAUGCUAGGGUUUUAGAGCCAAAGAGGAUGGGUUGGUGAUGGUGGGUCUUAAGGGAAGUGAUAGAGAAGUUGGGAAUUAAGGUUAGAUUUAAGGUUAAGGUUAGGGCUAGGGUUUCAUCAAUGGAUGGUGAUGAAGAUGAAGAUAUGGACAUCCCUUGCAAAAUCUACCAAUAUAAUUAGUUUCUACUAUAUAAUCAACUAAAAUUGGAAUCAAUUCUCCUUCUCAAACUAUGAUAAUAUGACUUUAGAUGGUUUUUGAUAAUGAUUUCUUUUCCUCUCAAUGAAACUAUAGAUCAAUUAUAUGUUUCAACCCAAAUAAGGGAUCCUUAGAAUCCCUUAAUCUUUAGUUUCUAUUUAGAUUAAGGAAUAAGAGAUCCCUAAGAUCUUUUAAUCUUUAAUUUCUAUUUAGUUUCCUAUAUAAAAUAAGAAGAGUGUAAUGGGGAAAGAAAUGGAAAAAUAAUCUCAAUAUGAAAAAUUGGUUCUCUCAAUUUUGCAUCUUCUCUUUGAGUCAUAAGAAUUGGUGUUAGAACACGAUCUUGGCACCAAUCAUGGAUGAAGGGACUAGAGUGUAAGAACAACAUAGACUUGAAGAUACUAUUAAAUAGUUGAAAAAAUCAUUGGAUAAACAAGCGACUACCUCAUUAGAACUAUCAAAGAUGGUUGCAACCAUAAACUUGAAAUUUAAACACAUGAAUUCAAGAAUAGAGAAGUCAAGUAAUGGGUACAAUGCCUCAAUCAAUAGAAGCAAGACAAACUAUCAUUCAUAUGGCAUAAACUCCAUUCAAUCCAGGUUUUCCAAACUCAAAUUUCAAAAUUUUGGAGGUGAGAAUUGGGAAUUAGGAAAAGGUAGGAUUGGCUUCAUUACAUUUAAAAGGAAGGGCCUUAGAAAGGUUUCAAGGGUACAAGGCUAGUAACAAGGAAAUCAACUGGACACAAUUUUAUAUAGUUGUUGUUUCUAGGUUUAGCCCUAGUGUUUAUGAUAGCCUUAUGAGGUAAAUAACCAAAUUGAAAUAGGUUUAUACGAUUAUGGCAUACAAAAAUUAGUUUAAAGUAUUGAUGACCAAAACUAAUGGGUUAUCAAAGGAAUUUUUUGUCUAGUAUUUCAUUAGUAUCUUGAAAGAGGCAAUUAAAAAUCAAGUCACCAUGUUUCAACCGAUCACACUAGCCCAAACCAUCGAAUUAGUCUUGUUGCAGAAAUGAAUAGUGGAAGUAAUUCUCAAGGAAGUCAAGGACUCUAACGAAAGUGAGGAUAGUACAAUGAACUUUACAAGAAUCAUAAUGAAUCAUAAUAACAAAUUACCACCCUUAAGAAGAUUUCAGUUGUAGAAGUGCAAGAGAGAUGAAAAAAAUGUUUUGUUAUUAUUGUGAUGAGAAGUAUAAGUCUGGCUAUAUAUAUAAAAUGAGACAAUUUUUUCUACUAAAUGGUCAUAGAAGUGAAGGGAAAGCAACGUGUGAAGCUAAAAAUGAUAUCAGGAGGAUGAUCUUAUGGCUUUAAUAAAUGCAAUAUUUGGUUCAACAUCUCAUCAAACCAUGAGAAUCUGUGGCAACAUAAAAAGGAAGGUCGUGACCAUACUAAUUGACUUAGGAAGAACCCAUAACUUUCUUGAUCUCGUAGUGGCCAAAAGAACAAGAUGCUCAAUACAAACUACCGACCCCAUGAAGGUGGCAAUAACAGAUAGAACUAGAAUUACUAGUGAUGCAAUUUGUCAGCAAUGAUAGGAUAGAACCCUUAAAAGCAUGACAUAAUGUAAUAAACUGGGAAUUCAUUAUUUAUUCAAUGAUAUUCCAAUUUCAGUUUUAUCUAUCCUUAUUCCAUGUAUUAUACUUUAUGAACUUUUUUGUCCGCAUCUUUUGCAUUAUAUGUGACUUAGGUGGAUCAGGAGUUGCAUAGAAGAUCUAAGUCAUGAGUUCCUUGUAAAUAGAUGACUAGUUCACAACCAAUUUAUGGGUCUAGGCAAUCCAUUAGAGGUUUCGGUGCACCACUUCCUAAUUAGAGGGAUAACUGGUCUUGGCUAUUAGGAUGAGUUUUACUAAUAUGUAUGGAUGCACAUUGGGCAGGACUGAUUAUAAGCUUAAGGCUAUCAAGUAGUCAUGACUUCACCAAGUUGUUUCAUUAUGUUGUUUCUCAACCUUGAGAGAAUAUUGCAUUUGUGUAGAAGUUAGCAGUGCUUUUGAUCUACGGGUAAAAUCGUAAGCUAAUCAUAUGCUCUUUAUGGAUUGGAUCACUAUUGACGGAUGCCAGUAGCAAUAAGUAUUCUAAAUAGAGACACCAUGAUAUCUCUUAGGAAUAAGACAGUGUGUAUCCUUGGGUGAUCCUAAGGAGGUGUGUUCAUGGAAACUAUGGUCAUAAUAGUUCCUUAUGUGGAACUUGACAUAGGCUCUUUGAAAGUUAAGAUAUGUCAAUUGAAUACACAAUAGGAGAAUCUGUAACUCAAGGAUGGUAGAGGUAGUCUUAAAAAGCUUAUAGCUUUCACUUUAUUAGACUACGAACACCAAUUCAUGGGGAGACUAAACAUAAUGGAUAGCAAGUCAUGGACUCGAGCACUUGGUGUCUUAUUAUUAUUUACAUAGGAUAUUUGAGUUCAAUUGAUUCUCUAUAGUGGGAUGUUGAAUCCACUUUAGAAUUGGAUUAUGAGAGAACUAGUAUUUCUAUAGGUCCUAGUGGUCUUUGUUUUGAGCUCAUAUACCUUGUUGGCACUGAUUAUGAGGGUCAGAUUGGCUUUAGGUUCACUUUUGUACAUAAAGGUGUUUUGGUAAUCACACAAGGUUGCACAAAGGUAAGUGAGCAAAGUCUUUGGAUUAGGCUAAUUGAUUAAUUAGUAGGCCCUAUUGGGUUAACUAAUCAAUUAGGACCCAUUUUGGGAUAGAUUAAGUGACCUAAGCCCUUAGUGAACUCAAGUCACUUAAGUCUAAUAGGAAACCACAUAAAUACCCCCUUAGGGGUUAGGGUUCCCAUUGCUUUUUCUAGAGAUCCAUAUUCCAUCUCUAGAGAGAGAGAGAGAUUCAUAGCAUGUACUCUUCCUUCUAUCCCCACCAGAAGUGUGUCAAGAUCAAGUUUCGAGUCAUUUGGCGAAAGACUUCGGGUUUAUGAGACUUCUACGAUUUCAUUCUUCAUCUUCACCAUGUAGAUUUGAUUCACAAACAUCCGAAUCUAAGGUAUGGAUUUUGUUUGCACUUUCUGAAUCCCUUUAAAGUUUAAAAAUGUUAUUUUUCCGUUGUGCAAAGGAUUUAGAAAAAGCCUAGGAUAGUUAUGCAUAUUCCUAACUUGAUCCGAUCUUAGGAAACAAAGAGAUCCUAGUUUUUCCCAUUAGGCAAUUGACAUGGAACAUGCAAGGGAAGAAAUUUUAGAUAGAUUUGAGGCUCAUCCUUUUGAGUGGGUGCGAUAUGGUAUUGGGAAUUCAAUGGCCAACUGAAUUGGGACUCAUAUUGUGGGAUUUCAGGAAUUUUAAAUUUGAAUUUAUUGUUGAUGGAAGGAAAUUCGUGUUAAGAGGUACAACUAUAGGUCCUAAGAAGUUAGUUUCAACUAAUGAAAUUCAAAAUUAUUGAAGGCAUAUGUCUCAAGCAUCUACAAUUCAAAAUUUCACUAUACAAGGGAAUGAGGAAAAUAAAGUUGAAAAUGAACAACAUGGCAGCUGUCCAACUCAUUUCCAAAUAAUGUAACAUAGAAAGAUGCUUACUUUCAACAAAAGUUUCCAUAGUUUCAACCUUGAGGACAAUGCUUCUUUUGAUGGGGGAGAGAAUGUUACAACCCUGAAUAAAGGAUCCCUGGGAUCCCUUAAUCUUUAGUUUCUAUUUCUGUUUAGUUUCUACUUCUAUUUAAAUUGGGGAAUAAAGUAUCCUUAAGAUCCCUCAAUCUUUAGUUUCUAUUUCUAUUUAGUAUCCUAUAUAAAAUAAGAAAAGUGUAAUGGAGAAAAAAAUGAAAAAAAAAUCUCAAUAAGAAAAAUUUGUUCUCUCAAUUUUGUAUCUUCUCUUCAUAUCAUAAAAUUCUACAUGUAGAUUUUCUCCUUCUAAAUCUCUAUAUGAUACAAAAUCAAUUCUUUUUUACUCCAAUUCCAAGUAUGUAUUUAUAGAAAUAGGUAUGCUUUGACUCUCAAUGAACACAUUUUUUCAAUUUUUCUACCUACCUAAGUGGAAAUAACAUAAGGUAACUAAACUUGCUUUGAGAUUAAUUAUGGUUUUGACAAUACAAAACUAGGUAUAGUACAAGACCUCCUAAACAAAGUUUCUAGCAUUAAUGAAUUCAAAAGAAGCUGGGUAAAACAAGUUUCUACUCACCAUCCCAAACAUCCCUUUAGAUGUAUUGUAUGAUAGAGGAUUAUUCUUUUAUUAUUAUUAUUAUUAUUAUUAUUAUUAUUCUUUUUUCUUUUUCCUUUUAAUGGUUUGGAGCAAAUUCAAAUGGCAUUAUAGAAGUAGAAUUUCCUAAUUUAAUUUGUUGGACAAAUUUGUUUUGGUUUUGCUAUAUUUUAUGUUUUGAAUACAUAGAAAUUGAAAUAUAAUAAGAUAACAAUUAUAAUGUAUUUUUAAGGGGAAAAUGUUUUUAUCUUCUAUAAUUAAAAAAAAAAAAAAAACAACAACAACAUCAACAACUACAAUAAUAUAGACAUUUGCAAUUUUUUUUAAAGUGUCUUUGUUAGGACAUUGAGUUCUAUUUGUAUGUUGGCAAUUUUGUUCCGAUUUAUUUUUUGCCUUAGAAAUCUUUUUAGAUAGUGACUUACUUUCCAUUGAAGAUCAAGGAUUGCUACUUGUCCAACUGGAAAAUCACAGGCAUGUCUAAAAGAUUUGACUUGUAGCAAAUUAGGGUUCUAAAAGGUAUAAAGAGGAUCGUUAUUCUUUUUUUUUUUGGAAUAAAAUUGAUUUUUAUUUAUCUUUGUCAAAAAGGCAGGAUUGCUCAAGCAAGGAAUAACACUCAAGCGUUAGGAUGCUCGAGCACUUGACUAGCGCUCGAAUGCCCGAGUUGCUUAAGUGAUGGUUAAGUGGACUCGGCCUCGAGCUCUCGAGCAUUCAUACCAAUUCUACCAAAGAUUAGCAUAAUAUUUUUGGAGAUUUCAUGCAAAUCCUUUCUGGAAACCUUGAGAUACCGACUCUCUUCAACCUUUAAGCCUAUAUGUACCCCAUUAUGGCCAUUCUAAAGUUAGGAGAUUGAUUUAUUGUCGUAAUUGAUAGAGAGUCUCCUAAAUAGAAAGCCUAAUGAACCACACGAUUCCUAAUCUCUCAUUUGAAGGAUAAUCUAGGGUUGAAAACUUGCAUCCCUUCAGUAAGGUUGAAGAGUACUCAGUGGAGUAAUUAGAGAUUAUUGCAUCACAGACGUCAAUGAAGUUGUAGGUAUUAGAGGGUAAGUCUUUAGGAUAAAACGACGAGGUAAAUUUGUGUAACUUGAUCUUGUAUAGUGGAUUUUGAUUAACAAUCUUAGACCUCGUGGUUUUUUUAUCUCCACAGUAGUGCAUGGAUUUUCCAUGUAAAAAUCAUUGUGUCCAUUGUUAUAUCUUGUGAUUAUCAUGAUUGUUUGGAUUUUUUUUAUCUCUAAUAUUAUCUCAUAGGGUAAAAAUUGAGUAUAACAUAUAAUCUUUUUUUUAGAAUUCUUUUAAUUACACCCAUUCACCCCCCUCCUCUCUUUGGGUGUUACCCUACUAGACUUGGCUUUUUCAGUCUCAAAUACUACAAUAGCAUUUUUUUACUUAAGUUAUAAAUGGAAAAAGUUAUAAACCCAAGAUAACUUGCUAAAAAAGUGAGAAAUAAUAAAGGACUCGUGUUAGAGUAUAAAUAGUUAAUCUAUUCUAGGCUUAAUAUAGCUCCAAUGUCAAACAUGAAUACUUAAUUAUUUAUUAUAUUUUGAAAAUAAAGUAAGUAUUUUUUAUAUAAAAAAUGAAACAACUUUUCUAGAACAACACAAGGCACUAAUGCAUAUAGUUGGUAACAAGUUGGAGAAAGAAAAUAAUGUGGAGAAAUAAAACAACAUGUAGAAAGAAACAAAAUGGAGAGAAAGAAAAUGACUAACAAAAAAGAAAAUAGAGAAAUUAUAGAAAAUAAGAUAAUUAAACUUAUUUUCAUAAAAAUAAUAUAUUUUCGAAAAAUAGAAAAUUUCAUUCAUAUUCUCUUUUUCACUUAUUUUAAAAAUAAAAGUAAAAAUUAAUAUUUAUCAAAUAUAUAAGAUUAAGAUUGAGAUAUAAACUUUUUAUAAUCUAAACUAUUAUUUUCAUUUUAAACAAGAAAGUUCGAUGUGACAUAAUAAAAUUUGUACACAAAAUUUAAAUUAUCUCUAUUCAUAUAGAAUUAUAUAUAGGUAUAGAUUCAUUUCAAAAUUCGAAUAAUUAUUUGAAUUUUACAUUUAAAUUUUAUUUUAAAAUUUAAAACUUAAUUAUUUUGUAAUAGGGUAUGUGUCAUAAAAUUGAAGCUUAUAUAUAUAAAUGCCUCCACUUCCAUACCUCUCAUAAAAUUGGAGCCUACUUUUUUUGUUUUCUUUUGUGUGUUUAUAAAUGUCUCAAAUUCCAUAUCUAGUUGUGAUAUAGUUUUGUAGAUGAUUGUGAUUGAAGUAUACUUUCUUUUGAUAUGUUUCCCUCCAUACAAAUCUAUUUAAAAGAAAAAAAAAACACAAAGUGUGGACCCCGCAUUUCGGCUCAUGCGUUUCCCACUCGAUGGUGAAACUCGCUUUUUAAAUUAAAAAAUGAUUUUUUGUUGUUGAUUAAGAAAAAUGACUUAGAGUCGCCACUUAUUUUGUUUUAUUUUUAAAGGGUAAACAAAAUAAGAAAGAAAACCCUAAGUGUAACUCCUUAUUUCGGAAAAGGUGAUAUGUGAAAAACCGGAUCGGGUUUGGGGGUUAGGUUACUUAUCAGGAAGGUACGGUAAAAAAAAAACCGUAGCACCCUUCUAAGCCCCUAAAACGGGUCUCUUCUAAUAAAAUGAAGCUGACAUGGCCAUUGAUGAGGAAAUCAAUGAAUACCCGGAACUAUCAUGCACAUAUGAGAAUCAGAAUAUACGUAACGAAUGAUCAGAAUGAGUGAAUGCGUACCUGGGCAGCAAACUGCAACGCGCUAUCAUGUGUGGACCCCGCAUUUUCGACUCAUGCUCGAAUGCGUUUCCCACUCGAUGGCGAGCUCGAUUUUGCCAAUUGAUGAAUAAAUCAAUGAAUACACAGAGUGAUCUUGCACAUGUGAGAAUCAAAAUAUGCAUAUAGAAAUACCAGAAUGGGAAUAGAUGCGUACCUGAGCGACGAACCACUAGGCGCUAUCAAGAAAGAGGGUUAGUGCACAAUUAAGGACUAAUAACAUGCAUGUAAGAGAGCAGGAUAAAUCAAUCAUGUAUCAUAAUCAAAUCAAAUCAAUCAGUCAAUCAAUCAAUCGGUCACAUAUGUGGGGGCCCCCACCAAAGCCCGUUUAUUUUGCAUGAAUUAAUUCCAAUAACUCCAUUACUUGGAAUUACGGAAUUUAAUCCUUGCUUAUUUAAAAACAUUUUAAAAUCCGGGAAGUCUUGAAAGUUGCAUGCCGAAGAGAGGUGGCAUCAAAUUUUAUUGAAAAACAGGAUUUUUGGAACUCAAAGGAAACGUAAGGAUGAAAGAUGGAAAUUAUUUAAAUUAUUUGAAAACCGACAUAAAAAAAAAUUAUUUGCAAGAAAGGUAUCAGGAAAUUAUUUUUUUAAGCCAAAAGAUUGAGGGAAUGGGAGGUGACACGUGGCCCAAAAGGUGGCCAUGCAGCUGGGUGUAUAGAGUAGAUGGCAAGUGGACCCCUGAGUCAUUUUGUUUGACAAACAGCUUGCUGUUGUAGUCUGCAUCCAUAUUGAUAAUACCCAAACUUGGAGCGCUGACCUUAUUUUUCAUUGGAGACAUCAAAUGACGUGUUUCAUGGUGGUGAGGCACGUACACUGCUGCAAAAUGGGUGACUUUGCUCCUAUGACUCAUGUUUUCUCCUCUUGAGUUGUUCAUCUGGGAAUAUACAAUAAUUUUCCAGCACAAACAUUCAGAAUCUGGAUUCCUUUCACUCAAUUUAUCUGCUACCACUUCUGAUAUAUUCAGCUCGAACCAGGGUCGUUCAUGUUCUCGGUAUAUUUCCCUUAUACCCUGGUCAACAUGGAAUUCGCGGAAACUGCUUGGUUGAUCUGCAUUAAAUGGAAUUAGUGAGCUCAGUGAUAGCAAAUCUAGCUCAGCACUUGCUGCUAAUUGCCUUUGUUCGCGCAACUCCCUUCCUUUUGAAGGUCGUUACUUCCACCUCGAGCCAAGCCAGUCUGGAUGUCUCCCCUAAUUGAGCAUUCAGAAUACUCAAAGAAUCUAGACUGCGACAGAUGACCUGUCUGACCUUCGCAUGCUAUGUGCUUGCUGCACUGAGCUUUGCUCCACCGUUGAAGGCGACGCUGGAGGUAGCAACGACACAGGUCUGAAUGACGGUGUUCUCCUGCCUUAUGAAGGGCUGCUUAGGGAAUUGGAAAACUCACAACCACUUAAAGUUCCAAAUUGACUGCCACCAUUCGAAACUAAGCCUUCAUCUGAUUCAAAAAUGUCUCGGCUUUAACAUCCAUUAGAGCCUUUGUCCUGAUGUUAAUAGAAUCUGGAUCAUAUUGCUCAGAAAAAGAUUUCGGUGCUUUGCUUCCCCCAGAGAACCCAGCUAUCCUUGAAAACUUUGUCUCAUAUUGAAUUCCCAAAACAACCAGUGGGAUUGCUACAGCUGGACCAUUUCCCCUUUUGACCAACGUGGCUGUUAAAGCUGGAAGAUGAGGUCAGAGGUGUUCCAUGAUAUCCUUGUUCGAGAUCCCUUAACAUUCAUUCCAACAGCUACCGAUUUGCACCCUUCAGUAGACAUUGCUCGGGUAAGGACUGUAGCAUAGGCGGUACCAUCUCUUGCCACAUUAUUAAUGGUAUUUGCAACCUAUUUUGCAAGGCUUGCACAAAUAUUCUUGACUGUAGCAUUAAGCCUCGAACUUCAACCCCGAAUCUGAUGUCUUUAGCAGUAUGGUUCCUGCCCUAGUUCAGCCUACUACCGAUAUGAUGGGUGUUGUGCCAAGUGGUCUGAACCUUAGGAGCAAGACUGGUGACGAGUGUGAAGGUGAUGGGUGAUGUUCACUUGCACCAUGCCCUUUUCUAAUUGGAGAUAUCACCAAUAUAAAGCAGGGUGGAUUUUCUGAUGAGAGAUUUCUAUGUCCUAGAGUGGUUCAUGUCGCAUGGGCAUAGGGAUUAAUGAAGGGGCAUGAUGAUGCCAGACGGGUAUGAGUUGUUGAUAACGGAUGUGAGGGAUAGUAGGCUCUACUAACAGAUGAACAAUGUCAUGCAAGCCUUGCACAACAAAAUGCGGAGAGCACAGUACCCGAGAAUACUUCCUUUGUCCCCUUCAACUCAUUUUCUGCUUGAACACUUCCUCUUCCUCUCAUCCUUAGAUGACAUCUCUUCUUUCAAAGGUAUCUCUUCUCUCAAAACCCAUAUAAUGAACAAGAUCCAGGAACAGAGGUGGCCUCAACCAUGAAAAGAAAUGCAUGAAAACAGAGCACAAAGGGAAACAAAUAUAAAGGUCCUCAAAGGAAGAUUCACAUCAUGAGUCAUCAGUGAACCUUCCUAUUAGGUGAGGAAAAACAGCAUCAAAUGCAAACAUUGGUGGGGUUCUCGGGCAUUUCAUAGUCACAAAUAGAAACAGAACAUAUUAAGAUUGACAAUGGCAGGUAUGAAUUCAGGAUUAUAUCUCAACAAGCAACAAGUGGCCUUCAUUAUCCACCCCAAGCAAAACAACAAAUAUCCAAAUAUCAACAAGCAAUGCAGAGGGAUAGCAAGGAUCCAAAUCAAACAAUAAACCUGUUGCCUUCAUACCUGAGAAUGUCCUUCUCCAGUAAGGCUCUGUUCUUCUACAAACACCUCAAGUUCCCCUUUAAAAUCAACGAAAACUAAUGAGACAGCAGCACCUCUUCUACUCUCCAAACACACAGCUCUCUCCCUCUUAAUUUUCUCUCAAACUAAACAGCCACCUAAAAUCCUCCAUCAACCUCUCUCUCAAAACUCCUCCUGUGAAAACUCUCCCCUCUCUCAGGUUCCUCUAAACGGCAGCCAAUAGCACCCCUACCUCUCACAGUUUGCUGCUCCCUGUUCUCUCCUCCGAUAGCCUCUCCUCUAAGCUAGAAACUUAUCCUCAAACUCUCACCCUUUUCUCCUCUGAUUCCCCUGUUUUUCUCUCUCUCUAGUCUCCCUCAGUAACCAGCCUGGAGACCCUAGUUCUCUCCCAAGCUCUCCUCUCUCGUUCCCCCAAGCAAAGGCCCCCCUAACAAUAUCUCCCGGUAGCCUCCUUCUUUUGCUCUCUAGCCUCAAAACUCUCUCUGGAAUCCCUCAGACUUCAGCAGCCCAGGUACCUCUCUCUUCUGAUUUUUCUCUAUUUUCUCUCUAAAAAUCCUCCCCCUUGAGUAACCAGCCUCCUCCUUACCCAAGCAAAGGAUCCCCUAAAAAAAUAUCUCUAACGGCCUGCUCAGAGAGCUCCUGCAGCUGCCAGACGACACCCCCUUCCAGCUGCCUGCCUCCAAAAUAUCUCAUAACUGCCUGAAGAAUCCCUUUACAGGUGUCACCCUCUGGUUUGCCUCUCAAAUCCACUACUUGAUCCUUUAGCAGCCUGUCAAGAGGCACCAUGCGGCCUCCUCAAGUUGCUCCACCUGGAAAAAUUUGCUACAACAAUUACCUCCCAAAGUGGGGGUCUACAUCAUGGAAUGGGGUUAGUGAAUAAAUGCAGAAUGAUUAUAUGUAUAUCAAGGAAUAGAGUGAAUCAAUCACGCAUGGCAAACAAAUAAAUAAAUCAAUCAAUCAAUUAUGAAGUCGAGUAUAUGGGGCCCCCACCAAAGCCCGUUUUAUCUUGCCUGAAUCGAUUCCGAUAACUCCAUUGCUCGGAAUUACAGAACUUGAUUCCUUGCUUAUUUCAAAACAUUUUAAAAAUAGAGGAAGUAUGAAAAAUUGCUUGCCAGAAAUAAAAGUGGCAGCAAAGCUUUAUCAAAAAUGUGAUUUUGGAACCUAAGGAAAAUGCUCUAAGGAUGAAGAAAAAGGUGGAACAUCGGUUGGAUAGAAUUCCGGAUGUGAGAUAUCCAGAGAAGGUGGAACGUCGGCGGAUAGGAUUCCAGGCGUGAGACACCCGGUGAUUACUACCAAAAAUUGCUAUUUUUUAGACCUAAUUAUAAUGGUUUUAAGCAUCUUUGAGUAGUAAUCAUAUUCAUUUAACCUAAUUAAUUCAUUAAGGUCCUUAGUAAUUGGUUUUAACCAUUUUGUGGCAAGUUUACAUGUUUUUAUCAGCUUAUGAAUCAAUUCAAGCAUGCCAAAUGAUGGAGGAGCUACUUGGACAAGUUAAAGCAAUGAUUUUGGAAGUUUACAGGCUUGAAUUUCAAGUGGAAACACGAGCACAAACAAAGGGAUAGCCAUUUCGCAAGGCAAGGCAAAGUACCUUGCCAAAAUGCAAUUUUCGCAAGGUGAAUUUACUCAUGAUGCGAAAAUAAGGCACUUCGCAUCAUGAGUAAUUCACCUUGCUAAAAUUUAGCAAGGUGCCUUUUACCUUGCCAAAUUACCUCUGUUUCUCCACGCACGCACCAUCGACUUCCCAGAUAUUUUUAGCUUGAUAUUUUCUCGUGUAAAUUCCUUUUGUAACCUUGUAUUCAGCCGACAUAAGGCUUUAUCUUGUAAUUUUGCUAUAUAUAGAGGUGCACAACACCUCCAAAAGAUAUUGGGGAUCGAUCCUCUGUACAUUAACUUAGAAAUAUAUAAAGCUCUGUUUUUCUCUCUUCUCCUGUUCUUCCCCAUUUCUAUUUUCUUAGUAACCAAACAACCUCUGAGGGCUUUUCCUUAGAGGAUAAUUGGCUAAAACUUUUAGUUUCUCAAAGUAUGGAUGUUAUGGGAUGGCUUGGAUGCAAUCCCAUGGAAAUUUCUCGCACCUAGAAGGUAAGGUAGUCGUUUUUCAUUAAUGGUUCAUUAAUGCAAAGUUUGGUUUUUAUUUCCUUUGGACAACUUCCAACGGCCAAUACUUGAUAAGCUUUUGGAUUUCUAUCCAUUAGUUAUCUCCUACGAACUAUUGGAAGGUGAAUUUUUCAAUUCCAAGUUUUACAUUAAUCCGUUAGAACCAAUUUCAAUGGCCAUUGAAAGGUGAGUUUAUCACCUGGAAUGACUUUGAGCUGCCAAUAUUUGGUAAGCUUUUGGUUUUAGACCAUUAGUUAUCUCUUACGAGCCAUUCAAAGGAAGUCUAAGAUGAAUAACCAUUGAUGAAAUUCACUACCAUCUGUUUUGCCAUUUUAAAGGAUUAAAACUUGAUUUGCUAAAUCCAUACCGGUUCGGGAAUCAAGCAUCACCAUAGUUGCAACCCCAACGCGAGGAGCCUAUCUUGAGAUUUCCAAUUUGCAUAAGAGCCAGAGCAUAGCUAUCCUAUCUUUGAGAAACUUGCUUUUACACCCUUUCAUUUUAGUCUUUAAUGUUAGCUUAGAUUAGUUUAAAUCUUUCUAAAACAUUUACAUCUUCUUUUAAAGCUAACAUCCAUAAGAAAAUCACCUAUUUUCCUAAUUUGAAUAUCACUAGUGUUUGCGAAAACCCUUCCCAGUGAACGAUCCUAGAACCACUAUGCUAUAGUAGUUUGGCUACUUUAGUAAUAGUAUUUAAGGUAUAAAUUUUGUUGAUACGCCUUCAAAGCUAAGCUACCAUGAGUCGCAUCACCCGGGAAAGGUGGAACAUCGGCGGAUAGGAUUCCGGAUGCGAGGCAUUCGGAUGGAAUGACAGCGGAGAGGACUCCGGGUGUGAGACACCCGAGGAAGGUGGAUCGUCGGCGGAUAGGAUUCCGGGCGUGAAACACCCGGGGAAGGUGGAACGUCGGCGGAUAGGAUUUCGGAUGCCUUGCAUCCGGAUGGAAUGACGGCGGAGACGACUUCGGGUGUGAGACACCUGGGGAAGGUGGAUCGUCGAUGGAUAGGAUUCCGGACAUGAGACACCCGGAUGGAAAUGACGGCGCAGAACGAUUCCGGGUGUGAGACACUCGGAUAGAAAUGGCAGCACAGAAGGGAUUCCGGGUGUAAGACAGUCGAAUGAAAAUGGCGGUGGGGAAGGAUUCCAGGUGUGAGACACCCGGAUGGAAAUGGCGGCGCAGAAGGAUUCCAGGUGUGAGACACCCGGAUAAGGUAGAAUGUUGUUACGAGUAGCAUGAAGGAUAGGUAUGGGUUGUGUGGAUAUGGGGGCUUGGGUGAGUGGUUUUAAUGGGUAUGCGAAAAAGUGAAGGAUAGCAUGCACCCAAGAGACCCCAUGUACGUGGGGGGAGUGGGGUGGAGAAUGAAUGAGAGGAAAAGGAGUGCAGUGGAGGAUGCCCGAUUCCUAUAAGCUUGAGUGAGGAAAUGGGUAUGACGACCUAGAAAGAAAGGUAUAUAGAUGAACGAUGGGUAUGGGGAUGCUGAUGAGGUGAGCUUUGCCGCCACGAAAACUACUCCAGAUUCUCUAGGAUCUCUUUCGAGUAGGGAUGAGAAAAUGGAUGCGUACCAUGGACGGAUAUCAAGAAACAGGGGAAGUAGAGAAACAGAGCGUGAAAGAAGACGAAUAAACAAAGAAAAAAAAGAAUCUCAGAAAAUCCAUUUCAUGGAUCAUCCAUGAACCUUCUGUGCAGGUGAGUAGAUCAUGUCAAAUGCAACCACCCCCCUGAUUCUCAAGCAUUACGUAAUCAUAGUAGGAUUAGAGUAAGUAAAAAUGGACAGUGGCAAACACAAAUACAAGGUCAUACUUCAACAAGUAGACUGGUGGCCUUCAUUAUCCACCCUAAACAGAUCAAUGAGUAUUCAAAUAUUCACAAGAGAUGUAAAAGAGUGAUAGUCAUACCUGAAAGCCUCUUCUCCCGCUAGGCGUCUCUGGCUAAACUCUCCUCUCCUCUCCCCUCUGUCUCCCUUUUUCCUGGAUUCACCUUCCUUAGCAAGUCAGUACCUGCCUCCUCCUAUUCAUGCAUCAGCCAGUAUGGCUUGCCCAACUACCGUCACUGUUGUUGUACGCUUCAUGCAGACGACAUCAAGCUCCCAGCUGGGGGUCCCCUACCCUAUCUCAAAAAAUGUAAUCCAAAACCAAGAAAAAAACCGCUCCCCCCUCCUCACAAAAAGCUCAUCUCUAACAACCAAAAAGCUCCUCCGAAUAUCCUCCAACAGGUGUCUCCACCCCAUUGCAUUUCCAAACCACUACCUGGUUCAUUGACCACCCAACCAGGAAGCAACAUCUGGCUCUUCAAGAGCCCUCCACUUGGCCAGAAGCGUGAACUGCAGCAAAUGAAAAAAACGAGCCCCAUAUGGGGGUCUACACAAACAAAGACAACAACAGAUGAAAAUAAUUAUUCAUCUGUUAGUGCAAAAUAUGAAAGAGAAGACAACAGUGUGCAUCUUCACUAUGACUGAGGAUCAAAUUCUCUUUGAGAUUGAUAUAAAUUAUUUAUAGCUUCAUUGUUCAUGGAGAGUUGAUUCAGUAGUGUCUUCCAUUUGAAGACAUACAAAAAUGGUUAGAAUUAUCUAUUCAUUUCAAGAGAUAACUUGCAUCUAUGACCCUUAUACUCCCAUGAACUUUGAGCAUCUAUUAUUUAUAAAAUAUGGAUGAAAAGAGAAUAAAAAAAAAAAAUUCAUGGGAAGUGUAUUUUGGAAAAAAUAAUUCUCAUUUGAUACAUUGGAAAAGUGUCUACCUCACAUUACCCAAAAAUGACGUUAUAUGUGUACAUGGGUCAUCAUCCAUAGUAACCCAAUUCACAUGAGGAUGGUAUAUCAUUUAUAAAGGUACAUUAAGCUCAAAACAGUGGUACAUUAUAAUCAAAACAAUAUUACUUUAAUAUCAAAAUACAUGUAAGGACAUUUUCAGGUAAUGUGAGGUAAAUACUACUAUAAUACAUUAAAUAAGAAUUAUUUUCCCAAAAAAGUACUUCCCAUGAAAAUGACUUAUGUAGGUUUUCUUUUAUUUAUUUUUUAUAAAUAGUGCAUGUUUACAUGAUUCCCUUAUUAAUAUAAUAUAAUCAUCUAUACAUGAUAAUUAAGGAAAUCGAAAAUAUUUACAUACUAAGCAAGGAUAAUGGAAAUUAAACAGUAUGAAAAAAGAGAAAAAUAAAUAUUAAAUAUAAAUUAAAACUCUAAAAUACAAGCCUUCAUUUGCACAUAUAGGCCAAUAUCUUAGGAGGUAUUUGAUUAAAAAAUAAUAAUGAUUAAAACUGGAAAAAUUUAUGGGUCCCAUUUUUUAAGUGUUUUCAAUAACAUAAUUAUAAACCUCUUAAAAUUUAAAAUCAUUUAUUUAAACCACUUUAUUCAUUUAGCAACAAGGACUUAAUUAAUCACUAAGAUCAAACAUAAUGAUUUAUAAUUUUUAUAAUUUUUUCUUCCAUUACUAUCAUUUUUUUGUUAAUAAAAUGAAGAUUUCUAUUGAUGAAUUUUUUACUAUUAAAAAAAUUAAUUCAUCUAUGAGAUUCUUUUAACUAAUCCUUUUAGAAUUUUUAUAAUUUUUUUUUUCAUAUUUAAAGAUAAAAAAAUUGUUAUGAAAUAAUUAAAUUAAUUAUAAAAUUUAUCUUUCUUUUCUAAAUCAGAAUUUUUGUCAUGUCCAUUCAUAUAAUAAAAUUAAAAUUAUAAAUAAAUAAAAAAACCUAUUUUAAUUGACAGCAUCAUGGAAUCUCUCCAUGCACACUCAUGCAGCCAGCCAUCAAUUCCCACGGCAGCCACGUGUCUUCCAACAAGUAUAUUCCCUUUCUUUGGCUCUCCACGUGUUUGUGUUCUAUUUUUAUUUAUUUAUUUUAUCCUGAUUAGUAGUUCACCGAACAAGCAUAACAAGGAUAUGAGUAGAUAUGUCAUGGCUAUGAUCACUUCUAACACUAAACCUUCUUAAACAAAGUGAGGUAUGAAUGUAGUAUGCCAGUCUAAAUAAUGGUGAAAGAAUAAAAACAAUGGAGAAUGCAUGUAAGAUGUAUAUAUAACUAUAAAUAAGGAUUCAAAAUGAGGGGAAAAAUCAUUGAGAAGGGUGAACCAUGGGUGAUAAGCCACUUUAAGGUUCAUCCUUUGGAUAAAUAUUAAAAGUUAAAGAGUAUAAAAUGUCUACUUAUGUCAUCAUUUUUUUUUUUCACUUUUAAGUUAAAUAUAUUUUUAUUGUUAUAAAUGAAGUAAUGAAUGCCACCACAUUUAUUAUAUUAAAUGUUCAUUAAAAGCAUAUAAAAAUGUUUCCUAUCCCCUAUAAAAUGCAUCCCAAGCAAAGAAAUACAUUUUCUUUCUCUUUUAUUCUCUUUUUUUAUUUUUUUAUUUUAUUUUUAUUCUCCAUAUCUUUCAUUCUUUCAACUAUCUUAAUUGUCUUUUAUGAUUCCUUCCUCUCCAUUAUAUAUCAUUGUCAAAAUAAUAUAUAGUUGUUCUCUACUUUUAUUGUCGUUGCAUUUAUCCUCUUUUUAUAAUAGGUUAUUAGCAUGAAUUGCUCUGAAGGUAAUUCUCAUAUCUUAAACUUGAAGUUAUUUAUAUAGAAUAAAAUUUUACAUAUUUAUAUUGCUAUUGUUAAAUUCAUUUAAUUUGUGUUAUAUAUUAUUAAAAGCUAUACACAAAUUAUUUGAUUUUGAUUAUAAUCAAAAGUUAUACCAAUGCCAUUAAUUUAUAACUAAUUAUAGUAAUAUUGUUUUGUCAUAUAUCUGAAGUUAUUUAACAAUGUCAAAUCUCACAAAACUCAAAUUUAUGGCACUUGACAUUUCGGGAAAGAACUAUAUAUCUUGAAUCCUUAAUGCUGAAAUACGUCUUGAUGCAAUGAAUCUUGGAGCUAUGAUUAAAGAAGGAAAUCAAGCAUCCUUGUGGGAUCACGCAAAAGCGUUGAUUUUCUUUUGCCAUCAUCUCUAUAAAGGUUUUAAAAAUGAGUAUCUUAUAGUAAAUGACACUUUUACUCUAUGGAGUAAUUUAAAGGAAAUAUAUGACCACCAGAAAAUUGUAAUUAUCCGGAAAGCCUGAUAUGAUUGGAUGUAUUCAAGGUUGUAGGAUUUCAAAACUAUUGGUGAAUAUAACUCUGCCCUUUUCAAAAUCAGGUCUCAAUUAAAGCUAUGUGGAGAAAAAAACCAUAGAAGAAGACAUGUUAGAAAAAACUUUACUACAUUUCACGCCUCGAAUGUGCUCUUACAACAGUAAUACCAAGAACGUAUAUUUACAAAAUACUCUGAAUUAAUAUCAUGUCUUCUUGUUGUUGAACAAAAUAAUGAGCUUUUGAUGAGAAAUCACUAGUCUCAUCUAAUUGGAUAUGAACCAUUCCCUAAAGUGAAUGCAAUAUUGUCCCAAACUCGUGGACAUGGGCAAUGACAAGGAAAUGGUCAUGGUCAUGGAAGGAAUCCCUGAUAUAAUGGUUAUUAUGGUAAUAAUUCCACAAAUUCUCAUAAAAUGAAAGCUUCAUUGCACCACUGAUUACUACUCAAAAAGUGCAUUUUUAUAAGCUUAAACUUAAUUGUAUUAAGCACUUUUGAGUAGUAGUUAGACCUUUUAUCCCAAUUGGCAUGUUAAGGACCUAGCAAAUGUUACUAACCAAUUUUUGGUAAGUUUUAGUGUUUUUGAUAGCUUUUUUAUCACUGAAACAGCCCAAGAUUGAGGGAGAGUUUGGAGCACAUGAAGAAUCAGAGCUUUGGAGCACUUCAAAACCCCUUGCCAAACUUGAAAAAGGGUUGCCAAAACUAUCAGUAGUAAGAUGGAGGGAAAUAGAGCAUUUCGCAAGGCAAAAUCAUCAAAUUCGCAAGGUGUGCCAAAAUUCGCAAGGUGUGCCAAACUUUCGCAGGGUGAUUACUACCAAAAAGUGCUAUUUUGUAGACCUAAUUAUAAUGGUUUUAAGCACCUUUGAGUAGUAAUCAUAUUCAUUUAACCCAAUUAAUUCAUUAAGGUCCUUAGUAAUUGGUUUUAACCAUUUUGUGGCAAGUUUACAUGUUUUUAUCAGCUUAUGAAUCAAUUCAAACAUGCCAAAUGAUGGAGGAGCUACUUGGACAAGUUAUGGCAAAGCUUUUGGAAGCUCAAAUUCAUGAAGAACCAAGCUUUGGAGCUCCAUAGCCCUUUUCCAAAGUCGUUCAAAGUAUGCAAGGAAAGAACAAUGGAAAAGAGGAAAAGCAAGCAAAGUGAAGAGAAGCAAAGAGGACAGCAGCUGCAGUCUUCUUUUGCCCUUUUGGAGCACUUACCGAAGUCCAUUUUUUACAUAAUAUAUACCAUUUCAAAGCUCUGGAAGUCAAGAAUCCAACGCUUUAAACCAUGUACGAUUUGGAGCUGAAAUGAGGAAGAUAUGGCCUUCGGAAGACAACUGCUCCAGGUUAUGCGAAAAUUUUGCACGACACAAGGUGUUAUGCGAAAUUCGCAUAACACCUUCAAAAUUCGCAUAACCCAUGCGUGGUGCGAAUUUUGCUCUGUUUUUUCCGACUCCACUUUAGAUAUUUUCCUUUGUAUUUUGUGAUGUAAUUUCCUUUCUUAUCCUUGUAACUAACCAAUCACAAGCUUUUGUUUUUGUAAAGACUAUAAAAGAGGUGGAAAUCACCUCUUGAAAAAAAGAGAACAUGCGUGUUAGGUUUUAUACAGAGCUCUCUCGUUUCUCUUUUCUCUUUACUAUUUUAUUUUCUUGGAAGCCAAACAGCCUCUGAGGGCUUUUCCUUAGAGGAUGAUUGGCUGAAACUUUUAGUUUUUCAAAGUAUGGAUGUUAUGUCAUGGCUUGGAUGCACUCCCAUGGAAAUUUCUCGCACCCGAAAGGUAAGGUAGACGUUUUUCAUUAAAGGUUCAUUAAUGUAAAGUUUGGUUUUUAUUUCCUUUGGACAACUUCCAAUGGCCAAUACUUGAUGAGCUUUUGGAUUUCUAUCCAUUAGUUAUCUCCUACGAGCUAUUGGAAGGUGAGGUUUUCAAUUCCAAGUUUUGCAUUAAUCUGUUAGAACCAAUUUCAAUGGCCAUUGAAAGGUGAGUUUAUCACUUGGAAUGACUUUGAGUUGCCAAUAUUUGGUAAGCUUUUGGCUUUAGACCAUUAGUUAUCUCUUACGAGCCAUUCAAAGGAAGUCUAAGGUGAAUAACCAUUGAUGAAAUUCACUACCAUCUGUUUUUCCAUUUUAAAAGAUUAAAACUUGAUUUGCUAAAUCCAUACCGGUUCGGGAAGCAAGCAUCACCAUAGUUGCAACCCCAACGCGAGGAGCCUAUCCUGAGAUUUCCAAUUUGCAUAAGAGCCAGAGCAUAGCUAUCCUAUCUUUGAGAAACUUGUUUUUACACCCUUUCAUUUUAGUCUUUAAUGUUAGCUUAGAUUAGUUUAAAUCUUUCUAAAACAUUUACAUCUUCUUUUAAAGCUAACAUCCAUAAGAAAAUCACUUAUUUUCCUAAUUUGAAUAUCACUUGUGUUUGCGAAAACCCUUCCCAGUGAACGAUCCUAGAACCACUAUGCUAUAGUAGCUUGGCUACUUUAGUAAUAGUAUUCAAGGUAUAAAUUUUGUUGAUACGCCUUUAAAUCUAAGCUACCAUGAGUCGAAUCACAGGGUGUGCCAAACUUUUGUAGGGUGUGCGAAAAUCACUUUGUGCGCACCGACCUUUGAGAUUUUUCUCCAGAACUGUAAUUGUUCCUUUUUAAUCCUUUUGUAAUAGAUUCAUUACAUUAGGGUUUGUUUAGGAACUAUAAAUAGGGGUUGGAAAACCUCUCAAAAGAUAUUAUGUUAGGAUAGAUAUUAUGUUUUAGAUAUUUUGUAAAGUCUGAGUUUUUCUCUGCCUUUCCUUCUCAUUUUCUCUUCACUUUCUCUCUAACCACACACCCUCUGAGGAUGAUUUCUCAGAGGAUGAGUGGCUAAGUUUCACGUUUCUUGGAGUGAUGGAAGCUAGGUAAAGGACCCAGAUGCAAAGGUAUGAGUUUUCCUUACUUUAAAUGAAGGUAGUUGUGUAUCAUUAAUGGUUUAUAUUUCAAGUUUCAGUUUUAAUCCCUUAGAAUCACCUUGAAUGGUCAAUACUUGGUAAGCUUUUAGGAUUCUAUGGAUGCUUAUUGCUAGAUCCAUGGAUGUCCAUUAGUUAUCAAGUACUAGCCAUUGGAAGGUGGUUCAAGGUGAGGGUCUUUAGUGUUUGAAGCCAUUAAUGGGAAGCAACUACCAUUUUUCAAGAAUCCUUUGGAUCAAAACUUAUAUGCUAAAUAUAAAUCCGGUUCGGGAGAUAACCAUCCUUUAUGUUAUUGUCCCCAAUGCAAGGAGAAGAUCUGGAAUUUCCUGCUUUGCAACAGGAACCUGAUCCUAGUAACCAUAGCUCCAAGAGACUUUCUCUUUAUAAUAAUUUCAAUUGUUUAUGUUUGCUUAACUUAAAAUCAACCCUUCCAAUCAAUCUUAUUUUCAUUUAAAAACUAACUUCCAAAAAGGAAAUCACCAUUUCUUCUUUUAUUAAUGUUAAGUGUACAAAGAAAACCCAUCUCUGUGGAUGAUCCUAAAGCCACUAUACUAUAGUAGCUUUGUCCUUGCUAUCCUAGUAUAAGGUGUUGUAGGUUUUAUAAAUGUUUUGAUAAACACCCGACUGGGCAUGAAUCAAAUGGCGUUGUUGCCGGGGAUGGUGCCUAAGCGCAUAAAUGUUACCUUUUAUGAGUACUUGUGAUCUUCAUCACAAGUUGGUGAUUUUUCUUUCACUAACUCAUUUUCUUUGUUUUUAUUUUAUCUUAUCUUUCAUUUAGUUUUUAGAUAACCUUAAAUAUUUUCCUAGAAUUGUAGUCCUUUUUGUUUUCUUUGUUUUUGUUUCAGUAAUCUCGGGUUGUGUAUGCCCUAUUAGAUAAGAGAUAUUGAGGGAAGACUUGUGAAAAUUGAAACUCCUCAAGAAACUGAGUUGGAAGUCUGCUUGAACAUCAUGGAUUGUCCACAUGAAGAUCAGCAUAGCCAACAUGGGCAAGAGGAGAAUCUCAAUGCAUACCGAUCCAUGAGGGACCGCAUGCAUCCACCUUGAAUGAGUGCACCUUCAUGCAUAGUGCCUCCCACUAAGCAGCUAGUGAUCCGACCUCAUAUAGUGCCACUUCUACCUACUUUUCAUGGGAUGGAAAGUGAGAACCCCUAUUCUCACAUCAAGGAGUUUGAAGAAGUGUUGAUUACUACCCAAAAAGUGUUAUUUUGCUCCUUUAAUUCAUUAUGUUUUAAGCACUUUUGUGUAGUAGUUCUCCAUCUUUAUUCCAAUUGGCAUGUUAAGGACCUAGCAAUGACUUCUAAUCAUAUUUGUGGCUAGAUUUAUUGUUUUGACAGCUUUUUGGAUCAUUAAGACAAGCCAAGUAAAGGAGAGAAGCAAAGAGGAAAACAGAGUGAAGAAAAUAGAGGACAGCAUCUGCAGUAUUCCUUUGCACUUUUGGAGCACUUAAUGAAGUCCAUUUUCUACAUGCUAUAUACCAUUUAAAAUAUCAGGAAGUCAAGAAUCCAACGCUUCAAACCGUGUAUGAUUUGGAGCUAAAAUGAGGAAGAUAUGGCCUUCGAAGACAACUGCAUCAAGCUAAGUGCGAAUUUCGCACAGCAGCCCAAGCAAGUGCGAAUUUCGCACCACCAGCCAUGCAAGUGCGAAUUCGCACCAGCCCAUGCUUCUUUGGUGCGAAAUCUCCUCUGUUUUUCCGACUCCACAUGAGAUCUUUUCUUUUGUAUUUUUUGAUGUAAAUUCCUUUCUUAUCCCUGUAAUUAGCCAAUCACACGCUUUGCUUUUGUAAAGAUUAUAAGAGGGGUGGAAAUCAUCUCUCGAAAAAUGACGAACAUAUGUUAUGUUUUACACUUAGUAAAAUACAGGGCUCUCUUUGCUUUCCUUUUCUCUCUACUAUUUUCUUUUUCUUGGAAGCCAAACAACCUCUAAGGAUGUUUUCCCAGAUGAUGAGAGGCUAAACCUUUGGUUUCUUGGAGUGAAGGAAGCUAGGUGAAAAGUCCAGAUGCAAAAGUGGAAAACUCUCGUGCAUUAAAUACAGGUAGUUGGAGUUCAUAAAUGGCUUUUAAAUCUAAAGUUUUGCUUUAAAUCCCUUAGAAUCACUUUGAAUGGCCAAUACAUGUUAAGCUUUAGGUCUCUGUGGAUACUUAUUGCUAGAUCCAUAUCAGACCAUUAGUUAUCAUGUAUGAGCCAUUGGAAAAUGGCUCAAGGUGAAGACCCAUAGUGUCUAAAGCCAUUAAUGGAACCUGACUACCAUUUCUAUUGACUUUUUAUGGAUUAAAUCUUCAUUGUUAAACCUAUACCGGUUCGGGAAACAACCAUCCUUUAUGUUGUUGUCCCCAAUACGAGAAGAAGAAUCCGGAAUUUCCACUUUGCAUUCUGAACUUGAUCCUAGCAACCCUUAUCUUCGGGAGACUUUCUUUCUUCCAUUUUUACCUAGUUCUAUAUUAGUUUAGCUUCAAACACCACUUUCAAAAAAAAAUUUAUUUUCCUUUAAACUUUAAGUUUUUGACAAAGGAAAUCAUCAGAUUCAAUUUCUAAUCUUGAGUAUAUCAUUGGUAGAAUGAAAACCCAUCCCAGAUUUCGACCCUAGAGCUGCUAUACUAUAGUAGCUUUGCUACGCUAGUAUGAGGUCAUAGGAUUUAUAAAUAUUUUUUAUUAAAACACCCGACUGGGCACGAAUCAAAAUGGCGCUGCUGCCGGGGAUGGUGCCACUUUACAGUGAUAUGACCUUUUCAGAGUACUUGUGAUCUUUAUCACAAGUUUGGUGACUUUUCUUUUCCUUUUAUUAACUCUUUUUUUUUGUUUAUUUUCCUUUGUUCAUGUUUUAGUAUAUCUUUUAUUUAGAUUUUAGUUAAUCUUAAUAAUUUUCUUUAGAAUUUUAUUUUCUUUUGUUUGCUCUGUUUUUAAUUCACAAAUUGCUAGUUGUGCAUGCCAUUUCUAAAACACUAGUGCAAGCUAUGUCGUGUGCCAUUUGUCAAUCUUUUGAGCACUUGGUGGAGGAGUGUCCUAUCCUUCCAGCAAUGAGGGAGAUGUUUGGUAUGCCAUGUGGCAUUUGUCAGUCUUUUGAGCACCUGGUGGAGGAGUGUCCUAUCAAUCCAGUGGCAAGAGAGAUAUUUGGUGAUUAUAACACCUACAAUUCAUUUUGUAGGAAUCAUCCAAAUUUCUUUUAGGAACCACAACCACGUCAGUACAUGCAACCCGCUCAAGCACCACAUCAAGCCUUGAAACUUGAACAAGCAAUUGUGAACCUUACCAAGGUUGUGGAAGACUUUGUAGCACACUAGAAAUCCAUCAUUGAUCAAUUCAGGCAAGAAAAUGCUCAAGUCAGGCAAGAAAUUGAUAGCCAAGACAGAAAGAUGGAUGGGAGGUUGAAUGAUUUGUCUCAGAAGACAGACAAUCUUGAAUACUCAAGCUCAAGGCUUAUCAACCUCAACACAGAGCGAGAAAAAGAAAACUUUCCUUCUCAACCAUAUCAACAUCUCAAGGGUAUCCAUAAAGAGGAGGCCCAAAACGAAGAAAAUUCAAUGGUGAGGAAAGUCAAAGUAGUUAUGGUUGAUCAGCCCAUAUUCAAGCCAAAGCAUGAUGAAGGGUUACCUGAACCCUCAGAGAAGCUUGCUAAUCUGUUCCAUUGGACGAGAACAAAAGAAAUGUAGCCCUUAUUGAAUGCGGUGGAGAUACAGAGACAUGCGAAGGAGGAGCCCCCAAAGCUUAUUCUUAACUCGCUACCUCUAAAGAUGAAAUAUGCAUACCGGGUAGAAGACAAGCUGAAACAGGACCAGUUUUUUUUUUUUUUUAUAGACUUAGUCUUUCUAAAGACUAGCUAGUCCAUAUAUUUUUGUUUUAUUUUUAAAUUUGUUUUGAUUUUGAUUUCUUGCUUUAAUUUUAUUUUGGUUUGAUUUAACUUGGGUUUUUUUAUGAUCAACACAGGGGAAGCCAAAAACAGAGGAAAACAGAGCAAUUUGCACCACCCUACCCCCUUGUGCAAAAUUGCUUUUGUGAGCAUUUUCCAAAAAGCAUGCUCUCGGUCCCUACCCAAAAUCUUAGUGCAAAAAUGCACAGGAAUGCGAAAAUUUUUGCCAUCACUAUUCACUUUGUGCGAAAUUCGCAUUUGCUCUUUAAAAGCCAAUUUCUCUUCUUAAAAUCUAAGUUUGUUCUUCUUCAAUCCUCUCAACCCCUCUUUUCCGAUCACUCCUUUCCAUCCACAAGGUCCUCUCCUUCAUCAUCUCCCAUCCUAAAACCCCACCAUGGCAGCCCAUCUCAAAAGCUUCAUUCCAUAGUCGCGGCCAUCACUAUUCACAACAGCCCAUGCCUUUCAUUUUCAGCUUUUUCUCCUCCUUCCACCAUAAAAAACCCUUCAUUUCUUCACUCAACACUCCAAAUCCAUCCCUAAACCCAACCCAACCUUGAUUUUUCAAAAUCAAAACCUCAAGCAUAGGUUUCAAAGCCUCGAUUUCUUCAUAAGAAACCCAUUGUCGCCGGGUAUGGGAGCUUCAAAAUCUCUCAUUCUCUUCUUGUAAAGCUCCCAUUUCCAAGCUUAGCCACCAUGAAAAACUCCUUUCCUACCUCAGCCAGCAUUUCCCACCCUCAAAAACCAAGAAUUGUUGCCAUUUGAAACCACCACAAUUUCGCAUUUGCACGGGUGAAUAGUGCAUUGUGUGAAAUUCGCACAACACAUUUCCCUUGUGCGAAAUUCGCACCACCCUUCCCUUGUGCAAAUUUUUGAGCUUCUUCAUCCCUACCUUCCCUAAUCCCAAGCCUCUGAGCCUCAUUUCUUUGUUCCAUUAUGCCUAAGACCCGAGGAGGCUAUGCCUCAGCUCCCUAGAGCAGUCAGAGAGCUGCCCCUGUGCAGGCCCCACUAGAUGUACCCCCAUAUUUACCUGAUUCUGUCCCUUAGCGCAGAUACCAUACGAGGAGAGCAGUUGCCAUGCUUGUGGCCCCUACUCAGAUUCCACCUAGGAGUCCUCCUACAAAGAAAGCCAAGACUUCAAAGCCAAGAGAGUCCUCCAGAGCACCUCGAGAUUCACAGUCUCAGCCUCCUCCCACCAAGCGCCCUAUCCUCGCCAGCUCGCCCAUUGAGGGCAACUCCGAUUGCCGAUCGAGAGCAUUCCAUGUCGAGGCAUAUUUUGAUCACUCUAUUUUGCGACAGCAGCCUGAGUUAGGGGAUUCAUACCGCAUACUUGAGAGGUACCACCUUAUACCCUUUAUGACUCCCCCACAGUUCUUUUAUCCUCAAGUAGCUUUAGACUUUUACCAGUCUAUGACUACUCGUGGCGUCCCGGUACCAGCCUCGAUCCUUUUUGCCAUUGAUGGAUGCCAGGGUAUUUUGGGGGCUAGACAGAUUGCCGAGGCUUUCCAUAUCCCUUAUGCACUAGCAGAUCCCGCUACAUUUAGACGUUGGGCCCCACUUUCUGAGUGGGACAUGGUUCGUAUACUAUCUCGAGGGACAUCUUCACAGAGGAUCAUUAUGAGGAAGGAGCUUCCCCCUGGGAUGCUCCUAGUUGAUGUGGUGCUUUGUAACAAUCUUUUUCCUCUUCAGCAUAAAGUGUAAAGGCGAGGGGCCAUUCUAAAGGCAUUAUUCCGUAUCUCUGAGGACUACUACUUUAGCCCCCAUCAUUUGAUUAUGGUCGCCCUCCUCCAUUUUGAGGAGAAGGUGCAUAAGCGGCGUCUUACGAGGGCAAACACCAUUCUUUUAUUUUUCCCUCGACUGCUAUGCCAUGUUCUAGCGCAUAUGGGUUUCCCUGCAGACCCUCAUUCUGAGCACCGUCGCCAUUAUCGAGAGAACUUCUCUCUUGACCAAUGGAAUCAGGUAUGGCUCCAUCAACAUUCCCCAGAACUUCCCGAGCCAAGGGAAGUCCCUCCACAGCCUUUACCAUCUAUAUCUGCUCCGUCCACUUCAGCUCCCUCGGAGCCCGUACCAGAGGCAGCAUUGUCUGACACCCCACCUGUUGUUCCUCCUACCUAAGAGCCACCCAUUACUAUCCCUGGUGCAGAGUAUCGUGACUUGCUCGCUUCUUUCCAGACUCUGACCACUACUCAGACGGCUAUUAUGGAGCGGAUGGACCACUUCCAGCUUCGGUAGGACCAACAGACUCUCAUUCUCUGUGAGAUUCAGCAGCACCUCGGUCUUUUGCCACCAGCUCCACCUGUUGCUCCUGUGCCCUCAGAGCCUUCUACUCCAGCUGAUGAUGCUACACCUAUAGCGGUACCUUCCACAGUUGCAGCGGAUGACCCCUCCUAUCCACCAGAGGAGCCUACUACUUGAUCAUACGAUCACUCCUCUCAUUUUUUGAUUUGUAUCUAUAUUCUAUGUUUUUGGAUGUGUUAUAUAUUUUGGACUACUUUUAUAUUGGGAUUGGAUGUGUUCCAUGUUUAUCUUGUAUAUUGUACUCUCUCAGUUUAUAUAGACAUCUUCCUUUUUGUGUAUUUUAGUUUUUUCUUUUUAUUUCCUCUAAUCAUCACUCUUAUGAUUUUUCUUUUCUUAUGCAACAUGUGGUUUCUCCUAUUCAUUUAGAGUCCCUUACUAUCAGGAGGUAUCACUUCCUCCCUUUUUAUUAUCACUUGUUUUUGGAACAUUGGGGACAAUGUUCAUCCUAGUUGGGGAGAGAGUUGAGGAAGUAAUUUAUUGAAUUUUUAGUUAAGUUAUUUUGCUAACAAAUUUUUUGCAAACUCUUUUUGUUUUCUCAAAGAUAAAUUCUCAAAAAUAAAUGGGAGAAAUUAAAUUCUUAUCUUAUUGCCAUAGUCUUAGAGUUUGUAUUAUGCUUAUUAAAGUUGAUAAAUUGUUGAAGCUCCUUUUGAUUUCAAUCUUAAGUCUUCCACUCUAAUCUUUUCACACACUGAACACAUUAGAUUCCAGUUAUAAGAUGGAAAACUUUCUCACCCCCUAAACUUAGGAAAUUUUCGACUUGGUGCCUUUGACCUCAUUCUAUUAGUGUUGGGACACCUUAUAAAAGGCCAAUGUGUCUUAUGAAAAAAUUUGCUUCACUUGCUUUGAAACUCGAGCAAGGUUCGAGGGGUAUAUGGUGAAAAUCUUUGAAGUCUGGUGCCCUAAGCCUUUAUUGGUUGGGAGUCACUGACCUCACUGCUCGUUACAUAGGUGGAUGGGUGGAGUUCAAAAAAAAAAAAAAAAAAAAAAGGUGCGUUCUUAGCCUUUUAUAUGGGGGUUAGUGUUGCUAAAGUUAGAGAAAAACCUUAGUUGGGGGGAGAAUAUAGUUUGACAUACUAUAACUGGAAACUAAGCACCUUAACACUUAGAUUUUUGUGGAAGAUUAAGAGUUGGUCCUUUGGGAGUGGAAAUUAUUGUGAUACUCAAAUUUGCAUAAUGCCCACUCUUUGUAUGUUGUGAUAUGUAAGUUAUUUGAUGACUCUUGUUGAUGAUUGAGUUUUAUAUCCUUGACUUGCCAUGUGAGAUUUUGAUCUAAUCAUGCCACUUGAUUAUUUUUUCGAGUGAUCAGCAUGAUUUUGUAAAUUAUUAUAUUAUCUAUUUUUCUUUAUUUUUCUCUCCUUCAUUGCUCAGGUACUAGCAAUGUGUCAGUUGGGGGGAGUGAUUACUACCCAAAAAGUGUUAUUUUGCGCCUUUAAUUCAUUAUGUUUUAAGCACUUUUAUGUAGUAGUUCUCCAUCUUUAUUCCAAUUGGCAUGUUAAGGACCUAGCAAUGACUUCUAAUCAUAUUUGUGGCUAGAUUUAUUGUUUUGACAGCUUUUUGGAUCAUUAAGACAAGCCAAGUAAAGGAGAGAAGCAAAGAGGAACACAGAGUGAAGAAAACAGAUGACAGCAGCUGCAUUCUUCCUUCGCACUUUUGGAGCACUUACCAAAGUCCAUUUUCUACAUGCUAUAUACCAUUUCAAAGCUCAGGAAGUCAAUAAUCCAACGCUUCAAACCGUGUACAAUUUGGAGCUAAAAUGAGGAAGAUAUAGCCUUCGGAAGACAACUGCAUCAAGCUAAGUGCGAAUUUCGCACAGCAGCCCAAGCAAGUGCGAAUUUCGCACCACCAACCAUGCAAGUGCGAAUUUCGCACAGCCCAUGCGUCUUUGGUGUGAAAUCUCCUCUGUUCUGCCGACUCCACAUGAGAUCUUUUCUUUUUUAUUUUUUGAUGUAAAUUCCUUUCUUAUCCCUGUAAUUAGCCAAUCACAGGCUUUGCUUUUGUAAAGACUAUAAGAGGGGUGGAAAUCAUCUCUUGAAAAACGACGAACAUAUGUUAUGUUUUACACUUAGUAAAAUACAGGGCUCUCUUUGCUUUCCUUUUCUCUCUACUAUUUUCUUUUUCUUGGAAGCCAAACAACCUCUAAGGAUGUUUUCCCAGACGAUGAGAGGCUAAACCUUUGGUUUCUUGGAGUGAAGGAAGCUGGGUGAAAAGUCCAAAUGCAAAAGUGGAAUACUCUCGUGCAUUAAAUACAGGUAGUUGGAGUUCAUAAAUGGCUUUUAAAUCUAAAGUUUUGCUUUAAAUCCCUUAGAAUCACUUUGAAUGGCCAAUACAUGUUAAGUUUUAGGUCUCUGUGGAUACUUAUUGCUAGAUCCAUAUCAGACCAUUAGUUAUCAUGUACGAGCCAUUGGAAAAUGGCUCAAGGUGAAGACCCAUAGUGUCUAAAGCCAUUAAUGGAACCUGACUACCAUUUCUAUUGACUUUUUAUGGAUUUAAUCUUCAUUGUUAAACCUAUACCGGUUCGGGAAACAACCAUCCUUUAUGUUGUUGUCCCCAAUACGAGAAGAAGAGUCCGUAAUUUCCACUUUGCAUUCUGAACUUGAUCCUAGCAACCCUUAGCUCCGGGAGACUUUCUUUCUUCCAUUUUUACCUAGUUCUAUAUUAGUUUAGUUUCAAACACCACUUCCAAAACAAAUUUUAUUUUCCUUUAAACUUUAAGUUUUUGACAAAGAAAAAACCAAAAGCAACCCUGAAUCAAGUACCAAUUAAACACUAAUCUAAAUUAAAGUGAUCGUGAGAAGUUGCCAACUCAUAUUGGCUGGUGUAAAGUUUUUUUGGGAUUCAAUAGGUUUUGAUAUACUUCCCUUAAACCAUCGCACUUGAAUUUAAAGGCUAGAAUCAAGAAGCCUAAUGAAACUUGGUACAAGCUCAAUUACUGGACUUCUUAUUAAUUAACCAGGAGCAUCAAGUGACAAGAUAUUCACAAAAUCUAUCAAAGCAAUGAAAAUUGUGUAUCCUACAUAAUUUGAUUGUAGAGCUGAUUUCAAAUCCAUUACUCGAACUUAAAAGGAAAAAAAUUGAAGACAAUUUUGUGAGGACAAAUUAAAAUUGUGAGGAUCCCGAAUUCAACAAAUUAGCAUUUCUCUACCGGGUGCAAUUUGGCAAAUUGGUUUGACCUAACUUGAAUCUUGGUGAAGUUGAGAAACCAUUUAUAGUACUCAAGUUAGGAUUUGGUCGAGUUUCUCAACCAAAAGUUAUUUUGGGUUGAGUUCAAUUUUGGGCUAAGUUCAAACCAAUGCUUCAACAAUCUAAGCUGAAUUAAACUCCAUUAAUAUUUUAUAAUAUUUAUAGAAUAUAUUACUAUAUAAUAAUAUCAAUUUUUUUUCUAAAAUAAGUUUAAGGGAAAAACCAUCAAAAUAUAUUAAGCUAACUCUCAGAAAUUUGCCUAUCCCCUUGUGAACACUAUUUGGAAGGAAAAUUAAUUAGGAAGCCUCUUAAGCAAGCCAAAAAGGUAUCUGGUCCUUUGUAGCCUAUGCAUUCCAAAGUACAGGGCCUAAUGAACAUGCGAGCCAAGCAUGGUGCCUACUACUUCAUCACAUUUGCGGAUGGUUAUAUCUACAAGUCCAAAGAAUUGCUUUGAUUUAGAUGUUAUAUGAAUAUUGUUAAAAAAAAUGAAAAGAAAAAACUAUUACAACAUUAAGGAUAAAUCAUGGACUUGAGUAUCCAUUGAAGAGUUUUAAAAAUCUCUAUGAUGAAAAGGAAAUCCAAAGAACAAUCAAUGGCUUCAAGGACUCCACAGUAAAAUGGUUGAACUAAAAAAAGUAACCAUAAACUUUUGGAUAUGGUUCACUCAAAAAGGCACAAGCCAACUAUCUAACAUCUUUCAGGGUGGGAAAUGAGGGUUACUAUUUUGAUUGAAUAGAGUGCCCUCAAAAUCAAUUACUUCAAAUCCAUAUAGUUAAGAAGUCAAACCUAGCUCACUUGUGAUCCUAAGGGUUAGCAAGUUUAGUUCAUGUAAAUUUUCAUAGAUAUUGUGCUAUAAAGGAAACAAGUGCACUUUCAUUAGAUAUUCUAAUAAAUCAAAGGUUGUGUGAUGCUUAGUGAACAACUCAAUGGGAGUAUAAUUGAAAUAAAGUCAUAUGAAGUCAAUUUCUUAUAGGAUGAUAUUUUUAGUAGAGCAGCAUUGAACAAGAGUCUCAAUUUAUUUGAGGCAAUUAAACCAAAGGAAAAUACUAUGAUAUCUCAUAUCGAAUAGGAGAAAAAGUUCUUGACAUUAUAUAUAUGAGCUUCUCUUAAUUAUUUAGACACAUUUUAAUGUUGUAAGGGCUCUUUGAGCCCAAAGUGGAUGAUAUAUAUUUACACGGUUGGGAGUGAGUCAUUACAAAUGGUAUCAAAGUGUAUCCUCAACCAUGGUAUGGGAGUUUAUCUCAUCAUUGUAAUUAUGGGCAUUAAGGUGAAGCUUUCAUGUUUGCAUGAUAUGAUGUAACCAUAAAUGGAGUUCAUUAAUACUUAUAUUAUGACUUCGAAUUUCUAUUCACUAUCCUAUUUAUGAAUUAUGUAUGUUAAGCAUUCAAACCUACAUCACUUGCAUGUACAUGACUUGAGUGAAUUAGGAGUCACAUGAAAAAUCUAAGUCAUAGAUUCCUUACAAGUUAAUGACUCGUUCACAAUUGGUUCAUGGACUUUAAUAAACCAUUUGAGGCUAUAGUGCACUACCUCCUAAUUGGAGGGAUGACUUGCCCUAGUCAUUAGGAUGGGUUCCCCAUGGUGAGUGUACUAGUGUGUUUAAUUAUGUUGGGAAACCUAGAUAUUUCCAUUCCCAUAACCCUAGAUCGUAUAGGUGCAUGCAAAAUACCCUAGGCCUCUAAAUCCUAUGAACCAGAAGCAAAAAUCAAAAUUUUAACAUUCUAUAAUCUAGGGAAAAGUCACUAAAAACUUUGAGAAAAUUAAAGGCUAAUCUUAAUAGAGAAAACACCCAAGAGAUGAGGAAGGGGGUGAAUUGGGUUUUUAAAAAAUAUUUUUCAAACACCACAAAUUCAAGAAAAUGAAACACAAAUAUAAAGAUAUAAGGUUAGAAAGAGCAAACUUAGAUUUUAUAGUGGUUCAGCACUUCCUUGCCUAUGUCCACUCUCCUCAACCUCUUAACCGAGUGAAGGUUCCACUAUACUUGAAGCUUCAACUAAGCUUUUAAUCACCUUUACACUUGGAUUCCGGCUCCAAUGGGCUAUUACAUAAUCCCUUCAAGUCUUAACUCACUUGAAUCUUUUAGCAUUCAAAUAACAAGUUUGAAUCUCUCAACCUAGCCCAACAAGGGCUCAAAUACAACUUAAAUGUUAGGAAGAAUCACAAAGGUGCACUAAGAAAUAUGCAAAUGGAUAUUGAAUGCACUAAGGAAAGAAUGAGAGCUUUUGAGGCAAGAACAAGUAGGCAAACAAAUAAAUGCAGGUGUUCUCUACCUCAUAAAUGAAGUGGAGUUCUCAAUUUAUAGGUUUCUAGCCUUAAGAGUAAAAAAUGCCAAAAAGCGGCCAUGAUCAGUCGAGUUAGGGUUACUAGCCAUUGGAUAAUAAAUGCAUUGUAGGUGAUUGUUACGCCUCAACCGGUUUUUGACCAAAUCUCGACCAGAUCUCGACCGAGAAGGCAUAUCCCUUGACCAGGAAUGCAAAGCUAUAAGAAGAGAGAGAAGAUUUUUUGCAUUUCUCGACUGGACCUCGAUCAAGAAGGUGUAACCGAUCGACCAGUGCCCUAGCCGAUUGAGCCAGUUGGCUAGUGCCUUGACGAGUUCACCAUUUUUUGCCUGAAAACUUUUUUUUUUUUUUUUUGUUCUUUUCUCUUCUAACACUUAGGCAAGGUAUUUAGGUAAAUUAAUAUGCCAAUUUUGAAACAAUUUGUCUAAGGUUCAUCUGAUAAAACUCGGGUUUUGACGAAAAUGUAACUUUAAUGCCUAAACUGAGUUUUUAAAGUGCAUGAAAAGAUAUGAAAAUCCUAUGUGCACAAUGCAUUCAUCUUAGAUAUGUUUCCUAUUAUUAAAGGGUCUUUCAAUUGUCUUGAUCUUGCAUCCAUUGGGUUCUUUUAUGAAUUUCCAAACUAAUAUAUGAAAUUCUUUAUAAUUCAAACCAAUUAAUGACUUAACCAUGGUUUGUUAUCAUCAAAACGUGAUUAGGAGAACCCUUGGGCUAACAAACUUUACAUUUGAUUUAAAUGGUUCUUAAAUCAAUUAUGCUUAGUGAAUGUGAAGCCUAAAGAGUCCAGAGGUCUCACACAUCGAAAAUCUUUUGCUUGAUGACUUGAUCCACGAUCUUGCCACUCCAAAAUGGGGGCUUUUGAAGAGAGAAAUCCUAGGCUCUCUCUUUUUAGAGUUAGAAGAUGAUUGUCUCUCAAAAAGUGAUUGCAACCCUAACCUUUAAAUGGUAUUUAUAGAAUUUCCCUACUGGGCUUAAAUGACUUGAGCCCACUAAGGCUUGGGUCACUUAAUCUUGUAUAAAAUAGGUCUUAAUUGAUUAAUUAACCAUACAAGAUCAUCUAAUUACCUAAUUCAUGUCAAUGAGAUAAUAAAGAGAAAACAAAAAAUAUAAAUAAAUUUCUAUCUGUUACAUCAUGUCAUGCUUUUUAGGGCUCAAUCCUAAUAGGUUACACAUUAGAUAGGAUUUAUGGUGAGUCAGACAUUGGUCAUUAGGUAGUCUUGACUUCACGAAGCUACUAUGUUGCAUAAGCUCUCAACCUUGAGAGAAUAUUGAUCUAGUGCUAAGGUCUUCAAUGGCUUUGACCCAUGAGUGAGACCCUAAAGUGGUCAUAUAUUCUCUAUAAAUUGAGUCACUAUGAUUGAGGCAUGUGAUAAUGGGUAUUCUCAAGAUAAGCACCAUGAUAUCUUAAGGGAUUGAAACAUUAUAUCCCCUUAGAUGAUCAUAAGGACAUGUGAUUGUGAAAAUUAUGGUCAUAAUAAUUCCUUAAGUGGAAUUUGACAGAUGCUCUUGAAGAGAUAUAGUAUGUCAAUUGAUCACAUAAUAGGAGGAUCUAAGACUCAAGGAUUGUAGAAGUAGUCUUGAGAGGUUGAUAACAUUCAUUUUGUUAAAUUAUGGAUAAUAAUUCAUGAGGAGCUUGCAUGCAAUUGCUAGUAGGUCACAAACUGAAGUUUUCUAUCUCGGUCUAAUAUCAUAAAGAUACUAAAGUGUAGUUGACUCUCUAGAGUUAGAUUUUGAGUCAACUUUAAAAUUGGAUUUUAAGGGAGCUAGUACUUCCCUAUGGAUCCUAGUGGUUCCCACUCAAACUCAUAUUCCUUGGUCAAAAAAUAUUUGAGGAAUAGUAGGAUUCUUUAUUUAUAUGUGUGUAUAAGAGCAUUUUGGUAAAUACAGAAGGUUGCACAAGUACAUAUAAAUAGUCUUUUAAAUCAGAUAAUUAAUUAAUUGAAGCUUAAUAGAUAAAUUUAGUUAAUUAGGACCUAAUGAGUUAGAUUAAGUAACCCAAACAUAAGAUGAGCUCAAGUCACUCGAGCUAAGAGGUAAGCCUAUAUAAACUCCUUAAAGGGUUUAAGGCUUAGUACUUUUCAGCUAUUCAAUCUUCUACCUUAAUAUCUAUCCCCGUAGAGAGGAUUCUAACACCCUUGUGUAUUAGGAUACAAGAAAGAGAGUUAUCAGGCAAAAGAUCAUGAGUUAUUUGAGAUCUUAAUUAACCUCUUCACCAAUUAGAUUUAAUUCUUUGAGCACUUAAAUCUAAUAUUCAUUGUUCUGAAUUCUCCCAUUACAUAGUUCUAGCAUUUCUACGAAGAUAGUGUCAUGCACCUAAUGAUCUAGGGCUUGAAGUUAAGUAAUCUAGAUGUUCCAACACAUCAGAAGUAUAAAUUUUUUAAUAAUGUUCUCUUAUCCAUACUUGUGAAAUAUGGAAAGCUAUAGUGAAAUAACAUAUGAAGUUUAUUAGCAAGAACUCUAUUUGAGAAUUAAUUGAACUAUUGUUAAGACAUAAGACCUUAAGGAAUAAGUAGGUUUUUAAGGUCAAACUUUAGGCAAAUGAUGCAAGUUGUUAAACUUAACUCAUGAAGAAAGGCUACAACCAAAAUGAGAGUGUAGAGUAUAAAAAAAAAAAAAAAAAAAAAAAAAAGAACUUCUCAUGAGAAGUGAGGUUUGCCUCAACUCUCCUUAUUCAACCAUUAUCACAUUUUGGAUUUGAAAUUAUAUCAAAUAAACAUUCAAAUCAUUUUUUUUUCAAUGGAGAACUAAAUAAGAAGAACUAUAUAGAUCAACUAACUUGUUUUAUGGCAACUAAAUAGAAAGUCAAAGUUAACAACUACAAAGGUCCAUUUAUAGCCUACAAUAAUCAUUUAAACAAUGGUAUAUUACACUAAUGGGUUUAUGAUGGUCUAAGAACACUAUUACAUGUUUGUUAAAUGGUGUAAGGGUAGAUUCUUUAUUUUUUAUUUAUUUAUUUAUUUUUUUGUAUACAAAUGAAAUGUUAGUUAGGGAUGAUAAUGAGAUGGUUGCCUCUAAAGUGUGGUGGUCGUCAACUUUUAAAAUGAACAACAUGCUUAAAGCAAACUAUGUGUUCAAAGUUAUGAUUCUAAUCAAUCAAUCAAUGAGACUUUUUGGUUUGUUUUACAAAUCAUACACAAUGAAUAUUCUUGGAAAAAAUCUAGAUGUAAAAUUGAAAAUCUAUUAGCAUACAUAUACAGAAAGAUAAGACCUUAAGCUUUAACAUGUGUCGUAAGACUUUAAAUGAAUAGGAAAAGAUCACUCAAGGUUCCUAUAUGCUAGCAUUGUUAGUAGCUUAAAGUACCCAAUGAUGUGUACAUGAACUAAUAUUUGUUAUGUAAUUAGGUUAGUAACUUCUAAUUAGAUCUAAACCUUGCUUACAAAAAAGCAAUGGACUGGAUGCUUUCGUACCUUAAAGUCACCAUAGGCUAUAUAAUUUUCUAUUGAGGAUUGAAUUUGGACUUGAUUAGCUAUAACAAUGAUAAUUGGGGUAGCAUCCUAAAUGAACCCAAAUCCACACAUGGUUAUAAUUUUACAUAUGCUCUAUGAUGGUAGCAUAUAUUGGUGAAAUAGAAAACAAUCAUGUAUAACAUUGUCUACCAUGCAUGUAGUUAGGAGUACAUGACUUGUCGUUUAGGAAAGUGACUAGUUUAUGAUGUUCAUACAUAUUUUUCACAAUAUUGCUUGUUCUUUUGAGCAUACUACUAUUUAUUGUGAUAGCAUGGAAACUUUAGCCUAUGUCAAAGACCCCCCCAAGUAUCCAUAGUUGAACCAAACACAUCAAUCUUAAACAUUAGUUUAUAUGAGACAUGGUUGCAUAGGAACAUAUUUCUAAUUGAUAAAUGGUUAAAAAUCCCACCCUCACCCCCUUGUUGACUAAGCUAAUAUGUAAAGAUGUUUAUUAGGGUCAUGUUGAGAGCAUUGUAUUAUUUAGAUUAUGAUUACAUGGGAGUUAAGUUAAGAGCAUUGGAUCAUGUAUAUUAUGAUUACAUAUUAUAUAUUUCAAUUAACCAUUAUAUCUAUGAUUUAUUCAUUGUCCAAUCUUGUUUGAUGGUGCCAUUUAAUUAUUUGUUUUACUUUAUUGACAUACACUUUCAUUACUUUGCACAAUUGAAACAUAAUGAGUCCAAACCACUUAGAUAGUGUGUUAGAUCAUUGAUAUUUAUAAGACUCCUAUUUGUAUCCAAUAAAACUUGCAUGUUAGUAGCGACCAAGUAUAGAUAGUCCUAUAGUACACAUUUGUAAUGGAGUCAAUUGCCAAAUCUUGUUAAUGUAGUGCUUGAUUUAGUAAGCAUGUGCAAAACUUGAGUUCUUUGUUCGAUGCAAGUAAACUAAGAUUUGUACAAUAUAGAAGAUCUAAGGUACACUCAUAAUGAAGAUCUCCAUGUCAGCAUGUAUUUUCAUACUAUAUCUUCUUGGCAAUCAAACAAGAAUGAAUGAAUAUAUUCAUAGCUACUCCCUCAUCAUGUGCAUUAAUCUUAUAGGUCAUUAUAUAGUAUAACUUUUAUGCCCUUGUGAUUUUCAGUCAUAAGUUACAAGUAUGGUGUAGUUUUAAAUAUUUUUCUAAGGGGAUUCACCAUGUUUAACUCAAUGUGAAUAAAAGUGUUUAAGAUAUAACGAGACACCUUUUAGGGAUGAAUUACACUGGUUAAGAUGAAAUUUAGUUUAAUACUCUUACACCUUUCUUAUCAAUGUGUUCGACAGUUGUACAAUCCAUUAGUCAAUAUGGACAUGGAUGAUAAUGAUAUAGUUGAGAGAAAUGCAUGACGUUAUUUUGCCUACUAUGCAUGAGUGGGAAACAAUGGAGUUUCUAUUUCAUGAGAUACUCUUAGUAGAACUUCAUUAACUAAGAGCUUGAGAGUAAGUUGCAUACUUAUCAGUUAAGAUUCCUCAUGCGAGGAAAGUUUAGUUAAGAUUCCUCUCGUGGGAGGAGGUUCACAUUUAGAUUUGGUCAGAAUAUAUAAGAGUUGUUUGUCCUUUGCAAUUCCAAUUCUAGUCUUUUUGCAUGUUUUCAAUUUAGUUUGUGGCAGUUGUUAAAUACUUCUACUUUAAUUUGUAGCAAUUAUAAUUUUUAAAGCUUACUAUUUAGGUUUAGAUUUACUACAUGCUUAUUAGAUAUCUUAAUUCCUAUUGUAUUCUCCUUGGUUAAUAAUCUUUCAAUUUGAUUGUGGAGUUCAAAGAUUUUUACCAAAAUAGGGAUCGGGGUUUUCAAAGUUAGGAAAAGUAUUUAAUAAAAUUAAUUUUUGAAAAAGUUUGCAAGCUAAAUCUUUCAAUUGAACCUAAUGAGUUUACAUACUAAAUCUCUCAUUUUCAGCCUUGGUUGUUUCCACUCUUUGCAAUUUAAUUAGUUUUUUUUAAUAUACAUAUAUAUAUAUAUAUAUAGAUAAUUCAUUUUGUGUACCUAUAUACUCAAGUUUUUGAGUAAUUAUGAGUUGUAUUGUUAUAUAGUAGAAUUUGAUAAACUAAAAAUGCUUACCUUUGAACAAUCGAGUACAAUAGCACAUUUGUGUGGAUAAAUCAUAGCUACCAACUUGAUUCUCCAUGCCUCCUCUAUUAGGCUGACUAAGAAAAUGGAUUAAUUUCACAAGAACACCUUAAGAAUAAAAAUGUCAAGAAAAAGAGAAAAAUCAUGCUUCAUCUAAUUUGACUGCAAGACUUAAAGGAAAAAACAUAAUAAUAUAAUAGUUAUUAUAAUGAAUAUAAUAAAAGGAAAAAUUGUCAUGUUCUUCCCAAUACUCAUAUAACCCCUUUCAAUGAAACUUUGUAAGCUCUACUAAUACAAAAUAAUGGUUCAUAUAGUAAAAGCUCAAUAAAUGAAUCUUUGAUAAAUUGAUAAUCUUACUUAUAAAACAAAAUCUUCUAGUCUUAACUCAUACCAAUGUACUAAAUUAGCAAUCUCGUUAAAUACAUAAGAAAAAUAUUUUCAAAAAUCAUUAAGGGCUCAAGAAAUAUAAACUAAUAAUUGAUGAAGUAGAAACAAAAAUUUAUAGUAUAGCAAAUAGAACUUCGUAAUAUAGUAUUAAGUAAUUUUUCAUAACUUUUGUUUUUCUAAAUUCACUUCUUUUAGAAUUAUCACAUAUUUGAAAUAGCUUUAUCUUUUUCAACAUUAAGUUUUGAUGCCACAUCUUUUUUUAGGAGUCUUUUUAUCUUUAAUUUACAAUCAAUAACUUUUUUUUUUCUUCAGUCUCUUAGGUUUCUAUGUAUUAACUUUUUACCAUGUUUAUUAUUUUUAAAUUUAUUAAGUCAUACAUGUACUAAUAAUGUACAGUAACAACAUAAUACUCUUCAUCAAUUAAUAAAUAUUCAUUUAUCUAUAAAUCAAUAACCUUGCUAAGAUCAUAAUUUUUCUUAGUACCAAGAGUACUAUUUUAUAAGAGUUUUUCUCUAUAUAGUUCCUUCAUUGUAGGAAUUUCUUUGGGUUAAUAUUACUAAAGUUGUAAUUUUAAAAAACAUAUAUAAUGGAAAUGAAGAGAAAUUUGAAAUCUAUGAAUUAGUGUUUUAUAUCAUUCUUUUUUCCUAUGAAUGCUAAAGCCAUUGUCAAAUAAAAAGAGUAAAUAAAAUAAUUAAUCAAGUAAUUAGUUGAAAGUGAAAUAGGUGACUUAAAACUAUUGCUUUGGUACAUGUUUGUUUGAGGUAAAUAUAGUAGAUAAUAAGAAAUAAAAUCCUCUAACUAUGUUUAUUUGAUAGAAUAAAAAAGUGAGUGUGUGGUUGCUCCAUAGGAGAAGACCACAUGUUAACCAAAGAAUAAGUAACUAGAAAGCUUACACAAGUGUUAAAUGAUCAAUUUCUCACCUAAGCACAUUAAUGAGAACUAAAUGUUGAAGGUCCAUGCCUCCAUGUGGGGAGACCUUAAUUGCUACCUUAAAGGGGCAGUUUAAAAGUGGUCACAUCCUCUAUGCCAAGUUAGUAUUCCAAAAACUAAGAAAGUUAACCUUUGAGUUGAUGCUUAUUUGUUUGGUAGUUUCCUCAUUCUUCUUACUAACUUGACCUUUGAAGGCUCUAUGACUGUAAGGAGCCUAGAGUGGUCACUUUAGGUUCCUUAUUAUUGUAAGGUCCUAACCAUCCAUUGAAGUAAGAAAGUGAACUAAUACUUGGAAAAAUGGUGUCAUCUAUGGUGAAGAUACAAAAAUUCAGCUCACCAAAAAAUCUUAGUAAAGCUACUAAAAAACACCCCACCCCGAGGCAAGGACCUUCAUUUUAGUACUCCUUGAGGUCUACCCAAAUCAAAGACCCGACGUUGAAGAAAUGAAGUCAACUAAACUUAGUUCCAUGCAUGAUAAGGUUGAAAAGCCUGCAUAAAAACCUACAGAAAGCUUGCCUCUUUAUAAGAAUAACUUGAACAUAAAAAGGAAGAAGACCUAUAAAAGGAAAUCAUAAACAACAAAGAAAAAGAAGUUUUUCCCUCCUUUGAAAAAGCUUUCUGUGAAUGCAAAAACCUAUUUUUUUUUUUUUUAUCAAGAAACCUUCCUUUGUAUCCAAAAAUUGGUGGAAUAAAAAUUUUUAAUUACAUAUGAAGAGUUUUAGCUUCUUCAUAUGGGAAUGCAUUAAAAGCCUUGAAGACAUUGUUUAGAUCUAUAGCAACGGUUAGGCAAUAGAAGACUAUGUAAUAGAGUCUUGGUAGGAAAAUGUAAUCAUGAUAGAAAUGAAGUGGAGCAAUGAGUGAGAGCAAACCAUUCAAUAAAUGAAGAAGCUCACUAAAAGAAGCAAUCGACUCAUUCAAGAAAAUGUUGCCUUCAAGGUAAGGGUAAACAAAUGCCAAUGUGAUUUUGACUAGGAACUCUCAUUGGUAAGCACCAAUAAGAUGCAAGUUAAUGAAUAAUAGUUAUCAAAGCAAUUAGACCAACAUAUAGAUUAAAUUGGGAGAGAAAGGUGAAGCAAACCUUAAUUAAACUAACCAAAUAGACCACCUUGCCAGAGGUCCCAAUGCUCUAAGGGCUUCUUACCACUAAAGCUACCACAAAAUGCAUAAUCUUAGUGGAUAAGGCGAUUGAGGCUAAGUCCCUUUAGGAGGAGGAGGAGGCCACAUGAGGGUUUUCCCUCCCUAAGUUUAAUUUCUUUCAAUGAAACUAAAGGCACUCUAGAUAACUCAUGCAUUUCUAUGCAUAUGAUGAUCUUAGAGAAGGGAAAUGAUCGACUUUUAUGCAAAAUCUUCUCCUUCAUCCUCCAAGGACUAACUUUGUAUUGUUUUAUCAACUUACCUUAGAGUUUGUUCCUGAUAUUGAGACCCUAAGGGCGAUGUCUGCCUCCUAGUACAUGCACUUAACAAGACAAAAGAAAAGCCUCAAAUAACCCAAGGUAGUUAUAGCUACCAUCCAUGGUGGCUCAUCUACUAGAUUUGAGUAACUAGACAGGGUAUCAAGAUGUUACAGAAGCAUAUGGCGAUUGAAGCAAAAGUCCUCACAUCCUUGCAUGAAGCAACUACCACUUGUCCAUAUGUCAUAUGCUUCUCUAAUAAAGACUUAAAAGGAGUCCAAACCCUGCCCAAGAUCCAUUGGUUAUUACUUUAAGAAUUAUUGAAUACAACAUGCACCUAUUCUUAGUUGACCUAACAAGUUUAGUUAACUUGCUAAAUAUAUUAGCCCAUAUAUGAACAAAUGAAUAUGGACGAAGGAAAACUAGUUUCAAGUCUUGGGUCAUUAGUGGGACUAGACAAAGUCCUAUGUGGCUCAACUAGGGAAGCAGCUCUAAUGGUUUCAAUUAGUUGUUGCCAUAUAAUGACACAAUUCUUUGUUAUGGAUAUCCUUUUCCCGAUAAUGCCAUUAUGGGAUGAACAUGGAUAUACAACCACAGAGGAACACUAUUCACAUACCAUCAUACAAUUAAAUUCCUAACACUACAAGGAAUAUGGGAAAUAUAUCGGGACUAGGUGGCAACAUGAGUAUGCUACACCAUACCCCUUAAAGCAGUCAACAAGUGCAUCAACCAGGACCUUUAGGAAGUUCAUAAAUCAAAACUCAAAUACAAAUUAGUAGGUGACCCAAGAAAGCAAUUAGAGAACCUAUGGAUUCAUUAUUUGAAAGCCCCUAAACCUAGGAGGUUCCUUCUAGUCCAUGUAAAAAAAAAAAAAAAGGUUUAAGAUGGCUACUAGAAAAAAACACAUCUUUGCUAGGAAACUACAGGACAUCAUGGGCAUUGAUCCCCAAGUCACAUGUCAUCGACUCAACAUAAACCCUAGUGUUUAGCUCCUUAAAAACAUUAGAUUGUGAAAGAAAUGGUAUUUAGGCUCUUAGAUGCUAGAUUUGGUCAUCUAGGUCUUUUAACAACAAAUAGAAGUCAGUAUGCUAGUUUACAUUAAUAACAUGUUAGUAACAAGUAAGAAGAGGAAUGAGUACCUGAUUGACCUCCUAAGAACAUUUCAAACUCUUAGAAAUUACUAAAUGAAGCUAAAUUAGUGAAGUGCACCUUCAAAUGUAGGGUAUGGAAAGUUCCUUAGGUACUUGGUUACAUACAAAGGAAAAGAAGCUAACCCAAACAAAAUAAAAUCAACUUUGGAGAUACCAAUGACCAAAAGGGUUGGAGAAGUCCAAAAGCUCACUAACAAGAUUGGUUCUUGAAAUGGAUUUAUAUAUUGGACAAAAAAUAUAUGUCCUCCUUUAUUUGACAUUAGCAAGAAGGGAAAAUGGACUAAAGGAACCAAAAAAUGCAACUAAGCCUAUGAAUCACUAAAGCAUUACAUGAUGCUAACCUUCACUUUGGAUAAACCUUAGGAUAAGGAGGUCUUACAAGGUCUCAUUAGUAGUAGUAAGUGGAGUGUUAUCUCAAAAAAAAAAAAAAAAAGGAAAAGAGGAGCAACCAAUGUACUAUGUCUAAAAGGCCCUCUUAGAUGUGGAAACCUGAGAUACAUAUAAAUAUUGAAAAACCGAUGCUUGCCCUUUAGAUUGCCACAUUGAAGCUUCAAUGUUACUUCCAAGUGCAUGUUAUUAAGGUAAUGACAAAGUGAUGAGAACUCAAACUUAAUACUUUAAUGGCUUUAAAGAGCCCACUUUAGUGUGUUUGAGGUACCAAAAAAUUAACCCAAGGUUUUGUUUUUUUUUAUAAUACCUUAGAAAAUUAUGUUUGAUGCAUUCUAUGACCAUUCUACAUUCUUUAAGGUGUUUUUUUGUUAGGAUAGAGUCCUUAAAAGUAUGAUAUGAUGUAAUAAAUUUGGAAUUCAAUAUUUAUUUAAUGAUGUUCUAGUUUCACUUUUAUCUAUCCUUAUUCCAUGUAUUGUACUUUAUGAGCAUUCUUAUCUACAUUUUUUGCAUUGCAUGUGACUUAAGUGCAUUAGGAGUUGCACAGAAGAUCUAAGUCAUGGGUUCCUUGCAAAUAGAUUACUUGUUCACAUUCAGUUCAUGGGCGUAGGCAAACCAUUAGAGGUUGCAAUGCGCCACCUCCUAAUUGGAGGGAUGGUUGGUCUUGACUAUUGGGAUGAGUUUUCCAUGAUGAGUGCACUAGUGUGUAUGGUUGCACAUUGAACAGGACCUAUGGUGAUUUAUGACUUAAACCUAUCGAGUAGUCAUGACUCCAUUGAGCUACUUCAUUGUAUUAUCUCUCAAACUUGAGAGAAUAUUGAGUUUGUGCUAAAGUUAAUAGUGGCUUUGGCUUAUAAGUGAGGUCGUAAGCUGAUCAUAUAUUCCCUAUGGAUCAGGUCACUAUUGAUGGAAGUCGAUAGCAAUGGGUAUUCUUAAUAAAGGCACCAUGAUAUCUAUUGGGAUUGAGAUAGUGUGUCCCUUGGGUGAUCUUAAGGAAGUGUGUUCAUGGAAACUUUGGCUAUAGUAGUUCCUUAAGUGGAAUUUGACAUAGACUCUUUGAGAGCUAAGAUAUGUUAAUUAAACACACAAUAGGAAGAUCUGUAACUCAAGGAUGGUAGAAGUAGUCUUGAAAGGCUGAUAGCUUUCACCUUGUUAGACUAUGAACACCAAUUCAUAGGGAGAUUAAACACAAUGGACAGUAGGUCAUGAACCCAAGCACUUAGUGUCUCCGUUGUUAUUUACAUAAGAUACCGGAGUUCAUUUGAUUCUUUGUAGUGGGAUGUUGAAUCAACUUUAAAAUUGGACUAUAAGGGAGCUAGUAUUCCUGUAGGUCCUAGUGGUCCUCGCUAUAAGCUCAUAUUCCUUGUUACAUGGGUAAUGAGGGUUGGAUUGACUUUAGGUUCACUUUUGUGCAUAAGGGCAUUUUGGUAAUUAUGCAAGGUUGUAUAGGAGUAAGUCAUCAAGGUCUCUGAACUGGGCUAAUUGAUUAAUUAGUAGGCCCUAUUGGGUUAGUUAAUCAAUUAGAACCCAUUUUAAACUAGAUUAAGUGACUUCAACCCAUGUGGGCUCAAGUCACUUAAGUCCACUUAGAAACCCUAUAAAUAACCCCUAGGGGUUAGGGUUUCCAUAACUUUUGUCUUCCAUCAUCCAGAGAGAUAGAGAGCCAUAGCCUCCACCAUUUUUUCCUCCUUAUCGAAAGUGUUCCAAGAUCAAGGUUCGAGUCAUUUGGCAAAAGACUUCGGGUUUACGAGACUUCUAUGAUUUCAAUUUUCAUCUUCACCAUGUGGAUUUGAUUCGGGAACACCUAAAUCUAAUGUAUGGUUUUCUUUAGCACUUUUUGAAUCCUUUUUAAGUAUAAAAAUGUUAUUUUUCCAUUGUGCAUAAGAUUUAGAAAAAGCCUAAGAUAGUUAUGCAUGUUCCUAACUUGAUCCGGACUUGGGAAAUGGAGAGAGAUUCGGGUUUUUCCCAUCAUUUUUGGUGCAAUAGAACCUUGUUAGGAAAUCAUAUAGACAAAAAUGCCUAAGUAAGGAGGAAACAUAGAUUGCACACCUAAAAGGUGUGCAAGACUUAAUCAUGCAAUUCUUUCUUAGUGUAAAGCCACAUAGUGCACCUCCCAUGUAUACCUUAAAGACCAAACACACAAGAUCUCUCUAAUGCAUUGGACCAAAUUUCACACCCUAUUCAAGCAACCCAAUCUGCAAACCUCUUAAGUGCUUUAAGCUAAGAUGUUGUGCACCCCCUUACUUGAGUCAACAAGAUGUGUAGUAGUGCAGCCCCUUGAUGUCAUCUAAAUUACAAACCAUUCUUACCUCUACAAUAGCUAAGUACUUAAUAAUUCUUCUAAUGAUUGGCUUACACACCAAAGUAGUAUGUUGUUUAUACCUCAAAGUCUUCAAUUGUACUACCUAAACGUACCUAAGCCAAAUUACAUAGAGAAAAAGAUGCAACUACCGACCAUAAGCUAACACAUCAAGAAUGAUGGCGGGUUGAUUGCAAUGACAAAGGACUUGACCCUUAAUAUAAGAAGAGACAAGUCUUGAGGAGGGGGGGACAAGUUUUGCCUAUAAAUGGAGGAUUGUGAAUAUACAAGUGGAAGCAAAUUAUAGAAAGUGAAAUUGUAGAUAAGUUUUUUCUGCUUGUGGGAACAAAAGUAGGAAUAAGAAUAACUUAAUGUAAUUUUAGUUUUUAAUUUUCCACUGUAAUCUUUUCUUUUCAUUAUAAAUGUUCCCUAAUUUCUAGUUUAAUGAGUUUUCUAGUCUUUUUAAUUAACAUCACAUUUCAGUUUUUCAAUUUCAACUUACAAAUUUGCAUUUUUAGUUCUUUACUUAAUUUUAACAUGCUUAGAUAACCUUUAACACUCUAAGGGGUGAGAGGAGCUCAAGUCUCCCAUAUCUUAGUUUAGCUCUCUAUUGGUUUAUCUGUGCAUUAGUUACAAGCAAUAUGAUCUCUAUUAGUAAUUAUAAUGACCAAAAGAAGUAACCAUGGGGAGAAAAGUCUAUGUUGCAUUGGUUGUGAGCGUUGUAAGUCAAGCAACCUUGGAAGCAUACUUAGGCAUUGUUUUAAUGAUUCUUUCAACUAAGUAUAGGCCUAUUGACAUGAAAAGAAUUUAUCUAAAUCAUUUGGUUAUAAGGAUAUUAAAAAAAAAAAAAACAAUUAGAGGGAGAUGAACGUUAUUAAGGUGGUUCUUGUUCAUUUGAAGCAGGAAACCUUUUUGGUAUAAAUCCUUGCUUUGACCCUAAAUCUGAAAGCAUAAGUUCAAAGCCUUGUUGGUGAGUUGUAUCUAAAAGUGGUGAUCCUAGUGAAUCUCUAGGUUUGAGGUUUUCUUUCCUUUAAUUUUCUAUCUUUUAAACUUUGUGUGUGUAUGUCUAUUUUAUUUAUAAAAUCAUUUUUCUAAUCUUUUAGCUAACAUUCACACCCCUAAAGCUAUUACCUUAGUUGCUACCAAUUAAAGUUCCUUGUGGAGGCAACCUAACAAUUAUAAAAUUAUUAAUUUUAUUUUUUUAUUUUUGGUUAAGGAGUUGAAAGUUUCAAUGAAUGAUCAAGUUUAAUUUCUCUUUGUAAAACUUAACUAUUAAAUAUAUUUCCUAGUUUUGAUAAAAGAAAUGAAUUAGAGAAUGACAAACCAAAAAUUAGUGUCGUCACUAGGGUACUUUCAACAUUGAUGACUCUAAAGGUAUUUUUGUGUAUAUGCUUGUUGUUUUAGAAGCUUAACAAGUAUAUUUCACCCACUCCCCACCUCUCUUUUAGUUGGAUUUUUUUCUUUUUUUACAUAAUUUUUUUUCUUUGGAUUUUCUUUUUCUACUCAGUUAGCAUUUUCAAUUGUUAAAUCCAACAUUUCCAGCAUUUUCUUUAAAGUGAUAUGAUGUAUUAGGGAAAUGAUUUUAAAGGAAGGGAACUAAGAGUGCAUUUGGGAGCGAUUCUACAAAGCAUUUCUAACAUUUCUAACACUUGAGUGAUAAAAAUUUUCAAGUAUUAUGAAUAUUAAAAGUGUUUCCUAGAAUCACUUCCAAAUAGGUUCUAAGUAAUCAACUAGAAGAAACAAUUUUAGAGGAAGGACACUAAGUAAUUAACCAAAAAAAAGUGAUUUUAGAGGAAGGACACUAAGUAAUCAACCAACCCCUAGUUAUCCUUUUCCUCAACACACCAAACCACCACCGUCUCAUAUCUAUUUUCCAAAUUCAACUAUUGGUGGUACUAAUAGAAGUGUGAUGAAUGGGGGUUUUAACCCCAAUAACUAGCCACCUAAGACCAUGAGGGAUUACCUAGUCGGGCCAAUGCUCCUUUUUGCUUGAUAUUUUUUUUUACGCUUUUCAAAUAAACAUUGAGCUUGAAAUGAUCCAAUUUCUAUCUCUAUUUUAUGGAAGGGAGGACGAAAAUCCUUUUUCUUAUUUAAAAGAAUUUGAAUAGGUAUGGUUUAUUUUGGUAGAACUGGAUUUGAUAUCUCUAUUUUAUGAGCCUUCAUGAAACCUGGAUCAUUCGAAACUCAAGGUUUUCUUUUUUCAUUAAAGAAAGAGGAUAAGCAUUGGUGGUAUAGCAUGAGACUCUAUAGGAUAAGUUCUUAGGAUACUUGAUAAAAUAUUUUUUUCACAAAUUUAUUUUGGUAUAUAAAAUUGUUUCCUUUGAAAGACAAAUUAAAAUUUUUUGUUUUAUAGAGAAUGAGACUUUUCAUCAUUGUUAUGAUUAAUUUAAAGCUUUUUUGUUUAACUUCCUUACCAUAGUUUUGAAAACUCAAGGAUUGCUUCUUCUUUUUAAAGGGGACCAUCCCCCUAAAUGAAAUAAUUUGUUGAAAACAUGACUGGUGGGUACUUUAUACAGGAGAAACCAAAAGAAGCACUUAAGCAUUUAAAAUUGCUUGCUGAAAAAUCAAGGGUUUGGGACCCCUUAGUCCUCAAGUGCAUCUUCUAGAACGUGAAAGCCAACCCCAACAACAUCUAAUCUCUCAUCUCAUCUCUCAAUUUAUCAUUUCCCCUUAGAACAAGAGUUUUGACGAAGAUGAUUUUUGGAUGCUGUAAGAGGACGAAGCCACUGAAGUUAAGGAAAAGGAAACUGUGUACAUAGCAGUUGAAAAGAAUUUGAAGAGAACUUCCAACAGGUUGCAAAUAAGGUUAUAAGCUGCAUUUUUUCUUCUUUUCCAAAAAAAAAAAAAACCAAAGAUAGAAAAAGAAAUCCGUAAAGAGCAAGAAACAGAGGAGGAGUGGAGCAAUGUAUUGCAUGAUCACACCUACUUUAUUUGUUUCUCAAUUCCCUUCUCUUUGCAACCCAAAAAUGUUGAUCUUCAAGGUAUCAUCAGAGGGCUUCUCAAUAUCUCUUCUAAUGAAAGUGGCUCUUAACUAGAGGGGAGGGCAUCCCAAAAAUUUUAGGAAACCAUGAAGAAAAAUUUAUCAAAGUGGAUGCUUCCAAUCUACCUGUGGGAAGCAAAGAAAAAGUGAACCAUUGGCUAGCUAGAAGCUAGCCAAAAACUUGUAAAUAGCUUUCAUUUUUUUUUUUCUUUAUUAUUUUUGUUUUUAUUGCUUUGGCCAAUUUAGUGUGUAGGAGCACCAUCAUUGUGAAGCCUAUAAUAUUAUGUUCUCAGUCCACUCAAUACAUUUGGGUAACCUUUAUCAUCUCAUAAGAACUCAAGUAUAAAUUUCUCUAUACUCUAUUGGUUUUAUCAUACUUCAGAGUAGGUGUAAAUUGUUAGCACCAGGAAAGUGUAGGACAUAUAGGAAUUGCGCACUUUUGAGGUUUGCUAACCCAACUUGUAUGAUGACUUAAAUUACGUAUCUGUAGAGCAUAACUCAAAUUGUACACUUUGAAAGCAUGACUGAAAUUCCACACCCUAAGAGAUUAAUUUAAACGGUGCAUCCAAAGGAGCGCAACCAAAAAUUGCACACCUUUAAGUGCGCAAUCAUUUCCCAAGGGAUGCCUACUUAUUCUCUUUUGUAUUAUUGUCCAAGCACGCCAUCCAUAAUAAAAAUCUUUAUUCUCUUAUGUAAACUUUUUGGAAGAAAAAUGCCUUCCCAAAUAAAACCAUAAUUGCUUAGAGACUUUUGUCCACCCCACCAUCAUAUCAAUUGAGGUAACCGAGAAGUCUUCUAAGUUUUAUAUAAAAGAAGUAAUUUUCACUAAAGUAGUCACUGCAAUAAAUACUAAAAUAAUCCAACGAAGCAUUCAGUGGAAUGAGCAUAUUAUAAAAUUGUACAUGGGAACCCGACAGUAAUUCAUAUCAAGAAAGUAGAUAGGGGAUAGUAAAUAUAGCUCACCAUGAAACCCCACCAUUAGAGCUCUGUACAGAAGUUCGAAUCCAGGCUUGUCUGCGAAAGGACUUGGAUCUACAUCAUCUCUGGUGACGCUUAAUAAAUAUGAAGUCAGCUCUUUAUGACCAUACCUAACAGCGCUGUGAAGAGGCGCAAAAUUGUGGCGUUGGCAGAUAUUGGGCAAGCUUGGGUUUCUGUUCACUAACAACUUGACUGCUUUUAUAUUGCCAGCCCUUGCAGCGUUGAAAAGGGUAGUGGCGCCAUCAGAAUCCCGCAGAGCCAGUGCCUCACUUGGCAUAAACUCAACGAACUUCUCCACGAAAUCCAUUCUGGCCUCUCCUAACUCAACUGCUAUGUGAAGCAUUGGGGAAUCAUCUGUUCCAAUCGGGGCGGAGAAUGAUUUGGGAUCAUCCGCCAAUAAUUUUGAAGCACUUUCCCAGUCACCAUUGAGCACAGCUUUGUACAGUUCCAAGUAAUAGAAUUCUGCAGUCACAAAACCAAAAGAUGUAUACCUCGCAGAGAAGAUACUCUCAUCCAAAGAGAAACAACAGCAGCCCCUUUUUCCCAGAGUCUUCAAAAGAUACAGGAAAUGGGCCAGGAACCAUUGAAGCAUAAGAGGUGCAAUGAUAGAGUCUUCCAAGUCAACUUUAUUUAGUUGAGUAUUGGGUCAGGAGUAGAUAUAGCGUUGAAACGUUAUGACUGGUGGAUGAUAGUCAUUCAAAAUAAACAAAGAAAAUUAGGGGGUAACUUUGAGCCGUUUGUUUUCGCAUGAUUUCUUCUGACUCUGUUGCUGGGCAUAGACCUCGACUGCCAUACAAGCACAGUCACCAGCGGCUGCCGUGGGAAUUAAUCCUAUGCACCACACAUUGCUAUGAUAGUUUACAAUAACUAAUUAUAUAAAAUCUGUUAAAAUAUUUUAUAUAAUUAACUUUUUGGAAUUUUUUUUUUAUCAAGUAGUAAAAUAAAGAAAAUUUAGGAAAAAAAUAUUUUUGAAAAAUGAUAAGUUUAAAAAAACGAUAAAGUUUUUGUAAAAUAUAGAAAAGGAUACAAGGCUAUUAAAUCAUAAUUAUAUGAUAACCUUUUAGUAUUUCAAUCUUUGAAUUUUUUUUGGAGAUUAUUUCCAUAAAUUCCACAUUCCAAAAACAAUGAUAAUCUUUACACAAUAUUAUUGUCAUAAAAAAUAAAAUUUUUUAAAAAAAUUAGAGAUUACAAAGAAUAUAAGGAUACGAAGAAUGUGAGAAUUGUCAUAUUUUUCGUACCCUCCUCACAUUCUUCAUGGCCCAACCCAUUUGAAUUUUUUUAUUUUUUUAUUUUUUUCAAACAUUAUUUACUUCACUUGCAAGUGUAAUUAGUGUUUUUACACAAUAUUAUUGUCAAAUGAAGUAAACAAAAAAAUCCUUAUUCUCUUAUGUAAACUUUUUGGAAGAAAAAUGCCUUCCCAAAUAAAACCAUAAUUGCUUAGAGACUUUUGUCCACCCCACCAUCAUAUCAAUUGAGGUAACCGAGAAGUCUUCUAAGUUUUAUAUAAAAGAAGUAAUUUUCACUUCCUUUUGCAUGCACUCAAACAAGAACACACACAAUAACGCAACAUGAAAACUCCAAAGAAUCUUAAAACCAAAACACUGAGCCUAAAUAAGAUAAGGAAGUGAGAUAAAAAUGAACAAUCAAGCCAAUUUGUUGAAGUCAAUAGGCACAAUACUAAAAUAAUCCAACAAGCAUUCAGUGGAAUGAGCAUUUGGACAGAAAGGGAACACAUUAAAUUUAAAAGCACUUGAAGCUAGCAAUGGGUGAUAUUGAUAUUUUUGGUCAAUCUCACCCUCAGUGCAGAAUUCCAAAUUGUUUCCAACUUUUCUGUAAUAUUUUUCUUACAUUUUUAUAUUAUCCAAAGACAGAAAAUUAAUUAUUCCUUUCAAGUUUUUUUUUUCUUUUUUAUUUAUAGGACAUAGCUAAACAGGAUUAGCAUAAAAGAAAAUAACUUGACUUAUAAACAAAAGCAAAGGAGAUGCAAUGGCAAACACAAAGCAAUUUAAAAGGGGCAAGCAGUAAAGAAACUAACAAUGAUAUAUUAUGAGUUGCCAUAAGUUGAAGCGACUUCCACUUGGGAAAGCCCAAGGCCUUUUAGCCAAUACUGUCAAAGGGGCAAAAUCCUCAUCAGAAUCAUUAGCAUCAUCGUGGCGGGCGGAAUCGAAAUGGCAUGUGGCAAGGUCAGGAUAACGUUCAACCAGAUACAGUGCUACAUCUGCAUAUUAUAAAAUUGUACAUGGGAACCCGACAGUAAUUCAUAUCAAGAAAAUAGAUAGGGGAUGGUAAAUAUAGCUCACCAUGAAACCCCACCAUUAGUGCUCUGCGCAGAAGUUCGAAUCCAGGCGAAUUUGAGAAAGGAUAUGGAGGUUCAUUAUCUCUGGUGACGCUUAAUAAAUAUAAAGUCAGCUCUUUAUGACCAUACCUAACAGCGCUGUGAAGAGGCGCAAAAUUGUCGCGUUGGCAGAUAUUGGGCAAGCUUGGGUUUUUGUUCACUAACAACUUGACUGCUUUUAUAUUGCCAGCCCUUGCAGCGUUGAAAAGGGCAGUGACGCCAUCAGAAUCCCGCAGAGCCAGUGCCUCACUUGGCAUAAACUCAACCAACUUCUCCACG
rnacentral:lncRNA from 1 species